rnacentral:lncRNA from 1 species
AGCAACAAACAUUUCCACCACAACAACCAUAUCCGCAGCCGCAACCAUUUCCAGGACAACAACCAUAUCCGCAGCCGCAACUAUUUCCACAGCCGCAACCUUUUCCGCCACAACUUCCAUAUCCGCAGCCGCAACCAUUUCCCCCACAACAACCAUAUCCACAACCGCAAACACAUCAUCUGCAACCACAACAACCAAUUUCGCAGCAACAAGUACAACAACAACAACAACAACAACAACAACAACAACAACAACAACAACAACAACAACAACAACAACAACAACUACUACUACAACAACAAAUCCUUCAACAAAUUCUGCAACAACAACAACUGAUUCCAUGCAGGGAUGUCAUCGUCUUGCAACAACACAACAUAGCGCAUGAAAGCUCACAAGUAUUGCAGCAAAGUAGUUACCAAGUGUUGCAACAAUUAUGUUGUCAGCAGCUGCGGCUGAUCCCCGAGCAGUCGCGGUGCCAAGCCAUCCACAAUGUCGUUCAUGCUAUUAUUCUACAUCAACAACAACAACAACAACAACAACAACAACAACAAGGACAACAUCAACCGUCGAGCCAGGUCUCCUACCAGCAGCCUCAGCAACAAUAUCCAUCAGGCCAGGGCUCCUUCCAGCCAUCUCAGCAAAAUCCACAGGCCCAGGGCUUUGUCCAACCUCAACAUCUGCCCCAACUCGAGGAAAUAAGUAACCUAGCGCUGCAGACGCUACCAGCAAUGUGCAAUGUCUACAUCCCUCCAUAUUGCUCGACCACCAUUGCGCCAUUUGGCAUCUUCGGUACUAACUGAGAAGAGAAGAACUCUAGUACUAGAUAUAUGAAACACCGUGUUCUUAGUCCAUGGUUUGGUCGUUGUACCGUUGAAAAUAUAAGGUGACAUGCACUAUCAUGUAAGAACCCGAACUAUACUAGUUCAAACAUGGGAAUAAAAGACAAACACAUGUCUUGUCUGCAUAUGAUUGUUUAUUUGAGUUCCAUUCCUAUGCCCAUUCACAAGUUCACCCGUAAUUAUAUAUAUUACACAUUAAGUAGAUAUUUAUGUUGCAUUAAUAUGAAGAUAACAAAAUGAGUCUGAAACUUGAAUUAAAUUGAAGUAUUUUCUUGGACUUUCAAAUUGUGUAUUAUUAAAGUAGUAAGGAUUAUCCACAUCCUUGGCUUGCCCUUCAUCAAUUAUUCCCAGAGAAGCUUUCAGUUCAUAAAUCAAUUACAUUGAUUUUUGUGAAUGGUACAUCUCCUCAUCACGAGUAUCAUUACGGCUACUCCAAAUCGCUCACAUAACCGAAGCAUUAAUAGCGCCCUUCUUGCAUCCGGAAAUAUGGAUCGAAGAUAUCACUUGACCAUGUUUCCAGGUGCAACCUUGGGAUUUUUAUGUCAAAAUAUUCUCAAGCAAAAUCCAAGAAUAAACUUGCAUGCUCACGUGUGAUGAGGGCAGAUGAAGUAACAUUUCCUCCCCAUGGCCACACAUAGGGCACACACAUAACCCCAUCACAUGCCUUUUUAGUUAUGCAUAUGAAAGGUAGGAUGUUUUUAAUUACUCUCUACCAAAAUACUCUUAACUUGGCUUGUACCCUAAUAUUUCGUUGCCUUUUCAAUUGUUCUUCCCCAUUAGACAAAGUAGACAGUCCAUCUACCACACCGUACCUUGUGUCCAUCAUUGCUCUGUACAACAAUUGAACAGAACAAAUGUCAUUUCUUUACGAUACCCACGACCAAAUGUCCUUUGCUGGAUUGUUUGGUCGUGGCAUAUUAAGGAUGGCCACCUCAUCUCAUGGGGUAAACACCUAAUGAAUGAAAGGAUUGUUCUAGUCGCCCGUGUUUUUCAUCGAUAAGAUCAUCUACAAGUUGGACCGAAGUUUCUCACAUGCAUCAUAGUGGUUUCAUUAGCGGCGUGCCCUGCACCCAUUUAUCACGUCGUAUCUCUGUAGUAUGUGCAUUCCCAAUUUGUCACAGCAUACCCUCCUUCAAACCUUCUUUCCCUUUCAGAUUAGCACGCCAAGUUAGCUAUGCACUAUGCGGGAACCAGCAUUUGAAAAAAAAGAAUCUCAUUUCAUGGUAUCUUCCAUGAAGGACCCUCGUACAUUAGCUAUCUAGGUAGAAAUAGCCAUGUAUGUUUGGCAAACUUUGCAUAAGUGAAUAGAUCAAGGUCGUGGAACCCCAAGCCUCCAAUUACACACGGCCUCUCUACCAAUAAGAUCUCCAAAGACAUCAAGGAUACAGACAGCCAAAAAAGAAAAUAAAAAGAAAAAAAAUAAAAAAUACCCUGCCAUGGUGAUCAAUCACAAGCAUCAGCAGCACUCUAACCACCACCAAAGACAAUGCCCAGAUUACAAAAAAAAAUUAUCCAAAAACAAUGCCCCCAAGAAGGAAACAAUACACAAGCGUUGUCGUUGCCCGAUCGAAGAUCGUGGGUUUUCACCCUGGAAAAUUUUUGAGUUCACCCAAAAACAAUGCCUUCAACAAGGCCAUUGCCAAGUACAACAAAUAUGGUCGAGACCUUGGGUUUUCACCCUAGGAAUUGAGACUCGAUGCUCGAGGAGUACCAGCAAAAAUGCAGUCCACUAGUGUUGCCGCCCCCACUUGGCAAGGCCACUGUUGCAAGUCACCAAACACCUGGCAUAUAGUUGUCAUCGCAUCCAAUACACCCUUCGGCCGAAGCUUCAAGACCUUGAUCCGUCUCCAGCGUAUCUAUAAUUUUUGAUUGUUCCAUGCUAUUAUAUUAUCUGUUUUGGAUGUUUUAUAUGAUUAUUAUGGUAUUUUAUAUGAUUUUUGGGACUAACCUAUUAAACUAGAGCCCAGUGUCAGUUCCUGUUUUUUCCUUGUUUUAGAGUUUCGUAGAAAAGGAGUACCAAACGGAGUCCAAACGGAAUUAAACUUUUGCGAUGAUUUUUCUUAGACCAGAAGACAUCUAGAGGACUUGGAGUGCAUGUUAGGAAAGCCACGAGGCUGCCACAACGACAGAGGUGCGCCCCCACCCUUGUGGGCCCCUCGUGACUCUACCGACAUAUUUCUUCCGCCUAUAUAUUCUCAAAUAUUCCAAAACAUACUAGGAGAGCCACAAAAACACUUUUCCACCGCCGCAACCUUCUGUACCCGUGAGAUCCAAUGUAGGGGCCUUUCCCGGCAUCCUGUCGGCGGGGGAUUCGAUCACUUAGGGCUUCUACAUCAACACCAUUGCCUCUCCGAUGAAGCGUGAGUAGUUUACCACAGACCUAUGGGUCCAUAGCUAGUAUCUAGAUGGCUUCUUCUCUCUCUUUGAUUCUCAAUACCAUGUUCUCCUCGAUGUUCUUGGAGAUCUAUUCGAUGUAAUACUCUUUUUGCGGUGUGUUUGCCAAGAUCCAAUGAAUUGUGGAUUUAUGAUCAGGUUAUCUAUGAGUAUUAUUUGAAUCUCCUAUGAAUUCUUAUAUGCAUGAUUUGAUAUCUUUGCAAGUCUCUUCGAACUAUCGAUUUGGUUUGGCCAACUAGAUUGGUUUUUCUUGCAAUGGGAGAAGUGCUUAACUUUGGGUUCAAUCUUGCGGUGCUCGAUCCCAGUGACAGAAGGGGAUGAUACGUCCCCAACGUAUCUAUAAUUUUUGAUUGUUCCAUGCUAUUAUAUUAUCAACCUUGGAUGUUUUAUAUGCAUUUAUAUGCUAUUUUAUAUGAUUUUUGGGACUAACCUAUUAACCCAGAGCCCAGUGCUAGUGCCAGUUUCUGUUUUUUCCUUGUUUUAGGGUUUCGAAGAAAAGGAAUAUCAAAUGGAGUCCAAACGGAAUGAAACCUUCAGAAAAUUUAUUUUUGGAAAGAAAGUAAUACGGGAGACUUGGAGUGCACGUCCGGGGAUCAACGAGGAAGCCACGAGGCAGGGGGCGCGCCCACCCCUCUUGGGCGCGCCCUCCACCCUCGUGGGCCCCUCGUGGCUCCCCAAAUGUAUUUCUUCCGCCUAUAUAUAUCCAUAUACCCCAAAACGACCGGGGAGCACAAUAGAUCGGGAGUUUCUCCGCCAGAAGCCUCCGUAGCCACCGAAAGCUAAUCUAGACCCGUUCCGGCACCCUGCCGGAGGGGGAAUCCCUCUCCGGUGGCCAUCUUCAUCAUCCCGGUGCUCUCGAUGACGAGGAGGGAGUAGUUCUCCCUCGGGGCUAAGGGUAUGUACCAGUAGCUAUGUGUUUGAUCUCUCUCUCUCUCUCUCUCUCUCUCUCUCGUGUUCUUGAGGUGAUACGAUCUUGAUGUAUCGCGAGCUUUGCUAUUAGAGUUGGAUCUUAUGUUGCUUCUCCCCCUCUACUCUCUUGUAAUGGAUUGAGUUUCCCCUUCGAAGUUAUCUUAUCGGAUUGAGUCUUUAAAAAUUUGAGAACACUUGAUGUAUGUCUUGCCGCGUGUAUCUGUGGUGACAAUGGGAUAUCACGUGAUUCACUUGAUGUAUGUUUUCGUGAUCAACUUGCGGGUUCCGCCCAUGAACCUAUGCAUAGGGGUUGGCACACGUUUUCGUCGUGAUUCUUUGGUAGAAACUUUGGUGCACUCUUUGAGGUUCUAUGUGUUGGUUGAAUAGAUGAACUUGAGAUUGUGUGAUCCAUAUCAUAUAAUCAUACCCACGGAUACUUCAGGUGACAAUGGAGUAUCUAGGUGACAUUAGGGUUUUGGUUGAUUUGUGUCUUAAGGUGUUAUUCUAGUACGAACUCUAGGGCUGUUUGUGACACUUAUAGGAAUAGCCCAACGGAUUGAUUGGAAAGAAUAACUUUGAGGUGGUUUCGUACCCUACCAUAAUCUCUUCGUUCGUUCUCUGCUAUUAGUGACUUUGGAGUGACUCUUUGUUGCAUGUUGAGGGAUAAUUAUGUGAUCCAAAUAUGUUAUUAUUGUCGAGAGAACUUGCACUAGUGAAAGUAUGAACCCUAGGCCUUGUUUCGACGCAUUGCAAUACCGUUUACGCUCACUUUUAUCAUUAGUUACCUUGCUGUUUUUAUAUUUUCAAAUUACAAAAACCUUUAUCUACCAUCCAUAUACCACUUGUAUCACCAUCUCUUCACCUAUACAAUUUACCAUUGUAUUGGGUGUGUUGGGGACACAAGAGACUCUUUGUUAUUUGGUUGCAGGGUUGCUUGAGAGAGACCAUCUUCAUCCUACGCCUCCUACGGAUUGAUAAACCUUAGGUCAUCCACUUGAGGGAAAUUUGCUACUGUCCUACAAACCUCUGUACUUGGAGGCCCAACAACGUCUACAAGAAGAAGGUUGUGUAGUAGACAUCAAGCUCUUUUCUGGCGCAGUUGCCGGGAAGGUGAGUGCUUGAAGUUAUAUCUUUAGAUCUUGCAAUCGAAUCUUUUUGUUUCUUGUUUUAGCACUAGUUUAGUUUAUAAAAGAAAACUACAAAAAAACGGAAUUGAGUUUACCUCACACGCUUCAUCUUUUUAAUAUCUUUCGUGAGUAUGAUGGAAAGAAAAAUUGUGCCAAAGUGUUAGAAGAAGAAUGCAUUAAACUGUUUGGCAUUAAAUAUUUGAAUGAUGAGCAUUAUUGCAAUGUUGUUAGUAUGAAUUCCUUGAAUAUCCAUAGUACUAAUGAUGAUUGCACUAGUUAUGAUGAAAAUGUCUCAUGUAAACAUGUCAAUUUUUGUGGAGUGCAUUGGGUUUGCAAGUACACACCAAUUAGGGAAGAUAGAUUUUGCAAGAGGCAUAAGUACUUAGAAACUAAAUUGUUGCAAGAAAGGCUAGAUGAAUGUGCUGAAAAUUUAAAUUUUCUUGGCCAUACUUGUGAGCUUUGCAAUGAACAUGGUUAUUUAACCAUCCGAUGCAAAUUGUUUCAUGAUCUAAUCGUUUCCAAAAAUUGUGAUGACUUGAUUUCCCUUGCACAUCAUAAUGAACUUAGUUUGCUUAUGGGUUAUGAGGAAAUGAAAUGUAUAACUAACUAUCUUCCAGUAUUUUCCCAUGAUAAACUUCUUGGAUUUGACCUAGAGGAAAUUUAUAUGUAUUGUGCGGUGAAUUGCAUUGAAAACCCCUAUAUUGUCAAUUACAUAAAGAAAAGAAAACAAAUAGAGGAUGAACAGAAUACUAAUGAAAGGGAAGAGACCUCCCAAUAUCCUCCUAUUAUUUCUUAUGAUGAACCAGGUAACGAGGAGGAGCCUCCUAUUCAACCAAUCUCAUUAAUAAGGAGCUCCAAAAAGAGGAUUGAACCCACACACGAUGUAGUGAAGAAGAAGAAAAGAAAGAGGAAGAGAGGUAAAAAGAUAUCUCUCCCAAAUAAUGCUGCUCCUAUUACUAUUGUGCCUCAUGAAAAUAUAAUUGUGGAAAAUAAUGAUACUUCUUAUGAUCUUGAAAAUCCUUUUGUCACUUGCUUGGAAGAAUAUGAUAAUUGCUAUACUAUUGGUGCUAUCCAUACUAUUAAUGAUGAGAGUGAUUAUGCUUAUGAUAUGAAAAGGCCCAAGCUUUGGGAUGCUAUGUUUGAUGAAGAUGAUGUUUUUGAGAAUAUAUUUGCUACAAUUAAUGUUUGUCCCAAGCUUGGGGAUGCUAUGUUUAAUCAAGAUGAUAUUUUUAGUCUCCCAAGUUUUGAUAUGCAAAUUUAUAAUGAUGAUAGCAUGCCUCCUACUUAUGAUGAUUAUUGUGAUGAUACUUAUGCUAUAAAAAGUAAUGAUUAUAUUUAUAAAACUUGUCAUGAUUAUGGUUACCCCUUUUCUGAACAUUACUCUUUUAAUGUGGAAACAAUUUAUAGUAUUCGAGUUUCUUAUGAUACUCCCACUAUUCCGAAUGAGAAGAAUUUUGCUUGUGUAGAGAGUAAUAAAAUUUCUAUGCUUGUAGAUCAUGAAAAGAAUGCUUUAGGUGCUGGUUAUAUUUUUGAAUUCAUUCAUGAUGCUACUGAAAAUUAUUAUGAGGGAGGAACAUAUGCUUGUAGGAAUUGCAAUAAUAUCAAGUUUCCUCUCUAUGUGCUUAAAGUUUUGAAGUUAUGCUUGUUUUGCCCUCCUAUGCUAGUUGAUUAUUGUUCCCAUAAGUUGUUUGCUCACAAAAUUCCUACACAUAGGAAGUGGGUUAGACUUACAUGUUCUAGUCAUAUGCUUCAUGAUGCUCUCUUUAUGUUUCAAUUCUUAUCUUUUAUGUGAGCAUCAUUGAAAUCGUCAUGCCUAGCUAGGGGCGUUAAACGAUAGCGCUUGUUGAGAGGAAACCCAACUUUAUUUUUGUUCCUUGAUUUUUGCUCCUGUCUAGCAAUAAAUAAUUUAUCUAGCAUCUGUUAUGAUUGAGUUUUUAUGUUAGAACCGUUGGGAAGACUUGGGGAAAGUCUUGGCGAUCAUGCUGUAAAAAAACAGAAACUUUAGCGCUCACGAGAAUUGCUGACAUUUUUUAUUGGAGAGUGCUAUUUGGUUAAUUAUUUUUGCAGAUGAUUAAUAGAUAAAUUCCUCACGUCCAGCAAUUUAUUUUAGAAUUUUUGAGGCUCCAGAAGUUUGCGUUAGUUACAGAUUACUACAGACUGUUCUGUUUUUGACAGAUUCUGUUUUUCGUGUGUUGUUUGCUUAUUUUGAUGAAUCUAUGGCUAGUAAAAUAGUUUAUAAACCAUAGAGAAGUUUUAAUACAGUAGGUUUAACACCAAUAUAAAUAAAUAAUGAGUUCAUUACAGUACCUUUAAGUGGUGUUUUAUUUUCUUUCGCUAACGGAGCUCACGAGUUUUCCAUUUUAAGUUUUGUGUUGUGAAGUUUUCAAGUUUUGGGUAAAGAUUUGAUGGAUUAUGGAAUAAGGAGUGGCAAGAGAAUAAGCUUGGGGAUGCCGAAGGCACCCCAAGGUAAUAUUCAAGGACAACCAAAAGCCUAAGCUUGGGGAUGCCCCGGAAGGCAUCCCCUCUUUCGUCUUCGUUCAUCGGUAACUUUACUUGGAGCUAUAUUUUUAUUCACCACAUGUUACGUGUUUUGCUUGGAGCGUCAUUUUAUUUCAUUUUUUUGCUUGCUGUUUGAAUAAAGUAUCAAGAUAUGAAAUUAUUAAGUGGGAGAGUCUUCACAUAGUUGCAUAAGUAUUCGACUACUCAUUGAUCUUCACUUACAUCUUUCAGAGUAGUUUGUCAUUUUCUCUAGUGCUUCACUUAUAUCUUUUGAGAGCACGGUGGUGGUUUUAUUUUGUAGAAAUAGAUGAACUCUCGUGCUUCACUAAUAUUAUUUUGAGAGUCCUCAGAACAGCAUGGUAAUUUGCUUUGGUUAUGAAUUUAGUCCUAAUAAGAUGGGCAUCCAAGAGGGAUAUAAUAAAAACUUUCAUAUAAGUGCAUUGAAUACUAAGAGAAGUUUGAUACUUGAUGAUUGUUUUGAGAUAUGGAGAUAGUGAUAUUAAAGUUGUGCUAUUUGACACUACUAGGAAAAGGCCUACUAAUGGCGCACCAGUUUUGCCUACUAAUGGCGCAUCACUGGUGCGCCAUUACUAGCACGCCAUUAGUAAUUUUUAGUAAUGGCGCACCACUGGUGCGCCAUUAGUAUCGGCCACGGUGCGCCAUUCGUAUAGGCCACUGGUGCGCCAUUAGUAUAGGCCACGGUGCGCCAUUAGUAUUUUUGGAUUUUGAAGGCGGGAAAAUAGUAGUGGCGCACCGUCUAACCCCCACCGUGCGCCAUUACUAUUUUUGAAUUUUGAAUUUGGAUCUGGAUCGUGAUUUUUUUGCCCAUUUUUUGCUCGUUUUUUUGCUCGUUUUUUGGCACAAUAUUAUUUCAAAUUUUGUUCUUGUUUUUGGAUCUUGUACGUUCUUUUGCCGUGUUCUUUUGCCGGAGAGGAGUUCGCCGGAGAGGAGGAGGAGGAGGUCACCGGAGAGGCGCUCGCCUACAUCGCCGGAGAGGAGGAGGAGGUCGCCGGAGAGGAGUUCACCGAAGCAUCGGAGAGGAGGAAGGAGAAACCAUGAGGGAAUGGGAGGAGAGGAGGGAGGAGAAACCAUGAGGGGAGGGGAGGAGAGGAGGGAGNNNNNNNNNNNNNNNNNNNNNNNNNNNNNNNNNNNNNNNNNNNNNNNNNNNNNNNNNNNNNNNNNNNNNNNNNNNNNNNNNNNNNNNNNNNNNNNNNNNNNNNNNNNNNNNNNNNNNNNNNNNNNNNNNNNNNNNNNNNNNNNNNNNNNNNNNNNNNNNNNNNNNNNNNNNNNNNNNNNNNNNNNNNNNNNNNNNNNNNNNNNNNNNNNNNNNNNNNNNNNNNNNNNNNNNNNNNNNNNNNNNNNNNNNNNNNNNNNNNNNNNNNGGAGAGGAGAAGGAGGUCGCCGGAGAGGAGGAGAUGGAGUGGAGGAGAGGAGGAGAUGGAGUGGAGGAGAGGAGAGGAGGAGAUGGAAUGGAGGAGAGGUGGAGUGGAGGAGGUGCGCCCAGCCAUGUAUACGACAUAGUAAUGGCGCACCGUGGGCAGGUGCGCCAUUACUAACUUUUUUUAUUUUUUGAUUUAUUUUGAAUUUUGAAGGCGGGAAGAUACUAAUGGCGCACCGUGGGCAGGUGCGCCAUUAGUAACUUUUUUUUUAUUUUUGACUAAUUUUGAAUUUUGAAGGCGGGAAGAUACUAAUGGCGCACCGUGGGCAGGUGCGCCAUUAGUAACUUUUUUUGACUAAUUUUGAAUUUUGAAGGUGGGAAGAUACUAAUGGCGCACCACGGGGUGGUGCGCCAUUAGUAACUUUUUUUUAUUUUGUUGACUUAUUUUGAAUUUUGAAGGCGGGAAGAUACUAAUGGCGCACCAUGGGCAGGUGCGCCAUUAGUAAGUUUGAAUUAUUUUUAAUUUUUUUGCCUCUCCAGAUCUUAAAAGCCCCAUAUAUUUUUUUCUGUUAGGUUUUUGAGGAUUUUAAAAAUGUUUAACGGAUUCCCCGGUUAAAUUUGGAUGUAACUUUUCGAGUAGAUGAUUUUUCAUAUAAAAAACUUUUUCAUCCGAGUUAGUAUGCAAAAGUUAUGCCCAUUUUUACAAAUUNNNNNNNNNNNNNNNNNNNNNNNNNNNNNNNNNNNNNNNNNNNNNNNNNNNNNNNNNNNNNNNNNNNNNNNNNNNNNNNNNNNNNNNNNNNNNNNNNNNNNNNNNNNNNNNNNNNNNNNNNNNNNNNNNNNNNNNNNNNNNNNNNNNNNNNNNNNNNNNNNNNNNNNNNNNNNNNNNNNNNNNNNNNNNNNNNNNNNNNNNNNNNNNNNNNNNNNNNNNNNNNNNNNNNNNNNNNNNNNNNNNNNNNNNNNNNNNNNNNNNNNNNNNNNNNNNNNNNNNNNNNNNNNNNNNNNNNNNNNNNNNNNNNNNNNNNNNNNNNNNNNNNNNNNNNNNNNNNNNNNNNNNNNNNNNNNNNNNNNNNNNNNNNNNNNNNNNNNNNNNNNNNNNNNNNNNNNNNNNNNNNNNNNNNNNNNNNNNNNNNNNNNNNNNNNNNNNNNNNNNNNNNNNNNNNNNNNNNNNNNNNNNNNNNNNNNNNNNNNNNNNNNNNNNNNNNNNNNNNNNNNNNNNNNNNNNNNNNNNNNNNNNNNNNNNNNNNNNNNNNNNNNNNNNNNNNNNNNNNNNNNNNNNNNNNNNNNNNNNNNNNNNNNNNNNNNNNNNNNNNNNNNNNNNNNNNNNNNNNNNNNNNNNNNNNNNNNNNNNNNNNNNNNNNNNNNNNNNNNNNNNNNNNNNNNNNNNNAAUUUUUUUACUAAUGGCGCACCGUGGAUGUGGUGCGCCAUUACUAGUUCAACUAGUAAUGGCGCACCACCCCCACGGUGCGCCAUUAGUAGUUUUGAAAAAAAUUAAAUUUUUUUACCAAUGGCGCACCGUGGAUGUGGUGCGCCAUUAGUAUUUGGACACUAAUGGCGUACCAACACAUGGUGCGCCAUUAGUAUAUAGUAAUGGCGCACCACAUGUCUGGUGCGCCAUUAGUGUCAAUUCCAUCUAUAGCCCUUUUCCUAGUAGUGUGAGUAGUUGUGAAUUUGAGAAAUACUUGUGUUGAAGUUUGCAAGUCCCGUAGCAUGCACGUAUGGUAAACGUUAUGUAACAAAUUUGAAACAUGAGGUGUUCUUUGAUUGUCCUCCUUAUGAAUGGCGGUCGGGGACGAGCGAUGGUCUUUUCCUACCAAUCUAUCCCCCUAGGAGCAUGCGUGUAGUGCUUGGUUUUUGAUGACUUGUAGAUUUUUGCAAUAAGUAUAUGAGUUCUUUAUGACUAAUAUUGAGUCCAUGGAUUAUAUGCAUUCUCACCCUUCCAUCAUUGCUAGCCUCUUCGGUACCGUGCAUUGCCCUUUCUCACAUUGAGAGUUGGUGCAAACUUCGCUGGUGCAUCCAAACCCCGUGAUAUGAUACACUCUUUCACACAUAAACCUCCUUAUAUCUUCCUCAAAACAGCCACCAUACCUACCUAUUAUGGCAUUUCCGUAGCCAUUCUGAGAUAUAUUGCCAUGCAACUUUCCACCAUUCUGUUUGUCAUGACACAUUCAUCAUUGUCAUAUUGCUUAGCAUGAUCAUGUAGUUGACAUAGUAUUUGUGGCAAAGCCACCGUUCAUAAUUAUUUCAUACAUGUCACUCUUGGUUCAUUGCAUAUCCCGGUACACCGCCGGAGGCAUUCAUAUAGAGUCAUAUCUUGUUCUAGUAUCGAGUUGUAAAUAAAUAGAAGUGUGAUGAUCAUCAUUAAUAGAGCAUUGUCCCAAAAAAAGGAAGAGAACGACCAAAUAAAAAAGGGAAGCCCCCCACCCAAAAAAGAAAAGAAAGGCCAGAUAAAAAAUAAAAAAAAUAAAAAAAAUAAAAGGGACAAUGCUACUAUCCUUUUUCCACACUUGUGCUUCAAAGUAGCACCAUGAUCUUUAUGAUAGAGAGUCUCUUGUUUUGUCACUUUCAUAUACUAGUGGGAAUUUUUUAUUAUAGAACUUGGCUUGUAUAUUCCAACAAUGGGCCUCCUCAAGUGCCCUAGGUCUUUGUGAGCAAGCAAGUUGGAUGCACACCCACUUAGUUUCUUUUGUUGAGCUUUCAUACAUUUAUGGCUCUAGUGCAUCCGUUGCAUGGCAAUCCCUAAUCCUUGCAUUGACAUCAAUUGAUGGGCAUCUCCCUAGCCCAUUGAUUAGCCGCGUCGAUGUGAGACUUUCGCCUUUUGGUCUUCUCCACAUAACCCCCUCAUUAUAUUCUAUUCCACCCAUAGUGCUAUAUCCAUGGCUCACGCUCAUGUAUUGCGUGAAAGUUGAAAAAAGUUUGAGAUUACUAAAGUAUGAAACAAUUACUUGGCUUGUCAUCGGGGUUGUGCACAAUGAGAGCAUUCUUGUGUGACGAAAAUGGAGCAUGGCCAAACUAUAUGAUUUUGUAGGGAUGAACUUUCUUUGGCCAUGUUAUUUUGAGAAGACAUGAUUGCUUAGUUAGUAUACUUGAAGUAUUAUUAUUUUUAUGUCACUAUUAAACUUUUGUCUUGAAUCUUAUGGAUCUGAAUAUUCUUGCCACAAUAAAGAGAACUACAUGGAUAAAUAUGUUAGGUGGCAUUCUACAUCAAAAAUUCUGUUUUUAUCUUUUAGCUACUCCAGGACGAGCAGGAAUUAAGCUUGGGGAUGCUGAUACGCCUCCAACGUAUCUAUAAUUUUUAUUGUUCCAUGCUAUUAUAUUAUCAACCUUGGAUGUUUUAUAUGCAUCUUUAUGCUAUUUUAUAUCAUUUUUGGGACUAACCUAUUAACCUAGAGCCCAGUGCCAGUUUCUGUUUUUUCCUUGUUCUAGGGUUUCGAAGAAAAGGAAUAUCAAAUGGAGUCCAAACGGAAUGAAACCUUCGGAAAAGUUGUUUUUGGAAAGAAAGCAAUACAGGAGACUUGGAGUGCACGUCAGCGGAUCAACGAGGAAGCCACGAGGCAGGGGGCGCGCCCACCCCCUGGGCGCGCCCUCCACCCUCGUAGGCCCCUCGUGGCUCCCCUAAUGUAUUUCUUCCGCCUGUAUGUACCAAUAUACCCUAAAACGAUCGGGGAGCACAAUAGAUUGGGAGUUCCGCCGCCAGAAGCCUCUGUAGCCACUAAAAGUGAAUCUAGACCCGUUCCGGCACCCUGCCGGAGGGUGAAUCCCUCUCCGGUGGCCAUCUUCAUCAUCCCGGUGCUCUCCAUGACGAGGAGGGAGUAGUUCUCCCUUGGGGCUGAGGGUAUGUACCAGUAGCUAUGUGUUUAAUCUCUCUCUCUCUCUCUCUCGUGUUCUUGAGGUGAUACGAUCUUGAUGUAUCGCGAGCUUUGCUAUUAUAGUUGUAUCUUAUGUUUCUUCUCCUCCUCUACUCUCUUGUAAUGGAUUGAGUUUCCCCUUCGAAGUUAUCUUAUCGGAUUGAGUCUUUAAAGAUUUGAGAACACUUGAUGUAUGUCUUGCCGCGUGUAUCUGUGGUGACAAUGGGAUAUCACGUGAUUCACUUGAUGUAUGUUUUCGUGAUCAACUUGCGGGUUCCGCCCAUGAACCUAUGCAUAGGGGUUGGCACACGUUUUCGUCGUGAUUCUUUGGUAGAAACUUUGGUGCACUCUUUGAGGUUCUAUGUGUUGGUUGAAUAGAUGAACUUGAGAUUGUGUGAUGCAUAUCGUAUAAUCAUACCCACAGAUACUUGAGGUGACAAUGGUUUGCUCACAAAAUCCCUAUGCAUAGGAAGUGGGUUAGACUUAAAUGUUCUAGUCAUAUGCUUCAUGAUGCUCUCUUUAUGUUUCAGUUCUUAUCUUUUAUGUGAGCAUCAUUGAAAUCAUCAUGCCUAGCUAGGGGCGUUAAACGAUAGCGCUUGUUGGGAGGAAACCCAACUUUAUUCUUGUUCCUUGCUUUUUGCUCCUGUUUAGCAAUAAAUAACUUAUCUAGCCUCUGUUAUGAUUGAGUUUUUAUGUUUUAAUUAGUGUUUGUGCCAAGUAGAACCGUUGGGAAGACUUGGGGAAAGUCUUUGCGAUCAUACUGUAAAAAACAGAAACUUCAGCGCUCACGAGAAUUGAUGGGCAUCUCCUUAACCCAUUGAUUAGCCGCGUCGAUGUGAGACUUUCUCCUUUUUGUCUUCUCCACAUAACCCCCUCAUUAUAUUCUAUUCCACCCAUAGUGCUAUAUCCAUGGCUCACGCUCAUGUAUUGCGUGAAAGUUGAAAAAAGUUUGAGAUUACUAAAGUAUGAAACAAUUGUUUGGCUUGUCAUCGGGGUUGUGCAUGAUGAGAGCAUUCUUGUGUGACGAAAAUGGAGCAUGACCAAACUAUAUGAUUUUGUAGGGAUGAACUUUCUUUGGCCAUGUUAUUUUGAGAAGACAUGAUUGCUUAGUUAGUAUGCUUGAAGUAUUAUUAUUUUUAUGUCAAUAUUAAACUUUUUUCUUGAAUCUUAUGUAUUUGAAUAUUCUUGCCGGAAUAAAGAGAACUACAUGGAUAAAUAUGUUAGGUAGCAUUCCACAUCAAAAAUUCGGUUUCAUUAGCGGCGUGCCCUGCACCCAUUUAUCACGUCGUAUCUCUGUAGUAUGCGCAUUCCCAAUUUGUCACGGCAUACCCUCCUUCAAACCUUCUUGCCCUUUCAGAUUAGCACGCCAAGCUAGCUAUGCACUAUGCGGGAACCUGCAUUUGAAAAAAAAGAAUCUCAUUUCAUGGUAUCUUCCAUGAAGGACCCUCGUACAUGAGCUAUCUAGAUAGAAAUAGCCAUGUAUGUUUAGCAAACUUUGCAUAAGUGAAUAGAUCAAGGUCGUGGAACCCCAAGCCUCCAAUUACACACGGCCUCUCUACCAAUAAGAUCUCCAAAGACAUCAAGGAUACAGACAGCCAAAAAAGAAAAUAAAAAGGAAAAAAAUAAAAAAUACCCCACCAUGGUGAUCAAUCACAAGCAUCAGCAGCACUCUAACCACCACCUAAGACAACGCCCAGAUUACAAAAAAAAUUCUCCAAAAGCAAUGCCCCCAAGAAGGAAACAAUACACAAGCGUUGUCGUUGCCCGAUCGAAGAUCGUGGGUUUUCACACUGGAAAAUUUUUGAGUUCACCCAAAAACAAUGCCUUCAACAAGGCCAUUGCCAAGUACAACAAAUAUGGCUGAGACCUUGGGUUUUCACCCUAGGAAUUGAGAGUCGAUGCUCGAGGAGUACCACCAAAAAUGCAGUCCACUAGUGUUGCCGCCCCCACUUGGCGAGGCCGCUGUUGCAAGUCACCAAACACCUGGCAUAUAGUUGUCAUCGCAUCCAAUACACCCUUCGGCCGAAGCUUCAAGACCUUGAUCCGUCUCCAACGUAUCUAUAAUUUUUGAUUGUUCCAUGCUAUUAUAUUAUCUGUUUUGGAUGUUUUAUAUGAGUAGGGCGUUUUGGUGCCCAGGCUCAUCUGCACCCGGUUAGAAAAAAUUCAUAAAAAAUUUAAACAAAUUCAAAAAAUUCCAAAUAAAAUUUGUAUGGUAGACAAUUUGAUGCGUGAGGCCCGCCUCAAAUUUCAAGUCAUUUGGAUAUAUGAGAAGCUCUCAGCAAAAAAGACAAAUCGGACUAAAACAGUACAUGAACAGUAAACAUUUUUACAGACCCUCAAUUUGUCUUUUUUGCUGAGAGCUGCUCAUAUGUUCAAAUGACUUGAAAUUUGGAGCGUGCCUCACGCAUCAAAAUUUCUAUCACACAAAUUUUAUUUGGAAUUUUUCGAAUUUUUCUAGUAUUUGUUUUGAUUUUUUUCGUCGGCACAGGUGCAGAUGAGCUCAGGUGCAGAAAUGGAUUUUCGGUUUUAUUUGCACUAUUAUGCUAUUUUAUAUGAUUUUUGCGACUAACCUAUUAAACUAGAGCCCAGUGCCAGUUCCUGUUUUUUCCUUGUUUUAGAGUUUCACAGAAAAGGAAUACCAAACGGAGUCCAAACGGAAUGAAACUUUUGCGAUGAUGUUUCUUAGACCAGAAGACAUCUAGAGGACUUGGAGUGCACGUUAGGAAAGCCAUGAGGUGGCCACAAUGACGGAGGGCACGCCCCCACCCUUGUGGGCUCCUCGUGACUCUACCGACCUAUUUCGUCCGCAUAUAUAUUCUCAAAUAUUCCAAAACCUACUAGGAGAGCCACAAAAAAACUUUUCCACCGUCGCAACCUUCUGUACCCAUGAGUUCCCAUCUAGGGGCCUUUUCCGGCAUCCCGUCGGAGGGGGAUUCGAUCACGGAGGGCUUCUACAUCAACACCAUUGCCUCUCCGAUGAAGCGUGAGUAGUUUACCACAGACCUAUGAGUCCAUAGCUAGUAUCUAAACGGCUUCUUCUCUCUCUUUGAUUCUCAAUACCAUGUUCUCUUCGAUGUUCUUGGAGAUCUAUUCGUUGUAAUACUCUUUUUGCGGUGUGUUUGCCGAGAUCCGGUGAAUUGUGGAUAUAUGAUCAGGUUAUCUAUGAAUAUUAUUUGAAUCUCCUAUGAAUUCUUAUAUGCAUGAUUUGAUAUAUUUGCAAGUCUCUUCGAACUAUCGAUUUGGUUUGGCCAACUAGAUUGGUUUUUCUUGCAAUGGGAGAAGUGCUUAACUUUGGGUUCAAUCUUGCGGUGCUCGAUCCCAGUGACAGAAGGGGAUGAUACGUCUCCAACGUAUCUAUAAUUUUUGAUUGUUCCAUGCUAUUAUAUUAUCAACCUUGGAUGUUUUAUAUGCAUUUAUAUGCUAUUUUAUAUGAUUUUUGGGACUAACCUAUUAACCUAGAGCCCAGUGCCAGUGCCAGUUUCUGUUUUUUCCUUGUUUUAGGGUUUCAAAGAAAAGGAAUAUCAAACAGAGUCCAAACGGAAUGAAACCUUCGGAAAAGUUAUUUUUGGAAAGAAAGCAAUACGAGAGACUUGGAGUGCACGUCAGGGGAUCAACGAGGAAGCCACGAGGCAGGGGCACGCCCUCCACCCUCGUGGCUCCCCUAAUGUAUUUCUUCCGCCUAUAUAUAUCCAUAUACCCUAAAAUGAUCGGGGAGCACAAUAGAUCGGGAGUUCCGCCACCAGAAGCCUCCGUAGCCACCGAAAGCCAAUCUAGACCCGUUCCGGCACCCUGCCGGAGGAGGAAUCCCUCUUCGGUGUCCAUCUUCAUCAUCCCGGUGCUCUCCAUGACGAGGAGGGAGUAGUUCUCCCUCAGGGCUGAGGGUAUGUACCAGUAGCUAUGUGUUUGAUCUCUCUCUCUCUCUCUCUCUCUCUCUCUCGUGUUCUUGAGGUGAUACGAUCUUGAUGUAUCGCGAGCUUUGCUAUUAGAGUUGGAUCUUAUGUUUCUUCUCCCCCUCUACUCUCUUGUAAUGGAUUGAGUUUCCCCUUCGAAGUUAUCUUAUCGGAUUGAGUCUUUAAAGAUUUGAGAACACAUGAUGUAUGUCUUGCCGUGCGUAUCUGUGGUGACAAUGGGAUAUCACGUGAUUCAUUUGAUGUAUGUUUUGGUGAUCAAGUUGCGGGUUCCACCCAUGAACCUAUGCAUAGGGGUUGGCACACAUUUUCGUCAUGAUUCUCCGGCAGAAACUUUGGGGCACUCUUUGAGGUUCUAUGUGUUGGUUGAAUAGAUGAAUCUGAGAUUGUGUGAUGCAUAUCGGAUAAUCAUACCCACGGAUACUUGAGGUGACAAUGGAGUAUCUAGGUGACAUUAGGGUUUUGGUUGAUUUGUGUCUUAAGGUGUUAUUCUAGUACGAACUCUAGGGCUGUUUGUGACACUUAUAGGAAUAGCCCAAUGGAUUGAUUGGAAAGAAUAACUUGGAGGUGGUUUCGUACCCUACCAUAAUCUCUUCGUUCGUUCUCCGCUAUUAGUGACUUUGGAGUGAUUCUUUGUUGCAUGUUGAGGGAUAGUUAUGUGAUCCAAUUAUGUUAUUAUUGUUGAGAGAACUUGCACUAGUGAAAGUAUGAACCCUAGGUCUUGUUUCAACGCAUUGCAAUACCGUUUACGCUCACUUUUAUCAUUAGUUACCUUGCUGUUUUUAUAUUUUCAGAUUACAAAAACCUUUAUCUACCAUCCAUAUACCACUUGUAUCACCAUCUCUUCGCCGAACUAGUGCACCGAUACAAUUUACCAUUGUAUUGGGUGUGUUGGGGACACAAGAGACUCUUUGUUAUUUGGUUGCAGGGUUGGUUGAGAGAGACCAUCUUCAUCCUACGCCUCCUACAGAUUGAUAAACCUUGGGUCAUCCACUUGAGGAAAAUUUGCUACUGUCCUACAAACCUUUGCACUUGGAGGCCCAACAACGUCUACAAGAAGAAGGUUGUGUAGUAGACAUCAGGGGAACCGACACAUAUUGUAGUGUUUCCAUCGAGGAUAACAAGAUGGGGUUUUCGUCAUAUUGCUUGAGUUUAUCCCGCUACAUCAAGUCAUCUUACUUAAUGCGUUAUCCUGUUCUUAUGAACUUAGUACUCUAGGUGCAGGCAGGAGUCAGUGGACGUGUGGAGUAAUAGUAGUAGAUGCAAGCAGGAGUCCGUCUACUUGAUACAAACAUGAUGCUUAUGUUCAUGAUCAUUGCCUUAGAUAUCGUCAUAAGUUUGCACUUUUCUAUCAAUUGCUCAGCAGUAAUUUGUUCACCCACCGUAAGAUUUUCUAUCUUGAGAGAAGCCUCUAGUGAAACCUAUGGCCCCGGGGUCUACUUUCCAUCAUAUAAGUUUCUGAUCUACAAUUGUGUUGGUUGAAUAGAUGAAUCUGAGAUUGUGUGAUGCAUAUCGUAUAAUCAUACCCACGGAUACUUGAGGUGACAAUGGAGUACCUAGGUGACAUUAGUGUUUUGGUUGAUUUGUGUCUUAAGGUGUUAUUCUAGUACGAACUCUAGGGCUGUUUGUGACACUUAUAGGAAUAGCCCAACGGAUUGAUUGGAAAGAAUAACUUUGAGGUGGUUUCGUACCCUACCAUAAUCUCUUCGUUCGUUCUCCGCUAUUAAUGACUUUGGAGUGACUCUUUGUUGCAUGUUGAGGGAUAGUUAUGUGAUCCAAUUAUGUUAUUAUUGUUGAGAGAACUUGCACUAGUGAAAGUAUGAACCCUAGGCCUUGUUUCAACGCAUUACAAUACCGUUUACGCUCAGUUUUAUCAUUAGUUACCUUGCUGUUUUUAUAUUUUCAGAUUACAAAAACCUUUAUCUACCAUCCAUAUACCACUUGUAUCACCAUCUCUUCGCUGAACUAGUGCACCUAUACAAUUUACCAUUGUAUUGGGUGUGUUGGGGACACAAGAGACUCUUUGUUAUUUGGUUGCAGGGUUGCUUGAGAGAGACCAUCUUCAUCCUACACCUCCUACGGAUUGAUAAACCUUAGGUCAUCCACUUGAGGGAAAUUUGCUACUGUCCUACAAACCUCUGCACUUGGAGGCCCAACAACGUCUACAAGAAGAAGGUUGUGUAGUAGACAUCAGGGGAACCGACACAUAUUGUAUUGUUUCCAUCGAGGAUAACAAGAUGGGGUUUUCGUCAUAUUGCUUGAGUUUACCCCGCUACAUCAAGUCAUCUUACUUAAUGCGUUAUCCUGUUCUUAUGAACUUAAUACUCUAGAUGUAGGCAGGAGUCGGUGGACGUGUGGAGUAAUAGUAGUAGAUGCAAGCAGGAGUCAGUCUAGUUGAUACAAACGUGAUGCUUAUGUUCAUGAUCAUUGCCUUAGAUAUCGUCAUAACUUUGCGCUUUUAUAUCAAUUGCUCAACAGUAAUUUGUACACCCACUGUAAGAUUUUCUAUCUUGAGAGAAGCCUCUAGUGAAACUAUGGCCCCGGGGUCUACUUUCCAUCAUAUAAGUUUCCGAUCUACAAUUUUAGUUUCCUAUCACUUCCUUUGCAAUCUUUUACUUUCCAUUCCAUAAACCAAAAAUACCAAAAAUAUUACUUUACCGAUUAUCCAUCUCUAUCAGAUCUCACCUUGCAAAUAACCAUGAAGGAUUGACAACCCCUUUGUCGCAUUAGGUGUAAGUUGCUAUUUGUUUGAGCAUGUAUUCAGUGACUUGUGCAUUGUCUCCUACUGGAUUGAUACCUUGGUUCUCAAAACUGAGGGAAAUACUUACUCUACUUUGCUGCAUCACCCUUUCCACUUCAAGGGAAAAACCAACGCAAGCUCAAGAGGAAGUAGGAAGAAUUUCUGGCACCGUUGCCGGGGACAUCUACGCCAAGUCAAGACAUACCAAGUACCCAUCAUAAACUCUCAUCUCUUGCAUUAUAUUAUUUGCCAUUCGCCUCUCGUUUUCCUCUCCCCCACUUCUAAAAUGAUUUGCCUUUUCUUCGCCCUCUUCCAUUCAUCUUCUUCGCUUGCUUUUUGUGUGCUCAUGUGUUGGAUUGCUUGCUUUGUCACGAUGUCUCAAGAGAAUACCAAAUUGUGUGACUUUUCCAAUACCAACAACAAUGAUUUUAUUAGUACCCCGAUUGCUCCCGCUACUAAUGCGGAAUCUUGUGAAAUUAAUGCUGCUUUGCUGAGUCUUGUUAUGAAAGAUCAAUUUUCCGGCCUUCCCAAUGAAGAUGCCGCAUCCCAUCUAAACAAUUUCGUUGAUUUGUGUGAUAUGAAAAAGAAAAAAGAUAUGGAUAAUGAUAUUGUUAAAUUGAAGCUAUUUCCGUUGUCACUUCGAGAUCGUGCUAAAACUAGGUUUUCAUCUUUGCCUAAAAAUAGCGAGUGUCAUUUUUUAAUGCGAGUGAUUAGUUUUUAAAGAAUGAUUGGCAUUCUUUCUUAAUUGCUCAUCUACUAAUCGUUUGGCGUGUUUUCUUAUCUUGUCAAAAUCAUAUCCCCUGGCUGUAAAUAUCAAAGAAUAAUUUCAUUUGUUGGGCUUGGACUGUACUGUCCGAGAGUCAGAGUAUAAAUACCAUACGAUUUCAAGAGCAAUAGCAACGGGGCAACCAUUAGUCCAUACUCUACACCAUAUGGCUAGAAAUUUUAUAUUAUAUAUAACAAAGUUGUGACAAAUUGGAAAUGGAAAGCAAUAAAAUGAAUAUGUUGCUAUAGGUUAUUAUUAUUACACAUGCACGUGUACCUUGAUCCUUGCUUGGACAUAGGGUCCGAGGAAGUUACAUUGCUUUGACUACUGAUAUUGUUUGUGUUAAAGUGUGCCACAAUGGCAUAAAUAUUGUCGUUGCAUAAUGGGAAACCACGUCAUAUUUAUCGAUGAUAUGUGGAAAUAGGGAUAAGCUACUUUAUGAAGAUAUAUAAGGAUGUAUGGGUUACGUUGGUGGAAAAUGUUGUUAUGAACACAAAUGCAGUUGCAUUUAUCAUGCAUUCGCGGUGAAGUGCGCUAUUGUGGCAUAUAUCUUCCUUUUUGCCACAGAAGCAUGGUAGAAUUAUAAAGAGAGUAUGUUUCUAUAGACAUUUCAAAAAAGAGAUUUGUGUAUACUCUCAUUAUACUGUAAUCACCAUAGAUUAUUCAGAUUAGAAGUUGUUGUCUCUACCACAUAUUUAGAUUUUCUAUACAUACUAAUAUCUAUAUCGCAUAGAAAAUCAUGUAUUUAUAUGAGAUCUUUGUGGUGCAUGAUAAAGCAAGAUUCCUUUUGUUAUUGCAGCAAUUUAUAAGUAUUUAAAUAUAUACUAAUAGCUAGUUUCUUCUGUGUUAUAAGGACAAAAUAAGACAUGCAUAGACAUGCAAAUACGUAUUAGAAAUCUGCUACUCCAAAUGUAUCAUGUUAAUCCAUGUAAGCCACGAAUCGCGUGCAUAUCAGGCAAAGCAGUUUUUUUUGUAAAAACAAUACAUAAUACUAAUCGAUGGUAUAGACGAUUCAAUACAUAUGCAUCAAGACACCGCUACCUUGCACAUAGUGAUAUAGGAUGGAAUUGAAUCUGAUCCGCUCCUUUCCAACUUAAUCGAGUAAUGUGUACUUCUCAUAAAUAGGCAUGUAUAUAGUAAUUGUUCUUUUGACCAAACGCUUGGUAUAUUAAUGAUCACAUUAUACAUUUAUGUAACAUUUCUUACUUGCGAAAUCUUUUACAAAUUGGAAUAUGGGAAUUUUAUUAAUACCUAGAAGAAAUACUACUAUUUAGAACAUAUAAUAACUGGUACUAUACUUUUUCUUAAUAUUGGUACUAUACUUAAUUGGACCAAAAGUUGCACAUAUUUUUGAUUAGUUCAUUUUUUUCUACAGAUUUAUCGGCGCCAUUAUUUCUCUAUGGUUGACAUGUAUAUGAACUACUGUCUGUAUAUAUUGAUCUGCAUUUAGACAAAUAUCAGGGACAAACACACAUACUGUUUAGCAUGUGUAGUUGUAAAGGUAGAAUACUGAUUUGUAGUAUUAAGAAAAUAUAUUUAUAAGAUCUUACUACAAUGUAUAUGGAUUGAGAAUCAGAGAAAUAACCAAGUGUUGUGCAAGGAUCAUUCUGACUAUCCAGUGGCAGAAUAAAAAUAGGAUGCUAAGCGCGGGGAGAAUACUUAUGUCCUAUAAACCUGCAAAUAAGAAGCAUGCAUUCACCAUAUAUUAGAAUUCCAAAUUUUAUAGUUCCUUUGCAUGUUGGAAAUAAGCUUUGCCCCUUGUGAUAUGGAUUAUCACGUAGAAUGGAAAGAGGAGAAAAAAAUUAUGGCUUAGCAGAAUCAAUGAGGAAAAGCACUACAUGUGAAGUAUCAAAACGUUGUGAUAGCACGAACCCCACCAGAUUUGAACUCGUGCUCUUAGUAUGACAUGAAAAGAGGGGCUACUCUCCAAUCGAAGUGAAAAUAGUAGAACUUUGAACUUAUAUAUAUAUACGCUUAAAAAUUCUAAAAGCAAAUGGUCAAAAACUCAGAAUAGCUUGAGCGGGCACUACUUGCUAACUCAAGCACAUGGCAACACAGUAUUAAGUCAAGAUUUUGCAACCGAGAGGGAAAGUCAAAUAAAUAAAUAAAUAAAUAAGGAUUCUCAUCAAACCUGUGAAUCCAAGCUAGUAUCUAACUAUUGUAUUGCUCAUAGUUUUGCAUACACCAUGGAACGUACGAUACAUAGCAUGUUGAAAAAUUAUAACCAAUUAAAUAGAAGAUAAAGGCAUAGUGCUAGGAGAUCAUCUCUCAGAGCAAUCAUCGCUGACAUAAACCUUCGGUUAAAUCACAUGUCUAAUUAGAACCUAGAGGUCUUUUACUUUUCCUUUAUAUGGAACCUUUAUUUUGACCUUUGGGGACUAUAGCCGCCUCAAAUAUGCAACUUUUUUUCGAAAUUUUAGUAUAGUGUAGUUGGAGCUUUUCCUGGUGUUCCAUAAAAAUAGCAAAGGGCAUAUUUCCUUUAGCCUACUUAUAUAUAAAAAAACGGCGUUCCUUAAUUAUUAUUCAAACUGAAAACACAUGCUAUCUUUAAAAGCAAAGAUGUACCUUAUGUGAGAAUCAUGCAUGUGUUAUUUCUAAUUAGUUAGGCAAUAAAAUAAUAGCAUCGUAUCAUUAGAUAAAUUAUUUUUCAACUGAAUCAGACAUGUGGGGUUUGACAAAAUUGAAAGUAUAUGCGAAGAUGUUAAGGAGAAAAUGUCAAUAUAAAAAAACUGUUUCUAUAGGCAGAUGUGAAUUACGUACAAAAAUAGGUCUGUUCGCUUUACAAAAGUUCUGGUGAAACCAAACUCCUGAGUUACUACAUGUAGAGCUCAAAAAUACCAGAUAUAGAGUAUAAAAUGAGAAUGGAAUACUAAGUGCAUCUUACAGAAAUUAUAAGAUCUUUUUAAUAGCUUCCUCAAUAUUACAUAGCAUACACAACAAUGAGGCAUCAAAUGAAUCAGUAUUCUAAAUAUGUAAAGAAGAAUAAGAAACACAAAGUAGCUGCUGCUCGAGCAACUACUACAUGCAAAUACAAUGCUUGAGAAUUUUCAAGCGUUCUGUUCGCUUUUUACCCUGAUUCAGCAUGGAUUAAAAAACCACAGUACUUAAUUCCGUGUAUCCUAAAUUCAAGCGUCAUGUUCGACGAAUUUCACCAUAGAUUUACAUGCCUGUGGACUUGUAGAACCAACAGCGCACUCUACAACAUCCGACAGAUAAAUCGAUCUGCUUUCCGUUCGCUGUAGGUUGUUCAUUGGGAAGCAGCACGAUCCACUUUAGACCACCAUCAGUAGACCUGAUCCUACGCUGCAUCGCAUUGUUAUAUUGCAGUCAGCUCGGAACUUAUGUCAAGGAGAAUAGUUAGACGAUGGAUUUGAUAUUUGGCCUUUUUGAGAUCUGAAACGUGUGUGUACUUCGUAGCUGUCAGCAGGUGGAAGGCCGUCCUGACAAAGAGGCAUAUUGCAUCCUAAAUUCAAGCACCAUGUUCGAAAAAAAAUCAGUAUGGGUUUACUUGCCUGUGGACUUGUAGAACCAACAUCAAACCCGACAAAAUCGGACAGAUAAAUCGAUCUGCUUUCCGUUCGUAGUAGGUUCUCCAAUGGGCAGCAGCACGAUCCACUUUAGACCACCUGAUCCUACGCUGCAUCUUGCAGUCAGCUCCGAACUUAACCCAGAAGAAUAGUUAGACGAUGGAUUUGAUAGUUGGCCUUUUUUUAGAUCAGAAUUGUAGGUGCAGGGUGGCUCGGCGAUCCUGACAAAGAUGAGAUUGAUCGGGGUCGCUAAUAAUCCCUUGUAGCACCUGCCGGGAUCCUUUGUGGUUCGCCGAGUGCACUUGAUGGCGAUGGGAUCAAGGGAAGAGAAGAAUUGAAGGAGGUGGGGUCGAGGGACAUGUUUUUCCUAUUUUAGGGGGAGAUAUCUUUCCUUUCUGUUUUUGCGUGAUUGUUUUCGUUUUUCAAUCGGCCGAAGAUUUUAUUGACAGAUCUAUUUUCUUUUUCUUUUCAUCACGGGAUUUUACAUGAAAGGAGGCUAUCUUUUUUUAGCAUGGAAGGAAGAUAUCUUUUUUAAAGGAACCGAUGGAUGCUUUGUUUGUUUGUUAAGCCAAUCUUGACGGUGUCGCGUUCCUUUAUUUUUUACGGGGCCAUAUAUGCUACCAUUGAUUGCAAUUAGUUUUUUUCUCUUGGAGAUGGAUUAUUUGUUUGUUGAACGUGUCUGCCUUAAUUAUGGAUGGACCAUCUGUGUAACGCAUGUUUACUUUUUAUCUUGGACGUUAAUUCUAUAAUCUAUCGGUGUAAUUAAUUUUGAUGAUGUGGAUUAAUGAGAAGGCCUUAAAAGGUGCCUCCAAUUAGUAAAUAUAUAAGAUAUAAGAUAUUGAUUCAUGGAAUAAGUUUAAGGAUGAAUUUAUUUCCAAGUAUUUUCCUCCCGCUAAGAUCAUCUCUCUUAGGAACGACAUUAUGAAUUUUAACCAACUUGAUCAUGAACAUGUUGCACAAUCUCCGUAGAGGAUGAAAUUGAUGAUAUGAAAUUGCCCUACACAUGGUUUGAAUAUGUGGAUGAUUAUACAAUUUUUUAUGCCGGAUUGAAUUUUGCUUCUAGAAAUCUUUUAGAUUCGGCCGUGGGAGGUACUUUUAUGGAAAUUACUUUAGGAGAAGCUACUAAACUCCUAGAUAAUAUUACGGUUAAUUAUUCUCAAUGGUAUACUGAAAGAUCUUCCACUAGUAAAAAAGUGCAUGCGAUUGAUGAGUUUAAUGUUUUGAGUGGAAAGAUGGAUGACCUUAUGAAAUUAUAUGCUAGCAAGAGUGCUUCUGUUGAUCCUAAUGAUAUGCCUUUGUCUACUUUGAUUGAGAAUAAUAAUGAAUCUAUGUAUGUGAAUUUUGUUGGUAGGAACAAUUUUGGUAAUAACGCUUAUGGAGGUAAUUUUAAUCCUAGACUGCUUCCUAAUAAUUCCCCUAAUAAUUAUGGCAAUUCCUACAACAAUUCUUCACUGGUAGAAAAAGGGCCUGUAGUCCCGGUUCGUAAGGGCCUUUAGUCCCGGUUCCUGAACCGGGACUAAAGUGUCGGUACUAAUACCUCCCACCUUUAGUCCCGGUUCAAUCCAGAACCGGGACUAAAGCCCAUCCACGUGGGCAGUGUGCAGAGCCCAGUCAGGAGACCCUUUGGUCCCGGUUGGUGGCACCAACCGGGACCAAUAGGCAUCCACGCGUCAGCAUUUCUGUGNNNNNNNNNNNNNNNNNNNNNNNNNNNNNNNNNNNNNNNNNNNNNNNNNNNNNNNNNNNNNNNNNNNNNNNNNNNNNNNNNNNNNNNNNNNNNNNNNNNNNNNNNNNNNNNNNNNNNNNNNNNNNNNNNNNNNNNNNNNNNNNNNNNNNNNNNCCGGUUCAAUCCAGAACCGGGACUAAAGCCCAUCCACGUGGGCAGUGCGCAGAGCCCAGUCAGGAGACCCUUUGGUCCCGGUUGGUGGCACCAACCGGGACCAAUAGGCAUCCACGCGUCAGCAUUUCUGUGGCUAGGGUUUUUAUUUUUAUUUUUUGAAAGGGGGGGGGGGUUGGGGGUUUUGGGGGGUUAAUUUAGGUGUUUCAUAUAUUGUGUUAGCUAGCUAUAAUUAAUAUAGAGAAGUGUCCUCUCUUAUGUCCGUGCUUGGUCGACGCUACGUACUAUACAUACGUAUAGAGAGGACUAGACACGCUGGCUAGCUAGUAAAGCAAACGAAGGAAACAGAAGAUCGUCAUGAACAUAUAUGCAUACAGAGAGAAGUGAUAUCGACCACCUCUCCUUCUCCGAGAGAUUGGUCGAACAACAAGUUCUCGUAUAUCUAUCUGACAGUACCGGCUACAUAUAUACAGUAAUUAUCUCUUACAAAUAUAAUCAUACGGACUCAGGUUUAACAUAGAAUUCUCCGUCUUCAGGGAUCACGUGGUCAAAAAAGAAUGCCGCCAAUUCCUCUUGAAUUGCUCGCAUGCGAGCUGGUGCUAGGAGUUCAUCCCGCUUCCGAAACAUCUAAUUUGAAGAAGGGGGUCAAUACAUAUAUAUAUAUAUAUGAAUGAAUGAAACUCAACACAAAUGAUGGUAAUAAAAUAAAAUUGUGAAUAUUGUUAUUUACGUACUUCAUAUUGUUCGUUAGAGUACCCGCCCCGCUCACACGUCGUGUGACGGAUGGACUCGCAGAUGUAGUAUCCACAGAAAUCAUUCCCUUGUUCCUGCCACAACCACUUUACAAGAAAUAGAGGUCAAUCAAACUGAUAAGCAAGAAUGCUAAAUGGUAUUGAUGAAACUAGCGCUUGAAUCACUAGGAGAUGCGCGGAACAUGCUACUAUAGUACUUACUUUCGGGUGUCUAAAUUCUAGCUCCUUCGGCAGUCCCGGAACUUUUUUGGUGAAUUUUCUCCAAACCAUGCCGGACAAAGAAAACAAUUACUUGAUAUCAGGAAAUGAACAAAGUUGCUGAUAUGGUGGAUAAUGAUCGAUUUAACUUACUUCUUGAGGAUUUCAGUCAUGUCUGCAUAGUCCUGCGGAUCUUUUCGUUUUGAGUCUAAGAAGGUUACUAGUCCCUGCUCAAGCUUAAUCUCUAGGAGAAUAUAGUGGAAACUGCACACGCAUGCAUAACUUAUGAAUUACAUUACUAUAACCUUGAGUAAUAUAUAAGGGAAACCGAAUACGCACAAGACAGUAGCACUCACUUGAAGUUGUAAGGAAAGAGUAUUAUAUCUUUGUUUUGAUUUAUUACGAACGAUUGUAGAAAGUUGGCCUCGGUAGCUGUGACAUGAAGUUUAACCUGAAUUGCAUCUAUGAGAUAUGUGUUAAUGAACCCAAUAUCACCGACUUGUCUUUUCUUCAAUUCGACGAUCUUCAAUCUGCAUAAUAUAGUGAGGAUGAUUAUAAAUACAUGCAAUGAAAGAGCUAAGCUAUAUAGAGAAACUUAAUGACAGAAGUAGUACUACUUACAGACAGUAGCAGGCGACCGUUGUUUUAUCGAGGGCCAAUUGAUUGAAAAACUGAUAGAACUCCUCAAAUGGAACAGGCAACAGAUCAAUUCCAACGAGGUCAUGCUCCUUUUUAACUCUCACAUACAAAGUACUCCUCCCCCAGAGUCUCUGCAGAUUUUCAAGUACCAAUCAUGCAAUCUUCGCAUCAUCGUUGAUAGAGAUCUUUCAUCUUUGACGAGAGGCUUCCCGUACUCGUAUCUUUGCAUCUGCAUGUCCAUGGGUUCAUAAUGUACUUCGUCGGGUAGGUAAUCUGCAAGAUUAUUAUAACCGGGCACCAUCCUCGGAUCAUUAGCGACUUUGUGGCUAGGCACCUUGAGCGAGGGGCAUGAUUGCUUCGCUUGUUUGCCGAGCUGGGCAAUUUGUUUCCCAGCUCGUCGUUUUUUCAGCCUUUCAUCACUGACAGUAGUUCCCGACCGCUCCGCUUCGGCAAAUUCCUUUCCAAUAAUGCGGUCAUAGUUUCCUUUCGGCGGAUCAGACUUUGGUGGUUUUGUCAGGGCAGCCAGAGUGCGCUUCACUUUCACCCCAUCUACCUUCUCCUCUGGAGGUGGAUGUUUCUUUGCUUUCACCCCUUCAAAGAAUUUCCUCACUUCUUCUCACGCGAUCUCGGCGUUCUCCUCCUGGGUCCUCUCGUAUGGUAACUUCUCUGGAGUCUUCAGAGAAGGACCGAAUCUGUAUGUCCUCCCGCCUCUGGUUGUACUGCUAGACGCCGACCGAGCAAACGAAGCGGUUGUCUUCUUUACUUGCUUAAGAGGCGGAGGAGAAGGACUACGACCCGCCGGAGCAGCUGGAGCGGCGGCAGGUCUCUUCUGCCCUUGCUGACGAGGCGGAGAAGGAGGAGGUUGGCUGCUCGGGCGCGUCGGCGCAGGCGGAGACGGAGGCGGAGUGCCGCCACGCGCCGGAGAAGGAGCCGGCCGAGGGCCCUGAUCCUCACUCGCCGGAGGAGGAGGUGGUGGAGGAGGCGGAGUGCCCUGACUCGCCGGAGGAGGAGGAGGAGGCGGAGGCGUCCAGUUCGGAAGGUUGAUGAGGUCCUUCCGCCAUAGGCAUGGAGUCUUCAGAGCAGACCCCAGCCGAGUCUCCCCUUCACCGGUAGGGUGGUCAAGCUGGAGGUCCUCAAAUCCCUCCGUUAUCUCAUCCACCAUCACCCUAGCAUAUCCUUCUGGAAUCGGCAUGCAGUGAAAAGUUGCGCCGGGUUCAGUAGGAUAAACAGAGCCAACAGCCGCCUUGACCUUCAAAUUCAUCCAUUGCGUCAUAAGGUGGCAAUUUUGAGACUCCGUUAUAGCAUCCACAGGAUAGCUGGCAGGAGCCGUCAAGGCAUGCUGCAGCUGAAGCUGCUCGGUGGAAGCCACGCUGCUUCUGCGCUGAGAUGGCGGGGUAGCUUCGGGGGAGGCUUCGGCAGUACGUUUGUUGCGAUUUGCUUCUCGUUCCUCUAUCGCUUGUACCCUUGCGUGCAGCGCCUGCAGUUCGGUCUGCUGCACUUUUUUCCUCCUCUCAUGGGAUUUGUAACCGCCUGCGUCCGGAAACCCAACCUUCCACGGAACGGAGCCUGGCGUGCCUCGUGUCCGUCCAGGGUGCUCAGGAUUCCCGAGGGCCAUUGUGAGCUCGUUGUGCUCUCUGUCUGGAAAGAACGUCCCUUCCUGCGCUGCGUCGAUAUAGUGCUUAAGCUUACUGACUGGUAUGUCCAUUUGUUCGUUCGUCCAAAUGCAGUUCCCUAUUUCAGGGUCCAAGGUUCCGCCACCCCCGAAGAACCAAGUCCGGCAACGGUCUGGCCAGUUAUUUGUCUCUGGUCCGAUCCCUUUAUGAACCAGAUCAUUCUCAACCAUGGACCACUUAGGCCGGGCUACGAGGUAGCCACCUGACCCCGUGCGAUGGUGAAGCUUCUUCUUCGCGGCAUUCUGCUUGUUUGUCGCCGACAUCUUCUUACUCUUUUCCGAUGUCUUGUAGGCCACAAAUGCGGGCCAGUGAUCUCUGAUCUUCUCAUAUCUUCCCUUGAAUUCUGGUGUCUCUUUUUUAUCGACAAACCUAUUCAGCUCUUUCUUCCACCUCCUGAAUAGAUCUGCCAUCCUCUUCAGAGAAAAAGACUUGAUUAAUUUCUCUUUAAUUGGGUUCUCUGGAUUAUCCUCUGGCGGUAGGGUGAAAUUUGACUUCAGCUCAGUCCAAAGAUCAUUUUUCUGCAUAUCAUUGACAUAAGACACCUCAGGGUCUUCUGUAGCCGGCUUAAACCAUUGCUGGAUGCUUAUCGGGAUCUUGUCCCUAACCAGAACCCCGCACUGAGCAACAAAUGCCCUCUUUGUCCGGAGGGGUUCAAUAGGUUGGCCGUCGGGCGCGAUUGCUGUGAUCUCAAGCUUUUCAUCCGAGCUCAACUUUUUCUUCGGGCCUCGUCUCUUUACCGAAGUUGUGCUCGAUCCGGAGGGCUAGAAAAAAGAACAAAGACUUAAUUAAUAUGUGUACAUACCAAAACAAUGAAUGCAUCAAUCAGCUAGUCAGCAUAGGCUUAACUAAUAUAUAUACCUGGCCGGACUCGGUUCGGUCACCGGAGCCGUCAUCACGGUCUCCUUCUUGCACCGGCAUUGGGUCACCGGCGCCGUCCUCAUGUUCUUCUUCUUGCACCGGCAUUAGGUCACCGUAGCCAGCUUGUUCACCCUCUCCUUCCGGACCAUCGAUGAUAUCGUUGAGAUAGUACGAGACGGCAUCACUUCCUUGUGCGAUUAUCUCCCUCAACAACGCUUCUUUUGUUGCUUCGUCUAGGGCGGUGUCCAUAGUUUCUACAAAUAUUUACAACAUGGCAAUUAUUAUUCAAACAUGACAGAUGGAUAUAUUAGUGCCAAACGUAGAACUACCUACCUAAUCAUAGUAAGCUAUCGGGAGGGGGUAUAUAUCGACAACGACGACACUACAUCUAUAUAUGUCCCUCGAUGACCCUCGUUCCUGAUAAAAAAAGAGGAAGAAGAAGAAAAAAAAGAGGAGAAGAAAGAAUAGAGGAGAAGAACUCCUCUAUUCUUUCUUCUCCUCUUUUUUCUUCUUCUUCCUCUUCUUUUUUUAUCCUCUUCUUCCUCUCAUGUUCGAGAGGAUCGCCUUGGGGUCGGGAGGUUGCCUAGUGUCAAAGGAUUCAACAAAACCAUGUCUUCAUCAUUAGGCGAAAGUAACAUGUGCAUGAUGGUAGGAAGCUCUUCAAAGUUGUUCUGGAACGGAGUCCCAGAUAGGAUAAUUCGCUUUUUGGUACAAAGUUCAGCAAGAGCCUUCCGAAUAUCGCUAUUUGGAAGGCCUUUGCUGAAUUCGUACCAAAAGGCGGAUUAUUCUAUCCGGGACUCCAUUCCAGAACAACUUUGCAGAACUUCAUACCAACAUGCCCUGGUUACUUCCGGCUAAUGAUGAAGGCAUGGAUUUCUUCAAUACUUUGACACUAGGAAACCUCUCUCGACCCCUCGGCGAUUCUUGACCCCUCGAACCCUCAACGACCCUGAAACCCUCGACGCUUGACCCCUUAACGACCCUCGACCCUCUACCCUAGUUCCCGACCCUCGACCAAUAGAGGAGAAGAAGAAAGGAAUAGCUAGAGGAGAAGAUCGAAGAAAAAAAAGAAGAAACAAAAGAGGAGAAGAAGAAAGGAAUAGUGGAGAAGAAGAGAAAAUAGAAUAUAUAUUCUAUUUUCUCUUCUUCUCCACUAUUCCUUUCUUCUUCUCCUCUUCUUUUUCUUCUGUUUUCUUCUUCUUAUUUAUUUCUCCUCUUCUUUUCGGUAGAGGAAACCCUAAAUAGCUAGCAAGUAUCGUGGGUGUGAGAUACAUGUGGCCUUCGGUGUCGGACACUACAUCCACGUCCCACAAGUGACGUGGGCGUCGAAACCCGCGCCACUUGUGGGAUGUGGAUGUAGUGUCCGACACCGACGGUACAUGUAUCUCACACCGACGAUACUUUCUAUUUAGGGUUUCUCCUCUACCACUCGGCGGCCCUCUCGACGACCCUCGUUCCCGAUAAUAUAAAGAGGAAGAAGAAGAAGAAAAAAGAAGAGAAGAAAGAAUAGAGGAGACGAACCCUCGAACCCUCGAACCCUAGACGACCCUCUUCUUCCUCUCAUGUUCGAGAGGAUCGCCGAGGGGUCGGGAGGUUGCCUAGUGUCAAAGGAAACCCUAAAUAGCUAGCAAGUGUCAUGGGUGUGAGAUACAUGUGGCCUUCGGUGUCGGACACUACAUCCACGUCCCACAAGUGACGUGGGCGUCGAAGCCCGCGCCACUUGUGGGAUGUGGAUGUAAUGUCCGACACCGACGGUACAUGUAUCUCACACCGACGAUACUUUCUAUUUAGGGUUUCUCCUCUACCACUCGGCGGCCCUCUCGACGACCCUCGUUCCCGAUAAAAUAAAGAGGAAGAAGAAGAAGAAAAAAGAAGAGAAGAAAGAAUAGAGGAGAAGUCUCCUCUAUUCUUUCCUCGCCUCUCUCAUGAAUGUCCGGCGUUCUCGACCCCCCCCCCUCCCCACGUGUCGAAGAAAAAAAAGAAGAAAAAAAAGAGGAGAAGAAGAAAGGAAUAGAGGAGAAAAGAGAAAAAUAGAAUAUUCNNNNNNNNNNNNNNNNNNNNNNNNNNNNNNNNNNNNNNNNNNNNNNNNNNNNNNNNNNNNNNNNNNNNNNNNNNNNNNNNNNNNNNNNNNNNNNNNNNNNNNNNNNNNNNNNNNNNNNNNNNNNNNNNNNNNNNNNNNNNNNNNNNNNNNNNNNNNNNNNNNNNNNNNNNNNNNNNNNNNNNNNNNNNNNNNNNNNNNNNNNNNNNNNNNNNNNNNNNNNNNNNNNNNNNNNNNNNNNNNNNNNNNNNNNNNNNNNNNNNNNNNNNNNNNNNNNNNNNNNNNNNNNNNNNNNNNNNNNNNNNNNNNNNNNNNNNNNNNNNNNNNNNNNNNNNNNNNNNNNNNNNNNNNNNNNNNNNNNNNNNNNNNNNNNNNNNNNNNNNNNNNNNNNNNNNNNNNNNNNNNNNNNNNNNNNNNNNNNNNNNNNNNNNNNNNNNNNNNNNNNNNNNNNNNNNNNNNNNNNNNNNNNNNNNNNNNNNNNNNNNNNNNNNNNNNNNNNNNNNNNNNNNNNNNNNNNNNNNNNNNNNNNNNNNNNNNNNNNNNNNNNNNNNNNNNNNNNNNNNNNNNNNNNNNNNNNNNNNNNNNNNNNNNNNNNNNNNNNNNNNNNNNNNNNNNNNNNNNNNNNNNNNNNNNNNNNNNNNNNNNNNNNNNNNNNNNNNNNNNNNNNNNNNNNNNNNNNNNNNNNNNNNNNNNNNNNNNNGGGACUAAAGGGGGGCAAUGGUCACGGUUGGUGCCACGAACCGUGACCAAUGCCACCUUUAGUCCCGGUUGGUGCCACCAACCGGGACCAAUGCCCUUGUGCGCCCCGCGCCCAGAAGUUUAGUCCCACAUCGCUAGCUGAAGGGCGCCGAUACUGGUUUAUAAGCGCUGCUCUGCCUCCCCUUUCGAGCUCCUCUCAAAUGCAGGCUUUCGGGCCUAAACUGCUACUGCCUGUGGGCCUAUUGGGCCUCUGCGGGCCUGAAUCCUGGCCCAUGUAGGGUUUCUAGUCGUAUUCAGGCCGUGGAGGCCCAGUAGGAGGCAUUUUUUUUGGUUUUUUCUUUUUUGUUUCUAUAUUUUUUUGGUUUUUUAUUUUUUUUAUUUCUACUUACAACUAAAUACUUACAGUUUUUUAGUGAUUUCUUUUUGCUUUUAGGUCACAAAAAUUAUAAACUUUCUAUUAGUGCCAUUAGUUUUAAAUUUUAAAUAGUUUAAAUUUGAAUUUUUAAAAAUUUGUGUGAAUCACUAGUUUAUGAAUAACUUUACUAUAAAGUUAGAAUUUGUUUUCUAUUUAUUUUUUAUUUCUACUUACAACUAAAUACUUACAGUUUUUUAGUGAUUUGUUUUUGCUUUUAGGUCACAAAAAUUAUAAACUUUCUGUUAGUGCCUUUAGUUUUAAAUUUUAAAUAGUUUAAAUUUGAAUUUUUAAAAAUUUGUGUGAAUCACUAGUUUAUGAAUUUUUUUCUUCUUUGCUAUUUAUUUUUGAUUUAUACUUACAAUUAAAUACUUAUAGUUUGCUUUUAGGUCACACAAAUUAUAUUCUUUUUGCUAUUGAAGAAUAUUAUAGUUUUAUUUUAGUUGAUCAUAACAUAAUAUUUUAAUUGAUUGUUUUUAUUUUCAUAAAAGUUUUGUAGUUCAUUCUGUUUGCUAUUAAUUCAUUCUUUGAGCUAAAUGACUCUGAAAUUGGAAAGCAUUUCAAAAUGAACUCUGAAAAGGUUGAAAGUUGGCAUGGUAUCAUCAUUUCACCCACAUAGCAUGUUCCAAAAAGUAGAGAGGGUUACGACAAAAACUUGAUGCACUUCGUGUACAAAAUGGACAAUCACUUUCGAAGUAUCAAAGUUUCAAACCAUAAGACAUGAAAGCAUUUCGAAUGAACUCUGAAAAAGUUGAAAGUUGGGAUGCAUGGUAUCAUAAUUUCACCCACAUAGCAUUUUCUUAUUGCGGGAGAAAGUCUUCACUUUUUCUUCGCUUGUGUCAUUUGCUUAUUGCGCCGUAACCAUGGAUAAUCUUCAUUGUUUUUAAGGAUGCUUGGGUCAGCCUUGACAUUGAAGGGAGGAAUUUCAUGAAACUUUUCAUAAUCUUCAGACAUGUCUGUCUUGCCGUCCACUCCCAGGAUGUCCCUUUUUCCUGAAAGAACUAUGUGGCGCUUUGGCUCAUCGUAUGAUGUAUUCGCUUCCUUAUCUUUUCUUUUUCUCGGUUUAGUAGACAUGUCCUUCACAUAGAUAACCUGUGCCACAUCAUUGGCUAGGACGAACGGUUCGUCAGUGUACCCAAGAUUUUUCAGAUCCACUGUUGUCAUUCCGUACUGUGGGUCUACUUGUACCCCACCGCCAAACAGAAUGACCCAUUUGCACUUAAACAAAGGGACCUUAAAAUCAGGUCCGUAGUCAAGUUCCCAUAUGUCCACUAUGUAACCAUAAUAUGUGUCCUUUCCUCUCUCGGUUGCUGCAUCAAAGCGGACACCGCUGUUUUGGUUGGUGCUCUUUUGAUCUUGGGCGAUCGUGUAAAAUGUAUUCCCAUUUAUCUCGUAUCCUUUGUAAGUCAAUACAGUCAAAGAUGGUCCCCUGGACAACAAGUACAACUCAUCACAAACAGUGUUGUCACCUCUGAGACGUGUUUCCAACCAACUCCUGAAAGUCCUGAUGUGUUCACAUGUAAUCCAGUCGUCGCAUUGCUCCGGGUGUUUGGAGCGCAGACUGUUCUUGUGUUCAUCGACAUACGGGGUCCCCAAGGUAGAGUUCUGUAGAACUGUGUAGUGUGCUUGAGACCAAGAAUAUCCGUCCCUGCAUAUUAUUGAGUCUCUUCCAAGAGUGCCUUUUCCAGUCAGUCUCCCCUCAUACCGCGAUUUAGGGAGACCUAUCUUGUUAAGGCCAGGAAUGAAGUCAACACAAAACCCGAUAACAUCCUCUGUUUGAUGGCCCAUGGAGAUGCUUCCUUCUGGCCUAGCGCGGUUACGGACAUAUUUCUUUAGGACUCCCAUGAACCUCUCAAAGGGGAACAUAUUGUGUAGAAAUACGGGCCCCAGGAUGACAAUCUCGUCGACUAGAUGAACUAGGACGUGCGUCAUGAUAUUGAAGAAGGAUUGUGGGAACACCAGCUCGAAACUGACAAGACAUUGCGCCACAUCACUCCUUAGCCUUGGUACCAUUUCUGGAUCGAUCACCUUCUAAGAGAUUGCAUUGAGGAAUGCACAUAGCUUCACAAUGGCUAAUCGGACGUUUUCCGGUAAAAGCCCCCUCAAUGCAACCAGAAGCAGUUGCGUCAUAAUCACGUGGCAGUCAUGAGACUUUAGGUUCUGAAACUUUUUCUCUGGCAUAUUUAUUAUUCCCUUUAUAUUCGAUGAGAAGCCAGUCAUGACCUUCAUACUAAGCAGGCAUUCAAAGAAGAUUUCUUUCUCUUCUUUCGUAAGAGUGUAGCUGGCAGGACCUUUAUACUGCUUCGGAGGCAUGUCAUCUUUUUUGUGCAAACGUUGCAGGUCCUCCCAUGCCUCCGGCGUAUCUUUUGUCUUCCCAUACACGCCCAAGAAGCCUAGCAGGUUCACGCAAAGGUUCUUCGUCACGUGCAUCACGUUGAUUGAGGAGCGGACCUCUAGGUCUUUCCAGUAGGGUAGGUCCCAAAAUAUAGAUUUCUUCUUCCACAUGGGUGUGUGUCCCUCAGCGUCAUUCGGAACAGCUAGUCCACCGGGACCCUUUCCAAAGAUGACGUAGGGUAAAUCAUUGACCAUAGCAAGCACGUGAUCACCGGUGCGCAUGGCGGGCUUCUUUCGGUGAUCUGCCUCGCCUUUGAAAUGCUUGCCUUUCUUUCGACAUUGAUGGUUGGUCGGAAGAAAUCGACGAUGGCCCAGGUGCACAUUCUUCCUGCAUUUGUCCAGGUAUAUACUUUCAGUGUCAUCUAAACAGUGCGUGCAUGCGUGGUAUCCUUUGUUUGUCUGUCCUGAAAGGUUACUGAGAGCGGGCCAAUCGUUGAUGGUCACGAACAGCAACGCCUUAAGGUUAAAUUCCUCCUGUCUGUGCUCAUCCCACGUACGUACACCAUUUUCAUUCCACAGCUGUAAAAGUUCUUCAACUAAUGGACUUAGGUACACAUCAAUUUCGUUGCCGGGUUGCUUAGGGCCUUGGAUGAGAACUGGCAUCAUAAUGAACUUCCGCUUCAUGCACAUCCAAGGAGGAAGGUUAUACAUACAUAGAGUCGCGGGCCAGGUGCUGUGAUUACUGCUCUGCUCCCCGAAAGGAUUAAUGCCAUCCGCGCUUAAAGCAAACCAUACAUUCCUAGGGUCCUUUGCAAACUCAUCCCAGUACUUUCUCUCGAUUUUUCUCCACUGCGACCCGUCAGCGGGUGCUCUCAACUUCCCAUCUUUCUUUCGUUUCUCACUGUGCCAUCGCAUCAACUUGGCAUGCUCUUCGUUUCUGAACAGACGUUUCAACCGUGGUAUUAUAGGAGCAUACCACAUCACCUUUGCAGGGACCCUCUUCCUGAGGGGCUCGCCGUCAACAUCACCGGGGUCAUCUCGUCUGAUCUUAUACCGCAACGCACCGCAUACCGGGCAUGCGUUCAGAUCCUUGUAUGCACCGCGGUAGAGGAUGCAGUCAUUAGGGCAUGCAUGUAUCUUCUCCACCUCCAAUCCUAGAGGGCAUACGACCUUCUUUGCUGCGUAUGUACUGUCGGGCAAUUCGUUAUCCUUUGGAAGCUUCUUCUUCAAUAUUUUCAGUAGCUUCUCAAAUCCUUUGUCAGCCACAGCAUUCUCUGCCUUCCACUGCAGCAAUUCUAGUACGGUACUGAGCUUUGUGUUGCCAUCUUCGCAAUUGGGGUAUAACCCUUUUUUGUGAUCCUCUAACAUGCGAUCGAACUUCAGCUUCUCCUUUUGACUAAUGCAUUGCGUCCUUGCAUCGACAAUGACCCGGCGGAGAUCAUCAUCAUCGGGCACAUCGUCUGGUUCCUCUUGAUCUUCAGCAGCUUCACCUGUGGCAGCAUCAUUGGGCACAUCAUCAUCUGGUUCCUCUUGAUCUUCACCAGCUCCCCCCGUUGCAGCAUCACCGUAUUCAGGGGGCACAUAGUUGUCAUCGUACUCUUCUUCUUCGCCGUCUUCCAUCAUAACCCCUAUUUCUCCGUGCCUCGUCCAAACAUUAUAGUGUGGCAUGAAACCCUUGUAAAGCAGGUGGGAGUGAAGGAUUUUCCGGUUAGAGUAAGACCUCGUAUUCCCACAUUCAGUGCAUGGACAACACAUAAAACCAUUCUGCUUGUUUUCCUCAGCCGCAUCGAGAAACUCAUGCACACCCUUAAUGUACUCGCGGGUGUGUCUGUCACCGUACAUCCAUUGCCGGUUCAUCUGCGUGCAUUAUAUAUAAUUAAGUGUCCAAAUUAAUAGAAGUUCAUCAUCACAUUAAAACCAAAGUGCAUACAUAGUUCUCAUCUAACAACAUAUAGCUCUCCAGAGCAUCUAAUUAAUUAAACCAUACAUUGAAACUAUGUAAAACAUUUCAAUGCGAAAACAAAUGCGAUCAUAAUCGCAACCAAGGUAACAAUUGAUCCAACGGCAUAAUGAUACCAAGCCUCGGUAUGAAUGGCAUAUUUUCUAAUCUUUCUAAUCUUCAAGCGCAUUGCAUCCAUCUUGAUCUUGUGAUCAUCGACGACAUCCGCAACAUGCAACUCCAAUAUCAUCUUCUCCUCCUCAAUUUUUUUUAUUUUUUCCUUCAACAAAUUGUUUUCUUCUUCAACUAAAUUUAACCUCUCGACAAUAGGGUCGGUUGGCAUUUCCGAUUCACAUACAUCCUAGAUAAAUAAAAUCUAUGUCACGUUGGUCAGCAUAAUUUUCAUAAACAAUAAAUGAACCAAUAGUUAUAAAGAUAAUAUACAUACCACAUCCGAAUCAUAGACAGGACGAGGGCCGACGGGGGCGGAUACCAAAACCAUCGCACUAUAUAAGAUGCAAUAAUAAAUGUAAGAAAAUGAUACAAGUAUCUAUCUAAACAUACAAGUAAGAAUAUUUUUCCUUUCAGAAAGAAGAUAAGAACAAGAGGCUCACCACGGUGGUGUCGGUGAUGAGAUCGGCGCGGGUGAUCGACGGCAGUGAAGACGGGGACGGGGCGUGACGGACCGCUAAAUCUAGACAAAUCUCGAGGAAAAUGGAGCUUGGAGGUCGAGCUUCGAGAGGAGAAAGCUUAAGUAGUGUGGCUCGGGCAUUCCAUCGAACACCUCAUGUGCAUAGGAGGUGAGCUAGAGCACCACAAAGCCCUCUCCCCCUCGGCCAGAGAAAACAGAGCACUGGGGUGCUCUGCUCACGAGCGAGGGGUAUAUAUAGGCACCUCAUUGGUCCCGGUUGGUGGCAUGAGCCGGGACUAAAGGGAAGCCUUUGGUCCCGGUUCGGGCCACCAACCGGGACCAAUGAUGGUGGGCCAGGAGGGAGGCCCAUUGGUCCCGGUUCGUCCCACCAACCGGGACCAAAAGGUCCAUACGAACCAGGACCAAUGGCCCACGUGGCCCGGCCGGCCCCCUGGGCUCACGAACCGGGACCAAUUCCCACAUUGGUCCCGGUUCAAGACUGAACCGGGACUAAUGGGCUGAGGCGGCCUGGACCAUAGCCCCUUUUUCUACUAGUGCUUAUGGAAAUUAUAAUAAGAUGCCCUCUAAUUUUGAGAAUAGUGUUAAAUAAUUUAUGAGUUCGCAAAAGAAUUUCAAUGCUUUGAUUGAAGAAAAAUUGCUUAAGAUUGGUGAUUUGGCUAGGAACGUGGAUAGAACUACCCUUGAUGUCGAUUCUUUGAAACUUAGAUCUAUUUCACAUAAGCAUGAUAUCAAUGAGUCUCUCAAGGCUAUGAGAAUUCCCAUUGAUGAGUGCAAGGAAAGAACCGCUAAGAUGCGUGCUAAAAAAGAUUGGUUUAUAAAAGCGUGUUCUUCUAGCUAGUUUCCGUGAAAAUAAUGAUGAAGAUCUUAAAGUGAUUGAUGUGACUCCUAUUGAAUUUUUGUUUUCCAAUAUAAAUCUUGAGAAAGAUGGGACUGGAUAUGAGUCAACUUUAGUUAGAAGGCGUCCCAAUGAUUCGGAGUUUUUAGAUAUUAAUGCAAAAAUUGAUAAAAGUGGGAUUGGAGAGGUUAAAACUUUAGGUAGUAAUGAACCCACUCUUUUGGAUUUCAAGGAAUUUAAUUAUAAUAAUUUCUCUUUAAUAGAUUGUAUUUCCUUGUUGCAAUCCAUGUUGAAUUUUCCUCAUGCUUAUAAUCAAAACAAAGCUUUUACUAAACAUAUCAUUGAUGCUAUGAUGCAAUCCUUUGAAGAAAAGCUUGAAUUGGAAGUUUCUAUUCCUACACUAGUAGACAAAGGGUCAAACAUGAAGCACAUUAGUGCCGGUUUGAAUUUGAGCCGGCACUAAUGUGUGCAUUAGUGCCGGUUCCAACGGCUAGCCGGCCGCUCUCAUUAGUACCGGUUCAUGGCGAACCUUUAGCACCGGUUCGUGCCACGAACCGGUACUAAAGUGAGUGGUGGCAGGAUGUUGUCACUCCGGGGCCCCUCCAGCACCUUUAGUACCGGGUCGUAUCACGAACCGGUCCUAAAGGCCGUCCUACAUAGACCCUUCGUCCACCCGAGCUCGCUCUGUUCUUCCCCUUUCCCCUCUCCUCUUUGUACUUUUCCCUCUUCCUCUCAAUCUCAUCACACAUUUUGCCCAAAAUUUGUCAAGAUUUGAAGGCCCCCAUCCAUUCAAAUGAUCACAAAGGUUAGCAACUUUUUCCUUUCAUCUCUCAUUGCUAGAUUAGCUCGUGCAAUGCUUUAUAUAGUGAUUGAUUUUUGAGUUUAGUAAUUUGGGAGGAAUUAUAUAUAUGUGCUAGUAUUUGAUUUAUAUGCAAUUUUAGGUCAAAAAUAACACUUAGUUUGCAUAUGUAGGUGUGGUUUACGUAGUACCUUCUAAAUCUCCGUCGUAACCACCGUCGAUCGCUCGCAACGUCCCGUCACCAGCACCACCUUUUGGUGAGCCUCUUGUUCAUGAAGUUUUAUAUAAAAAAUUGAUGUUUGUGUGAUUUGGAUAUAUAGUUACUCGUAUAAUUAUCUUACCCAUACGUUGUUUGUUAUACAUAGUGCCAUGGUUUUGAUAUCCGUCCCCGUUGGCCCUCGUCCGGGUUAUGAUUCGGAUGUGGUAUAUUCUAUUUUAAAACUAUUCAUUGCAUUUCGUGUUUAUGACAAAUUAUGCCCAUCAAGUUGACAUAGAUAUUUGUAUGUAGGAGGUAGUUGAAACGGAAAUUCCAACCGACCCUAUUGUCGAGAGGUUAAAUUUAGUUGAAAGAGAAAACGAGGAUUUGAAGGAAAAAUUGAAAAGAAUUGAGGGGGAGAAGAUGGAAUUGGAGUUGCAUGUUGCCGAUGUCGUCGAUGAUCACAAGAUUAAGAUGGAGAAAAUGCGCUUGAAGAUUAGAAAGAUUAGAAAAUAUGCCAUUCAUAGUGAGGCUUGGUAGCAUUAUGCUGUUGGAUCAAUUGUUACCUUAGUUGCGAUCUUGAUCGCAUUUGUUGUUGCAUUUAAAUUCUUUAGCUAGGGACUUAUUUGUUUGUUGCAUUUAAGUGUUGUAUGAUCUUUAUGUAUGAACCUUAUGUAUUGUAUUAAUUUGAUGUUUUCGGUGUUGUGUAUUGAAGAUGAGCCGGCAAUGGAUGUACGAUGACUGAUGCUCUCCCAAGUUCAUUAAUGGCGUGCGUACUUUUCUGCUUGCGGCUGAGGCAAACAAGCGAGCGGAUGGUUGUAUGCCUUGUCCAUGUGCUGGCUGUAAGAAUGGUCACAGUUACUCUACGUCAAGAACCAUUCACGUCCACCUGUUUGAGUCUGGUUUCAUGCCCCACUAUAAUGUUUGGACCAAGCAUGGAGAAAGAGGGGUUAUGAUGGAAGACAAUGAAGAAGAAGAGGACGACGAAAGCUAUCCUGGCCAUGGGUUCCCUGAAUACGGUGAUACAACAAUGAGGGAAGAAGCUGAGCCGGUAAUGCGGGAAGAAGCUGAGCCGGCAAUGCGGGAAGAAGCUGAACAAGAGGCACGGAUGAGCCCGUUGAUGAUCUAGGUCGGGCCAUUGCCGAUGCAAAGAGAAACCGCGCUAGUGAUUUGGAGAAGAAGAAGUUGCAGCGCAUGUUAGAGGAUCACAAAAAUUGUUGUACCCGAAUUGCGUAGGUGACAAGAAAAAGCUAGGCACCACACUGGAAUUGCUGCAAUGGAAGGCAAAGAAUGGUGUAUCUGACAUGGGAUUUGGAAAGUUGCUGGUAAUGAUAAAGGAUAUGCUUCCAAAGGACAACAAAUUGCUCGAGAGUACGUACGAAGCAAAGAAGAUUGUCUGCCCUCUAGGGUUAGAGGUGCAGAUGAUACAUGCAUGCCCUAAUGAUUGCAUCCCCUACCACGGUGAGUAUGAGGAUUUGAAAGCUUGCCCGGUAUGAGGUGCAUUGCGCUAUAAGAUCAGCCACGAUGACCAUGGUGAUGUCGAGGGCGAGCGCCCCAGGAAGAAGAUACCUGCCAAGGUGAUGUGGUAUGCUCCUAUAAUACCAUGGCUGAAACGUUUGUUCCAAAACAAUGAGCAUGCCAAGGCGAUGUGAUGGCACAGAGAAGACCGUAAGAAAGACGGAAAGUUGAGAGUACCCGCUGACGGGUCGCAGUGGAGAAAAAUCGAAAGAAAGUACGGGAAGGAGUUUGCAGAUGACGCAAGGAACGUAUGGUUUGGUCUAAGCGCAGAUGGCAUUAAUCCUUUUGGGGAGCAGAGCAGCAACCAUAGCACCUGGCCUGUGACUCUAUGUUUGUAUAACCUUCCUCCUUGGUUGUGCAUGAAGCGGAAGUUCAUUAUGAUGCCAGUGCUCAUCCAAGGCCCUAAGUGUCAGGACCCCGAUUCCAAGUCACAUCGUUCUAGCCGGUAACACCUCAUAUCACUUUGCGGCCUCAUGCACGGUAUCCCACAGGUGUCGCCUUACCAUGGCCCGGGACCGUUUGCGCCUUUUGGCUCACGUAUAUGAUAGUGUCGCUAGCAUCCAUAUGACAGAGAACCCGGGCCGACAUGGCUAGUCGUGAACCCAAAGCGGCACAGACCUAUGGAGACAGGCAUACAUGAAUCACAUCAAGCAUGUCAGUCAUCAGUGAGUGAAUCCGGGCUGUAGCACUGGGCUAACAGGACUCCGGGGAACCCGGGCUGUAGCAGGCUAGGCAGGACUCCGGAUGUCACCGCGUGACAUUUCCCCGAAGGGACAGACAUAGGAACGACGUGAAACACAUGCCGGCCAGUCAAGUGUCCUGAGCAGUAGUGCUGGGCUAGCAGGACUCCGGUGAACCGGGCUGUAGCGGACUACUAUGGCUCGAGGAACACUAGACUACGUUUCCCCAUAAGAAAGGCUGCCAAGGAUAAACAACUAGAUUGUCGGAUCCCACUCAUACCAAGCAUUUCAAUCAUACACACAAUAUGCCCGAUAUGAGUACAUACAACAUGGCAUCACAAGAAAACUCUACAACUCAAAUACUUUAUUUAAAGGCUCCAGAGAGCCAUACAUAACAUGUUCAUACAGAUAGGGGUCACAUGACCCGACACUCAAGUCAUACAAUCAUACAAGCACAAGCGGAAGCAACUAGUCUGAGUACAGACACUAGAAAGAAAGAAGGCUUCUCGAAGCCUGUCUAUCUACAUAGGUCUCUCCAUGGCCAGGAUCACCACCUGGGUGGCUAGUCACUCGUCGACGUCAAGGUCUACGUAGAACCCAUCGGAGGGGCGGUGUUGUCAUCUGAAAACCGUAAUUAAGCAAACAUGAGUACAAAGGUACUCAGCAAGUCUUACAACAUAACCUACUAUAAAUGCUCAUUCUCAAGAAGGUGGUGGGGUUAUUGCAGCAAGCCAGCUUUGACUCUUGGCUAAGCUAUCCUACGGAACUCCACUAGUAAAAUAGUUUUCGCACACGAGUCCACUACUCACCAACAUAAUACUCCACCGGGGAUCCUCUCUCGUCAUCCUACGAGAGGGCCAUCCUCGGUACUCACACUUAUCUUGAGUCUUUUAGUAAUAACCAUUAACUUGUCUAUGAACUGUAUAGGCAACCAGGUAGUCCUUUACCGCGGACGCGGCUAUUCGAAUAGUUUUAUACCCUGCAGGGGUGUACUUCCUCAUACACGCUUUCACCACUUACCGCCGUUUACACGACAUGUACUCGGCAACCUUCAAGCCUUGGCCCAACGAGGGUGUCGGCCACGGCCUACCUAAACACUCAAAUCUCUAGUCCAGGUGCAUCGCCUAUCCAAGUUCCAUCCGCAGGGAGUCCGGCCGAGGUUUCCACAUACGGCCCCGAACGAUGUGAACAGGGUUCCCGAGACACCAAACAGGUGACUCGGUACACCGUGCCACGGUGUAUCUACCGCAACAUAGCCCACCCCUAGGGUCAGUGCUACGCACGGCCGCCAACACAUAACCUACAAACACCAGAAACUAUUUGCAACUCCUGGACAGAGUACUAGGGUAUUUAAGAAGCCGAGAGGGUCAAUUAAGGAUCCCAAUGCAUGGUAGUAGCUGAAUCUUAAAAUCACACAUACAGAUCUCAGUUCUUAGGGACGGCCUCAAUAAAACAACCCACCAUGUACUCCUACAUGGCCUCUCAUCGAUACCUUUACCAAAUCAUGUUCAUCACAUCCCUCACAUUACCGAUAUAACCAUUUCACUCUAGCCCAUCACCCAGAUGGACCAGACCUGACACAACUCUAAGCAUAGCAGGCAUAGCAAGGUAGGAAACACAUACCUGGCUCAAUCAACUCCUACACAUGCUAGUGGGUUUCAUCUAGUUACUGUGGCAAUGACAGGUCAUGCAGAGGAAAAGGGUUCAACUACCGUAGCACACAACAAUUUGAAUCGCGUUGUCUUAAUGCAGUAAACAAGAGCAGAAGCGAGAACAUGGGUUUGUAUCAGAAUGAUCAAUGGUUGUUUGCCUGUUGUAGUGGUAGUAGGGUACUGCCCUUCAGACGGAUACUCGGGGUUAUCCUCGGAGGCAGAACCUACCACGAAAGAUACACCGAACAUAAUCAACACAUGACAAUAUGCAACGGUAUGAUGCAUGCUAUGACAUGGCAAAAUGAAUGUGUCUUGGCCUAAUGCAAGCUGAAACAGGAUGGAAUGAACUCAUUUGAAUCAAAGAUUCAAAUGUUAGCUCAUUUAACAUGGCCUUAUUAGUGCAUUAUCUUAUUCUGCUUAAAUAGCAAGGUUAACUUGUUUUGUCAUGCAUGAAACCAUUACAGAUGGACAGAUUGAAUUUUUUUGAUCAUUUUUCAUAUAUAAAUCUUUGCAUUUGGAGCUAUGGUUGAUUUUCUAAGAUUUUUAGAAGUUUUGGCUAUUUACUGGAAUUUCCUAUUAAAGAAUAAAUCCAGUAAUUGAAUUAAUGCGUCAGCAUGACAUAGGUGUGAUGUCAGCGGGUCAACUGGGUUGGCCAGGUCAAACCUGACUGGCGGGCCCUGUCUGUCAGUGACUCAGCUAAUUAACAGAGUUAAAUUAACUCUAAUUAACUAAAAGUGGGGCCUGGGCCCACAUGUCAGUGACUGAACUAAUUAAAUUUAGUUAAAACAAAUCCUAAACUAAUCAGCAGGCCGGCCCCACCUGUCAUAGACUAACCUGGGCCCACACGGGGGUCAAACAGGGUAAACUCGCCGGCGUCUAGCCGCCGGCGAGGCCAGACGCGGCGGAGCAGUGCGGGAUUUGCACUCUGGCGACCAAAUGGGCGGCGGAGACUAUCUACGUGAUGCGGGGAGGAAGCCGCCUUUGGAAAUAUGCCCUAGAGGCAAUAAUAAAUUGAUUAUUACUAUAUUUCCUUGUUCAUGAUAAUCGUUUAUUAUCCAUGCUAGAAUUGUAUUGAUAGGAAACUCAGAUACAUGUGUGGAUACAUAGACAACACCAUGUCCCUAGUAAGCCUCUAGUUGACUAGCUCGUUGAUCAAUAGAUGGUUACAGUUUCCUGACCAUGGACAUUGGAUGUCAUUGAUAACGGGAUCACAUCAUUAGGAGAAUGAUGUGAUGGACAAGAACCAAUCCUAAGCCUAGCACAAGAUCAUGUAGUUCGUAUGCUAAAGCUUUUCUAAUGUCAAGUAUCAUUUCCUUAGACCAUGAGAUUGUGCAACUCCCGGAUACCGUGGGAGUGCUUUGAGUGUGCGAAACGUCACAACGUAACUGGGUGGCUAUAAAGGUACACUACAGGUAUCUCCAAAAGUGUCUAUUGGGUUGGCACGAAUCGAGACUGGGAUUUGUCACUCCGUGUAAACGGAGAGGUAUCUCUGGGCCCACUCGGUAGGACAUCAUCAUAAUGUGCACAAUGUGACCAAGGAGUUGAUCACGGGAUGAUGUGUUACGGAACGAGUAAAGAGACUUGCCGGUAACAAGAUUGAACAAGGUAUCGGCAUACCGACGAUCGAAUCUCGGGCAAGUAUCGUACCGAUGGACAAAGGGAAUUGCAUACGGGGUUGAUUAAGUCCUUGACAUCGUGGUUCAUCCGAUGAGAUCAUCGUGGAACAUGUGGGAGCCAACAUGGGUAUCCAGAUCCCGCUGUUGGUUAUUGAUCGGAGAGUCAUCUCGGUCAUGUCUGCAUGUCUCCUGAACCCGUAGGGUCUACACACUUAAGGUUCGAUGACGCUAGGGUUAUAAAGGAAGUUUGUAUGUGGUUACCGAAUGUUGUUCGGAGUCCCGGAUGAGAUCCCGAACGUCAUGAAGAGUUCCGGAAUGGUCCGGAGGUAAAGAUUUAUAUAUGGGAAGUCCUGUUUUGGUCACCGGAAAAGUUUCGGGUUUUAUCGGUAACGUACCGGGACCACCGGGAGGGUCCCGGGGGUCCACCAAGUGGGGCCACAAGCCCCGGAGGGCUGCAUGGGCCAAGUGUGGGAGGGGACCAGCCCCAGGUGGGCUGGUGCGGCCCCCCACCAAGGCCCAAGGCGCAAGGAAGAGGGGAAGGGGGCAAACCCUAGGGCAGAUGGGCCCUAAGGCCCACCCUGGUGCGCCUCCCCCUCUCCCCUCCCCUUGGCCGCCCCUAGAUGGGAUCUAGGGGGCUGCCGCCACCCCUAGGGAGGGAACCCUAGGUGGGGGCGCAACCCAUCCCCUCCCCCUAUAUAUAGUUGAGGUUUGGGCUGCCCAAUACACAUGAGUUCCUCUCUUUCUUGGCACAGCCCUAUCCCUCUCUUUCUCCUCAUAUCUCGCAGUGCUUGGUGAAGCCCUGCUGGAUCACCAUGCUCCGCCAUCACUACCACGCCGUUGUGCUGCUGUUGGAUGGAGUCUUCCUCAACCUCUCCCUCUCUCCUUGCUGGAUCAAGGCAUGGGAGACAUCGUCGGGCUGUACGUGUGUUGAACGCGGAGGUGCCGUCCGUUCGGCACUAGGAUCUCCGGUGAUUUGGAUCACAACGAGUACGACUCCUUCAACCCCGUUCUCUUGAACGCUUCCACUUAGCGAUCUACAAGGGUAUGUAGAUGCACUCUCCUUCCCCUCGUUGCUGGUUUCUCCAUAGAUAGAUCUUGGUGACACGUAGGAAACUUUUGAAUUUCUGCUACGUUCCCCAAUAGUGGCAUCAUGAGCUAGGUCUAUUGCGUAGAUUCUAUGCACGAGUAGAACACAAAGUAGUUGUGGGCGUUGAUUUUGUUCAAUAUGCUUACCGUUACUAGUCCAAUCUUGUUUCGACGGUAUUGUGGGAUGAAGCGGCCCGGACCGACCUUACACGUACUCUUACGUGAGACAGGUUCCACCGACUGACAUGCACUAGUUGCAUAAGGUGACUAGCGGGUGCCAGUCUCUCCCACUUUAGUCAGAACGGAUUCGAUGAAAAGGGUCGUUAUGAAGGGUAAAUAGCAAUUGGCAUAUCACGUUGUAUUUUUGCGUAGGUAAGAAACGUUCUUGCUAGAAACCCAUAGCAGCCACGUAAAACAUGCAAACAACAAUUAGAGGACGUCUAACUUGUUUUUGCAGGGUAUGCUAUGUGAUGUGAUAUGGCCAAGAAGAAUGUGAUGAAUGAUAUGUGAUGUAUGAGAUUGACCAUGUUCUUGUAAUAGGAAUCAUGACUUGCAUGUCGAUGAGUAUGACAACCGGCAGGAGCCAUAGGAGUUGUCUUUAUUUAUUGUAUGACCUACGUGUCAUUGAACAACGCCAUGUAAUUACUUUACUUUAUUGCUAACUGGUAGCCAUAGUGGUAGAAGUAAUAAGUUGGCGAGACAACUUCAUGGAGACACAAUGAUGGAGAUCAUGGUGUCAUGCCGGUGACGAUGAUGAUCAUGGAGCCCCGAAGAUGGAGAUCAAAAGGAGCAAUAUGAUAUUGGCCAUAUCAUGUCACUAUUUGAUUGCAUGUGAUGUUUAUAAUGUUUAUACAUCUUAUUUGCUUAGAAUGACGGUAGUAAAUAAGAUGAUCCCUCAUUAAAAUUUCAAGAAAGUGUUCCCCCUAACUGUGCACCGUUGCGAAAGUUCGUCCUUUUGAAGCACCACGUGAUGAUCGGGUGUGAUAGAUUCUUACGUUCGAAUACAACGGGUGUUGACGAGCCUAGCAUGUACAGACAUGGCCUCGGAACACAUGCAAAACACUUAGGUUGACUUGACGAGCCUAGCAUGUACAGACAUGGCCUCGGAACACAAGAGACCGAAAGGUCGAGCAUGAGUCGUAUGGUAGAUACGAUCAACAUGAAGAUGUUCACCGAUGUUGACUAGUCCGUCUCACGUGAUGAUCGGACACGGCCUAGUUGACUCGGAUCAUGUAAUCACUUAGAUGACUAGAGGGAUGUCUAUCUGAGUGGGAGUUCAUAAGAUGAACUUAAUUAUCCUGAACAUAGUCAAAAGGACUUUGCAAAUUAUGUCGUAGCUCACGCUAUAGUUCUACUGUUUAGAUAUGUUCCUAGAGAAAAUUUAGUUGAAAGUUGAUAGUAGCAAUUAUGCGGACUAGGUCCGUAAACUGAGGAUUGUCCUCAUUGCUUCAUAGAAGGUUUAUGUCCUUAAUGCACCGCUCAGUGUGCUGAACCUCGAACGUCGUCUGUGGAUGUUGCGAACAUCUGACAUACACAUUUUGAUAACUACGUGAUAGUUCAGUUAAACGGUUUAGAGUUGAGGCACCGAAGACGUUUUGAAACGUCACGAAACAUAUGAGAUGUUUCGAGGGCUGAAAUUGGGAUUUCAGGAUCGUGCCCACAUCAAGAGGUAUAAGACCUCCGACGAUUUUUCUUAGCCUGCAAACUAAGGGAGAAAAGCUCAACUGUUGAGCUUGUGCUCAGAUUGUCUGAGUACAACAAUCAUUUGAAUCGAGUGGGAGUUGAUCUUCCAGAUGAGAUAGUGAUGUUUCUCCGAAGUCAUUACCACCAAGCUGCUAGAGCUUCGUGAUGAACUAUAAUAUAUCAGGGACAUAUAUGAUGAUCCUUGAGAUAUUCGCGAUGUUUGACACCACAAAAGUAGAAAUCAAGAAGGAGCAUCAAUUGUUGAUGGUUGGUGAAACCACUAGUUUCAAGAAGGGCAAGGGCAAGAAGGGAUACUUCAUGAAAUGGCAAUUCAGCUGCUGCUCUAGUGAAGAAACCCAAGGUUGAACCCAAACCCGAGACUAAGUGCUUCUGUAAUAAGGGAAACAACCACUGGAGCAGAAUUACCCUAGAUACUUGGUAGAUGAGAAGGCUGGCAAAGUCGAUAGAAGUAUAUUGGAUAUACAUUGUGUUAAUGUGUACUUUACUAGUACUCCUAGUAGCACCAUGGUAUUAGAUACCGGUUCGGAUGCUAAAUGUUAGUAAACUCGAAAUAAAAGGCUGCAGAGUAAACGGAGACUAGCCAAAGGUGAGCUGGCAAAAUGUGUUGGAAGUUUUUCCAAGCUUGAUGUCAUCAAGCAUCGCACGCUCCCUCUACCAUCGAGAUCGGUGUUUGCGUUGAGCAUAGACAUGAUUGGAUUAUGUCUAUCGCAAUACGGUUAUUCAUUUAAGGAGAAUAAUGGUUACUCUGUUUAUUUGAAUAAUACCUUCAAUGGUCUUGCACCUAAAAUGAAUGGUUUAUUGAAUCUCGAUCGUAGUGAUACACAUGUUCAUGCCAGAAGAUAUAAGAUAGUAAUGAUAGUACCACCUACUUGUGGCACUGCCAUGUAAGUCAUAUCGGUAUAAAACGCAUGAAGAAGCUCCAUGUUGAUGGAUCUUUGGGCUCACUCGUUUUUGAAAAGUUUGAGACAUGCGAACCAUGUCUAUUGGUGUAUAUGCAUGAAGAAACUCCAUGCAAAUGGACCGUUUGGACUCACUCGAUUUUGAAUCACUUGAGACAUGCAAAUCAUACCACAUGGGCAAGAUGACUGAAAGCCUCGUUUUCAGUAAAAUGGAACUAGAAAGAAACUUGUUGGAAGUAAUACAUUUUGAUGUGUGCAGUCCAAUGAGUGCUGAGGCAUGUAGUGGAUUUCAUUAUGUUCUUACUUCACAGAUGAUUUGAGUAGAUACUGAGUAUAUUUACUUGAUGAAACAUAAGUCUGAAUUAUUGAAAGGUUCAAGUAAUUUCAGAGUGAAGUUGAACAUCGUCGUGACAAGAGGAUAAAAUGUCUAUGAUAUGAUCGUAGAGAUGAAUAUCUGAAUUACGAGUUUGGCACAAAAUUAAGACAUUAUGGAAAUUGUUUCACAACUAAUACAGUCUGGAACACCACAGUGUGAUGGUGUGUCCGAAUAUCAUAACUGCACCCUAUUGGAUAUGAUGCAUACCAUGAUGUCUCUUAUCAAAUUACCACGAUAGUUUAUGGGUUAGGCAUUAGAGACAACCACAUUCACUUUAAAUAGGGCACCACGUAAUUCCGAUGAGAUGACACCGUAUGAACUAUGGUUUAGAGAAACCUAAGCUGUCAUUUCUUAAAAGUUUGGGGCUGCGACGCUUAUGUGAAAAAGUUUUAGGCUGAUAAGCUCGAACCCAAAGCGGAUAAAUGCAUCUUCAUAGGACACCCAAAAUAGUUGGGUAUACCUCCUGUCUCAGAUCCGAAAGCAAUAAGGGAUUGUUUCUAGAAUCGAGUCCUUUCUCGAGGAAAGGUUUCUCUCGAAAGAAUUGAGUGUGAUGAUGGUGGAGAUUUGAUGAGGUUAUUGAACUGUCUCUUCAACUAGUGUGUGGCAGGGCACAGGGAGUUGUUCCUGUGGCACCUACACCAAUUGAAGUGGAAGCUUAUGAUAGUGAUCAUGAAACUUCAGAUCAAGUCACUACCAAACCUCGUGGGAUGACAAGGAUGCGUACUACUUCAGAGUGGUACGUAAUCCUAUCUUGGAAGUCAUGUUGCUAGACAACAAUGAACCUACAAGCUAUGGAGAAGCAAUGGUGGGCCUGGAUUCCAAAAUGGCUCGAAGCCAUAUAAUCCGAGAGAGGAUCCAUCUAUGAAAACAAAGUGUAGACUUUGGAAGAACUACUUGAUGGUCGUAAGGCUGUUAGGUACAUAGGGAUUUUAAAAGGAAGACGGACAAUGAUAGUAAGUAUCACCAUUAAGAAAGCUUGACUUGUCGUUAAGAUGUUUUCCGACAAGUUCAAGGAGUUGACUACGAUGAGACUUUCUCACUCGUAGCGAUGCUAAGAGUCUGUUGGAAUUAUAUUAGCGAUUACUGCAUUAUUUAUGAAAUCUUGCAGAUAGGAUAUCAAAACAUUGUUUCCUCGAUGUUUUUUUGAGGAAAGGUUGUAUGUGAUACAACCAGAAGGUUUUGUCAAUCCUGAAAGAUGCUAACAAGUAUGCAAAGCUCCAGCAAUCCUUCUAAGGACUGGAGUAAGCAUCUCGGAGUUGGAAUGUAUGCUUUGAUGAGAUGAUCAAAGUUUUGGGUGUAUACAAAGUUUAUGAGAAACUUGUAUUUCCAAAGAAGUGAGUGGGAGCACUAUAGAAUUUCUGAUGAGUAUAUGUUGUUAACAUAUUGUUGAUCGGAAAUGAUGUAGAAUUUCUGGAAAGCAUGCAGAGUUAUUUGAAAAGUGUUUUUCAAUGGAAAGCCUGGAUUAAGCUACUUGAACAUUGAGCAUGAAGAUCUAUAAGGAUAGAUCAAAACGCUUAAUGGUAAUUUCAAAUGAGCACAUACCUUGACAUGAUCUUGAAGGUGUUCAAGAUGGAUCAGUCAAAGAAGGAGUUCUUGCCUGAGUUGUAAGGUAUGAAGUUAAGACUUAAAGCUCGACCACGGAAGAAGAAAGAGGAAGGACGAAGGUCGUCCCCUAUGCUUUUGUCAUAGGCUCUCUACAGUAUGCUAUGUUGUGUGCCGCACUUGAAGUGUGCCUUGCCAUGAGUCAGUCAAGGGGUACAAGAGUGAUCCAAGAAUGGAUCACAAGACAACGGUCAAAGUUAUCCUUAGUAACUAGUGGACUAAGGAAUUUUCUCGAUUAUGGAGGUGGUAAAAGAGUUCGUCGUAAAGGGUUACGCCGAUGCAAACUUUGACACUAAUCUAGAUUAUUCUGAGUAGUAGACUGGAUUCGUAUAGUAGAACAGUUAUUUGGAAUAGCUCCAAAUAGAACGUGGUAGCUGCAUCUAGGAGAUGACAUAGAGAUUUGUAAAGCACACACGGAUCUGAAAGAUUCAGACCCGUUGACUAUAACAUCUCUCACAAGCAUAACAUGAUCAAACCCAGAACUCAUCGAGUGUUAAUCACAUGGUAAUGUGAACUAGAUUAUUGACUCUAGUAAACUCUUUGGGUGUUAGUCACAUGGGGAUGUGACCUUGAGUGUUUAUCACAUAUCGAUGUGAACUGGAUUAUUGACUCUAGUGCAAGUGGGAGACUGUUGGAAAUAUGCCCUAGAGGAAAUAAUAAAUUUAUUAUUAUUAUAUUUCCUUGUUCAUGAUAAUCGUUUAUUAUCCAUGCUAGAAUUGUAUUGAUAGGAAACUCAGAUACAUGUGUGGAUACAUAGACAACACCAUGUCCCUAGUAAGCCUCUAGUUGACUAGCUCGUUGAUCAAUAGAUGGUUACAGUUUCCUAACCAUGGACAUUGGAUGUCAUUGAUAACGGGAUCACAUCAUUAGGAGAAUGAUGUGAUGGACAAGACCCAAUCCUAAGCCUAGCACAAGAUCAUGUAGUUCGUAUGCUAAAGCUUUUCUAAUGUCAAGUAUCAUUUCCUUAGACCAUGAGAUUGUGCAACUCUCGGAUACCGUAGGAGUGCUUUGGGUGUGCCAAAUGUCACAACGUAACUGGGUGGCUAUGAAGGUACACUACAAGUAUCUCCAAAAGUGUCUGUUGGGUUGGCACGAAUCGAGACUGGGAUUUGUCACUCCGUGUAAACGGAGAGGUAUCUCUGGGCCCACUCGAUAGGACAUCAUCAUAAUGUGCACAAUGUGACCAAGGAGUUGAUCACGGGAUGAUGUGUUACGGAACGAGUAAAGAGACUUGCCGGUAACGAGAUUGAACAAGGUAUCGGCAUACCGACGAUCGAAUCUCGGGCAAGUAUCGUACCGAUGGACAAAGGGAAUUGCAUACGGGAUUAAUUAAGUCCUUGACAUCGUGGUUCAUCCGAUGAGAUCAUCGUGGAACAUGUGGGAGCCAACAUGGGUAUCCAGAUCCCGCUGUUGGUUAUUGACCGGAGAGUCAUCUCGGUCAUGUUUGCAUGUCUCCCGAACCCGUAGGGUCUACACACUUAAGGUUCGAUGACGCUAGGGUUAUAAAGGAAGUUUGUAUGUGGUUACCGAAUGUUGUUCGGAGUCCCGGAUGAGAUCCCGGACGUCAUGAGGAGUUCCGGAAUGGUCCGGAGGUAAAGAUUUAUAUAUAGGAAGUCCUGUUUUGGUCACCGGAAAAGUUUCGGGUUUUAUUGGUAACGUACCGGGACCACCGACAGGGUCCCGGGGGUCCACCAAGUGGGGCCACAAGCCCCGGAGGGCUGCAUGGGCCAAGUGUGGGAGGGGACCAGCCCCAGGUGGGCUGGUGCGCCCCCCCACCAAGGCCCAAGGCGCAAGGAAGAGGGGAAGGGGGCAAACCCUAGGGCAGAUGGGCCCUAAGGCCCACCCUAGUGCGCCUCCCCCUCUCCCCUCCCCUUGGCCGCCCCUAGAUGGGAUCUAGGGGGCUGCCGCCACCCCUAGGGAGGGAACCCUAGGUGGGGGCGCAGCCCCUCCCCUCCCCCUAUAUAUAGUUGAGGUUUGGGCUGCCCAAUACACAUGAGUUCCUCUCUUUCUUGGCGCAGCCCUAUCCCUCUCUUUCUCCUCAUAUCUCGUAGUGCUUGGCGAAGCCCUGCUGGAUCACCAUGCUCCUCCAUCACCACCACGCCAUUGUGCUACUGCUGGAUGGAGUCUUCCUCAACCUCUCCCUCUCUCCUUGCUGGAUCAAGGCAUGGGAGACGUCAUCGGGCUGUACGUGUGUUGAACGCGGAGGUGCCGUCCGUUCGGCACUAGGAUCUCCGGUGAUUUGGAUCACGAUGAGUACGACUCCUUCAACCCCGCACUACUAGGAAAAGGCCUACUAAUGGCGCACCAGUUUUGCCUACUAAUGGCGCAUCACUGGUGCGCCAUUACUAGCACGCCAUUAGUAAUUUUUACUAAUGGCGCACCACUGGUGCGCCAUUAGUAUCUGGUAUACUAAUGGCGCACCACUGGUGCGCCAUUAGUAUAGGCCACAGGUGCACCAUUAGUAUACCAGAUACUAAUGGCGCACCGCGUGGUGCGCCAUUAGUAUACCAUUCGGUGCUCCACUGGUAUUCCCUCCAGGUGCGCCACUAAUAACCUUAUAGGUGCGCCACUAGUAAUAAAGGAAGGUGCGCCACUAAUAAGGGCUUAAAUGCGCCACUACUAAUGUAUUUGGAAAACAAAAAAAAAUCUAAAUUUACAGAAAAAAACCUAUAAGGAAAAAUAAUUUAAAAACAAAAAAUGAAAUAGAAUCAUAAUUUUUAUUAUAGUAAGAAUAUUACAAUGUCUUUACAAGUUUCCAAUAAAAGGGAAAUUGCAAGGAAAUAAAAAAAAUCCUAAAGCUAAUCUUCUAGUAAUCUUCUCUUCUUUUUCUUCACUUUAUCCCUGCAAAAUGUAACAAAAUAAACACAAACACAAACAAACUAUUUAUAACAUGUCAAUACUGUCAUUUUUUCAGACCAAGUAACUAACAACUUCAGUGAGACAGGCACAGUGCAGUGUGAAUUUCAAUUGGCUAAAUCAUAUAUAGAAAUCAGUAUCUUCUCUAUGAACCUGAAACUGAGAUGACUGGACUAAUUUUGCACAUUUGAUUUAUGAAUUUAUUCUUCUUCGACAACCAACUAAACUUCGGAUCACCUACUAAGCAUCUGUACAUACUACAUAGGCUGAUUAAUCCAACAGCCACAAUGCAAAUAUUGACUAUUUCCAUUCAACUUCUUCACUUACUCAUUAUUAUCUAAUGAAACCAUUCGUAACUAAUGAAGCAGAUUGGCUAAAGUUAUUAUCAAGUCCUAAGUCCUAAUUGAAGCAGAUCUGCUAGGGUUCUUCUCGCUAGCCCCUCAUGGCCAACCGUUUCGGAACAGGCAGGCAGAGCUGCUUGGCCGGUGGCUAGGGAGUCGCUGGUGAUGUUGGGCAUCUCACACGAGCACCUGGCUAUUUGAGGAAACCGAAAUAGUAGCAUAAACAAGAUUGAUUCCGAGGAAAUGAUAGAACCUAUUCUAUCAAAGUGCUACUCCCCCCGUUCCAUAAUUCCAGUCGUGGUUUUUUAACUAAAACCAUGAAGAGAACUAUGGAAUGGAGGGAGUAGAAAACAAUAGCAUGCUUAAAAUUCUACCAUACACAGCAGCAACAGACAUUACACAAGCAUUUAUUUAUUUAUUGCAUUUGGCACAAGUUAAAAAUUCUCACAAGCAGAGGCGGUCCUAUCAGACAAAAAGAACAUGGACCGCUCAUUACAAAGCACUUCUACUGCAGUAUCAUGGAGUAGGAAAAGGGGCUUAAGCAGCAAAGAAGUAUAAUAAGAGAAAAAAACACUAUGGCGGCUGGAACUAGAAGAGCACCAUCACAGGUUCGAAACAUCACCAUGGAGUCGAUGGCCGGCAUAGCCCAUGGCAGGGCUGGAUGGGCAGCAUAAUAACACAAUAAAAGUUUGAUGUAUACUUAUUCGUUUGAAAAGAUGCAAGCUUAUUUACACCCUAGGACUGUUGAUUAGGGUCUGGAUGGUAUUUUUGUUCCUUGCGUAAGUAAGAGAAGGACUAGCAUCCAUAGUAGAAAGAAGGGUAAACAUACAUAAAGGAAAGUUUUUAUAGCGUCACGACCGAAAGAGGCUACGUGCGGCUGGGUGAAAUGGACAAGGUUUCAUGUAUGCAAUAUAUUAUAGAAAAAUAAGUGUUGACAGAAAAUGAAAGAUUUCCUGUCAAACAAACAGAGCUUCAUUUUGUAACAUUUCUGACCCACAUGAUAAUUGUACAACAUAGUAGAGGAGACCACUGUACAUACAUGUGUUGAAUGAAGCAGACUAAGAAAUAUUGGGUGGGUAUAAAGAAUACAAUAGUACGGUAGCUGAUGUAAACAAGUGCAGAGUUGCAUCCACAGAAUAGGUAACAAAUUAAAUAGCCCUGGUGCCAACAGUAGAGUUCGUGUAUCCAAUCCAUCCUUUGUUUAACACAGCAGCUCCAACUCUUGUGUAACAAAUUAAGUUUGGCAUGGGCACACAUAAAGCACUGACAUUUUCAUGGCUCGAUGGCCGUGGGCUAAGGGAGCAGAGGAGGAGGUGCGGCUCACCUCACAUGGCGGCGGAACCGAGGGAUGAAGGUGCGGCGCACCGGAGCAGGCAGAGGUGCCUUGUGUUGGCCAAACACGUGGCCAGCAGCAGAGAAGCGCUUCUCUUGCUCGACGGAUGUUGGGUGUGUGUGAGGCGUGCUCCUGCCUGCCUGCCUGCGUGAGGAACGGGAGGACCAUUAGAGAAGAGAAGGGAAGGGAAGAAGAGCAGGUAGAGGAUGGCAAGGGGAGAGGAGGGAAUCAAAAUCAAAGAUGAGAAGAUGACCUUGAGGAGGAGCAGGGGAAGAGCGGAGCAGCAGAAACAGAGGCCUUCCUCUCCCGGUGGUGAGGACCGAGGCGACCUCCGUCACGGCCUAGCCAGGUCGACGACUCUGGCGACCGUGGCUGCCAGAUCCGGUGUCACCAUGGCCGGCCUCCUCCUGUGGUGCCUGCUAGGUCGCCAUGGCCGCGGGCUCCUUGUCCGUGGCGGCUGGAUCUGGGGCCUUGGGGUGGCGGGGAGCUCCUCCUCCUGCAGCUCGGCGGCCUCCACACCCCGGAGCAACGCCGUCGCCGGAGGACGUGGUCACCUGCUCUCCUCUGGAUCCGGUGAGGAGGGUUGGGGAAGGAGCUCACCACGGCUCCAUGCCCUGGAUCUGGUGUGAGGGAGGGGGAAGGGAGCUCGCCGUGGUCAGGAGGGAGAGGAAGAGGCGGGCGGCCGGGGCUUCCCGAUCUAAAUCAAAGUCGAGGGAGGUGGGUGGGUGUGUCAGGAGGAAGGUGAGGGGGAGAGAACGUGACAAGAUGGAGGGGAUAAGGGGUGAUAGCAAUGGCGCACUGGUAGGGGUGCGCCAUACGUAUAGAUAGCAAUGGCGCAUCUCUUACUGGUGCGCCAUUACUAGUUUAAACUAGUAAUGGUGCACGGUGGAACAGUGCGCUAUUAGUAGUUUUGCAAAAAAAAGUAAUAAAAAUAUAAUAAAAAAACAACAUUAGUGGCGCACUUUUCGACAGGUGCGCCAUUACUAGUUACAACUAGUAAUGGCGCACUGUGUCUGGAUGCGCCAUUAGUAUGUUUGGACAGGCGCACUAGUUCAAAAAAAAUUGAUACUAAUGGCGCACCCUGGGCCAGGUGCGCCAUUAGUAGUUUCAACUCUAAUGGCGUAUCAGAAGGUGGUGCGCCAUUAGUAUAUACCCUUGUAGAGGACUUAGGACUUGAUAAUAACUUUAGCCAAUCUGCUUCAUUAGUUACGAAUGGUUUCAUUAGAUAAUAAUGAGUAAGUGAAGAAGUUGAAUGGAAAUAGUCAAUAUUUGCAUUGUGGCUGUUGGAUUAAUCAGCCUAUGUAGUAUGUACAGAUGCUUAGAAGGUGAUCCGAAGUUGGAGAGGUCGGGGAUGAGCUGAUGCGGCGGGGGUGGUGAAGGGGAUCUCUGGUGGCCGGAGUUGAGGACGAGCUCGGUGCAGCGUCUCCGAGGCGAGCAAGCGCUCGGGCGCGGCCUACUCGAUGUAGUCGAUGGCGGCGGAGCUCGUGGACACGAUGGCGCGGCGCGAGGACGACGGAAGGCACGGCUACGACGACGGUGCGGCGACAGAAGUGUCGGCCAUGGUGGGGAACGGCGAAGGGAUAGAGACAGGGGGGAAAUGGCGUGUCCAGGGGCUUCGGGGUGCGACGUGGAGGCGUCCAGGCGUCUAGGGGCGCGGGCGGCAAGCAGGUGACGCCGUGGUGAGCUCGGGCACGCCGGAGUCACCUCCCUGCCUGCGUGGCGGGGAAGAAGCAGCUGGCUGGCGCGAGCCAGCACAGUGCUGGGCCGCCUGGUGGGCCGGCGGGUGAGAUAGCUGGGCCGCGCCAGGUAAGCUUCUCUCUCUCUCUCUCUUUCUUAUUUGUUUUCUUUUUCUAUUUUUCUGCAACUGUUGGGCUUUAUUAAAAAUACCUAGACAUCUUUAAAAAUCCUGAAAAUAAUCAGGGGCUCUGUUUAGAUUAUUCCCAACAGCCCACACUUAUUUCUAGAAUUAUUUGAGCAUUUAAAUUAUUUUAUAGCAUUUAAAUGCCCAAAUUCAAAUACUUAUGAUUUAAUUCAAGAAAAUCCAGAAUGUCCUAGAAAAGAGUGCACCAUUUUUGCCAGGGGUUUUAGCCCAAUCCAGAAAUGAUGAACAUUUUGUGAAAGGCAUUUUGGGUUCAUUGAAAAUAAUUUUAGUAAACCCUAGUUGUUUCCAGGGGGUGCUGGGGGUUCUGUCAUCCCCAUUUCAAAUUUAAAAGGAAUUUAAACAUGAUGCACACUCUAAUGCUUGAACUAGCUAGGGUGUGACACUAAGCAACCCGGCAACGACAUAGAUGUGUACCUAAGGCCAUUAGUUGAAGAACUCUUACAACUGUGGAAUGGAACAGGUGUACGUGCGUGGGAUGAGCACAUGGGGAAAGAAUUUGACCUAAAGGCGUUGUUGUUCGUGACCAUCAAUGAUUGGCCUGCUCUCACUAACCUUUUAGGACAGACAAACAAGGGAUACCGCGCAUGCACGCACUGUUUGGACGAUGCCGACAGUAUAUAUUUGGCUAAAUGUAAGAAGAAUGUGUACCUGGGACAUCAUCGAUUUCUUCCGAGCAGGCAUCCCGUAAGAAAGAAAGGCAAGCAUUUCAAAGGUGAGGCGGAUCACCGGACGAAGCCUCGCCACCGUACUGGUGCUGAUGUACAUGAUAUGGUCAACGAUUUGAAGGUGGUCUUUGGAAAGGGUCCUGGUGGACAACCUAUUCCGAAUGACGCUGACGGACGCGCACCCAUGUGGAAGAAGAAAUCUAUAUUUUGGGACCUGCCCUAUUGGAAAGACCUAGAGGUCCGCUCCGCAAUCGACGUGAUGCACGUGACGAAAAUCUUUGUGUGACCCUGCUUGGCUUCUUGGGCGUGUAUGGGAAGACAAAAGAUACACCUGAGGCACGGGAGGACCAACAAUGUAUGCACGGAAAAGAUGGCAUACAUCAGGGUCAUGCAAGCUACGCUCUUACCAAAGAAGAGAAGGAAAUCUUCUUUGAAUGCCUGCUCAGUAUUAAGGUACCGUCUGGCUUCUCGUCUAAUAUAAAGGGAAUAAUAAACAUGGCAGACAAAAGUUCCAGAACCUAAAGUCUCAUGACUGCCACGUGAUUAUGGCGCAACUGCUUCCGGUUGCAUUGAGGGGGCUUCUACCAGAAAACGUUCGAUUAGCCAUUGUGAAGCUAUGUGCAUUUCUCAAUGCAAUCUCUCAGAAGGUAAUCGAUCCAGAAAUAAUACCAAGGUUAGAGAAUUAUUUGGUGCAAUGUCUUGUCAGUUUCGAGUUGGUGUUCCCACCAUCCUUCUUCAACAUCAUGACGCACGUCCUAGUUCACCUAUGCGAAGAGAUUAACGUUUUGGGUCAUGUAUUUCUACACAAUAUGUUCCCCUUUGAGAGGUUCAUGGGAGUCUUAAAGAAAUAUGUUCAUAACCGUGCUAGGCCAGAAGGAAGCAUCUCCAAGGCCAUGAAAAUGAGGAGGUCAUUGAGUUUUGUAUUGACUUUAUUCCUGACCUUAAGCCGAUUGGUGUUCCUGAAUCGCGGCAUAAGGGCAGACUGGAUGGAAAAGGCACGCUAGGAGGGGAACAAAUAAUAUGUAUGUACGGACAUUCUCUCACUGAAGCACACUACACAGUUCUACAGAAUUCCGCCUUGGUGGCUCCAUAUAUGGAUGAACACAAGAAUUUGCUACGCUCCAAACACCCGGAGCGGUCUGAUGACUGGAUUACACGUGAACAAACCAGAAGUUUCGCCAGCUGGUUGCAGACACGUACCAUGCAUGACACCUCUAUUGAAGAUGACCUGUACUUGCUGUCCCAGUUACCAUCUUCGAAUAUAAUGACUUUCAAAGGGUACCAGAUAAAUGGUAAUACAUUUUACACGAUCGCCCAAGAUAAGAAGAGCACCAACCAAAACAGUGGUGUCUACUUUGAUGCAGAAACCAAGACGGGAAAGGAAACAUAUUAUGGUUAUAUACCGGACAUAUGGGAACUUGACUAUCGACGUGGUUUAAAGGUCCCUUUGUUUCGGUGCAAAUGGGUCAAUAUGACACGAGGCGGGGUAACGGAAGACCCGCAGUACGGAAUGACAACAGUGGAUCUCAACAAUCUUGCGUAUGCAGACGAACCAUUCGUCCUAGCCAAUGAUGUGGCACAGGUUUUCUAUGUGAAGGACAUGUCUACCAAGCCAAGAAAAAGAAAAGAUAAGGAAGCGAAUGCAUCGUACGAUGAGCCAAAGCGGCACAUAGUUCUUUCUAGGAAGAGAAACAUCGUGGGAGUGGAUGACAAGACAGACAUGUCAGAAGAUUAUGAAAAGUUUGAUGAAAUUGCUCCAUUCACAGUGAAUAUUGACCCGAGCAUCCCGUUAAAUGAUGAAGAUUUUCCAUGGUUACGGCGCAAAGGGACGCACGCGAAGAAAAAGUUUCACACCCAAAGAUCUGGGAUGUGAUCGGCUUCACUAUCAUCACUUUCUUCUGUGUUUCACACCCAGGAGGGAAUCUCUGUAAUAGUUAGGGUAGUUAUGUGUUUUGGCAUUUGAAACGCGAAGAAAUUUUAUGUGCAAACAAAUUCUUUCAUGCCUUUACUGAUUUUUAAAGUUAAGUUAUUCACAAACUAGUGAUUCACACUAAUUUCAAAUAAUUCAAAAUUUAAACUAUUCAAAUUUGAAAACUACAGGCACUAACAGAAAGUUUGUAAUUUUUUGUACCUAAAGCAAAAAUUGAAGGAAAUAUGCCCUAGAGGCAAUAAUAAAGUUAUUAUUUAUUUCCUUAUAUCAUGAUAAAUGUUUAUUAUUCAUGCUAGAAUUGUAUUAACCGGAAACAUAAUACAUGUGUGAAUACAUAGACAAACAGAGUGUCACUAGUAUGCCUCUACUUGACUAGCUCGUUAAUCAAAGAUGGUUAUGUUUCCUAACCAUGGACAAAGAGUUGUUAUUUGAUUAACGGGAUCACAUCAUUAGGUGAAUGAUCUGAUUGACAUGACCCAUUCCAUUAGCUUAGCACCCGAUCGUUUAGUAUGUUGCUAUUGCUUUCUUCAUGACUUAUACAUGUUCCUAUGACUAUGAGAUUAUGCAACUCCCGUUUGCCGGAGGAACACUUUGUGUGCUACCAAACGUCACAACAUAACUGGGUGAUUAUAAAGGUGCUCUACAGGUGUCUCCAAAGGUACAUGUUGGGUUGGCGUAUUUCGAGAUUAGGAUUUGUCACUCCGAUCGUCGGAGAGGUAUCUCUGGGCCCUCUAAUGCACAUCACUUAAGCCUUGCAAGCAUUGCAGCUAAUGAGUUAGUUGCGGGAUGAUGUAUUACGGAACGAGUAAAGAGACUUGCCGGUAAUGAGAUUGAACUAGGUAUUGGAUACCGACGAUCGAAUCUCGGGCAAGUAACAUACCGAUGACAAAGGGAACAACGUAUGUUGUUAUGCGGUCUGACCGAUAAAAGAUCUUCGUAGAAUAUGUAGGAACCAAUAUGGGCAUCAAGGUCCCGCUAUUGGUUAUUGACCGGAGACGUGUCUCGGUCAUGUCUACAUUGUUCUCGAACCCGUAGGGUCCGCACGCUUAAGGUUUCGAUGACAGUUAUAUUAUGAGUUUAUGAGUUUUGAUGUACCAAAGGAGUUCGGAGUCCCGGCUGAGAUUGGGGACAUGACGAGGAGUCUCGAAAUGGUCGAGACGUAAAAAUCGAUAUAUUGGACGACUAUAUUCGGACAUCGGAAAGGUUCCGAGUGAUUCGAGUAUUUUUCGGAGUACCGGAGAGUUACGGGAAUUCGCCGGGAGAAGUAUUGGGCCUUAUUGGGCCAUACGGGAAAGAGAGAGGGGCUGCCUAGGGUAGGCCGCGCGCCCCCCAAGGCCUAGUCCGAAUUGGACUAGGGGGAGGGGCUGCGCCCCUUCCUUGUUUCCUACUCCUACUACAUGGAAGGACUCCUACUUGGACUAGGAAAGGGGGAAUCCUACUCCCGGUGAGAGUAGGACUUCUCUAGGCGCGCCAUAGAGAGGGCCGGCCCUCCCCUCCUGCACUCCUUGAUAUACGGGGGCAGGGGGCACCCCAUAGACACACAAGUUGAUCCACGUGAUCAUAUUCUUAGCCGUGUGCGGUGCCCCCUUCCACUAUAGUCCUCGAUAAUAUUGUAGCAGUGCUUAGGCGAAGCCCUGCGACAGUAGUACAUCAAGAUCGUCACCACGCCGUCGUGCUGACGGAACUCUUGCCCGACACUUUGCUGGAUCGGAGUCCGGGGAUCGUCAUCGAGCUGAACGUGUGCUAGAACUCGGAGGUGCCGUAGUUUCAGUGCUUGAUCGUCGGGCCGUGAAGACGUACGACUACAUCAACCGCGUUGUCAUAACGCUUUUGCUAUCGGUCUACAAGGGUACGUAGAUCACACUCUCCCCUCUCGUUGCUAUGCAUCACCAUGAUCUUGCGUGUGCGUAGGAAAUUUUUUGAAAUUACUACGUUCCCCAACAGUGGCAUCCGAGCCUAGGUUUUAUGCGUUGAUGUAAUAUGCACGAGUAGAACACAAGUGAGUUGUGGGCGAUAUAAGUCAUACUGCUUACCAGCAUGUCACAGUUUGGUUCGGCGGUAUUGUUGGAUGAAGCGGCCCGGACCGACAUUACGCGUACGCUUAUGCGAGACUGGUUCUACCGACGUGCUUUGCACACAGGUGGCUGGCGGGUGUCAGUUUCUCCAACUUUAGUUGAACCGAGUGUGGCUACGCCCGGUCCUUGCGAAGGUUAAAACAACACCAACUUGACAAACUAUCGUUGUGGUUUUUGAUGCGUAGGUAAGAACGGUUCUUGCUAAGCCCGUAGCAGCCACGUAAAACUUGCAACAACAAAGUAGAGGAUGUCUAACUUGUUUUUGCAGGGCAUGUUGUGAUGUGAUCUGGUCAAGACAUGAUGCUAAAUUUUAUUGUAUGAGAUGAUCAUCUUUUGUAACCGAGUUAUCGGCAACUGGCAGGAGCCAUAUAGUUAUCGCUUUAUUGUAUGCAAUGCAAUCGCACUGUAAUGCUUUACUUUAUCACUAAGAGGUAGCGAUAGUCGUGGAAGCAUAAAAGUGGCGAGACGACAACGAUGCUGCGAUGGAGAUCAAGGUGUCACGCCGGUGACGAUGGUGAUCAUGACGGUGCUUCGGAGAUGGAGAUCACAGGCACAAGAUGAUGAUGGCCAUAUCAUAUCACUUAUAUUGAUUGCAUGUGAUGUUUAUCUUCUAUGCAUCUUAUCUUGCUUUGAUUGACGGUAGCAUUAUAAGAUGAUCUCUCACUGAAUUAUCCAGAAGUGUUCUCCCUGAGUAUGCACCGUUGCGAAAGUUCUUCGUGCCGAGACACCACAUGAUGAUCGGGUGUGAUAGGCUCUACGUUCAAAUACAACAGGUGCAAAACAGUUGCACACGCGGAAUACUCAGGUUAUACUUGACGAGCCAAGCAUAUGCAGAUAUGGCCUCGGAACACGGAGACCGAAAGGUCGAGCGUGAAUCAUAUAGUAGAUAUGAUCAACAUAGUGAUGUUCACCAAUGAAACUACAUCUCACGUGAUGAUCGGACAUGGUUUAGUUGAUUGGGAUCAUGUGAUCGCUUAGAGGAUUAGAGGGAUGUCUAUCUAAGUGGGAGUUCUUAAGUAAUAUGAUUAAUUGAACUUAAAUUUAUCAUGAACUUAGUCCUUAUAGUAUUUUGCAAAUUAUGUUGUAGAUUAAUAGCUCGUGUUGUUGCUUCCUUGUGUUUUUUAUAUGUUCCUAGAGAAAAUUGUGUUGAAAGAUGUUAGUAGCAAUGAUGCGGAUUGGAUCCGUCAUCUGAGGUUUAUCCUCAUUGCUGCACAGAGGAAUUAUGUCCUUGAUGCACCGCUAGGUGACAGACCUAUUGCAGGAUCAGAUACUAACGUUAUGAACGUUUGGCUAGCUAAAUAUGAUGACUACUUGAUAGUUUAGUGCACCAUGCUUAACGGCUUAGAAUCGGGACUUCAAAGACGUUUUGAACGUCAUGGACCAUAUGAGAUGUUCCAGGAGUUGAAGUUAAUAUUUCAAGCAAAUACCCGAGUUGAGAGAUAUGAAGUCUCCAACAAGUUCUAUAGCUAAAAGAUGGAGGAGAAUCGCUCAACUAGUGAGCAUGUGCCCAAAUUGUCUGAGUACUACAAUCACUUGAAUCAAGUGGGAGUUAAUCUUCUAGAUAAGAUAGUGAUUGACAGAAUUCUCUAGUCACCAUCACCAAGUUAGUAGAACUUCGUGAUGAACUAUGAUAUGCAAGGGAUAACGGAAACGAUUCCCAUGCUCUUCGUAAUGCGGAAAUUGAUGAAGGUAGAAAUCGAGAAAAACAUCAAGUGUUGAUGGUAGACAAGACCACUACUUUCAAGAAAAAGGAAGAGGGAAGAAGGGGAACUUCAAGAAAAACAGCAAGCAAGUUGCUGCUCAUGUGAAGAAGCCCAAGUCUGGUCCUAAGCCUAUGACUAAGUGCUUCUACUGCAAAGGGACUAGUCACUGGAAGCGGAACUACCCCAAGUGAUUGGCGGAUAAGAAGGAUGGCAAAGUGAACAUAAGUAUAUUUGAUAUACAUGUUAUUGAUGUGUACUUUACUAGUGUUUAUAGCAACCCCUCAGUAUUUGAUGCUAGUUCAGUUGCUAAGAGUAGUAACUCGAAACGGGAGUUGCAGAAUGAACAGAGACUAGUUAAGGGUGAAGUGACGAUGUGUUUUGGAAGUGGUUCCAAGAUUGAUAUGAUCAUCAUCGCACACUCCCUAUACUUUCGGGAUUAGUGUUGAACCUAAAUAAGUGUUAUUUGGUGUUUGCGUUGAGCAUGAAUAUGAUUUGAUCAUGUUUAUUGUAAUACGGUUAUUCAUUUAAGUAAAAGAAUAAAUUGUUGUUCUGUUUACAUGAAUAAAACCUUAUUUGGUUACACACCCAAUGAAAAUAGUUCAUUGGAUGUCGAUCGUAGUGAUACACAUAUUCAUAAUAUUGAAACCAAAAGAUGCGAAGUUAAUAAUGAUAGUGCAACUUAUUUGUGGCACUGCCAUUUAGGUCAUAUUGGUGUAAAGCUCAUGAAGAAACUCCAUGCUGAUGGGAUUUUGGAAUCACUUGGUGCUUGCGAACCAUGCCUUAUGGAUAAAAUGACUAAAGACUCCGUUCUCCGGAACAAUGGAGCGAGCAACUGACUUAUUGGAAAUAAUACAUACUGAUGUAUGCGAUCUGAUGAGUGUUGAAGCUCGCGGCGGGUAUCGUUAUUUUCUGACCUUCACAUAUGAUUUGAGCAGAUAUGGUAUAUCUGCUUGAUGAAACAUAAGUCUGAAACAUUUGAAAAGUUCAAAGAAUUUCAGAGUGAAAUGGAAAAUCAUCGUAACAAGAAAAAUAAGGUUUCUACGAUCUGAUCGCGGAGACAAAUAUUUGAGUUACGAGUUUGGUCUUCAAUUAAAACUAUGUGGAAUAGUUUCACAAAUUCAUGCCACCUGGAACACCACAGCAUAAUAGUGUGUUCGAACAUCAUAACCGUACUUUAUUGGAUAUAGUGCAAUCUAUGAUGUUUCUUACCGAUUUACCACUAUAGUUUUGGGGUUAUGCAUUAGAGACAGCUGCAUUCACGUUAAAAGGGCACCAUCUAAAUCUGUUGAGACGACACCGUAUGAACUGUGGUUUGGCAAGAAACCAAAGUUGUCGUUUCUCAAAGUUUGGGGUUGCAAUGCUUAUGUGAAAAAGUUUCAUCCUGAUAAGCUCAAACCCAAAUCGGAAAAGUGUGUCUUCAUAGGAUACCCAAAAAGUUACUGUUGGGUACACCUUCUAUCACAGAUCCGAAGGCAAGACUUUUGUUGCUAAAUUCAGAAACUUUCUGGAGAAGGAGUUUCUCUCGAAAGAAGUGAGUGGGAGGAAAGUAGAACUUGAUGAGGUAACUGUACCUACUCCCUUAUUGGAAAGUAGUACAUCACAGAAAACUGUUUCUGCGACACCUACCCCAAUUAGUGAGGAAGCUAAUGAUACUGAUCAUGAAACUUCAGGACAAGAUACUAUUGAACCUCAUAGAUCAACCAGAGUGAGAUCCGCGCCAUAGUGGUACGGUAAUCCUAUUCUGGAAAUCAUGCUGCUAGAUCAUGAUGAACCUACGAACUAUGAGGAAGCGAUGAUGAGCCCAGAUUCCGAUAAAUGGCUUGAGGCCAUGAAAUCUGAGAUAGGAUCCAUGUAUGAGAACAAAGUGUGGACUUUGGUGGACUUGCCCGAGGAUCGGCAAGCCAUUGAUAAUAAAUGGAUCUUCAAGAGGAAGACGGACACGGAUAGUAGUGUUACUAUCUACAAAGCUAGAAUUUUCGCAAAAGGUUUUCGACAAGUUCAAGGUGUUGACUACGAUGAGAUUUUCUCACUCGUAUCUAUGCUUAAGUCUGUCCGAAUCAUGUUAGCAAUUGCCGCAUUUUAUGAAAUCUGGCAAAUGGAUAAACAAAACUGCAUUCCUUAAUGGAUUUAUUAAAGAAGAGUUGUAUAUGAUGCAACCAGAAGGUUUUGUCAAUCCUAAAGGUACUAACAAAAUAUGCAAGCUCCAACGAUCCAUCUAUGGACUGGUGCAAACAUCUCGGAGUUGGAAUACACGCUUUGAUAAGUUGAUCAAAGCAUAUAGUUUUAUACAGACUUGUGGUGAAGCCUGUAUUUACAAGAAAGUGAGUGGGAGCACUACAACAUUUCUGAUAAGUAUAUGUGAAAGACAUAUUAUUGAUCGGAGAUAAUGUAGUAUUAUUCUGCAAAUCAUAAAGGAAUAUUUGAAAGGAGUUUUUCAAAGAAAGACCUCGGUGAAGCUGCUUACAUAUUGAGCAUCAAUAUCUAUAGAGAUAGAUCAAGACGCUUGAUAAGUUUUUCAAUGAGGAUAUACCUUGACAAGAUUUUGAAGUAGUUCAAAAUGGAAUAGUCAAAGAAGGAGUCCUUGCCUGUGUUACAUAGGUGUGAAGUUGAGUAAGACUCAAAACCCGACCACGGCAGAAGAUAGAGAGAGAAUGAAAGUCAUUCCCUAUGCCUCAGCCAUAGGUUCUAUAAAGUAUGCCAUGCUGUGUACCAGACCUAUUGUAUACCCUGCCCUGAGUUUGGCAAGGGAGUACAAUAGUGAUCUAGGAGUAGAUCACUGGACAUUGUUCAAAAUUAUCCUUAGUGGAAUAAGGAUAUGUUUCUCGAUUAUGGAGGUGACAAAAGGUUCGUCGUAAAGGGUUACGUCGAUGCAAGUUUUGACACUGAUCCAGAUGACUCUAAGUCUCAAUCUGGAUACAUAUUGAAAGUGUGAGCAAUUAGCUAGAGUAGCUCCAUGCAGAGCAUUGUUGACAUAGAAAUUUGCAAAAUACUUACAGAUCUGAAUGUGGCAGACCCGUUGACUAAACUUCUCUCACAAGAAAAACAUGAUCACACCUCAGUACUCUUUGGGUGUUAAUCACAUAGCGAUGUGAACUAGAUUAUUGACUCUAGUAAACCCUUUGGGUGUUGGUCACAAGUUGAUGUGAACUAUGGGUGUUAAUCACAUGGUGAUGUGAACUAUUGAUGUUAAAUCACAUGGCGAUGUGAACUAGAUUAUUGACUCUAGUGCAAGUGGGAAACUAAAGGAAAUAUGCCCUAGAGGCAAUAAUAAAGUUAUUAUUUAUUUCCUUAUACCAUGAUAAAUGUUUAUUAUUCAUGCUAGAAUUGUAUUAACCGGAAACAUUAUACCUGUGUGAAUACAUAGACAAACAGAGUGUCACUAGUAUGCCUCUACUUGACUAGCUCGUUAAUCAAAGAUGGUUAUGUUUCCUAACCAUGGACAAAGAGUUGUUAUUUGAUUAACGGGAUCACAUCAUUAGGUGAAUGAUCUGAUUGACAUGACCCAUUCCAUUAGCUUAGCACCAGAUCGUUUAGUAUGUUGCUAUUGCUUUCUUCAUGACUUAUACAUGUUCCUAUGACUAUGAGAUUAUGCAACUCCCGUUUGCCGGAGGAACACUUUGUGUGCUACCAAACGUCACAACGUAACUGGGUGAUUAUAAAGGAGCUCUACAGGUGUCUCCAAAGGUACAUGUUGGGUUGGCGUAUUUCGAGAUUAGGAUUUGUCACUUCGAUCAUCGGAGAGGUAUCUCUGGGCCCUCUCGGUAAUGCACAUCACUUAAGCCUUGCAAGCAUUGCAGCUAAUGAGUUAGUUGCGGGAUGAUGUAUUACGGAACGAGUAAAGAGACUUGCCGGUAACGAGAUUGAACUAGGUAUUGGAUACCGACGAUCGAAUCUCGGGCAAGUAACAUACCGAUGACAAAGGGAACAACGUAUGUUGUUAUGCGGUCUGACCGAUAAAAGAUCUUUGUAGAAUAUGUAGGAACCAAUAUGGGCAUCCAGGUCCCGCUAUUGGUUAUUGACCGGAGACGUGUCUCGGUCAUGUCUACAUUGUUCUCGAACCCGUAGGGUCUGCACGCUUAAGGUUUCGAUGACAGUUAUAUUAUGAGUUUAUGAGUUUUAAUGUACCGAAGGAGUUCAGAGUCCCGGAUGAGAUCGGGGACAUGACGAGGAGUCUCAAAAUGGCCGAGACAUAAAAAUCGAUAUAUUGGACGACUAUAUUCGGACAUCGGAAAGGUUCCGAGUGAUUCGAGUAUUUUUCGGAGUACCGGAGAGUUACGGGAAUUCGCCGAGAGAAGUAUUGGGCCUUAUUGGGCCAUACGGGAAAGAGAGAGGGGCUGCCUAGGGCAGGCCGCGCGCCCCCAAGGCUUAGUCCGAAUUGGACUAGGGGGAGGGGCUGCGCCCCUUCCUUGUUUCCUACUCCUACUACAUGGAAGGACUCCUACUUGGACUAGGAAAGGGGGAAUCCUACUCCCGGUGAGAGUAGGACUUCUCUAGGCGCGCCAUAGAGAGGGCCGGCCCUCCCCUCCUGCACUCCUUGAUAUACGGGGGCAGGGGGCACCCCAUAGACACACAAGUUGAUCCACGUGAUUAUAUUCUUAGCCGUGUGCGGUGCCCCCUUCCACCAUAGUCCUCGAUAAUAUUGUAGUAGUGCUUAGGCGAAGCCCUGCGACAGUAGUACAUCAAGAUCGUCACCACGCCGUCGUGCUGACGGAACUCUUCCCCGACACUUUGCUGGAUCGGAGUCCGGGGAUCGUCAUCGAGCUGAACGUGUGCUAGAACUCGGAGGUGCCGUAGUUUCGGUACUUGAUCGAUCGGGCCGUGAAGACGUACGACUACAUCAACCGCGUUGUCAUAACGCUUCCGCUAUCAGUCUACAAGGAUACGUACAUCACACUCUCCUCUCUCGUUGCUAUGCAUCAUCAUGAUCUUGCGUGUGCGUAGGAAAUUUUUUGAAAUUACUAUGUUCCCCAACAAAAAUAUUCACAAAGAAACUCUAAAUACACAAAAAAAACAACUCAAAAAUAAAUAAAGCAAAAAAAAUAAAAAAAGCCCGCCUACUGGGCCAGAGCGGCCUGCAUACGACUAGAAACUCAACCUGUUGUUGGGCCAGGAUGCAGGCCCGCAAAGGUCGAGUAGGCCCACAGGGCAGCACAGAACAUGUAGGCCCAGUAGGCCUGCUUUGGAGAGGAGCUCGAGACAGCUACCGCACGGGGGGUUAUAAACCAGUGCAGACGCCCUUCGGCUAGCGAGGUGGGACUAAACUUGCUGCACCGCACCUGCGCCAAUGCACCCCCUUUAGUACCGGGUGGUGGCACCAACCGGUACUAAAGGCGGGGGUGCCUUUAGUACCGGUUGGAGCCACCACCCGGUACUAAAGGGGGUGCGCUUCCCGCCGCUUGGACUGGCCAAAACAGGCCUUUAGUACCGGUUGGUGGCUCCAACCGGUACUAAAGGUCCAUCCUAUAUAUCCAAACACUUCAAAAAUUUCAGUUUUUCAUCUGCUUCUUCUCCUCUGCCCCGUCGCCCGCCGCCCCCGUCUCCAUAUCCCUCGUCGCCGCCCCCGUCGCCGCCCCGUCCCCGUCGUCGNNNNNNNNNNNNNNNNNNNNNNNNNNNNNNNNNNNNNNNNNNNNNNNNNNNNNNNNNNNNNNNNNNNNNNNNNNNNNNNNNNNNNNNNNNNNNNNNNNNNNNNNNNNNNNNNNNNNNNNNNNNNNNNNNNNNNNNNNNNNNNNNNNNNNNNNNNNNNNNNNNNNNNNNNNNNNNNNNNNNNNNNNNNNNNNNNNNNNNNNNNNNNNNNNNNNNNNNNNNNNNNNNNNNNNNNNNNNNNNNNNNNNNNNNNNNNNNNNNNNNNNNNNNNNNNNNNNNNNNNNNNNNNNNNNNNNNNNNNNNNNNNNNNNNNNNNNNNNNNNNNNNNNNNNNNNNNNNNNNNNNNNNNNNNNNNNNNNNNNNNNNNNNNNNNCUCGCCGAUGAGCACACACGCACAUACAUUUUUUUAGUUUUUUAGUUAUAGAAAUAGUUAUAAAAAUGUUAGAAAAUUUUCUUUUCUUAGUUAUAGAAAUAGUUACUUAUAUAUCAUUAUUAGAAAUGUUAGAAUUGUUAGAAAUUUUUUCUGUUUUUUAGUUAUAGAAAUAGUUAUAAAAAAGUUAGAAUUGUUAGAAAUUUUUCUGUUUUUUAGUUAUAGAAAUAGUUAUAAAAAAGUUAGAAAUUUUUCUUUUUUUAGUUAUAGAAAUAUUAGAAAUGUUAUACAAAUGUUAGUUAUACAGAUAGAAAUGUUAUAAUUUUUUUUGUUUUUUAGUUAUAGAAAUAUUAGAAAUGUUAUAGAAAUGUUAGUUAUAUAGCAUUGUUAGAAAUGUUAUAGGAAUGUUAGUUAUAUAGAAAUGUUAGAACUUUGAGUUAUCAAAAUCCAAUUAUUAAAAAAAUGUUACUUUUUGCGGGCAUAUAGCUAGUACUUGUUCUCGACGAUGCCCGGCCCGCAUCCUCGCCGUCGACCCGUCCGCGACGACGUCCGGCUGACCCAUGUCCGAGACUGGGCUCCGCCGGGCUGGCACUGGGGGGGCGCGCCGCUUGAUGAGGAACAUGGCCCCGGGUCCCGUCGUCGACCCUGAUCUAGUUUGGAGGCGUUCGCGUCGGCCAGUUUCGGUGCGGAGGGAGCCGGCCCCGCCGGAGGUGGUACGUCGCCGUGUUAGGGAGGAGGACGAGCACGUCCAUCGCUACAUGGUUGCGUUAGAGGGCGGCAGGUUCUCCAAUACCUGGCAGUUUCUUCAGGGAUCUCACUUCAGCUAUGAUCCUGUGAGGGUUCCUUCUCUUUGGGUGUCCACCGCCCGCGCCGCAGGAACUGCGAGUGUCCUAGAUUCUUCUGUAGUCAGUGAUGUAUUCGAUAUAUAAUAUUCGAGACGAUGUAUUCGAGAUUAUAUAUUAUUCGAGACGAUGUAUUCGAGAUUAUAUCUAUUAUUCGAGACGAUGUAUUCGAGAUUAUAUCUAUUAUUCAAGACGAUGUAUUCGAGAUUAUAUCUAUUAUUUGAGACGAUGUAUUCGAGAUUAUAUCUAUUAUUCGAGACGACGUAUUCGAGAUUAUAUUUGAUGAUGCUUAUAUGUACUAUGAUUGAUUCAGUUUUUCCUUAUUAAUUGAUUGCAUCCAUGCAUUGUAAUUUGAAUAUAUUUCUUUUGGAUUAGUUAAACAAAACCUAUGGCGGACAAUACCGGUAGAGAGGGAGAAGAGGCCCUGUUCAAUAUCAUAUGCAAUCCUCGCGGGCCAGAUGAUGAUCAGAAUGAAGAAGAUUAUGACGGCUCCGAAUAUGUAAACAACACCGGGGAGGGUGAUAUGAUAUUCGAUCGCGACGACUGAAUUGAUGAAGUCAUGAACUAUGAACAUGACAAAGAAAAUGUUGAUCUUGAAACAACAAAGACCGGCGAGGUAUAUAUAUUUAUAUAAGCAGGCAUCUGGUGAUCAUCACAUGUUUUAAAUGACUCGAAGAUAUAUUAACGAAUCGAUCUUUCUUCUUUCAGCUAUCUGGAUCGAGCAAAUCUUCAGGCAACAGGAUGAAAUGAGGCCCAAACAAAAAGUUGAAGGAGGGCGUAAAGUACAAUAUCGAGGCAAUCAGACCUAAUGGCGAACCAUUAGCGCCUAAGAAGAUUGCGGACAAGUUCGUUCGUCAGUGCGGAGUUCUUGUGAAGGACCUACUCCCGAUCUCCCUUCAAGAAUGGAGAGAGCCAGCAAACCAACGUCCAGAUCUUACUUUUGUCGAUGACAGACAAAAAGGUCUGCUUUGGGAUACUCUCAUGGAACAUUUCACCCUACCAGAUCAUUUCACAGAAGCAGAUGUGCAGAAAGUAAAGGACGCUGCUCUUAGGAAGAUGGCGGUUGCAUUCAAGAACCAUAAGAAUCAUGAAUGGGACAAGUACAUCAAGGGAGGAAGGAAGACUCCAGUAUUCGAGGGAACACUAGAGAAGCAAAGUGCUCAUUGGGACGAUUGCGUGAAAUUCAAGGAUUCGGAAUUAGCUAAGGAGCGGUCGAGAAUAAACAAGAAGAAUGUCGAAAAAAGGAUAAGUUCCAUAAGCUGGGGCCAGGUGGCUACGCGAUGGCAAUGCCUAAGUGGGAUAAGUUUGAGAAAGAGAUGGAGGAUGCAAGUGUCACUCCGGUUACUAGGAGCUGGCCCCCCAGGUGCAGGACUUGGUUCUAUGCGCAUGGGGGGAGUUGGACCCGAAGACAGGCAAAGUUUCGACGAAGGCAUGUCUGAACGGAGCCAACGAUGCGCUAAUUGUUGCAAUAGAAGAGGCUCGAACGGGGGUAUUCCAGCCCAACAGAGAGAACGACGAGCUUACGCGUGCCCUGGGAAAUCCUGAACACCCGGGAAUAACACGAGGCAAGGGCGCUAUUCCGUGGUAUGAGUGGUUUUCGGACUGGAACCGACUACAGAAACCGUGUGAGAAGGAAGAUUGCGGAGGAGAAGAAGAGGAAGAUGGAGGAGGAGCAGAGGAAGUUGGACUAUGAACGCCUUCAAGGCCUAGAAUCAAAGCACGCAGACUUGGCAGUCAAAUUCCAGCGGCAGCAGGAGCAGAUCGACUCACUUAGCCAGCAAAGGGGGUCUCAGCAGCUGCAGCGGCAAGCGGAUGAUCCAGCAUUGGAUAGCACCGCCCUAUCCAUGCCGAGAAGCAGCGUGGGUUCCGCCCCGGGCGACGCAAUGCUGGAUAGAUACCCCGUGGAUGACGUCACGGAGAACACUAACUGCGAGCUACACUUCAAAAUGAAGAACAUAUCCAUGAAGGUGGCGGAUGCCGUUGCUUUUACAAAUCCCCCCGAGGCAACCUUCCAUUGCAACCCGAUUCCAGCAGGCUAUGCUCGUGUCUUGGUUGAUGAGGUGGUGGACCCAUAUUCGGGGCUACAUCUUGACAUUCCUGGAGGUGAUGACGAGCACACAUUGGGAGAGGCCAUACAUCGUGUCAUCCUAUGGAGAAAGGAUUGCAUCGUCUUUCGAAGGCCACCGGCACCGCGUCACCCGACUCCUCGUCGAAGUCCGCCACCGAGUCAGCAAACUCCUGCUCCUCCAAGUCCACCAAUGUGUGAGGCCAUUACUCCUCCUCCAAGUCUGGCAAAGUGUCAGGCCACUCCUCCUCCAAGUCCGACACAGCGUCAGACGUCCACUCCUCCUCCAUGUCCGGCACAACUUCAGGCCACUCCUCCUCCAAGUCCGGCACAGCUUCAGGCCACUCCUCCUCAUCCAACUCAGCCCCGUCAGCCUUCUCCGCCGCCUCAGCAAUCGCAGAAGAGACACCCCGCAGCUAUGGUGCAUAGCGGUACGAGUCGAGGUAGUACAGGAAGUACAGGCGGAGGCAAGCUAUAUAAAUAUGGUCCAAGCCUCACUACUCCUCUUCCUCAGAGGGCUUAUGACAUGACCGAGGAGCAAACCAAUGCCAUAGAGCAGGCAGAAGUGGACGCCCAUUUUGGACCGAAACCGCCACCGCCGCCAAGGGAGAAACUGCCUGUGGAAAAGAUUGACCACUUCAUUCGUAUGGCCCAACCACCAGCUCCCAAGCCCGAUGACACAGACUAUGAGCGCCACAUCAGGAAGUUAAAUCGAGCACGUCUACAGAAGGAGGCGAGCUCGAGCUCGAGCAAACAACAAGCAGCUGUCAAAAAAUGCAGGAAAACCGUUCCCCAGCAGGGAGAACAGGCGACGCAAUCGAUCCCCUCGCUUGUUGUGCCAACAACACGUGAUAGUACGCGCGCCCAAUAUUAUUGUGGCCAAACAGUUUAUGUUCCCGAGGUGGGCAAUGUGGUAAUAACCGAGGAGCAUAUAAUGCAGGCUAAAAUUCUCAACAUCACUGUUGGACAACUCCUCAAGAUCGAGCCCAUGCCUGUGCUUACAGAGGAGGAAAUAAAAUGGAAAUAUGUCCGGGGCGAACCUUUGGUCAAGCCAGACGAGGUCAAGAAGCUCCUAACGCGAAUGUAUGAAUUGCAUCAAUGGUACAUGGACAUUACCAAGAGUUCCAAUCGAGAGUCCCUCAUGGUGGAAGUCAAGAAGGAUCAUUACUACCAUCAGAAAGCUGUGGCCGUUGAGUAUAAUGAACUGUUUGAGUUAUACAAUCAAGAUGCACUCGACAAAUCUAUCGUCAGUUGCUAUUGUCUGUAAGUGAUUUCUUUCUGUAAUUUAAGUCUCAAGCUAGCUGUAGUGAUCCUUUUGAUCAAUCAUUACCUGUAAUUAUCCUCACUAUAUUCUUUUCUGUGGUAUUAUGCAUGAUGAAGAUGUAUGUAAUGAAAAAAAGUGGACGCUACGGCAUUGGGUUCAUUGACCCAAACACCGUUAAUGAAUACACAUGGAAAAUAGAUCCAUAUCAUGAAAAGCAUGUAGAGGACAGCAUGCUAGAGUUCUUGAAGCGCCUCAAAUACAAUGAAGAUAUACUACUUCCUUACAACUUCCAGUGAGUCACACUGUCUUGUACUAUACAAAUUCUCUGUUUUUGCCUACUAGCUAGCUACAUGUUUUUGCUUAUGUAUGCCCGCUUAAUUAAGACAUGCAAACGUGUGUGCAUGCAGAUUUCACUGGAUCUUGUGUAUCAUUAAAGUUGACGCUGGAACAAUUGAAAUACUGGACUCACUACUCAAAGCAAAUAGUGACUAUAACAUCUUGUUUGGGAUAGUCAACAGGUAAUUUCAAUCAUUAUUAACUAUAUAUCUCGACCUAUUUAGUUCGUCAUUUCAUGAUAUGAACUAUUUAAUAACCCAUUUAUUCAUUUUCUUUGUCAGCGGGCAGGGCUUGGGCAAGGUUCAUCAGCGUCACUCCAGGCGAAUGGAAACAAAAGCUGAAAUGGUUUCGACCCAAGGUAAGUAAUUAAGUAGUACUAGCUAGCUAGCUAGCUGCCAUCUCUUUAAUUAUCAUGCUUGCUUAAUUAUUAUCUGAUCAACUUCCAUUCUCGUAAAGGCCCUGAAGGAGGCGCAGGGGACUGAUCUGUGUGCAUACUGCGUUUGCGAGAACAUUCACAUGAUGGCAUCCGAAAGGAGCAGAUCUCAAAGACAGGAAUGGCACUAGUAGAAAAAGGGUCCAAUCGUGAAGCACAUUAGUGCCGGUUUGAAUUUGAGCUGGCACUAAUGUGUGCAUUAGUGCCGGUUCCAACGGCUAGCCGGCCGCUCUCAUUAGUACCGGUCCGUGGUGAACCUUUAGCACCGGUUCGUGCCAUGAACCGGUACUAAAGUGAGUGGUGGCAGGAUGUUGUCAGUCCGGGGCCCCUCCAGCACCUUUAGUACCGGGUCGUUUCAUGAACCGGUACUAAAGGUCGUCCUACAUAGACCCUUCGUCCACCCGAGCUCGCUUUGUUCUUCCCCUUUCCCCUCUCCUCUCUGUUCUUUUCCCUCUUCCUCUCAAGCUCAUCACACAUUUUGCCCAAAAUUUGUCAAGAUUUGAAGGCCCCCAUCCAUUCAAAUGAUCACAAAGGUUAACAACUUUUUCCUUUCAUCUCUCAUUGCUAGAUUAGCUUGUGCAAUGCUUUAUAUAGUGAUUGAUUUUUGAGUUUAGUAAUUUGGGAGGAAUUAUAUAGAUGUGCUAGUAUUUGAUUUAUAUGCAAUUUGAGGUCAAAAAUAACACUUAGUUUGCAUAUGUAGGUGUGGUUUACGUAGUACCUUCUAAAUCUCCGUCGUAACCACCGUCGAUCGCUCGCAACGUCCCGUCGCCAGCACCACCUUGUGGUGAGCCUCUUGUUCUUGAACUUUUAUAUAAAAAAUUGAUGUUUGUGUGAUUUGGAUAUAUAGUUACUCGUAUAAUUAUCUUACCCAUACGUUGUUUGUUAUACAUAGUGCCAUGGUUUUGAUAUCCGUCCCCGUUGGCCCUCGUCCGGGUUAUGAUUCGGAUGUGGUAUAUUCUCUUUUAAAACUAUUCAUUGCAUUUCGUGUUUAUGACAAAUUAUGCCCAUCAAGUUGACAUAGAUAUUUGUAUGUAGGAGGUAGUUGAACCGGAAAUUCCAACCGACCCUAUUGUCGAGAGGUUAAAUUUAGUUGAAAGAGAAAACGAGGAUUUGAAGGAAAAAUUGAAAAGAAUUGAGGGGGAGAAGAUGGAAUUGGAGUUGCAUGUUGCCGAUGUCGUCGAUAAUCACAAGAUUAAGAUGGAGAAAAUGCGCUUGAAGAUUAGAAAGAUUAGAAAAUAUGCUAUUCAUAGUGAGGCUUGGUAUCAUUAUGCUGUUGGAUCAAUUGUUACCUUAGUUGCGAUCUUGAUCGCAUUUGUUGUUGCAUUUAAAUUCUUUAGCUAGAGAGUUAUUUGUUUGUUGCAUUUAAGUGUUGUAUGAUCUUUAUGUAUGAACUUUAUGUAUUGUAUUAAUUUGACGUUUUCGGUGCUGUCUAUUGAAGAUGAGCCGGCAAUGGAUGUACGAUGACCGAUGCUCUCCCGAAUUCAUUAAUGGUGUGCGUACUUUUCUGCUUGCGGCUGAGGCAAACAAGCGAGCGGAUGGUUUUAUGCCUUGUCCAUGUGCUGGCUGUAAGAAUGGUCACAAUUACUCUACGUCAAGAACCAUUCACGUCCACCUGUUUGAGUCCGGUUUCAUGCCCCACUAUAAUGUUUGGACCAAGCAUGGAGAAAGAGGGGUUAUGAUGGAAGACAAUGAAGAAGAAGAGGACGACGACAGCUAUCCUGGCCAUGGGUUCCCUGAAUACGAUGAUACAACAAUGAGGGAAGAAGCUGAGCCGGUAAUGCGGGAAGAAGCUAAAGAAGAGGCAUCGGAUGAGCCCGUUGAUGAUCUAGGUCAGGCCAUUGCCGAUGCAAAGAGAAACUGCGCAAGUGAUUUGGAGAAGAAGAAGUUGCAGCGCAUGUUAGAGGAUCACAAAAAAUUGUUGUACCCGAAUUGCGUAGGUGACAAGAAAAAGCUGGGCACCACACUGGAAUUGCUGCAAUGGAAGGCAGAGAAUGGUGUAUCUGACAAGGGAUUUGGAAAGUUGCUGGUAAUGAUAAAGGAUAUGCUUCCACAGGACAACGAAUUGCCCGAGAGUACGUACGAAGCAAAGAAGGUUGUCUGCCCUCUAGGGUUAGAGGUGCAGAAGAUACAUGCAUGCCCUAAUGGUUGCAUCCUCUACCGCGAUGAGUACGAGGAUUUGAACGCUUGCCUGGUAUGCGGUGCAUUGCGCUAUAAGAUCAGCCGCGAUGACCCUGGUGAUGUUGAGGGCGAGCGCCCCAGGAAGAAGAUUCCUGCCAAGGUGAUGUGGUAUGCUCCUAUAAUACCCCGGUUGAAACGUUUGUUCCAAAACAAAGAGCAUGCCAAUGCGAUGCGAUGGCACAGAGAAGACCGUAAGAAAGACGGAAAGUUGAGAGUACCCGCUGAUGGGUCGCAGUGGAGAAAAAUCGAAAGAAAGUACGGAAAGGAGUUUGUAGAUGACGCAAGGAACGUAUGGUUUGGUCUAAGCGCAGAUGGCAUUAAUCCUUUUGGGGAGCAGAGCAGCAACCAUAGAACCUGGCAUGUGACUCUAUGUUUGUAUAAUCUUCCUCAUUGGUUGUGCAUGAAGCGGAAGUUCAUUAUGAUGACAGUGCUCAUCCAAGGCCCUAAGCAACCCGGCAACGACAUUGAUGUGUACCUAAGGCCAUUAGUUGAAGAACUCUUACAACUGUGGAAUGGAACAGGUGUACGUGCGUGGGAUGAGCACAUGGGGAAGAAUUUGACCUAAAGGCGUUGCUGUUCGUGACCAUCAAUGAAUGGCUGUUCUCAGUAACCUUUCAGGACAGACAAACAAGGGAUACCGCGCAUGAACGCACUGUUUGGAUGAUACGGACAGUAUAUAUUUGGCUAAUUGUAAGAAGAAUGUGUACCUGGGACAUCGUCGAUUUCUUCCGAGCAGGCAUCCCGUAAGAAAGAAAGGCAAGCAUUUCAAAGGUGAGGCGGAUCACCGGACGAAGCCUCGCCACUGUACUGGUGUUGAUGUACAUGAUAUGGUCAAGGAUUUGAAGGUGGUCUUUGGAAAGGGUCCUGGUGGACAACCUGUUCCGAAUGACGCUGACGGACGCGCACCCAUGUGGAAGAAGAAAUCUAUAUUUUGGGACCUGCCCUAUUGGAAAGACCUAGAGGUCUGCUCCGCAAUCGACGUGAUGCAUGUGACGAAGAAUCUUUGUGUGACCCUGCUUGGCUUCUUGGGCGUGUAUGGGAAGACAAAAGAUACACCUGAGGCACGGGAGGACCAGCAAUGUAUGCACGGAAAAGACGGCAUACAUUAGGGUCAUGCAAGCUAUGCUCUUACAAAAGAAGAGAAGGAAAUCUUCUUUGAAUGCAUGCUCAGUAUUAAGGUACCGUCUGGCUUCUCGACGAAUAUAAAGGGAAUAAUAAACAUGGCAGAGAAAAAGUUCCAGAACCUAAAGUCUCAUGACUGCCACAUGAUUAUGACGCAACUUCUUCCGGUUGCAUUGAGGGUGCUUCUACCAGAAAAUGUUCGAUUAGCCAUUGUGAAGCUAUGUGCAUUUCUCAAUGUAAUCCCUCAGAAGGUAAUCGAUCCAGAAAUCAUACCAAGGUUAGAGAAUGAUUUGGUGCAAUGGCUUGUCAGUUUCGAGUUGGUGUUCCCACCAUCCUUCUUCAACAUCAUGACGCACGUCCUAGUUCACUUAUGCGAAGAGAUUAACGUUUUUGGUCCUGUAUUUCUACACAAUAUGUUCCCCUUUGAGAGGUUCAUGGGAGUCUUAAAGAAAUAUGUUCAUAACCAUGCUAGGCCAGAAGGAAGCAUCUCCAAGGGCCAUGAAAAUGAGGAGGUCAUUGAGUUUUGUAUUGACUUUAUUCCUGACCUUAAGCCGAUUGGUGUUCCUAAAUCGCGGCAUAAGGGCAGACUGGAUGGAAAAGGCAUGCUAGGAGGGGAACAAAUAAUAUGUAUGGACGAACAUUCUCUCACUGAAGCACACUACACAGUUUUACAGAAUUCCGCCUUGGUGGCUCCGUAUAUGUAUGAACACAAGAAUUUGCUACGCUCCAAACACCCGAGCGGUCUGAUGACUGGAUUACACGUGAACUAACUAGGAGUUUCGCCAGCUGGUUGCAGACACGUACCAUGCAUGACACCUCUAUUGAAGAUGACAUGUACUUGCUGUCCCAGUUACCAUCUUCGAAUAUAAUGACUUUCAAAGGGGACGAGAUAAAUGGUAAUACAUUUUACACGAUCGCCCAAGAUAAGAAGAGCACCAACCAAAACAGUGGUGUCUGCUUUGAUGCAGAAACCAAGACGGGAAAGGAAACAUAUUAUGGUUAUAUACAGGACAUAUGGGAACUUGACUAUCGACGUGGUUUGAAGGUCCCUUUGUUUCGGUGCAAAUGGGUCAAUAUGACACGAGGCGGGGUAACGGAAGACCCGCAGUACGGAAUGACAACAGUGGAUCUCAACAAUCUUGCGUAUGCAGACGAACCAUUCGUCCUAGACAAUGAUGUGGCACAGGUUUUCUAUGUGAAAGACAUGUCUACCAAGCCAAGAAAAAGAAAAGAUAAGGAAGCGAAUGCAUUGUACGAUGAGCCAAAGCGGCACAUAGUUCUUUCUGGGAAGAGAAACAUCGUGGGAGUGGAUGACAAGACAGACAUGUCAGAAGAUUAUGAAAAGUUUGAUGAAAUUGCUCCAUUCACGGUGAAUAUUGACCCGAGCAUCCCGUUAAAUGAUGAAGAUUUUCCAUGGUUACGGCGCAAAGGGACACACGCGAAGAAAAAGUUUCACACCCAAAGAUCUGGGAUGUGAUCGGCUUCACUAUCAUCACUUUGUUCUGUGUUUCACACCCAGGAGGGAAUCUCUCUAAUAGUUAGGGUAGUUAUGUGUUUUGGCAUUUGAAAUGCGCAGAAAUUUUAUGUGCAAACAAAUUCUUUCAUGCCUUUACUGAUUUUUAAAGUUAAGUUAUUCACAAACUAGUGAUUCACACUAAUUUCAAAUAAUUCAAAAUUUAAACUAUUAAAAUUUGAAAACUACGGGCACUAAAGAAAGUUUGUAAUUUUUUGUACCUAAAGAAAAAUAUUCACAAAGAAACUCUAAAUACACAAAAAAACAACUCAAAAAUAAAUAAAGCAAAAAAAAUAAAAAUAAAGCCCGCCUACUGGUCCAGAGCGGCCUGCAUACGACUAGAAACCCAACAUGUUGUUGGGCCAGGAUGCAGGCCCGCAAAGGCACAGUAGGCCCACAGGGCAGCACAAAACAUGUAGGCCCAGUAGGCCUGCUUUGGAGAGGAGCUCGAGAGAGCUACCGCACGGGGGGAUAUAAACCAGUGCGGACGCCCCUCGGCUAGCGAGGUGGGACUAAACUUGCCACACCGCACAUGCGCCAGCGCACCCCCUUUAGUACCGGGUGGUGGCACCAACCGGUACUAAAGGGGGGCCUUUAGUACCGGUUGGAGCCACCACCCGGUACUAAAGGGGGUGCGCUUCCCGCCGCUUGGCCUGGCCAAAACAAGCCUUUAGUACCGGUUGGUGGCUCCAACCGGUACUAAAGGUCCAUCCUAUAUAACUAAACACUUCAAAAAUUUCAGUUUCUCAUCUGCUUCUUCUCCUCUGCCCCGUCGCCCGUCGCCCCCGUCUCCAUAUCCCUCGUCGANNNNNNNNNNNNNNNNNNNNNNNNNNNNNNNNNNNNNNNNNNNNNNNNNNNNNNNNNNNNNNNNNNNNNNNNNNNNNNNNNNNNNNNNNNUUUUUCUGUUUUUCAGAAAUAGUUAGAAAUGUUAGAAUUGUUAAAAUAGUUAGAAAUGUUAGAAUUGUUAGAAUUGUUAGAAAUGUUAGAAUUGUAAGAAAUUUUUCUGUUUUUUAGUUAUAGAAAUAGUUAUAAAAAAGUUAGAAUUGUUAGAAAUUUUUCUGUCUUUUAGUUAUAGAAAUAGUUAUAAAAAUGUUAGUUAUAUAUAUAGUAAUGUUAUAAUUUUUUCUGUUUUUUAUUUAUAGAAAUAUUAGAAAUGUUAUAGAAAUGUUAGUUAUAUAUAGCAUUGUUAGAAAUGUUAUAGAAAUGUUAGUUAUAUAGAAAUGUUAGAAAUUUUAGUUAUCAAAAUCCAAUCAUUAAAAAAAUGUUACUUUUUGCGGGCAUAUAGCUAGUAUUUGUUCUCGACGAUGCCCGACCCGCAUCCUCGNNNNNNNNNNNNNNNNNNNNNNNNNNNNNNNNNNNNNNNNNNNNNNNNNNNNNNNNNNNNNNNNNNNNNNNNNNNNNNNNNNNNNNNNNNNNNNNNNNNNNNNNNNNNNNNNNNNNNNNNNNNNNNNNNNNNNNNNNNNNNNNNNNNNNNNNNNNNNNNNNNNNNNNNNNNNNNNNNNNNNNNNNNNNNNNNNNNNNNNNNNNNNNNNNNNNNNNNNNNNNNNNNNNNNNNNNNNNNNNNNNNNNNNNNNNNNNNNNNNNNNNNNNNNNNNNNNNNNNNNNNNNNNNNNNNNNNNNNNNNNNNNNNNNNNNNNNNNNNNNNNNNNUAUAUUAGAAAUGUUAUAGAAAUGUUAGUUAUAUAGCAUUGUUAGAAAUGUUAUAGGAAUGUUAGUUAUAUAGAAAUGAUAGAAAUUUUAGUUAUCAAAAUCCAAUCAUUAAAAAAAUGUUACUUUUUGCGGGCAUAUAGCUAGUAUUUGUUCUCGACGAUGCCCGGCCCGCAUCCUCGCCGUCGACCCGUCCGCGACGACGUCCGACUGACCCAUGUCCGGGACUGGGCUCCACCGGGCUGGCACUGGGAGGUGCUGCCUAGAGGGACGCACCGCUUGAUGAGGAACCCGGCCCCGGGUCACGUCGUCGACCCUGAUCUCGUUUGGUGGCGUUCGCGUGGGCCAGUUUCGGUGUGGAGGGAGCCGGCCCCGCCGGAGGUGGUACGUCGCCGUGUCAGGGAGGAGGACGAGCACGUCCAUUGCUACAUGGUUGCGUUAGAGGGCGGCAGGUUCUCCAAUACCUGGCAGUUUCUUCAGGGAUCUCACUUCAGCUAUGAUCCUGUGAGGGUUCCUUCUCUUUGGGUGUCCACCGCCCGCGUCGCAGGAACUGCGAGUGUCCUAGAUUCUUCGGUAGUCAGUGAUGUAUUCGAUAUAUAAUAUUCGAGACGAUGUAUUCGGAUUAUAUAUUAUUCGAGAUGAUGUAUUCGAGAUUAUAUCUAUUAUUCGAGACAAUGUAUUCGAGAUUAUAUCUAUUAUUCAAGACGAUGUAUUCGAGAUUAUAUCUAUUAUUCGAGACGAUGUAUUCGAGAUUAUAUCUAUUAUUCAAGACGACGUAUUUGAGAUUAUAUUCGAUGAUGCUUAUUAUGUACUAUGAUUGAUUCAGUUUUUCCUUAUUAAUUGAUUGCAUCCAUGCAUUGUAAUUUGAAUAUAUUUCUUUUGGAUUAGUUAAACAAAACCUAUGGCGGACAAUACCGGCAGAGAGGGAGAAGAGGCCCUGUUCAAUAUCAUACGCAAUCCUCGCGGGCCAGAUGAUGAUCAGAAUGAAGAAGAUUAUGACGGCUCCGAAUAUGUAAACAACACCGGGGAGGGUGAUAUGAUAUUCGAUCGCGACGACCGAAUUGAUGAAGUCAUGAACUAUGAACAUGACGAAGAAAAUGUUGAUCUUGAAACAACAAAGACCGGUGAGGUAUAUAUAUUUAUAUAAGCAGGCAUCUGGUGAUCAUCACAUGUUUUAAAUGACUUGAAGAUAUAUUAACGAAACGAUCUUUCUUCUUUCAGCCAUCCAGAUCGAGCAAAUCUUCAGGCAACAGGAUGAAACGAGGCCCAAACAAAAAGUUGAAGGAGGGCAUAAAGUACAAUAUCGAGGCAAUCAGACCUAAUGGCGAACCAUUAGCGCCUAAGAAGAUUGCGGACAAGUUCGUUCGUCAGUGCGGAGUUCUUGUGAAGGACCUACUCCCGAUCUCCCUUCAAGAAUGGAGAGAGCCAGCAAAGCCACGUCCAGGUCUUACUUUUGCCGACGACAGACAAAAAGGUCUGCUUUGGGAUACUCUCAUGGAACAUUUCACCCUACCAGAUCAUUUCACAGAAGCAGAUGUGCAGAAAGUCAAGGACGCUGCUCUUAGGAAGAUGGCGGUUGCAUUCAAGAACCACAAGAAUCAUGAAUGGGACAAGUACGUCAAGGAAGGAAGGAAGACUCCUGUAUUCGAGGGAACACUAGAGAAGCGAAUUGCUCAUUGGGACGAUUUCGUGAAAUUCAAGGAUUCGGAAUUAGCUAAGGAACGGUCGAGAAUAAACAAGAAGAAUGUCGAAAAAAGGAUAAGUUCCAUAAGCUGGGGCCAGGUGGCUAAGCGGUGGCAAUGCCUAAGUGGGAUAAGUUUGAGAAAGAGAUGGAUGAUGCAGGUAUCAUUCCGGUUACUAGGAGCUGGCCCACCAGGUGCAGGACUUGGUUCUAUGCGCAUGGGGGGAGUUGGACCCGAAGACAGGCAAAGUUUUGACGAAGGCAUGUCUGAACGGAGCCGACGAUGCGCUAAUUGUUGCAAUAGAAGAGGCUCGAAUGGGGGUAUUCUAGCCCAACAGAGAGAACGACAAGCUUACGUGUGCCCUAGGAAAUCCUGAACACCUGGGAAGAACACGAGGCAAGGGCGCUAUUCCGUGGUAUGAGGGGUUUUCGGACUGGAACGCCGACUACAGAACCCGUGCGAGAAGGAAGCUUGCGGAGGAGAAGAAGAGGAAGAUGGAGGGGGAGCAGAGGAAGCUGGACUAUGAACGCCUUCAAGGCCUAGAAUCAAAGCACGCGGACUUGGCAGUCAAAUUCUAGCGGCAGCAGGAGCAGAUCGACUCACUUAGCCAGCAAAGGGGGUCUCAGCAGCUGCAGCGGCAAGCGGAUGAUCCCGCAUUGGAUAGCACCACCCCAUCCAUGCCGAGAAGCAGCGUGGGUUCCGCCCCGGGCGACGCAAUGCUGGAUAGAUACCCCAUGGAUGACGUCACGGAGAACACUAACUGUGAGCUACACUUCAAAAUGAAGAACAUAUCCAUGAAGGUGGCGGACGCCGUUGCUUUUACAAAUCCCCCCGAGGCAACCUUCCAUUGCAACCCGAUUCCAGCAGGCUAUGCUCGUGUCUUGGUUGAUGAGGUGGUGGACCCAUAUUCGGGGCUACAUCUUGACAUUCCUGGAGGUGACGACGAGCACACAUUGGGAGAGGCCAUACAUCGUGUCAUCCUAUAGAGAAAGGAUUGCAUCGUCUUUCGAAGGCCACCGGCACCGCGUCACCCGACUCCUCGUCGAAGUCCGCCACCGAGUCAGCAGACUCCCGCUCCUCCAAGUCCACCAAUGCGUGAGGCCACUCCUCCUCCUCCAAGUCCGGCAAAGUGUCAGGCCACUCCUCCUCCAAGUCCGACACAGCGUCAGACGUCCACUCCUCCUCCAAGUCCGGCACAAGUUCAGGCCACUCCUCCUCCAAGUCCGGCACAGCUUCAGGCCACUCCUCCUCGUCCAACUCAGCCCCGUCAGUCGUCUCCGCCGCCUCAGCAAUCGCAGAAGAGACACCCCGCAGCUAUGGUGCGUAGCGGUACGAGUCGAGGUAGUACAGGAAGUACAGGCGGAGGCAAGCGAUAUAAAUAUGGUCCAAGCCUCACUACUCCUCUUCCUCAGAGGGCUUACGAUAGGACCGAGGAGCAAACCAAUGACAUAGUGCGGGCAGAAGUGGACGCCCAUUUUGGACCGAAACCGCCACCGCCGCCAAGGGAGAAAGUGCCUGCGGAAAAGAUUGACCACUUCAUUCGUAUGGCUCAACCACCAGCUCCCAAGCCUGUUGACACAGACUAUGAGCGCCACAUCAGGAAGUUAAAUCGAGCACGUCUACAGAAGGAGGCGAGCUCGAGCAAACAAUAAGCAGCUGCCAAAAAUGCAGGAAAACCGUUCCCCAGCUGGGAGAACAGGCGGCGCAAUCGAUCCCCUCGCUUGUUGUGCCAACAACACGUGACAAUACGCGCGCCCAAUAUUAUUGUGGGCAAACUGUUUACGUUCCCGAGGUGGGCAAUGUGGUAAUAACCGAGGAGCAUAUAAUGCAGGCUGAAAUUCUCAACAUCACUGUUGGACAACUCCUCAAGAUCGAGCCCAUGCCUGUGCUUACAGAGGAGGAAAUAAAACGGAAAUAUGUCCGGGGCGAACCUUUGGUCAAGCCAGACGAGGUCAAGAAGCUCCCAACGAGAAUGUAUGAAUUGCAUCAAUGGUACAUGGACAUUACCAAGAGUUCCAAUCUAGAGUCCCUCAUGGUGGAAGUCAAGAAGUAUCAUUACUACCAUCAGAAAGCUGUGGCCGUUGAGUAUAAUGAACUGUUUCAGUUAUACAAUCAAGACGCACUCGACAAAUCUAUCGUUAGUUGCUAUUGUUUGUAAGUGAUUUCUUUCUGUAAUUUGAGUCUCAAGCUAGCUGUAGUGAUCCUUUUGAUCAAUCAUUACCUGUAAUUAUCCUCACUAUAUUCUUUUCUGUGGUAUUAUGCGGGAUGAAGAUGUAUGAAAUGAAAAAAGGUGGACGCUAUGGCAUUGGGUUCAUUGACCCAAACACCGUUAAUGAAUGCACAUGGAAAAUAGAUCCAUAUCAUGAAAAUCAUGUAGAGGACAGCAUGCUAGAGUUCUUGAAGCGCCUCAAAUACAAUGAAGAUAUACUACUUCCUUACAACUUCCAGUGAGUCACACUGUCUUGUACUAUACAAAUUCUCUAUUUUUGCCUACUAGCUAGCUACAUGUUUUUGCUUACGUAUGCCCAUUUAAUUAAGACAUGCAAAUGUGUGUGCAUGUAGAUUUCACUAGAUCUUGUGUAUCAUUAAAGUUGACGCCGGAACAGUUGAAAUACUGGACUCACUACUCAAAGCAAAUAAUGACUAUAACAUCUUGUUUGGGAUAGUCAACAGGUAAUUUCAAUCAUUAUUAACUAUAUAUCUCGGCCUAUUUAGUUCGUCAUUUCAUGAUAUGAACUAUUUAAUAACCCCUUUAUUCAUUUUCUUUGUUGGCGGGUAGGGCUUGGGCAAGGUUCAUCAGCGUCUCUCCAGGCGAAUGGAAACAAAAGCUGAAAUGGUUUCGACCCAAGGUAAGUAAUUAAGUAGUACUAGCUAGCUAGCUAGCUGCCAUCUCUUUAAUUAUCAUGCUUGAUUAAUUAUUAUCUGACCAAAUUCCAUUCUCGUAAAGGCCCUGAAGCAGGCGUAGGGGACUGAUAUGUGUGCAUACUGCGUUUGCGAGAACAUUUGCAUGAUGGCGUCCGAAAGGAGCAGAUCUCAAAGACAGGAAUGGCACUAGUAGAAAAAGGGUCAAACGUGAAGCACAUUAGUGCCGGUUUGAAUUUGAGCCGGCACUAAUGUGUGCAUUAGUGCCGGUUCCAACGGCUAGCCGGCCGCUCUCAUUAGUACCGGUUCGUGGAGAACCUUUAGCACCGGUUCGUGCCACGAACCGGUACUAAAGUGAGUGGUGGCAGGAUGUUGUCAGUCCGGGGCCCCUCCAGCACCUUUAGUACCGGGUCGUAUCACGAACCGGUCCUAAAGGUCGUCCUACAUAGACCCUUCGUCCACCCGAGCUCGCUCUGUUCUUCCCCUUUCCCCUCUCCUCUUUGUACUUUUCCCUCUUCCUCUCAAUCUCAUCACACAUUUUGCCCAAAAUUUGUUAAGAUUUGAAGGCCCCCAUCCAUUCAAAUGAUCACAAAGGUUAGCAACUUUUUCCUUUCAUCUCUCAUUGCUAGAUUAGCUCGUGCAAUGCUUUAUAUAGUGAUUGAUUUUUGAGUUUAGUAAUUUGGGAGGAAUUAUAUAUAUGUGCUACUAUUUGAUUUAUAUGCAAUUUGAGGUCAAAAAUAACACUUAGAACCAUUCACGUCCACCUGUUUGAGUCCGGUUUCAUGCCCCACUAUAAUGUUUGGACCAAGCAUGGAGAAAGAGGGGUUAUUGUGGAAGACAAUGAAGAAGAAGAGGACGACGACAGCUAUCCUGGCCAGGGGUUCCCUGAAUACGAUGAUACAACAAUGAGGGAAGAAGCUGAGCCGGUAAUGCGGAAAGAAGCUGAGCCGGCAAUGCAGGAAGAAGCUGAAGAAGAGGCAUCGGAUGAGCCGUUGAUGAUCUAGGUCGGGCCAUUGCCGAUGCAAAGAGAAACUGCGCUAGUGAUUUGGAGAAGAAGAAGUUGCAGCGCAUGUUAGAGGAUCACAAAAAAAUGUUGUACCCGAAUUGCGUAGGUGACAAGAAAAAGCUGGGCACCACACUGGAAUUGCUGCAAUGGAAGGCAGAGAAUGGUGUAUCUGACAAGGGAUUUGGAAAGUUGCUGGUAAUGAUAAAGGAUAUGCUUCCAAAGGACAACGAAUUGCCCGAGAGUACGUACGAAGCAAAGAAGGCUGUCUGCCCUCUAGGGUUAGAGGUGCAGAAGAUACAUGCAUGCCCUAAUGAUUGCAUCCUCUACCGCGGUGAGUACGAGGAUUUGAACGCUUGCCCGGUAUGCGGUGCAUUGCGCUAUAAGAUCAGCCGCGAUGACCCUGGUGAUGUCGAGGGCGAGCGCCCCAGGAAAAAGAUUCCUGCCAAGGUGAUGUGGUAUGCUCCUAUAAUACCACGGUUGAAACGUUUGUUCCAAAACAAAGAGCAUGCCAAGGCGAUGCGAUGGCACAGAGAAGACCGUAAGAAAGACGGAAAGUUGAGAGUACCCGCUGACGGGUCGUAGUGGAGAAAAAUCGAAAGAAAGUACGGGAAGGAGUUUGCAGAUGACGCAAGGAACGUAUGGUUUGGUCUAAGCGCAGAUGGCAUUAAUCCUUUUGGGGAGCACAGCAGCAACCAUAGCACCUGUCCUAUGACUCUAUGUUUGUAUAACCUUCCUCUUUGGUUGUGCAUGAAGCAGAAGUUCAUUAUGAUGCCAGUGCUCAUCCAAGGCGCUAUGAAAAAAAUUCUUAUUUUUAACAGAAGCGCGAUAAAAUACUGAUUAUUUUUGCAGAAGAUUAAUAAAUAAAUUGUUUAGGUCGUCCUAAAUAUUCAGAAUUUUUGAAGUUAAAGAAGUAUUCAUAAUAUCCAGAUUGCUACAGACUGUUCUGUUUUUGACAAAUUCUGUUUUCUAUGUGUUGUUUGCUUAUUUUGAUGAAUCUAUGGCUCGUAUCGGGGCGGGGGGUAUGAACCAUGGAAGAGUUAAAAUACAGUAGAUAUUACACCAAUAUAAAUAAAAAAUGAGUUCACAACAGUAUCAAAAGUGGUGAUUUAUUUUCUUAUAACGGGGCUUAUGAUAUUUUCUGUCGAGUUUUGUGUUGUGAAGUUUUCAAGUUUUGGGUAAGGAAUUGAUGGACUAUGGAAUAAAGAGUGGCAAGAGCCUAAGCUUGGGGAUGCCCAAGGCACCCCAAGGUAAUAUUCAGGGAUAACCAAGAGCCUAAGCUUCCGGGGCAUCCCCUCUUUCGUCUUCAUUUAUCGGUAACUUUACUUGAGGCUAUAUUUUUAUUCACCACAUGAUAUGUGUUUUGCUUGGAGCAUCGUGUAUGAUUUGAGUCUUUGCUUUUCAGUUUGCCACAAUCAUCCUUGUUGUACACACCUUUUGAGAGAGACACACAUGAAUCAUGAUUUAUUAGAAUACUCUAUAUGCUUCACUUAUAUCUUUUGAGGUAGGCAAUUUUGCUCUAGUGCUUCACUUAUAUCUUUUUAGAGCACAGCGGUGGUUUUAUUUUAUAUAAAUUGAUGAACUCUCAUACUUCACUUAUAUUAUUUUGAGUGUCUCUAAACAGCAUGGUAAUUAGCUUUGGUUAUAAAUUUAGUUCUAAUAUGAUAGGCAUCCAAGAGAGAUAUAAUAAAAACUUUCAUAUAAAGUGCAUUGAAUACUAUGAGAAGUUUGAUUCCUUAUGAUUGUUUUGAGAUAUGAAGAUGGCGAUAUUAGAGUCAUGCUAGUGAAGUAGUUGUGAAUUUGAGAAAUACUUGUGUUAAGGUUUGAGAGUCCCGUAGCAUGCACGUAUGGUGAAUCGUUAUGUAACGAAGUUGGAGCAUGAGAUAUUUUUGAUUGUCUUCCUUAUGAGUGGCAUCUGGGGACGAGCGAUGGUUUUUUCCUACCAAUCUACCCCCUAAGAGCAUGCGCGUAGUACUUUUGAUGACUAGUAGGUUUUUGCAAUAAGUAUGUGAGUUCUUUAUGACUAAUGUUGAGUCCAUGGAUUAUAUGCAGUCUCACCCUUCCGCCAUUGCUAGCCUCUCUUGUACAGCACAACUUUCACCGCUAUCAUAAACCCACCAUAUACCUUCCUCAAAACAGCCACCAUACCUACCUAUUAUGGCAUUUCCAUAGCCAUUCCGAGAUAUAUUGCCAUGCAACUUUCCACCGUUCUGCUUAUUAUGAAAUGCAUCAUCAUUGUCAUAUUGCUUUGCAUGAUCAUGUAGUUGACAUUGUAUUUGUCGCAAAGCCACCGUUCAUUAGUUUUUUAUACAUGUCGCUCUUAAUUCAUUGCACAUCCCGGUACACCGUCGGGGGCAUUCAUAUAGAGUCAUAUCUUGUUCUAGUAUCGAAUUGUAAUUUUUGAGUUGUAAGUAAAUAGAAGUAUGAUGAUCUUCCUUUUUAGAACAUUGUCCCAUGUGAGGAAAUAAAAUAAAAAAGAGGAAAAGAAAAAAAGAGCAAAAAAAGAAAAAAAGAGAAGAAGAAAAAAAAAGGAGGGAAAGAAAGAAAAAACGAGAGAAAAAGAGAGAAGGGGCAAUGUUAUUGUCCUUUUCCAUACUUGUGCUUCAAAGUAGGACCUUGAUCUUCAUGAUAGAGAGUCUCCUAUGUUCUUACUUUCAUAUACUAGUGGGAAUUUUUCAUUAUAGAACUUGGCUUGUAUAUUCCAACGAUGGGAUUCCUCAAAAUGCCCUAGGUCUUCAUGAGCAAGCAAGUUGGAUGCACACUCACUUAGUUUUCUUUUCGAACUUUCAUAAACUUAUAGCUCUAGUGCAUCUGUUGCAUGGCAAUUCCUACUCACUCACAUUGAUAUCUAUUAAUGGGCCUCUCCAUAGCCCGUUAAUACCCCUAGUUGAUGUGAGACUAUCUCCCUCUUUUUGUCUUCUCCACAACCACCGUCUAUUCCACCUAUAGUGCUAUGUCCAUGGCUCAUGCUCAUGUAUUGCGUGAAAGUUGAAAAGGUUUGAGAACAUCAAAAGUAUGAAACAAUUGCUUGGCUUGUCAUCUGGGUUGUGCAUGAUUUGAAUAUUUGUGUGAUAAAGAUGGAGCAUAGCCAGACUAUAUGAUUUUGUUAGGAUGAGAUUUCUUUGGCCAUGUUAUUUUGAGAAGACAUAAUUAUCUUGUUAGUAUGCUUGAAGUAUUAUUGGUUUAUGUCAAUAUUAAACUUUUGUUUUGAAUCAUACGGAUCUGAACAUUCAUGCCACAAUAGAGAAAAUUACAUGGAUAAAUAUGUUAGGUAGCAUUCCACAUCAAAAAUUAUGUUUCUAUCAUUUACCUACUCGAGGACGAGCAGGAAUUUUCCGGAGUACCGGGGGCUACCGGAACCCCCCGGGAGUUAAUGAGCCUUCAUGGGCCCUAGUGGAGAGAGGAGGCGGCAGCCAGGUGGUGGCGCACGCCCCCCCAAGCCUGAACCGAAUUGGACUAGGGUUGGGGGGCCGGCCCCCCUUUCCUUCUCUCCUUCUCCUCCUUCCCUCCUUCUCCUAGUGGGAAUAGGAAGGGGGGCGAAUCCUACUUGGACUGGGAGUCCAAGUAGGACUCCUCCCAUGGCGCAUCCCCCCUUGGGCCGGCCACCUCUCCCUUCCCCUUUGUAUACGUGGGAGGGGGGCACCCCAAAGGCACACCAAGCCUUCUCUUAGCCGUGUGCGGUGCCCCCCUCCACAGUUUCACACCUCGGUCAUAUCGUCGUAGUGCUUAGGCGAAGCUCUGGGCCGGUAGCUUCAUCAUCACCGUCGACACGCCGUCGUGCUGACGAAACUCUCCCUCAUCCUCAAUUGGAUAAAGAGAUCGAGGGACGUCAUCGAGCUGAACCGCUAGGGGUACGAAGGAGGAGGAGACCGGAUGCGUUAAGCUAGUUGGUAAGAGUUCUUGUCAUUAUUGAUAGUGGCCCUAGAGAAAGAGAUUACGCUGAUUGUUCUAACUUCAUUCAUAUUUGAUUCCGCAACUGAGACCUUUUCCCACAUCUGUGCCAGGAGGGCAAGUGGUCAAAGCAGAAAGGGUUCUCGCUUCUCCUUCUGGAAGGGUGUGCUGAACACGGAGGUCCCGUAUGUUCGGUGCUUGGAUCGGUUGGAUCGCGAAAACGUUCGACUACAUCAACCACGUUACUAAACGCUUCCGCUUUCGGUCUACGAGGGUACGUAGACAAACUCUCCGCUCUCGUUGCUAUGCAUCUCCUAGAUAGAUCUUGCGUGAUCAUAGGUAAAAAUUUUGAAAUACUGCGUUCCCCAACAUGCUUGCGUUUAUUUCACUACAUCAUGUCAUCUUACUUAAUGCGUUACUCUGUUCUUAUGAACUUAAUACUCUAGAUGCAGGCAAGAGUCGGUCGAUGUGUGGAGUAAUAGUAGUAGAUGCAGGCAGGAGUCGGUCUACUUGAUACGGACGUGAUGCCUAUGUUCAUGAUCAGUGCCUUAGAUAUCGUCAUAACUUUGCGCUUUUCUAUCAAUUGUUAGGCAGUAAUUUGUUCACCCACCGUAAUAUUUUCUAUCUUGAGAGAAGCCUCUAGUGAAACCUAUGACCUCUAGGUCUACUUUCCAUCAUAUAAGUUUCCAAUCUACAAUUUUAGUUUCCUAUUUACUUCCUUUGCAACCUUUUACUUUCCGUUUCAUAAACCAAAAAUAUCAAAAAUAUUACUUUACCGAUUAUCCAUCUCUAUCAUAUCUCACUUUGCAAAUAAUCCCAAAGGGAUUGACAACCCGUUUAGCGCCUUGGGUGCAAGUAGGUGUUUGUUUGUGCAGGUACUCAAUGACUUGUGUGUCGUCUCCUACUGAAUUGAUACCUUAGUUCUCAAAACUGAGGGAAAUACUUACUCUACUUUGCUUCAUCACCAUUUCCUCUUCAAGGGAAAAACCAACGCAAGCUCAAAAGGUAGCAGACCUCCAGUCGUAGCCGCCAUGAUUUUCUUCACGUCUAUCAAUGCCUUGAGAAUUUUGACUUGGACAUGUCCUAUGGCAUGAAUAAGAAAUCGAAGCUUCGCGCCGCGUCCUCUUGAGGCCGUGUUGGCUGAUAAUAUUAGUGCGCAUGACCAGAGCCUUUCUGAUCAAGAUAUCCAAGGACGACAUACACCAAUUCAUAUAGAUCUCCGCUCGGAAAGACCGAAACUCAUCAACGGCCAGAUCCAAGUUGUCGACAUCUGACAGAAAGACGACUUGGCGGAAGAAAAGCAUCAGGGCCAAACCACCAUUAUUAGUCCAAAGCUAAUAGCCUCCACGCCGCCCUCCUCUCGAUCCAGACAGGAAGAAAAAGAUCAACGACGUCGCAUCAUGCCACUCGCAUUCGUGGAGGCUUGAACAUGGCAAGACGCCAACCAUGGCUAGAGACGGGGACCAGCCACUCUGGCCAGAUCCGGCGACUCCUAGUCCCACCGCUCCCGCUACGGCGGCACCGCAUGUAGCCUACAAGCCCAUCCACGAUGAUGUCUGAUUAGAAGGAUAUAUGGAUAUACAGAUGAAAAGGCCCUUGUUAUCCCUCCAACAAUAUAUAUAAAGCUUAUUGGGACAUGAGAAAGCUUGCACAAGGCUAUGGAAAUGUAUUGCCAGACAGAGAUAUACGAUUUUCGUUCGGCAUCCAAACCGCUUGUGUCACGCUUAAUCGAUGGUCACUCUAAUUUUUCCGGCGGGCCUUCCCUGUGGUACUGCAGCCUUACAUGUGUAUUAGUGGUUAGGGCGUCAUCCGUGGCGCCGCUUAAGAGGAAGUUGUUUGCACGCUUUUAUUUUUUUUAAAUCAUGUACUCCUCAUCUCUAUCUAAAAAAAUAUUUAUAGAAAAUCCUCAUCUCCAUCUAGAAAAAGAAGUAAAAAAGAAAAAAAAAAUCACCAACGCAACCUUACAGCGAGCGCCACUUAGCGUAGUCCUCCAUUUAAAAAAAUAUGAAGUCAUCACCUUCAUAUAAAAAGAAAAAAACAUUUUAAAAACGUUUUCAUCUCCAUCUAAAAAUAAUAUCCCAAAAGCUUUUUCACUACGGCCAACCAGCUUGUACCAUGUGCCAUAACUGAUUGGCCGCUCUUCAUGCAUAGCUUAAUGGGUUUAAUGAGUUUCAUAUAGCUAUUCAUUAAGAAGAAAACCAAAAUUACUUGGAGUUAAUAACUAAUACGUUUCCUUUAACUAACACGUGCACGGCGAGGAUUUACGUGCAUGAUGUUUUUUCCUCUCCCCACGUCGUAUUGGGCCGGCCCAUUCGUGCACAUCUCUAUUUCUAAUGCAGCAGUUGGUAGUCUCAUUUUCAGGGUUUUUUUGUCCCACCUUUCAUGGUUUUUUUAUACCUCCUUCCACCUUCGCUGGUUUUUUUCAUAAAUUUUUUGUCCCCUCCCCCUAUUUCAUCGGUUUAUUUUCGCGUCACCCUCUCACACAAUGAAAGAAAUCUGAACAGAUUAGAACUUUCCAUGCUGGCGCAAGUUAUUUAGUAAUGUAGAAUCAAUCACGAACAAUCGCUAAAGAUCAAAUCCAAGUUAAUUAACCUUACCUUAAAUCACUCAAUCACAUUAAUUAGAAAACAAAUAAUUGAUUUUCAGAAAAAUUGCUCAAUCACAUUAACCUUACCUUAACUCACGGAUGGUAAUCAAUCUUCAAACAAAGGAAACAAUACAUCAAGGGAGCAGUAAAUAAACUCCCUUUCUUAUGACAUGUAUAUGAUCUUUCCUUCCCUCUCCGUUGUCGAGCGUUCUUGAUUCUCAAGGCCGAUUCUUGGGCUGCGUCACUGGGUCGCGACGGUGCCGAAGGACGAGGAUGGCGAGGCCGGGUGUCGCGGCACCGCGUUGGCCGUGGCUGAUGAAGGGGGUGAAGAAGGGCGGCUUCCCUGGCCGUGGCCCUGGGAGUUGGUGCGGUGGAAACGUCACUUGAAGGACCCGACGUGGGUGGCCGACGCGCAGACGCACUUGGAAGCGGGCCCAUGGCCCGCGCCGGACGGCGCCGACGCCGACCUGGACCACCUCCUCCGUGUAUCCUUGGAGCUAUGGCUGGCCAAUUUAUAUGAAAUUAAUUCCCUCAGUUGUGGUGGCAAAUAUAAUACACAUAAUCCAUAUUGUUAUGCACUAGUGUGUGUGUGUGUGAAAUAGAUGGAUUAUGGUCCCGUACCAAUAAGAUGGAUAUAUGUGUGUGUUAGAGAGAGAGAGAGAGAGAGAGACAGAGAGGGAGAGGGGGAGAGAGAGUGAGGAAAAGGGAGGGAGAGUGUGUGUAUGAGGAUUUGAUGGUAAAAAAAGUCGCCAAUGUCAUUUGAUAUGUAUGAAAAUAUUAAUAUUAAACUUUUAAAGUUAAUGUGGCCCCGUUAAAAUACACAAGCGUUCUUAUAGUAUAGUUAGAGAAAGACAUGAGGAAAAGGAAGAACCGGGAUCGAUUCCUAGUCUUCUCAAGGUGGCCGCGUGGGUUUGUCUCAAAAAAAAAAGGUGACAGCGUGGGUGCUACUACCGGUCCGCCCAAGUCCGGUUCGUGAUAAGUUGUAGGUGCGCGUCGUACUUGAGGCGAUUGAGGCCUGUUUUAUUUGAGUUUUUCCUCUCUUUUUUCUUCUUCAUUUUUUUCAUUCUUUUUUGCACUCCGUUUCUUUGUUUUGUCAUUCUUUUUUUCUUUUGUUUAUUUUCUUUUUUUCCGGUUUUCUUUGUUCUAUUGGUUAUUAUUGUACAUUUUUUGUAUACGUCUACAACAUUUUUUUCUAAUACACAUCUAACAUUUUUCAAAUACAAACCAACCAUUUUUGUAAUACAUUGUCAAGAUUUUUUUGUACACAUUUUUAAAUGCUUGUUUGUCAUUUUUCAAAUACAAGAUUAACAUUUUUUCAAUACAUGGUCAACAAUUGUUUUUGCCAUUUUUACAAAAAAAUUAAAUGCUUGAUUAACAUUUUCUUAAUGCAUGGUCAUUUAUUUUUCUAUACACAUUUAACAUUGUCCAAAUGCUUAAUUAACAUUUUCAAACCCUUGUUCAACAUCUCUUUUAAAAUGCUUGAUUCACAUUUCUGUAUACAUGAUCAAACAUUUUUAUCAUUUUUAAUACAUGGUCGACGGUAUUACCCAUACACAUUUAACAAUUUCCCAAUUCUUGAUUAACAUUGUUUAAGUACUCGUUCAACAUUUUCUCAAAUGCAUAACGUUGACAUUGUUGAAAAGUGGCAUCACAAGUUCCAGGGAGUAGAAAAGAGAUUAAUCAACGAAACCGCGCGAACUUUGUGGUGCUAUUGUGUUAUAUCAACUACUCCUUUCGUUCCGAAUUACUUGUCACAAGUAUGUAUGUAUAUCUAGAUAUAUUUUAAUUUUAGAUACAUCCAUUUAUGCGACGAGUAAUUUGGAACGGAGGGAGUAUGUGUCUGUUAUGUCACCAAAUUCAGUAUAUAUAGAACAUGGAAAUACAGUAAUAGUGAGCUCACUCGGUGGGAGCCCGUCACGGCCAUGGGAAUAGGAUCCUCCUCGUACUGCUCCUCUCCUGCCCUGCCCUGAGGAGCAGUAUCGUCCGUCGUCGCCGAGCGGCGCAGCAGCCGGUGGCCGAGGGGAGACCGAGAUUUAUUCUCCGGAGGCGCCGAAUCCGGCUCGUAAGUCGAAAUCCCUCUCUGUCCCGCCUCUCGGAUCCUCCCACCGAUCUCCUACUUCCCUGCCGCCAAUGCCCGCCUUUUCUUUGGACUCCGAGCGAGGAAUCGGAGGGAAAGCUGUGUACUUCCUGUGGCUUCAUACCCCGGUAAUGGCGGCCCUGCUUGCCGUUGCCGCUUGGUCCACUCUCUGCGUGCCCGUCUGCAAGGUGUUCGAUGGAUUGUGCGCAGGGUGUCGGCCCGGCUGGCCUCGUUUCACUUCUUCCAGGUUUCAGUCCGUUUACCGCCGGUUGCUGAAAAUGUGCACGAGAAGCAUAAGAAUGCUGGGAUAUGCGCUCUUUGUUUACCGUUUACUGUCAUUUGUUUGGUUGCAGGAAGCACCCGGCCUUAAGCAUAGUACUACAUAUAAAGUUGUAUGUUCUGUUCCGUUUGUUUGUUUGCUGUCUGAUGAUUGAGACAAGUGCAUAAUCUAAAGUUUGGCACCUGCACUUGCACCUGCUCCUGCACAUUUAUGUGUUGGAAACUGGAAUCUGUUCAGUGUAGUAUGGCCAUGCCACAUGUUUUGGCUUUAGCCUAAGGACCAAUUGCUUCUUGACUUUCUUGGAUGCUUGCUGGCCCAACCUUGGAUCUGUAUCUUUCUAAUAGUCUUCUAAAUCAGAAACAUAACGAUUUUUUGUGCUGCUUACUAGAUUCGGUGUGUUUACUUAGCGUGUUUAGUCGAAUCAUCUGUCAUUGUUCUCUCAAGUUACUUUUCCUUGCGAUAUUCAACCCAGCGGUUUAAAAUUCCUGCAAUUGCUUCAUUCAGAUUGAUUUUUCGCUUCUUUGUUGCUGAUUUCCUUUCAACGUUUGGGCUGAGGCUCCAAAUGUUGGUACUCUUUUAACCGGAGUAUGUUACUUUGGAGAAUAGAAGAAUUAUGCAUUGGUAUCAUGAUAACAUAUGCCUAAUGGUUUUUCUUACAGGAGGGCGUUUCCAACACAUAAAUAGUUUGCUAGCAUGCAGACAGUGUCCAGUAGCCUUUGCGCCAUUUGAGGCAUAAUGGACAUAGCUUUUAUCAUGUUGUUGGUUCUUUCUCUGCUCCUGUUCCCUAAUGGCAUCUGCAAGAGUUUAGCUACAGGACCUCCUGUUGUGAAUAUUGGGUCUAUUCUUCAGUUUGACUCCACCACCGGGGGUGUUGCGGCAGUUGCCAUCCAUACAGCCGUGGAAGAUAUCAACUCUGAUCCAACAGUUCUAAAUGGAACUACACUAAAGGUUCAAAUCAAGGAUACAAAUUGCUUUGAUGGUUUCCUUGGCAUGGUUCAAGGUAGGCUAGCUUUAAUGCCACUCAUUCAUUUCACAACCUUCAAAUAGUUAUUACUUCUGUUGUGGAGUUGUGGCAAUGAUGCCGUGUUCCUUGUAUCAGCUUUGCAGUUCAUGGAGACUGAUGUUAUUGCACUCAUUGGCCCUCAGUGCUCCACAAUUUCUCAUAUCAUUUCAUAUGUAGCAAAUGAGCUUCGAGUCCCUUUGAUGUCCUUUGCUUCUGAUGCAACUCUUUCAUCAAUACAGUUCCCGUUCUUUGUCAGGACGGGUCCCAGUGAUCUCUAUCAAAUGGCGGCUGUGGCAGAAGUUGUUGACUACAACCACUGGAAGAUAGUGACUGCCAUAUACAUUGAUAAUGUUUAUGGUAGAAAUGGCAUUGCUGCUUUGGAUGAUGCACUCACUUUAAAGCGCUGCAAAAUAUCCUACAAGGUUGGGUUUCCUUCCAACGCUAAAAGGAGUGACCUCAUAAAUUUGUUGGUUAGUGUCAGUUCUAUGGAGUCUCGUGUUAUCAUUCUCCAUACUGGAACUGAACCUGGACUCAAGCUUUUCUCUAUGGCACACCAACUGAACAUGAUGGGCAACGGCUAUGUGUGGAUUGCAACUGACUGGCUGUCUGCAUAUCUUGAUGCUAAUUCAUCAGUUCCUGUUGAGACUAUAUCUGGCCUGCAAGGUGUUCUUACUUUACGGCCACAUAUUCCCAACUCAAAGAUGAAGAGUAAUUUGGUCUCCAAAUGGAGCACGCAAAGUAAAAAGUACAACUACAGUGAUGUUUGUAUAAAUACUUAUGGUUUUUAUGUUUAUGAUAGUGUCUGGGCAGUAGCUCAUGCUCUGGAUGCCUUCUUUGAUGAUGGUGGUAGGAUUUCCUUUUCAAAUGACUUGCAUGAUGGAACUGGAGGAACUCUUCACCUUGAAGCAAUGAGCAUUUUUGACAUGGGAAAUAAAUUACUGGAGAAGAUUAGAAAGGUAAACUUCAGUGGGUUAUCUGGGCAAGUGCAAUUCGAUGCUGUAGGCAACCUCCUUCACCCUGCGUAUGACAUCAUAAAUGUCAUCGGAAAUGGCAUGCGGACCAUUGGUUUUUGGUCAAACUAUUCUGGCUUGUUGUCGACUGUCUCUCCAGAGGCUCUAGAUUCAAAGCCUCCUAAUACUUCUCUAGCCAAUCAGCAUCUCUAUGAUGUUAUUUGGCCUGGGGAGACUGCACAGAGGCCUCGAGGAUGGGUUUUUCCUUCUAAUGCCAAGCAGUUGAAAAUUGGUGUUCCCAACAGAUUUAGCUUCAAAGAGAUCGUCACGGUAGACAAUGCUACUGGGUCAAUGAAGGGUUAUUGCAUCGAUGUCUUUACUCAGGCAUUGGCUUUGCUUCCUUAUCCUGUUAGUUACAAGUUUGUACCUUUUGGGAAUGGUACUGAAAAUCCUAAUUAUGACAAACUCGUACAGAUGAUUGAAUCAAAUGUAAGUACGGAAUGCCUCUUUUUUCUUCCUCGAACCAUUUCAUCAUAUACCAUGCUGACCAGGGGCAUCUUAUCCUGCAGGAGUUUGAUGCAGCUAUAGGGGAUAUUGCAAUUACAAUGAGGCGGACAGUAACUUUUGAUUUCACCCAGCCAUUCAUUGAAACAGGCUUGGUUAUCUUGGCUCCGGUUAAAGAGCAUAUAACAUCGUCCUGGGCAUUCUUGCAGCCAUUUAGUUUGGAGAUGUGGUGUGUUACAGGGCUAUUCUUUCUUAUUGUGGGUGUGGUUAUUUGGAUUCUUGAACAUCGGAUCAAUGACGAUUUCCGUGGUUCAGUAUGUCAACAAAUAAUAACUAUUUUCUGGUAAGGAGCUGACCUGCACCUUUUGUACCGUCUUCUUGUAUAUCAUUCCUGUUUUCGAAGUGUUGAUGUUUUAACAAGUCUUGUGCAAUAUGUUGCAUACAGCGAGUACCUUAGAGCAGUGGCCAGUUAACAUACCUAAAUGAAGCAUCUAGUGAUUACCAAUGAACUACUCCCUCCGCCCCAUAAUAUAAGGGCGUUUUUGACACUACACUAGUGUCAAAACGCUCUUAUAUUAUGGGACGGAGGGAGUAUUAUCUUAAUAAUCUUGUGAGACAUAUAUACAUGCACAGCAUAUAUAUUCGCUUAAUGAUAUUUAUGAUGCAUUGCUCUAUUUUUCCUGUUUUCACAUACUUCUCUUCUCCACAUGUAUUUGCCAAAUGCUCUUAUAAUGGCGUGAUUCCUUGCUGUGAUUAUAAUUUCAAUUUUUAUUGCCUGCAGGUUCAGCUUUUCGACUUUGUUCUUCGCACACAGUAAGUAAACCAACCUUCUCUCUUAUGUGUUUUUUUUUUUGGCUAUAACAUUUUGUUCUGAGGCAUGAGGCAUGACUCGUGAUUUCAUAUGUAUCUGCGCGCAGGAGAAAAUACUAUGAGCACCUUAGGGCGUGGUGUCCUGAUCAUAUGGCUGUUUGUUGUUUUGAUAAUUGUAUCCAGCUAUACCGCGAGUCUUACUUCCAUCCUGACCGUGCAACAACUCGAUACUUCUAUAAAAGGAAUCGAGGACCUGAAAAAUAGCAAUGAUCCUAUUGGUUUCCAAGUUGGUUCUUUUGCACAAGACUACAUGGUCAAGGAGCUCAACAUCUCACGGUCAAGGCUAAGAGCUCUUGGUUCACCACAAGAAUACGCUGAAGCCCUCAAGAUAGGCCCUAAGGAAGGAGGUGUUAUGGCCAUUGUCGACGAGCGCCCCUAUGUUGAACUGUUUUUGUCAUCCUACUGCAAGAUUGCGGUAGCUGGCACAGAUUUCACCAGCAGAGGAUGGGGCUUUGUAAGUACAGUUCAACCAUAUUCUUUUAUAUAAAUUAGAAUAUAAGAACAAAAAUUGCUGUUAAUGUCCUGGAAUAGAGGUUUUAACUUUGAAUAGUUGUGUCUAGUCUUUAGUUUAUGCAACUUUUAUUGCACUUACCUGCGGCUACUUUGUUUCACAAAUCGAAAUGUAGCACCUUACAAAUUCAUUCUGCCAGGCAUUUCCAAGGGACUCCCCUUUGCAAGUAGACCUCUCCACCGCAAUCCUGUCUCUGUCAGAGAAUGGGGAGCUGCAGCGGAUCCAUGCCAAAUGGCUCAAUACAGGGGAGUGCACAACUGACAACAGUGAGCUUGUCGACUCGAACCAGCUCCGCCUUGAGAGCUUCCUUGGUCUGUUCCUAAUCUGUGGUGUGGCAUGUGUUCUCGCGCUGCUACUCUACUUUGGUAUCAUGCUAUGCAAAUAUCUGAGGCAUGAACCGUGGAAGAGCCUCAGAAGAUUCAUCUCGUUCGUCCAUGGGAAGGAGCCGCCGAAGAACAAGGAGAGGCGGUCCAUGAGCCUGCCUGGAAGCUCAACGCCAACAACGCCGAUGAGCAGCCAUAGUUCCCUUGACAUGGAAAGGCCGGCCAGGCCAGUCAGAAACGGUAGCAUUAUUGACAUGGAAAGCUAAUUCAUGUGUAGAAAGCUAGUUAACAAUGCGGUCGACUAACCUAGGUUCUGGUAGUCGGACAGCAGGGCUGUAUAGGAGGAUUCGAAAUACUUCUUAAGUACUCCCUCCGAUUCAACUUAAUUAACUUUGACUUGGUACAACCUUAGUACAAAGUUGUACUAAGUCGGCGCAAUUAAUUUUGAUCUGAGGGAGUACUAAAGUUUAUGAAAUAACAGAAGGAAGGAUUAAUAAGAAAUAGAAAUAUUGAAAUGCUCCUCCUGUCCUACAUAUAUUGUUUUUACCUUUGCAUGUGUUUGAUAGGGCGUAGUAGUAGUGUGUGGGUACUUCAGUUAGAAGGUAUGCAGUGGACCAGUCUAUCGACCGUGUGGCAAUGCCUGUAGUUUGUAGCACUAAACUUUGAUGCCCAUUCAUAAACUAAUUUAGAUGGAGCCGCACAAAAAUUGUGUUUUUUUUUUUGCUCACACACUCUGUUUUGUCUCAGUUUUAGUCCAGCGCAACUUUGAAGCUUAUCCAGGGCAACUUUGAAGCUUAUCCAGGGCAACUUUAACUAUUUACAGGAGAAAUUGUUAAAGACCUUAUUAAGUGAAGAAGAAUAGACGUCUCCAGUUUUUGUUUCUCCAACUCUAUGCCUACACUGUAAAUUAUUUAUGAAUUAGCUCCAGUUGAUGCAACUGUACUCUUUCUGGUAGGUCUGAGAUGGACUGAGCAUCCUAAGCUAGCUACUUGUCUCCCUUAGGUUUUACAGCAAGACAAAUGCACUGGACUACAAAGAGGAAAAUUCUUGCAGGUUCGUAAUGAAUCUGUUUUGGUUCUGGCAUUCACACCAAUCAUAAAGCAGUGUUUGUUAGUAGCGGAGUGGUAGGCAGACGCAAAUCAAACCAUCAUUUUUCUUCUAAAUACACUUGUAAAAGCAUCGAUGCAUCUCCGUCGCUUAAUUUUAUUUGUCAUUCUGUUCAGUACCUGGUUUGGUUUAGGAAGAGCUCUUUUUCCUAUGCAAAAUGUAUAACGUGUAUGUUUCUAAUUCCGAUUGCAGGCAUAUUCAUCGCGCUUGUGUUUUGACGUGUUGCGGGCAACCAAGAGUCGUUCAACAGUGUGUUGCUGGGGUACGCCACCGGUCUGACAGUAAAAGGUAGCGCUGAUGAACUGGUUUCAAGCCGAGCUGAUCAGUUCUGCUGUUACUAAUAUAUCAUGGCAUCUUGCGGCUCUCGGUCGAUGUUCUGUCAUCUAUGAGGAGAGAGUUUCCAUUUAAUCUAGUUGCUAAUGCUUUGUAUACAAAAUUAUAGAUGCCUACACAAUACAAAAUCAAAAGUUAUUUUCUUAGUCAAACUGGAAAAUUCAUAGAUUUGCAGGAACAUCUGUACAUAAAGCCUUUUCCAUCAAAGUAUGUACAUACAUUGUCUAUUUUAACAUAAGAAUGUAGGACUCGUUCAAAACUAUUUGACUAUUCAUACAAAAAAAAUAGAAUUUCUUAAAAUAAGGGAGCACAUCUUCUCUGGUUUGAUCACUGAAGUCAUCAAUUGAGCAGUCCAGGUUCACCUAGUUAUCUAUUUCAAAACUUAGGGAGAACAAUUUGGGUGAUACUUUUUCAAAGUACAAGGCACAUAUUUAUAGUUCAUUGAAAUGCACCUAUAUUUUGACCUCAUUAAUAUCUCAUCCUUCAUAAUAAAGUAUGGCCAAACAAACAGAGAAACCGCUAGUUUCUUUCAUGUUCCCCAGACAAUAACACCAUAGCUAUUACUGUCAUUCCCCUUCUCUCUUAAUACCUUCCAUCCUUUCCAUUAUAAUUAAUGAAACUGAAACAUAUCAUUCUCUUGGUUGUAUUUUUUUCCUAAAAUGUUUAAGGUGUAUGUGUCAUUGAGUGAAUAUAUUAUGUUGCAAAGUUUCACGAAAUUUAGUAUGCAACCAGUAUGCAAGAGAAAUAAAGAUUAAAGUAAAUUUAGUUAUUUUUAUUAGCCAUUAUUGUUUUUAGAGAAAACAAUAGGCAAGUCACUUUUUCAUGAAAGCUGGAGACAAAUAGUGUAUUCUAACAUAAAAAUGGUCAAUUUUCCUCACACACACACACACACACAUACACAUAAACUUAGAAUUUUUGGAAAUAAUGGGAGCAAUGGCCAUGUGAAAAUAUGAGGUUUAUAUCUUGUGGAUUUCCUUUCAGUGUACAAGGCCUGCAUGUAGAAUGGAUAUUUUUUUUUCUAUAUUUGCUUCCCUAAUUUAAAUCUUAUCCUUCAUCAUCAAUUAUGACUAAACAUAAAUAGUAACUGCUAGUUUCUCUUAUGCUUAUGAGGAGAUAAGACCAUGGAUAUUUUAGUCAUUCCACUUUGCUAUUGAUUGUUUCUGUUCUUUUGCGCUAAAUAGUAGUCAAACAUGUUAUUCAUGUAUUUCGUAAGGAUAAGGUCAAGCCUCAUGAUAAGGAUAGGGUCGCGCUAUUCGUCACCCUGGGUGAGGCAUUGUUAUUUUUCACCCACUUCUAUUUUAUCAUCAAUGCACCGUAAAUUUACGUUUCAUAAGUUUUGUCUUAUUUCCGACGCAAAAAGGGACCGUAAGAAAAUAUAUAAUCGCCAUAAAAAAUAUUUUAUGUUAUAUAAAAUUACAAACAUAAAAACAUAGUCUAAAAUACACACAAACUGCAAAUUUUCUUGUCUUAUAACCUAUAUUUUUAUUUUUUUAUGUCAAAUUUUACGUAGUGAAUCAAUAGAAAUAUAACUAUUUGAAUUCGAAAUGUAAUUUAAUUAUGAAAUGAUCGUAAGAUUACCUCGGGUGAAGAAUAACUUAUUCUGCACCCUGAUUGAUGAAUAAUAAAUUUAAUUAUAUUAUAUACAUAUAGGAUAACACUAUUCUAAUCCUAGAAUUAGAAUAGCUAUUUGGAUCACAGCCAGCCCGACCACAUCUUAGUGAGAUCGCGCGAGCAAAAGAAAAAACCCAAAACGCCCCGCCCCGUUUAUCCCCUUGUCGCUCCACCACCACCCCCCGACCUCUGGCCGCCGCCCACCCUGCUCCGGCGCGCCUCCCACCCUCGCCUCCUUCCGAGCGCUCCGCCGGCCCCGCCUUCUUCCAGGCGCGCCGCCGGCCCCGCCUCCUCCUGGCGUGCUGCCACCCCCACCUCUUGCAGCGCGAGGUCGCCGCCACCGCCUACUUCCCGGCGUGCCGCCAGCCCCGCCCCCUUCGGCGCGAGGCCGCCGCCCCCACCUCCUCCUGGCGCGCCGUCGUCCCCUGUACCUGACGCGCCCCCCGGUGCCGCCGGCCCGCAACCCGCCGCCCAGCACCUUCCCGUCGCGCGCCUCCCAACACCGAGGCGCCGCCGCCCACAGGUUCUGUAGAUGCUGACCUGCCACUGCACCGCCGCUGCAACCUGCUGCUCACUCUUCCUCGCACAUGUGUCAGCAACACAAAAGUGGGUCGCUGCAGUCCACCUCCUGCUACAGCAGCAGGACGACUCCUUCAGGACGCAUCUCACACUCAUGGAGGCGGUGCUAUCUCUGGCGAGCUCCUCCAUCCCCGAGCGCGAUGCUUCCACUACUGCGUCCUCCUCACGUUCCCUUCCCCAUCCUUGUGUAUGCUUAUUUCGAUGUGGAAAACUCCAUCAACUAGUUCGCAUCACGUAUCAGGGCACGGCCAUAACAUGCUAGCAAUAUUAUGCUUUGGCUGCUAGUAAUGUGUUUGUGCUAAUGUCUAGUAGGAACUCUAGUUGUACUGAUAAAAGAGAACCAAACCAUCAUAUAAGGGAAAAGUCGCAUCUCUCUAUCUUUGAUCUCUCUAUGAUACAGAUAUGGACGUAUAUGGAAUUAGUAAAAUUCCUCUUUUAUAUUGCUUGUUCAUUAAUCAUUCAUGCAUCGUGUCCUAAAAGAAAUAUAGUGUGCUCUGUUUGAAAAAGCAUGUGGUCAGCACAUGUUUGUUAUUAUAUGGAUCUAAAGGUUUAACAAACAAACACAUUCAGAUUUCUCUUUAUUCGUAUAAAGGUUGGAGUGAGGUAGCGCUUAUUUCCUAUAUAGCUGCUCAUUUUGGAUGCAGUUUGAACAAUCAGGCUAGGGAGCGGUGAGCGUGGGUAGGCUGGCCAAACCUUCCCUCCACUGGGUCAACCGGCAGCGUCGCCCACCACCGUACUGUCCUACGGCAACGGCCCCAACCUGGGCAGGCGUGCUUUCUGCGACAUGCUCCUGCUCAUGGAUGUCUUGGUGAGGUAAAAACUUCUGUUAACUUAACUUAGCUACCUCAACUGAUUGAACUGCAGGGGUUGUGUGCAGUCUGAUGUGGUUCUAGUGUUUGAUUAAUGCAAUUUGGAAGAACUUGCGUCUCUAAAAUUCAAACUCUGCAUUUUGGUGUAUUUUUAUUUAGAAGUUCAGGUCAUCAUAAGUUGCUUCGGUUUAGCUAGUUACUGUUGUGAAAAAGUUCAGCUCGUCAUAUUUGAACAUCGGAAGAAGAGCUGCUAUAGUCUCCUGCUAUAUGCUUGUUAUAUUCCUAAAUAGUACAGGCUCAACCAAAGCAAGUAGUUAUAGUCUCCUGCUAUAUGCUUAAAUAGUACAUUUUUUCUGUAUUCUUGUUCGGAAGUUCAGGUCAUUCAAAGAGACCAAAUAGUACAGGCUCAACCAAAUAGUGAAAAGUCUACUAGAGUCGAAAAAAUAUAAUGAUACAAAAAUGCAACUCUGCACUUUCCUCAAAAUGGUCAUCAUAUUCUUAAGAAGAUUGGGAUUGCACUAUUUGUUUGAGCUAGUACUACCAGACUGAACAAAUUGCAGAGUUGGAUUUUAGAGCCUGGACAUUUUCAGACAUUUUCAAAAGUGGUCAAUUGAACCUGAACCAAAAAGAUUGACCUGAAAUUCGUUUGGGCUAGUUACUACCAGACUGAAAAAAUUGUAAUAGGUGGAUAAGUGGUAUUGUACUAUUUUCUAUUGUGUGGUAAUGCUCGUACCCCAUGGCCAUGGAAGGUUCAGAUGUUGUGCUCUUCUUUUCUAGCUGAUUCAUGUUCUAUUUGGUAGCUUUAAUGAUAUUCUAUACACUGAUGGCGAGAGUUCAACCAUGGCUAUACGCCAAGUUCUACUAUGGCUAUAUGUCGGCCAUCGUGAAGUCCUACUAUAGCUAUAUGCCAAGUUUAAUUAUGGCUGUAUGCUUGUGCUUCCAGGCUACUAUUGAACGUGUCUUGGCCUUCAUUUUUACGGGUUAUAGUCUCCUGCUAUAUGCUUGCUUUUGCUAUCAGCAUGUUCAUGCAAGUGCCUCUGAAUAAUCUGAAAUUUAAACUUGUACCUAAAACUGAACUUCUACCUCUUUGCUACAGGUGCGGUCGUCGGAGUCCUUUAAGUGCUUGCACUAGUGCUUCUAACUUGUCCAUGAAGGCACUGCAUGGUGUGCCACCUCCCGUCUGCCGCCGCAGCUGCCAUGUGUCCUUGCGACCUCUGCGGCCAGUCACCAACGCCCUAUGAGUGCGCCCUAAGUGUGGCAUGGGGAACAUGCUAAUGUGUGUGUUUCUGCACUGGUGUGUGCGUGCAUGCUCACGUUUAUGCGUGACUGAGUGUGCUGCUUGUGUGCUGUGAUGUAUGUUGUAUAGAUUUUUAUGAAGUUCAUGUUGUGAACCCAACUUAAUUAGAACACAAAAGUUUAGAUCGCAGCUGCUUUGAAUUAUGUAGUGUUUCUAAAUAGCUUCUUGUCUGAAGUUCAGUCGUACAUGUGGGUGCAAGAAAGUUAGUGUCGGAGCCAGAAAAACUGACUUUGAGCAACUGUUGGGUAUUUAUAUAAAAACAUUGUGUGUAGCAAUUCGUUGUGUUUAUUGAAAAAUGAAAAGACAGAAGUUCACCAUGCAAAACUUUCACAGUCCAAUUGGUAUUAAGAAGGCAGAAAUAUAAAACAACAGUGAAGUUCACUAAAAAUGCAACUUUUCACAUUGCGAAGAAACAAUAAUUAACUUCUCAGUGUACAAUUUAGUUUUUGUUUCUCUUUUCCAAAAAAUAAGAAUAGAAGUAAUAUGUGGAAGCUAUUUGUGUUUAUGUCUCAAAUUAGAAUAAUUAUAAGAAUUGCCUCUAUAUGUGCUAUGUGUUACACACCUUUCCGAAUCAAAAGAGAUUAGAUUCAUCCAUGAGUAAGGUAGGUACAAUUAUUUUUAAACAGUUCAAUUGCUCGAUAGAUGUAUGUCCAGAAAAAUAAAAGAUAGUUCAACACAAUAUAAACCCAUGAGAUUGCAAAAAAUCUUUGGAUUAAGUGGAUGAGAACCAAUAAGUUCAUAUAUGAAACCUUGGGGAGUUCAAAAAAAGUUAAAAAGGUUCGAUGUUUGUUGCGAAGCUAGGAUUUUCUUCAUUACUAAUGAAUAAAUCAAGAAGUUCAAAUUAAAAAAGGAUGAGCGGUUCGAUGUUUAUUACGAACCUAGAAUUUUUUCCGUUACUAAAAGAAAUAAUACCAACAAGUUCAAAUUAAAAAAAUCGAGUAGUUUGAUAUUUCUUUGAAAACUCAAAUUUUUCCGGUUAGUAAAUAAUAAAACCAAUAAGUUCAAUUCAAAAUAACGAAGAAGUUCAACUUUUAAAAGCAAAGCAAUUUGAUAUUCAUUUAAAAACUCAAUUUUUUCGGUUACUAAAGAAUAAGACCAACAAGUUCAAUUCAAAGUAACGAAGAAGUUCGAUGUUUCUAACAAAACUCCAAUUUUCACAUUUCUAAAAACUCCAAUUUUAGGUGAGCCCAAUUUUUGUGUGGAUGUGUUGUGCAUGUGCUUGUGCGUAGUACAUUUAAUAGAACAAAAACACUAUUAUGGGUGCCCUCUAAAUGUUUGUCCUAUUGCUUAUGAGAAUUGACCCGAAUUUUCCUAUUGUUUUUGCACAUGUUGGAUUCAAGGGAAAAUGUGUAUAAAACAGGUGUGAUUUCAGAAGUUCAGGUGUAACGAACAUCGAAGUCCAAACCAAAAGAAUGUAAACAAAAAAAUCAUGGAAUUCAAAAGAAUAAAUACUAUCGAGUUUCAUGAAAGAAAAUAGCAUGCGAAGUUCAUGUUUCAGAAAGUUUGAAGUUCACGUGUACCACAUACAGAAGAAAAAUGAUCAAAUGAAAAAAGGGACCGCCUAGGCCAUUUCACCGAAAAGCAAAAAAUGCAUAAAAUGUCACGACAAAAUUCUAUAAGAAGUUCCAAUUUAAAAGCCGAAGUAGGUCAACGUUAAAGAAAAUGAAGUUUUUAAUAUCUAAAAGAAAAUUUUGGAAGCUCAACAAAUUUGUGCAAGGAGUUAAAAAAAUUAGUUGAAAAAUAUUUAUAACGGAUUUUCCCCGUGUAUAAAAAAAUCAGAGAAGUUCAAAUUAAAAAGAGGAGCAUUUCAAAAGAUUGUAUAAAAACUGAUUUACUCAAAAUAGAUAAAGGUGAAGUUCAAAUUGAAAUAACGGAGAUGUUCGGAGUUUAUUAAAACCUAGAAUUUACCUGUUCGAAAAAUAAAAAACACAACACCAUUUUUUUGCACUUUUAGAGACAACUCAUAAACGAAAAAAUGGUUGCUGGAAGUUCAAGUGCUCGGUGAGGAAAAGUUCAAAAAAUUCUUGUAAGAGAGGUUCACCGUGUAUUUAGAUGUCCAAAAUACAUAAAAAAUAUGUUGUUUUUUGUGUUUUAAAAUAAUUCUCUCAAACCAGAGAGAAGUUCAAAGUGAUAAUAGCCGGAAGUUCACGUACUACAUGGUGUGUAUUUCAUAUAAGAAAAAUAGAAUAAAGUGAAACAGAGUAAAGUUCAAACGGACAUGCCCUAGAAGUUCAACUACUUCACGUAGUGCAAAAAAAUAUCACAUCAAAAAUAGAGUGAGGACAGACAUGCCUGAGAAGUUCAACUACUUCACACAGUGUGUUUCCAUUCGCAAUGAAGGCAGAAAUCAUGAUCUCGUCAUUUCUCUAAUUUACUUCAAAACGAUAGGAAUAUCAUUUGUGUAAGUUCAAGUCCUCGGUCGGAGAAAGUUAAAAAAAUAUUGUGAGAGAGGUUUGUACAAAAAGAAUAUCAUUUGUGUAACACUGACGAAAUGGAUGAGAAAAUUACAAACAAAAAACGUCACAGAAGUUCAACGUGAAAACAACAGGAAGUUCGACUACUAUAGUGAAUGAAUUUGAGAUGAAAAACUUUUAAAAUCAUCGCGAGUAUGAAAAAACGAUCAACACGGGAAAGUUAUGUGCUUACAGCAGCUUUCCACCGGUAUAUCACUUUCUCAAUUCCGGUGAGUGGAUGGAGAGUUACGAGCAGUGGAUGGAGACCUACGAGCAAAAAAAUCACGUGAAAAACAGAGUGAAGUUCAGGUACACGCGCCGAGAAGUUCAGGUUCUUCACGCGGUGCAUUUUCGAAGAAUCUGUUUGACGAUAAAGGCAGAACGCAUGAUCUCGCCAUUUUCGAAAUUACUUGAAAAUGGCUAGGAAUCAGAGAAAACCAUCAACAUGAAAAAGUUUUGCAAUUUCCGUAGCUUUUCAGCGGUAUAUUAUUUGCCCCAUUCCGAUAAAGUUUGUAGAAAUUACGGCGAAAAUACGUUUUUCGCCAUUUUCGAAACUGACUUAAAACUGUAAAGAAUUGGGAGAAACAAUACAUACCAAAAAGUUUCACAUUUGUUCAAGAUUUCCAAAGCCAUAACAUUUGCUGCAUUCGGACAGACGGUUAAAAAAUUAGAUCAAAAAUACGAACUCGGUAGGACUAGGACCAUUUUCUAAAUUACUCUUAAACCAUUCAAAAUUAGAAAAAAACUUUCAAGAUGAAAAAGUAGCGCAUUUUCAUAAGCUUUACAAUGCCGUAUCAUAUGCCUCUAUUGGAUUAGCCGUUUAGAAAUGACAUCGAAAAUACGAACUCAGCUGUUCGAUUUACGAAAUUUUACGUUUUUUCAAAUUACUCUUUAACUAUAGGGAAUUAAAGAAAACUUUCAACAUGUGGAAGGAGCGGUUUUGCAGCAGCUUUCCAACGCCAUAUUAUAUGCCUCAUUAAGAUAAACGGUUUAGAAAUGCGGUCGAAAAUACGAUUCACGUUUUUUGUGCGAAGAAAAAACGGUUUUCAAAACUGCUCUUAAACCGCUUAUAUUUUGCCAAAAAUUUAAGUUGGAUAAUGAUACUGAUGUUCAAAACUUUCCAACGGUAUAUAGCAAGCCUCAUUUGGGCAAUGUUGGCGGAAGUUCAACCUAGUUCAUAGGGAAGUUCAGCGUACUACUAGCGGGGCAGGUCAGGUUGUGAUCAGAAUAUUAUUCUGAUCCCGUGAUUAGAAUAGUGUUUAUAUAUAUAUAUAUAUAUAUAUAUAUAUAUAUAUAUUAUAUUUGCCACAUUAACUUUAAGAGUUCAAUAUUAAUAUUUUCAUACAUAUCAAGUGAUAUUGGCGACCUUUUUUACCAUCAAAUCCUCGCGCACACACGCUAGUGCAUAACAAUAUGAAUUAUAUGUAUUAUAUUUGCCACCACAGCUGUGGGUAUUAAUUUCAUGUAAAUCGGUCAAUCACAGCUCCCAGAAUAUGCGAAGGAGGUGGCCUGAAUCGGCGUCGACGCCGUCCAGUGCGGGCCACGGGCCCGCUUCACUAGUAGAAAAAGGGCCUAUUGUCCCGGUUCGUAAGGGCCUUUUGUCCCGGUUCCUGAACCGGGACUAAAGGAUCGGUACUAAUUCCCUGUCCCUUUAGUCCUAGUUCAAUCCAGAACCGGGACAAAUGGGCCUCCACGUGGCCUGUGCGCGGAGCCCAGGCAGGAGGGCCUUUGGUCCUGGUUGGUGGCACCAACCGGGACCAAUAGGCAUCCACGCAUCAGCAUUUCUGUGGCUGGGGUUUNNNNNNNNNNNNNNNNNNNNNNNNNNNNNNNNNNNNNNNNNNNNNNNNNNNNNNNNNNNNNNNNNNNNNNNNNNNNNNNNNNNNNNNNNNNNNNNNNNNNNNNNNNNNNNNNNNNNNNNNNNNNNNNNNNNNNNNNNNNNNNNNNNNNNNNNNNNNNNNNNNNNNNNNNNNNNNNNNNNNNNNNNNNNNNNNNNNNNNNNNNNNNNNNNNNNNNNNNNNNNNNNNNNNNNNNNNNNNNNNNNNNNNNNNNNNNNNNNNNNNNNNNNNNUAGGUGUUUCAUAUAUUGUGUUAGCUAGCUAUAAUUAAUAGAGAGAAGUGUCCUCUCUUAUGUCCAUGCUUGGUCGGCGCUACGUACUAUACAUACGUAUAGAGAGGACUAGACAGGCUAGCUAGCUAGUUAGAAAACGAAGGAAACAGAAGAUCGUCAUGAACAUAUAUGCAUAGAGAGAGAAGUGAUAUCGACCACCUCUCCUUCUCCGAGAGAUUGGUCGAACAACAAGUUCUCGUAUAUCUAUCCGACACUACCGGCUACAUAUAUACAAUAAUUAUCUCUUACAAAUAUAAUCUCCUAACAUACGGACUCAUGGUCCACAUAGUAUUCUCCGUCUUCAGCGAUCACGUGGUCAAGAAAGAAUGCCGACAAUUCCUUUUGAAUUGCUCGCAUGCGAGCUGGUGCUAGGAGUUCAUCUCGCUUCCGAAACAUCUAAUUUGAAGAAGGGGCCGGGGUCAAUACAUAUAUAUAUGAAUGAAUGAAACUAAACACAAAUGAUGGUAAUAAAAUAAAAUUGUGAAUGUUGUUAUUUGCGCACUUCAUAUUGUUCAUCAGAGUAGCCCCGCUCACAGGCCGUGUGGUAGAUGGACUCGCAAACGUAGUAUCCACAGAAAUCAUUCCCUUGUAACUGCCACAACCCCUUUACAAGAAAUAGAGGUCAAUCAAACUGAUAAGCAAGAAUGCCAAAUGGUAUUGAUGAAACUAGCGCUUGAAUCAAUAGGAGAUGCGCGGAACAUGCUACUAUAGUACUUACUUUGGGGUGUCUAAAUUGCAGCUUCUCCGGGAGUCCCGGAGCUUUUUUGGUGAAUUUUUUCCAAACCCUGCCAGACAAAGAAAACAGUUACUUGAUAUAUCAGGAAAUGAACAAAGUUGCUGAUAUGGUGGAUAAUGAUCGAUUUAACUUACUUCUCGAGCAUUUGAGUCAUGUCCGCAUAGUCCUGGGGAUCUUUUCGUCUUGAGUCUAAGACGGUUACUAGUCCCUGCUCAAGCUUAAUCUCUAGGAGAAUAUAGUGGAAACUGCACACGCAUGCAUAACUCAUCAAUUACAUUACUAUAACCUUGACUAAUAUAUAAGGGAAACCGAAUAUGCACAAGACAGUAACACUCACUUGAAGUUGUAAGGAAAAAGUAUUAUAUCUUUGUUUUCAUUUAUUACCAACGAUCGUAGCAAGUUGGCCUCGGUAUCCGCGACAUGAAAUUUAACCUCAGUUGCAUCUAUGAUAUUUGUGUUAAUGAACCCAAUAUCACCGAUUUGUCUUUUCUUCAAUUCGACGAUCUUCAAUCUGCAUAAUAUAGUGAGGAUAAUUAUAAAUACAUGCAAUGAAAGAGCUGAGCUAUAUAGAGAGACUUAAUGACAGAAGUAGUACUACUUACAGACAGUAGCAGGUGACCGUUGCUUUAUCGAGGGCCAAUUGAUUGAAAAACUGAAAGAACUCCUCAAAUGGAACAGGUAACAAACACUAGUAGAAAAAGGGUCAAACGUGAAGCACAUUAGUGCCGGUUUGUAAAAAGACCGGCACUAAUGUGAUCAAUAGUGCCGGUUCGAAUGGCUAUGCAUUAGUGCCGGUUCGUAAUGAACCUUUAGUACCGGUUCAUGCCACGAACCGGUACUAAAGGGGUGGUGGCAGGCUGGCGUCAGGCCAGGCCCCACGAGCCCCUUUAGUGACGGUUUGUGACACAAACCGGUACUAAAGGUCUAACCUAUAGUACCGGUUUGUGUCACCAACCGGCACUACAAAGUCUUAACCUAUAGUCCCGGUUGAAGACACAAACCGACACUAUAGGGCAAUUUUCAAACUCUACCCCCCCCCCCGUGUAUCGCCAUUUCAGUUUUGAAAAAAUCAAAAGAAAAUGAUAAAAACUUCAAAAAAUAAAAUCCUUCGAGAGGUAGUUAUAUUACUACAUCUACUAGUUAGGAAAAUUUGAAAACUUAAAUUUGGACAUGUUUUGCAAAAAGUGUAGGGAAAAUGUAAAACGGCUAUAACUUUUGCAUAUGAUGUCGGAAAAAACGUAUAAUAUAUCAAAAAAUUCAGCACGAAAAUCCUCAAAUUCCAAAAGGAAAAAAAGAUAUGGUCAAAUUUAAGUUUUUUUUAAAAAAAAUUGGUUAAAUCUGGUCAAACUACUUAUUCAAGAAGUGUUAAUGUUACUACAUAAUUAUUCAAGAAUAUUAGUGUUACUAAAUAAUUAUUUCAAUUUUUUGAAUUUUGGUCAAAUCUGGUCAAACUAUGGUCAAACUGUGGUCAAACUAUGGUCAAACUUAUUCAAGAAAUAUUAGCGUUACUAAAUAAUUACUGUUUUUUUAGAAUAAUAGUUUCAAACUCAAACGGUGAAAUGUGUGACUUCAUGCUCAAGCUAAACUCCUGAGGGUUAAUAGGAUUAACAUCUUACUAUCAUCACGAAAACAACAAGUGCAGACAUGGAAACGAAGGAGAAUAGAACCCGAAAGUUAAGCGUGCUCGGGCUGGAGUAGUGAGAGGGAUGGGUGACCGGUCGAGAAGUUAGAUGAUUUGGAAUGAGUGAUCCACACUUGAGCAGUUAAGAGAGGUGAUUAGAGACUAAAUCAUCAAAUAAUUUAGAAAAAUUAAAAAAAUCAAAUUAAUUUUCAAAAAAAAUAUUCAAAAAAAAAACCAUUAGUACCGGUUGGUAACACCAACCGGUACUAAAGGUCCCCCAUACCAGGGCGUGAACUCACGCCACGUGGUGGCACUUUAGCGCCGGUUCGUGCCGAACCGGUACUAAAGGGGGGGGGGGCUUUAGUGCCGGUUCCAUAACCGGCACUAAAGGCACUUACAAACCGGUUUUAAAGCUCCGUUUUCUACUAGUGAAAUCAAUUCCAACGAGGUCAUGCUCCUUUUUAACUCUCACAUACAAAGUACUCCUCCCCUAGACUCUCUGCAGAUUUUCAAGUACCAAUCAUGCAAUCUUUGCAUCAUCGUUGAUAGAGAUCUUUCAUCUUUGACGAGAGGCUUCCCGUACUCGUAUCUUUGUAUCUGCACCUCCAUGAAAUCAUAAUGUACAUCGUCGGGCAGGUAAUCUCCAAGAUUGCUAUAACCGGGCACCAUCCUCGGAUCAUUAGCGACGAUGUCGCUAGGUACCUUGAGCGGGGGGGGGGGGGCACGAUUGCUUCCCUUGUUCGCCAAGCUGGGAAAUUUGUUUCCCAACUCGUCGUUCUUUCAGCCUUUGAUCACUGACAGUACUUCCCGACCGCUCCGCUUCGGCAAAUUCCUUUCCAAUAAUGCGCUCAUAGUUUCCUUUCGGUGGAGACUUGGGUGGUUUUGUUAGGGCAGCCAGAGUGCGCUUCGCUUUCACCGGAUCUACCUUCUCCUCCAGAGGUGGAUGUUUCUUUGCUUUCACCCCUUCAAAGAAGUUCCUGACUUCUUCUCGCACGAUCUCGGCGUUCUCCUCCGGGGUCCUCUCGUAUGGUAACUUCUCUGGAGUCUUUAGAGAAGGACCGAAUCUGUAUGUCCUCCCGCCUCUGGCUGUACUGCUAGACGCCGGCAGAGCAGACGGAGCGGUUGUCUUCUUUACUUGCUUACGAGGCAGAGGAGAAGGACUACGACGCACCAGAGCAGCCGGAGCGGCCGCAGGUCUCUUCCGCCCUUGCUGACGAGGCGGAGAAGGAGGAGGCUGGCUGCUCGGGCGCGCCGGCGCAGGCGGAGAAGGAGGCGGAGUGCCGCCACGCGCCGGAGAAGGAGCCGGCCGAGUGCCCUGAUAGUCACUCGCCAGAGGAGGAGGCGGUGGAGGGGGCGGAGUGCCCUGACUCGCCGAAGGAGGAGGAGGAGGCGGAGGCAUCCAAUUCGGAAGGUUCAUGACCUCCUUCCGCCAUAGGCAUGGAGUCUUCAGAGCAGAACCCAGCCGAGUCUCCCCUUCACCGGUAGGGUGGUCAAGCUGGAGGUCCUCAAAUCCCUCCGUUAUUUCAUCCACCAUCACCCUAGCAUAUCAUUCUGUAAUCGGCCGGCAGUGAAAAGUUGCGCUGGGUUCAGUAGGAAAAACAGAGCCAAUAGCCGCCUUGACCUUCAUAUUAACCCAUUGCGUCAUAAGGUGGCAAUUAUGAGACUCCGUGAUAGCAUCCACGGGAUAGCUGGCAGGAGCCGUCAAGACAUGCUCCUGCUGAAGCAGCUCGGUGGAAGCCAUGCUGCUUCUCCGCUGAGAUGGCGGGGUAGCUUCGGCAGUUCGUUUUGUGCGAUUUGCUUCUCGUUCCUCUAUUGCUUGUACCCUAGCGUGCAGCGCCUGCAGUUGGGUCUGCUCCACUUUCUUCCUCCUCUCGUGGCAUUUGUAACCGCCUGCGUCCGGAAACCCAGCCUUACACGGAAUGGAGCCUGGCGUGCCUCAUGUCCGUCCAGGGUGUUCAGGAUUCCCGAGGGCCAUUGUGAGCUCGUCGUUCUCUCUGUCUGGAACAAACAUACCUUGCUGCGCUGCUUCGAUAUAGUGCUUAAGCCUCUUGACUGGUAUUUCCAUUUGCUCGUCCGUCCAAAUGCACUUUCCUGAUACAGGGUCCAAGGUUUCACCAGCCCCGAAGAACCAAGUCCGGUAACGGUCUGUCCAGUUAAUUGUCUCUGGUUCGAUCCCUUUAUCAACCAGAUCAUUCUCAAUCUUGGCCCACUUAGGCCGAGCUGCCAGGUAGCCACCUGACCCCGUGCGAUGGUGAUGCUUCUUCUUCACAGCAUUUUGCUUGUUUGUCGACGACAUCUUCUUACUCUUUUCCGAUGUCUUGUGGGCCACAAAUGCGGGUCAGUGAUCUCUGAUCUUCUCAUAUCUGCCCUUGAAUUCCGGUGUCUCUUUAUUUUCGACAAACUUAUUCAGCUCUUUCUUCCACCUCCUGAAUAGUUCUGCCAUCCUCUUAAGAGCAAAAGACUUGAUUAAUUGCUCUUUAACUGGCUUCUCCGGAUCAUCCUCUGGCUGUAGGGUGAAAUUUGACUUCAGCUCAGUCCAAAGAUCAUUUUUCUGCAUAUCAUUGACAUAAGACACCUCAGGGUCUUCUGUAGCCGGCUUUAACCAUUGCUGCAUGCUGAUCGGGAUCUUGUCCCUAACCAAAACCCCGCACUGAGCAACAAAUGCGCUCUUUGUCCGGAUAGGUUCAUUCGGUUGGCCCUCGGGCGCGAUUGCUAUGAUCUCAAACUUUUCAUCCGAGCUCAACUUUUUCUUCGGGCCUCGUCUCUUUACCGAAGUUGUGCUCGAUCCGGAGGGCUAGAAAAAAGAACAAAGACUUAAUUAAUAUGUGUACAUACCAAAACAAUGAAUGCAUCAAUUAGCUAGUCAGCAGAAGCUUAACUAAUACUAGAUCAUUGAUGGUGCGUGUUGUUGCGCCCAUCUAUUUUGGAUCUUGGUUGUUAAGGAUAUAACAUUGCUAGUAUACAUUUCUUGCAUUGUUUUAAAAUAUUAUGCUUUCUAUAGCAUGUACUUCUCUUUAUUUUCAAAAUAAUGGUAUGUAAAUCAUCUUCAUUGGGGCAACAUUACAACUUCCAUAUCAACAUAAGCUUAGAUAUAAAUAGGGCAGUGCCAUAAGCCAACCUAUCCAUAUCCACGUUAUAAUAAUGGAUGGCUAUGUACAUUUUUGUUCAAGCAUAGUACAAGCUUGUUGCAGUUGCAUAGGAACAUAGACUUAAACAUAAUAUAAACUUGAAAUGUAUAAUGAUGGAAGAAGGCGGCAUGACAGUAUAUUAUACUUGGAAAACAAAUUGUACGAUGGAGUAGAGCGAACUGGAGAAGAUGUAGACCUCAAAUAGGCACCAGAAACACUGCACCAAAAUUUCUAUGAUUAUGGAUACAUCCAACAUGGCGGACGGUCAGAGGGCAUGAGAAGUAUAAUCAUAUACUAUCUAAGAAAAUCAAGACUCUUGAUUAUUACAUCAAAAGCAAGGCACAGAACAAGCUUACAUAUCGUAUUGUUCGUGCUAACACAAAUAAUAAUAUCUUCUAACACACGAAUGUAAUUUGGCCAAAAGAUAAUUUCUUCAUACGAAUUCCAACGUCACUACAUUUUUUUUCAUUGGGGCUUAAAAAUUGUUUGACCGUUUUACAUGAGAUAGAAAGAACUGACUGAACCGAGCAACAAAAGGCAACAAAAACACAAAUCAGUUUCCUCUCAUUCUCUGCCUACAUCAUAUUUUUUUUCCUGUAAAUAUAUCUUGUGAUUCAUCAUUGUUUCAGACCGUAAGGGCCGGAAGCUCUACCUAAGGCGGCUGCCAUACAAGGAUACACACAGCUUCGCCUUAAACACCCUCCUUGUGGCGAUGCUUAGAAAGGGAAUAACCUCAUGUAUUACCUUGCUCGGAAUAGCCAUGUUUUCAAAUCCCAACUAAUCCACCUUAAUCCUAACAUCAAAUGAACACAACAUUAACUUGAGAUCAGACGCUAUGGAGUCAGAGUGAUUGCAUGACUCGAGGCACAAGGCAACAGGCUGGGGUGAAGGCGUGGCAGCUGCAUGCCACCACGAAACACCGGCGAGCAGAGAACCGGAAGAUACAUAAUCGUUUAUGUCUUAUGAGUUAAUUUCUCCACUCAUUGCACGCUACAAAACAUUAGCGAGUAUACAUAGGAUGUCCCUUUCUGAACAACUACAUAAUAUAUAAAUUCCAAUUGCAUUAGGGAUUUCAUCUAGAGUAUAUUCCCUGAAUUAUUUGAAAUGAAGUAAUGGUUUUUCUAAUCCUACUUUGACCUGGAGCAUCACUCUGAAACAUCAGGGAACACACACAUCUUCAGAAGUAGCAGCAGUAGCUAAUGUGAAAAGUUCACUGGAAUGCUAGGAUACUAAAAAAGCUAGUACAUCCCAAUAGCCAAAGAACAUAACAAAAUUUGGCAUCAUGUGUCAAGUAGCUCACAGUGGGCAUAAAUUUGUACAUUAUAUGUCCCUUUAUUAACUCACUUGUCUCUGAUUUUUAACUAUUAGGAAAUAAUAGUGGUCAUCAAAAUUAGAAUAUAUUGUAAUGCUCUAGAAUAGGAUCUAAUUGUUGGGAGUUGUUACCUGAGGGAAUCCUUGCGGGGAGCUGAGCAUAGGAACCAAUGCUGUUCCGCACUGUCCACGUGACUGACCACCGUGCUGCCUCCAUGAGCCGAUGUGGAACUUCUACCAACAAGUGAUUUGUACAUGACUGCUCAAGCAAACUAAACCACUAAAUCCAAAGGGGAUUCGUUCCAGAAAGGUGCAACACCUUGAGAAAUCUACGUGUAGAAUUGAAGAGGGGAGAGUAUCAGGAGGUAAACCUAGAGAACCUGCAUAGUUUGUGAGUACAAAGAACAGUAUGAGUAAAAUAAAUUUCAAAAAUUGGAUUAGAUGAAGAAUCAGGUGAAGAGGAGAUAAAGGAAAGAACCAUCACCCAUUGCUGCACGAGAGUGGUUUUCAGAAGUAAGGGGAGUAGGGAAGGAGCAACAGCACUUUGGAUCGUAUAUUCGUAUAUGCGCGCGAGUGAAUUGAAGUAAAAAGCAUGAAUCAUCAGACCUGCAAUAAUCUUCAGUUUAGCCGGUUCAUCAAUUGCCAUUAAUCGAUCCUGAUUAAAACCUCAACGAAUCGAUGGCUAGUGAAUUUCAAUCGACAGCGGCUGUUCGCGGCCCUGACCAUCUCCCUAUUGCGUCACCGACCAGGACGCCGUUCGGUCGCUCGGCGAGGAGCGCCGUGUCAGUCGGACCUGAAGCACAGUGGCCAUGAGACACCAUCGGUCGCGUCGAUCCGACCCCAACACGGCCGCCAUCACUACUGCCCAGAUUCUGCUGCCAGCCGACAGCAGCAACCGUGCGAAACUGCGAACCAAAGGAUCUGGCGACGACGCGCCUGAGAACUCUAGAUAUGGCUUGAAAACCAGAAAUAUGCUUCACGGAUGUAGAGCGUGUUUGGUUGAGUUCCAGGAGCAAAAUUGCCUGGCCUGAGACCUUCCUGGGUUGUGCCUGCUUGUUGUUUGGAUAGUAGCCUCAAAUCACAGGCAUGUUCCUGGCCUGGAGUUGACAUGCACCUGAUUAGCCUGGGUAGAUCACAGGCAGCUUGAUUAGCCUGGAUGAGGCCAACGGAACCAGACGCCUGGCCUCCAGGCAGAUGCGUUUUGCGUCAAUUAGCAAGUUGUAUACUGUACUUUUUGUCAACUCAGCCGUCCCAUCUAAUUAUUUAAUAUUUAAGUACGUGUCCCAGGCCAGGUUUGCAACCAAACAUCACAUGCACACAGCAGCCUGGCCAGGCAAAAAUCCUCCUUCUCCCAGGCUACUAUCAGGCAUCAACUUUUGCUAGGCAUCACACCCAGGACAUGAACCAAACAUGCCCGUAGUGCGUCACUGACCUGGGGAUGAGCUCGUCGCCGGCUCGAGAAAAAGUCGCUCCCUGCUGCGCUUUUGGGGAAGAUAGGAAAUGUAGAAGAAUGAGCCAAUCUAGUGAAUCCCGUGGAACUUAAUGGAACCUGCACUCAUUUGGGAGCACAAAGAACAACAUCAAUUGAAAAAAAUUCAUGCAGAAUUUGGGGGAGAGUAGAGGUACCAACGAGGGAACACUUGUAAAAGGCCAGUAGCGGAGACUAAUUAUCGUCCUGUCAACCAUGGCAGCCUGCAAGUAAAAGGAGGAGAAUGAGGAAGGAGAAGCUCCACGAUGGAGAUUAAAUGGACGCAAUUGAAUGGAUGUUGUAACUGAGCCCAGUUAUUGGCCACCGGUGAGUGCGCCUCAUCGAUUGCAAAUUUGCCAUUAUAAUGGUCCGCUGCAACUAUGAAUUGAGUCCCGAAUCGCGGGCAACUGGAGGCAACCGACAGGGGACGAUCCGUUGCCCCGGAUACCUCCUGCUGGCGUCGCCCAGCGAGGCAACCCGGCCGGUCGCGUAGGUCGAGGCACAUCCGGUCGGUCCAAUCGACCUCGCAUCGGCACUGUUUUUUUUUCUCGCAUCAGGACUGGAUGAACGCUCAUCGGUCGCUCGUGUGUAACCCUAGUCGAUGGAACCGCACAAGUGGACCUUCUUCAGCGAAGCCCGUGGGCUGGAAUGGGCUGGCCGACGGCCCAGUUAACCACAGGGCUACGUUUUGGCCUGCGGAGCAGAAGCCCCAGGACAGCCGGCCCAGUUUUUAUCAGAUGUGGGACAGAUUGCUUUAAACAGGAGAUCCGACGACCAAAAACGUCUAGAUCGUGCAAACGGAUGGUCAGAAACGCGAAGCGCUGAGAGAGCUCGCUUUAGGUGCAGUUGUAUUGUACUUAAUAUAUACCUGGCCGGACUCGGUUCGGUCACCAGAGACGUCAUCACGGUCUCCUUCUUGCACCGGCAUUGUGUCACCGGAGCCGUCCUCACGGUCUCCUUCUUGCACCGGCAUUAGGUCACCGGAGCCAUCAUAAUCAUAGCCAGCUGCUUCCAUACCAUCGGUGUCGUUGAGAAACAACGAGCAGACGGCAUCCCUUCCUCGUGCGAUUAUGUCCCCCAACAACUCUUCUUGUACUUCGUCUCGGGCGGUGUCCAUAGUUUCUACAAAUAUUUAUAACAUGGCAAUUAUUAUUCAAACAUGACAGAUGGAUAUAUUAGUGGCAAACGUAGAACUAAUAUUAAUUAGUGGCCUCGACGCUACUUCUCUAGGGUUUGGGGUGGCCUCGACGCUGCUUCUCCAGGGUUUGAAGUGGCCUCGACAACGCUUCAAGGAUAAAAAAAGAAGAGGAAGAAGAAAAAAAGGGGAGAAGAAAGAAUAGAUCCUCUUUUUUUUUCUUCUUCUUCCUCUUUUUUUUUAUCGGGAACGAGGGUCGUCGACGCCCACGUCACUUGUGGGACGUGGAUGUAGUGUCCGACACCGAUGGCCACAUGUAUCUCACACCCACGAUACUUACUAUUUAGGGUUUCCUCUACCGCUCGGCGACCCUGACCCUCGACGACCCUCGUUUCNNNNNNNNNNNNNNNNNNNNNNNNNNNNNNNNNNNNNNNNNNNNNNNNNNNNNNNNNNNNNNNNNNNNNNNNNNNNNNNNNNNNNNNNNNNNNNNNNNNNNNNNNNNNNNNNNNNNNNNNNNNNNNNNNNNNNNNNNNNNNNNNNNNNNNNNNNNNNNNNNNNNNNNNNNNNNNNNNNNNNNNNNNNNNNNNNNNNNNNNNNNNNNNNNNNNNNNNNNNNNNNNNNNNNNNNNNNNNNNNNNNNNNNNNNNNNNNNNNNNNNNNNNNNNNNNNNNNNNNNNNNNNNNNNNNNNNNNNNNNNNNNNNNNNNNNNNNNNNNNNNNNNNNNNNNNNNNNNNNNNNNNNNNNNNNNNNNNNNNNNNNNNNNNNNNNNNNNNNNNNNNNNNNNNNNNNNNNNNNNNNNNNNNNNNNNNNNNNNNNNNNNNNNNNNNNNNNNNNNNNNNNNNNNNNNNNNNNNNNNNNNNNNNNNNNNNNNNNNNNNNNNNNNNNNNNNNNNNNNNNNNNNNNNNNNNNNNNNNNNNNNNNNNNNNNNNNNNNNNNNNNNNNNNNNNNNNNNNNNNNNNNNNNNNNNNNNNNNNNNNNNNNNNNNNNNNNNNNNNNNNNNNNNNNNNNNNNNNNNNNNNNNNNNNNNNNNNNNNNNNNNNNNNNNNNNNNNNNNNNNNNNNNNNNNNNNNNNNNNNNNNNNNNNNNNNNNNNNNNNNNNNNNNNNNNNNNNNNNNNNNNNNNNNNNNNNNNNNNNNNNNNNNNNNNNNNNNNNNNNNNNNNNNNNNNNNNNNNNNNNNNNNNNNNNNNNNNNNNNNNNNNNNNNNNNNNNNNNNNNNNNNNNNNNNNNNNNNNNNNNNNNNNNNNNNNNNNNNNNNNNNNNNNNNNNNNNNNNNNNNNNNNNNNNNNNNNNNNNNNNNNNNNNNNNNNNNNNNNNNNNNNNNNNNNNNNNNNNNNNNNNNNNNNNNNNNNNNNNNNNNNNNNNNNNNNNNNNNNNNNNNNNNNNNNNNNNNNNNNNNNNNNNNNNNNNNNNNNNNNNNNNNNNNNNNNNNNNNNNNNNNNNNNNNNNNNNNNNNNNNNNNNNNNNNNNNNNNNNNNNNNNNNNNNNNNNNNNNNNNNNNNNNNNNNNNNNNNNNNNNNNNNNNNNNNNNNNNNNNNNNNNNNNNNNNNNNNNNNNNNNNNNNNNNNNNNNNNNNNNNNNNNNNNNNNNNNNNNNNNNNNNNNNNNNNNNNNNNNNNNNNNNNNNNNNNNNNNNNNNNNNNNNNNNNNNNNNNNNNNNNNNNNNNNNNCGGGACUAAAGGGGGGCAUUGGUCACGGUUUGUGCCACGAACCGUGACCAAUGCCCCCUUUAGUCCCGGUUGGUGCCAUCAACCGGGACCAAAGGCCUGCGCCUGCCAAAGCCGUGGUGCGGUAGGAUGUUUAGUCCCACCUCGCUAGCUGAGGAGCGGCCGCACCUGUUUAUAAGCGCUGCACCUGUUUGGGCCUAAUCUCACAACGCUAUGCCUGCUGGGCCUUCUGCGGGCCUGAAUCCUGGCCCAUGGAUGGGCUUCUAGUCGUAUUCAGGCCGUGGUGGCCCAGUAGGUGGCAUUUUUUAUUACUAUUUGAUUUUUCAUUUCUACUUAGAACUAAAUACUUGUAGUUUUUUAGUGAUUUUUUUCUUUUAGGUCACAAAAAUUAUAAACUUUCUAUUAUUGCCAUUAGUUUUAAAAUUUGAAUAGUUUAAUUUUGAAUUUUUUAAAAUUUGUGUGAAUCACUAGUUUAUGAAUAACUUUACCGUAAAAAUUGAUUUUUGAGUCAUUUUUUUCCUGCUAUUUAAUAUUACUGUGUUUUAUCAUUAUACUCAAUUUGGUAAUUUUAGUUAGUCAUAACAAAUAUUAUAGGCAUUUUUUUCUUUUUUGCUAUUUUUUUUCAUUUCUACUUAGAACAAAAUACUUAUAGUUCUUUAGUGAUUUCUUUUUUCUUUUAGGUCACAAAAAUUAUAAACUUUCUGGUAGUUCCAUUAGUUUUCANNNNNNNNNNNNNNNNNNNNNNNNNNNNNNNNNNNNNNNNNNNNNNNNNNNNNNNNNNNNNNNNNNNNNNNNNNNNNNNNNNNNNNNNNNNNNNNNNNNNNNNNNNNNNNNNNNNNNNNNNNNNNNNNNNNNNNNNNNNNNNNNNNNNNNNNNNNNNNNNNNNNNNNNNNNNNNNNNNNNNNNNNNNNNNNNNNNNNNNNNNNNNNNNNNNNNNNNNNNNNNNNNNNNNNNNNNNNNNNNNNNUUAAUUCUUUUUGCUUUUCGUUUUAGAAAAAUUAUAAACUUUCUGUUAGUGCCAUUAGUUUUCAAAUUUGAAAACACUUUUUUAGUUUUUUUGCUUUCUUUGUUGCUUUAUUUAUUUUAUUUUGUUUCUACUUACAAAAAAAUACUUAUUGUUGCUAUUUUUUUUCAGUUUUUGUUUUGUUUUCUUUAUUAUUUAUUUUCUUUUGUUUUUUGCUUUAAUUUUUAAUUCUUUUUGCUUUUAGGUCAGCAAAAUUAUAAACUUUCUGUUAGUGCCACUAGUUUUAGAAAAAUUAUAAACUUUCUGUUAGUGCCAUUAGUUUUCAAAUUUGAAUAGUUAAAAUUUGAAUUCUUUAAAAUUUGUAUGAACCACAAGUUUGUGAUUAACUUUACUAAAAAAAUGAACAUAGAUGCACCUAUAGAGAAAAUUCGACCUAAAUUCAUAGUUUUCAAAUGAACUCUCAAAAAGUUGGCAUAGCAUACUCGUGUGUUACAAAGUUGGCAUGGUAUCAUCAUAAUAGUUGCUUGAGAAAGUCUUCACUUUUUCUUCGCUUGUGUCAUUUGCUUAUUGCGCCGUAACCAUGGAUAAUCUUCAUCGUUUAUCAGGAUGCUUGGGUCAGCCUUGACAUUGAAGGGAGGAAUUUCAUGAAACUUUUCAUAAUCUUCAGACAUGUCUGUCUUGCCCUCCACUCCCAGGAUAUCCCUUUUUCCUGAAAGAACUAUAUGGCGCUUUGGCUCAUCGUAUGAUGUAUUCGCUUCCUUAUCUUUUCUUUUUCUCGGUUUGGUAGACAUGUCCUUCACAUAGAUAACCUGUGCCACAUCAUUGGCUAGGACGAACGGUUCGUCAGUAUACCCAAGAUUUUUCAGAUCCACUGUUGUCAUUCCGUACUGUGGGUCUACCUGUACCCCGCCGCCUGACAGAUUGACCCAUUUGCACUUAAACAAAGGGACCUUAAAAUCAUGUCCGUAGUCAAGUUCCCAUAUGUCCAUUAUGUAACCAUAAUAUGCAUCCUUUCCGCUCUCGGUUGCUGCAUCAAAGCGGACACCGCUGUUUUGGUUGGUGCUCUUUUGAUCUUGGGCGAUCAUGUAAAAUGUAUUCCCAUUUAUCUCGUAUCCUUUGUAAGUCAAUACAGUCAAAGAUGGUCCCCUGGACAACAAGUGCAACUCAUCACAAACAGUGUUGUCACCUCUGAGACGUGUUUCCAACCAACUGUUGAAAGUCCUGAUGUGUUCACAUGUAAUCUAGUCGUCGCACUGCUCCGGAUGUUUGGAGCGCAGACUGUUUUUGUGUUCAUCGAUAUACGGGGCCACCAUGGUAGAGUUCUGUAGAACUGUGUAGUGUGCUUGAGACCAAGAAUAUCCGUCCCUGCAUAUUAUUGAGUCACUUCCAAGAGUGCCUUUUCCAGUCAGUCUCCCCUCAUACCGCGAUUUAGGGAGACCUAUCUUCUUAAGGCCAGGAAUGAAGUCAACACAAAAUUCGAUAACAUCCUCUGUUUGAUGGCCCAUGGAGAUGCUUCCUUCUGACCUAGCGCGGUUACGGACAUAUUUCUUUAGGACUCCCAUGAACCUCUCAAAGGGGAACAUAUUGUGUAGAAAUACGGGCCCCAGGAUGACAAUCUCGUCGACUAGAUGAACUAGGACGUGCGUCAUGAUAUUGAAGAAGGAUGGUGGGAACACCAGCUCGAAACUGACAAGACAUUGCGCCACAUCACUCCUUAGCCUUGGUACAAUUUCUGGAUCGAUCACCUUCUGAGAGAUUGCAUUGAGGAAUGCACAUAGCUUCACAAUGGCUAAUCGGACGUUUUCUGGUAGAAGCCCCCUCAAUGCAGCCGGAAGCAGUUGCGUCAUAAUCACAUGGCAGUCAUGAGACUUUAGGUUCUGAAACUUUUUCUCUGGCAUAUUUAUUAUUCCCUUUAUAUUCGAUGAGAAGCCAGUCGUGACCUUCAUACUGAGCAGGCAUUCAAAGAAGAUUUCUUUCUCUUCUUUCGUAAGAGCAUAGCUGGCAGGACCUUUAUACUGCUUCGGAGGCAUGCCGUCUUUUUCAUGCAAAUGUUGCAGGUCCUCCCAUGCCUCGGAUGUAUCUUUUGUCUUCCCAUACAAGAAGCCUACCAGGUUCACACAAAGGUUCUUCAUCACGUGCAUCACGUCGAUUGAAGAGCAGACCUCUAGGUCUUUCCAGUAGGGUAGGUCCCAAAAUAUAGAUUUCUUCUUCCACAUGGGUGCGUGUCCCUCAGCGUCAUUCGGAACAGCUAGUCCGCCGGGACACUUUCCAAAGAUUACAUGUAAAUCAUUGACCAUAGCAAGUACGUGAUCACCGGUACGCAUGGCGGGCUUCUUCUGGUGAUCUGCCUCGCCUUUGAAAUGCUUGCCUUUCUUUCGACAUUGAUGGUUGGUCGGAAGAAAUCAACGAUGGCCCAGGUACACAUUUUUCCUGCAUUUGUCCAGGUAUAUACUUUCAGUGUCAUCUAAACAGUGCGUGCAUGCGUGGUAUCCUUUGUUUGUCUAUCCUGAAAGGUUACUGAGAGCGGGCCAAUCAUUGACGGUCACGAACAGCAAAGCCUUUAGGUUAAAUUCCUCCUGUCUAUGGUCAUCCCACGUACGUACACUGUUUCCAUUCCACAGCUGUAAAAGUUCUUCAACUAAUGGCCUUAGGUACACAUCAAUGUCCUUGCCGGGUUGCUUAGUGUAGGGGAACAUAGUAAUUUCAAAAUUUUCCUACGCACACGCAAGAUCAUGGUGAUGCAUAGCAACGAGAGGGGAGAGUGUUGUCUAUGUACCCUCGUAGACCGAAGCGGAAGCGCUGACACAACGUAGAGGAAGUAGUCGUACGUCUUCCCGAUCCUACCGAUCCAAGCACCGUUACUCCGGCACCUCCGAGUUCUUAGCACACGUACAGCUCGAUGACGCUCCCCAGGCUUCGAUCCAACAAAGCUUCGGGGAUGAGUUCCAUCAGCACAACGGCGUGGUGACGAUGAUGAUGUUCUACCGACGCAGGGCUUCGCCUAAGCACUACAAUGAUAUGACCGAGGUGGAAUAUGGUGGAAGGGGGCACCGCACACGGCUAAGGAACGAUCACGUUGAUCAAUUGUGUGUUCUAGGGUGUCCCCUUGCCUCCGUAUAUAAAGGAUCCAAGGGGGAGGGGUUCGGCCGGCCCUAUGGAGGCGCAGGAGGAGUCCUACUCCUACCGGGAGUAGGACUCCCCCCUUUCCUAGUCCAAGUAGGAUUGGUGGAGAAGAAAGGGAAAGAGGGGGGUGCAGCCCCUCCCUCCUUGUCCAAUUCGGACUAGGGGGAGAGGGGGCGCGCGGCCUGCCCUGGCAGCCCCUUCCUAUUCUCCACUUUAGGCCCAUGAGGCCCAUUAACACCCCGGGGGGUUCCGGUAACCCCCCGGUGCUCCGGUUUUAUCCGAAACUUCAUCGGAACCCUUCCGGUGUCUGAAUAUAGUCAUCCAAUAUAUCAAUCUUUAUGUCUCGACCAUUUCGAGACUCCUCGUCAUGCCCGUGAUCACAUCCGGGACACCGAACUAACUUCGGUACAUCAAAAUGUAUAAACUCAUAAUAACUAUCAUCGUAACGUUAAGCGUGCGGACCCUAUGGUUCGAGAACAAUGUAGACAUGACCGAGACACGUCUCCGGUCAAUAACCAAUAGCGGGACCUGGAUGCCCAUAUUGGCUCCUACAUAUUCUACGAAGAUCUUUAUCGGUCAGACCGCAUAACAACAUACGUUGUUCCCUUUGUCAUCGGUAUGUUACUUGCCCGAGAUUCGAUCGUCGGUAUCCAAUACCUAGUUCAAUCUCGUUACCGGCAAAUCUCUUUACUCGUUCCGUAAUACAUCAUCUCACAACUAACUCAUUAGUUGUAAUGCUUGCAAGGCUUAUGUGAUGUGCAUUACCGAGAGGGCCCAGAGAUACCUCUCCGACAAUCGGAGUGACAAAUCCUAAUCUCGAAAUACGCCAACCCAACAUCUACCUUUGGAGACACCUGUAGAGCACCUUUAUAAUCACCCAGUUACGUUGUGACGUUUGGUAGCACACAAAGUGUUCCUCCGGCAAACGGGAGUUGCAUAAUCUCAUAGUCAUAGGAACAUGUAUAAGUCAUGAAGAAAGCAAUAGCAACAUACUAAACGAUCGGGUGCUAAGCUAAUGGAAUGGGUCAUGUCAAUCAGAUCAUUCAACUAAUGAUGUGAUCUCGUUAAUCAAAUAACAACUCUUUGUUCAUGGUUAGGAAACAUAACCAUCUUUGAUUAACGAGCUAGUCAAGUAGAGGCAUACUAGUGACACUCUGUUUGUCUAUGUAUUCACACAUGUAUUAUGUUUCCGGUUAAUACAAUUCUAGCAUGAAUAAUAAACAUUUAUCAUGAUGUAAGGAAAUAAAUAAUAACUUUAUUAUUGCCUCUAGGGCAUAUUUCCUUCAGUCUCCCACUUGCACUAGAGUCAAUAAUCUAGAUUACACAGUAAUGAUUCUAACACCCAUGGAGCCUUGGUGCUGAUCAUGUUUUGCUCGUGGAAGAGGCUUAGUCAACGGGUCUGCAACAUUCAGAUCCGUAUGUAUCUUGCAAAUCUCUAUGUCUCCCACCUGGACUAGAUCCCGGAUGGAAUUGAAGCGUCUCUUGAUGUGCUUGGUUCUCUUGUGAAAUAUGGAUUCCUUUGCCAAGGCAAUUGCACCAGUAUUGUCACAAAAGAUUUUCAUUAGACCCGAUGCACUAGGUAUGACACCUAGAUCGGAUAUGAACUCCUUCAUCCAGACUCCUUCGUUUGCUACUUCCGAAGCAGCUAUGUACUCCGCUUCACAUGUAGAUCCCGCCACAAUGCUUUGUUCAGAACUGCACCAACUGACAGCUCAACCGUUUAAUGUAAACAUGUAUCCGGUUUGUGAUUUAGAAUCGUCCGGAUCAGUGUCAAAGCUUGCAUCAACGUAACCGUUUACGAUGAGCUCUUUGUCACCUCCAUAUACGAGAAACAUAUCCUUAGUCCUUUUCAGGUACUUCAGGAUGUUCUUGACCGUUGUCCAGUGAUCCACUCCUGGAUUACUUUGGUACCUCCCUGCUAAACUUAUAGCAGGGCACACAUCAGGUCUGGUACACAGCAUUGCAUACAUGAUAGAGCCUAUGGCUGAAGCAUAGGGAACAUCUUUCAUUUUCUCUCUAUCUUCUGAAGUGGUCGGGCAUUGAGUCUGACUCAACUUCACACCUUGUAACACAGGCAAGAACCCUUUCUUUGCUUGAUCCAUUUUGAACUUCUUCAAAAUCUUGUCAAGGUAUGUGCUUUGUGAAAGUCCAAUUAAGCGUCUUGAUCUAUCUCUAUAGAUCUUUAUGCCUAAUAUGUAAGCAGCUUCACCGAGGUCUUUCAUUGAAAAACUCUUAUUCAAGUAUCCCUUUAUGCUAUCCAGAAAUUCUAUAUCAUUUCCAAUCAGUAAUAUGUCAUCCACAUAUAAUAUCAGAAAUGCUAUAGAGCUCCCACUCACUUUCUUGUCAAUACAGGCUUCUCCAAAAGUCUGUACAAAACCAAAUGCUUUGAUCACACUAUCAAAGCGUUUAUUCCAACUCCGAGAGGCUUGCACCAGUCCAUAAAUGGAUCGCUGGAGCUUGCACACUUUGUUAGAUCCUUUCGGAUCGACAAAACCUUCCGGUUGCAUCAUAUACAACUCUUCUUCCAGAAAUCCAUUCAGGAAUGCAGUUUUGACAUCCAUCUGCCAAAUUUCGUAAUCAUAAAAUGCGGCAAUUGCUAACAUGAUUCGAACGGACUUAAGCAUCGCUACGGGUGAGAAGGUCUCAUCAUAGUCAACCCCUUGAACUUGUCCAAAACCUUUUGCGACAAGUCGAGCUUUGUAGACAGUAACAUUACCGUCAGCGUCAGUCUUUUUCUUGAAGAUCCAUUUAUUCUCAAUUGCUUGCCGACCAUCGGGCAAGUUAACCAAAGUCCAUACUUUGUUCUCAUACAUGGAUCCCAUUUCAGAUUUCAUGGCUUCAAGCCAUUUUGCGGAAUCUGGGCUCACCAUCGCUUCUUCAUAGUUAGUAGGUUCAUCAUGAUCUAGCAGCAUGAUUUCUAGAACAGGAUUACCGUACCACUCUGGCGCGGAUCUCACUCUGGUUGAUCUACGAGGUUCAGUAGUAUCUUGUCCUGAAGUUUCAUGAUCAUUAUCAUUAGCUUCCUCACUUAUGGGUGUAGGUGUCGCAGAAACAGUUUUCUGUGAUGUACUUCUUUCCAAUAAGGGGGCAGGUACAGUUACCUCGUCAAGUUCUACUUUCCUCCCACUCACUUCUUUCGAGAGAAACUCCUUCUCUAGAAAGGAUCCAUUCUUAGCAACGAAUGUCUUGCCUUCGGAUCUGUGAUAGAAGGUGUACCCAACAGUCUCCUUUGGGUAACCUAUGAAGACACAUUUCUCCGAUUUGGGUUCAAGCUUAUCAGGUUGAAGCUUUUUCACAUAAGCAUCGCAGCCCCAGACUUUAAGAAACGACAACUUUGGUUUCUUGCCAAACCAUAGUUCAUAAGGCGUCGUCUCAACGGAUUUUGAUGCUGCCCUAUUUAACGUGAAUGCGGCCGUCUCUAAAGCAUAACCCCAAAACGAUAGCGGUAAAUCAGUAAGAGACAUCAUAGAUCGCACCAUAUCUAGUAAAGUACGAUUACGACGUUCGGACACACCAUUACGCUGUGGUGUUCCGGGUGGCGUGAGUUGCGAAACUAUUCCGCAUUGUUUCAAAUGUACACCAAACUCGUAACUCAAAUAUUCUCCUCCAUGAUCAGAUCGUAGAAACUUUAUUUUCUCGUUACGAUGAUUUUCAACUUCACUCUGAAAUUCUUUGAACUUUUCAAAUGUUUCAGACUUGUGUUUCAUUAAGUAGAUAUACCCAUAUCUGCUUAAAUCAUUUGUGAAGUUGAGAAAAUAACGAUAUCCGCCACGAGCCUCAAUAUUCAUCGGACCACAUACAUCGGUAUGUAUGAUUUCCAACAAAUCUGUUGCUCUCUCCAUAGUACCGGAGAACGGUGUUUUAGUCAUCUUGCCCAUGAGGCACGGUUCGCAAGUACCAAGUGAUUCAUAAUCAAGUAGUUCCAAAAGUCCAUCAGUAUGGAGUUUCUUCAUGCGCUUUACACCGAUAUGACCUAAACGGCAGUGCCACAAAUAAGUUGCACUAUCAUUAUCAACUCUGCAUCUUUUGGUUUCAACAUUAUGAAUAUGUGUAUCACUACUAUCGAGAUUCAUCAGAAAUAGACCACUCUUCAAGGGUUCAUGACCAUAAAAGAUAUUACUCAUAUAAAUAGAACAACCAUUAUUCUCUGAUUUAAAUGAAUAACCGUCUCGCAUCAAACAAGAUCCAGAUAUAAUGUUCAUGCUUAACGCUGGCACCAAAUGACAAUUAUUUAGGUCUAAUACUAAUCCCGAAGGUAGAUGUAGAGGUAGCGUGCCGACCGCGAUCACAUCGACUUUGGAACCGUUUCCCACGCGCAUCGUCACCUCGUCCUUUGCCAGUGUUCGCCUAAUCCGUAGUCCCUGUUUCGAGUUGCAAAUAUUAGCAAUAUAACCAGUAUCAAAUACCCAGGUGCUACUGCGAGCUCUAGUAAGGUACACAUCAAUAACAUGUAUAUCACUUAUACCUUUAUUCACCUUGCCAUCCUUCUUAUCCGCCAAAUACUUGGGGCAGUUCCGCUUCCAGUGACCAGUCUGCUUGUAGUAGAAGCACUCAGUUUCAGGCUUAGGUCCAGACUUGGGUUUCUUCUCCUGAGCAGCAACUUGCUUGCCGUUCUUCUUGAAGUUCCCCUUCUUCUUCCCUUUGCCCCUUUUCUUGAAACUAGUGGUCUUGUUGACCAUCAACACUUCAUGCUCCUUCUUGAUUUCUACCUCCGCAGCUUUCAGCAUUGCGAAGAGCUCGAGAAUAGUCUUAUUCAUCCAUUGCAUAUUAUAGUUCAUCACAAAGCUCUUGUAGCUUGGUGGCAGUGAUUGGAGAAUUCUGUCAAUGACGCAAUCAUCUGGAAAAUUAACUCCCAUCUAAAUCAAGUGAUUAUUAUACCCAGACAUUUUGAGUAUAUGCUCACUGACAGAACUAUUCUCCUCCAUCUUGCAGCUAUAGAACUUAUUGGAGACUUCAUAUCUCUCAAUCCGGGCAUUUGCUUGAAAUAUUAGCUUCAACUCCUGGAACAUCUCAUAUGCUCCAUGACGUUCAAAACGUCGUUGAAGUCCCAAUUCUAAGCCGUAAAGCAUGGCACACUGAACUAUCGAGUGGUCAUCAGCUUUGCUCCGCCAGACGUUCAUAACAUCUGGUGUUGCUCCAGCAGCAGGCCUGGCACCCAGCGGUGCUUCCAGGACGUAAUUCUUCUGUGCAGCAAUGAGGAUAAUCCUCAAGUUACGGACCCAGUCCGUGUAAUUGCUACCAUCAUCUUUCAACUUUGCUUUUGUUGGGGAACGUAGUAAUUUCAAAAAUUUCCUACGCACACGCAAGAUCAUGGUGAUGCAUAGCAACGAGGGGGAGAGUCUGAUCUACGUACCCUUGUAGAUCGCAACGGAAGCGUUGACACAACGUAGAGGAAGUAGUCGUACGUCUUCUUCCCGAUCCGACCGAUCCAAGCACUGUUACUCCGGCACCUCCGAGUUCUUAGCACACGUUCAGCUCGAUGACGAUCCUCGGGCUCCGAUCCAGCAAAGCGUCGAGGAAGAGUUCCGUCAGCACGACGGCGUGGUGACGAUCUUGACGUACUACCGACGUAGGGCUUCGCCUAAGCACUACAACGGUAUGAUCGAGGUGGAAUUUGGUGGCAGGGGGCACCGCACACGGCUAAGGAACGAUUUCAAGGAUCAACUUGUGUGUCUAUGGGGAGCCCCCCGCCCCUGUAUAUAAAGGAUGGAGGAGGAGGAGGCCGGCCAAGGCAAAGGUGCGGCCAGGAUAGGGAGUCCUACUAGGACUCCAAGUCCUAGUAGGAGUCCACCAAAAGGGGAGGAAGGGAGAAGGAAUAGGAGGAGAAGGAGAGGUGGCCGGCCCCCUUUUCCCUAGUCCAAUUCGGACCAAAGGGGAGGGGGGGCGCAGCAGCCUUUUCCUCUUCCCACUAAAGCCCAUCAAGGCCCAUUACUUCUCCCGUAACUACCCGGUACUCCGAAAAAUACCCGAAUCACUCGGAACCUUUCCGAUGUCCGAAUAUAGUCGUCCAAUAUAUCGAUCUUUACGUCUCGACCAUUUCGAGACUCCUCGUCAUGUCCCCGAUUUCAUCCGGGACUCCGAACUCCUUCGGUACAUCAAUACUCAUAAACUCAUAAUAUAACUGUCAUCGAAACCUAAAGCGUGCGGACCCUAUGGUUCGAGAACAAUGUAGACAUGACCGAGACACGUCUUCGGUCAAUAACCAAUAGCGGGACCUGGAUGCCCAUAUUGGCUCCUACAUAUUCUACGAAGAUCUUUAUCGGUCAGACCGCAUAACAACAUACGUUGUUCCCUUUGUCAUCGGUAUGUUACUUGCCCGAGAUUCGAUCGUCGGUAUCCAAUACCUAGUUCAAUCUCGUUACCGGCAAGUCUCUUUACUCAUUCUAUAAUACAUCAUCCCACAACUAACUCAUUAGUUGCAAUGCUUGCAAGGCUUAAGUGAUGUGCAUUACCGAGAGGGCCCAGAGAUACCUCUCCGAUAAUCGGAGUGACAAAUCCUAAUCUCGAAAUACGCCAACCCAACAUCUUCCUUUGGAGACACCUGUAAUGCUCCUUUAUAAUCACCCAGUUACGUUGUGACGUUUUGUAGCACCCAAAGUGAUCCUCCGGCAAACGGGAGUUGCAUAAUCUCAUAGUCAUAGGAACAUGUAUAAGUCAUGAAGAAAGCAAUAGCAACAUACUAAACGAUCGGGUGCUAAGCUAAUGGAAUGGGUCAUGUCAAUCAGAUCAUUCAACUAAUGAUGUGACCUCGUUAAUCAAAUAACAACUCUUUUGUCCAUGGUUAGGAAACAUAACCAUCUUUGAUUAACGAGCUAGUCAAGUAGAGGCAUACUAGUGACACUCUGUUUGUCUAUGUAUUCACACAUGUAUUAUGUUUCCGGUUAAUACAAUUCUAGCAUGAAUAAUAAACAUUUAUCAUGAUAUAAGGAAAUAAAUAAUAACUUCAUUAUUGCCUCUAGGGCAUAUUUCCUUCAGUCUCCCACUUGCACUAGAGUCAAUAAUCUAGUUCACAUCGCCAUGUGAUUUAACAGCAAUAGUUCACAUCACCAUGUGAUUAACACCCAUAGUUCACAUCGUCAUGUGACCAACACUCAAAGGGUUUACUAGAGUCAGUAAUCUAGUUCACAUAUCUAUGUGAUUAACACCCAAAGAGUACUAAGGUGUGAUCAUGUUUUGCUUGUGAGAUAAUUUUAGUCAACGGGUCUGUCACAUUCAGAUCUGUAAGUAUUUUGCAAGUUCUAUGUCUACAAUGCUCUACACGGAGCUACUCUAGCUAAUUGCUCCCACUUUCAAUAUGUAUCCAGAUUGAGACUUUAGAUUCAUCUGGAUCAGUGUCAAAAACUUGCAUCGACGUAACCCUUUACGACGAACCUUUUUGUCACGUCCAUAAUCGAGAAACAUAUCCUUAUUUCACUAAGGAUAAUUCUGACCGCUGUCCAGUGAUCUACUCCUAGAUCACUAUUAUACUCCCUUGCCAAAUCAAUGCAGGGUAUACAAUAGAUCUGGUAUACAGCAUGACAUACUUUAUAGAACCUAUGGCCAAGGCAUAGGGAAUGACUUUCAUUCUCUUUCUAUCUUCUGCCGUGGUCGGGCUUUGAGUCUUACUCAACUUCACACCUUGUAAUACAGGCAAGAACUCUUUCUUUGACUGCUCCAUUUUGAGCUACUUCAAAAUCUUGUCAAGGUAUGUACUUAUUGAAAAAACUUAUCAAGCGUCUUGAUCUAUCUCUAUAGAUCUUGAAGCUCAAUAUGUAAGCAGCUUCACCGAAGUCUUUCUUUGAAAAACUCCUUUCAAACACUCCUUUAUGCUUUACAGAAUAAUUCUACAUUAUUUCCGAUCAACAAUAUGUCAAUCACAUAUACUUAUCAGAAAUGCUGUAGUGUCCCACUCACUUUCUUGUAAAUACAGGCUUCACCGCAAGUCUGUAUAAAACUAUAUGCUUUGAUCAACUCAUCAAAGCGUAUAUUCCAACUCCGAGAUGCUUGCACCAGUCCACAGAUGGAUCGCUGGAGCUUGCACAUUUUGUUAGCACCUUUCGGAUUGACAAAACCUUCUGUUGCAUCAUAUACAACUCUUCUUUAAUAAAUCCAUUAAGGAAUGCAGUUUUGUUUAUCCAUUUGCCAGAUUUCAUAAAAUGCGGCAAUUACUAACAUGAUUCGGACAGACUCAAGCAUAGAUACGAGUGAGAAGCUCUCAUCGUAGUCAACACCUUGAACUUGUCGAAAACCUUUUUGCGACAAUUCUAGCUUUGUAGAUAGUAACACUACUAUCAGCGUCCGUCUUCCUCUUGAAGAUCCAUUUAUUCUCAAUUGCUUGCCGAUCAUUGGGCAAGUCAACCAAAGUCCAAACUUUGUUCUCAUACAUGGAUCAUAUCUCAGAUUUCAUGGCCUCAAACCAUUUCGCGGAAUCUGGGCUCAUCAUUGCUUCCUCAUAGUUCGUAGGUUCAUCAUGAUCUAGUAGCAUGACUUCCAGGAUUGGAUUACCGUACCACACUGGUGCGGAUCUCACUCUGGUUGAUCUACGUGGUUCAGUAGUAUCUUGUCCUGAAGUUUCAUGAUCAUCAUCAUUAGCUUCCUCACUAAUUGGUAUAGGUGUCGCAGAAACAGUUUUCUGUGAUGUACUAUUUUCCAAUAAGGGAGCAGGUACAGUUACCUCGUCAAGUUCUACUUUCCUCCCACUCACUUCUUUUGAGAGAAACUCCUUCUCUAGAAAGGAUCCAUUAUAAGCAACGAAUGUCUUGCCUUAGGAUCUGUGAUAGAAGGUGUACCCAACAGUCUCCUUUGGGUAUCCUAUGAAGACAUAUUUCUCCGAUUUGGGUUUGAGCUUAUCAGGAUGAAACUUUUUCUCAUAAGCAUCGCAACCCCAAACUUCAAGAAACGACAACUUUGGUUUCUUGCCUAACCAUAGUUCAUACGGUGUCGUCUCAACGGAUUUAGAUGGUGCCCUAUUUAACGUGAAUGCAGCUUUCUCUAAUGCAUGAUCCCAAAACGAUAUUGGUAAAUCGGUAAGAAACAUCAUAGAUUGUACUAUAUCCAAUAAAGUACGGUUAUGACGUUCGGACACACCAUUAUGCUGUGGUGUUCCAGGUGGCGUGAGUAGUGAAACUAUUUCACAUUGUUUUAACUGAAGACCAAACUCGUAACUCAAAUACUCUUUUCCACGAUCAGAUCGUAGAAACUUUAUUUUCUUGUUACGAUGAUUUUCCACUUCACUCUGAAAUUAUAUGAACUUUUCAAAUGUAUCAGACUUCUAUUUCAUUAAGUAGAUAUACCCAUAUCUGCUCAAAUCAUCUGUGAAGGUUUAGAAAAUAAUGAUACCCGCUGCAAGCCUUAAAUAUUCAUCGGACCACAUACAUUUGUAUGUAUGAUUUCCAACAAAUCUGUUGCUUGCUCCAUUGUUCCGGAGAACGGCGUUUUAGUCAUCUUGCCCAAAAGGCAUGGUUCGCAAGCAUCAAGUGAUUCCGAAAGCCCAUCAGCAUGGAGUUUCUUCAUGUGCUUUAUACCAAUAUGACCUAAACGGCAGUGCCACAAAUAAGUUGCACUAUCAUUAUUAACUUUGCAUCUUUUGGUUUCAAUAUUAUGAAUAUGUGUAUCACUACGAUCGAGAUCCAACGAACUUGUUUCAUUGGGUGUAUGACCAUCGAAGGUUUUAUUCAUGUAAACAGAACAACAAUUAUUCUCUGACUUUAAUGAAUAACCGUAUUGCAAUAAACAUGAUCAAAUCAUAUUCAUGCUCAACCAAAUAACACUUAUUUAAGUUCAACACUAAUCCCGAAAGUAUAGGGGAGUGUGUGAUGAUGAUCAUAUCAAUCUUGGAACUACUUCCAACACACAUCGUCACUUCACCCUUAACUAGUCUUUGUUUAUUCUGCAACUCCUGUUUCGAGUUACUACUCUUAGCAACUGAACCAAUAUCAAAUACUGAGGGGUUGCUAUAAACACUAGUAAAGCACACAUCAAUAACAUGUAUAUCAAAUAUACUUUUGUUCACUUUGCCAUCCUUCUUAUCCGCCAAAUACUUGGGGCAGUUCCGCUUCCAGUGACCAGUCCCUUUGCAGUAGAAGCACUUAGUCUCAGGCUUAGGACCAAACUUCGGCUUCUUCACUUGAGCAGCAACUUGCUUGCCGUUCUUCUUGAAGUUCCCCUUCUUCCCUUUGCCCUUUUCUUGAAACUAGUGAUCCUGUCAACCAUCAACACUUGAUGUUUUUCUUGAUUUCGACCUUCGUUGAUUUCAGCAUCACGAAGAGCUUGGGAGUUGUUUCCGUUAUCCCUUGCAUAUUAUAGUUCAUCACGAAGUUCUACUAACUUGGUGAUGGUGACUAGAGAAUUUUGUCAAUCACUAUCUUAUCUGGAAGAUUAACUCCCACUUGAUUCAAGCGAUUGUAGUACUCAGAUAAUCUGGGCACAUGCUCACUAGUUGAGCGAUUCUCCCCCAUCUUUCAGCUAUAGAACUUGUUGGAGACUUCAUAUCUCUCAACUCGGGUAUUUACUUGAAAUAUUAACUUCAGCUUCUGGAACAUCUCAUAUGGUCCAUGACGCUCAGAACGUCUUUGAAGUCCCGAUUCUAAGCCAUUAAGCAUGGUGCACUAAACUAUCAAGUAGUCAUCAUAUUGGGCUAGCCAAACGUUCAUAACGUCGGCAUCUGCUCCUGCAAUAGGUCUGUCACCUAGCGGUGCAUCAAGGACAUAAUUCCUCUAUGCAGCAAUGAGGAUAAAACUCAGAUCACGGAUCCAAUCCGCAUCAUUGCUACUAACAUCUUUCAACACAAUUUUCUCUAGGGACAUGUCAAAAUAAACACAGGGAAGCAACAACGCGAGCUAUUGAUCUACAACAUAAUUUGCAAAAUACUACCAGGACUAAGUUCAUGAUAAAUUUAAGUUCAAUUAAUCAUAUUACUUAAGAACUCCCACUUAGAUAGAUAUCCCUCUAAUCCUCUAAGUGAUCACGUGAUCCAAAUCAACUAAACCAUAACCGAUCAUCACGUGAGAUGGAGUAGUUUUCAAUGGUGAACAUCGUCAUGUUGAUCAUAUCUACUAUAUGAUUCACGCUCGACCUUUCGGUCUCUGUGUUCCGAGGCCAUAUCUGCAUAUGCUAGGCUCGUCAAGUUUAACCUGAGUAUUCUGCGUGUGCAAAACUGGCUUGCACCCGUUGUAGAUGGACGUAGAGCUUAUCACACCCGAUCAUCACGUGGUGUCUGGGCACGACGAACUUUGGCAACGGUGCAUACUCAGGGAGAACACUUCUUGAUAAUUCAGUGAGAGAUCAUCUUAUAAUGCUACCGUCAAUCAAAGCAAGAUAAGAUGCAUAAAAAGAUAAACAUCAUAUGUAAUCAAAAUAUGUGACAUGAUAUGGCCAUCAUCAUCUUGCUUCUUUGAUCUCCAUCUCCAAAGUACUGUCAUGAUCUAUAUCGUCACCGGCAUGACACCAUGAUCUCCAUCAUCUUGAUCUAUAUCAAUGUGUCGUCGUGUGGUCGUCUCACCAACAAUUGCUCUUGCAACUAUUGCUAUCGCAUAGCGAUAAAGUAAAGCAAUUACUGGACGCUUGCAUCUCAUGAAAUAGAGAGACAACCAUAAGGAUUUUGUCAGUUGCUGAUAACUUCAACAAAACAUGAUCAUCUUAUACAACAACUUAUAACUCAUCACGUUUUGACCAUAUCACAUCACAACAUGCCCUGCAAAAACAAGUUAGACGUCCUCUACUUUGUUGUUGCAAAUUUUACGUGGCUGCUACGGGCUUAGCAAGAACCAAUCUUACCUACGCAUCAAAACCACAACGAUAGUUUGUCAAAUAGACUCCGUUUUAACCUUCGCAAGGACCGGGCGUAGCCACACUCGGUUCAACUAAAGUUGGAGAAACAGUCACCCGCAAGUCACCUAUGUGCAAAGCACGUCGGGGAAACCGGUCUCGCGUAAGCGUACGCGUAAUGUCGGUCCGGGCCGCUUCAUCCAACAAUACCGCGGAACCAAAGUAUGACAUGCUGGUAGGCAGUAUGACUUAUAUCGCCCACAACUCACUUGUGUUCUACUCGUGCAUAUAACAUCAAACCAUAAAACCUAGGCUCGGAUGCCACUGUUGGGGAACGUAGUAAUUUCAAAAAUUUCCUACGCACACGCAAGAUCAUGGUGAUGCAUAGCAACGAGGGGGAGAGUCUGAUCUACGUACCCUUGUAGAUCGCAACGGAAGCGUUGACACAACGUAGAGGAAGUAGUCGUACGUCUUCUUCCUGAUCCGACCGAUCCAAGCACCGUUACUCCGGCACCUCCGAGUUCUUAGCACACGUUCAGCUCGAUGACGAUCCUCGGGCUCCGAUCCAGCAAAGCGUCGAGGAAGAGUUCCGUCAGCAUGACGGCGUGGUGACGAUCUUGAUGUACUACCGAUGUAGGGCUUCGCCUAAGCACUACAACGGUAUGAUCGAGGUGGAAUUUGGUGGCAGGGGGCACCGCACACGGCUAAGGAACGAUCUCAAGGAUCAACUUGUGUGUCUAUGGGGUGCCCCCUGCCCCUGUAUAUAAAGGAUGGAGGAGGAGGAGGCCGGCCAAGGCAAAGGUGCGGCCAGGAUAGGGAGUCCUACUAGGACUCCAAGUCCUAGUAGGAGUCCACCAAAAGGGGAGGAAGGGAGAAGGAAUAGGAGGAGAAGGAGAGGUGGCCGGCCCCCUUUUCCCUAGUCCAAUUCGGACCAAAGGGGAGGGGGGCGCAGCAGCCUUUUCCUCUUCCCACUAAAGCCCAUCAAGGCCCAUUACUUCUCCCGUAACUACCCGGUACUCCGAAAAAUACCCGAAUCACUCCGAACCUUUCCGAUGUCCAAAUAUAGUCGUUCAAUAUAUCGAUCUUUACGUCUCGACCAUUUCAAGACUCCUCGUCAUGUCCCCGAUCUCAUCCGGGACUCCGAACUCCUUCGGUACAUCAAUACUCAUAAACUCAUAAUUUAACUGUCAUGGAAACCUUAAGCGUGCGGACCCUACGGUUCGAGAACAAUGUAGACAUGACCGAGACACGUCUCCGGUCAAUAACCAAUAGCGGGACCUGGAUGCCCAUAUUGGCUCCUACAUAUUCUACGAAGAUCUUUAUCGGUCAGACCGCAUAACAACAUACGUUGUUCCCUUUGUCAUCGGUAUGUUACUUGCCCGAGAUUCGAUCGUUGGUAUCCAAUACCUAGUUCAAUCUCGUUACCGGCAAGUCUCUUUACUCGUUCUAUAAUACAUCAUCCCACAACUAACUCAUUAGUUGCAAUGCUUGCAAGGCUUAAGUGAUGUGCAUUACCGAGAGGGCCCAGAGAUACCUCUCCGACAAUCGGAGUGACAAAUCCUAAUCUCGAAAUACGCCAACCCAACAUCUUCCUUUGGAGACACCUGUAAUGCUCCUUUAUAAUCACCCAGUUACGUUGUGACGUUUGGUAGCACCCAAAGUGUUCCUCCGGCAAACGGGAGUUGCAUAAUCUCAUAGUCAUAGGAACAUGUAUAAGUCAUGAAGAAAGCAAUAGCAACAUACUAAACGAUCGGGUGCUAAGCUAAUGGAAUGGGUCAUGUCAAUCAGAUCAUUCAACUAAUGAUGUGACCUCGUUAAUCAAAUAACAACUCUUUUGUCCAUGGUUAGGAAACAUAACCAUCUUUGAUUAAUGAGCUAGUCAAGUAGAGGCAUACUAGUGACACUUUGUUUGUCUAUGUAUUCACACAUGUAUUAUGUUUCCCGUUAAUACAAUUCUAGCAUGAAUAAUAAACAUUUAUCUUGUGCUUGUGAUCUCCAUCUCCGAAGCACCUUCAUGAUCACCAUCGUCACCGGCGCGACACCUUGAUCUCCAUCGUAGCAUCGUUGUCGUCUCGCCAAUCUUAUGCUUCCACGACUAUCGCUACCGCUUAGUGAUAAAGUAAAGCAUUACAACGCGAUUGCAUUGCAUACAAUAAAGCGACAACCAUAUGGCUCCUGCCAGUUGCCGAUAACUUGGUUACAAAACAUGAUCAUCUCAUACAAUAAAAUUUAGCAUCAUGUCUUGACCAUAUCACAUCACAACAUGCCCUGCAAAAACAAGUUAGACGUCCUCUACUUUGUUGUUGCAUGUUUUACGUGGCUGCUACAGGCUUAAGCAAGAACCAAUCUUACCUAUGCAUCAAAACCACAACGAUAGUUUGUCAAGUUGAUGCCGUUUUAACCUUCGCAAGGACCGGGCGUAGCCACACUCGGUUCAACUAAAGUUGGAGAAACAGUCACCCGCAAGCCACCUUUGUGCAAAGCACGUCGGGAGAACCGGUCUCGCGUAAGCGUACGCGUAAUGUCGGUCUGGGCCGCUUCAUCCAACAAUACCGCCGAACCAAAGUAUGACAUGCUGGUAGGCAGUAUGACUUAUAUCGCCCACAACUCACUUGUGUUCUACUCAUGCAUAUAACAUCAAACCAUAAAACCUAGGCUCUGAUACCACUGUUGGGGAACGUAGCAAUUUCAAAAAAUUUCUACGCACACGCAAGAUCAUGGUGAUGCAUAGCAACAAGAGGGGAGAGUGUUGUCUAGAAGCGUUGACACAACGUAGAGGAAGUAGUCGUACGUCUUCCCGAUCCGACCGAUCCAAGCACCGUUACUCCGGCACCUCCGAGUUCUUAGCACACGUACAACUCGAUGACGCUCCCCGGGCUCCGAUCUAGCAAAGCUUCGGGGAUGAGUUCCGUCAGCACAACGGCGUGGUGACGAUGAUGAUGUUCUACCGACGCAGGGCUUCGCCUAAGCACUACAACGAUAUGACCGAGGUGGAAUAUGGUGGAAGGGGGCACCGCACACGGCUAAGGAACGAUCACGUUGAUCAAUUGUGUGUUCUAGGGUGCCCCCUUGCCUCCGUAUAUAAAGGAUCCAAGGGAGAGGGGUUCGGCCGGCCCUAUGGAGGCGCAGGAGGAGUCCUACUCCUAUCGGGAGUAGGACUCCCCCCCUUUUCCUUGUCCAAGUAGGAUUGGUGGAGAAGAAUGGGAAAGAGGGGGGCGCCGCCCCUCCCUCCUUGUCCAAUUCGGACUAGGGGGAGAGGGGGCGUGCGGCCUGCCCUGGCAGCCCCUUCCUCUUCUCCACUUUAGGCCCAUGAGGCCCAUUAACCCCCCGGGGGGUUCCGGUAACCCCCCGGUGCUCCGAUUUUAUCCGAAACUUCAUCGGAACCCUUCCGGUGUCCGAAUAUAGUCAUCCAAUAUAUCAAUCUUUAUGUCUUGACAAUUUUGAGACUCCUCGUCAUGUCCGUGAUCACAUCCGGGACUCCGAACUAACUUCGGUACAUCAAAAUGUAUAAACUUAUAAUAACUGCCAUCGUAACGUUAAGCGUGCGGACCCUACGGUUCGAGAACAAUGUAGACAUGGCCGAGACACGUCUCCGGUCAAUAACCAAUAGCGGGACCUGGAUGCCCAUAUUGGCUCCUACAUAUUCUACGAAGAUCUUUAUCGGUCAGACCGCAUAACAACAUACGUUGUUCCCUUUGUCAUCGGUAUGUUACUUGCCCGAGAUUCGAUCGUCCGUAUCCAAUACCUAGUUCAAUCUCGUUACCAGCAAGUCUCUUUACUCGUUCCGUAAUACAUCAUCUCGCAACUAACUCAUUAGUUGUAAUGCUUGCAAGGCUUAUGUGAUGUGCAUUACCGAGAGGGCCCAGAGAUACCUCUCCGACAAUCGGAGUGACAAAUCCUAAUCUCGAAAUACGCCAACCCAACAUCUACCUUUGGAUACAUCUUUAGAGCACCUUUAUAAUCACCCAGUUAUGUUGUGACGUUUGGUAGCACACAAAGUGUUCCUCCGGCAAACGGGAGUUGCAUAAUCUCAUAGUCAUAGGAACAUGUAUAAGUCAUGAAGAAAGCAAUAGCAACAUACUAAACGAUCGGGUGCUAAGCUAAUGGAAUGGGUCAUGUCAAUCAGAUCAUUCAACUAAUGAUGUGAUCUCGUUAAUCAAAUAACAACUCUUUGUUCAUGGUUAGGAAACAUAACCAUCUUUGAUUAACGAGCUAGUCAAGUAGAGGCAUACUAGUGACACUUUGUUUGUCUAUGCAUUCACACAUGUAUUAUGUUUCCGGUUAAUACUAUUAUAGCAUGAAUAAUAAACAUUUAUCAUGACAUAAGGAAAUAAAUAAUAACUUUGUUAUUGCCUCUAGGGCAUAUUUCCUUCACUUAGGGCCUUGGAUGAGAACUGGCAUCAUAAUGAACUUCCGCUUCAUGCACAUCCAAGGAGGAAGGUUAUACAUACAUAGAGUCACGGGCCAGGUGCUGUGAUUGCUGCUCUGCUCCCCUAUAGGAUUAAUGCCAUCCAUGCUUAAAGCAAACCAUACAUUCCAUGGGUCGUUUGCAAACUCAUCCCAGUACUUUCUCUCGAUUUUUCUCCACUGCGACCCGUCAGCGGGUGCUCUCAAUUUUCCGUCUUUCUUCCGGUCCUCACUGUGCCAUCGCAUCAACUUGGCAUGCUCUUCGUUUUUGAAUAGACGUUUCAACCGUGGUAUUAUAGGAGCAUACCACAUCACCUUCGCAGGAACCCUCUUCUUGGGGGGCUCACCGUCAACGUCACCAGGGUCAUCUCGUCUGAUCUUAUACCGCAAUGCACCGCAUACCGGGCAUGCAUUCAGAUCCUUGUAUGCACCGCGGUAGAGGAUGCAGUCAUUAGGGCAUGCAUGUAUCUUCUCCACCUCCAAUCCUAGAGGGCAUACGACUUUCUUUGCUGCGUAUGUACUGUCGGGCAAUUCGUUAUCCUUUGGAAGAUUCUUCUUCAAUAUUUUCAGUAGCUUCUCAAAUCCUUUGUCAGCCACAGCAUUCUCUGCCUUCCACUGCAGCAAUUCCAGUACGGUACCGAGCUUUGUGUUGCCAUCUUCGCAAUUGGGCUACAACCCUUUUUUGUGAUCCUCUAACAUGCGAUCGAACUUCAGCUUCUCCUUUUGACUUUCGCAUUGCGUCCUUGCAUCGACAAUGACCCGGCGGAGAUCAUCAUCAUCGGGCAGAUCGUCUGGUUCCUCUUGAUCUUCAGCAGCUUCACCCGUUGCAGCAUCAUUGGGCACAUCGUCUGUUUCCUCUUGAUCUUCACCAGCUCCCUCCAUUGCAGCAUAACCGUAUUCAGGGGGCACAUAGUUGUCAUCGUACUCUUCUUCUUUGCCAUCUUCCAUCAUAACACCUAUUUCUCCGUGCCUCGUCCAAACAUUAUAGUGUGGCAUGAAACCCUUGUAAAGAAGGAGGGGGUGAAGGAUUUUCCGGUUAGAGUAAUACCUCGUAUUCCCACAUUCAGUGCAUGGACAACACAUAAAACCAUUCUGCUUCUUUGCCUCAGCCGCACCGAGAAACUCAUGCACGCCCUUAAUGUACCCGGAGGUGUGUCUGUCACCGUACAUCCAUUGCCAGUUCAUCUACGUGCAUUAUAUAUAAUUAAGUGUCCAAAUUAAUAGAAGUUCAUCAUCACAUUAAAACCAAAGUACAUACAUAGUUCUCAUCUAACAACAUAUAGCUCUCCAGAGCAUCUAAUUAAUUAAACCAUACAUUGAAACUAUGUAAAACAUUUCAAUGCGAAAACAAAUGCGAUCAUAAUUGCAACCAAGGUAACAAUUGAUCCAACGGCAUAAUGAUACCAAGCCUCGGUAUGAACGACAUAUUUUCUAAUCUUUCUAAUCUUCAAGCGCAUUGCAUCCAUCUUGAUCCUGUGAUCAUAGACGACAUCCGCAACAUGCAACUCCAAUAUCAUCUUCUCCUCCUCAAUUUUUUUAUUUUUUCCUCCAACAAAUAGUUUUCUUCUUCAACUAAAUUUAGCCUCUCGGCAAUAGGGUCGGUUGGCAUUUCCGAUUCACAUACAUCCUACAUAAAUAAAAUCUAUGUCACGUUGAUCGGCAUAAUUUUCAUAAACAAUAAAUGAACCAAUAGUUAUAAAGAUAAUAUAUAUACCACAUUCGAAUCAUAGACAGGACGAGGGCGACGGGGGCGGAUACCAAAACCAUCGCACUAUAUAAGAUGCAAUAAUAAAAGUAAGAAAAUAAUACAAGUAUCUAUGUAAACAUACAAGUAAGAAUAUUUUUCCUUUCAGAAAGAAGAUAAGAACAAGAGGCUCACCAUGGUGGUGCCGGCAAGGCCCACCUUGGUCCAUGCGGGGAUGCACAAAAUAAGCUAUGUGCGGCCCAUGCGGGGAAUUUUGGUUACGCAUGGCCCAUACAUAUGGUGAUCCAGCCGUACGUGACCAAAUAGGAUGGACGGACAAACGAAAACGGACAAAAAUUAGGGACCAACCAAUUAGUACCACCUCGCGUAUAUGUUUUAUAUUUAAACUGAAAGCGUAAAUUUUCAUGAAAAGAAAUGUACUGUGACGGUGAACCCGACAAAGUCAAUCCGUGCUUUAUUAUUAGGGAAAGAUAUACUAAUUGGAGGCACCUUUGGAGCGUCUACGUUAAUCCACGUCAUUAAGAUUAAUAUAGCCGUUUGAUAUUAAAUUUAAUGGUUAAGAUAUGCUAGAAGACUAUGCCUUAUUAUAGAAGAAAACAACAUGUACGUAGGGAUGAAAUCCACGCAUACAAAAAAAAACUCAUGUAAAGAAAAAUCAAUUCUCACCACAUAGAUGAAACUCAUUAAACUUGCACAUGCAAAAAAAGUCCUAAGCUCCCACGUCCAUGAAAGAUUAGACAUGCACAUAAAAAAAGAGUCCUAAAUGCCCACGCCCAGGUUCCAAGAAAAAGUACGUGCCUACUCCUUGCAAAAAGAGGACGCGUGGCAAAACUAAAAAAUAUGAAUAUAAUCAUCUCAAUCUCUUUCUAAUAAUAAAAUAUGAAUUGAUUUUGUCAGGUUCGUCGUCACAAUACACUUUUUCCUGUAAAUUUACGCUUUCACUUUGAAUUUAAAACAUAUAGGUGAGGUGGUACUAAAAAACUGUUCAUUGGUCGCGUACGUCAAUUAGUAUAAGUCGCUUUUUUUAGUCCCUCCGGCUCGCUAGACUGGGCCGUGUUGAUCAUUCCCGUGAUGACUGAACUGGGCCUGGUCAAAAAGAAAAAAAACGAUGCAAAAAAUAAUUCCCCAUGAGCUUCGAACCAAGACGAAGGCCCUCAGUCACAAAGGAGAACGCCAACUAGAUUGCUCUAUUUUGUUCUGCCAAAUUGUGUCCCUGUAGAUAUAAUAGUCCCACAUCGCUUCUUUGCACUGUAUCUUAUCGAUUUUUAUACAUCGGCGGACUUGUCCUAGCAGAAGUUAAUUGGAAGAGGAAGCAAGGAAUAAAGAACGAACGCAGGAGGAAUUUGGCCAGAAGAAACAAGGUCGGGGAGCGUGAGGUUUAUGGUGAAUAUUCAGAGAACGGCAGCUGCAUUGUUCGAAUUUAGUCUAUCUUUGGACAUGUCUUUUCCGGGGAUUCGACACCAUGUUUUGUGCGCGAAUGGUUUUAUUAGGGUUUUUGACUGUUCCAAGUUAGAAGAGGCCAGAGUUUUCUCUGGUUCUUCAGUGGCCUGAAGCAACCAUGCUUACGCUUUUUUUUUUCAACCAUUCAUUGCCCAUUUUCAUUAAUUUCUUAAAGAAAAUACAUCAACCGUCCUUGCAGAAAGAACGAGGCAGCUUCACAGCUGGAAAUCAAGAGUGCGGUGUCCAGUUUUACGGGGAAAAGAAUUCUAUGAGACCAGGUCUCACGCGAGACCCAUCCUAAUGAAUGCCACGUGCUAUCCAUCAGAACGGGUCUCACCUGCUAACCGUGAGACUUGGUCUCAUAUAUUUUUUUUCCGUUUUACGGGGAAGCAUCAUCAGAAAUCUAGCAAAUCAUUCGCAUUAUUCUCUCACAUACAGUACAGAUCCUUCGGAUCGCCACAUCACAGCUGGACUUCAUUGCUUUGGGUGUCUAAUUAAGGGCUUGUUCGGUUAAUCCUCUCGCGAAGAGGAUUGGAGGGGAUUGGCAAGGAUUGGUUCGUAUUUUGACUUCUAAGAGGUUUAAGUCCUCCUCAAACCCCUUCAAUCCAUUCGGAUUCACACGCAACCAAACAAGGCCUAAACGGGAUCCGCAUCUGAACUAUUAAGCAGCAAAUGAUAGUGUGCGUGAAACAGGUAGGCAAUGUCAAUGAGGACAAACUGUGAUGAUAUCGUUUGAAAACUCAGCUGUCGUCCGUAGUGUUUGGCAUGUGACAGAUAGAUCCUGUUGAUUGUCUAACGAAAGCCAACGGUGAUGUCAAACUAGACUAUUUUAACAUAGUCGGUAAGACAAAAAUGGGAAACAUAUGUAUAUAUGACUACCGAGAACACGACAUCCAUUGUAUCUCGAUUAAGCAUCUUCAAAUAUUAUUCCUGUCGUGAUAUUGACAACAUUAUUAGUUUGUACUUGAAUGAAUAGUCAAGGAACUUUUGAGUGUUCCAAGUUAAACAUCCAAAUUUGUGUCGCAUUUCAGUAUGGGAGGCGCGUAUGACUCUCAAGUUUUUCCGAAUUUGAGUAAUACGGGUCAACUAUUUGCAAAAAUAAAAUAAAAACAUGUUAUCUAGCAUAUGUUUUUACCGUGUUAACACAUUCACAAUUAUUCCAUUUUGAAAAAAGGUACCUAGGUGGUAAAUGAACUACAAACCUUGCUCGACAUAUAUCGAGAAAUAUGUAUUGACAUACACAACAGAGAAAAUAAAUCAAAAUACAUUGCGCAGAACAUUGACAAUAAAUUAGUUGGUGAAAUUAGACAAUUUAGUUGGUGAACUUAGAAAAUUGUUACAUAAGGCUCCAACUUAAUUUCUCAGCAGUUGGAUCAGUUUUUUUUUUUGAGGACCAUGGAAAUACUGAAACCAUGGUUGAUACAAACUCCCCUCUCACACCUAAACUUUGAGCUAGAUAUUUCCUUUUAGUGAGUUUAGCUACUAAUUUUAAAGGGGUUCGCUAAAUCUCAGUCAAUUGAGAUUUAAUGUAGUCUCAAUCACCUUUCCAAGCCGUUGAAUACAUGCACACUAAGAUUAUGUGCUAGGAAACUUUUCUUUGUUAUUGUGAGGUGGAACGGAAAGAGAUGUGUGUGUGCCUUUCUGGACUAUUCGAAGUGUGCGUGUUUUUCCGAGGAAAGAGCCUACAAUCUACACGAGAAGCUUGUGUUUGGGCCAAGUCCAAACAUAAUAUAAUUUGUCAAACCAAACAACCAACAUUUUCUAAAACCGAAAUCAACAUAGCAAAAACAUGUUUGCUUUCGAAUAUUAAUAAAUAACUGUAUAUAAAUAAUCCCACUUCAAUGCACCACUCCUCUCACACCCGGUGAUAGUGUGAUGUUCGUUGAGGCAACAUCGAAGGACAUGAAUGUAGUUUCAUUAAUCUUUUUCCGAAUUGUGUACACCAAAAAUUGUAUCAUCAUUAACGACGGUGGCAAAAAUGAAAAGUGGCAACAUGAACGAGUCACUGAAAACAUGCGAAGACUUUCUCCUUCCGGUGCAAUGCACGACACAUUAAAUGAUGCAUACAAAGGUUAAAGGGAACCUUCUUUUGAGAAACAAAGACAAACACAGACUCACAAACACGUACAUACAUGAACACCUAGAGAGACUGAGCUGACAAGUCUUGAGAUUGAUGAACACACCACAAGUGUCUCGCUUCGACGCGAACGUCACCAUGCACUGAAAAAAUAUUUCACCUUUGUGAAACAUGAAAUUAAGCGUCAAAGUUAGGUUUUAAUUCUUGCUCUAUUGGGUAUCACCGCCCUGCAAACCAUCCAAUCAGAGAUUGGUUCUCAGGGUUAAAGCGAAACUAACCAAUACAUUUAUUUGAUAUGAAAAAAUGAACCCUUCCAAACCAAGCAAACAACUAUCUCUAAGAAAUCCAACAUAGCAACAAUGCUUUGUAUUCAAAUGUUUUGGAAAUUCUAAAAAAAAACUUUUGGAUUAGUUUUUAAACUCUCGGUUAGUAUAGAACAUUCCAAUGUUUGUAUGUUGCACUAAAAAUAAAUGCACCACUCUUUCACCCGGUGGUAGUGCUAAGCUAAAGGAGUGCCAUCAAAGGACACCACUAUGACUAUCUUAACUCUACUCCAUGAUGCGGACACCAAUAAUCAUUUUUAUUUACCAACACGAAGGCGUUUUUUUAAGAUAGUGAGUGUUUCUAAAUGUUCUUGGUUUCAAAAAAUAUAUUCAUGUUUUAAAUAUGUUUAAACUUUUGAAGAAAUGCUGAAAAUUCCUAAAAAAUGGUUCCAAUUAAAAACCAGCUAUAAUUGUUCAAAAAAUCAUUAAAAAAAAUCAUGAAAUCGCUUGUUUAUAUAAUGUUCGACUUCAAAAAAUAUUCCAAUUCUAGUAAGAAAUUAAAAAAUAGUCGAUUUCUUAAAAAAUAAAGAAAUAUUUGUGUUGUCUUUCAAAAAGCAAAAUAUAUACCGAUUCACAUACUAUUCCAUGCACAACUAUUCUUCCAACAGAUGUGGGAAGUUAGGUUGGUUCUUCAUGUACACACUUCAAGCUCCGAACAAAAAUUAGAGUUUAACAUUAUUACUCUGGUUUAUCAGCCUUUGAUACAAGAAAUGGCACAUGAAGCGCACUUUUAUUUGCCCGUUGCAACGCACGGGCAUUUGUACUAGUAAAUAUCAAUUGAAGGAAUAUCAUUCUGCAAAGGCAGAUUCUUGAAUAGGAUUGUUUCACAACUGCAUCCAUCAAUUUUAAAGUUUACUAUCUAAUAUGAUGCUAGAUAGAUAAAGCCUCAAUUAAGUAUAACAUUGUGUUUGUUGGUUAAGUUAGGAGCACUUACUAAUGUACUAAAAGAGAAAUAUAUAUUAUAUAUGGUUUGAGUACCAUUGUAGUAGUGGUGCAUAUACAUACGCGCACCACCUACUAUAUAUCGAAAUAAUUCAUACUCGCUUUCUCCCUUAUAUAUAUAGUAGGUGGUGUCAAAUUCUUGCUAAUUUGACAUGAAGGCUUCAUUCAGACCAGUGAUGAUACUUUGCGCAACAUAAAUGGGAAAGUAGAGGCACUCUUCCAUAUAAUGAAGUUUAUAAUAUAUGUGUUUAUAUUGUACUAUAAUUGUUUGAAUAACUUACCAUAUGUUCAGAUGUAUGAUAUCUGUAAUUUAAGCGCUUGAAUUUUACAUAUAAAUAUAAUUUUAUUAAUAAAUAUGUACCCAUAUAAUAGCUAGGCCGUGUAGUUGCACGGGUAGAUGACUAGUGAUUACAAUCUUGUUUGUGAGCAAGUCAAGAUUAUCUAGUUUACACGUAACAACUUGUAGAACAUUACAAAAAUUAUGCUUGCUAAUAACUUCUAGAACACUACAACACUUGACAUGUAAAAGGAAUUUGAUGAGUCAUGGCCUACUAAAGCAAGUUACAUUACUACUCUUAUCUAUCUUAACAGACCACACAAGAUUACAAACUAAGUACCGUGACAGCCAUGCUUAUCUAAUUUAUGCGUAACAAUUUGCGGAAAAUUACAAAUUUAGUUUUAGAAAAAUAGGCAAUCUAGAUUAGUGUUUGAGCUGUAAUGUGAAUAAGAUGAGUCGUGCGUCUUGUCACACCUUUUUGGUGGUGGAAUGAUAGUGCAACAACAAGGAACUUUAAUGACCAGUCCAAGAAUACACUUGUAAGUAGUGCCACCAAACAGAACAUACCAAAUUAUGAUUUUGAGAAGAAUCCAAGCACUUUCCACACAAGCAAAUGCCAAUUGUGAAAGAGAUCAUUCCAUGGCAGCUAUAAAUAGCCCCAUAGCAUGACGCUCAUCCUUCCUCAUCCAUCAUUCUCAUAAGUAGAGUGCAUCAUUUAAGCCAAGCAAGCUGUGGUCAAUACAAAUCCACCAUGAAGACCUUUCUCAUCCUUUCCCUCCUUGCUAUCGUGGCAACCACCGCCACAACUGCAUUUAGAAUUCUAGUGCCACAAUUGCAGCCACAAAAUCCAUCUUAGCAACAACCACAAGAGCAAGUUCCAUUGGUACAACAACAGCAAUUUCUAGGGCAGCAACAACCAUUUCCACCACAACAACCAUAUCCACAGCCGCAACCAUUUCCAUCACAACAACCAUAUCUGCAGCUGCAACCAUUUCCGCAGCCGCAACCACCAUAUUCGCAGCCGCAACCAUUUCGACCACAAUAACCAUAUCUCCACAACCGCAACCACAGUAUUCGCAACCACAAUAACCAAUUUCGCAGCAGCAACAACAACAACAACAACAACAACAACAACAAAUCCUUCAACAAAUUUUGCAACAACAACUGAUUCCAUGCAUGGAUGUUGUAUUGCAGCAACACAACAUAGCGCAUGGAAGAUCACAAGUUUUGCAACAAAGUAGUUACCAGCUGUUGCAAGAAUUGUGUUUUCAGCACCUAUGACAGAUCCCUGAGCAGUCGCAGUGCCAAGCCAUCCACAAUGUUGUCCAUGCUAUUAUUCUGCAUCAACAACAAAAACAACAACAACAACAACAACAAAAACAACAACCAUCGAGCCAGGUCUCCUUCCAACAGCCCCAGCAACAAUAUCCAUCAGGCCAGGGCUCCUUCCGGCCAUCUCUGCAAAAUCCACAGGCCCAGGGCUCGGUCCAGCCUCAACAGCUGCCCAGUUCGAGGAAAUAAGGAACCUAGCGCUACAGACGCUACCUGCAAUGUGCAAUCUCUACAUCCCUCCAUAUUGCACCAUCGCGCCAUUUGGCAUCUUCGGUACUAACUGAGAAGAAAAUAACUCUAGUACUAGAUAUAUGAAACACCGUUUUCUUAGUCCAUGGUUUGGUCAUUGUAGCGGUGAAAAAAUAAAGUGACAUGCACUACCAUGUAAGAACUCGAACUAUACUAGUUCAAACUUGGGAAUAAAAGACAAACACAGGUCUUGUCUACAUAUUUAUGUUGCAUUUAUCUAAAGAUAACAAAAUGAGUCUAAAAUUUGAAUUAAAUUGAAGUAUUUUCUUGGACUUUCAAAUUGAGUAUUAUUAACGUAGUAAGGACUAUCCUCAUCCUUGGCCUGCCCCUAAUCAAUUAUUUCCAGAGAAGCAUUCAAUUCAUCAAUCAAUUACAUUGAUUUUUGUGGCUGGUACUUCUCCUCAACAUCAGUAUAUUCACCGUGGCUACUCCAAAUCGGCAAGAAUGAGGUACCGGUGCUCUGGAGCAGUGCCAACUAAUUGCUUCUCAUGUGAAGGGGUGCGGGCGCGGGAGAGGUAUUUCUGGUGGGCCAAGGGAGUAAGAAGCCACCGUGGGAGUGGUACAGACGCCCGUAAAGCCCCAUAGUUUCUUUUUGGUUUACAGGAAAAUGCACAUCCAUACCGGCCUGGGGAGUAUAGGACCGUAUUGGAUGGAAAACCAUGUCCGGAUGGUUGCGAGCGGUUUGAGGGUUAGCUUUUGUAACGCCCGGUUAGUUAUGCUAUAGCAAUUCCCUGCUAAUGAUGUCACGUCACCAAGAUUACUGUUGUUAUCCUCACAAUGAUUCAAUGCCAUUCUAAUUCAAAUUUAAAAUAAAGGCAAGCAUCAAAAGUUUUCAAACAUUAAAACUAAAAUCUUUGAGAGGUAACAAAUAAUGCAUAAGUAAUUAUGGUGGAGAAACCACACUUUAAUAAAAUGUUUAAAUACUCUAAAAUGAAAAAAACAGUGGCUUAAACUAUUAUUUAAAUGCUUUUAAAAUAGUAAAAAUGUUCUAACUAAAUUAAUUGGGUACCAACCUUUUGGUGGCAGUGGUAUAUUUAGUAGAACUAAUUUAGAUGCUAGUUAUAUGAUUUAGAAAAUUAGGGUCAAUUGAAAAAUAGGAUAAAACAGAGAAGGAAAGACAAAACAAAUAAAAGCAAAAGGGGGCAACCCCUCACUGGCCUUGGCCUAGCUGGCCACUGGGCUAGCUAGGUCGGCCCCGCCGCCUCCCUUAACCCCCUGUCGGUGUCGAAACCGGUGGAUGGUACCAUGAGUAGAUCUACCACGAGAUCGGAGAGGCUAAACCCUAGAGGCUAGCCUAUGAUAUGAUUGUAUGUGUCCUACGGACUAAAACCCUCCGGUUUAUAUAGACACCGGAGAGGGUUAGGGUUACACAAGGUCGGUUACAAAGGAGGAGAUAUCCAUAUCCGUAUUGCCUAGCUUGCCUGCCACGCCAAGUAGAGUCCCAUCCGGACACGGGACGAAGUCUUCAAUCUUGUAUCUUCAUAGUGCAACAGUCCGAAAAAGGAUAUAGUCCGGCUGUCCGGAGACCCCCUAAUCCAGGACUCCCUCAGUAGCCCCUGAACCAGGCUUCAAUGACGAUGAGUCUGGCGCGCAGUAUUGUCUUCGACAUUGCAAGGCGGGUUCCUCCUCCGAAUGCAUCACAGAAGAAUUUGAAUACGAGGAUAGUGUCCGACCCUGCAACAUAAGUUCCACAUAAUUCCAUACAGAGAAUAAUAUUUUCGCAAAUCUAAUUUGCUUACUUGUUUUGACAGUACGACAUUAUGUCAUGGCCCGGUGAUUAUUCGAACCGUUUCCUUUAACUAGCCCCGCACAUAACGCGAGGCAGUUUUUCGACAUGUCUUGUCAAAGCAGAGAUCGUGUCCCCUUAUUACUGGAUUCUCAUCAAUACGGGCGUGGGUAACCCAACCGCGCCAUCGAUUGCGGCACUUGGGGGAUGAGCUAUUUUUACCUGGCAAGUGGGGACGCUUAGUUUCGUCCGCCCAUAUAAAGGGAUAAGGAUUCACCUUUCUAUCCAUGCCUUCUUCCUCCUUUGCUCAUCCGUUUUUGCACACUCGAGCUCUAGCGCCCAAGUUCGCACUUCCCACCUCAACCUUCUCCAACCAUGUCCCGAGCGGGAGGCAGGUGGAUGGUAUCCUCCGUCACGGAUGGAGACAUCAAGAAGCUGAGGAGCGCCGGAUACCUGCCUGACGACAUCGCGCACCGGCUCCCAGAUGAGGGGCAGCUCACCCCCACCCCCAGGCCCCAUGAGAGGGUAGUGUUCCUCACCCAUUUCCUCCGCGGACUGGGAUUCCCUCUCCACCCAUUUGUCCCGGGGCUCAUGUUCUAUUACGACCUGGAUUUCCAUGAUCUGGCCCCGAACUUCAUCCUCAACAUCUCGGCGUUUAUCGUUGUGUGCGUGGCCUUCCUCCGCAUCAAGCCCCACUUCGGCUUAUGGUUGAAGACCUUUAAUGUCAAGCCGAAGGUUGUGGGCGACCGCCAGGCGGAGUGCGGAGGCGCCAUGGUGGGCAAGAUGCCCAACGUAACAUGGCUCGAGGGCUCUUUUGUGGAAACCAUAAAGGGGUGGCAAUCGGGUGGUUCUACAUCACCGAGCCGCGUGACCCUGCAUGGGCAGCGGCCCCCCGAGUUCUGAUCUGGCAUCCCCACGCGGCUCACCUCCUGGAAAGAGAAGGGCCUGUCCUGGGGUAGUUUGGAAGAGCUGACCAGACUCCAAACAUGUAUUCAAAACAUGGUGAACAAGAAGCUCAAACUCGUCAACGUGGUCCAGGUCAUGCUCCACCGCCGGAUCCUCCCGUGCCAAUAACGGGAGUUCAACUUGUGGGAGUACAACCCAGCGCAGCACCGAACUCUGAACAGGCUUUUCGACACAACUCACGAAGAUGCCUCGAGGGUGCUGUUCAAAAUCACCAAGGUCCCCCUCCCAUUACUGAGGAUCACGGAUUCAGCGUGAAGCGCCAAGCCAGUGCGGCAGGCUGCUUUACCUUUCACAGGCUACUUAUUUUUUAUAGAUUGACUCCAUGCGGGAUCUAAACUCCCGUACCUUUGACAGGACUGGCAGGAGAUGGCCGGACAGAUCGACUGUCCGGCUCCUAUGCCCGAAGGCCCAGCAGACGCUCUUCUAGCGAAGAUGCUGACUUCGGCUCCUUAUACGGUGCCGGAGAAGACCAAGAAGGACAAGGGAACCCGAAAGAGUUCCCGACGCCAGGCGUCGUCGGACUCACCGUCCGAUGACUCUGCGGCGCACUCCUCCCCCGAAGACGAGGAAGAGGAAGAAGACGCUCCCUCUCUGGCUGGGGGAGAUAAGAAAAGGAAGGCCGCCCCAACUGGGGGGGCGGAAGGGUCCAAGAAGGGAAGGAAUCUCCUUCCGGAUAGUUGCACCGCUGCCGACGAAGGCGAAGACGAGGGGUUGCCCAGGGCCAAGCCCCUGGGGAGAUCGUAAGUAUUCAGAUACCAGAGUAACUCAUAGCAUUCCUUUGUCGCACUGCUUUCCCUAACGUCAAACAUAAUUAUGCAGGUCGCCAUGAGCCAGUAUCGAUGUGUGACGCCCGGAUAAUCAUGCUACAGUAAUCCCACGCUAAUCAUGCCACGUCACCUCGGUUACUGUUGCUAAUCUAUCGUUAGGUCAAAGCUGGUCCAAAAUUCAAAUUCAAAGUUUGGUAAAUAAUAACAGUUUUCAAAAAUUAAAACAAAAAUGUUCGGUGAUUGCCGAAUAAUGCAUAGGUAAUUAUGGUGGAGAAACCACACUUUUAUAAAAUGUUUAAAUAAUCUAAAAUGAAUAAAACAGUAGAAAAACCAAAUCUAAAUGCUUUUAUAAAUAAAUAAAACACUAAACUAAAUUGUUUUGGGAUAAAGCCUUUUGUGGCAGUGGGUUUCGUGGUAUUACAAUUUUAGAGUUCAUUUUAAUACUAAGUAAGAAGUAUAAUUAAGAGAAACUAAAAUAAAGAACAGAAAAAAAAGAAUAAAUAAAAGGAAAAGAAAACACAAAACAGAAAAGAAAACUACCAAAAAAAUAUGGUAAAAGGAGACCCCCCCCACUGGACCCCUUGGCCCAACUGGGCCAUGGCCCAGCCGGCCACCCCCNNNNNNNNNNNNNNNNNNNNNNNNNNNNNNNNNNNNNNNNNNNNNNNNNNNNNNNNNNNNNNNNNNNNNNNNNNNNNNNNNNNNNNNNNNNNNNNNNNNNNNNNNNNNNNNNNNNNNNNNNNNNNNNNNNNNNNNNNNNNNNNNNNNNNNNNNNNNNNNNNNNNNNNNNNNNNNNNNNNNNNNNNNNNNNNNNNNNNNNNNNNNNNNNNNNNNNNNNNNNNNNNNNNNNNNNNNNNNNNNNNNNNNNNNNNNNNNNNNNNNNNNNNNNNNNNNNNNNNNNNNNNNNNNNNNNNNNNNNNNNNNNNNNNNNNNNNNNNNNNNNNNNNNNNNNNNNNNNNNNNNNNNNNNNNNNNNNNNNNNNNNNNNNNNNNNNNNNNNNNNNNNNNNNNNNNNNNNNNNNNNNNNNNNNNNNNNNNNNNNNNNNNNNNNNNNNNNNNNNNNNNNNNNNNNNNNNNNNNNNNNNNNNNNNNNNNNNNNNNNNNNNNNNNNNNNNNNNNNNNNNNNNNNNNNNNNNNNNNNNNNNNNNNNNNNNNNNNNNNNNNNNNNNNNNNNNNNNNNNNNNNNNNNNNNNNNNNNNNNNNNNNNNNNNNNNNNNNNNNNNNNNNNNNNNNNNNNNNNNNNNNNNNNNNNNNNNNNNNNNNNNNNNNNNNNNNNNNNNNNNNNNNNNNNNNNNNNNNNNNNNNNNNNNNNNNNNNNNNNNNNNNNNNNNNNNNNNNNNNNNNNNNNNNNNNNNNNNNNNNNNNNNNNNNNNNNNNNNNNNNNNNNNNNNNNNNNNNNNNNNNNNNNNNNNNNNNNNNNNNNNNNNNNNNNNNNNNNNNNNNNNNNNNNNNNNNNNNNNNNNNNNNNNNNNNNNNNNNNNNNNNNNNNNNNNNNNNNNNNNNNNNNNNNNNNNNNNNNNNNNNNNNNNNNNNNNNNNNNNNNNNNNNNNNNNNNNNNNNNNNNNNNNNNNNNNNNNNNNNNNNNNNNNNNNNNNGCCCCUCGGCGCCCGCUCGGCCCUCUCCUGGGUCGGGCGCCCGUAACGCCCAGCGCCCGUAACCCGCUAUGGCCCCCUGGGCAGUUGACAGAUGGGGCCCACGCCCCUGUCUUGUUAGAAAAAAAAACGAAAAGAAAAUGUAAUUAAAAAAAUGAAAAUAAGUAAUUAGUUAUUUAAUUAAUUAUGUAACUAAUUAAUUAAUUAAAUAAGUAAUUACUUAACUUAAUUAACUCCGUUUAGUACUUAAUUAACUUGAUUAGUUAAUUAAAAUUGUUAAUUAGUUGUUAGACUAUGACGAAUGGGACCCACACGUCAGUUUGACCCAGUCAACGCCCUGUUGACUGCUGACGUCAUGCUGACGUCAGCGUACACUAUUCUGGAUAAUGUUAAUUUAAUUAAUAAUUAAUAAAUUAGAAAAUGAUUUAAAAAUUUAAAAAUUAAUAUAAAUUAAACCGUAGCUCAGAUGAAAAAACUUUGUACAUGAAAGUUGCUCAGAACGACGAGACAAAUCUGGAUACACGGCCUGUUUGUUCGUCACGCAUCCCUAGCAUAGCAAACUCGCAACUUUCCCCUCCGGCUCCUCUGCCCGAAAACGCAAAACACCGGGGAUACUUUCCCGGAUGUCAUCCCCCUUCACCGGUAUCACCUAUUACCGCGUUAGGGCACCUCUAACGCCGUUACUUGUCAUGUCAUGCAUCACUAUGCAUAUGCUUGCUUAAAUAUUUAUUAUUUCUUCCCCCUCUUCUCUCGAUAGACACCGAGACCGACGCCGCUGCUACCCAGUACGACUACGCUGUUGACGACCCUCUUUCUUGCCAGAGCAACCAGGCAAGCGCCCCCCUUGAUCACCAGAUAUCGCCUACUCUCUUCUAUACUGCUUGCAUUAGAGUAGUGUAGCAUGUUACUGCUUUCCGUUAUUCCUAUCCUGAUGCAUAGCCUGUCCUUGCUACUACUGUUGUUACCAUUACCUGCUAUCCUACUGCUUAGUAUAGGAUGCUAGUGUUCCAUCAGUGGCCCUACACUCUUGUCCGUCUGCCAUGCUAUACUACUGGGCCGUGAUCACUUCGGGAGGUGAUCAUGGGCAUAUGCUAUAUACUUUACACAGUUACUUUACCUGUGGUACUGUUCGGAGAUGGGGGCUGAAGGGGCAGGUGGUUCCACCCAGGUAGUGGUGGGCCUGGGUUCCCGACGGCCCCCGACUGUUACUUUGUGGCGGAGCGACAGGGCAGGUUCAGACCACCUAGGAGAGAGGUGGGCCUGGCCCUGGUCGGCGUCCGCGGAUACUUAACACACUUAACGAGAUCUGGGUAUUUGAUCUGAGUCUGGCCAUUUGGUCUAUACGCACUAACCAUCUACGCGGGAGUAGUUAUGGGUAUCCCGACGUCGUGGUAUCAGCCGAAGCCUUCGUGACAUCAGCGACUAAGUGGCGCGUGCCGGAUUGGACCGUAAGCCUGCUCUUGUAUUAAGGGGGCUAGUUCUGCUUCCGGCCGCGUUCGCAACGUGCAGGUGUGCAAAGGGCGAUGGGCCCAGACCCCUGCGCCAUAGGAUUUAGACCAGCGUGCUGACCUCUCUGUUGGGCCUAGGUAGGGCUGCGACGUGUUGAUCUUCCGAGGCCGGGCAUGACCCAGAAAAGUGUGUCCGGCCAAAUGGGAUCGAGCGUGUUGGGGUAUGUGGUGCACCCCUGCAGGGAAGUUUAUCUAUUCGAAUAGCCGUGUCCCUCGGUAAAAGGACGACCCGGAGUUGUACUUUGACCUUAUGAUAACUAGAACCGGAUACUUAAUAAAACACACCCUUCCAAGUGCCAGAUACAACCGGUGAUCGCUCUCUCACAGGGCGACGAGGGGAGGAUCAUCGGUUAGGAUUAUGCUAUGCGAUGCUACUUGGAGGACUUCAGUCUACUCUCUUCUACAUGCUGCAAGACGGAGGUUACCAGAAGCGUAGUCUUCGAAAGGACUAGCUAUCCCCCUCUUAUUCCGGCAUUCUGCAGUUCAGUCCACAUAUGAUAGCCUUAUUCCAAUUGAUACCAAUGCAUACAUAUGUAGUGUAGCUCCUUGCUUGCGAGUACUUUGGAUGAGUACUCACGGUUGCUUUCUCCCUCUUUCCCCCCUAUCCCUUCUACCUGGUUGUCGCGACCAGAUGUUGGAGCUCAGGAGCCAGACGCCACCGUUGACGACGACUCCUACUACACCGGUGGUGCCUACUACUACGUGCUGUCCGCUGACGACGACCAGGAGUAGUUUAGGAGGAUCCCAGGCAAGAGGCCUGCGCCUCUUUCGAUCUAUAGCUCAGUUUGUGCUAGCCUUCUUAAGGCAAACUUGUUUAACUUAUGUCUGUACUCAGAUAUUGUUGCUUCCGCUGACUCGUCUAUGAUCGAGCUCUUGUAUUCGAGCCCUCGAGGUCCCUGGCUUGUAAUAUGAUGCUUGUAUGACUUAUUUUAUUUGUAGAGUUGUGUUGUGAUAUCUUUCUGUGAGUCCCUGAUCUUGAUCGUACACGUUUGCGUGUAUGAUUAGUGUACGGUCAAAUCGGGGGCGUCACACGAUGUAUCAUCGGACGGUUCCCUAGGCUCGUCGGACAUGGAUAGCGAUCCAGUCCCGACCCCCACCUCCCCUCAUCCUGCUGACGACGCCGAGGUGCUGUCUCAAGAGGCAUCGGGUCGAGGGGAGACAGUCCUGGAGGCACCUCAAGGCGACCUUCCGGACUCCGGGAGCCGAGGGGACGGGGCCCCUAAGAGCUUCGAGUUCGGCCCUCAGCCGAACACCGCGCUGGAACCUCCAGUGGUUCCGGGCUCGGUCAGGCGGCCUCCUUCUAAGAGGGGCAAGACACCUGUGCCGGUGACCUCUGUCUAUCCAGAGGCGCCGGACAAUCUGCUGGAAGCGCUUCGCAGCGCUUCCAUCGACGAGGAGCACCGCACUAUCAUGAGUGCGGCGAUCCAGAAAGUUUAGUCCGCCAAGAGCGGAUUGACUGAAGCCUGUGCCAGCCUUCUAACAGGCUUUGAGGUAAGUGUUUUAAAAUAUAGGAAAAAUACUACUGCAUAUAUAGUAGCCCCUGAUGCUUUGUUCGGUGUUCAGAAAGAAAAGCCGAACAGAGGAUCAAAUAAUAUCGCAGGACUCUAAUAUAAGUAUGUCAAUAUGCGUAUGCAAGCCUCACUGCUGGCAUCCGCCACACUGACUGCGGAGGUCGCCCUACUGAAGCAGGACCUCGAGAGGUCUAGGAGAGAGCUCGGCCUUGUCAAGAGGCAGCUCGAGGAGAACAAGGGUAAGUAAUACCUUGUCUUUAGAUAUGUAUAUAUAAAAGAAGAAGCGAUUGCAAAAUGACAGGAUCAUCGUACAUUCGCCAGGGGCCACGACCAAGGUGGCAACCCUCAAGCAAGCGCUAACCAAGGCCGAAGAUAACGCGGCCAAGGAGCGCACCGAGUGAGAGAAGCACGAGGCUCGGGUGGGCGAGGUGCAGCAAGAGCUCUAGGCUAUCAUGGUGAAGCACGAGGCAUUGGAGCUUGACUAAAAGACGCGAGAGUCUGAGCUUUCCGCGGCCCUCGAGAGCGCAAAAAGUGCCAAGGCCGAAGCCCAAAGGGGUCUCCAGGCGGGUAUGGCUUUCUAUAUGCAAAGCAAGCAUGUAAAAGUAAAUUACCGAUUACUUACUCGAAUCCGGAGCUCUCCAGGAGCAUUCGCAGAUUUUCCACGCAGCGUGUCCGAUGCCGCACAAUUUUACCAGGCCGAGGAUGGAAGCUCAAUGGAGAAGCUGUUCUGGUAUCAGUAUGCUGAGGCCGGACACCCGGUGCCAAUGAGCGACCAGCUGAAGCAGGUGGUCGAGCUACAUAAGGCGGCCGAUCAGGCCAUGAAGGGCUUUAUAGUCCGGCUGUGGCCUGGCGACGCCCUUCCGAACAGCUUCCUCGGCCUGGUGAGGCGGCUUGUGGAUGCCUGCCCGCGGCUGGAGGUCGUCAAGCGAUCUGUCUACAUUGAGGGUGCACGCCGGGCUUUCGCCCGUGUGAAAUUGCAGUGGGUCAAGCUAGACGCCGUGAAGCUGAUCAAGGAGGGGCCGCCGGAGGGCAAGGAGCACCGCCACCCCGAGAUGUACUACGAGGGUGUUCUGCUGGGUGCCCGUCUCAUAGCGGACGAGUGUUCAAAAGAUGUAAUAUUUGAGUGAGACUUGCUCGUUUUAUCCUGUAUUUAUGAAAACUUGUUUCAUAUGCACUAUGCAACGCUUGUUUGAAUUUAGAAUAUUACCUUCUGUUUGGCCGUUUAUCAAUCUGAGAGAUGGCUAGUCCUCAGCUUCUGCCCCCAUGCCACGAGUGCUGGGGUCUUCGGGAUAAACCUGAGCACUCUUGUUCCCAUAUUUGGGUCCUUGGAGGGAGGUGCUCAGCACAACGAACAAGGAAACCCGACUAAUAAUGCUUUAUCACUCUCACUUAGCGAUAGAAUUCUAUAAUUUUAAAUUUCGGCGAAGCCCCUGGUAUUCGGAAGGCCGAAUUCGGGGCGCGAUACACGCCUUUAAGCCGGACAGGGCCGGCCCCUCGCCCUAAGCGGCAUAAGUCUUUGGGGACUCGAUAACCUCGCCGAACAGCGAUCAGUCUCUCCCCUUAUCAUGACAGUCAGUUUUAGCUUUCUCUACUUAGGUGCCGAACCCAGCAAAACCGGGGCACAAUCGCAGUAGUUCUCCUAGCGCUACCUUAGCCGAUAGAGUGGAACGUAAGGUACCAAAACAUAGGAGCCGGGCAAACCCAACAUUUGACCAAAGACAUGAUUCGGAGCUGAUGCAUAUAAUGCUAUAAGUUUGGGGUGCCGCACUUGUGAAAGUGUUCGGACUUUUCACACCGUAUUGUGGGGUACGUAAGCCCCUGGUGUAUUGGCCGUACCAAAGUGUACGGUUGCAAGGCAUCAUUAAUGAACAUAUAUAUAUAUAUAUAUAUAUAUAUAUAACAAGAGUGCAAUAAUAGUCGUAAUGUCAUGCAUUGUUUAUUCAAAAAAUUACGUUAAAGUAGGGUGAUACAGAUAGUGUGAUAAGCAAAGAGUAGGACUAUGUCCCUUCCCAAGGCAAGCUAAGGAAUGAUAUUAAAUUGAAUAUUUCGCUCGUUACAGUAAUCCACCUAGGAAUUCCGUGGUGUGACGUAGCUAUCUGCCUCCUUGGUUGCUGCAUCGUGUGUUCGGCAAUAGUGCUGCCGGACAGUGUUUCCAGAGGUUAAUGUCCUGAAAAAAAGAGAAAAAUAACCAAACGGGAAGCCCCUAGUGCGGUUUAAGCCGCGUCUUGGGGCGUGCUGCAGUUGUGCCACCCUCCCCACCUGUGCCCAUGGUAUUUUUAAUGCGUAAUUAUGUACGCGUGGCAUGAGUUUCGUCGUUGGGCUGGGAUUGGGGUGGCCGCCUUAUUGCUACGCGAGCUCAGAUCGCGCAAGGCGGUCUAUUUGCCGAUUGCUCCGAGCGCGCUUGAAGGUGUCCGGGCUUUGAAGCGCCGGACUGGUUGAUUGCCUUGAGAGGCUGCUUUGCGCUUCUGCUGCGAGGGCCGCGGUGUGCUCCUCUGUUCGGAGAGAGCACUCUGUGUUUCCAUUGACUGUAAUAACUCCGCGAGGUCCUGACAUCUUGAGCUUGAGGUAUGCAUAGUGCGGUACCGCAUUGAAUCUAGCAAAUGCGGUUCGCUCGAGCAGCGCGUGGUAACCACUGCGGAAUGGGACUAUAUCGAAGAUUAGCUCUUCGCUUCGGAAGUUAUCCGGGGAUCCGAAGACCACUUCCAGUGUAAUUGAGCCUGUGCAAUGGGCCUCUACACCUGGAAUGAGGCCUUUAAAGGUCGUUUUUGUGGGUUUGAUCCUUGAGGGGUCUAUACCCAUUUUGCGCACUAUAUCCUGAUAAAGUAGGUUCAGGCUGCUGCCGCCAUCCAUAAGGACUCGAGUGAGGUGAAAUCCGUCAAUGAUUGGGUCUAGGACUAGUGCGGAAAAUCUACCAUGAUGGAUACUAGUGGGGUGGUCCCUUCGAUCGAAGGUGAUCGGAUAGGAGGACCAAGGGUUGAACUUUGGGGUGACUGGCUCGAACGCAUAUACGUCCAUGAGCGCACGCUUCCGCUCCCUCUUAGGGAUGUGGGUUGCGUAUAUCAUGUUCACCGUCUGCAGUUGCGGGGGAAACCUCUUCUGUCCUUCGAUGUGCGGCUGCCGGGGCUCCUCCUCGUCAUCGCUAUGCGGCCCCUUGUCCUUCUUUUCGGCAAUUAACUUGCGGGCCUGCUUGAACACCCAACAAUCCCUGUUGGUGUGAUUGGCUGGCUUGUCUAGGGUGCCGUGUAUUUGACACGAGCGAUCGAGUAUACGUUCCAAGCUGGAUGGACCUGGCGUACUUUGUUUGAAUGGCUUUUUCCGCUGACCGGGUUUAGAGCCUUUGAAUCCGGCAUUGACUGCCGUAUCCUCGGUAUUUUCGCUGUUAAUGCGGCGGUUAUGUUUGUUGUGACAUGACCUGCUAUUGCCAUCCUUGGUAUCGGAGGUACCAUGGUUCUUUGAUAUGUUAUUACUACGGGCCAGCCAGCUGUCUUCUCCCGCACAAAAGCGGGUCAUGAGCGUCGUGAGAGCUGCCAUAGAUUUCGGCUUUUCCUGACCAAGGUGCCAGGCUAGCCACUCGUCUCGGAUGUUGUGUCUGAAAGCCGCUAAGGCCUCUGCAUCCGGACAGUCGACGAUUUGAUUUUUCUUUGUGAGGAACCAAGUCCAGAAUUGCCUAGCCGACUCUUCUGGCUGCUGAAUUAUGUGGCUCAAGUCAUCGGCGUCUAGUGGUCGCACAUAAGUGCCCUGAAAGUUGUUGAGGAAUGCGGCUUCCAGAUCUUCCCAACAGCUAAUGGAGUCCGCUGGCAAGCUGUUAAGCCAAUGCCGCGCUGGUCCUUUGAGCUUUAGUGGAAGAUAUUUGAUGGCGUGUAAGUCAUCACCGUGGGCCAUGUGGAUGUGGAGGAGGAAAUCCUCGAUCGAUACUGCAGGAUCUGUUGUGCCGUCGUAUGAUUCAAUAUUUACAGGUUUGAAACCUUCUGGGAAUUGAUGAUCCAUUACUUCGUCUCUGAAGCAUAAGGGGUGUGCGGCGCCUCUGUAGUGGGCUAUAUCGCGACGCAGCUCGAAUGGGUCUUGCCCGCUGUGUUCGGCCCGGCCGGAUUUGCUUUUACUGUAUCCGGCGUGACAUUUAUCGUCUCGCAGAGUUGUGCGCCCUCGUGAUCCGUAGAUCGAUCUUGCAUGCUUUGCUUUGUCCUCCAAUAUAUCUCGCAGGUCUGGCGUAUCUCCCCAUGCCUUUUUAUUUGAAUGGCGUCGGGGUGGAGGCUGAGUUUUUGGCUGGACUGCCUCUCUAUCGCGGCCACGAGGUGGCCGAUCCGGGCAGUAACCUGCACUUUGGGUAAUUCUUGGAGGGGUGCUUGAGUUUAUAUUCCUCGGCCGCGAGGACUUCAGUCCAUCUGUUAGUUAAGAGAUCUUGAUCAGCUUGAAGCUGCUGCUGCUUUUUCUUUAGGCUAUUUUCCGUGGCCAUAAGCCGGUGCUUGAAGCGCUCUUGUUCGAUGGGAUCCUCUGGUACAUCGAAUUCAUCAUCGCCGAGGCUUGCCUCGUCUUCGGAGGCGGGCGUGUAAUUGUCAUCCUCCUCCUCUCCGUCUGCCGCUCUUUCAGGAGGGUUGGCUCCUCCAUCCUCCUGCUCUAAAUCUUGCUGGAGGGGAUUAUUGUUGUCUUCGGCACUAUCCGGAGUGUUAUUAUCUCCUGUGCCGGUAUCACCACUUUUGCUUUGGCGGGACUUAGAGCGGCGCCGCUGACAUCGGCGCUUGGGUUGCUUCUUGGAGAGGUCAUCCUCCGUUAUCUCGUCGCCAUUGCCUUCUUUGGGUGUAUCCACCAUGUAUAUGUCGUAUGAUGAUGUGGCUUUCGAGUGCCCUAUGGGCGCUGGUUCAUGUUCAUCUCCUACAUCGUCGUCCAUACCAUCGAUGUCUUCGGAGUCGAAGUCGAGCAUGUCGGUUAAAUUAUCGACAGUGGCUACGAAGUGGGUGGUGGGUGGGCAUCGAAUUUCUUCGUCGUCCGCCUCCCAAUCCUGUUGGCCAUAGUCCGGCCAGGGCUCUCCUGACAAAGAGAGAGACUUUAGUGAAUUCAGAAUGUCACCGAAGGACGAGUGCUGCAAGAUAUCAGCGGCGGCGAAUUCCAUGAUCGGCGCCCAGUCGGAUUCAAUUGGCAGGGGCGCGGACGGUUCGGAGUCCGGAAAAGAGUCCGGCACCUUGGAGUCACGGGCUUUGCAGAGGAUUAGGCUGGUGUUCAACUCGAUCACCGUUGAGACUGCAGCCCCUGAGGCGGUGUCUAGCCACCCGUCCUCGACUGGCGCAGUUGGCUCCGAGCUAAGGGUCAGAGCUGAUGCGGGCGCGGCCUCUGGGGUACUGUCCGGUGGUAGAGCUAGGUCAUACCCAUCGUGACAGUGCAGCGCGCCCGGCUGUGGCUUGAAUCCGUCGAAGAUCAAGUCUCCGAGGAUGUCGGCCGUGUAGUUCAAACUUCCAAAUCUGACCUGAUGGCCAGGGGUGUAGCUUUCAAUCUGCUCCAGAUGGCCAAGCGAAUUAGCCCGUAGUGCAAAGCCGCCGAACACUGGACCGCAUCGUUGUUCAUGAUCGGAGGAGCCAUCGGGCCUAAAGGUGACGACACCGAGGAAAUCUCAAUGGAAGCACCAAUGUCGGUGUCAAAUCCGGCGGAUCUCGGGUAGGGGGUCCCGAACUGUGCGUCUAGGCCGGAUGGUAACAGGAGGCAGGGGACACAAUGUUUUACCCAGGUUCGGGCCCUCUUGAUGGACGUAAAACCCUAUGUCCUUCUUGAUUAAUAUUGAUGAUAUGUGUAGUACAAGAGUAGAUCUACCACGAGAUCAGAGAGGCUAAACCCUAGAAGCUAGCCUAUGGUAUGAUUGUAUACGUCCUACGGACUAAAACCCUCCAGUUUAUAUAAACACCGGAGAGGGUUAGAGUUACACAAGGUCGGUUGCAAAGGAGGAGAUAUCCAUAUCCGUAUUGCCUAGCUUGCCUUCCACGCCAAGUAGAGUCCCAUCCGGACACGGGACGGAGUCUUCAAUCUUGUAUCUUUAUAGUCCAACAGUCCGGCUGUCCGGAGACCCCCUAAUCCAGGACUCCCUCACCCCCACUCCCUAUCGAACCCUAGCCCAAUCGCCCCACCUCCCCCACACCCCCUCGCCAGCCUCCCCACCUCUUGAUCCCAUCUGGAUCGGGGAGGGGAUCACCCCCAUCGACCCCGUCGCCGUCGCCGGAUCGCCCGUCAGCGUCGCCAGGCCUCCUCCCCGCCGCCCGUCUCCGGCUCGCCUCCCCUCUCGCUCCUCUUUCCCGACCCGAUCAGGAUCGUGAACGAGCAAUGAGCGCGACGCCCCCCCUUCAUCGGCGCCAUCACCGUGCGCCACCACCACCGCCUGAAGACCUCGCCGUCGCUGACCUUGUGUCGUCUCCUGGUAUCCCUUCCCGACUCGCGUCCUCAAGCCAGGCCGACCCCCUUCUCGGCAAUGCUGUGAGACGCCCCCCGUUUCCCUCCUCUUUCCACCGUGUUCACCGCGCCGCCUGACGAAGCUACGUACCUAGGGUAGGGGCAUGGACCUGUCCUAAGAGCCCUACCCAAGGACAUCCCUGGAAGAAGUCACCUUUCAAUCGACUUGAAGGUACCCACUCGACGGGUUUAAGACACUCGACCAAGAAGCUACCACUCGACAUGAAGCCAAUCACUCGACUGCCAGGAGAUCUAAAGUCAUUCCACGGGCAAACGGUCGGCUAUUAAGUAGUCUUUAUGGUCAUUAUAGCACUUUAUUACCAGCAUUACCAGUAACGCCCCGCCUUAAUGUACAUUGAACCCUUGGUAACGUAGGCUGGCCGGGGUCCUGGCGCGCUCUAUAUAAGUCACCCCCUCCUCCGAGACAAGGGUUCGCACCUCUAUUGUUCACAUGCCUAUAAUCCAAUCGACCGCCUCCGGGCACUGAGACGUAGGGCUGUUACUUCCUCCGCGAAGGGCCUGAACUCGUACACCUUGGUGUGUUUACAACUUCCCAAUAGCUGAGAUCUAGCCUCUCCAUACACACCCCCCUACAUCACUGUCAGAGUUAGAACCACAAUAGUUGGCGCCCACCGCGGGGCCAGAAUCUUAGCGCUUACUUGGAGAAGUUGCGAUUCUUCUGAUCCCUUUGAUCAUGGUUUCAUGCGGAGUUUUGGUGGAGGGGCGCGAGAUCCGUCUCGGCGCGCUCACAUUCAUCGCCGACGACUCCGCUUGGUUUCAGGAGGCUCCACUCGACAUCGACGUGCUCCCCGUCCGUGGUGCGACGCACUUCCGCGCAUGCGUUCGUGGCGUCCUCCUGCGGCAGCCGUCGACCCAGUAUCGGUCGGCCCUCGUGUCGUCUCCCCGCUCUGUCUCCCUCCGACGCAAGCGCUUUGGUAGGUCGAGACUUUAGAGGUGGGUGAGGCAUGCCGUGGCUCGCCAGUCGGCCGCCCCACAAGUCGCGGCAAUCGAGCCCGACAAAUCCCUCUGCAGCCUGUUCGACUGGCUCCGCGGAGACUUCAUCCGAGUGUGACAGCAGAGACCCAGCGGCUGAGGUUCUGGCGGUCGAUGGGACACACUGUCCUCCCGGUUUCCCUCGCGCUAAUGGAGGCGCGGGUGGGGGCGACCCGUCGCAUCCCCACGAUGAGUAUCUCCCCGAAUGUCUCACGGCAUCGCAGCGAGAGGAACUUCACCGCCGGAACAUAGACGCACUCCACACUCCUAUCGUCGGAGAAACCCCCGAGGCCCGGGCCUUGGAGGACGCGCGCUUGGCUAACUUGGCUGAGCGCACUCGACUGGAGAAUCUCCAGCUAAUACUCGAUGAGCAAGCGCGCCAGUGAGCUCCCGAGUCCAGUCGACGUCAGCUCUUUCCGCCGAUGCAGGUAUAUUGAACCCUAGUUCAGAAUUUGGCCGCCGCGGCCCGUAUAGCAGAGUCAAUUCAGCCCUCCCAGUCAGAGGCUGGCAGGGGCUUGUUGCAGAUCAGAGCAUUGCUCCGGGCGGCGGGGAACCAGAAUUCCGCUGUUUCUCAGUCGCAGAAUAGGAUCCACAGUCGAUCCGUUGCAACAGAUACAGUCCAGUCGGCUCACAGCCCGAGAUCGCCCCCGAGGCGUGAGGGACAUGGAGACCGGCACGAUCAGUACAGAAGAAAUGAGCAGUAUGAUCACCGAUUCGAUCGUGAGGAUCGACGUCGAGUGCCAACCCCUCCCCCGAGGAGUGGGUCAUAUGCGCCUCGAUAGCGAGAUGACAGGCGCCCUCAUAGUGUUGGGCAGAGGAUUCCAGUCGACCCCAGGGACCCAGGCUUUGAUGCGAGAUCCAUCCUUGAUCAAGGUCUGGUUGACAGGAACGGGGCUCACCGAGAAUGCCAGGACAGAGAUGCGCCUGCCAGCAGCAGAGUGCGUGUUUCAGGGACAGAGUGUUUCAGUCGAGCCAUCAGAGCCACAGUGAUUCCUCCCAACUUCAGGUUGGCGACUGGAGUCAGCUAGUUCACCGGUGAGUCUAAGCCUGACACUUGGCUCGAAGAUUACCGAGUGGCUGUACAGAUUGGCAGUGGCAAUGAUGAGGUGGACAUGAAGCAUUUGCCUCUCAUGUUAGAGGGCUCAGCCAGAGCAUGGCUAAAUCAGUUAGUGCCCAGCAGCAUUUACACUUGGGAGGACCUCUCCCGAGUGUUUGUCACAACCUUUGAGGGAACAUGCAAGCGACCUGCAGGCCUUACAGAGUUGCGGUCUUGCACGCAGAAACCGAAUGAAACGCUGAGGGAUUACAUCCAGAGGUGGAUCACAUUGCAUCACACAGUUGAGAAUGUUCCAGAUCAUCAAGCAGUUUGUGCCUUCAAAGAAGGCGUUAAGUACAGAGAAUUGAAUCUGAAGUUCGGUCGAACUGGAGAGAUGUCUCUGAAUCGGAUGAUGGAGAUUGCCACCAAAUACGCUAAUGGUGAAGACGAAGAUCGCCUCCGGAGUGGCAAGCGCAAGGCAGUCGCCCAAGAAACCGGAGGAAACUCCAGUCAGAAACAGAAGCGGAAGGCUGAGCCAGCCGCCCCUGGGGAGGCCCUGGCCGUAACCCAGGGAAAUUUCAAGGGAAAACCCAAGGGCCCCUGGAAGCCCAAGAAAGUCAAGGAUCAAGAUGGAAAUGAUGUUUUGGAUCUGCCAUGUCACUCCACACCAAGAAAGAUGAAGAGGGUAAUUUUAUUUACCCAAAGCAUACCACUCGACAGUGCCAGCUCCUGAUCCAGCAGUUUCAGGGCAAGCAACCCAAAGAUAAGGAAAAAGAGCCAGACAGAGUUGAGGACAAGGAUGAUAGUGACGAUGGAUACCCCCAAGUCAAUUCCACCCUGAUGAUUUUUGCUGAUGUCGAAAGCAAAAGUCGACUGAAAGUCAUUAAUCGUGAAGUGAAUAUGGUUGCUCCGGCAACACCUAGUUAUCUGAAGUGGUCUCAGGCUGCCAUAACAUUCGACCAGUCUGAUCACCCUACGCACAUUGCCACCCCUGGGAGGCAAGCUUUGGUGGUCGACCCAGUUGUCGAAGGCACUCGACUGACCAAAGUCCUGAUGGAUGGUGGCAGUGGCCUGAACAUACUGUAUGCUAAAACAUUGAAAGGGAUGGGCAUUCCGAUGUCCGGGCUCAGUACCAGCAACAUGAGCUUCCACGGAGUCAUUCCCGGGAAGUAAGCCGAAUCACUCGGCCAGAUUGCUCUUGAUGUGGUUUUCGGUGAUUCAAAGACUUACCGCAAGGAAAAGUUGACAUUCGAGGUUGUGGACUUCCAAAGUGCUUAUCAUGCCAUUUUGGGCAGACCAGCUUAUGCACGCUUCAUGGCCUGACCAUGUUAUGUGUAUCUCAAAUUGAAGAUGCCUGGUCCUAAAGGUGUGAUCACUGUUACAGGCAAUCGGAAGAAGGCAGAAGAGUGUUUUCAGAAAGGCUCAAAGAUUGCUGACGCUCAGAUGGCAGUGGUUGAGCUGCAAGAGUAUCAGAAGACUGCAGAUCCGAGUGAGUUGCUACGAGCUAAGAAGCCCACUUCGGAGUCAGCUUUUCAGUAGUCUGGUGAAAUGAAGGCAGUUCACAUUCACCCGACCAACCCCGAGGCUGCCCCGACUCACAUCUCAAAGACGCUCGACUCCAAAUAGGAAGAAGUGCUCAUCCAGUUCCUCCGUGAGAACUGGGACAUCUUCGCAUGGAAGCCUUCUGACAUGCCUGGAAUAACCAGGGGGCUGGCUGAGCACCGUCUACGAGUCGACCCAAAGUUCAAGCCUAUGAAAGAACAUCUUCGACGGUCCGCCGUCCAAAAGAGGAAAGCUAUUGGCGAGGAGGUGGCUCGGCUCUUAGCAGCAGAGUUCAUCCGAGAGAUGUACCACUCUGAGUGGCUCGCCAAUGUUGUCAUGGUCCCCAAGAAGGACAAGUCGCUUCGCAUAUGCAUCGACUUUAAACAUAUCAAUCGGGCCUGCCCGAAAGAUCAUUUUCCUCUCCCUCGCAUCGACCAAAUAGUCGACUUGACCGCGGGGUGUGAGCGAUUGUCUUUUCUAGACGGCUAUUCCGGGUACCAUCAGAUCCGUCUGUAUGGACCCGAUGAGAUCAAAACAGCUUUCAUCACUCCAUUCGGGUGCUUCCGUUAUGUCACCAUGCCCUUCGGCCUCAAGAACGCUGGAGCCACGUUCAUGAGGAUGAUUCAGAAGUGUUUGCUCACUCAAAUCAGUCGGAACGUGGAAGCAUACAUGGAUGAUAUUGUGGUCAAGUCGCGGAAAGGUUCCGACCUGCUGACUGACCUUGCUGCAACCUUUGCCAACCUUAGGAGGUAUGAUAUCAAGCUUAAUCCAUCAAACUGCACAUUCGGAGUUCCGGGUGGAAAGUUACUCGGUUUUCUCGUUUCCGAAUGAGGAAUCAACGCCAAUCCCGAGAAAGUUGGCACCAUACUCCGGAUGAAGCGCCCUGUGCGUGUGCACGAUGUCCAGAAGCUUAUGGGUUGCUUGGCCGCUCUAAGUCGAUUCAUUUCUCGUCUCAGUGAAAAGGCAUUGCCUCUUUACCGACUGAUGAAGAAGUCUGACAAGUUCGAGUGGACUCCAGAAGCUGAUGCAGCGUUUGCAGACCUCAAAGCUCUGCUCUCCACCCAGCCGGUGCUUGCUGCCCCAAUCAGUAAAGAGCCUUUGCUGCUUUACAUUGCAGCCACAGGACAAGUUGUCAGUACAGUACUUAUGGUCGAGCGGGAAGAUGAAGGAUAGGCCUUCAGAGUUCAACGCCCAGUAUAUUAUGUGUCUGAAGUUUUGACACCUUCAAAACAAAGAUAUCCUCAUUAUCAGAAGCUUGUAUACGGGAUUUAUAUGACCACGAAGAAGGUUGCACAUUACUUCUCUGACCACUCCAUUACAGUCGUCAGCGACGCCCCACUGUCAGAGAUUCUGCAUAACAGAGAUGCAACUGGUCGAGUGGCGAAGUGGGCGAUUGAACUCCUUCCCCUAGAUAUCAAGUUUGAAGCAAAUAAGGCUAUCAAGUCCCAAGCAAUUGCAGAUUUCAUCACCGAGUGGAUCGAACAGCAGCUUCCGACUCAAGUUCACCCGGAGCACUGGACCAUGUUCUUCGAUGGAUCUAAGAUGCUGAAUGGUUCCGGUGCUGGGGUAGUAUUGGUCUCCCCCCGAGGAGAUAAGCUCAGAUAUGUUCUCCAGAUUCACUUUGAUUCCUCCAAUAAUGAAGCAGAAUAUGAAGCACUUUUGUAUGGGUUGCGCAUGGCCAUUUCACUUGGCGUCCGUCGCCUCAUGGUCUAUGGCGACUCAGAUUUGGUGGUUAAUCAGGCGAUGAAGGAGUGAGACGUCAGAAGUCCGGCAAUGACUGGUUAUUGCAAUGUAGUGAGAAAGCUAGAAAAGAAAUUCGAGGGGUUAGAGCUUCAUCACAUCCCCCGACUGAAAAAUCAGGUAGCUGACGAUUUGGCAAAGAUAGGCCCCAAGAGAGAAGCCAUUCCCAGCAACGUGUUCCUGGAACACAUUCAUUCGCCAUCAGUCCAAGAAGAUCCUUUUACAGAAGAAGCCCCGCAGCCGAAAAGUGCCACAGAUCCGACUGAAGUCGAAGUCCCUGCUGUGGUCGACCUAAUCAUGGAAGUCUUCGCAAUCACUCCCGACUGGACGAUACCGUACAUCGCGUAUAUCCUAAGGAAAGAACUCCCGGAGGACGAGGAAGAGGCUCGACAGAUCGUCCGCCGAUCCAAAGCCUUCACAGUCACAAGGGGACAGUUGUAUAGAGAAAGCGCGACUGGGAUCGGUCAGAAGUGCAUAACACUAGAAGAGGUUCAGAUAAUCCUUGACGACAUCCACUCGCGGACCUGUGGUCACCAUGCGUCUUCUCGGACCAUUGUGGCUAAAGCAUACCGAGCGGGAUUUUACUGGCCAAGAGCAAAUGAGAUGGCAAAAGAGAUAGUCGACCAGUGUGGAGGGUGCUAGUUCUACUCCAACAUGUCACACAAGCCUGCGUCAGCCCUGAAGACCAUUCCACUCGUCUGGCCCUUUGCUGUCUGGGGACUGGACAUGGUUGGUCCACUAAGAACAGGCAGGAGCGGUUUCACUCAUGUGCUUGUGGUAGUCGACAAGUUUACCAAAUGGAUUGAGGCUAAGCGCAUCAAGAAUCUUGAUGCUUGCACUACUAUCAGUUUCGUCAGAGGGCUAACAUUCAGAUAUGGAGUCCCGCAUAGCAUCAUCACUGACAAUGGGUCAAACUUUGAUUCGGACAAGUUCAGAGCUUUUUGCGCCUCUCAAGGCACACGAGUCGACUACGCAUCGGUCGCCCAUCCCCAGUCGAAUGGACAAGCAGAGAGAGCAAAUGGUUUGAUUCUCAAAGGACUAAAGCCUCGACUGAUGCGCGAUCUCAAGCACGCGGCAGGUGCUUAGGUCGACGAGCUUCCGUCAGUUCUGUGGGGAUUGAGGACCACCCCGAACCGGUCGACUGGAGGAACUCCAUUCUUUCUGGUUUAUGGAGCCGAGGCAGUUCUGCCGAGUGAUCUUCUUCACAACGCACCCCGAGUCGAACUUUAUACCGAAGAUGAAGCAGAACAAGCCCGGCAAGACGCAGUCGACCUACUAGAAGAAGAGAGGGAGAUGGCCAUGAUCAGAUCGACCAUUUAUCAGCAAGACUUGCGUCGAUUCCACGCUAGGAAUGUGAAGAGUCGAGCCUUCCAAGAAGGAGAUUUGGUCCUCCUAGUGGAUCAACAGAAACCACACAAGCUUGCUCCUACUUGGGAAGGCCCCUUCAUCGUCACCAGAGUCCUCCACAAUGGAGCGUAUCACCUCUACAAUGUUGAUCGCCAGAUCGAUGAGCCGCGAGCUUGGAAUGCGGAACUGCUCCGCCCCUUUUACACUUGAGUUCUCCCUUGGACGAGAUGUAAUAAGAAAAAAUUUCUGCAGUUCAUUUUUAUCAAAGGCAAGAGUGUUCCAAUAAUUGCUGUCACUUUUGUUUGCAUACGAAAUCCCCCAGUGGGUGACUUAGCUGCGAAUCCGUUUCGCCUAAGUUUGAAAAAUCCUACCGAGUGGAGAGCCAGAUUCCCACUCGGGGGCUUAGCUCCAGCCCAGUGCUUGCCUAAGUGUUCAAAAAUCCUACCAAGUGAGAGCAAUCCUCCCACUUGGGGGCUUAGCUGCAGUCCAGUACUCGCCUAAGUUCUCCCACUUAGAGACUUAGCUGCAGUCAGGCACUCGCCUAAGUUUGAAAAAAUCCUACCGAGUGGAGAGCAAUCCUCCCACUCGAGGGCUUAGCUGCAGUCCAGUACUCGCCUAAGUUCUCCCACUUAGAGACUUAGCUACAGUCAGGCACUCGCCUAAGUUUGAAAAAAUCCUACCGAGUGGAGAGCAACCCUCCGACUCGGGGGCUUAGCUGCAGUCCAGUACUCACCAAAGUUCUCCCACUUAGAGACUUAGCUANNNNNNNNNNNNNNNNNNNNNNNNNNNNNNNNNNNNNNNNNNNNNNNNNNNNNNNNNNNNNNNNNNNNNNNNNNNNNNNNNNNNNNNNNNNNNNNNNNNNNNNNNNNNNNNNNNNNNNNNNNNNNNNNNNNNNNNNNNNNNNNNNNNNNNNNNNNNNNNNNNNNNNNNNNNNNNNNNNNNNNNNNNNNNNNNNNNNNNNNNNNNNNNNNNNNNCUCUCCUUCCGAGCUACGCCACAAGUACAACAUGCGCUCUGCAAGGAGGACGAGGUGCAGGUCGACUGCUACCCUCUCCUUCCGAGCUACGCCACCAAUUCAAAAUCCUACUGAGUGGAGAGCAAACCUCCCACUCGGGGGCUUAGCUGCAGCCCAGUGCUCGCCUAAGUAUUUGAAAUCCUACCGAGUGGAGAGCAAACCUCCCACUCAGGGGCUUAGCUGCAGCNNNNNNNNNNNNNNNNNNNNNNNNNNNNNNNNNNNNNNNNNNNNNNNNNNNNNNNNNNNNNNNNNNNNNNNNNNNNNNNNAAAUCCUACCGAGUGGAGAGCAAACCUCCCACUCGGGGGCUUAGCUACAGCCCAGUGCUCGCCUAAGUAUUUAAAAAUCCUACCGAGUGGAGAGGAAACCUCCCACUCGGGGGCUUAGCUGCAGCCCAGUGCUCGCCUAUGUGUUUAGAAAUCCUACCGAGUGGAGAGCAAACCUCCCACUCGGGGGCUUAGCUGCAGCCCAGUGCUCGCCUAAGUGUUUAGAAAUCCUACCGAGUGGAGAGCAAACCUCCCACUCGGGGGCUUAGCUGCAGCCCAGUGCUCGCCUAAGUGUUUAGAAAUCCUACCGAGUGGAGAGCAAACCUCCCACUCGGGGGCUUAGCUGCAGCCCAGUGGUCGCCUAAGUGUUUAAAAAUCCUACCGAGUGGAGAGCCAGACUCCCACUCGGGGGCUUAGCUGCAGCCUAGCGCUCGCCUAAGUGUUUAAAAAUCCUACCGAGUGAGAGCAAACCCCUCACUCGGAGGGCUUAGCUGCAGCCCGGUGCUCACCUAAGUACAGGACACAACCCAAUCCGCAAGAAGUUACGCCACAAAUACAAGGUUAUUCCGAGUGAAGAUCAAGUUGCACUCGACAGAUCAAACCAUGAAGAUAUCCAACGAGAAAUCAAGUUCGGAUAAAGCCUAAAGGUCCCAGACCUCAGAUCAAAGUACUCGAGCCCUCGGCUCGGCAGAGUUUAACGGUUACAAAUCCACUCAGCAUUCCGAGGCAAAUUUAAAGUGAAGCACGACGAACUCGUCCAAGUCGAUCCCGUCUGCAAUACGAGUGGCAGCAGCGAUGAAAGUCUCCAUGAAGUCUUGAAAGCUGUGCUUCCUGGUAUUGGCAACUUGGAUGGCGGCCGGCUUUUCUUCUCGCGCCUCCUUGCAAUGGACGCGGACCAGAGACAGAGCGACAUCAGCACCACAUCUAGCAGAAGAUUUCUUCCAUUCCGCCACUCAACCCGGGACUUCAUUCUGUCGAGCCAUCAGAGACUCGAGGUCGUUCUGAAGCAUCAUCCCAGGCCAGAGUGAUGUGUCAAUCCGCGACAUCGCAACCUUCAGUCGAGCAAGAUAGUCAACAACACUGGUAACACGAGACUCCAGUCGGAGCACGUUCAUAGCAGCUUCAUCCUUCACGAGAGAAUUGGCGGGGUCCAAGCCUGGCUCCACUCGACUGGUUUCCUCUUCGAAGUUCUGGCAGAAUUCUGCAAACACGAUUCAAGAGUCAGACAUUGGCUCUACACAGGCUUGGCAACUGCAAGACAGUCGGGGCAGAGUAAUUACCUUCGAGCAUGACGAACAGCUUCUUGGUGAGUCCACCGAGAUAAGCCUCCAGAUCAUUUACCUUCCCCGCCAGCUUACCCGCCUGGUCGUGUAGAACCAUCUUUUCAUUCUUCAGUCGGCUGACCUCUUGAUUAGCUGUCUCGAGAGCAGUUUUCAGCCUCGAGUUCUCCUGUUCAAGAGUUCCGACCGAAGCCAUUUUCUCUUCUCCAAGCUUCGUUCUGCUCAAGGCCUCCUUCUGUGAUUCUGCAAGAUCUUGAUCCUUCUUCUUCAGAGCUUCUUCCAGUUUAUCUGCGGCACGUCGAGUGAAAUCAACAUCAAGAAUGGACAAGCAAGAAAAAUCACUCGUCAAGAAUGGAGAACCUCACCAGCCAUACCUUUUGCUUCUUCUUGCGCCUUCCUCAAAUUCUCUUGAGCAAGCUUCAAGUUAAGGUUGAGCUGGAUCUGCUUAUUCUCCAACUCAGUAUAGCGAGCUACAAGUUCACAGGAUUUCUGCAAAAAGAAAAAUCAGUGGACAGACGUCCAAGAUAAGUUGCUUCCCAAUAACUAAAAGACAACGAUGGCGUUUCUAAGACUAUAGCCGAAUCUAAAACAUUCGACAGUAGUCUCGGGGACUACACCCAGUGGGUGCACUCUGCGUGCCCCCAUUGUAAAAAAAGUCGACUGCCCGCAGUCGACCGGAUACAGUUCCAUUCGACAUGGCCUGACCAGACCGAAUGAAGAAAUACAGCUACAACAACACAAUAUAAAGACUACAGUCGACUGCCAGCAGUCCACCAUAGUCUCGGGGACUACACCCAGUGGGUGCACUUAGCGUUCCCCCACUCGUCCAAGAAUUGGCAGACACACCCAGUGGGUGUACAGAUAUAAAGAUCUUCAAAAAAAAAGAUUCUUCAAACAGCAUAUCGUAACAGACCAAGUGUUGAGUCGACUGACCUGGACGUUACUCUGAAGAGCCGAACUCGCGUCAUAAGCCGCUUGGCUGGCCUCCCAAGCCGCUUUCACUUGUUCCAUCAUAAUCCCCGCCUGGCGUAUGGCCUCUUUUGCAGCAGCUGCUUGGUCCUCAGGGACGGGGUACGUGGCAAAAAGCGAAGGCGGAUCCGCAGUCGACGUCAAGGGCCGCACCCUCGUCAGAGGAAUGGCGAAAGUCACAGAAGCCCGAGUGGUUUCACCACCGUCUCGGGCUACGGCCUCAGGCGCCGGAGUGGAUUGUGGGGUCUCGCCAGCCGACGCUCCCCUGUUCCUUCUCACUCUCAGCGGCACGUCAUCGUCGUCAUCCGGAAGGUUGAUAACAUGAUAAGGAGCUACAAGAAAAAAUUCAAUCGACCAGAGUUGCAAUAAGUGUCCAGUCGACUGAAGGCAGAACAUCAGUAAUCAUACCAGGGUGGAGGUAACAGCAUCCUCCAUCUCUUGGUCGUCGUCCUUGGCAGAGACCUCCGAAGUAGGAGCACUGCAAAUCUCGAAAGUCAGUCAGUUGGCUCAAUGAAUCGACCAAGGAUCUGUCCACGGUCGACAAAGGAAAACAAGUUUUGUUAUUACCCAGAAAUGGUGGGGACAGCCAUCUUCAUCUUGGGCAGAGCCUUGGGCGGCUUGGACGGCGUCGCGCGUGGGUGCUUGGGAGCCUUUCCAGUCAGCGUAGGAGAAGAGGUUCGAGGGCGUUUCGACAACUGCCCAACAGGAGCAGUCGCCUACCACGUUCCCGCGCUGGAUCAUGUGUGAGCUUGGAUCGCCUCUCCCGGUGGGGGGGGGGGGGGGGUCAACCUCCUCCUCCUCCUCUUCGCUGGAGUUGACGUCGUCGUCUCCCUCUCCUUCGCCAUCGGACUCCCACUCGCCUUGAUCGUCUCCACUCUCACAUCCGCUCGCCUCCCCUUCCUCAGUUGGCUCCUGUGCCCCGUUGGGUGUCGAGUACAUCUCAGUAGUCGCCUGGAAAACAACAGACAAGACAAAAGUUAGUCGACCAAUUCAAAGAAGACCAAUGAAGAAAACAAGAUUUCAAUCGGGAGCGUAAAGUCAGACCUGGUCCACUUCGUAUUGUUGUCGAGUGGAGAAACCCUCCUGGCGCCUCGGGGGUUGUCUUUGUUUCCUGUGAUGCUCGUCAGCCACCCCUCCAACAUCUCAUCAGUGACCUCCUCCGGGUGGAUCCGAGUGGUGUCUUCGAGGCCCGAGUACAGCCACAUCGGGUGGCCGCGAGCCUGGAGCGGUUGGAUGCGCCUCCGAAGAAAGACCUCCAGCAAGUCCAUGCCAGUCACGCCAUCACGGACGAGCUGAACCACUCGACCAACCAGCACUUUGAAUUGGGUCUUUUCUUCUGGCGUCACUUUCAGAGAAGCAGGUUUUUGAGCUCGGUCGAGAGAGAAAUGGGGAAGCCCGGUCGACUGUCCUGGGGUCACCUGGUCUUUGCAGUAAAACCAGGUCGCCUGCCAACCACGGACCGACUCUGGGAAAAUGAUAGAUGGAAAACAACUCUUUCCCCUCGUCUGGAUCGCGAGGCCCCCGCACAGCUGGAUCACUUGCGUCCUUUCCUCACUCGACUUGGCCUUCUUGACCGAUUGGGAGCGGCAAGUAAAGAUGUGCUUAAAGAGCCCCCAAUGGGGGCGGCAACCCAGGAAACCCUCACACAAGGAAAUGAAGGUAGCAAGGUACACGAUAGAGUUGGGAGUGAAGUGGUGGAGCUGCGCUCCGAAGAAAUUUAGAAAACUCCGGAAAAAAGGAUGAGGAGGCAGAGAAAACCCUCGAUCGAUGUGGGUGGUGAGAAGGACACACUCACCAUCACGGGGUUGAGGCUCGACUUCUCCCCCCUGGAGACGCGCAGCCUCGUAAGGAAUGACUCCCCCCUCAACCAUAUCGUCGAGGUCUUCCUGCCGAAUCACCGACGGCAUCCAAUCGCCCUGGAUCCAGCCUCUGGGCAGAGCAGUCCUUGAGGAAGAUCCGCCCCAAGCGGACUUCUUCCCUUUCCCCUGCACCGACGCCUUCUUCGCGCGCUCCAGAGCAGACGUCUUGCCCUUCACCAUCGUCGCCGGCGAAUCUCAAACGGGUCUGCGGCGCUAGGGUGAGAGCGGAGGUGGCGGAGGACUUCGCGAAGGGAGAAAGAAGAGAAAGAAGAGAAAGGAGAGAGCACUGUUCGGGAACCCGAGCAGGCGGCUUAUAAGAGGCCGCUCCUGAGUGGCUGACUGGUAGGCCCAGGCUAUCCCGUCAAAUCCCGCAGUAGACGCGCGCGCAGCUCGUGGCGGAAAAGGUGGCACGGGAAUCGAGGAGCUUCUGCCUUAUCACAUCCGAUUACUGCGGCCGCGCCCGUCCCGCUCGCUCCCCGAUGUUCAAAUCCCGCGAAAUCCGCGGGCUGCGGAACAACUCAUCAAAUAGAAGAUCCCUCUCGUGCCGGCACUCGGUAUUUCACAAGUAAGGAAAUUCACUCGACGGGAGACCAAGAAUGGAUCAAGGCGACCGAAAGAAGUUGACAACGUCAUCCUUGGCGAUAGAUCUAGUACAAGACGUCCAUAUGACGCUAAAAACCAGUCGGAAGGACCCCCAACUCCUUCCCCACUCGAACCUCGAUCCAUUCGGGGGCUAAUGACGAAGCUACGUACCUAGGGUAGGGGGAUGGACCUGUCCUAAGAGCCCUACCCAAGGACAUCCCUGGAAGAAGUCACCUUUCAAUCGACUUGAAGGUACCCACUCGACGGGUUUAAGACACUCGACCAAGAAGCUACCACUCGACACGAAGCCAAUCACUCGACUGCCAGGAGAUCUAAAGUCAUUCCACGGGCAAACGGUCGGCUAUUAAGUAGUCUUUAUGGUCAUUAUAGCACUUUAUUACCAGCGUUACCAGUAACGCCCCGCCUUAAUGUACAUUGAACCCUUGGUAACGUAGGCUGGCCGGGGUCCUGGCGCGCUCUAUAUAAGCCACCCCCUCCUCCGAGACAAGGGUUCGCACCUCUGUUAUUCACACGCCUAUAAUCCAAUCGACCGCCUCCGGGCACCGAGACGUAGGGCUGUUACUUCCUCCGCGAAGGGCCUGAACUCGUACACCUUGUUGUGUUUACAACUUCCCAAUAGCUGAGAUCUAGCCUCUCCAUACACACCCCCAACAUCACUGUCAGAGUUAGAACCACGACACCGCCUGCCGUGCCCCUCGCCGCACGCCCACCACCGCGCCAGCCCCCACUCUGUGGACGACCCUAGCCGCGCCCGCGCCGUGAUCCCCUUUUCCGCCCUACCUUCCCGCACUCGCCGCGGUCCCGAUGCUCCCCCGCGCCCUCUUUCAGGGGCGCCGACUGCCCCUGUCCCAUUACUCGCCGCCGCGCCUCGCCACCGCUCUACUGCUACGUUACUACUGCGCUGCGGCCGCCGCCUCUUCCCGCUGCUCCGCUAGCGCCGAAGCUCCCGGCUGGCUCUGCCACUGGUCACGUUUAACUACCGGUCUAAAUGGCCUAACCUCCCGGCAAAUGAACCCCCAGUAACCCACUGACACCGGGAGCCACAUCCCCUAAUUAACCAUUAAUAAAUUAAAACUCUUAAAUUAACAUUAGUGUAUGACAUGUGCGUCCCCUGUUAAUUAAUAAUUUACAUUAGUGUAUGACAUGUGCGUACCCUGUUAAAUAAACUGAUUUAAUUAAAAUCUAUUAACUUCGAGUCUAUGACAUAUCACUACUUGGGAAAAUCCUAGCAGUAGCGUGGGUAUUUUUCCUAUCAGUUGCGCCGGAUACCGCUCUACUGAUAAGGCACUACAGCUAACAUGUAGCAGUAAUGCGUGUCAUCCAACGCUACUGCUGUACAUGGCUAGCAGUAGCGAGCUUUAGUGCAAAGCGCUGCUGCUAAUAUCUGCAGCGCUUUUCAGCAUGAAGUGAUACUGGUAAGGGACCUCUACUACUAACUUUAUUCCCCUCGCUACUGCUAGUUUUAUUAGUUUCUGUUUUUUUCUGCAUAUUUCUUUUGUAUUUGAACAGGCUUUAUACAAUAAUAUUUAGCGUAUCAUACACAUACAAAUGUAAUCAUAGCAUAUACAUACAAAUAGUCUCGUCAAAUCAUGUCAUCAUCAUAAUCAUCAUCCAUCACAAAGUGGUCUCUCGUCAUCAUCUCUAAAAUAGCGAUACAAGUCUCGAUUACUUGCAACUACAUUGUCAUCCGUCUAAACAAUGAUAUACGCGAGAAGAGCUAUCACUAUGAGUGAGAGCGGAACUAUGCAGUACAUGAGUUUGUAUCCCUCUCUCGCAUUAGCGUGAACCUAAACUAACUACUAGUUGUCGCUCGGAAACCAGAAACCGGUACACCUGGGCCUGACACUCCGUCCACUCAUCUUAUACUCCUGGCGUAGCACUUCUGUGCCAUCGAUGAUCUAUGCACCUGCAUCGUCACAUGAGUCGAUGAUAUGCAACAUAUAUAGUUGAGCAAUAGAAACAGACAGACUUGGCAAAAAUAGAAGCAACAUAUCAUAAGCAUAAAUAACAAAGUUCAUCAUACCCAAAAUGCCCUAACUAGAGUGAUCUUCGCUAGUCGAGGAGGACGGUUUAAUUACAUCACAAAUAAUGUUUCAUCUUGCAUAACUCAAAGUGCCAUCAUACAGAAAGUAUGAACUAAACGGACACAUUGUCAUAUGUCGACAAUCACUCCAACAUGUCGUGCCAUCGAUCCAAGUCAAGGAGAUAGUCCCCGAGCUUAGUGAAAGGCUUCAGGUUGAGACGCUGAGCGGCAACGCGUGUUCGGACGUCUUCCCUCGACAUUUUUCCUUCUUCAUAGAACAUCCCUGUUUUUUCGAUGACCUCCCUCAUGAUGAUUUGGGCAAGUUCGCACUGGAAGUGAUAGAACUCAUCUUGAAGUCGAUGAUCCUCGAUAUCUCCUAAGUUCUUUGCCCAUUGCAGAAUAUGGGCAUCGCCGAAUCUAGGUGUCAUGCAAAGGUUCUGGUGAUCCCGUAUGUACUCCAUCAUGUGGUGUAGGACAUAGAAUCCAUCAUUAAGAGAAUCACUCAGUUGCUGGAUACAGCAGAAGCCGGUCUUAUGGCCGAAGGCGGGCCUGCCGUCCCUUUUCUUCUUGUCCUUGACCUCUCCACCCCGUGCACCGUAGUAAAACAUAGCACCGUCGAGAACAUACUUGAUGUGGGUGUAAUCCUUUUUUUUAAUGUUCUUCGAUGAGUCCAAGUAAAGAGCGUGGGAGUAUCGGGGGUAGAGGAUGAUGAGGAUGGUGCACCCGCCGCUGCGCAAAAUAAGUACACCUCAAAUUAAUUAGCCUCCACCGUGCAAAUGAAUGAUUGAAAUCGUAGGAAGGAUAUCCGCGUGGAUGACUUACAGGGGAUGAUAAGGCACAAGAAUCACCUCCUUGUCCUUAUUGGCACGCAUGAAAUUGACGAUGUAUUCCUCGCGUAUUCACGGUGCUUUGCGUGGACUCACAAGAAGACCUCGUGCAUGAAGUACCGAUCAGUGACACAGAUAUGAGGUAUUUGCUCAACCCCGAUGAGGUAGUUCAUGUGCAAGGCAUAAAGGUGGACGAAUGUAAAAUCCAGCUUCUUUAAGUGAAACAUGUCGAAGAUGUAAUCCAAUCGAAGGAAGAACUUGUUCGAGGGGAAUGUGUCGAUGUACGACAAUUGCAGCGACACGUUAACCACGGAGAGUGGGUAUGCUGGAUUUUUUGAGGCAAUGAGGCCUUUCUCUAUCAGCAACACAUCAUCAUGAAGUCUCCUUAUAUCGCCAAAUCAGGCCCCUAGCGCUGCUUUAGGUAGGAUUGGUUAACCGGGGAUACGCCAUAUUGCCGCACCGAGGAUAUCUAUACGGUCUUGAACCCGAGCCUGCUGAGGUGGCUGGAUCAUAGAAGCACCUUUGUUUCCUUUCCUCGGUGUCUUCCUUGGCUUCUUUGCUACCGGAAAGUCGUCUAUAAUAUGUUCAGCCUCUGGAGGCGGCAAUUCAGGCACCAACUCAUGCGCUCAAACCCUGAGUAGGCGCCAGUAUUGAGGUAUUGUUGAAUGUCAUCGUCGUCCUCAUCUAUGGCGAUGUCACUAGCGACAAAUCGAGCCUCUUCCUCACCCCGUCCGCUAUCACCCAGCACGACAGCCGACGCUAAUUGGGUAGGUGGGGUGUUGAUGUUCGUACCUAACUGCGUGCUCGUGUGUGUGCUCCCGGCCGCCUCCAGACAAAGCAGACUCUUUGACCACAACAGGACCCACCCAUUGCAACCACCAAGCCGCUGCGGGGUCUCGUCGUCAUCCCCUAGUAUCGGAGGAGCCAAAUUCUCGUGGCCCGGUUUGACACUGGCCACGAAAACUUUGAAGACAUACGGGGGGAUUGGUCGGCCAUGGAACAAUGGUUCCUUCGGCUUCAUUACCGUCACCUUCCCCACGUCCACCUUUUGGUCGCCGAUGUUGUACAAUAUGGUGCACGGGGUUACAUCGGCCUGCAAAGACACCGUGAGAUUAUACAUUUAUGGAAGAGGGCCGGUGUGACAGAUACCGUGAGGGCGUCGAGCUCAGCCAAAGACGAAGGACAGCUGAGCACGGCCGGUGUGGGAGCCGGUGUGGGAGCCGGUGCAGGUGCAGGUGCUGGUGCAUCGCUAGUCGUGCUACUCCCGAAGAAGUCAACAAUGGGAAAGUCCGCUGCAUUUUUUCUGGAUUUUGCAUGCUCCAAUUGAAAACGGCUGGAACCAAGACAAUAGACAUAUCUGCAACCACCUGUUUUGCGGCAGCUACCGUUAUCGUGACAGUCUCAGAUGAUUUCUUCUCUACUGCAAUCUCAACCUUCUUGUCGAUGUUUUCUUCAGUUAACCUCCAUCUUUCCUUUCUCUCCUCCGUGGUCUCACGGUAGCACUUCUUCCACGUGGCCCCGUCUCCGACACCGUGAACGCGUCCAUACGACGACCGAGUCUCCACUGGGAGUCCUUUCAAUAUGUUCAAUGCCCGGUUGAAUGGAGUGUCCCACUUGGGCCUCGCCAACGCCUCAGACGGCGAGUCUCUUUCGGUCGCAAUCUUGUGCUGCUCUCUCUACAAAAGGAACAAGGAUCAUUUACAAAUAUGACUAAACGUGCAGUCGAAUUGAUCAGAAACUAAAAUUACCAGCAGUCUCAUGAACUCCGUCGUGAUCGGGUCCGUCUUGAAAACCUUCUUGACCGAGUGCCAAUGGUGCCGUGCCCUGAGGACGUCAUGCUCCUACAGGACGGUGAAGUCCGCCAAGGGGUCUAGGAUGCCAGACUUUCGCGUUUCGUGUCCUCCUUGGCCCAUAUGGACCUCUUCCUGCUGUAACCACGGCUUCCGAGGUGGCGGUGCCCCAUGUUCCUUUGUUGAAACCCCUUCAUGUACUUUGACUUUGUUUUGGCAGUUUCAGCCUCGCAAGCCGCCUUGAAUAUUUCAAAGUGCUCUCCCGUGAUUGUCGGAUUAUCCUUUACAAUCUCGGAGUAGGGUUGAUACGUCUCCAAUGUAUCUAUUAUUUUUGAUUGCUCCAUGCUAUAUUAUCUACUGUUUUGGACAUUAUUGGGCUUUAUUAUCUACUUUUAUAUUAUAAUUUGGACUAACCUAUUAACCGGAGGCCCGAGCCCAGAAUUGCUGUUUUUUUGCCUGUCUUAGGGUUUCAAAGAAAAGGAAUAUCAAACGGAGUCCAAACGGAAUGAAACCUUCGGGAACGUGAUUUUCUCAACGAACAAGACCCAGGAGACUUUGACCCUACAUCAAGACACAAGGCGAAUCAUGUACGUAGCCACUAGUGAAACAUAUUAUCUUUAUUAUAUCUAUCAGAUCUCACUCUCGUAAGUGGCCGUGUUGGGAUUGACAACCCCUAUUCAUGUUGGUUGAGAGGAUUGAUUUGUUUUGUGCAAGUACAAAGGACUCGCGCGUAGCCUCCUAUUGGAUUAAUAGCUUGGUUCUCAAAAAGUGAGGGAAAUACUUACGCUACUUUGUUGCAUCAUCCCUUCCUCUUCGGGGAAAACCAACGCAGUGCUCAAGAGGUAGCAAGAAGGAUUUGCUGNNNNNNNNNNNNNNNNNNNNNNNNNNNNNNNNNNNNNNNNNNNNNNNNNNNNNNNNNNNNNNNNNNNNNNNNNNNNNNNNNNNNNNNNNNNNNNNNNNNNNNNNNNNNNNNNNNNNNNNNNNNNNNNNNNNNNNNNNNNNNNNNNNNNNNNNNNNNNNNNNNNNNNNNNNNNNNNNNNNNNNNNNNNNNNNNNNNNNNNNNNNNNNNNNNNNNNNNNNNNNNNNNNNNNNNNNNNNNNNNNNNNNNNNNNNNNNNNNNCCUCCACCCUCGUGGGCCCCCUGUUGCUCCACCGACGUACUCCUUCCUCCUAUAUAUACCUACGUACCCCCAAACGAUCAUAUACGGAGCCAAAACCCUAAUUCCACCGCCACAACUUUCUGUAUCCACGAGAUCCCAUCUUGGGGCCUGUUCCGGAGCUCCGCCGGAGGGGGCAUCAAUCACGGAGGGCUUCUACAUCAACACCAUAACCUCUCCGAUGAAGUGUGAGUAGUUCACCUCAAACCUACGGUUCCAUAGUUAUUAGCUAGAUGGCUUCUUCUCUCUUUUUGGAUCUAAAUACAAUGUUCUCCCCCUCUCUUGUGGAGAAUUAUUCGAUGUAAUCUUAUUUUUGCGGUGUGUUUAUUGAGACCGAUGAAUUGUGGGUUUAUGAUCAAGUCUCUCUAUGAAUAAUAUUUCAAUCUUCUCUGAAUUAUUUUAUGUAUGAUUGGUUAUCUUUGCAAGUCUCCUCGAAUUAUCAGUUUGGUUUGGCCCACUAGAUUGAUCUUUCUUGCAAUGGGAGAAGUGCUUAGCUUUGGGUUCAAUCUUGCGGUGUCCUUUCCCAGUGACAGUAGGGGCAGCAAGGCACGUAUUGUAUUGUUGCCAUCAUGGACAACAAAAUGGGGUUUUCAUCAUAUUGCAUCAGUCUAGCCCUCUACAUCAUGUUAUCUUGCUUAAGGCGUUAAUUUGUUUUUAACUUAAUACUCUAGAUGCAUGCUGGAUAGCGGUCGAUGAGUGGAGUAAUAGUAGUAGAUGCAGGCAAGAGCGGUCUACUUGUCUCGGACAUGAUGCCUAUAUACAUGAUGAUACCUAGAUAUUCUCAUAACUAUGCUCAAUUCUGUCAAUUGCUGAACAGUAAUUUGUUCACCCACCGUAGAAUACUUAUGCUCUCGAGGGAAGCCACUAGUGAAACCUAUGGCCCCGGGUCUAUCUUUAUCAUAUUAAUCUUCUACUACUUAGUUAUUUCCUUUGCUUUUUACUUUUCCUUUAUUUUACUUUGCAUCUUUAUCACCAAAAUACCAAUAAAAUUAUCUUUAUCAUAUCUAUCAAAUCUCACUCUGGUAAGUGGCCGUGUAGGGAUUGACAACCCCUAUUCGUGUUGGUUGCGAGGAUUUAUUUGUUUUGUGCAGGUACGAGGGACUCGCGCGUAGCCUCCUACUGGAUUGAUACCUUGGUUCUCAAAACCUGAGGGAAAUACUUACGCUACUUUGCUGCAUCAUCCCUUCCUGUUCGGGGAAAACCAACGCAGUGCUCAAGAGGUAGCAAGGGUUCCUUUUUGUCGACGAUCCGAUGUUUCAACCUUGUUUUCCAGGCGGCCAACGCGUCGCUAAACUUGGGCAUGGCGUGUUUGUUUAUCUUCUUCAUUGCCACGUCCUUAUCUGGAUCAUUAUUAUCCUUUUCAUUGCAGUCAGGGAACAAGAAUAUCUGGUGCAGCUUCUUUAGGAGGGAGGGCCUCAUAUUAUCUAUCUUCUGUAGUUUCCCAUCGUUGAUCGUGGCAGUUGUCCGUACGAUGCAACCUAUUUGAUUGCCGUAGCACGAUCGCGCUUCCUCGGGCGCUAUUGUCUCAAAAAUACCGUUGUCCAUCUCCGUGACCACCAGUCUAGUACUCAUGAGCUGGUUUGGGUGCCGUGGCCUCUUUGCUUUCGGUUCUAGACCAGCUCCGCUAGUCUCGGCGCCGGUCUCAGUCUCAUCACCGGUCUGCAUGUCGGUAUCAGUCCCCGAUGCGACAGCACAGUCGCUGCAACAUGGGUAAGGGAGACCACAUCAGUGCUGGGGUGGUCUGAAAAUUGGGACACACUUUCGCGCAUUGCGGGCCGCCUCUCAGACAGCUACUGGGGAGGCGGCGGAGUACCUGGGUGCGCGACGAAUCCCCGGGAACUCGGUGACCAACUUCCUUCCCAUGUAGCGCAUGGAGACGAUGGCGACCCCGCCGAAGAGCAGCUUAGUUGCGAGCUGCACAGCCUCGUCCACCUCCUAAGUUGGGACCUCCGCGCGAGCGUUGCGGGGCCGCCGCUCGGAUGGCUUCUGGAAGGCGCUUGUACAUGGGCACAGGGUGAAUCCCGGCAAGAGCUGGCCAUUGGUGCGCGCAAGUAGACGACGACGUCGCCGACGAAGAGCAGCCCGGCCAGCUCGCCUCACUCUCCUUUGAUUAGAAUUGAAAGAUUGGGAAGAAGCAGACUUGAGCCUGCAGGGAAAGGAUAAGGUGACGAUGCAGUCUCCACUCGUUCGGGGCGACACGCGUACUGAAUGUAUGAGAAACGCGACGUGGCAGGGACCCCAAGAUACUCCCUCCAUUUAUUUUUAGUCUGCAUAUAAAGUUUGGUCAAAGUCAAGAUUUGUAAAUUUUAACUAACUUUAUAAUAAAAAAAAUCAACAUUCACAAUAUGAAAUAAUUAUUACCAGAUGCGUCAUGAAAUGUAUUUCCAUACUAUAUAGGUUUGGUAAUGUAGAUGUUCAUAUUCUUUUAUAUAAAUGGGAAGUAGAGGCACUCUUCCAUAUAAUGAAGUUUAUAAUAUAUGUGCUUAUAUUAUACUAUAAUUGUUUGAAUAACUUAGCAUAUGUUCAGAUGUAUGAUAUCUGUAAUUUAAGCGCUUGAAUUUUACAUAUAAAUAUUUAUUAAUAAAUAUGUACCCCUAUAAUAGCUAGGCCGUGCAGUUGCACGGGUAGAUGACUAGUGAUUACAAUCUUGUUUGUGUGCAAGUCAAGCUUAUCUAGUUUACACGUAACAACUUGUAGAACAUUACAAAAUUUAUGCUUGCUAAUAACUUCUAGAACACUACAACACUUGACAUGUAAAAGGAAUUUGACGAGUCAUGGCCUACUAAAGAAAGUUACAUUACUAGUCUUAUAUCUAUCUUAAUAGACCACACAAGACUACAAAUUAAGUACCGUGACAGCCAUGAUUAUCUAGUUUAUGCGUAACAAUUUGCAGAAAAUUACAAACUUAGUUUUAGAAAAAUAGGCAAUCCAGAUUAGUGUUUGAGCUGUAAAGUGAAUAAGAUGAGUCAUGCGUGUUAUCACACCUUUUUGGUGGUGGAAUGAUAGUGCAAAACAAGGAACUUUAAUGAACAGUCCAAUAAUACACUUGUAAGUAGUGCCACCAAACAGAACAUACCAAAUGAUGAUUUUGAGAAGCAUCCAAGCACUUUCCACACAAACAAAUGCCAAUUGUGAAAGAGAUCAUUCCAUGGCAGCUAUAAAUAGCCCCGUAGCAUGACGAUCAUCCUUCCUCAUCCAUCAUUCUCAUAAGUAGAGCGCAUCAUUUAAGCCAAGCAAGCUGUGGUCAAUACAAAUCCACCAUGAAGACAUUUCUCAUCCUUGCCCUCCUUGCUAUCGUGGCGACCACCGCCACAACUGCAGUUAGAGUUCCAGUGCCACAAUUGCAGCCACAAAAUCCAUCUCAGCAACAGUCACAAGAGCAAGUUCCAUUGGUACAACAACAACAAUUUCUAGGGCAGCAACAACCAUUUCCACCACAACAACCAUAUCCACAGCCGCAACCAUUUCCAUCACAACAACCAUAUCUGCAGCUGCAACCAUUUCCGCAGCCGCAACUACCAUAUUCGCAGCCACAACCAUUUCGACCACAACAACCAUAUCCACAACCGCAACCACAAUAUUCGCAACCACAACAUCCAAUUUCACAGCAGCAGCAGCAGCAACAACAACAACAACAACAAGAACAACAAAUACUUCAACAAAUUUUGCAACAACAACUGAUUCCAUGCAUGGAUGUUGUAUUGCAGCAACACAACAUAGCGCAUGGAAGAUCACAAGUUUUGCAACAAAGUACUUACCAGCUGUUGCAAGAAUUGUGUUGUCAGCACCUAUGGCAGAUCCCUGAGCAGUCGCAGUGCCAGGCCAUCCACAAUGUUGUUCAUGCUAUUAUUCUGCGUCAACAACAAAAACAACAACAACAACCAUCGAGCCAGGUCUCCUUCCAACAGCCUCAGCAACAAUAUCCAUUAGGCCAGGGCUCCUUCCGGCCAUCUCAGCAAAACCCACAGGCCCAGGGCUCUGUCCAGCCUCAACAACUGCCCCAGUUCGAGGAAAUAAGGAACCUAGCGCUACAGACGCUACCUGCAAUGUGCAAUGUCUACAUCCCUCCAUAUUGCACCAUCGCGCCAUUUGGCAUCUUUGGUACUAACUAAGAAGAAAAUAACUCUAGUACUAGAUAUAUGAAACACCGUUUUCUCAGUCCAUGGUUUGGUCGUUGUAGCGGUGAAAAAAUAAAGUGACAUGCACUAUCAUGUAAGAACCCAAACUAUACUAGUUCAAACUUGGGAAUAAAAGACAAACACAGGUCUUGUCUACAUAUUUAUGCUGCAUCUAUUUAUAUAUUAAAAGUAAUAUAAGGUGAACCAGGAGCAAGGUAAAUAUGGUAGAAAAUUGCACGUUAAUUAGAAAUUACUAGCCCUCGAUCUGGUAAAUCUUAACAAAUAUAAUUAUCUUGACCGUUAGAUUUAUGUAACAUAUAUAAUGCUCUAGGCCUCCAACGACUGUACGUGACACAUCUGAACGCAGAUAUGUUAAAGAAAAUAUAUUUGGUAAAUGGUGGGCCUCUUUAAAAAGAGAACUUACGUACAUACACCAACUAAGAAAAACACAUACAUGUAAACGGGAAAAGGAUGAGAUUUUCUCACAUACGUGUGUUGAUGCUUAAAAGUGGCAUGAUCAUAAAGCAGCAUGCCAGGGUGAAAACCUUGCCGGGGUAAAAUCUUGCCGGUGUGAAAGCUUGCCGGUGUGAAGGCUUGCCGGUGUGGAAAGCUUGCCGGCACAGAAAGAUCGCCGGUGCUUGCCGGUGUGAAAUCUUGCCGGGGGAGAAACCUUGUCAGGGAGGAACCCUUGCCGGAGUACAAACCUUGCCGUAGUGAAACCUUGCCGGUGUGAAAGCUUGCCGGGUAGAAACAUUGCCGGUGUGGAAAGCUUACUCGGAUGGAAAACUUGCCGGGUUGGAGGCUGUGAUAGUCAAUCGAACGAGAAGUUGAAGAUGGGCUCAAAAGGUUAUUCAGAUGAUCUCGGAUGGAAAAAUGAUCUACAGGGGUUGUCUUCGUCUCGUCGAAACGAUCGAUUUUGAUAUAAAAAUCAUUCAAAUCCGAGUUCGUAUGCAAAAUUUAGAGCAAUCGGAGUGCAGCCCUGUCACGAGGCGAGAUGUGGCGCGCCCCACCAAACACAUGUCUGACGGGUAGCGCGAGGAAAUAGCCUGUGUUGCGAGACCGAUCUGACCCUCAAGAUGAUCUCUGAUCCAAAAACCUUCAACAUGAAAGUUGUUCGUCUCAUCGAAACGGUCAAGAUUGCUUUUGGGCUUGUUUUCAUCCGGGAUCGUUUACCACCGCAAAAAAGACCCGCAAGGUGCAGCCAGUUUAAACCGAACAGUUUUGGAAAGUUUGGAUAAACCAGUCCGAAUUUGACUAGGGUUUUGGACGUGAAUUGAUGUAAUUUUCUUGUAAGGAAAGCCUAGAUAAAUUCUUUGCUUGUACGGGAAGUCCAGCUGCCUCUUAUAUAUGUUGGGGGUGACGGGCGAUUGAAACAACACACAAUCGAACAAACACAUCUACUACUUUUUCGUGUUCAUCUACUUUUUAUCUCUCCCUUGUAUCUUUCUUCUCGUUCUUCGCUAGUUCUUCUUGCUGGAGGCUGCGGAUCCACGAGGCUCUAGGGGCGAGCGAAUCGACCUAGGGCAGCCCUGACGGGGUCCCUCCCGGGUGCGCGGGGUUUCGGGUCUGCAAAAGCGCCCGCCGACUGUCUUGCGUAUCACGCUAUCGGUCGGGUCUCCUUCGACGUGAGCUGCGGUGCAUCACCCCCGGCAUCGAGGGUACACGUGACGUGUUCGUGUGCGAACACACUUUUUCGCGACUCCACUGGGGACGAAGCUUUGAAUAGUCUCCAGCCUGUUCUUGCUACGAGGAGAGCGUCAUCAAGCGACUGCAUUCUACAACGGUAACAUGUAUCAUCAAUCUCCUUGCGUAGAUGCAAAUAGCCAUUAUGUUGAUGUUGCUAGAUCUUUCAAUGGACAUGUGAUGUCGGCCAGCCCUAAUGAGGAAAGGCCGACUAGUUAUUCCAUUGGAGAAACUUGGAAUUUACAGAAUCGUGACAUGCAACUUAUGAAUCUGAACUUUCGUGCAUCGGCAACAACUUUCAAUAUGCCGGUGAACAACACGAUUUGUUCGAGUGAUCAAUAUAGGACACCUCAUGUAAAAGUUUUAUCCAUCGGCAGCCGACUCGCAAUAUGCUGGUUCAUCCCCAAACAUGCCGAUGAAUGGGGGAAUCAGCCAUGCUUCUGUUAGCUAUUUGGCCGGUUAUCCUCAAACAUCAUAUACUACACCUCAUCCGAUUAAUUGUUCAGUGGCAUAUGAAACUAAAAAUAUUAAUAACACGGCUCACGUUCACGGUCAUGGACGAGUGAAUGGGGAUACUAUAGGAGCAUAUGUGUGUGACGCCCCCAAUUUAAUCGUACACUAAUCAUACACGCAAACAUGUACGAUCAAGAUCAGGGACUCACGGGAAGAUAUCACAACACAACUCUACAAAUAAAAUAAGUCAUGCAAGCAUCAUAUUACAAGCCAGGGGCCUCGAAGGCUCGAAUACAAGAGCUCGAUCAUAGACGAGUCAGCGGAAGCAACAAUAUCUGAGUACAGACAUAAGUUAAACAAGUUUGCCUUAAGAAGGCUAGCACAAACUGGGAUACAGAUUGAAAGAGGCACAGGCCUCCUGCCUGGGAACCUCCUAACUACUCCUGGUCGUCGUUCUGAGGGCAGCACGUAGUAGUAGGCACCUCCAGCGUAGUAGGAGUCGUCGUCGACGAUGGCGUCUGGAUCCUGGGCUCCAGCAUCUGGUUGCGACAACCAGGUAGAAGGGAUAGAGGGAAAAGAAGGAGAAAGCAACCGUGAGUACUCAUCCAAAGUACUCGCAAGCAAGGAGCUACACUACAUAUGUAUGCGUUGGUAUCAACUGGAAUAAGGCUAUUAUAUGUGGACUGAACUGCAGAAAGCCGGAAUACGAGGGAGAUAGCUAGUCCUUUCGAAGACUACGCUUUUGGUAACCUCCAUCUUGCAGCAUGUAGAAGAGAGUAGACGGAAGUCCUCCAAGUAGCAUCGCAUAGCAUAAACCUAACCGAUGAUCCUCCCCUCGUCGCCCUGUGCGAGAGCGAUCACCGGUUGUAUCUGGCUCUUGGAAGGGUGUGUUUUAUUAAGUAUCCGGUUCUAGUUGUCAUAAGGUCAAGGUACAACUCCGGGUCGUCCUUUUAUCGAGGGACACGGCUAUUCGAAUAGAUAAACUUCCCUGCAGGGGUGCACCACAUAACCCAACACGCUCGAUCCCAUUUGGCCGGACACACUUUUCUGGGUCAUGCCCGGCCUCGGAAGAUCAACACGUCGUAGCCCUACCUAGGCACAACAGAGAGGUCAGCACGCCGGUCUAAAUCCUAUGGCGCAGGGGUCUGGGCCCAUCGCCCUUUGCACACCUGCACGUUGCGAACGCGGCCGGAAGCAGACCUAGCCUAGUGGCGUUCCAGUCCAAUCCGGCGCGCGCCACUCAGUCACUGAUGUCACGAAGGCUUCGGCUGAUACCACGACGUCGAGUGGCCAUAACUGUCCCCGCAUAGAUGGUUAGUGCGUAUAAGCCAGAUGGCCAGACUCAGAUCAAAUACCCAGAUCUCGUUAAGCGUGUUAUGUAUCCGCGAACACCGACCAGGGCCAGGACCACCUCUCUCCUACGUGGUCUGAACCUGCCCUGUCGCUCCGCCACAAAGUAACAGUCGGGGGCCGUCGGGAACCCAGGCCCACCUCUACCGGGAUGGAGCCACCUACCCCUUCAGCCCCAACUACGAACAGUACCACAGGUAAUGUAACAGUGUAAAGUAUAUAGUAAAUGCCCGUGAUCACCUCCCGAAGUGAUCACGGCCCAGUAGUAUAGCAUGGCAGACGGACAAGAGAGUAGGGCCACUGAUGGAACACUAGCAUCCUAUACUAAGCAGUAGGAUAGCAGGUAAUGGUAACAAUAGUAGUAGCAAGGACAGGCUAUGCAUCAGGAUAGGAAUAACGGAAAGCAGUAACAUGCUACACUACUUUAAUGCAAGCAGUAUAGAGAAGAGUAGGCGAUAUCUGGUGAUCAAAGGGGGGGCUUGCCUGGUUGCUAUGGCAAGAGAGAGCGGUCGUCAACACCGUAGUCGUACUGUGUAGCAGCGCCGUCAGUCUCGGUGUCUAGCGAGAGAAGAGGGGGAGGAAACAAUAAAUAUAAUGCAAACAAAUGCAUGAUGAUGCAUGACACGACAAAGCGUGAUGCUAGGUGUGCCCUAACGCGGUACGAGGUGGUACCGGUGAAGGGGGGAAACAUCCGGGAAAGUAUUCCCGGUGUUUCGCGUUUUCGGACAGAGGAGUCAGAGGGGGAAAGUUGCGUGUUCGGUAUGCUAGGGAGGCGUGGUGGACGAACGGGUUGUCUAUCCGAGUUCGUCUCGUCGUUCUGAGCAACUUUCAUGUUGAAAAUAAUUUAAUCCGAGUUACGUAUUAAAAGAUAUGGUUUUCUAAAGAUUUUACUAAUUUCUGGAAUUUAAUUAAUUAUUUAAUUUAAUUUGAAAUUUGGAUUUAUGACAUCAGCAUGAUGUCAUGCUGACAUCAGCAGUCAACAUGGGUUGACUAGGUCAACUGAUGCGUGGGUCCAGUGGGACCCACCUGUCAUACUAUAUUAGGUUAAUUAGGGUUUAGUUAAUUGAUUAGGCUAAUCUAAUCAGGAUUACUUUGUUUAAUUAAUUCUUUAAUUAAUUAAUUAUCAUUUUAACUAAUUUUAAUUAUUAUUUAUUAAUUCAUUCAUUUUUUUAAAUUAUUAUUUUUAUUUCGUUCUCGUUUCAGGGGGGCGUGGGGCCCCGCACACAGGGCCACCGCGAGGCUGUUGCCAGCGGGCGCUGGGGCGAUGGGUGCGGGCGCACCCGAGCGGGCACUCGCCCGCAGGGCGGGAUGAGCCGCCGGCGGGCAGCGACAGGCGCGUGCCAACCGGGCGGUGGCCGCGGCUGAUAGGGCGCAGGAAGGGGAGAGGCGAGAACGCGACGCACGGGGAAGCAGCAUCAGGGGCGAGGAGCACCACGGGACGAAGCGCAGCGGGCGCCGGUCNNNNNNNNNNNNNNNNNNNNNNNNNNNNNNNNNNNNNNNNNNNNNNNNNNNNNNNNNNNNNNNNNNNNNNNNNNNNNNNNNNNNNNNNNNNNNNNNNNNNNNNNNNNNNNNNNNNNNNNNNNNNNNNNNNNNNNNNNNNNNNNNNNNNNNNNNNNNNNNNNNNNNNNNNNNNNNNNNNNNNNNNNNNNNNNNNNNNNNNNNNNNNNNNNNNNNNNNNNNNNNNNNNNNNNNNNNNNNNNNNNNNNNNNNNNNNNNNNNNNNNNNNNNNNNNNNNNNNNNNNNNNNNNNNNNNNNNNNNNNNNNNNNNNNNNNNNNNNNNNNNNNNNNNNNNNNNNNNNNNNNNNNNNNNNNNNNNNNNNNNNNNNNNNNNNNNNNNNNNNNNNNNNNNNNNNNNNNNNNNNNNNNNNNNNNNNNNNNNNNNNNNNNNNNNNNNNNNNNNNNNNNNNNNNNNNNNNNNNNNNNNNNNNNNNNNNNNNNNNNNNNNNNNNNNNNNNNNNNNNNNNNNNNNNNNNNNNNNNNNNNNNNNNNNNNNNNNNNNNNNNNNNNNNNNNNNNNNNNNNNNNNNNNNNNNNNNNNNNNNNNNNNNNNNNNNNNNNNNNNNNNNNNNNNNNNNNNNNNNNNNNGGCCUGGGGUUUGUCCUAGCUAGCAGCUGGGCCGAGUGGCCCAGUGGGGGGGGGGUUGUUUUAUUCCUUUCCCUUUUAUACCUUUUCACACUUUUCUUCUUUUGUUUUAUUUUAGUUACACAUUAAUUUUAAUUUUUGACAAAUAUAUCUAUAGCCCCUAAAAUAAUGUUUCAGAACAAUCCACUACUAUAGAAAGUUUUACCCUGAUAAAAUAGUCUAGUAUUUUAUAAAAUACCAAACUCGUUUAAAUAGUUGUUUAGCUACUAUUUAAAUCAUUUUAGUGCUUUAAAUCUUUUUACUAAAAUGUGGUUCCUCCACCAUUUGGACUUAGGAUUUAUUUGUCCCAUUUUGAACAUUUUAGUCUUAACGUUUGAAGAAUUUACCGUUUGACUCGAUUUUGAAUUUGAAUUUGAAUCGGUGUCGAACUAACACGAGAUUAGCAACAGUAACCAUCGUGACGUGGCAUCAUUAACAGAGGUUUACUGUAUAUCAAAUACCCGGGCGUCACAAUUCUCCUCCACUACAAGAAAUCUCGUCCCGAGAUUUAAGAGGGGAGUAUGGGGGAAAGAUCUGGUUACGAAAUUCUAACGAGUCUUCUCGGUCUUGCUUGCUCUUGUCGAAAUGGUCGAUCCAUUAUGUUGAUGUUUUCAUUUCUCUGCUUCAGGUCAUCAUGGUGAAGUCGUCCUUUUCUUCGGGAACUCCAACGUGCUUACGAAUAGGUAAGGGGCAGCUUGGCUACGACAGAAUGCUUAUGAGGGAAACAAUCUGGUGAUAACCCAUGAAUGAACAUAAGAUUAUCUCUCGAGUUGAACAUAUAAAAUACAUCAAGAGUAAGGUACGAAGGUACCAUGAGAAGUUUCAAACGGAUAGGCAAUCGUUCGAUGUCUGAAACAACACGCGAAAGGGGUCCAGAGCAACGAGAUUGAGUAUUGCGUCUGUUACCAGAAUAGAUCACUAGGACGGUGGUCUGUGAAUUACAUACAAGGUCACGCACGAGGAAUAACUUUAGGAACAGGGGGUGUACAGGAGAGUCAGGUUCGAUCCUGUGGAACUGUGGGUUAUGGGCCCACCAUGUGGGUUAAAGUAGGAAGGGCAGUGACGUCUUGCAAGAUCAUGUAAGCAAGGCAUGUCAGAGGAUAGCCUGUCAGCUAUGUCGACGACAACAUCGAUACCAAGGGCGAGGGACGAAGAGAACCAUUUUCCUGCUCGUUGAACGAGGCGGACCAAUAAGAAAAGUUCUCGUCCAUCAGUGGUUACCAGAAUGUCAUCAACAAAGGUAAUAGGGUCUUUCUGACAGAGUGGUACAACGAGGUGACUGCUUAUAUAAUAUAGAUUACAAGAAGGUUUAAACAGAACAAUGGAAAGGAAAAUGUGUGUAAACACACAUUUCAAGGGUAUAUCCUUCCCAAGGACAAGCAAAGCAAGAUAUCCAUGAAAGGAUAUAAUGUAGAAAACUCUUUAGGUAAGGUGAGAGAAAUUUCAUGACAUUACCCAUACAAUGGUGUUUGGAUAAAUGAGCGAGAAACAUUUAGCAUUGGGCUUCAAAUGUUCUUUGUGGAAAAUUGGAGUACCACAGACAUGCUUCGAGAUAGCGUUGGCGUGGUAUUCAAGCAAAGGUCAGACUUAGGAUGCACAAAGGAUUCAUCAGGAACAACUUAUAGAAUAAGUCUUACCAUUUCUCAAGGAAGAAUAGAUAACCUUGCUAAAAAGAAAAACUAUAACAUUAGGUCCUCCGACCAGGUGGGCUAGGCAUGCUAUCACCUUACUGGGUUAUAUUGAUAACAAUGUUAUAACUCUUGGAAAUAUGUCUCAACCAUCAUAUCUGACCGAGAUUCAGAUCCGAUUGGUGUCAGGAUACAUCAGACAUCAGGAUGCCUGAGAAGAGAAGGUGCAACACAAUUUAACGAGAUGACACUGCGAGAAUCUCAGAAAUGAUCUAUGGAAGCGAGUUCCGAAGCAAGAGUUCAUCAUUAAACCAAGGAGAGGAUGAGGGGUGGCUGAUGAACUAACGGCAAUUCAUCGAGAUUUCCAAAAGAUGGAUUUCCACAAUCAUGUGAACAAAGAGUUAACAUUUGUCAGAUCAAACAAUAUAAUGAGGUGUGCUCGAGGAAAACAUACUCAAUUAAACAUUGGUGGAAAGCUGCACCCAAAAUAUGGGCUUAGGUAGCCUGAUCAAUGUUGGAACGGUGAUUCGAUAACCAAUAUUCUAAGAAUGAAAGGUCGACCAUUAACUUCAAAGCAAUAUGGUUGCUAGAAGUACAGAAUCCAAGCAACAACGUUCACCUGUUGGUAUCCCGGUUAGAAUCAACACGGGAACCAAGAAAGAAUGAUGAUGGUGAGGAGUAUCGCUAUACCAAGAAUUCUCAAGAGGUGGAGCAAUCCUCACAACAUACAUGUCAUCAAGGACAUUGAUACUUCAAGGUAGAAUAUCAUAAAAGCUAGAUAGCAAGUUGCAUCCAUAACAUGGACAAGUUUGUGUUGGGGGAAGGCAAGAAAGUGAUCGAUGAUAACACAAAUCAUCGAGGGCAAGGAUGGUACUUUUCAUUAUGAAUUCGAUUGAUAUCCUGCAAGAGCUCAAGAUGUGGGUGCUGAUGACGACACAUUUGUCGAGAGAUUUCAUGAAGAUGUAGUCUAUCGGCGAUGACAUCAAGUCAAAGGAAUUAUGAAGCAAAAGGUUAUCGGAACCAUGGGUACGACACAAACUCAAAAUCAAGCUUGUUGUUCAAGGUGAAAGAUAUGACGAGAAAGAUCAACGUAAGCUUAGCUCAUCGUUGAAAGUUGUGUUCCGGGAAGAAGGACCAGGUAGCACAGUUAAAAUUUAGCACGGUAAUGAUAUAGCCAACCGGGCUAGGAAUGACUUGAAGGAUUAUUAAACUCAUAAGCAGUAAAAAUUACUUAUAGUUAUUGAAUCGAAGUACAGACUCGAUUCACUGUCGGUGUCCUUGAGUGUCUAACAACUCAGAACCCGGGGAAAAUUUUGGAACCAGUGAGAAAUAAUACUUGAAGAAUAACUCAUAAGAAGUUAUGCAGUUCCAUGAUAAUCUCGAGAUACCAGGGGGUAAUACUCGACGACAGAUCAAAGUAGAGGUUGGACUAGGGAUUGCUCUGUAGAAGACAAGUGCUCAAACUUGCACGAGAAAUGGAAUCAAGGAGAAACAUGGUCGAAACCUCGUCCACAGGUACAAGAUGAACUUAUAACAAGUGGACAAUUAUUUUAAGAGAAGCUUCCAUGAUAAGGUAUACAUCGUGUCCAUGGGCAUGAACACAGGGUUCAAGGUCGACUCCCACUUAUUCAACACAUAACCUUUCAUGCACCUCUCGUAUUUCAAAAAUGACAUUAGUUCUUGAAAGUUUUUACCUGGUGCAAUACCAGAUACAUAUUACCCGUGAAAUCUUUCGGGUUCACACGGAUUAGGCAAGGCGUAGGUUCAACCCAUCAGGGCAUCUUAGGAACAUAUACCACAAACUUCGGAGUAAAUAAUACAAGCUUGAAAGUAGAGCAUGGUUGACAAAAGGGGAGGAUACAAUUUACCACAGGCAUUAUGUAUCGGAGAAAGAACUCACAAGGUGAUUAAUUUUGAAGGACACUGUCGGAUAAUAAUCCAACAGUGGAAUUGGCGAUCCACAAUGGAGCUGAUGUGAGUAUCGAUACCCAAUCAGAGGAAGAAAGAAUGCAAAUGCAUCGGUUUAUAGAACAUCUGAAUAAUUCAACGUUUAAAUAGCAAAGGAAUUAUGAUUUUCAAAUCAAGGGAUCGGGAGCAAAUGCUCUGAUUAGGGAUGGGUAAGUAGAAUAGCCUUAGGGGUACAUGCGACGACAUUUGGAUUUGUUGAGAACCAGCUCAUGUUUAAAAUGACGUCUGAGCCGGAAUGAUAAUUUAAAAGGAUCAACUGAUGAUUGCGUGCAUUCGCACUCAUGUUGAGUCAAUAGGAUCAAAAAGACGAUGCCUAAGGAUACUAACGAAUAUUUCCAGACAUAUGGAAAGCAUCCAUAAUGCAAGCAGGCAAGUAUUGCAGAGCAAUAAGCUACUAAGGAUUUUUGGAGGAUCGAAUAGUAUUUUGAAGACCAUUGUGAAACACAUGAACAACUGGGGAUGAGUGGAUACUCGACAAGUGCGAGGAUUUAAUUGAAGGGGUAUUCAUGUGGCAAGGAACUGCUAGGCAGUAGGCACAAAGUAUUCUCGGAACAAUAGAGAGAAUUUUGGGGCAUCUUGUAAUAACAAGAUCAAUGAGGAAUGAUUAUAUGAAUAGCACAUGUAGGUGGUUAUCCAUAGAGGUCUAUCGAUAGAAGGGAAUUGCAAAAGCAACAGGCACAAGGUCUCGACAGAAUAUCGGAGAGUAUCUUCGAAAUCUUCUAGUGUAGUCGGCGAUCAUCUGGAUUGAAAGGGCUCUCCGGGAGAAAGUAUUUUCGAGAACCUAAGUUAGAUUUUUAGUAAAUUCAUUAAACCCGAAUAGGAGGGAGUUCAGAGUCCCAGAGCAUAGACGAGGAAUAAAAGAUCCUAAUACCACCCAAUGGCGACGUGGGCCCAUAGGCCACACAGCCAUGUUAGUAAAGGUUUUGCAAUGACUAGACUCAACUUCGGCCAAGGAGGUGGAAAGGGGAUUCCUACAGGCAGUCGGCUCUGAUACCAACUUGUGACACCCCCGAUUUAAUCGUACACUAAUCAUACACGCAAACGUGUACGAUCAAGAUCAGGGACUCACGGGAAGAUAUCACAACACAACUCUACAAAUAAAAUAAGUCAUACAAGCAUCAUAUUACAAGCCAGGCGCCUCGAAGGCUCGAAUACAAGAGCUCGAUCAUAGACGAGUCAGCGGAAGCAACAAUAUCUGAGUACAGACAUAAGUUAAACAAGUUUGCCUUAAGAAGGCUAGCACAAACUGGGAUACAGAUCGAAAGAGGCGCAUGCCUCCUGCCUGGGAUCCUCCUAACUACUCCUGGUCGUCGUUCUGAGGGCAGCACAUAGUAGUAGGCACCUCCAGUGUAGUAGGAGUCGUCGUCGACGAUGGCGUCUGGAUCCUGGGCUCCAGCAUCUGGUUGCGACAACCAGGUAGAAGGGAUAGAGGGAAAAGAAGGAGAAAGCAACCGUCAGUACUCAUCCAAAGUACUCGCAAGCAAGGAGCUACACUACAUAUGUAUGCGUUGGUAUCAACUGGAAUAAGGCUAUUAUAUGUGGAUUGAACUGCAGAAAGCCGGAAUACGAGGGGGAUAGCUAGUCCUUUCGAAGACUACGCUUCCGGUAACCUCCAGCUUGCAGCAUGUAGAAGAGAGUAGACGGAAGUCCUCCAAGUAGCAUCGCAUAGCAUAAACCUAACCGAUGAUCCUCCCCUCGUCGCCCUAUGAGAGAGCGAUCACCGGUUUUAUCUGGCUCUUGGAAGGGUGUGUUUUAUUACGGUUCUAGUUGUCAUAAGGUCAAGGUACAACUCCGGGUCGUCCUUUUACCGAGGGACACGGCUAUUCGAAUAGAUAAACUUCCCUGCAGGGGUGCACCACAUAACCCAACACGCUCGAUCCCAUUUGGCCGAACACACUUUUCUAGGUCAUGCCCGUCCUCGGAAGAUCAACACGUCGCAGCCCUACCUAGGCACAACAGAGAGGUCAGCACGCCGGUCUAAAUCCUAUGGCGCAGGGGUCUGGCCCCAUCGCCCUUUGCACACCUGCAUGUUGCGGACGCGGCCGGAAGCAGACCUAGCCUAGUGGCGUUCUAGUCCAAUCCGGCGCGCGCCACUCAGUCGCUGACGUCACGAAGGCUUCGGCUGAUACCACGACGUUGAGUGCCCAUAACUGUCCCCACGUAGAUGGUUAGUGCGUAUAAGCCAGAUGGCCAGACUCAGAUCAAAUACCCAGAUCUCGUUAAGCGUGUUAAGUAUCUGCGAACGCCGACCAGGGCCAGGCCCACCUCUCUCCUAGGUGGUCUGAACCUGCCCGGUCGCUUCGCCACAAAGUAACAGUCGGGGGCCGUCGGGAACCCAGGCCCACCUCUACCGGGAUGGAGCCACCUGCCCCUUUAGCCCCCAACUCCGAACAGUACCAUAGGUAAUGUAACAGUGUAAAGUAUAUAGUAAAUGCCCGUGAUCACCUCCCGAAGUGAUCACGGCCCAGUAGUAUAGCAUGGCAGACGGACAAGAGUGUAGGGCCACUAAUGGAACACUAGCAUCCUAUACUAAGCAGUAGGAUAGCAGGUAAUGGUAAUAAUAUUAGUAGCAAGGACAGGCUAUGCAUCAGGAUAGGAAUAACGGAAAGCAGUAACAUGCUACACUACUCUAAUGCAAGCAGUAUAGAGAAGAGUAGGCGAUAUCUGGUGAUCAAAGGGGGGGCUUGCCUGGUUGCUCUGGCAAGAGAGAGGGGUCGUCAACACCGUAGUCGUACUGUGUAGCAGCAACGUCGGUCUCGGUGUCUAGCGAGAGAAGAGGGGGAGGAAACAAUAAAUAUAAUGCAAACAAAUGCAUGACGAUGCAUGACACGACAAAGCGUGAUGCUAGGUGUGCCCUAACGUGGUACGAGGUGGUACCGGUGAAGGGGGGAAACAUCCGAGAAAGUAUUCCCGGUGUUUCACAUUUACGGACAGAGGAGUCAGAGGGGGAAAGUUGCGUGUUCGGUAUGCUAGGGAGGCGUGGUGGACGAACGAGUUGCGUAUCCGGGUUCGUCUCGUCGUUCUGAGCAACUUUCAUGUUGAAAAUAAUUUAAUCCGAGUUACGUAUUAAAAGAUAUGGUUUUCUAAAGAUUUUACUAAUUUCUGGAAUUUAAUUAAUUAUUUAAUUUAAUUUGAAAUAUGGAUUUAUGACAUCAGCAUGAUGUCAUGCUGACAUCAGCAGUCAACAUGGGUUGACUGGGUCAACUGACGCGUGGGUCCAGUGGGACCCAUGAAGGAAAUAUGCCCUAGAGGCAAUAAUAAAGUUAUUAUUUAUUUCCUUAUAUCAUGAUAAGAGUUUAUUAUUCAUGCUAGAAUUGUAUUAACCGGAAACAUAAUACAUGUGUGAAUACAUAGACCAACAGAGUGUCACUAGUAUGCCUCUACUUGACUAGCUCGUUAAUCAAAGAUGGUUAUGUUUCCUAACCAUGAACAAAGAGUUGUUAUUUGUUUAACGAGGUCACAUCAUUAGUAGAAUGAUCUGAUUGACAUGACCCAAUCCAUUAGCUUAGCACCCGAUCGUUUAGUAAGUUGCUAUUGCUUUCUUCAUGACUUAUACAUGUUCCUAUAACUAUGAGAUUAUGCAACUCCCGUUUACCGGAGGAACACUUUGGGUACUACCAAACGUCACAACGUAACUGGGUGAUUAUAAAGGAGUAUUACAGGUGUCUCCAAUGGUAGAUGUUGGGUUGGCGUAUUUCGAGAUUAGGGUUUGUCACUCCGAUUGACGGAGAGGUAUCUCUGGGCCCUCUCGGUAAUACACAUCACAUAAGCCUUGCAAGCACUGCAACUAAUAAGUUAGUUGUGAGAUGAUGUAUUACGGAACGAGUAAAGAGACUUGCCGGUAACGAGAUUGAACUAGGUAUUGGAUACCGACGAUCGAAUCUCGGGCAAGUAACAUACCGAUGACAAAGGGAACAACGUAUGUUGUUAUGCGGUCUGACCGAUAAAGAUCUUUGUAGAAUAUGUAGGAGCCAAUAUGGGCAUCCAGGUCCCGCUAUUGGUUAUUGACCGGAAGCGUGUCUCGGUCAUGUCUACAUUGUUCUCGAACCGUAGGGUCCGCACGCUUAACGUUACGAUGACAGUUAUUAUGAGUUUAUGCAUUUUGAUGUACCGAAGGUUGUUCGGAGUCCCGGAUGAGAUCACGGACAUGACGAGGAGUCUCGAAAUGGUCGAGACGUAAAGAUUGAUAUAUUGGAAGCCUAUGUUUGGGCACCGGAAGCGUUCCGGGUGAAAUCGGGAUUUUACCGGAAUACCGGGAGGGUUACCGGAACCCCCCGGGAGACUAAUGGGCCUAUUGGGCCUUAGUGGAAAAGAGAAAAGGGAAGCCCACUAGCUGGCCAGCGCCCCCCUAGAGUCCUAUUAGGAAUAGGACAAGGGGCCGGCCCCCCUUCUCUCUCUUUUUCCCCGGGAGUCCUAAUAGGAUUAGGAUUAGGGGGAGGAGUCCUACUCCCGGUGGGAGUAGGACUCCCCUGCGCCUCCUCUCUCCUAGCCGGCCGAACCCCCUGCCCCUGGCCUUUUAUAUACGGGGGCAGGGGGCACCCCAAGACACACAACUUGAUCCUUGAGAUCGUUCCUUAGCCGUGUGCGGUGCCCCCUGCCACCAAAUUCCACCUCGAUCGUACCGUUGUAGUGCUUAGGCGAAGCCCUGCGUCAGUAGUACAUCAAGAUCGUCAACACGCCAUCGUGCUGACGGAACUCUUCCUCGACGCUUUGCUGGAUCGGAGCCCGAGGAACGUCAUCGAGCUGAACGUGUGCUAAGAACUCGGAGGUACCGGAGUAACGGUGCUUGGAUCGGUCGGAUCGGGAAGAAGACGUACGACUACUUCCUCUACGUUGUGUGAUCGCUUCCGCAGUCGGUCUGCGUUGGUACGUAGACAACACUCUCCUCUCUCGUUGCUGUGCAUCACCAUGAUCUUGCGUGUGCGUAGGAAAAUUUUUGAAAUUACUGCGUUACCGAACAGUGGCAUCUGAGCCUGGUUUUAUGGUUUGAUGUUAUAUGCACGAGUAGAACACAAGUGAGUUGUGGGCGAUACAAGUCAGACUGCCUACCAGCAUGUCAUACUUUGGUUCGGCGGUAUUGUUGGUUGAGACGAUCCGGACCAACCUUACGCGUACUCUUACGCGAGACCGGUUCCCUCGACGUGCUUUGCACAUAGAUGGCUUGCGGAAGACUGUCUCUCCAACUUUAGUUGAACCAAGUGUGACUACGCCCGGUCCUUGAGAAGGUUAAAACAGAGUCUAUUUGACGAACUAUCGUUGUGGUUUUGAUGCGUAGGUGAGAUGAGUUCUUACUUAAGCCCGUAGCAGCCACGUAAAACUUGCAACAACAAAGUAGAGGACGUCUAACUUGUUUUUGCAGUGUAUGUUGUGAUGUGAUAUGGUCAAGGCAUGAUGCUGAUUUUAUUGUAUGAGAUGAUCAUGUUUUGUAACUAAGUUAUCGGCAACUGGCAGGAGCCAUAUGGUUGUCGCUUUAUUGUAUGCAAUGCAAUCGCGAUGUAAUGCUUUACUAGAUUACUAAACGGUAGUAAUAGUCGUGGAAGCAUAAGAUUGGCAAGACGACAACGAUGCUACGAUGGAGAUCAAAGUGUCGCGCCGGUGACGAUGGUGAUCAUGACGGUGCUUCGGAGAUGGAGAUCACAAGCACAAGAUGAUGAUGGCCAUAUCAUAUCACUUAUAUUGAUUGCAUGUGAUGUUUAUCCUUUUAUGCAUCUUAUCUUGCUUUGAUUGACGGUAGCAUUAUAAGAUGAUCUCUCACUAAAUUAUCAAGAAGUGUUCUCCCUGAGUAUGCACCGUUGCCAAAGUUCGUCGUGCCCAGACACCACGUGAUGAUCGGGUGUGAUAAGCUCUACGUCCAUCUACAACGGGUGCAAGCCAGUUUUGCACACGCAGAAUACUCAGGUUAUACUUGACGAGCCUAGCAUAUGCAGAUAUGGCCUCGGAACACAGAGACCGAAAGGUCGAGCGUGAAUCAUAUAGUAGAUAUGAUCAACAUAACGAUGUUCACCAUUGAAAACUACUCCAUCUCACGUGAUGAUCGGUUAUGGUUUAGUUGCUUUGGAUCACGUGAUCACUUAGAAGAUUAGAGGGAUGUCUAGCUAAGUGGGAGUUCCUAAGUAAUUUGAUUAACUGAACUUAAACUUAUCAUGAACUUAGUACCUGAUAGUAUCUUGCUUGUUUAUGUUGCUUGUAGAUAGAUGGCUCGUGCUAUUGUUCCGUUGAAUUUUAAUGCGUUCCUUGAGAAAGCAAAGUUGAAAGAUGAUGGUAGCAAUUACACGGACUGGGUCUGUAACCUGAGGAUUAUCCUCAUUGCUGCACAGAAGAAUUACGUCCUGGAAGCACCGCUGGGUGACAGGCCUGCUGCUGGAGCAACGCCAGAUGUUAUGAACGUCUGGCAGAGCAAAGCUGAUGACUACUCGAUAGUUCAGUGUGCCAUGCUUUACGGCUUAGAAUCGGGACUUCAACGACGUUUUGAACGUCAUGGAGCAUAUGAGAUGUUCCAGGAGUUGAAGUUAAUAUUUCAAGCAAAUGCCCGAAUUGAGAGAUAUGAAGUCUCCAAUAAGUUCUAUAGCUGUAAGAUGGAGGAGAACAGUUCUGUCAGUGAGCAUAUACUCAAAAUGUCUGGGUAUAAUAAUCACUUGAUUCAGAUGGGAGUUAAUCUUCCAGAUGAUUGCAUCAUUGACAGAAUUCUCCAAUCACUACCACCAAGCUACAAGAGCUUCGUGAUGAACUAUAAUAUGCAAGGGAUGAACAAGACUAUUCCCGAGCUCUUCGCAAUGCUGAAAGCUGCGGAGGUAGAAAUCAAAAAGGAGCAUCAAGUGUUGAUGGUUAGCAAGACCACUAGUUUCAAGAAAAAGGGUAAAGGGAAGAAGAAGGGAAACUUCAAGAAGAACAGCAAGCAAGUUGCUGCUCAAGAGAAGAAACCCAAGUCUGGACCUAAGCCUGAAGCUGAGUGCUUCUACUGCAAGCAGACUGGUCACUGGAAGCGGAACUGCCCCAAGUAUUUGGCGGAUAAGAAGGAUGGCAAAGUGAGCAAAGGUAUAUGUGAUAUACAUGUUAUUGAUGUGUACCUUACUAGAGCUCGCAGUAGCACCUGGGUAUUUGAUACUGGUUCUGUUGCUAAUAUUUGCAACUCGAAACAGGGACUACGGAAUAAGCGGACACUAGCAAAGGACGAGGUGACGAUGCGCGUGGGAAACGGUUCCAAAGUCGAUGUGAUCGCGGUCGGCACGCUGCCUCUACAUCUACCUUCGGGAUUAAUAUUAGACCUAAAUAAUUGUUAUUUGGUGCCAGCGUUGAGCAUGAACAUUAUAUCUGGAUCUUGUUUAAUGCGAGACGGUUAUUCAUUUAAAUCAGAGAAUAAUGGUUGUUCUAUUUAUAUGAAUAAUAUCUUUUAUGGUCAUGCACCUUUGAAGAGUGGUCUAUUCUUGUUGAAUCUCGAAGAUAGUGAUACACAUAUUCAUAAUGUAGAAGCCAAAAGAUGCAAAGUUAAUAAUGAUAGUGCAACUUAUUUGUGGCACUGCCGUUUAGGUCAUAUCGGUGUAAAGCGCAUGAAGAAACUCCAUACUGAUGGGCUUUUGGAAUCACUUGAUUAUGAAUCACUUGGUACUUGCGAACCGUGCCUCAUAGGCAAGAUGACUAAAACACCGUUCUCCGGUACUAUGGAGAGAGCAACAGAUUUGUUGGAAAUCAUACAUACCGAUGUAUGUGGUCCGAUGAAUAUUGAGGCUCGCGGCGGAUAUCGUUAUUUUUCACCUUCACAGAUGAUUUAAGCAGAUAUGGGUAUAUCUACUUAAUGAAACACAAGUCUGAAACAUUUGAAAAGUUCAAGGAAUUUCAGAGUGAAGUUGAAAAUCAUCGUAACAAGAAAAUAAAAUUUCUACGAUCUGAUCGUGGAGGAGAAUAUUUGAGUUACGAGUUUGGUGUACAUUUGAAAAAUUGUGGAAUAGUUUCGCAACUCACGCCACCCGGAACACCACAGCGUAAUGGUGUGUCCGAACGUCGUAAUCGUACUUUACUAGAUAUGGUGCGAUCAAUGAUGUCUCUUACUGAUUUACCGCUAUCGUUUUGGGGUUAUGCUUUAGAGACGGCCGCAUUCACGUUAAAUAGGGCACCAUCAAAAUCCGUUGAGACGACGCCUUAUGAACUAUGGUUUGGCAAGAAACCAAAGUUGUCGUUUCUCAAAGUUUGGGGCUGCGAUGCUUAUGUGAAAAAGCUUCAACCUGAUAAGCUCGAACCCAAAGCGGAGAAAUGUGUCUUCAUAGGAUACCCAAAGGAAACUGUUGGGUAUACCUUCUAUCACAGAUCCGAAGGCAAGACAUUCGUUGCUAAGAAUGGAUCAUUUCUAGAGAAGGAGUUUCUCUCGAAAGAAGUGAGUGGGAGGAAAGUAGAACUUGACGAGGUAACUAUACCUGCUCCCUUAUUGGAAAGUAGUACAUCACAGAAAACUGUUUCUGCGACACCUAUACCAAUCAGUGAGAAAGCUAAUGAUGAUGAUCAUGAAGCUUCAGAACAAGAUACUACUGAACCACGUAGAUCAACCAGAGUGAGAUCCGCACCAGAGUGGUACGGUAAUCCACUUCUGGAAGUCAUGAUGCUAGAUCAUGAUGAACCUACGAACUAUGAAGAAGCGAUGGUGAGCCCAGAUUCCGCAAAGUGGCUUGAGGCCAUGAAAUCUGAGAUGGGAUCCAUGUAUGAGAACAAAGUAUGGACUUUGGUUGACUUGCCCGAUGAUCGGCAAGCAAUUGAGAAUAAAUGGAUCUUCAAGAAAAAGACUGACGCUGACGGUAAUGUUACUGUCUAUAAAGCUCGACUUGUCGCAAAAGGUUUUCGACAAGUUCAAGGGGUUGACUACGAUGAGACUUUCUCACCCGUAGCGAUGCUUAAAUCCGUCAGAAUUAUGUUAGCAAUUGCCGCAUUUUAUAAUUAUGAAAUAUGGCAGAUGGAUGUCAAAGCUGCAUUCCUGAAUGGAUUUCUGGAAGAAGAGUUGUAUAUGGUACAACCAGAAGGUUUUGUCGAUCCAAAAGGAGCUAACAAAGUAUGCAAACUCCAGCGAUCCAUUUAUGGACUGGUGCAAGCAUCUCGGAGUUGGAAUAAACGCUUUGAUAGUGUGAUCAAAGCAUUUGGCUUUAUACAGACUUUUGGAGAAGCCUGUAUUUACAAGAAAGUGAGUGGGAGCUCUGUAGCAUUUCUGAUAUUAUAUGUGGAUGACAUAUUGCUGAUUGGAAAUGAUAUAGAAUUUUUGGAUAGCAUAAAGGGAUACUUGAAUAAAAGUUUUUCGAUGAAAGACCUUGGGGAAGCUGCUUACAUAUUAGGCAUAAAGAUCUAUAGAGAUAGAUCAAAACGCUUAAUUGGACUUUCACAGAGCACAUACCUUGACAAGAUUUUGAAGAAAUUCAAAAUGGAUCAAGCAAAGAAAGGGUUCUUGCCUGUGUUACAAGGUGUGAAGUUGAGUAAGACUCAAUGCCCGACCACUGCAGAAGAUAGAGAGAAAAUGAAAGAUGUUACCUAUGCUUCAGCCAUAGGCUCUAUCAUGUAUGCAAUGCUGUGUACCAGACCUGAUGUGUGCCUUGCUAUAAGUUUAGCAGGGAGGUACCAAAGUAAUCCUGGAAUGGAUCACUGGACAGCGGUCAAGAACAUCCUAAAAUACCUGAAAAGGACUAAGGAUAUGUUUCUCGUAUAUGGAGGUGACAAAGAGCUCACCGUAAGAGGUUACGUUGAUGCAAGCUUUGACACUGAUCCGGACGAUUCUAAAUCGCAAACCGGAUACGUGUUUACUUUAAACGGUGGAGCUGUCAGUUGGUGCAGUUCUAAACAAAGCGUCGUAGCGGGAUCUACAUGUGAAGCGGAGUACAUAGCCGCUUCGGAAGCAGCGAACGAAGGAGUCUGGAUGAAGGAGUUCAUAUCCGAUCUAGGUGUCAUACCUAGUGCAUCGGGUCCAAUGAAAAUCUUCUGUGACAAUACUGGUGCAAUUGCCUUGGCAAAGGAAUCCAGAUUUCACAAGAGGACCAAACACAUCAAGAGACGCUUCAACUCCAUCCGGGAUUUAGUCCAGGUGGGAGACAUAGAGAUUUGCAAGAUACAUACGGAUCUGAAUGUUCCAGACCCGUUGACUAAGCCUCUUCCACGAGCAAAACAUGAUCAGCACCAAGGCUCCAUGGGUGUUAGAAUCAUUACUGUAUAAUCUAGAUUAUUGACUCUAGUGCAAGUGGGAGACUGAAGGAAAUAUGCCCUAGAGGCAAUAAUAAAGUUAUUAUUUAUUUCCUUAUAUCAUGAUAAGAGUUUAUUAUUCAUGCUAGAAUUGUAUUAACCGGAAACAUAAUACAUGUGUGAAUACAUAGACCAACAGAGUGUCACUAGUAUGCCUCUACUUGACUAGCUCGUUAAUCAAAGAUGGUUAUGUUUCCUAACCAUGAACAAAGAUUUGUUAUUUGUUUAACGAGGUCACAUCAUUAGUAGAAUGAUCUGAUUGACAUGACCCAAUCCAUUAGCUUAGCACCCGAUCGUUUAGUAAGUUGCUAUUGCUUUCUUCAUGACUUAUACAUGUUCCUAUAACUAUGAGAUUAUGCAACUCCCGUUUACCGGAGGAACACUUUGGGUACUACCAAACGUCACAACGUAACUGGGUGAUUAUAAAGGAGUAUUACAGGUGUCUCCAAUGGUAGAUGUUGGGUUGGCGUAUUUCGAGAUUAGGGUUUGUCACUCCGAUUGACGGAGAGGUAUCUCUGGGCCCUCUCGGUAAUACACAUCACAUAAGCCUUGCAAGCACUGCAACUAAUAAGUUAGUUGUGAGAUGAUGUAUUACGGAACGAGUAAAGAGACUUGCCGGUAACGAGAUUGAACUAGGUAUUGGAUACCGACGAUCGAAUCUCGGGCAAGUAACAUACCGAUGACAAAGGGAACAACGUAUGUUGUUAUGCGGUCUGACCGAUAAAGAUCUUCGUAGAAUAUGUAGGAGCCAAUAUGGGCAUCCAGGUCCCGCUAUUGGUUAUUGACCGGAAGCGUGUCUCGGUCAUGUCUACAUUGUUCUCGAACCGUAGGGUCCGCACGCUUAACGUUACGAUGACAGUUAUUAUGAGUUUAUGCAUUUUGAUGUACCGAAGGUUGUUCGGUGUCCCGGAUGAGAUCACGGACAUGACGAGGAGUCUCGAAAUGGUCGAGACGUAAAGAUUGAUAUAUUGGAAGCCUAUGUUUGGGCACCGGAAGCGUUCCGGGUGAAAUCGGGAUUUUACCGGAAUACCGGGAGGGUUACCGGAACCCCCCGGGAGACUAAUGGGCCUAUUGGGCCUUAGUGGAAAAGAGAAAAGGGAAGCCCACUAGCUGGCCGGCGCCCCCUAGAGUCCUAUUAGGAAUAGGACAAGGGGCCGGCCCCCCUUCUCUCUCUUUUUCCCCGGGAGUCCUAAUAGGAUUAGGAUUAGGGGGAGGAGUCCUACUCCCGGUGGGAGUAGGACUCCCCUGCGCCUCCUCUCUCCUCGCCGGCCGAACCCCCUGCCCCUGGCCUUUAUAUACGGGGGCAGGGGGCACCCCAAGACACACAACUUGAUCCUUGAGAUCGUUCCUUAGCCGUGUGCGGUGCCCCCUGCCACCAAAUUCCACCUCGAUCGUACCGUUGUAGUGCUUAGGCGAAGCCCUGCGUCGGUAGUACAUCAAGAUCGUCAUCACGCCGUCGUGCUGACGGAACUCUUCCUCGACGCUUUGCUGGAUCGGAGCCCGAGGAACGUCAUCGAGCUGAACGUGUGCUAAGAACUCGGAGGUACCGGAGUAACGGUGCUUGGAUCGGUCUGAUCGGGAAGAAGACGUACGACUACUUCCUCUACGUUGUGUGAUCGCUUCCGCAGUCGGUCUGCGUUGGUACGUAGACAACACUCUCCUCUCUCGUUGCUGUGCAUCACCAUGAUCUUGCGUGUGCGUAGGAAAUUUUUUGAAAUUACUGCGUUACCCAACAACCCACCUGUCAUACUCUGUUAGGUUAAUUAGGGUUUAGUUAAUUGAUUAGGCUAAUCUAAUCAGGAUUACUUUGUUUAAGUAAUUCUUCAAUUAAUUAAUUAUCAUUUUAACUAAUUUAAUUAUUAUUUAUUAAUUCAUUCAUUUUUUUAAAUUAUUAUUUUUAUUUCGUUCUCGUUUCAGGGGGGCGUGGGGCCCCGCACACGGGGCCACCGCGGGGCUGUUGCCAGCGGGCGCUGGGGCGCUGGGUGCGGGCGCACCCGAGCGGGCACUCGCCCGCAGGGCGGGACGAGGCUGCCGAGGCAUCGACAGCGGGGCAAGCCNNNNNNNNNNNNNNNNNNNNNNNNNNNNNNNNNNNNNNNNNNNNNNNNNNNNNNNNNNNNNNNNNNNNNNNNNNNNNNNNNNNNNNNNNNNNNNNNNNNNNNNNNNNNNNNNNNNNNNNNNNNNNNNNNNNNNNNNNNNNNNNNNNNNNNNNNNNNNNNNNNNNNNNNNNNNNNNNNNNNNNNNNNNNNNNNNNNNNNNNNNNNNNNNNNNNNNNNNNNNNNNNNNNNNNNNNNNNNNNNNNNNNNNNNNNNNNNNNNNNNNNNNNNNNNNNNNNNNNNNNNNNNNNNNNNNNNNNNNNNNNNNNNNNNNNNNNNNNNNNNNNNNNNNNNNNNNNNNNNNNNNNNNNNNNNNNNNNNNNNNNNNNNNNNNNNNNNNNNNNNNNNNNNNNNNNNNNNNNNNNNNNNNNNNNNNNNNNNNNNNNNNNNNNNNNNNNNNNNNNNNNNNNNNNNNNNNNNNNNNNNNNNNNNNNNNNNNNNNNNNNNNNNNNNNNNNNNNNNNNNNNNNNNNNNNNNNNNNNNNNNNNNNNNNNNNNNNNNNNNNNNNNNNNNNNNNNNNNNNNNNNNNNNNNNNNNNNNNNNNNNNNNNNNNNNNNNNNNNNNNNNNNNNNNNNNNNNNNNNNNNNNNNNNNNNNNNNNNNNNNNNNNNNNNNNNNNNNNNNNNNNNNNNNNNNNNNNNNNNNNNNNNNNNNNNNNNNNNNNNNNNNNNNNNNNNNNNNNNNNNNNNNNNNNNNNNNNNNNNNNNNNNNNNNNNNNNNNNNNNNNNNNNNNNNNNNNNNNNNNNNNNNNNNNNNNNNNNNNNNNNNNNNNNNNNNNNNNNNNNNNNNNNNNNNNNNNNNNNNNNNNNNNNNNNNNNNNNNNNNNNNNNNNNNNNNNNNNNNNNNNNNNNNNNNNNNNNNNNNNNNNNNNNNNNNNNNNNNNNNNNNNNNNNNNNNNNNNNNNNNNNNNNNNNNNNNNNNAGUGGCCCAGUGGGGGGGGGGGUUGUUUUAUUCCUUUCCCUUUUAUACCUUUUCACACUUUUCUUCUUUUGUUUUAUUUUAGUUACACGUUAAUUUUAAUUUUAGACAAAUAUAUCUAUAGCCCCUAAAAUAAUGUUUCAGAACAAUCCACUACUAUAAAAAGUUUUACCCUGAUAAAAUAGUCUAGUAUUUUAUAAAAUACCAAAGUCGUUUAAAUAGUUGUUUAGCUACUAUUUAAAUCAUUUUAGUGCUUUAAAUCAUUUUACUAAAAUGUGGUUCCUCCACCAUUUGGACUUAGGAUUUAUUUGUCCCAUUUUGAACAUUUUAGUCUUGACGUUUGAAGAAUUUACCGUUUGACUCGAUUUUGAAUUUGAAUUUGAAUCGGUGUCGAACUAACACGAGAUUAGCAACAGUAACCAUCAUGACGUGGCAUCAUUAACAGAGGUUUACUGUAUCUCAAAUACCCGGGCGUCACAAUGUGCCUAAUAUUGCAGGAGAUGAGGUGGCUCUGGCUGCAUUAAAAUUUUUAGCCCAAAAUAAGAAGAUUAGUGAUAUUUUCCUUGAGCAACACGACAAGGGAUUGGUUCCUCAUUAUGAGGCAAUAAUAGCUAGGGUUUUGAAAGAAGACCAAGUGUUGCCGAUUGAUCAAAUUGUCGAGAGAAAAUAUUCAACAAUGAUGCAGAUGCCUUCACCUAUCAUUGCAACAUGUUAUACACCCCCUGUACAAGCGCAAAAUUUCGGCAACAUCAAUUCAUUGCCGAAAGAUCCUAAAAGUAUUGGGGGGCAAGCCGAUCCAAGCAGGGUUGAGUUUAAAGAAAAAUAUCUAGCCCAGGUGGACAAGAUCAAGCCAAAGCUCACAGGGAAUAGAGUCAACGAAUUUACUACACCUACCCUUGAGGAAUUACCAGCAGAAUAUCAACAGGCCUACGAAGCACUCAAGAAGAAACGUGGAGAGAGAUAUUUGCAAGAAUACGUCAAGUGCCUUCCUCCAUGUAGCAACCAUGUUGGCCCUUCUACACUAUUGAGGCAAGAUAAAAAAGAAGCUUUGCAAGCAAACCAGCAAAAAAGGAUUCACUCGGCUAAUACGGUGGAUUCGGUUGAAACCGGAUUGAGCAACAGGAUGUUUAAGGCCGAGUGCGUUGCAUCGUGCCAGCCGAGUGCAUCGUUCCAGACGAGUGCAUCACCAGCUAAAGCCGAGUGCAUCAAGCCAACUAUUGCCUCGUGUACGAAAAUAGAAGAUGCAAGCUUGGCUGAGCAAAGGAACGACAAACGCAACAAAUUGGUUGUGCUCGAUUUUUCUGGAUGUAAGGGAGCUUACAUGCUACCUUAUGAGUUUCAUGCUAAAGAUAUUGAUGAGCAUCAAGAACACAGUAAUGGCUGAACACAGUUCAGUUAACGAUGAACAUCAAGACCAAGAAAAUGCGGCCGAGCAAAGUUCAACUGACAAAGAGCGUCCGAGUGAAAUCCACUCGGGCAAUCCGACUGAAAUAUACUCGGGCAAUUCAAGUGAAAUAUACUCGGGCAACCUGAGUGAUGAGGCACCAGAUCCAGAAAAAGAGGAAGAGGCAUUGGAGAAUUAUUCAGAAGUGGAGCAAUGUAUUGUUCCAGUGGUACAACCAUCUUCUCCUUCCAACGUCUUCACAAAGGUACACCUAGCAGAUAGUUUACUCAAUUUUCGAUUUGGUCAAAAUCAUAUUGUUGAUGCACCUAUUAGUAAGAUUCUAAUUAAUUUUGAAAGACCAAUUGAAAUGAGUAAUCUUUUUGUUAGGAAGGAUCUUGUCACUAAUCAUGAUAGUCAACACAUGGUAUCGUUCAUAGAGGUUAAUAGUGACAACUUAUCAAAACCAAAGUUGUUCUUGUCAUGCCAACUGAACUUUGUAUUCAUAUGGACAACUUUGUUUGUUUCAUGCCUAGCUAACAUUUGGACUCCUAUGAGCCGUAUAUUCUGUAAUUAUUUUAGUUGCAGAAACAUAAAGUCAGGUCCAAAGUCCUUCGAAGCCGAUUCAAAUGCAUCAGGAAAAGAAGAUGAAUCUUUCCCAAUUGAUAAAAUUGGCGAGCAAAAAUAUGGUUUUACAACAAUGCAUAUGCCUUCACCUAAUACUACAUCAUAUUAUACAGCCCCUACACAAUUGCAAAGUUUCGGCAACACCCAUGUGCCAUUGCCGAAAGAAUCUAAAAGCAAUGGGGGACAAUCGUAUCCGAAGUGGGCUGAAAAUGAGAAAAAGAUUAAAGCCAAUUUCGCCGCUCGCCGGCAGAAACAAAAAGAAACAGAAUUGGCUCAAGUGAAAGAAGCAUUGCCAAUUGGUAGAAGCAAUGUAAAGAAAGAUGAUUCAGAACAUGAAAGUACUAAGGUUAAAAGAGCCGAAUCAAGGAGUAUAUAUUCUGAAUCCAUCAAAUGCAAAGAGGCAAGCAUUAUUGAGAAAGGGCAUGGCAAGCAUAGCAAAGCGACCAUACUUGAUUUUUCUAAAGUUAAUGGAACCUACUUCCUGCCCUAUGAGUUUUGUGCCAGAGAAAUUGAUGAACUUCAAGGACAAGAAUAAGUAGCCGAACAAAGUUCGGCCGACAAAAAUCUUCAAUGUAAUGAUGCACGAAAUCAACAAAAAGAUGAUGAAGAAGCGUUGGGGAGCCAUCCAAAGGCGGAGCAAGAUAUUGUUCAAGUCACACCACCAUCGUGCUCUCCCAACAUAUUUGAAGAGGUAUGUUUAGCAAGUAAUUUACCUAUUUUCAGAUUUGGUCAGGACUUUAUUGUUGAUGCAUCUAUUAGAAAAAUCCUCAUAAGUAAUUUUGAAAGACCAAUGAAGCAGGGUAAUUUACUUGCUAGCAAUAAAGUUGUUAUUGAGCAUAUCGGUCAACCCAUUACGCCAUUUAUAAAGACCGAUAGUGACUUAUUAUUACAGCCAAAGUUUUCCCCGUUGCUUUAUCUAAAGUUCAUAUCUAUUUGGGUAGCUUUGCUUAUUUCAUACUUGGCUUGCACUUGGUCCCAAUUGAGACAUGUGUGUUCUAACUAUUUUCGUUUUAGAAAUUUAAAGCCAAGAUUAAAUUCUGUUGAGAAAACCGAUGCUAGUAUAAUAUCUUACCCAAAGACAUCGGAGAUAGAUUGCAAAACACAAUGCAUAGCCGAAUGGUGUGAUGCAAAAUCUGAACCAUUCGUUUGCUUCAUUCCGAAGCCGUUCUCACAGCAAGAUCGGCUAGAAAACAAGAAGUAUACCUUCAAUUCAAGCAUGUGUGUUCAAAUAUUUGAUUUGUUGCUGAAAAAUAAUUACAUUACAAUUCUUGAUCACCAUGUUAAGCCAUCAAUCCAAGGACGAAUGUAUUGUAAGUUGCAUGAUUCGUCCAAGCAUAAUUUUGAGGAUUGCAACAUGUUUCGUCAAAUAGUUAAAUCGGCCAUUGAAAAAGGACGAUUGAAGUUUGUUGAAACACCAAGAGAUGACCAGUCUAUUCCGAUUGGUCCCGAUGGCAAAAAGUUUUUGCAUCGACUGCUUCAAGCCGAUCCAUUUAAAGAGAAGGUAAAAACUGCAGGUGAUGGGAUCAAGCUUUCAAGUAAAGAAGUUGUUGAAGAGCAUAAUGAACAUAAUCUUGAGGGUGAGAAUUCCAUCCAAGCUACAAUGGAGACGCCAAGGACUGGGGGGCAGCAAGCAAAUCCAACGAUCGAUGAAAGAAAACCAAAAGAAAACAAAGGCCGAAAUAAGCGCAAGUGUAAAAGAUCAAAAAUCACCUUCGAUGAACUAUUUGAGAAAUAUCAAAAGAAGAGUGAAGAGAAGAAUGCUUAUCGGCCCAAUCAUGCAAAGAAACCAAGAUCACCCCCAAGGCGCAAAUAUGAGGAUCGGUAUUGGCAAUGUGAGAGUUUCAAUGCAACAUAUUCAUAUCCUUAUUUUGGGCCGCCAAUGCCAAUGCCGUGGAUGCCUCCCUAUGCUCAUGUAGAUCCAUAUUCAUCAUGGGACAGGUAUGAUACAAGGGCACAUUCUCCAUCUUAUUUUAGACCAUCUCACCAAUAUUAUGCAGCUCCGAGAAGAUCAACAUUUGAACAGUCACAUGUUAAAGACCGUUUCAAUUAUAAGGAAUCGGUCCGGACACCAUGGAUGAAAAAAGAGGUGGUCAAGCAAGUCUACCGCGUGAAACUAUGAAGGACCGAGCCGAAGGAUUCAACAUCUUUGGUCUACACAUUAUCCAAAUUCUUCAACUAUGUCGUUAACGCCUAUGCCAUGGAAUUCGUCAUCAGGUAUGAUCGGUAACCCUCAAUGGGCUUAUUUUAAUCCAUGGAUGCAAUAUAAUUUCUUACGUCAUGAAAGGGUAUUACCAAGUCACUAUACAUUUGAUUAGCUACAAGUUUGUUGCUGAUCCAAAGGGCCGAAAUACUUGAUUUGUCAUUUCAUUUGUUUAUUUCGGCUAUAUGUGCUUUGAAUGAAGUUUAGAUGGUAAUGGCCGAUGAUAUUUAUCUAUCGUCCUAAGAGUAUGUCAAUGCAUGGCAGGUGUAGUAUUCUAAUAUCGUCCUUAGUUUGAUUGGUGAGCGAGACAAUGUACAUGCUCAUGAAAAUUUAUAUGUAUGCCUAUAUUAUGAUUGAAUGGAGUUGAGACAUCAUGACCGAUGUCAUUGAAUAUAUGCUGCAUAGACCAAUUCAUAGCUGCGGAAUUGGUUGAUGGGCUUAUACUUUGUUUGGAUAUGAUUUGGCUUAUGCAUCUUUGAGAUCUAUAAGAGGCCAAAUCAUAGUUGAUUUUGUUACUGAACAUCGGAUUAGUGUCAUGCAUAAUAUUAAUAUUAGCCUUGUCUCUCUAGUACUAUGGAGAUUAUGUUUUGAUGGUUCAAUUCAUAGCAAUGGCCAAAGUGUUGGUGUUGUUUAUAUAUUUCUUUAUGGUACUAUUUUUUGAAGCCUCGUGCCGCUUAGAAUAUUUUUAUGCACGAUUAAUCAAGGCCGAAUAUGCAUUGUUAUUCGGAUUGACUCUUUUACUUGCUAUAGGUGUUAUACAUAUUGAGGCUUUUGGUGAUUCGUUCUGAGUAGUGCAACAAAUAUCCAAGGAUUAUCAAUGUGUUUUACCGAAUCACUUAUAGUUUAUCUUGGGCUAUGUCUAGAUGAAGAAUUUACCUUGGGUUGCAUUCAAAUUGUUCAUAUAUUUAGACAUGGCAAUUGGAGAGAGUUGGCAUAGCAAGCAUCCGGCUACCAUGUCCAUCAUGUUGUAUUGCAUUUCUCUCAAUAGCCGAUGCUUAGUCUUGUCAACAUAGGUAAGGUCGAACCGAAGUCCAGAACUUCGGCCACUAAUGAAAUUUUUAUGCAGGCCAAAGUAAGGAUUGGAGAAAGUUUAUUGUUGAUUGUCUACAAAAUCCUAGCAAAAGGGUGAACAAUAUGGUUCGGAGGAUGACAUUGAGAUACAUAUCUAUGGAACUUUAUCACCGGAUUGUUAAUGAAGCUGAGAAGGUUUCACCCGAGUUUGCAUCAGAAAGUUCACACAAGACAUGGCCGAUAUAUACUUAUCGUCCUAAGAACAUAUAAAUGGCCGAUGGAGUGUUGACAUCGUCCUUAGAACAAACUUGGUACAAGUAUUUUUCGACACGCUAGGUUUACCGAAAAACAGUGGGGCAUGUGUUGACGCUCAAAAGUGGCACGAUCAUAAAGCAGCAUGCUGGGGCGAAAACCUUGCCGGGGUAAAAUCUUGCCGGUGUGAAAGCUUGCCGGUGUGAAAGCUUGCCGGUGUGAAGGCUUGCCGGCGUGGAAAGCUUGCCGGCACAGAAAGAUCGCCGGUGCUUGCCGGUGUGAAAUCUUGCCGAGGGAGAAACCUUGUCAGGAAGGAACCCUUGCCGGAGUACAAACCUUGCCGGAGUGAAACCUUGCCUGUGUGAAAGCUUGCCGGGUAGAAACAUUGCCGGUGUGGAAAGCUUACUCGGACGGAAAACUUGCCGGGUUGGAGGCUGUGAUAGUCAAUCGAACGAGAAGUUGAAGAUGGGCUCAAAAGGUUAUUCAGAUGAUCUCGGAUGGAAAAAUGAUCUACACGGGUUGUCUUCGUCUCGUCGAAACGAUCGAUUUUGGUAUAAAAAUCAUUCAAAUUCGAGUUUGUAUGCAAAAGUUAGAGCAAUCGGAGUGCAGCCCUGUCACGAGGCGAGAUGUGGCGUGCCCCACCAGACACAUGUCUGACGGGUAGUGCGAGGAAAUAGCCUGUGUUGCGAGACCGAUCUGACCCUCAAGAUGAUCUCUGAUCAAAACACCUUCAACAUGAAAGCUGUUCGUCUCGUCGAAACGGUCAAGAUUGCUUUUGGGCUUGUUUUCAUCCGGGAUCGUUUACCACUGCCAAAAAGACCCGCAAUGUGCAGCCAGUUUAAACCGAACAGUUUUGGAAAGUUCAGAUAAACCAGUCCGAAUUUGACUAGGGUUUUGUACGUGAAUUGAUGUAAUUUUCUUGUAAGGAAAGCCGAGAUAAAUUCUUUGCUUGUACGGGAAGUCCAGCCGCCUCUUAUAUAUGUUGGGGGUGACGGCCGAUUGAAACAACACACAAUCGAACAAACACAUCUACUACCUUUUCAUGUUCAUCUACUUUUUAUCUCUCCCUUGUAUCUUUCUUCUCGUUCUUCGCUAGUUCUUCAUGCUGGAGGGCUGCGGAUCCACGAGGCUUUAGGGCCUAGCUAGCGAAUCGACCUAGGGCAGCCCAUAGCCGCCGCAAUCCCUGACGGGGUCCCUCUCGGGUGCGCGGGGUUUCGGGUCUGCAAAAGCGCCCGCCGACUGUCUUGCGUAUCGCGCUGUCGGUCGGGUCUCCUUCGACGUGAGCUGCGGUGCAUCACCCCUGGCGUCGAGGAUACAUGUGACGUGUUCGUGUGCGAACAACGUGCUCCCUGGCUCCACCCCAUUGAAAAAAUAUACAUCUGGAGGCUGCUUUGUUUCCUCAUCAAAAAAAACUUACGUUAAAAAGAUUGCAUGCAUCCCAGGAAAAAUAAUCAAGAAGUCGGACUCAUCCUUACAAAAACAAGGAACGUGUUAAGUUGACUUCAAAGAAAAAAGGAACAUGUUAAGUUAAAAAAAACAAGAAACCUGUUAAGUUAGAAAAAAACAAGGAACGUGUUGUCCUAGGAAAGAUAUGUGUCAAAUCUUACAAAAAAAAGAAUACACACACGUACGUUCAUGCACUUGGAAAAUAGAAAAAAAAGAACAUCACGUAUGUAUACACUUUGGAAACUCAUUACAUGACCAUGUCUGAUAUACUCCUCUAAUGCUUAACAUUAGUGCCUAAUAAUUUAUAUUUAAAAUUUAAUUUACUGAUCAAAUAUCCCCACUGUUUAAAUUUUAAUUUGGCACAUUGUUUGACUACAGUAUGAACCUAAAUUUCCUCUUAUUAAUAUAUAUCAUGGUAAUAAUCCAAAGGCGACUAAUCUGCGCCGGUGCACCGGCGCAAUCAAUUUGGCCGGACACAGCGCGGCCUUUUGAUUAGAUUGCAUUUAACCAUCAGAUCUGGAAUCGUUUUCUUUCCAAUUAAACGGAUUCAACCAAACAGCAGAGGGGAAAACAAAGCAGCGCCGCCGCCAACACUAGCCAUGGACGAUCGAUGUACCAAAACCUUGAAUAACUGCCGCCGGUCGCCACCCUCGCCGCUGGUGGCCGCCCUCGCCGUCGGUCACCGCCGAUCACCGCCCUCGCUGCCUGCGUUUCUCAUCGGCUUCAUGCAUGCAACAGCAUGCAGUCGUGGUUGCAGGCUUGCAGCUCCGGCUCCGGGGGACAUGGCCGCAUCUCCGGUAACGCCAGCCGCCGACCGCAGCACCUGUCGUUAUGGUCGCGUUGUACCUCGCCGUGUGCCCUCCCGAGGCUCUUGCUGGUUCCAACAAAAAACAAUACGUGUUGUAGCAAAAAAGUUUAUCGCUUCCAGCAAAAAAGCUUACCGCUACAGCCCGCCAUCGUCAUUGUAGCAAAAAUGUUAACCCGAUGUAGCUUUUGUGGUUGCCGACUGCAACAAAAAAUGACGUGGUUGUAGCAAAACACAAAAGAAAAAUGCCGGCCGGCCGCUGUGUAUGGUGGUAACAAACCCUAUAGCCGGUGGUAGCGAAAAACUUCAUAGUUUGCAGCAAAAAAAUGUUGUCGCCCGUCGUCGAGGUUGCAUCGUCUUCAUGAAUUAUGUCGCAAAAAAACAUUGUCGCCGGUAGUAGCAAAUGAAGCCGCCGGUAGUAGCAAAACAAGACACUGGUUCCAGCCAAAAAAUAAAUCAGCGACAGAACCUUUGGUUGGUUACAACAAAAAAACUUGUCGGUUGUAACAUCCCUCGCCGCCGGAUGUAGCAUCUCCCGGGGCUGGUUGCAACACUCCAUAAAAAAAAUGUUGUCUAUGAGCGCAUCCAUGGCGACUGCUGCACCAUCAGCAACGAGGGGAAGAGGAGGCAAUGAAAAUCGUUCGAGUCGUAGCUCCACAGGACGCGGCUGCAGCAUGGGGAGUCCAAAAAUCUGUCACAAGCAACAUGCGCCUCACCAUCCUCCUGCGCAGGAGAGAGAAGAAAAAGGAAUAAGAGGAAGAAGAAAGGAAACGGGAGGAAGAAAAAAGAAACGAUUGGUGGUGGGCUGAGGCAAUUAGUCAAACGAGGGGCACGCGGGGCCGCAGGAUACAGCGCAAUCGAACGAAGCGCGCGCGUCCGGCCGAAGACUCGGCCGGACUGCCGUCUGGAAACGUUUCCCUAAUCCAAAGGCUUUGUCUGAAUGACAAGUCGUCUGGGUUACCGGCUAACUAGAAAAAAGAUAAAUAUGCUAGAGAAUUUCAUAAUAAUUAGAAAUAUCUAGCCUUUAAUUAUGUAAAUCAGAAAAUCACAACCGUUGGAUUUACUUUAAAGGUAAAUUUCUCUAAAUUCCCACCAUUGCCAGUAUGUAGAAACAUGUGCUGCUUCAAUUCUCCCAUAAUCACCAAUCAAUCAACAACACAAAACAUACCUCAGUUAAAAAAACUGAACAAAAAAAAAGAAAAAAGAAGAAAGGACAAGAUACACGCAUGUACACGACAGCCUUGGCUUGAAACACAUCAGUAGAUCAAGUGUCCGCCUCCCUUACACAGAAUAAACUCAUAGGGAAGAAAAUAAUUGUGCAACCUAACCUUAUACGUACUAUUCUAUCCUCACGUCCCAUGAGGUUUACUAGCCUACCGCCGCCGCAUCAUGCCAUCCCCUCCUUUCAGCUCCCAUGCUUUCCAGCACCCUCAUUGCCGCGCCACUACUUGCCUAGGGAUAUUGCUGCUCAGACCGUGGAGCUUAACCUGCUUCUUCUUCAGCAAAUAUGGUACUGCUUUAGGAUCCUUCUCACAUCAGCACGUAUGGGCCUCAUUAUACUGCAGCUCCUGGACCUCCUACAAUUGGUUGGCUAUGGCCAGUUGAUCGAUGUGCCGAAGUCCAGGUCUGUUUGCUGGCACAUAUGCUUUGGAAAUAGGCCACUAUGUUUGUACUUCAAAAUUGUUUCUGUAUUCUUGAGUGGUACAUCCUUUUAAGCGCCAGUUUUUUAUGUCAAUUCAUGCUGACAACACUUAACCUAGCCUUUCAUCUUCACGUACUAAAUACAGGAGCAAGUAAAAACAACAGACCACCUAAUUGCUCUGCAUGUACUACAUAGGAAAAUUUGUCAUGUUCUACGAUCGCACCAUCCCACACUUCUCUCUUGGUAUGGGCGCCAAUUGAGGGAUUGAUAAAACUGAAACGAAGACGUCACGGGGCUGGAAGUACCGCUAGCCUGGUUUGCACUGCAACCUACUCAACGCCAUCAGAAACUAGCAACUGAGGCAGUUGUUGAUCGAUUCUCUCAAAUUGCUCUCAUGUAAGUACUACCCCUUGCAUGUGCGUACAUACCUUUGUUCCAUUCUCAAACAGAUAGAACAUUUAUGAUCGGUGCAUGGCUAUUUUUCAUCACAUGACAUCCAGAUAACAAGCAUGAAAGGACUACAUUGGAGAUCAAAAAAUAUUGGUUCCUGGCUAGAGGACCACUACCUAUGGACUUGUCUCCAUAGAAUUUGUUCCCAAGACGUUAUUUUAAUUAACCUCUUUAGCUUUCUUCCAUUGCAAACGGUGAUGUGCAUCAUGGUAUAUACGUGACCAUCUUGCACAUGUAUACACAAGAGGCUCAGACGGAGGUGCUGGAUUCUGGACGAGGGAAUAUGAAGCAGGAGUGAGCGAAGAGUAAAUAAUGGUGGGAGUACCGAUUGGUGUUAUGAAGAAAAAUGCCAUUCAAAGAUUGAUUAGUGUCAUGGAAGAUUAAUUUCUGAAUGCGAAUAUAUAUGUUACAUUGGUUUGGAUCUUUUUGAGAUAAUUGCACCUAAAUUAGGUUCUUUCUUAUUUCAUAUGUAUACCUUAUUUCAGUAAAAGUUCACAACGAACUUAGUAGGACAAAUAUAAUUUUGUUUGUGCUUUCUGUUGUCCGCCACCAAAGCUCAGUUUGAACUCUCUAGAAAUGGACAAUGAUUUAUGCAUUCUAUAUCUUCUUGAUUGAUUAGUCAUGACAAGGAAAUAAAAUGAUUGACUGAUAUAGCAUAACUUUGGAACGAUCUGUUCGUAGAGGUUACUACAAAUUAGAGUAGUGUCUGUUGGAAUUUUGCUAGUAGGCCUUUGGCCCAAAGCCCAACUAAAAUUCUGAAAUUCUCUUGGCUCAUUCAUGCACACAUGUGAGUGGAGUGAGUGAGACUAAAGUUUAGUCCCUCCCCGAAAGUUGAGAGAGUGUUGCACCUCUUUAUAAGGUGAGCUCUUCUACCACUUGUAUGAGCAUGGGAAGAGGAGACCUACACGCGCGCUCCUCCUCCUCGCUCACCAUGCCUCGUCACGACGCGCCGCGCCGCACCGCGUGGUGGGUUGUGGGAUUGAGCCGAGCCGAGGACGUUGUCUAUAUUUUUGCUGCUCGGGAAAAAUUAAUGAGUCAUUAAUUAAUAAUUAAUGGACGCGUUAAUUACUGAACCGUUUCCGAUUCUUUUGGAUCCUGACGACUCGGACGUGGGGUUUACUCCCACGACCUACCCGACCUGCACUACAUAGCCAGGCAGACGUCUACCUUAGCCGCCGCCCCUUCGUAUGGUUUCUCACCACCGUUACAGAUCAUUGCGCCGCCAAGCAAGUUUUCUCCAUCCCUCGUUUCGGCGUGCACCGGGAGAAGGGACAGCAGGCCUCCGGAACCCCGCCUCUCGUGAUCCUGUACGGAAGAGGGGCGAUCAGGUUUUUGGGGAGCGCAUCGCACGACUGCUGGCAGCGACGACUUCGCGAACGACGACUUCUUCCCCGACCUCGGCAACCUCAUCCUCGAGGACAUGGGCGACAACGUCAACGCCGGCGGUGCUACACCCACUGCACCGUAUGUUAUUCUAUCCUUCUUGUUCGAGAUCGUGGUAGAAUUCAUGUUUCUAGUAUGUGCCCUAGAGGUGAUCUGUUCAUCUACUAUGCUAGUUCGCAUGAUUAGUUUAAUCUCUGCUAUUGCUGUCAUGAUCUAUUUCCUAUUUAUUCGGAUUAAAUCUCGUAGUAAUUUUCUCAUUUUUCCAACAAUCCAAAAACCUAAUUAUAGGCAACUUACUCCGAGUGGUUUUGAUGCGCAUCUGAAAGCCGCCUGCCUUUAAGGGGGCGCAAUAUAAGAGGUGGCGCACGAGAGCAGUCUACUGGUUUCAGAUCAUGGGCUGCUAUGACGCCAUCGAUACCCUCUUUAAAGGCACUCUUCUGAGUGUUCUUGAUGACUCCAUUGUGGAUUCGUAUAUGUCGUUGACAACGGCAAGAAUAUGUGGGCUGCGCUCGAGGCCAAGUUUGGUGCCUCGGAUGCUAGUAGCGAGUUGUACGUCAUGGAGCAAUUCUAUGACUCCAAGAUGACUGAUGAGCGCCCUGUUGUACAGCAGGCUCAUGAGAUACAGUCGCUCGGAAAAGAACUUGAGUACUUCAAGUGUGUGUUGCCGAACAAAUUUUUUGCCGGAGGCAUCAUUGCCAAGCUUCCACCUUCGUGGAACAAUUUUGCUACUUCCCUGAAACACAAGAGACAGGAGUUUUUCGUUGCGGAUCUCAUUGGUACUCUUGAUGUUGAAGAGAAGGCGAGAGCAAAGGAUACACGUGCUCGAGUUGCUGAGGGAGGUUCUAGUGCCCACAUGGUACAGAAGAAGAACUUCCAGCCCGUUCAAAAACAACAAGAACAAAACUCAGGGCAAAGGCAAGUUUGAUACAAAGAACAAGCCAUCACAUUCUACCAACUUCAAGAAGAAUUCUCAUAAGAAGGGGAAGGGACUUUGCCAUGUCUGCGGUGAUCCUAAUCACUGGGCUCUGAAGUGUCCUAACUGCUUUGAGGAGCGCGAACAUGAGAAGAGCGGCAAGUCCGCUAAUGUUGUCAUCGGUGAUACUGAUAUGAAGGAAUCAGGGUACGGUAUUUUUCCUACCAUCCUUUCAGUUUUCCAAACCCCUGAUUGGUUAAUUGACACCGGUGCCAAUGUACAUGUUUGUGCUGAUGCCUCCAUGUUUUCUUCUUACCAGGCCAUUGGGACUUCACCCGUGCUGAUGGGGAACGGGUCACAUGCCAUCGUUCGAGGUGUUGGUACGGUCGAUCUGAAGUUUACUUCGGGGAAGACCGUGCGUCGGAAGAACGUUCAUCAUGUUCCAUCCAUCAAUAAAAAUCUCGUUAGCGGUUCCCGUUUAUGUCGAGAUGGUUUUAAGUUGGUUUUCGAAUACACUAAAGUUGUAAUUUCUAAGUACGGACAAUUUGGUGGAAAAGGCUAUGAGAGCGAAGGCUUGUUUUGCCUGUCUUUGUCAGAUAUUUUCACUAAAGUUAUUAAUAAUGUUUGCCACAACAAUGAGUCUGAUAUUUGGCAUUCACGACUUUGUCACAUUAACUUUGGUUGCAUGACGCGGCUAGCCAAUAUGAAUUUAAUUCCGAAAAUCUCUACUGUCAAAGGCUCUAAGUGCCAAGUAUGUGUGCAAGCUAGCUAAGCAACCUCGCAAGUCCCAUAAGACUGUAGAGGCAAGAGACUUGGCGCCACUAGAGCUUAUACAUUCUGAUAUUUGUGAGAUGAAUGGCGUGUUGACAAAAGGUGGAAAGAGAUACUUCAUGACGUUGAUUGAUGACUCCACUAGAUAUUGUUAUGUGUAUCUUAUGAAAUCAAAAGAUGAGGCUUUGACUUUCUUCAAAAACUAUAAAGCUGAGGCAGAGAACCAACUUGAUCAAAAAAUUAAACGGCUUAGGUCCGAUCAUGGUGGAGUGUAUUUUUCCAAUGAAUUUGAUCUGUUUUGUGCGGAACAUGGUAUAAUCCAUGAGAGGAUGCGUCCCUACUCAGCCUAGUCAAAUGGGGUAGCCAAAAUAAAGAACCGAACUCUAACUGAUAUGGUUAACACCAUGUUAGACACUUCAGGUCUAUCCAAGGAAUGGUGGGGGCAGGCGCUAACGACUGCGUGUCAUGUCCUAAACAGAGUACCCACAAAGCAUAAGACCAUGACUCCAUUUGAGGAAUGUGAAAGGAAAAUGUUGAAACUCUCUUACCUACGUACUUGGGGUUGUUUGGCGAAAGUCAAUAUACCAAUUCCCAAGAAGCGCAAGGUUGGACCAAAAACCGUGGAUUGUGUUCUUCUGGGCUAUGCUUUUCAUAGCAUCGGCUAUAGAUUUUUGAUAAUAAAAUCUGAGGUAUCCGACAUGCAUGUUGGUACGAUUAUGGAGUCGAAUGAUGCAACUUUCUUUGAGGACAUAUUUCCUAUGAAGGAUAUGUCGAGUUCAUCAAAUCAGGAGACACCUACUCCAUCUAGUGAGGAAUUCACUGUAAUUCCUGAACCCACCAUUGCGAUGGAACACGUUGAGAAUCCUGUUGAGGGUGACAAUGGAACUCCUAUGAGGAGUAAGAGACACAGGACUACAAAGUCCUUUGGUGAUGAUUUCAUUGUGUUCCUCGUGGAUGACACACCCAGGACUAUUUCAGAAGCCUGUGCAUCUCUUGAUGCUAACUACUGGAAGGAAGCUGUACGUAGCGAGAUGGAUUCCAUCUUAGGUAACGGAACCUGGGAGAUCACUGACCGUCCUUAUGGGUGCAAACUUGUAGGAUGUAAGUGGGUGUUCAAGAAGAAGCUUAGACCUGAUGGUACGAUUGAAAAGUACAAGGCACGGCUUGUGGCCAAGGGUUAUACCCAGAAAGAAGGUGAAGACUUCUUUGAUACUUACUCACCCGUGGCUAGAAUGACCACAAUUCGGGUGCUACUAUCACUUGCUGCCUCACAUGGUCUUCUCGUUCAUCAAAUGGAUGUUAAGACAGCUUUCCUCAAUGGAGAGAGUUGGAGGAAGAAAUUUACAUGGAUCAGCCAGAUGGUUUUGUAGUACCUAGUUAGGAAGGAAAGGUGUGCAAGUUAUUAAAGUCUUUAUAUGGCCUUAAACAAGCUCCUAAAGAGUGGCAUGAGUAGUUUGAAAGAACAUUAACUGCUGCCGGCUUUGUAGUAAACGAUGAUGACAAGUGCGUGUACUAUCGCUAUGGUGGGGCGAAGGAGUUAUUCUUUCUCUGUAUGUCGACGACAUAUUGAUCUUUGGAGCCAAACUUGAUUUAAUCAAGGAGGUUAAGGAUUUCUUAUCUUGUUGUUUUGAGAUGAAGGAUCUAGGAGUAGCUGAUGUUAUCUUAAACAUCAAGCUGUUGAGAGAUGAGAAUGGUGGGAUCACACUACUUCAGUCUCACUAUGUGGAAAAGGUCUUGAGUCAUUUUGGGUAUAGCGACUGCACACCUUCUCCAACUCCAUAUGAUGCUAGUGUGUUGCAUCGAAAGAAUCGAUGGAUUGCUAGAGAUCAACUGAGGUAUUCUCAUAUUAUUGGCCCGCUUAUGUAUUUGACGAGUGCCACGAGGCCUAACAUCUCAUUUGCUGUUAGCAAGCUGAGUCGGUUUGUGUCAAAACCGGGAGAUGAUCGUUGGCAUGCUCUUGAGAGAGUUAUGCGCUAUUUGAAAGGCACCGCGAGCUAUGGGAUUCACUACACCGGGUAUCCAAGGGUACUGGAGGGUUAUAGUGACUCAAACUGGAAGUCCUGCAAACAGACCAUCUUAACAAGGUCAAGUAUGGAAGCAGAACUCACAGCAUUAGAAACUGCCACUGUGAUAAUCAAACUAUGAUCGUCAAGAUAAACAGUUACGGACAAUAUGAAGUCCUCAAGGCAUGUGAAGAGGAGACUGAAAUCUGUCAGAAAAUUGAGGAACUCUGGAGUUAUUACGUUGGAUUAUAUCGAAACAUCGAAAAAUUUGGCAGAUCCCUUCACAGAGGGUCUAUCACGUAAUGUGAUAGAUAAUGCAUCGAUGGAGAUGGGUCUGAGACCCACCGCAUGAGUUGUCCAUAGUGGUCUAUGUGAUCGGAGAUCCCGUGAAGUAGAAGUGGGAGACAAGUUGUUGAUCAGCUGGGAGGAUAGUAUCCCUAUAUUACCUAUCCCACUCCAUGAAGAUGCAAUACUCUCCUAAUCUGCAUGGCAGGUUGACACUUAUGUUAAUGUGUUCCAAGUGGCUUAUUCGGGUAAGCAGAGAUGUUGUCCUGCAGAACAUCUUCUAAGGAACACACCUAUAUGAAUUUGACUGUUAACGUCGCAGUAUGUGAGAAUUGGGUGUUCUCUAAUAAAUUGAUGAAAAGGCCCUGGAGUAUGACGUAUACGCUCCACCCGCGGGGAAGCCUUGCGGCAGCCCAGUAUCGGUCAAGAAUUUGUGUGAAACUAGUCUCGCAGAAAAUUUGUAGUUCAAGGCGUAGUCCAAACGGAAUAUCAAACGGAGUCCAAACGGAAUGAAACCUUUGGGAACGUGAUUUUCUCAACGAACAAGACCCAGGAGACUUGGACCCUACGUCCAGACACAAAAGAGGAGGCCACGAGGUAGGGGGGCGCGCCCUCCACCCUCGUGGGGCCCCUGUUGCUGAAGGACAUAUGCCCUAGAGGCAAUAAUAAAGUUAUGAUUUAUUUCCUUAUAUCAUGAUAAAUGUUUAUUAUUCAUGCUGGAAUUGUAUUAACCGGAAACAUAAUACAUGUGUGAAUACAUAGACAAACAAAGUGUCACCAGUAUGCCUCUACUUGACUAGAUUGUUAAUCAAAGAUGGUUAUGUUUCCUAACCAUAGACAAAGAGUUGUUAUUUGAUUAACGGGAUCACAUCAUUAGUUGAAUGAUCUGAUUGACAUGACCCAUUCCAUUAGCUUAGCACCCGAUCGUUUAGUAUGUUGCUAUUGCUUUCUUCAUGACUUAUACAUGUUCGUAUGACUAUGAGAUUAUGCAACUCCCGUUUACCGAAGGAACACUUUGUGUGCUACCAAACGUCACAACGUAACUGGGUGAAUAUAAAGGAGUUCUACAGGUGUCUCCAAAGGUACAUGUUGGGUUGGCGUAUUUCGAGAUUAGGAUUUGUCACUCCGUUUGUCGGAGAGGUAUCUCUGGGCCCUCUCGGUAAUGCACAUCACAUAAUCCUUGCAAGCAUUGCAACUAAUGUGUUAGUUGUGAGAUGAUGUAUUACGGAACGAGGAAAGAGACUUGCCGGUAAUGAGAUUGAACUAGGUAUUGGAUACCGACGAUCGAAUCUCGGGCAAGUAACAUACCGAUGACAAUGGGAACAACGUAUGUAGUUAUGCGGUCUGACCGAUAAAGAUCUUCGUAGAAUAUGUAGGAGCCAAUAUGGGCAUCCAGGUCCCGCUAUUGGUUAUUGACCAUAGACGUGUCUCGGUCAAGUCUACAUUGUUCUCGAACCGUAGGGUCUGCACGCUUAAAGUUACGAUGACAAUUUCAUUAUGAGUUUAUGUAUUUUGAUGUACCGAAGGUUGUUCGGAGUCCCGGAUGUGAUCACGGACAUGACGAGGAGUCACGAAAUGGUCGAGACAUAAAGAUCGAUAUAUUGGAAGCCUAUAUUUGGACAUCGGAAUCGUUCCGGGUGAAAUCGGCAUUUUACCAGAGUACCGCGGGGUUACCGGAACCCCCGGGGGGGUUAUUGGGCCUACAUGGGCCUUGAAGAAGAGAGGAGGCAGGAGGUGGCCGCGCGCCCCUCCCCUUCCUAGUCCGAAUAGGACAAGGGAAGGGGGGUGGCGCCCCCCCUUUCCUUCCCCUCUUCCUCCUCUUUCCCCCCUUCUCCUUCUCCAACUAGGAAAGAAGGGAGUCCUACUCCCGGUGGGAGUAGGACUCCCCCUGGCGCGCCCCUCCUUGGCCGGCCGCCCCCUCCCCUUGGUUCCUUCAUAUACGGGGGCAGGGGGCACCCUAGGACACAGAAGUUGAUCUUCGUGAUCGUUCCUUAGUCGUGUGCGGUGCCCCCCUCCACGAUAUUACACCUCGAUCAUAUUGUAGCAGUGCUUAGGCGAAGCCCUGUGACGGUUAAACAUCAAGAUCGUCACCACGCCGUCGUGCUGACCAAACUCCUCCCCGAAGCUUUGCUGGAUCCGAGCCGGGGGUGCGUCAUCGAGCCGUACGUGUCUCAAGAACUCGGAGGUGCCGGAGUAAAGGUGCUUGGAUUGGUUGGACCGGGAAGACGUACGACUACUUCCUCUACGUUGCGUCAACGCUUCCGCUUCGGUCUACAAGGAUACGUAGACAACACUCUCCCCUCUUGUUGCUAUGCAUCACCAUGAACUUGCGUGUGCGUAGGAAAUUUUUUGAAAUUACUACAUUCCCCAACAGUGGCAUCCGAGCCUAGGUUUUAUGGUUUGAUGUUAUACGCACGAGUAGAACACAAGUGAGUUGUGGGCGAUAUAAGUCAUACUGCCUACCAGCAUGUCAUACUUUGGUUCGGCGGUAUUGUUGGAUGAAGUGGCCCGGACCGACAUUACGCGUACGCUUACGCGAGACUGGUUCUACCGCCGUGCUUUGCACAUAGAUGGCUGGCGGGUGUCAGUUUCUCCAACUUUAGUUGAACCGAGUGUGGCUACGCCCGGUCCUUGCGAAGGUUAAAACGGCAUCAACUUGACAAACUAUCUGUCACAGCCCUAGAAUUUGCUUGUAGCUAUUUACCCGAGUGAGCAUGAUGCAUCAUGUCUAAAUUCUGAAAGUUGAAUUGAGGUUAGUAGAAACCCUCAUAAAUCACUUCAAAAAUAAUCAACAUUAAAAUCUUUUCAAAGAAGUCCAAGAAAGUGUUCCUCUUAGUCUCUGAAAAUAUUGGCAAGAGGUAAAACUUAAAACAAUAUUUUUGGAAUCUCAGAGAUAUUUAUUUUGGGCCUUUGAAUUAAUUCAAUAACAAUUUGCAUUGGAUAUAUAUUUUAUAUAUAACUAAUAUAUGUCCAAUAAUUCUAGAACAUUUUAUGUGGUUUGUUAUAUUUUAGUUCUAGCCACAUAAUUAUUUUCAGGAUUUUAUUAAAUGGUUUAGUAUUUUUACUAAACCAAAACAAAACAGAACAAAAUAGAAAAAAACUGAAACAGAAAGCAAACAGAAAAUAGAGAGAGAGAGAGGAGCUACCUGGGCUUACCUGGCGCCCCAACUGGCCCACCUCUGUAGCAGCCCAACUGGCCAAAGCCAGCCCGGCCCAUCAGGGGCAGCACUGUCUUCUUCCUCCUGCCAGGAGGAGAAGCAGCUGCGUGCCCGAUGGCCGGCGAGCCGCGCUGGCUCCUCCCUGCCUGCGUGCCCCCCCUCGACUUCCUGGAUGCCAUGCACUCCCCCUCGCCCCCUGCACCUCUCCUCUCUCCCCCUGGACCCCAUCCCCUCCUCUGCUCCCCUCUCGCGCGCACCACCGAGCGGAGCUCGUCGUCAUCGUCGCCGUACUCGUGGCCACCGGCCACCCCUCGCCCUGCCGCUGCGCCCAAAAGCUCUGCCAUUUCGUCCUCGACCCCCUCACCGAGCCACGCCACCGCGGGAGCCCCACAUCGCGGCUACGAGUCGUCCUCCCCGAGCACGGCCGCCGGACUUCAUCGAUGAAUUCGUCGCCUUCCGGUCGUCCCCGAGCCAGCUGAGCUCCGCUUCGACCUCACCGUGAGAUCCUCUACCAAACCCCUCUCUCCCCGCCGUCUAUUUCCUCCUCUAGCCUCACUAACCACCGUGGCCGAAGCUCGCCGCCGCCGUACCUCAUCGCCGCCACGGCCAUAGCUGCCGCCACCCACGCCCGAGCUUUGCCCCAUGCUCAGCACUCUCCCAGGAGCCGGGCGCGCCCACCCAUUCGACCCGUUGUGCCCCCUAGCGCCAACCCCGACCUCGCCCGAAUUCCGGCCGCCGCAAAAGUUGCCGCCACCGUCGAUUUAGUCAACCCCGGUGCGAGGUGUUGCCACCGAUGGAUGCGCGAGUCUCCCAGCUCGCCGUAGCCACAAACCACGAGCGAAACGAUGCUCUGUAGCUCCGUCCCGAGCAUCUCCGGCGAGCCACGGCCGUGCUUUUGGUCGCCGGCGUCGACCGCUGACGUGGUCGCUUAAUUAAGUCUAAUCACCACUAAUCCCUGCCUAACAGACGCUGACUCACGGGCCCCACCUGUUAAUUAACCACAAGGUUAUACCCUGUUUAAUUUAAGCUAAUGACCGUGGCCCCACGGGUCAGUUUGACCUGGCCACGUCACCGUUGACCUGGUCCCACACGUCAGCCACAGAAACCAGCCCUGGGUCACUGACCAGUGGGCCCCACUAGUCAGGUUUGACCCGGACCAGCCCUGUUGACUUGCUUACGUCACCCUGAUGUCAUGCUGACGCAGUAAUUAAUUUCUGUUUUAUAAUAAUUCAGAAAAUUUCAGAAAAUGUCCAAAACUUCUAAAAAUCAUAGAAAUUAAACUGUAACUCCAAAUAAAAUAAAUUAUAUAUGUAAAAUUAUCAGAAAAAUUCAAGGAAUCUGUUUAUGGCAUUUUCAUGCAUGUUUGAAAAAUGUUUGACCUCUGUUUUGGACAAAACAAUAAAGGGCAUUUAAAUAAUCAUAUAUGGAGUUUGAAUUUGAAUCUUGUAUUCAAACCAACUUCAUUUAAUUGUGUUGUUAGUUGCUUUAGGUCAAUCAAUAGCAUAUUGCCAUGUCAUUAUCAUGCAUCAUAUUGUUGCAUCGCAUUGAUUGUGUCCUUCCUUGUUUGCCGGUAAUUGCCCCCUCUCAGUAGACGUUGUUUCCGACGACGUGAUCGAUGACACCGAUGAAGAGCUAUUCUAUCUUCAGAAGUGCCAGGCAAGCACAACCCCCUUGUUCAUUCCGAUACAAGCCCACUCUCUCGCUCCUGCUCUCUUUUACUGCAUUAGGACAACAAUGAUUCAUUUGUUACUUGUUGCGGUAGUUGAACCCCUUAUCCUCUGCAUGACCUAUCAUUGCCACAGUAAUUAGAUGAAACCCGCUAGCAUGAGUAGGAGUUGUUUGAGCCCUGAUGUGCCUACUCAUUCAUGCUUGUUUGUCAUGCCUGCUACUGCUUAGAGUUGAGUCAGGUCUGAUUCAUCGGGGAUGGAUCGGAGGUGUGUAAACAUGUCCUAUUGUGUGUGAGCUAAGUGUGUGAACACGUUUUGGUAAAGGUAGCGGUGACAGGCCAUGUAGGAGUACAUGGUGGGUUGUCUCAUUGAAACCGUCCACAGGAACUAAGUUCUGUGUUUGUGAUCCAUGAAACAGCUGCUACCACACGUUGGGCCCCGAAAUAUGACCCCGCUCGACUUACUGACCCCUCUCUUCCUCUGUCCAGGAGUUGCAAUUAGUUUCUGGUGUUUAUAGGAUAUGUGUUGGCGGCCGUGUGUAGCGCUGACCCUAGGGGUGGGCUAUGAUGCGGUAGAUACACUGUGGCCCGGUGUACCGGGCGCCCGUUUGGUGUCUCUGGAACCCUGCACACAUCGUUUGGGGCUGUGAGCGAAACUCCGUCCGGAUCUCCUCGCGGAUGGAACCCGAAUAGGCGAUAAACCUGGACUAGAGACUUGUGUGGUUAGUCAGGUCGUGGUCUACACCCACGUCGGCUUUCGCUUGAAGUCUGCCGAGCACAUGUCGUGUGCAGACGCUAAGUGGUGGAAACAUGUGUGACGAAGUACACCCCCGCAGGGUUAUAAAUGAUCUAUUCGAAUAGCCGUGUCCGCGGUAAAGGACUUCUGGGUUGCCUAUAACAGUUCAUAGACAAGUGAAAGUGGAUACUCUAAAAACUCGCAAGAUAAGUGUGAGUGCUACGGAUGGCCUUCUCGUAGGGAGACGAGAGCGGAUCCAUAGUGGUCUAUUGAAUGGUGAAUAUGUGGACUCGUGUGCGCCACCUUAAAAGAGUUGCUUGCCAUCGUAGUUCAGGUUAGCCCCGGAAUCAAAGCUGGCUUGCUGCCGUUAAACUCCACCCCCCUUUGAUGAUACCGAUGCAUAUGUAGUUUAGAUCUGAUGUAAGUAUUGCUGAGUACCUUUGUACUCACGUUUGCUUAAUUUAUGUUUUGCAGAGAGACUUCAGUCUCGCUAGUAGUUCCGCGUGGACUUCGACGUUUAGCUUGAUACCUCAGCUACGAUCUUGUGCCCUCGACAGGAUCUGGUAGAUAGUCAGGCUUCUUAGCCUUUUUCAUUUAUAGAUGUCUGUACUCAGACAUGUUAAGCUUCCGCAUGUGCUUUGCAUUGUAUGCUAUGAUUGUCGGGUCAUGAGACCCAUGCUUGUAAUAUCUAGCUCUUCGGAGCCUAAUGAAUUAAUACUUGAGUCGUAGAGUCUUGUUUUGAUGCCAUGUUGUAUUUACACAUAUCGAGCAUAUUGUGUGUAUGAUUGAAAUGCUUGGUAUGUGUAGGAUCCAACAACCUAGUUGUUUAUCCUUCGCAGCCUUUCUUAUGGGGAAAUGUAGUCUAGUGUUCCUCGAGCCAUAGUAGUCCGCUACAGCCCGGUUCACCGGAGUCCUGCUAGCCCAGCACUACUGUUCAGGACACUUGACUGGCCGGCAUGUGUUUCACUUCAUCCCUAUGUCUGUCCCUUCGGGGAAAUGUCACGCGGUGAUUUCCGGAGUCCUGCCUAGCCUGCUACAGCCCGGGAUCCCCGGAGUCCUGUUAGCCCAGUGCCACAGCCCGGAAUAACUCAUUGAUGACCGACAUGUUCGAUGUGAUUCAUGUAUGCCUGUCUCCAUAGGUCUGUGCCACUUUGGGUUCACGACUAGCCAUGUCGGCCCGGGUUCUUUGUCAUAUGGAUGCUAGCGACACUAUCAUAUACGUGAGCCAAAAGGCGCAAACGGUCCCGGGCCAGGUAAGGUGGCACCCGUGGGAAUACCGUGCGUGAGGCCACAAAGUGAUAUGAUGUGUUACAUGCUAGAUCGGUGUGACCUAGGAUCGGGGUCCUGAUAGCGUUGGUAUCAGAGCCUGACUGCCUGUAGGAUUACCAAGCCAAACUGGUCGAAGUUGAGUCUAGAAAUGCUUUAGUUAUGUAAGGGAAUUGAUUGCGGAAGGGAACGUAAGGCUCUUUUUAUUCCUUAUACCUCAUGCCCUUGUGAUCUGAGUCAUCCUCUUCCUUUCUAUGGGGAUUAAGAACUAGGCUUUCUUAUCUAUCUAUCAGGAUGACGUGUUACUAACCCGUUGACUUAUAGGAUUGAUGGAUUCAUGCUGCAGUUCAGUUCCUACUACUUCCAUAUAUUCAUAACUGGCCGCAGAACCUUGAUAUUAUGAUUCGAGUGGUUAUGCCACCAUUUUUGCAGGAUGUCUCAAAUCUUUUCGAGCAUUUACAGCCGUUAUGCUGUCCGAGUCAUCCCAGGUUUCUAAAUAGUCUGAUGCAUUUGCAAACCUUUUCCCCUGUUCCUGAUGUCCAUUUAGGCCAGGUUAAUCACACUAAUUGUGAGUUGGCGUAUUCUUUUGCCUGGACAUAUAUUUUGGAAUUAUUAUUAUGACCCUAGAUGUCUUAGAGUGCCACCUAGUAAUCGAACCAUGUUUUGCGUUUCUAGUGUGAUGAUUCUGGCCGUUAUUCUUGAAAGCAUCCCGUGAUGCCAUUUAGUUAGUAGGCAUUCUAUUCCUGGGUUUUGAACCCGAGACCCACCCUACCUGCUUCAUGUUGAUAGUGUUUGCUAGUUCCUUAGGACAUUAGUAAACCUUGUGAUAGACCUCGAGGUCCGUGGUAUUUCCUUCUUCCAAUUAUCAUGAACCAUUCAUGGCAGGAGUUCUUUUGAACCAAAAGGUCACGACAGAGUGCUCUUGAUGAGUUCUCCAUUCUAUAUUGUGGCUCUGCCAGUUCUACCUUUCUGCAUGGGUUAUCCGGAAGAAAUAUGUUGAACUCGUUCGACAUACUAACCUAUGCAUCCACAACUCAGAAAGUUAUAUGUUCCUUGAGUUGUUCCUCUUCAGUUGUAUUCCGACCAUCCUCUAUCAGUAGAUAGCCAAGAGUAUGUGUGCAUUUGUGUUCAUCGGUGCCUCUUAUUCUUGUGGUUCGUCGAGCCGUUCUAUUUUAGAAUGACUAGGAGAAACAAACUCCAGUACCUCAUCCAUAUCUAGGGUUGGGUCAAAAUAGUUGUAUUCCGCAGAUCAAAAUGCAACCCAGCUUUUGGUUCUGUUCUACCCUGAAGUAUUACCCACCUUAUGUCAAGAGCGACGUGAGAAUUGCACCUUCUCCUAUGAAUUCUUGACGCAGUGAUACUUCUUGCCAUCAUUGUUCAUUCCUCGGUUCCUGUGUUAUUGUAACCAGAAUGCCGGCACGUGAGUCGUUAUGUGUGAAAUCAAUACUCCUAGCAACUAUGCUGCUUGGUAGUUAAUGGACAAUAUUCUCAUUCUUAGCGUGUUGGUUAUUGAAUUAUCAUUCUAAGACUGAUCGUGCUACCUAGUCCAUAUUUCUGGUGCACACUUCGAUCAAUGGGUUAGGACUGUGCCAAUCCCUCACUCUUUGAUCAUAUCAUCUUGCCCUGAAAAGCAAGGUUGUUCUCGAGCUUAGUAACAUACCGGUGGUUCGUGAUUUUCCGAAUAUCUUCUCAGAAGUGUUACUAGGUUGUCACCUGACCGUUAUGUUGAGUUCAUGAUCAAGAUGGUUUUUCAAUAAACCACUUUUCCCUAAGAAUCUGUGUUGGAUACCCCUGAGCUAGUUGGUUAAGCUUAACAACAACUUGGAGAGUUGGAAGAUGAAAACUUGUCCGACUUAGCUCAUCCCUAAGGGAUAUCCUUGUGUGUGUGGGUGUUGAAGAAAGAUGAUAUAUUCACCAAUUGGUCCUCAUGAUCAGUUGUUGUAUCUAUUAUCUUGUCCAAACCUUGAUUUGAGUGUGGGCUAUCGUCAAAUCAAAUCAGAACCAACGAUGUUCAUAAUGUUGUCUUACUUACGGUUGUCCCUCGAGCAUACACCAUUAUAUAUUUGGUUUGACCAAUACUAUCACAUUGUUCACAUAGUGGUGGAAGUCCAGUGAUAUGGAAAUACCGAUGCGUUGUUGUUGAUCCCAUCAGCAGCCUUUUGUCUCCCCCAUGAGUCAUGUUGAAUGCUACACUAGUAUUGGAAACUUAUAAGCAUUAUCUUUGUGUUUCGUUCAUGAAGCAUAUGUUUGGAUGAAAGAAGUGACUUCCUCUAAUUCAUGUGCACUCGAUGUAAGUUGCCACCAUGAAUUGAGCAAGGUUUGUUUUGUUUCCCUUGGAAUCAUCCCAAAUCAGUCAUGCAUAUGUGCGAAGUAUUCUAUGGUUUGGUAGAUUAAUUACCUCCACUCCAUAUGUGUUCCUAGCACACCAAGCCACUGGUUGAUUUGUUCAAGGAGAAGAAGUUCCUUCUUAAGAAUCAUGACUUAUGUUAGGACUUUGUUAUCCUCGAUAAUGGUUCCCCACCUGAACUCGGUAGUGUUUUAUUAUAAGACUACCAUGUGGUCAUGCUUUUCUGGGACAGCGUGUUCACAUGUGUUUAGCAGAACCAGCUCAUGCUUUGGAGCUUACUACCGUAGUUCAUUCCCCGAGAAUCUCGCAAUGUCGUCUCGUCGAUUUGUGUUGCAAACCUUCAUUUUCCUUUCUAGACUCGAUGAGUCUGGAAUAUCCCGUCACCAACCAGAUCUGAAUCUCAGGCAGAUAUGAUGGUUGGAGCAUUUUCCAAGAACUAUAAUAUUGGUCUCCCGAUAACCGGUAAAGUGGAUGUCGUGGCCAACACAUCCAGCCGGGCGACCUAUUAUUGUAGUAUCUUGAUUGAAGAAAGUUGGCCACCUUCCCAUGAGGAUUUCAUAGGAUUUACUCCAGAAGUUGUUCCUUAUGGAUCUAUUGUAUUCCGAAGUCCGACCACUACUUGGUGGCUAUGCCGAUGCUUAAAGCAUGACCGUGGUUGCCCCCUCUCAGUAGACGUUGUUUCCGACGACGUGAUCGAUGACACCGAUGAAGAGCUAUUCUAUCUUCAGAAGUGCCAGGCAAGCACAACCCCCUUGUUCAUUCCGAUACAAGCCCACUCUCUCGCUCCAGCUCUCUUUUACUGCAUUAGGACAACAACGAUUCAUCUGUUACUUGUUGCGGUAGUUGAACCCCUUAUCCUCUGCAUGACCUGUCAUUGCCACAGUAAUUAGAUGAAACCCACUAGCAUGAGUAGGAGUUGUUUGAGCCCUGAUGUGCCUACUCAUUCAUGCUUGUUUGUCAUGCCUGCUACUGCUUAGAGUUGAGUCAGGUCUGAUUCAUCGGGGAUGGAUCGGAGGUGUGUAAACAUGUCCUAUUGUGUGUGAGCUAAGUGUGUGAACACGUUUUGGUAAAGGUAGCGGUGAGAGGCCAUGUAGGAGUACAUGGUGGGUUGUCUCAUUGAAACCGUCCUCAGGAACUGAGUUCUGUGUUUGUGAUCCAUGAAAUAGCUACUACGACACGUUGGCCCUGAAAUAUGACCCCGCUCGACUUACUGACCCCUCUCGUCCUCUGUCCAGGAGUUGCAAUUAGUUUCUGGUGUUUAUAGGAUAUGUGUUGGCGGCCGUGCGUAGCGCUGACCCUAGGGGUGGGCUAUGAUGCGGUAGAUACACCGUGGCCCGGUGUACCGGGCGCCCGUUUGGUGUCUCGGGAACCCUGCACACAUCGUUUGGGGCUGUGAGCGAAACUCCGGCCGGAUCUCCUCGCGGAUGGAACCCGAAUAGGCAAUAAACCUGGACUAGAGACUUGUGUGGUUAGUCAGGUCGUGGUCUACACCCAUGUCGGCUUUCGCUUGAAGUCUGCCGAGCACAUGUCGUGUGCAGACGCUAAGUGGUGGAAACAUGUGUGACGAAGUACACCCCUACAGGGUUAUAAAUGAUCUAUUCGAAUAGCCGUGUCCGCGGUAAAGGACUUCUGGGUUGCCUAUAACAGUUCAUAGACAAGUGAAAGUGGAUACUCUAAAAACUCGCAAGAUAAGUGUGAGUGCUAUGGAUGGCCUUCUCGUAGGGAGACGAGAGCGGAUCCAUAGUGGUGUAUUGAAUGGUGAAUAUGUGGACUCGUGUGCGCCACCUCAAAAGAGUUGCUUUCAAUCGUAUUUCAGGUUAGCCCCGGAGUCAAAGCUGGCUUGCUGUAGUUAAACUCCACCCCCCCCCUUUGAUGAUACCGAUGCAUAUGUAGUUUAGAUCUGAUGUAAGUCUUGCUGAGUACCUUUGUACUCACGUUUGCUUAAUUUAUGUUUUGUAGAGAGACUUCAGUCUCGCUAGUAGUUCCGCGUGGACCUCGAGGUUUAGCUUGAUACCUCAGCUACGAUCUUGUGCCCUCGACAGGAUCUGGUAGAUAGUCAGGCUUCUUAGCCUUUUUCAUUUAUAGAUGUCUGUACUCAGACAUGUUAAGCUUCCGCAUGUGCUUUGGAUUGUAUGCUAUGAUUGUUGGGUCAUGAGACCCAUGCUUGUAAUAUCUGGCUCUUCAGAGCCUAAUGAAUUAAUACUUGAGUCGUAGAGUCUUGUUGUGAUGCCAUGUUGUAUUUACACAUAUCGACCAUAUUGUGUGUAUGAUUGAAAUGCUUGGUAUGUGUAGGAUCCGACAACCUAGUUGUUUAUCCCUCGCAACCUUUCUUAUGGGGAAAUGUAGUCUAGUGUUCCUUGAGCCAUAGUAGUCCGCUAUAGCCCGGUUCACCGGAGUCCUACUAGCCCAGCACUACUGUUCAGGACACUUGACUGGCCGGCAUGUGUUUCACUUCGUCCCUAUGUCUGUCCCUUCGGGGAAAUGUCACGCGGUGAUUUCCGGUGUCCUGCCUAGCCUCCUACAGCCCGGGAUCCCCGGAGUCCUGUUAGCCCAGUGCCACAGCCCGGAAUCACUCGUUGAUGACCGACAUGUUCGAUGUGAUUCAUGUAUGCCUGUCUCCAUAGGUCUGUGCCGCUUUGGGUUCACGACAAGCCAUGUCGGCCCAGGUUCUUUGUCAUAUGGAUGCUAGCGACACUAUCAUAUACGUGAGCCAAAAGGCGCAAACGGUCCCGGGCCAGUUAAGGUGGCACCCGUGGGAAUACCGCGCGUGAGGCCACAAAGUGAUAUGAUGUGUUACAUGCUAGAUUGGUGUAACCUAGGAUCGGGGUCCUGACACUAUCGUUGUGGUUUUGAUGCGUAGGUAAGAUUGGUUCUUGCUUAAGCCCGUAGCAGCCACGUAAAACUUGCAACAAACAAAGUAGAGGACGUCUAACUUGUUUUUGUAGGGCAUGUUGUGAUGUGAUAUGGUCAAGACAUGAUGCUAAAUUUUAUUGUAUGAGAUGAUCAUGUUUUGUAACUGAGUUAUCGGCAAUUGGCAGGAGCCAUAUGGUUGUCGCUUUAUUGUAUGCAAUGCAAUCGCCCUGUAAUGCUUUACUUUAUCACUAAGCGGCCGGUAGCGAUAGUCGUAGAAGCAUAAGAUUGGCGAGACGACAACGAUGCUACGAUGGAGAUCAAGGUGUCGCGCCGGUGACGAUGGUGAUCAUGACGGUGCUUCAGAGAUGGAGAUCACAAGCACAAGAUGAUGAUGGCCAUAUCAUAUCACUUAUAUUGAUUGCAUGUGAUGUUUAUCUUUUAUGCAUCUUAUCUUGCUUUGAUUGACGAUAGCAUUAUAAGAUGAUCUCUCACUAAAUUAUCAAGAAGUGUUCUCCCUAUGUAUGCACCGUUGCUAAAGUUCGUCGUGCCCAGACACCACGUGAUGAUCGAGUGUGAUAAGCUCUACGUCCAUCUACAACGGGUGCAAGCCAAUUUUGCACACGCAGAAUACUUGGGUUAAACUUGACGAGCCUAGCAUAUGCAGAUAUGGCCUCGGAACACGGAGACUGAAAGGUCGAGCGUGAAUCAUAUAGUAGAUAUGAUCAACAUAAUGAUGUUCACCAUUGAAAACUAAUCCAUUUCACGUGAUGAUCGGUUAUGGUUUAGUUGAUUUGGAUCACGUGAUCACUUAGAGGAUUAGAGGGAUGUCUAUCUAAGUGGGAGUUCUUAAGUAAUAUGAUUAAUUGAACUUCAAUUUAUCAUGAACUUAGUCCCUGAUAGUAUCUUGCUUGUUUAUGUUGAUUGUAGAUAGAUGGCCCGUGCUGUUGUUCCAUUAAAUUUUAAUGCGUUCCUUGAGAAAGCAAAGUUGAAAGAUGAUGGUAGCAAUUACACGGACUUGGUCCAUAACUUGAGGAUUAUCCUCAUUGCUGCACAGAAGAGUUACGUCCUGGAAGCACCGCUGGGUGCCAGGCCUGCUGCUGAUGCAACUGACGACGUUAAGAACGUCUGGCAGAGCAAAGCUGAUGACUACUCGAUAGUUCAAUGUGCCAUGCUUUACGGCUUAGAACCGGGACUUCAACGGCGUUUUGAACAUCAUGGGGCAUAUAAGAUGUUCCAGGUGUUGAAGUUAAUAUUCCAGCAGAAUGCCCGGAUUGAGAGAUAUGAAGUCUCCAAUAAAUUCUAUAGCUGCAAGAUGGAGGAGAAUAGUUCUGUCAGUGAGCAUAUACUCAAGAUGUCUGGGUAUUGUAAUCACUUGAUUCAACUGGGAGUUAAUCUUCCGGAUGAUAGCGUCAUUGACAGAAUUCUCCAAUCACUUCCACCAAGCUACAAGAGCUUCGGGAUGAACUAUAAUAUGCAAGGGAUGGAUAAGACAAUUCCCGAGCUCUUCGCAAUGCUAAAGGUUGCGGAGGUAGAAAUCAAGAAGGAGCAUCAAGUGUUGAUGGUCAACAAGACCACUUGUUUCAAGAAAAAGGGCAAAGGGAAGAAGAAGGGGAACUUCAAGAAGAACAGCAAGCAAGUUGCUGCUCAGGAGAAGAAACCCAAGUCUGGACCUAAGCCUGAAACCGAGUGCUUCUACUACAAGCAGACUGGUCACUUGAAGCGGAACUGCCCCAAGUAUUUGGCGGAUAAGAAGGAUGGCAAAGUGAACAAAGGUAUAUGUGAUAUAGAUGUUAUUGAUGUGUACCUUACUAGAGCUCGCAGUAGCACCUGGGUAUUUGAUACUGGUUCUGUUGCUAAUAUUUGCAACUCGAAACAGGGACUACGGAUUAAGCGAACACUGGCAAAGGACGAGGUGACGAUGCGCAUGGGAAAUGGUUCCAAAGUCGAUGUGAUCGCGGUCGGCAUGCUACCUCUACAUCUACCUUCGGGAUUAGUAUUAGACCUAAAUAAUUGUUAUUUGGUGCCAGUGUUGAGCAUGAACAUUAUAUCUAGAUCUUGUUUAAUGCGAGACGGUUAUUCAUUUAAAUCAGAGAAUAAUGGUUGUUCUAGUUAUAUGAGUAAUAUCUUUUAUGGUCAUGCACCCUUGAAGAGUGGUCUAUUUUUGAUGAAUCUCGAUAGUAGUGAUACACAUAUUCAUAAUGUUGAAGCCAAAAGAUGCAGAGUUGAUAAUGAUUGUGCAACUUAUUUGUGGCACUGCCAUUUAGGUCAUAUCGGUGUAAAGCGCAUGAAGAAACUCCAUACUGAUGGACUUUUGGAACCACUUGAUUAUGAAUCACUUGGUACUUGCGAACCGUGCCUCAUGGGCAAGAUGACUAAAGCACCAUUCUCCGGUACUAUGGAGAGAGCAACAGAUUUGUUGGAAAUCAUACAUACAGAUGUAUGUGGUCCGAUGAAUGUUGAGGCUCGUGGCGGAUAUCAUUAUUUUCUCACCUUCACAGAUGAUUUAAGCAGAUAUGGGUAUAUCUACUUAAUGAAACAUAAGUCUGAAACAUUUGAAAAGUUCAAAGAAUUUCAGAGUGAAGUGGAAAAUCAUCGUAACAAGAAAAUAAAGUUUCUACGAUCUGAUCGUGGAGGAGAAUAUUUGAGUUACGAGUUUGGUGUACAUUUGAAACAAUGCGGAAUAGUUUCGCAACUCACGCCACCCAGAACACCACAACGUAAUGGUGUGUCCGAACGUCGUAAUCUUACUUUACUAGAUAUGGUGCAAUCUAUGAUGUCUCUUACAGAUUUACCGCUAUCGUUUUGGGGUUAUGCUUUAGAGACGGCCACAUUCACGUUAAGUAGGGCACCAUCAAAAUCCGUUGAGACGACAACUUAUGAACUGUGGUUUGGCAAGAAACCAAAGUUGUCAUUUCUUAAAGUUUGGGGCUGCGAUGCUUAUGUGAAAAAGCUUCAACCUGAUAAGCUCGAACGAUAAUCGGAGAAAUGUGUCUUCAUAGGAUACCCAAAGGAAACUGUUGGUUACACCUUCUAUCAUAGAUCCGAAGGCAAGACAUUCGUUGCUAAAAAUGGAUCCUUUCUAGAGAAGGAGUUUCUCUCGAAAGAAGUGAGUGGGAGGAAAGUAGAACUUGAUGAGGUAACUAUACCUGCUCCCUUAUUGGAAAGUAGUUCAUCACAGAAACCGGUUUCUGCGACACCUACACCAAUUAGUGAUGAAUUUAAUGAUGAUGAUCAUGAAAUUUCAGAUCAAGUUACUACUGAGCCUCGUAGAUCAACCAGAGUAAGAUCCGCACCAGAGUGGUACGGUAAUCCUGUUCUAGAAGUCAUGCUACUAGAUCAUGAUGAACCUACGAACUAUGAAGAAGCGAUGGUGAGCCCAGAUUCCGCAAAAUGGCUUGAAGCCAUGAAAUCUGAGAUGGGAUCCAUGUAUGAUAACAAAGUAUGGACUUUGGUUGACUUGCCCGAUGAUCGGCAAGCAAUUGAGAACAAAUGGAUCUUUAAGAAGAAGACUGACGUGACGGUAAUGUUACUGUCUACAAAGCUCGACUUGUCGCAAAAGGUUUUCAACAAGUUGAAGGGAUUGACUACGAUGAGACCUUCUCACCCGUAGCGAUGCUUAAGUCUAUCCGAAUCAUGUUAGCAAUUGCCGCAUUUUAUGAUUAUGAAAUUUGGCAGAUGGAUCUAAAAACUGCAUUCCUGAAUGGAUUUCUGGAAGAAGAGUUGUAUAUGAUGCAACCAGAAGGUUUUAUCGAUCCAAAGGGAACUAACAAAGUGUGCAAGCUCCAGCGAUCCAUUUAUGGACUGGUGCAAGCCUCUCGGAGUUGGAAUAAACUCUUUGAUAGUGUGAUCAAAGCAUUUGGGUUUGUAUAGACUUUUGGAGAAGCCUGUAUUUACAAGAAAGUGAGUGGGAGCUCUAUAGCAUUUCUGAUAUUAUAUGUGGAUGACAUAUUACUAAUCGGAAAUGAUAUAGAAUUUCUGGAUAGCAUAAAGGGAUACUUGAAUAAGAGUUUUUCAAUGAAAGACCUCGGUGAAGCUGCUUACAUAUUGGGCAUUAAGAUCUAUAGAGAUAGAUCAAGACGCUUAAUUGGACUUUCACAAAACACAUACCUUGACAAAGUUUUGAAGAGGUUCAAAAUGGAUCAAGCAAAGAAAGGGUUCUUGCCUGUGUUACAAGGUGUGAAGUUGAGUAAGAAUCAAUGCUCGACCACUUCAGAAGAUAGAGAGAAAAUGAAAGAUGUUCCCUAUGCUUCAGCAGUAGGCUCUAUCAUGUAUGCAAUGCUGUGUACCAGACCUGAUGUGUGCCUUGCUAUAAGUUUAGCAGGGAGGUACCAAAGUAAUCCAGCAGUGGAUCACUGGACGGCGGUCAAGAACAUCCUGAAGUACCUAAAAAGGACUAAGGAUAUGUUUCUCGUAUAUGGAGGUGACAAAGAGCUCAUUGUAAACAGUUACGUUGAUGCAAGCUUUGACACUGAUCCGGACAAUUCUAAAUCGCAAACCAGAUACGUGUUUACAUUAAACGGUGGAGCUGUCAGUUGGUGCAGUUCUAAACAAAGCGUCGUGGCAGGAUCUACAUGUGAAGCGGAGUACAUAGCUGCUUCGGAAGCAGCAAACGAAGGAGUCUGGAUGAAGGAGUUCAUAUCCGAUCUAGGUGUCAUACCUAGUGCAUCGGGUCCAAUGAAAACCUUUUGUGACAAUACUAGUGCAAUUGCCUUGGCAAAGGAAUCCAUAUUUCACAAAAGAACCAAGCACAUCAAGAGACGCUUCAAUUCCAUCCGAGAUCUAGUCCAGGUGGGAGAGAUAGAGAUUUGCAAGAUACAUACGGAUCUGAAUGUAGAAGACCCAUUGACUAAGCCUCUUCCACGAGCAAAACAUGAUCAUCACCAAGGCUCCAUGGGUGUCAGAAUCAUUACUGUGUAAUCUAGAUUAUUGACUCUAGUGCAAGUGGGAGACUGAAGGAAAUAUGCCCUAGAGGCAAUAAUAAAGUUAUUAUUUAUUUCCUUAUAUCAUGAUGAAUGUUUAUUAUUCAUGCUGGAAUUGUAUUAACCGGAAACAUAAUACAUGUGUGAAUACAUAGACAAACAAAGUGUCACUAGUAUGCCUCUACUUGACUAGCUCGUUAAUCAAAGAUGGUUAUGUUUCCUAACCAUAGACAAAGAGUUUUUAUUUGAUUAAUAGGAUCACAUCAUUAGUUGAAUGAUAUGAUUGACAUGACCCAUUCCAUUAGCUUAGCACCCGAUCAUUCUUCAUGACUUAUACAUGUUCCUAUGACUAUGAGAUGAUGCAACUUCCGUUUACUGGAGGAACACUUUGUGUGCUACCAAACGUCACAACGUAACUGGGUGAUUAUAAAGGAGCCCUAUAGGUGUCUCCAAAGGUACAUAUUGGGUUGGCGUAUUUCGAGAUUAGGAUUUGUCACUCCGUUUGUCGGAGAGGUAUCUCUGGGCCCUCUCGGUAAUGCACAUCACAUAAGCCUUGCAAGCAUUGCAACUACUGUGUUACUUGUGAGACGAUGUAUUACGGAACGAGUAAAGAGACUUGCCGGUAAAGAGAUUGAACUAGGUAUUGGAUACCGACGAUCGAAUCUCGGGCAGGUAACAUAUCGAUGACAAAGGGAACAACGUAUGUAGUUAUGCGGUCUCAACGAUAAAGAUCUUCGUAGAAUAUGUAGGAUCCAAUAUGGGCAUCCAGGUCCUGCUAUUGGUUAUUGACCGGAAACGUGUCUCGGUCAUGUCUACAUUGUUCUCGAACCGUAGGGUCCGCACGCUUAAAGUUACGAUGACAGUUUCAUUAUGAGUUUAUGUAUUUUGAUGUACCGAAGGUUGUUCGGAGUCCCGGAUGUGAUCACGGACAUGACGAGGAGUCUCGGAAUGGUCGAGACAUAAAGAUCGAUAUAUUGGAAGCCUAUAUUUGGACAUCGGAAUCGUUUUGGGUGAAAUCGGCAUUAUACCGGAGUACCGGGGGGUUACCGGAACCCCCCGGGGGGUUAUUGGGCCUACAUGGGCCUUGAGGAAGAAGAGAGAAGGAGGUAGGAGGUGGCCGCGCGCCCCUCCCCUUCCUAGUAUGAAUAGGACAAGGGAAGGGGGCGGUGCCCCCCCCUUUCCUUCCCCUCUUCCUCCUCUUUCCUCCCUUCUCCUUCUCCAACUAGGAAAGAAGGGAGUCCUACUCCCGGUGGGAGUAGGACUCCCCCCUGGUGCGCCCCUCCUUGGCCGGCCGCCCCCUCCCCUUGGCUCCUUUAUAUACGGGGGCAGGGGGGCACCCUAGGACACAGAAGUUGACCUUCGUGAUCGUUCCUUAGCCGUGUGCGGUGCCCCCCUCCACGAUAUUACACCUCGAUCAUAUUGUAGUAGUGCUUAGGCGAAGCCCUGCGACGGUUAAACAUCAAGAUCGUCACCACGCCGUCGUGCUGACGAAACUCCUCCCCGAAGCUUUGCUGGAUCGGAGCUCGGGGUGCAUCAUCGAGCUGUACGUGUGUCAAGAACUCGGAGGUGCUGGAGUAACGGUGCUUGGAUUGGUUGGACCGGGAAGACGUACGACUACUUCCUCUACGUUGCGUCAACGCUUCCGCUUCGGUCUACGAGGGUACGUAGACAACACUCUCCCCUCUCGUUGCUAUGCAUCACCAUGAUCUUGCGUGUGCGUAGGAAAUUUUUUGAAAUUACUACAUUCCCCAACAGUUGCUCCACCGACGUACUCCUUCCUCCUAUAUAUACCUGCGUACCCCCAAACGACCAGAUACGGAGCCAAAACCCUAAUUCCACCACCGCAACUUUCUGUAUCCACGAGAUCCCAUCUUGGCGCCUGUUCCGGAGCUCCACCGGAGAGGGCAUCGAUCACGGAGGGCUUCCACAUGAACAGCAUAGCCUCUCCGAUGAAGUGUGAGUAGUUGACCUCAGACCUACAGUCCAUAGUUAUUACCUAGAUGGCUUCUCCUCUCUUUUUGGAUCUCAAUACAAUGUUCUCCCCUCUCUUGUGGAGAACUAUUCGAUGUAAUCUUCUUUUUGCGGUGUGUUUAUUGAGACCGAUGAAUUGUGGGUUGAUGAUCAAGUCUAUCUAUGAAUAAUAUUUGAAUCUUCUCUGAAUUCUUUUAUGUAUGAUUGUUUAUCUUUGCGAGUCUCUUCGAACUAUUAGUUUGGUUUGGCCUACUAGAUUGAUCUUUCUUACAAUGGGAGAAGUGCUUAGCUUUAGGUUCAAUCUUGCGGUGUCCUUUCCCAGUGACAGUAGGGGCAGCAAGGCAUGUAUUGUAUUUUUGCCAUCGAGGACAACAAGAUGGGGUUUUCAUCAUAUUGCAUUAGUUUAUCCCUCUACAUCAUGUCAUCUAGCUUAAGGCGUUACUCUGUUUUUAACUUAAUACUCUAGAAGCAUGCUGGAUAGCGGUCGAUGAGUGGAGUAAUAGUAGUAGAUGCAGGCAGAAGUCGGUCUACUUGUCUCGGACGUGAUGCCUAUAUACAUGAUCAUACCUAGAUAUUCUCAUAAAUAUGCUCAAUUCUGUCAAUUGCUCAACAGUAAUUUGUUCACCCACCAUAGAAUAAUUAUGCUCUCGAGAGAAGCUACUAGUGAAACCUAUGGCCUCGGGAUCUAUGUUUAUCAUAUUAAUCUUCUACUACUUAGUUAUUUCCUUUGCCUUUAUUUUACUUUUCAUUUUUAUCAAAAAAAAUACCAAACAUAUUAUCUUUAUCAUAUCUAUUAGAUCUCACUCUCGUAAGUGGCCGUGUAGGGAUUGACAACCCCUAUUCGUGUUGGUUCCGAGGAUUUAUUUGUUUUGUGCAAGUACGAGGGACUCGCACGUAGCCUCCUACUGGAUUGAUACCUUGGUUCUCAAAAACUGAGGGAAAUACUUAUGCUACUUUGCUGCAUCAUCCCUUCCUCUUCGGGGAAAACCAACGCAGUGCUCAAGAGGUAGCAAGAAGGAUUUCUGGUGCCGUUGCCGGGGAGGUCUACGCAAAAGUCAACAUACCAAGUACCCAUCACAUACCCUUAUCUCCCGCAUUACAUUAUUUGCCAUUUGCCUCUCGUUUUCACCUCCCCCACUUCACCCUUGCCGUUUUAUUCGCCGUCUCUCUCUAUCCUCCCUCUCUUUCUCUAUUUGCCUCUUUUUUCCCGCUUGCUUUCUGUUUGCUUGUGUGUUAGUUGCUUGCUUGUCAUGAUGGCUCAAGAUAAUACUAAAUUAUGUGACUUCACGAUGGCUAAAGCUUGGUUUUCAUCUUUGCCUAAAAAUAGUAAUGAUUCAUGGAAUAAGUGCAAAGAUGCUUUUUUCUCUAAGUAUUUUCCUCCUGCUAAGAUCAUCUCUCUUAGAAACGAUAUUAUGAAUUUUAAGCAACUUGAUCAUGAACAUGUUGCACAAGCUUGGGAGAGAAUGAAACUAAUGGUACAUAAUUGCGCUGCCCAUGGUUUAAAUUUGUGGAUGAUUAUACAAAUAUUUUAUGCCGGAUUGAAUUUUGCUUCAAGAAAUCUUUUAGAUUUGGCCGCGGGAGGCACUUUUAUGGAAAUCACUUUAGGAGAAGCUACUAAACUCAUAGAUAAUAUUAUGGUGAAUUAUGCUCAACGGCAUACUGAAAGAUCUACUAAUAAAAAGGUGCAUGCGAUAGAAGAAAUUAAUGUUUUGAGUGGAAAGAUGGAUGAACUUAUGAAAUUAUUUGCUAAUAAGAGUGUUUCUUCUAAUCCUAAUGAUAUGCCCUUGUCUAGUUUGAUUCAGAAUAAUAACGAAUCUAUGGAUGUGGAUUUUGUUGGUAGGAACAAUUUUGGUAACAACGCGUAUAGAGGAAAUUUCAACCCUAGGCCUUAUCCUAGUAAUCUCUCUAAUAAUUAUGGUAAUUCCGACAACAAUUCUUAUGGAAAUUAUAAUAAGAUGCCCUCUGAUUUUGAAUCUAAUAUUAAAGAAUUUAUUACUUCGCAAAAGAAUUUCAAUGCUUUGAUUGAAGAAAAAUUGCUUAAGAUUGAUGAUUUGGCUAGGAACGUUGAUAGAAUUACUCUUGAUGUUGAUUCUUUGAAACUUAGAUCUAUUCCACCUAAGAAUGAUGUCAAUGAGUCUCUCAAAGCCAUGAGAAUUUCCAUUGAUGAGUGCAAAGAAAGAACCGCUAGGAUGCGUGCUAAGAAAGAUGCCUUUAUAAUAGCGUGUUCUUCUAGUUCCUAUGAAAAUAAUGAUGAAGAUCUAAAAGUUAUUGAUGUGUUCCCUAUUAAAUCUUUGUUUUGCAAUAUGAAUCUUGAUAGUGAUGGGACUGAAUAUGAUCCACCUUUACCUAGAAGGCGUUCCAAGAAUUCAGAAUUUGUUGAUCUUGAUGCUAAAAUUGAUAAAGGAGGGAUUGAAGAAAUUAAAACCCUAGAUGUUGCUAAACCCACUAUUAUGGAUUUCAAGGACUUUAACUAUGAAAAUUGCUCUUUGAUUGAUUGUAUAUCCUUUUUACAAUCCGUGCUAAAUUCUCCUCAUGCUUAUAGUCAAAAUAAAUCGUUUACUAAACAUAUCGUUGAUACCUUGAUGCAAUCUUAUGAAGAAAAACUUGAAUUGGAAGUUUCUUUCCCUAGAAAGCUUUAUGAUGAGUGGGAACCAACUAUUAAAAUUAAAAUUAAAUAUCAUGAAUGCUAUGCUUUAUGUGAUUUGGGUGCUAGUGUUUCCACGAUUCCAAAGACUUUGUGUGAUUUGUUAGGUUUCCAUGAUUUUGAUGAUUGCUCUUUAAACUUGCGCCUUGCGGAUUCCACUAUUAAGAAACCUAUGGGAAGAAUUAAUGAUGUUCUUAUUGAUGCAAAUAGGAAUUAUGUGCUUGUAGAUUUUAUUGUUCUUGACAUAGAUUGCAAUCUUUCAUGUCCUAUUAUUCUUGGUAGACCUUUCCUUAGAACGAUUGGUGCAAUUAUUGAUAUGAAGGAAGGAAAUAUUAGAUUCCAAUUUCCAUUAAGGAAAGGCAUGGAACACUUUACUAGAAAGUCAAUUAAAUUACCUUAUGAAUCUAUUAUGAUAGCCACUUAUGGAUUGUUGGGGAACGUAGUAAUUUCAAAAAAUUUCCUACGCACACGCAAGAUCAUGGUGAUGCAUAGCAACGAGAGGGGAGAGUGUUGUCUAUGUACCCUCGUAGACUGAAGCGGAAGCGUUGACGCAACGUAGAGGAAGUAGUCGUACGUCUUCCUGAUCCGACCGAUCCAAGCACCGUUACUCAGGCACCUCCGAGGUCUUGGCACACGUUCAGCUCGAUGACGAUCCCCAGGCUCCGAUCCAGCAAAGCGUCGGGGAGGAGUUCCGUCAGCACGACUGCGUGGUGACGAUCUUGAUGUUCUACCGUCGCAGGGCUUCGCCUAAGCACCGCUAAAAUAUGACCGAGGUGUAAUAUCAUGGAGAGGGGCACCGCACAAGGCUAAGGAACAAUCACGAAGAUCAACUUGUGUGUCCAUGGGGUGCCCCCUGCCCCCGUAUAUAAAGGAGUGGAGGACGGGAGGGCGACCCUCUCUAUGGCGCGCCCUAGGGGAGUCCUACUCCCAUAGGGAGUAGGAUUCCCCCUUUUCCUAGUCCAACUAGGAGUCCUUCCAUGUAGUAGCACUAGUGCAGAACCGGGCAAUAGCACCGGUUCGUAAGGCCCUUUAGUGCCGGUUAGGUAACCGGCACUAAAAUUUCAGCACUAAAGGCCCCCCCUUUAGUACCGGUUCAGCACGAACCGGUGCUAAAGGGCAACCACAUGGCACGAGCGAGCUCCGGGGGCCGGGAGCCCUUUAGUACCGGUUGGUAACACCAACCGGUACUAAAAUGUUUGGGGGGUUUUUGGUUUUAUGAUUUCUUUUUCAUUAAAUUUUGUGUUUUCCAUUUUAAUUCUUUUUCGUUUGCUGGUAUUUUACGGUACUACACGUUGUACACGUUAUAUAUAUAUAUAUAUAUAAAUAGAAUUUCUAGUAGAACCAAUCAUAUAUAUAUCAUCAAUCAUGUCUCACAAAACACCAUAUUAAUUCACACAUACACACAUGUAUAGCUAUAUACAAUUUCUCCUACAUAUGCAUGUUGCCUUCGGAGCCAGUGGCAUUAGCCUGAUUGGUGCCUUCGGAGCACGAUGACAAUUGGAAGUGGUUCAUGACCUGGUCGAUGGGGGCGGUAGCGGGUAAUAGUAUUCUCCCUUCGGAUUUAUGACCUGGUCGAGCAAAAAUCCUGCUAUUUCCUAUUGAAGUGCUUCUACGCGCUCCGUUUCUAGGAGCUUGUCCCGCACCUCUUUGAACUAUUAAGAAGGAGAUCAAUAUGCAUGUGUAUUAGUUGUGUGACUAGAUAUUGAUAAUGGUGUAAAAAUUGUGAAUAGUGUUCUGACAAGCGUACCCAUUCCUGUCUUUGAGAUCUGCUCCUUCCGGACGCCAUCAUGCGAAUGUUCUCGCAAACGCAGAAUGCACACAGUUCAGUCCCCUGCGCCUGCUUCAGGGCCUUUAUUACGAGAAUGGAAUUUAAUUUGAUCAGAUAAUAAUUAAUCAAGCAUGAUAAUUAAAGAGAUGGCAGCUAGCUAGCUAGCUAGUACUACUUAAUUACUUACCUUGGCUCGAGACCAUUUCAGCUGUGGUUUCCAUUCGCCUUCCGUGUCGCUGAUGAACCUUGCCCAAGCCCUGCCCGCCGACAAAGAAAAUGAAUAAAGGGGUUAUUAAAUAGUUCAUAUCAUGAAAUGAAGAACUAAAUAGGCCGAGAUAUAUAGUUAAUAAUGAUUGAAAUUACCUGUUGACUAUCCCAAACAAGAUGUUAUAGUCACUAUUUCCUUUGAGUAGCGAGUCCAGUAUUUCAACUAUUCCGGCAUCAACUUUAAUGAUACACAAGAUCCAGUGAAAUCUGCAUGCACACACGUUUGCAAGUCUUAAUUAAGCGGGCAUAUGUAAGCAAAAACAUGUAGCUAGCUAGUAGGCAAAAAUAGAGAAUUUGUAGUACAAGAAAGUGUGACUCACUGGCAGUUGUAAGGAAGUAGUAUAUCUUCAUUGUAUUUGAGGAGCUUCAAGAACUCUAGCAUGCUGUCCUCUACCUCUUUUUCAUGAUGCUUGUUUAUUUUCCAUGUGUAUUCAUUAACGGUGUUUGGGUCAAUGAACCCAAUGCCAUAGCGUCCACCUUUUCUCAUUCCAUACAUCUUCAUCCUGCAUAAUACCACAGAAAAGAAUAUAGUAAGGAUAAUUACACGUAAUGAUUGAUCAAAAGGAUCACUACAGCUAGCUUGAGACUUAAAUUACAGAAAGAAAUCACUUACAGACAAUAGCAACUGACGAUAGAUUUGUCGAGUGUGUCUUGAUUGUAUAACUGAAACAGUUCAGAAUACUCAACGGCCACAACUUUCUCAUGGUAGUAAUCAUCCUUCUUGACAUACACCAUGAGGGACUCUCGAUCGGAUCUCUUGGUAAUGUCCAUGUACCAUUGAUGCAAUUCAUACAUUCUCGUUGGGAGCUUCUUGACAUCUUCUGGCUCGACCAAAGGUUGGCCCCGAACAUAUUUCCGUUUUAUUUCCUCCUCUGUAAUCAGAGGCAUGUCCUCGAUCUCGAGGAGUUGUCCAACAGUGAUCUUGAGUUCUUCAGCCUGCAUUAUAUGCUCCUCGGUUAUUACCACAUCGCCCACCUCGGGAAUGUAAACUGUUUGGCCACAAUAAUAUUGGGCGCGCGUACUGUCACGUGUUGUUGGCGGCACAACAAGCGGNNNNNNNNNNNNNNNNNNNNNNNNNNNNNNNNNNNNNNNNNNNNNNNNNNNNNNNNNNNNNNNNNNNNNNNNNNNNNNNNNNNNNNNNNNNNNNNNNNNNNNNNNNNNNNNNNNNNNNNNNNNNNNNNNNNNNNNNNNNNNNNNNNNNNNNNNNNNNNNNNNNNNNNNNNNNNNNNNNNNNNNNNNNNNNNNNNNNNNNNNNNNNNNNNNNNNNNNNNNNNNNNNNNNNNNNNNNNNNNNNNNNNNNNNNNNNNNNNNNNNNNNUUCCCAGCUGGGCAACGGUUUUCCUGCAUUUUUUGACAGCUGCUUGUUGUUUGCUCGAGCUCGAGCUCGCCUCCUUCUGUAGACGUUGUCGAUGUAACUUCCUGAUGUGGCGCUCAUAGUCUGUUUCAACAGGCUUAGGAGCUAGUGGUUGAGCCAUACGAAUGAAGUGGUCAACUACUUCCACAGGCACUUUCUCCCUUGGCGGCGGUGGCGGUUUCGGUCCAAAAUGGGCGUCGACUUCUGCCCGCACUAUGGCAUUGGUUUGCUCCUCAGUCCUGUCGUAAGCCCUCACAGGAAGAGGAGUACUGAGGUUUGGACCAUAUUUAUAUCGCUUGCCUCCACCUGUACUUCCUGUACUAUCACCUCGACUCGUACCGCUACGCACCAUAGCUGCGGGGUGUCUCUUCUGCGAUUGCUGAGGCGGCGGAGACGGCAGACGGGGCUGAGUUAGACGAGGAGGAGUGGCCUGAAGCUGUGCCGGACUUGGAGGAGGAGUGGCCUGAGGUUGUGCCGGACUUGGAGGAGGAGUGGACGUCUGACGCUGUGUCGGACUUGGAGGAGGAGUGGCCUCACACAUUGCCGGACUUGGAGGAGGAGGAGUGGCCUCACGCGUUGAUGGACUUGGAGCGGGAGUCUGCUGACUCGGUGGUGGACUUCGACGAGGAGUCGGGUGACGCGGUGUCGGUGGCCUUCGAAAGAUGAUGCAAUCCUUUCUCCAUAGGAUGACAUGAUGUAUGGCCUCUCCCAAUGUGUGCUCGUCGUCACCUCUAGGAAUGUCAAGUUGUAGCUCCGAAUAUGGGUCCACCACCUCAUCAACCAAGACACGAGCAUAGCCUGCUGGAAUCGGGUUGCAAUGGAAGGUUGCCUCGGGGGAAUUUGAAAAAGCAACGGCGUCCGCCACCUUCAUGGAUAUGUUCUUCAUUUUGAAGUGUACCUCGCAGUUAGUGUUCUCCGUGAUGUCAUCCAUGGGGUAUCUAUCCAGCACUGCGUCGCCCGGGGCGGAACCCACGCUGCUUCUCGGCAUGGAUGGGGUGGUGGUAUCCAAUGCUGGAUCAUCCGCUAGGUGCUGCAGCUGCUGAGACCCCAUUUGCUGGCUAAGUGAGUCGAUCUGCUCCUGCUGCCGCUGGAAUUUAGCUGCCAAUUCCGCUUGACUUGCUUCUAGGCCUUGAAGGCGUUCAUAGUCCCGCUUCCUUUGCUCCUCCUCCAUCUUCCUCUUCUUCUCCUCCGCAAUCUUCUUUCUCGCACGGGUUCUGUAGUCGGCGUUCCAGUCCGAAAACCCCUCAUACCACGGAAUAGCGCCCUUGCCUCGUGGUCUUCCCGGGUGUUCAGGAUUUCCCUGGGCACGCGUAAGCUCGUCCUUCUCUCUGUUGGGCUGAAACACCCCCGAUCGAGCCUCUUCUAUUGCAACAAGUAGCGCAUCGUCGGCUCCAUUCAGACAUGCCUUCGUCAAAACAUUGCCUGUCUUCGGGUCCAACUCCCCCCCAUGCGCAUAGAACCAAGUCCUGCACCUAGGGGGCCAACUCUUAGUAAACGGAGUGGCACCUGCAUCCUCCAUCUCUUUCUCAGACUUAUCCCACUUAGGCAUUGCCACCGUGUAGCCAGCUGGCCCCAGCUUAUGGAACUUAUCCUUUUUUCGGCAUUCUUCUUGUUUAUUCUCGACCGUUCCUUAGCUAAUUCGGAAUCCUUGAAUUUCAUGAAAUCGUCCCAAUGAGAACUUUGAUUCUCUAGUAUCCCCUCGAAUACUGGAGUCUUCCUUCCUCCCUUGACGUACUUCUCCCACGUCGUUCUCUUGUGGUUCUUGAAUGCAACCGCCAUCUUCCUAAAAGCAGCGUCCUUGACUUUCUGCACAUCUGCUUCCGUGAAAUGAUCUGGUAGGGUGAAAUGUUCCAUGAGAGUAUCCCAAAGCAGUUUUUUAUAUUCUCGUCUACAAAAGUAUCAUUUGGACGUGGCUUUGCUGGCUUUCUCCAUUCUUGAAGGGAGAUCGGGAGUUGGUCCUUCACAAGAACUCCACACUAACGAACGAACUUGUCCGCAAUCUUCUUAGGCGCUAAUGGUUCGCCAUUAGGUUUGAAUGCCUCGAUAUUGUACUUUACGCCCUCCUUCAACUUUUUGUUCGGGCCUCGUUUUGUCCUUUUGCCUGAAGAUUUGCUCGAUCCGGAUGGCUGAAAGAAGAAAGAUCGAUUCGUUAAUAUAUCUUCAACUCAUUUAAAACAUGCGAUGAUCACCAGAUUCCUGCUUAUAUAAAUAUAUAUACCUCGCCGGUACAUGUUGUUUCAGGGUCAACAUGUUCUUCGUCGUAGUUCAGGACUUCAUCUUCUCGGUCAUCGCGAUCAAAUAUCAUAUCACCCUCUCCGGUGUUGUUUAGAAAUUCAGAGCCGUCAAAAUCUUCUUCAUUCUGAUCAUCAUCUGGCCCGCGUAUGAUACCGAACAUGGUAUGUUCUCUCUCUCUGUCGGUAUUGUCCGCCAUAGCUUUUAUUUAACUAUGCCAAAAGAAAUAUAAAAUAAUUUAGUAUAAUCUCGAAUAAUAGAUAUAAUCUCGAAUACAUCGUCUCGAAUAAUAGAUAUAAUCUCGAAUACAUCGUCUCGAAUAAUAGAUUUAAUCUCGAAUACAUCGUCUCGAAUAAUAGAUAUAAUCUCGAAUACAUCGUCUCGAAUAAUAGAUUUAAUCUCGAAUACAUCGUCUAGAAUAAUAGAUUUAAUCUCGAAUACAUCGUCUCGAAUAAUAUAUAAUAUUGAAUAGUACAUCAUUGGCUAGGCGGUGGACACCCAAAGAGAAGGAACCCUCACAGGAUCAUAGCUGAAGUGAGAGCCCCGAAGAAACUGCCAGGUUUUGGAGAACCUUCCGCCCUCUAACGCAACCAUGUAGCGAUGGAUGUAAUCGUCCUCCUCCCUGACACGACGACGUACCACCUCCGGCGGGGCCGGCUCCCUCCGCACCGAAACUGGCCCACGCGAACGCCACCAAACGAGAUCAGGGUCGAUCACAGGACCCGGGGCCGGGUUCCUCAUCAAGCGGCGCGCCCCUCCAGGCAGCACCUCCCAGUGCCAGCCCGGCGGAGCCCAGUCCCGGACAUGGGUCAGCUGGACGUCGUCGCGGACGUGUCGACGGUGAGGAUGUGGGCCGGGCAUCGUCGACAACAAAUACUAGCUAUAUGCCCGCAAAAAGUAACAUUUUUUUAAUGAUUGGAAUUUGAUAACUAAAAUUUCUAACAUUUCUAUAUAACACUAAUUAUGCUAUCAUUGCAUAUGUCAAAAUUCUAUAUGCUAUUUCAUACUAAUUAAGCAUCUAACACUAAAAACAGAAAACACAACUUCUAUACAUCCAUUAAAAAAACUGAAAAACAACAUUAUAUAAACAAAUUUCAAUACUAAUUAAACACUAAUUAUAUCCAUCUAACAUGCAUUCAUACAUAUAUGCUAGUGAAAAAAUAAUAAUCUAAAAAAUCUAAACUAAUUAAACAUACAAAAUACGUAUAUACUAAUAUAUACAUGCAUUAAUUCAUACAUAUGUACGUGUGUGUGUGUGUGUGCUCGGGGAGGGGUGGUGCCCAUGGUGGCCGCCGGGGGCGAGGGAGAGGGGUUAGAGGGGGAGAGCUCACAGCAGGGUGACGGCGACGGCCAGGGGCGGCGACGGGCCGGGGUGUGACGCGGGGGCGGCGACGCGGGGACGGUGCGACGGGGACGGGCCUGGGGCGGCGACGGGGACGGGCCCGAUGACGGGGACGGGGGCGGCGACGGCGACAUCGUCGAUUGAUCGGGGUGCGCGGGCGGUGCUUCAAUGGGGAAACAGAGGAAGAAACAAAGGGAGAAUGAAAUUUUCGUAAGUGUUCUAUAUAUAGAAGGCACCUUCAGUACCGGUUGGAGCCACCAACCGGUACUAAAGGCCUGUUUUGGCCAGGCCAAGCCGCGGGAAGCACCCCCCUUUAGUACCGGUUCCUGGCUCCAACCGGUACUAAAGGCCCCCCCUUUAGUACCGGUUGGUGCCACCAACCGGUACUAAAGGGGGGUACGCUGCCAGGCGAGGGGCACAAAACUUUAGUCCCACCUCGCUAGCCGAGGGGCACUCACACCUUCUUAUAAGCCCCGCCGUCGCUGCUGUCUCGAGCUCCACUCUUAAGCACGCCUUCUGGGCCUACCUCUUCUGCGAUGCCCUGUUGGGCCUACUGGGCUAGUGGGCCUGCAUCCUGGCCCAACUUGAAUAUGGGUUUCUAGUCGUAUGCAGGCCGCUGUGGCCCAGUAGGUGGGCUUUUUUUUCUUAUUUUUUUGCUUUAUUUAUUUUUGUGAAUAACUUAACUUUGAAAAUAGAUUUUUCAGUGAUUCUUUUUUCUUAUGUUUAAUAUUAGUGUGUUUUAUCAUUAUAUUCAAUUUGGUAAUGCUUAGGUUAUUUAAAAAAUGAAAUGCCUUUGUAACGGAUGAGUUUUCGUCCGAAACCCUGAUACUUCGAAACAGAUUGUCCAUUUUGUACACGAAGUGCAUCCAGUUUUUGCGGUAACCCUCUCUACUUUUUUGCACAUGCUAUGUGGGUGAAAUUAUGAUACCAUGCCAACUUUCAUCCUUUUCUGAGUUCAUUUGAAAUUCUUUUCAAUUUUAGGGUCAUUUAGGUGAAAAAAAUCAGUAAAUGCAUGAAAGAAUUUGCUUGCACAUAAAAUUUCUUCGCGUUUCAAAUGCCAAAACACAUAACUAGCUACCCUAACUAUUACAGAGAUUCCCUCCUGGGUGUGAAACACAGAAGAAAGUGAUGAUAGUUACGCCGAUCAUAUCCCAGAUCUUUGGGUGUGAAACUUUUUCUUCGCGUGUGUCCCUUUGCGUCGUAGCCAUGGAAAAUCUUCAUCAUUUAACGGGAUGCUCGGGUCAAUAUUCACUGUGAAUGGAGCAAUUUCAUCAAACUUUUCAUAAUCAUCUGACUUGUCUGUUUUGUCAUCCACUCCCAUGAUGUUUCUCUUCCCAGAAAGAACUAUGUGCCGCUUUGGCUCAUCGUACGAUGCAUUCACUUCCUUAUCUUUUCUUUUUCUUGGCUUGUUAGACAUGUCCUUCACACAGAAAACCUAUGCCACAUCAUUGGCUAGGACGAACGGUUCGUCUGCAUACGCAAGAUUGUUGAGAUCCACUGUUGUCAUUCCGUACUGCGGGUCUUCCAUUACCCAGCCUCGUGUCAUAUUAACCCAUUUGCACCGAAACAAAGGGACCUUCAAACCACGUCGAUAGUCAAGUUCCCAUAUGUCCUGUAUAUAACCAUAAUAUGUUUCCUUUCCCGUCUUGGUUUCUGCAUCAAAGCGGACACCACUGUUUUGGUUGGUGCUCUUAUUAUCUUGGGCGAUCGUGUAAAAUGUAUUACCAUUUAUCUCGUACCCUUUGAAAGUCAUUAUAUUCGAAGAUGGUAAUUGGGAUAGCAAGUACAUGUCAUCUUCAAUAGAGGUGUCAUGCAUGGUACGUGGUUGCAACCAGCUGGCGAAACUCCUGGUUUGUUCACGUGUAAUCCAGUCAUCAGACCGCUCCGGGUGUUUGGAGCGUAGCAAAUUCUUGUGUUCAUCCAUAUACGGAGCCACCGAGGCAGAAUUCUGUAGAACUAUGUAGUGUGCUUCAGUGAGAGAAUGUCCAGCCAUAUAUACAUAUUAUUUGUUCCCCUCCUAGCGUGCCUUUUCCAUCCAGUCUGCCCUUAUGCCGCGAUUCAGGAACACCAAUCGGCUUAAGGUCAGGAAUAAAGUCAAUACAAAACUCACUGACCUCCUCAUUUUGACGGCCCUUGGAGAUGCUUCCUUCUGGCCUAGCACGGUUAUGAACAUAUUUCUUUAAGUCUCCCACGAACCUCUCAAAGGGGAACAUAUUGUGUAGAAAUACAGGACCCAAAACGUUAAUCUCUUCGCAUAGGUGAACUAGGACGUGCGUCAUGAUGUUGAAGAAGGAUGGUGGGAACACCAACUCGAAACUGACAAGACAUUGCACCAAAUCAUUCUGUAACCUUGGUAUGAUUUCUGGAUCGAUUACCUUCUGAGAGAUUGCAUUGAGAAAUGCACAUAGCUUCACAAUGGCUAAUCGAACGUUUUCCGGUAGAAGCCCCCUCAAUGCAACCGGAAGUACUUGCGUCAUAAUCACGUGGCAGUCAUGAGACUUUAGGUUCUGGAACUUUUUCUCUGCCAUGUUUAUUAUUCCCUUUAUAUUCGACGAGAAGCCAGAUGGUACCUUAAUAAUGAGUAGGCAUUCAAAGAACAUUUCCUUCUCUUCUUUGGUAAGAGCGUAGCUUGCAUGACCCUGAUGUAUGCCGUCUUUUCCGUGCAUACGUUGCUGGUCCUCCUGUGCCUUAGGUGUAUCUUUUGUCAUCCCAUACACGCCCAAGAAGCCAAGCAGGGUCACACAAAGAUUCUUCGUCACGUGCAUCACGUCGAUUGCGGAGCGGACCUCGAGGUCUUUCCAAUAGUGCAGGUCCCAAAAUAUAGAUUUCUUCUUCCACAUGGGUGCGCGUCCGUCAGCGUCAUUCGGAACAGGUUGUCCACCAGGACCCUUUCUAAAGACCACCUUCAAAUCCUUGACCAUAUCAUGUACAUCAGCACCAGUACGGUGGCGAGGCUUCGUCCGGUGAUCCGCCUCACCUUUGAAAUGCUUGCAUUUCUUUCUUACGGGAUGCCUGCUCGUAAGAAAUCGACGAUGUCCUAGGUACACAUUCUUAUUAGCCAAAUAUAUACUGUCGGUAUCGUCCAAACAGUGCGUGCAUGCGCGGUAUCCCUUGUUUGUCUGUCCUGAAAGGUUACUGAGAGCAGGCCAAUCAUUGAUGGUCACGAACAGCAACGCCUUUAGGUCAAAUUCUUCCCCCAUGUGCUCAUCCCACACACGUACACCUGUUCCAUUCCAUAGUUGUAAGAGUUCUUCAACUAAUGGCCUUAGGUACACAUCAAUGUCGUUGCCGGGUUGCUUAGGGCCUUGGAUGAGCACUGGCAUCAUAAUGAACUUCCGCUUCAUGCACAACCAAGGAGGAAGGUUAUACAAACAUAGAGUCACAGGCCAAGUGCUAUGGUUGCUGCUCUGCUCCCCAAAAGGAUUAAUGCCAUCUGCGCUUAGACCAAACCAUACGCUCCUUGCGUCAUUUGCAAACUCCUUCCCGUACUUUCUUUCGAUUUUUCUCCACUGUGAACCGUCAGCGGUUAGUGUCAACUUUCCAUCUUUCUUACGGUCUUCGCUGUGCCAUCGCAUCGCCUUGGCAUGCUCUUUGUUUUGGAACAAACGUUUCAACCGUGGUAUUAUAGGAGCAUACCACAUCACCUUGGCAGGAAUCUUCUUCCUGGGGCGCCGGCCCUCGACAUCACCAGGGUCAUCGCGGCUGAUCUUAUAGCGCAAUACACCACAUACCGGGCAAGCGUUCAAAUCCUCGUACUCACCACGGUAGAGGAUGCAAUCAUUAGGGCAUGCAUGUAUCUUCUCCACCUCUAACCCUAGAGGGCAGAGAACCUUCUUUGCUUCGUACAUACUCUCGGGCAAUUCGUUGUCCUUUGGAAGGAUAUCCUUUAUCAUUACCAGCAACUUUCCAAAUCCCUUGUCAGAUACACCAUUCUCUGCCUUCCAUUGCAGCAAUUCCAGUGUGGUGCCCAGUUUUUUCUUGUCAGCUACGCAAUUCGGGUACAACAAUUUUUUGUGAUCCCCUAACAUGCACUGCAACUUCUUCUCCAAAUCACUUGCGCAGUUUCUCUUUGCAUCGGCAAUGGCCCGACCUAGAUCAUCAACGGGCUCAUCUGAUGCCUCUUCUUCAGCUUCUUCCCGCAUUGCCGGCUCAGCUUCUUCCCGCAUUACCGGCUCAGCUUCUUCCACCAUUGUUGUAUCAUCGUAUUCAGGGAACCCAUGGCCAGGAUAGCUGUCGUCGUCCUCUUCUUCUUCAUUGUCUUCCAUCAUAACCCCUCUUUAUCCGUGCUUGGUCCAAACAUUAUAAUGGGGCAUGAAACCAGACUUAAACAGGUGGACGUGAAUGGUUCUUGACGUACAGUAAUUGUGACCAUUCUUACAGCGAGCACAUGGACAAGGCAUAAAACCAUCCGCCCCCUUGUUUGCCUCAGCCGCAAGCAGAAAAGUAUGCACGCCCUCAACGAACUGGGGAGAGCAUCGGUCAUCGUACAUCCAUUGCCGGCUCAUCUUCAUUACACAACAACGAAUAGAACAAAUUAAUACAAGUUCAUACAUAAAGUUCAUACAACACUUAAAUGCAACAAACAAAUAACUCUCUAGCUAAAGCAUUUAAAUGCAACAACAAAUACGAUCAAGAUCGCAACUAAGGUAACAAUGGAUCCAACAGCAUAAUGAAACCAAGCCUCACUAUCGAUGGCAUAUUUUCUAAUCUUUCUAAUCUUCAAGCGCAUUUUCUCCAUCUUGAUCUUGUGAUCAUCGACGAUACCGGCAACAUGCAACUCCAAUUCCAUCUUCUCCCCCUCAAUUCUUUUCAAUUUUUCUUUCAAGUACUCGUUUUCUCUUUCAACUAAAUUUAACCUCUCGGCAAUAGGGUAGGUUGGAAUUUCCGGUUGAUGGGCAUAAUUUGUAAUAAACACGAAAUGCAACUAGUUUUAAAAGAGAAUAUACAUACCACAUCCGAAUCAUAACAAGGACUAGGGCCGACGGGGACGGAUAUCAAAACCAUGGCACUAUAUGUAUAACAAACAACGUACAGGUAAGAUAAUUAUACGAGUAACUAUAUAUCCAAAUCACACAAACAUCAAUUUUUAUAUAAAAUUUCAUGAACAAGAGGCUCACCACAAGGUGGUGCCGGCGACGGGACGGUGCGGGCGAUCCACGGUGGCUACGAUGGAGAUUUAGAAGGCACUAAGUAAACCACACCUACAUAUGCAAACUAAAUGUUAUUUUUGACCUCAAAUUGCAUAUAAAUCAAAUACUAGCACAUAUAUAUAUAUCAUCCCAAAUUACUAAACUCACAAAUUAAUCACUAUAUAAAGCAUUGCAAGAGCUAAUCUAGCAACGAGAGAUGAAAGGACAAAGUUGCUAACCUUUGUGAUCAUUUGAAUGGAUGGGGGCCUUCAAAUCUUGACAAAUUUUGGGCAAAAUGUGUGAUGAGCUCGAGAGGAAGAGGGGAAGAACAGAGAGGAGAGGGGAAAGGGGAAGAAUAGAGCGAGCUCGGGUGGACGAAGGGUUUAUGUAGGACGACCUUUAGUACCGGUUUGUGCCAAGAACCGGUACUAAAGGGGCUGGAGGGGCCCCAUACUGACAACAUCCUGCCACCACUCUCAUUAGUACCGGUUCGUGGCACGAACCGGUGCUAAAGGUUCGCCAUGAACCGGUACUAAUGAAAGCAGCCUGGUUAGCCGUUGGAACCGGCACUAAUGUAUACAUUAGUGCCGGCUCAAAUACAAACCGGCACUAAUGUGCUUCAUGUUUGACCCUUUUUCCACUAGUGUAGGAGUAGGAGACAAGGAAGGGGAAGGGAGAAGGGAAAGAAGGAGGGGGCGCGGCCCCUCCCCCUAGUCCAAUUCGGACUAGGCCUUGGGGGGGCGCGCGGCCUGCCCUAGGCAGCCCCUCUCUCUUUCCCGUAUGGCCCAAUAAGGCCCAAUACUUCUCCCGGCGAAUUCCCGUAACUCUCCGGUACUCCGAAAAAUACCCGAACCACUCGAAACCUUUCCGAUGUCCGAAUAUAGUCGUCCAAUAUAUCGAUCUUUACAUCUCGACCAUUUCGAGACUCCUCCUCAUGUCCCCGAUCCCAUCCGGGACUCCGAACUCCUUCGGUACAUCAAAACUCAUAAACUCAAAAUAUAACUGUCAUCGAAACCUUAAGCGUGCGGACCCUACAGUUCGAGAACAAUGUAGACAUGAUCGAGACACAUGUCCGGUCAAUGACUAAUAGCGGGACCUGGAUGCCCAUAAUGGCUCCUACAUAUUCUACGAAGAUCUUUAUCGGUCAGACCGCAUAACAACAUACGUUGUUCCCUUUGUCAUCGGUAUGUUACUUGCCUGAGAUUUGAUCGUCGGUAUCUCAAUACCUAGUUCAAUCUUGUUACCGGCAAGUCUCUUUACUCGUUCCGUAAUACAUCAUCUCGCAACUAACUCAUUAGUUGCAAUGCUUGCAAGGCUUAUGUGAUGUGCAUUACCGAGAGGGCCUAGAGAUACCUCUCCGACAAUCGGAGUGACAAAUCCUAAUCUCGAAAUACGCCAGCCCAACAUGUACCUUUGGAGACACCUGUAGAGCUCCUUUAUAAUCACCCAGUUAUGUUGUGACGUUUGGUAGAACACAAAGUGUUCCUCCGGCAAAUGGGAGUUGCAUAAUCUCAUAGUCAUAUGAACAUGUAUAAGUCAUGAAGAAAGCAAUAGCAACAUACUAAACGAUUGGGUGCUAAGCUAAUGGAAUGGGUCAUGUCAAUCAGAUCAUUCAACUAAUGAUCUGAUCCCGUUAAUCAAAUAACAACUCUUUGUCCAUGGUUAGGAAACAUAACCAUCUUUGAUUAACGAGCUAGUCAAGUAGAGGCAUACUAGUGACACUCUGUUUUCUAUGUAUUCACACAUGUAUUAUGUUUCCGGUUAAUACAAUUCUAGCAUGAAUAAUAAACAUUUAUCAUGAUAUAAGUAAAUAAAUAAUAACUUUAUUAUUGCCUCUAGGGUAUAUUUCCAUCAGUCUCCCACUUGCACUAGAGUCAAUAAUCUAGAUCACAUCGCCAUGUGAUUUAACAUCAAUAGUUCACAUCUUUAUGUUAUUGGUUCACAUCUCCAUGUGACUAACACCCAAAGGGUUUACUAGAUUCAAUAAUCUAGUUCACAUCGCUAUGUGAUUAAGACCCAAAAAGUGAUCAUGUUUUGCUUGUGAGAGAAGUUUAGUCAAUAGGUCUUCCACAUUCAGAUCCGCAUGUAUUUUGCAAAUUUCUAUGUCAACAAUGCUCUGCAUGGAGCUACUCUAGCUAAUUGCUCCCACUUUCAAUAUGUAUCCAGAUUGAGACUUAGAGUCAUCUGGAUCAGUGUCAAAACUUGCAUCGACGUAACCCUUUACGACGAACCUUUUGUCACCUCCGUAAUCGAGAAACAUAUCCUUAUUCUACUAAGGAUAAUUUUGACCGCUGUCAAUAGAUCUACUCCUAGAUCACUAUUGUACUCCCUCUCUUAACACAGUGUAUGGUAUACAAUAGAUCUGGUACACAACAUGGCAUACUUUAUAGAACCUAUGACUGAGGCAUAGGGAAUGACUUUCAUUCUCUUUCUAUCUUCUGCCGUGGUCGGGCUUUGAGUCUUACUCAACUUCACGCCUUGUAACACAAGCAAGAAACUUUUUCUUUGACUGUUCCAUUUUGAACUACUUCAAAAUCUUGUCAAGGUAUGUACUCAUCGAAAAAACUUAUCAAGCGUCUUGAUCUAUCUCUAUAGAUCUUGAUACUCAAUAUGUAAGCAGCUUCACCGAGGUCUUUCUUUGAAAAAACUCCUUUCAAACAUUCCUUUAUGCUUUGCAGAAUAAUUCUACAUUAUCUCCGAUCAACAAUAUGUCUUUCACAUAUACUUAUCAGAAAUGAUGUAGUGCUCCCACUCACUUUCUUGUAAAUACAGGCUUCACUGCAAGUCUGUAUAAAACUAUAUGCUUUGAUCAACUCAUGAAAGCGUAUAUUCCAACUCUGAGAUGCUUGCACCAGUCCAUAGAUGGAUCGCUGGAGCUUGCAUAUUUUGUUAGUACCUUUAGGAUUGACAAAACCUUCUGGUUGCAUCAUAAACAACUCUUCUUUAAUAAAUCCAUUAAGGAAUGCAGUUUUGUUUAUCCAUUUGCCAGAUUUCAUAAAAUGCGGCAAUUGCUAACAUGAUUCGGACAGACUUAAGCGUAGAUACGAGUGAGAAACUCUCAUCGUAGUCAACACCUUGAACUUGUCGAAAACCUUUUUGCGACAAUUCUAGUUUUGUAGAUAGUAACACUACUAUCAGCGUCCGUCUUCCUCUUGAAGAUCCAUUUAAUCUCAAUGGCUUGCCGAACAUCGGGCAAGUCAACCAAAGUCCACACUUUGUUCUCAUACAUGGAUCCUAUCUCAGAUUUCAUGGCCUCAAGCCAUUUAUCGGAAUCUGGGCUCAUCAUCGCUUCCUCAUAGGUCGCAAGUUUGUCAUGGUCAAGUAACAUGACCUCCAGAACAGGAUUACCAUACCACUUUGGUGCGGAUCUCAAUCUGGUUUACCUACGAGGUUUGGUAGUAACUUGAUCUGAAGUUACAUGAUCAUCAUCAUUAGCUUCCUCACUAAUUGGUGUAGGAGUCACAGGAACAAAUUUCUGUGAUGAACUACUUUCCAAUAAAGGAGAAGGUACAAUUACCUUAUCAAGUUUUCUACUUUCCUCCCACUCACUUCUUUCAAGAGAAACUCCUUCUCUGGAAAGGAUCCAUUCUCAGUCAACGAAUAUCUUGCCUUCGGAUCUGUGAUAGAAGGUGUACCCAACAUUUUCUUUAGGGUAUCCUAUGAAGAUGCACUUUUCCGAUUUGGGUUUGAGCUUAUCAGGAUGAAACUUUUUCACAUAAGCAUCACAACCCCAAACUUUAAGAAACGACAACUUUGGUUUCUUGCCAAACCACAGUUCAUAAGGCGUCGUCUCAACGGAUUUUGAUGGUGCCCUAUUCAACGUGAAUGCAGCUGUCUCUAAUGCAUAACCCCAAAACGAUAGUGGUAGAUCGGUAAGAGAUAUCAUAGAUCGCACCAUAUCUAAUAAAGUACGGUUAUGAUGUUCGGACACACCAUUACAUUGUGGUGUUCCAGGUGGCAUGAGUAGUGAAACUAUUUCACAUUGUUUUUAACUGAAGGCCAAACUCAUAACUCAAAUACUCUUCUCUACGAUCAGGUCGUAGAAACUUUAUUUUCUUGUUACGAUGAUUUUUCACUUCACUCUGAAAUUCUUUGAACUUUUCAAAUGUUUCAGACUUAUGUUUCAUCAAGUAGAUAUACUCAUAUCUGCUCAAAUCAUCUGUGAAGAUCAGAAAAUAAUGAUACCUGUCGCGAGCCUCAAUAUUCAUCGGACCACAUACAUUAGUAUGUAUGAUUUCCAACAAAUCUGUUGCUCGCUCCAUUGUUCUGAAGAACAGAGUCUUAGUCAUCUUGCCCAUUAGGCAUGGUUCGCAAGCAUCAACUGAUUCAUAACCAACUGAUUCCAAAAGCCCAUCAGCAUGGAGUUUCUUCAUGCGCUUUACACCAAUAUGACCUAAACGGCAGUGCUACAAAUAAGUUGCACUAUCAUUAUUAACUUUGCAUCUUUUGGUUUCAAUAUUAUGAUUAUGUGUAUCACUACAAUCGAGAUCCAACGAACUAUUUUCAUUGGGUGUGUAACCAUAUAAGGUUUUAUUCAUGUAAACAGAACAACAAUUUAUUCUCUUACUUAAAUGAAUAACCGUAUUACAAUAAACAUGAUCAAAUCAUAUUCAUGCUCAACGCAAACACCAAAUAACACUUAUUUAGGUUCAACACUAAUCCUGAAAUUAUAGGGAGUGUGCGAUGAUGAUCAUAUCAAUCUUGGAACCACUUCCAACAUACAUCAUCACUUCACCCUUAACUAGUCUCUGUUUAUUUUGCAACUCCCGUUUCGAGUUACUAAUCUUUGCAACUGAACUAGUAUCAAAUACUGAGGGGUUGCUAUAAACACUUGUAAAGUACACAUCAAUAACAUGUAUAUCAAAUAUACUUAUGUUCACUUUGCCAUCCUUCUUAUCCGCCAAUCACUUGGGGUAGUUCCGCUUCUAGUGACCAGUGCCUUUGCAGUAGAAGCACUUAGUCUCAGGCUUAGGACCAGACUUGGGCUUCUUCACUUGAGCAGCAACUUGCUUGCUGUUCUUCUUGAAGUUCCCCUUCUUCCCUCUGCCCUUUUCUUGAAACUAGUGGUCUUGUCAACCAUCAACACCUGAUGUUUUUCUUGAUUUCUACCUUCAUUGAUUUCAGCAUCACGAAGAGCUUGGGAGUUGUUUCCGUUAUCCCUUGCAUAUUAUGGUUCAUCACGAAGUUCUACUAACUUGGUGAUGGUGACUAGAGAAUUCUGUCAAUCACUAUCUUAUCUGGAAGAUUAACUCCCACUUGGUUCAAGCAAUUGUAGUACCCAGACAAUCUGAGCACGUGCUCACUAGUUGAGCGAUUCUCCUCCAUCUUUUAGCUAUAGAACUUGUUGGAGACUUCAUAUCUCUCAAGUCGGGUAUUUGCUUGAAAUAUUAACUUCAACUCCUAGAACAUCUCAUAUGGUCCAUGAUGUUCAAAACGUCUUUGAAGUCCUGAUUCUAAGCCAUUAAGCAUGGUGCACUAAACUAUCAAGUAGUCAUCAUAUUGGGCUAGCCAAACGUUCAUAACGUCGGCAUCUGCUCCUGCAAUAGGUCUGUCACCUAGCGGUGCAUCAAGGACAUAAUUCCUCUAUGCAGCAAUGAGGAUAAAACUCAGAUCACGGAUCCAAUCCGCAUCAUUGCUACUAACAUCUUUCAACACAAUUUUCUCUAGGAACAUAUCAAAAUAAACAUAGGGAAGCAACAACGCGAGCUAUUGAUCUACAACAUAAUUUGCAAAAUACUACCAGGACUAAGUUCAUGAUAAAUUUAAGUUCAAUUUAAUCAUAUUACUGGAGAACUCCCACUUAGAUAGACAUCCCUCUAAUCCUCUAAGUGAUCACGUGAUCCAAAUCAACUAAACCAUGUCCGAUCACCACGUGAGAUGGAGUAGUUUCAUUGGUGAACAUCACUAUGUUGAUCAUAUCUACUAUCUGAUUCACGCUCGACCUUUCGGUCUCCGUGUUCCGAGGCCAUAUCUGUAUAUGCUUGCCUCGUCAAGUAUAACCUGAGUAUUCCGCGUGUGCAACUGUUUUACACCCGUUGUAUUUGAACGUAGAGCCUAUCACACCCGAUCAUCACGUGGUGUCUCAGCACGAAGAAGUUUCGCAACGGUGCAUACUCAGGGAGAACACUUCUUGAUAAUUAGUGAGAGAUCAUCUUAAAAUGCUACCGUCAAACUAAGCAAAAAUAAGAUGUAUAAAAGAUAAACAUCAUAUGCAAUCAAAAUAUGUGACAUGAUAUGGCCAUCAUCAUCUUGCUUCUUUGAUCUCCAUCUCCAAAGUACUGUCAUGAUCUAUAUCGUCAUCGGCAUGACACCAUGAUCUCCAUCAUCUUGAUCUAUAUCAAUGUGUCGUCACGUGGUCGUCUCGCCAACAAUUGCUCUUGCAACUAUUGCUAUCGCAUAGCGAUAAAGUAAAGCAAUUAUUGGACGCUUGCAUCUUAUGUAAUAGAGAGACAACCAUAAGGAUUUUGCCAGUUGUUGAUAACUUCAACAAAACAUGAUCAUCUCAUACAACAACUUAUAUCUCAUCACGUCUUGACCAUAUCACAUCACAACAUGCCCUGCAAAAACAAGUUAGACGUCCUCUACUUUGUUGUUGCAAGUUUUACGUGGCUGCUACGGGCUUAAGCAAGAACCAAUCUUACCUACGCAUCAAAACCACAACGAUAGUUUGUCAAGUUGGUGCUGUUUUAACCUUCGCAAGGACCGGGCGUAGCCACACUCGGUUCAACUAAAGUUGGAGAAACUGUCACCCCCAAGCCACCUAUGUGCAAAGCACGUCGGGAGAACCGGUCUCGCGUAAGCAUACGCGUAAUGUCGGUCUGGGCCGCUUCAUCCAACAAUACCGCCGAACCAAAGUAUGACAUGCUGGUAAGCAGUAUGACUUAUAUCGCCCACAACUCACUUGUGUUCUACUCGUGCAUAUAACAUCAACACAUAAAACCUAGGCUCAAAUGCCACUGUUGGGGAACGUAGUAAUUUCAAAAAAUUUCCUACGCACACGCAAGAUCAUGGUGAUGCAUAGCAACGAGAGGGGAGAGUGUUGUCAACGUAGCCUUGUAGACCGAAGCAGAAGCGUUGACGCAACGUAGAGGAAGUAGUCGUACGUCUUCCCGAUCCGACCGAUCCAAGCACCAUUACUCCGGCACCUCCGAGUUCUUGGCACACGUUCAGCUCGGUAACGAUCCCCAGGCUCCGAUCCAGCAAAGCGUCGGCGAGGAGUUCCAUCAGCACGACGGCGUGGUGACGAUCUUGAUGUUCUACCGUCGCAGGGCUUCGCCUAAGCACCGCUACAAUAUGACCGAGGUGUAAUAUCGUGGAGAGGGGCACCGCACACGGCUAAGGAACGAUCACGAAGAUCAACUUGUGUGUCCAUGGGGUGCCCCCUGCCCCCGUAUAUAAAGGAGUGGAGGAGGGGAGGGCUGGCCCUCUCUAUGGCGCGCCCUAGGGGAGUCCUACUCCCAACGGGAGUAGGAUUCCCCCUUUUCCUAGUCCAACUAGGAGUCCUUCCAUGUAGUAGGAGUAGGAGACAAGGAAGGGGAAGGGAGAAGGGAAAGAAGGAGGGGGCGCGGCCCCUCCCCCUAGUCCAAUUCGGACUAGGCCUUGGGGGGCGCACGGCCUGCCCUAGGCAGCCCCUCUCUCUUUCCCGUAUGGCCCAAUAAGGCCCAAUACUUCUCCCGGCGAAUUCCUGUAACUCUCCGGUACUCCGAAAAAUACCCGAACCACUCGGAACCUUUCCGAUGUCCGAAUAUAGUCGUCCAAUAUAUCGAUCUUUACGUCUCGACCACUUCGAGACUCCUCGUCAUGUCCCCGAUCCCAUCCGGGACUCCGAAAUCCUUCGGUACAUCAAAACUCAUAAACUCAUAAUAUAACUGUCAUCGAAACCUUAAGCGUGCGGACACUACGGUUCGAGAACAAUGUAGACAUGACUGAGACACGUCUCCAGUCAAUAACCAAUAGCGGGACCUGGAUGCCCAUAUUGGCUCCUACAUAUUCUACGAAGAUCUUUAUCGGUCAGACCGCAUAACAACAUACGUUGUUCCCUUUGUCAUCGGUAUGUUACUUGCCCGAGAUUUGAUCGUCGGUAUCUCAAUACCUACUUCAAUCUCGUUACCGGCAAGUCUCUUUACUCGUUCCGUAAUACAUCAUCUCGCAACUAACUCAUUAGUUGCAAUGCUUGCAAGGCUUAUGUGAUGUGCAUUUCCGAGAGGGCCCAGAGAUACCUCUCCGACAAUCGGAGUGACAAAUCCUAAUCUCGAAAUACGCAAACCCAACAUGUACCUUUGGAGACACCUGUAGAGCUCCUUUAUAAUCACCCAGUUACGGUGUGACGUUUGGUAGCACACAAGGUGUUCCUCCGGCAAACGGGAGUUGCAUAAUCUCAUAGUCAUAGGAACAUGUAUAAGUCAUGAAGAAAGCAAUAUCAACAUACUAAACGAUCGGGUGCUAAGCUAAUGGAAUGGGUCAUGUGAAUCAGAUCAUUCAACUAAUGAUGUGAUCUCGUUAAUCAAAUAACAACUCUUUGUCCAUGGUUAGGAAACAUAACCAUCUUUGAUUAACGAGCUAGUCAAGUAGAGGCAUACUAGUCACACUCUGUUUGUCUAUGUAUUCACACAUGUAUUAUGUUUCCGGUUAAUACAAUUCUAGCAUGUAUAAUAAACAUUUAUCAUGAUAUAAGGAAAUAAAUAAUAAUUUUAUUAUAGCCUCUAGGGCAUAUUUACUUCAUGGAUUGCCUACCAAAGAUGGCAAUAGCUAGAUCUAUCCUUGCUUGUUAUGCCUAACUAGGGGCGUUAAACGAUAGCGCUUUUUGGGAGGCAACCCAAUUUUGUUUUUAUUCCUUGAUUUUUGCUCCUGUUUAGUAAUAAAUAAUUUAUCUAGCCUCUGUUUUGGUUGUGUUCUUUGUGUUUAAUUAGUGUUUGUGCCAGGUAGAACCGUUAGGAAGACUUGGGGAAAGUCUUGUUACACUUGCUGUAAAAAACAGAAACUUCAGCGCUCACGAGAACUGCUGCCAUUUUUAUUUGGAAAGUGCUAUUUAGUUAAUUAUUUCCGCAGAUGAUUAAUAGAUAAAUUCCUCACGUCCAGCACUUUAUUUUAGAAUUUUUGGGGUUCCAGCUCUUGAGCUAGCUACAGAUUACUACAGACUGUUCUGUAUUUGAAACAUUCUGUUUUUUCGUGUGUUGUUUGCUUAUUUUGAUGAACCUAUGGCUAGUAAAAUAGUUUAUAAACCACAGAGAAGUUGGAAUACAGUAGUUAUAACACCAAUAUAAAUAAAUAAUGAGUUCAUUAAAGUACCUUGAAGUGGUCUUUUUUAUUUUCUUUCGCUAACGGAGCUCACAAGAUUUUCUACUUCAAGUUUGUGUUGUGAAGUUUUCAAGUUUUGGGUAAAAAUUUGAUGGAUUAUGGAACAAGUAGUGACAAGAGCCGAAGCUUGGGGAUGCCCAUGGCACCCCCAAGAUAAUCUAAUUACACCUAAAAGCCAAAGCUUGGGGAUGCCCGGGAAGUCAUCCCCUCUUUCGUCUACUUCUAUGGGUAACUUUACUUGGAGCUAUAUUUUUAUUCGCCACAAGAUAUGUGUUUUGCUUGGAGCGUCUUGUAUUGUUUGACUCUUUAUUUUUUAGUUUACCACAAUCAUCCUUGCUGUACACACCUUUUGAGAGAGCCAUACAUGAUUUGGAAUUUGUUAGAAUACUCUAUGGGCUUCGCUUAUAUCUUUUGAGUUAUAUAGUUUUGCUCUAGUACUUCACUUAUAUCUUUUAGAGCACGGUGGUGGAUUUGUUUUAUAAAAACUAUUGAUCUCUCAUGCUUCACUUAGAUUAUUUUGAGAUGCUUAAUAGCAUGGUAAUUUGCUUAAAAUCCUAAUAUGCUAGGUAUUCAAAGUUAGUAAAAUUUUCUUACGAGUGUUUUUAAUACUAAGAGAAGUUUGAUGCUUGAUGAUUGUUUUGAGAUAUGGAGGUAAUAAUAUCAAAGUCGUGCUAGUUGAGUAGUUGUGAAAUUGAGAAAUACUUGUGUUGAAAUUUGCAUGUCCCGUAGCAUGCACGUAUUGUAAACGUUGUGUAACAAAUUUGAAACAUGAGGUGUUAUUUGAUUGUCUUCCUUAUGAGUGGCGGUCGGGGACGAGCGAUGGUCUUUUCCUACCAAUCUAUUGUUUGGGAACGUACUAAUUUCAAAAAAAAUCCUACGCACACGCAAGACCAUGGUGAUGCAUAGCAACGAGAGGGGAGAGUGUGAUCUACGUACCCUUGUAGAUCAACAGCGGAAGCGUUGAUGCAACAUAGAGGAAGUAGUCGUACGUCUUCCUGAUCCGACCGAUCGAAGCACCAUUACUCCGGCACCUCCGAGUUCUUAGCACACGUACAGCUCGAUGACGAUCCCGGGCUCCGAUCCAGCAAAGGGUCGGGGAGGAGUUCCGUCAGCACGACGGCGUGGUGACGAUCUUGAUGUUCUACCGUCGCAGGGCUUCGCCUAAGCACUGCUACAAUAUGAUGGAGGUGGAAUAUGGUGGCACGGGGCACCGCACACGGCUAAGGAACGAUCUCAAUGAUCAACUUGUGUGUCUAGAGGUGCCCCCUGCCUCCGUAUAUAAAGGAGCCAAGGGGGAGGGGGCCGCCGGCCAGGAGGAGGGCGCAGGAGGAGUCCUACUCCUACCGGGAGUAGGACUCCCCCCCCCCAAUCCUAGUUGGACUAGGAUUCCCCGAGGGGGAAAGAGAGAGAGGGGGGCCGGCCACCUCUCCUAGUCCUAAUAGGACUACGGGAGGGGGGAGGCGCGCGGCCACCUUGGGCUGCCCCUUUCUCCUUUCCACUAAAGCCCAUCAAGGCCCAUAUGGCUCCCGGGGGGUUCCGGUAACCUCCCGGUACUCCGGUAAAAUCCCGAUUUCACCCGGAACACUUCCGAUGUCCAAAUAUAGGCUUCCAAUAUAUCAAUCUUUAUGUCUCGACCAUUUCGAUACUCCUCGUCAUGUCUGUGAUCACAUCCGGGACUCCGAACUAACUUCGGUACAUCAAAAUGCAUAAACUCAUAAUAACUGUCAUCGUAACGUUAAGCGUGUGGACCCUACGGUUCGAGAAUAAUGCAGACAUGACUGAGACACAUCUCCGGUCAAUAACCAAUAGCAGGACCUGGAUGCCUAUAUUGGCUCCUACAUUUUCUACGAAGAUCUUUAUCAGUCACACCGCAUAACAACAUAUGUUGUUCCCUUUGUCAUCGGUAUGUCAUUUGCCCGAGAUUCGAUCGUCAGUAUCCAAUACCUAGUUCAAUCUCGUUACCGGCAAGUCUCUUUACUCGUUCCGUAAUACAUCAUCUCGCAACUAACUCAUUAGUUGCAAUGCUUGCAAGGCUUAAGUGAUGUGCAUUACCGAGAGGGCCCAGAGAUACCUCUCCGACAAUCGGAGUGACAAAUCCUAAUCUCGAAAUACGCCAACCCAACAUCUACCUUUGGAGACACCUGUAGUACUCCUUUAUGAUCACCCAGUUACGUUGUGAUGUUUGGUAGCACCCAAAGUGUUCCUCCGGUAAACGGGAGUUGCAUAAUCUCAUAGUCAUAGGAACAUGUAUAAGUCAUGAAGAAUAGCAACAGCAACAUACUAAACGAUCGGGUGCUAAGCUAAUGAAAUGGGUCAUGUCAAUCAGAUCAUUCAACUAAUGAUGUGACCUCGUUAAUCAAAUAACAACUCUUUGUUCAUGGUUAGGAAACAUAACCAUCUUUGAUUAACGAGCUAGUCAAGUAGAGGCAUACUAGUGACACUCUGUUUGUCUAUGUAUUCACACAUGUAUUAUGUUUCCGGUUAAUACAAUUCUAGCAUGAAUAAUAAACAUUUAUCAUGAUAUAAGGAAAUAAAUAAUAACUUUAUUAUUGCCUCUAGGGCAUAUUUCCUUCAGUCUCCCACUUGCACUAGAGUCAAUAAUCUAGAUUACACAGUAAUGAUUCUAACACCCAUGGAGCCUUGGUGCUGAUCAUGUUUUGCUCGUGGAAGAGGCUUAGUCAACGGGUCUGCAAUAUUCAGAUCCAUAUGUAUCUUGCAAAUCUCUAUGUCUCCCACCUAGACUAGAUCCCGGAUGGAAUUGAAGCGUCUCUUGAUGUGCUUGGUUCUCUUGUGAAAUCUGGAUUCCUUUGCCAAGACAAUUGCACCAGUAUUGUCACAAAAGAUUUUCAUUGGACCCGAUGCACUAGGUAUGACACCUAGAUCGGAUAUGAACUCCUUCAUCCAGACUCCUUCGUUUGCUGCUUCCGAAGCAGCUAUGUAUUCUGCUUCACAUGUAGAUCCCGCUACGACGCUUUGUUUAGAACUGCACCAACUGACAGCUCCACCGUUUAAUGUAAACACGUAUCCGGUUUGCGAUUUAGAAUCGUCCGGAUCAGUGUCAAAGCUUGCAUCAACGUAACCUCUUACGGUGAGCUCUUUGUCACCUCCAUAUACGAGAAACAUAUCCUUAGUCCUUUUCAGGUAUUUCAGGAUGUUCUUGACCGCUGUCCAGUGAUCCACUCCUGGAUUACUUUGGUACCUCCCUGCUAAACUUAUAGCAAGGCACACAUCAGGUCUGGUACACAGCAUUGCAUACAUGAUAGAGCCUAUGGCUGAAGCAUAGGGAACAUCUUUCAUUUUCUCUCGAUCUUCUGCAGUGGUCGGGCAUUGAGUCUGGCUCAACUUCACACCUUGUAACACAGGCAAGAACCCUUUCUUUGCUUGAUCCAUUUUGAACUUCUUCAAAAUCUUGUCAAGGUAUGUGCUUUGUGAAAGUCCAAUUAAGCGUCUUGAUCUAUCUCUAUAGAUCUUUAUGCCUAAUAUGUAAGCAGCUUAACCGAGGUCUUUCAUUGAAAAACUCUUAUUCAAGUAUACCUUUAUGCUAUCCAGAAAUUCUAUAUCAUUUCCAAUCAGCAAUAUGUCAUCCACAUAUAAUAUCAGAAAUGCUACAGAGUUCCCACUCACUUUCUUGUAAAUACAGGCUUCACCGAAAGUCUGUAUAAAACCAAAUGCUUUGAUCACACUAUCAAAGCGUUUAUUCCAACUCCGAGAGGCUUCCACCAGUCCAUAAAUGGAUCGCUGGAGCUUGCACACUUUGUUAGCUCCCUUUGGAUCGACAAAACCUUCCGGUUGCAUCAUAUACAACUCUUCUUCCAGAAAUCCAUUCAAGAAUGCAGUUUUGACAUCCAUCUGCCAAAUUUCAUAAUCAUAAAAUGCGGCAAUUGCUAACAUGAUUCGGACAGACUUAAGCAUCGCUACGGGUGAGAAGGUCUCAUCGUAGUCAACCCCUUCAACUUGUCGAAGACCUUUUGCGAGAAGUCGAGCUUCGUAGACAGUAACAUUACCAUCACCGUCAGUCUUCUUCUUGAAGAUCCAUUUAUUCUCAAUUGCUUGCCGAUCAUCGGGCAAGUCAACCAAAUCCAUACUUUGUUCUCAUACAUGGAUCCCAUCUCAGAUUUCAUGGCUUCAAGCCACUUUGCGGAAUAUGGGCUCACCAUCGCUUCUUCAUAGUUCGUAGGUUCAUCAUGAUCUAGCAGCAUGAUUUCCAGAACAGGAUUACCGUACCACUCUGGUGCAGAUCUCGCUCUGGUUGAUCUACGAGGUUCAGUAGUAUCUUGUCCUGAAGUUUCAUGAUCUUUAUCAUUAGCUUCCUCACUAAUUGGUAUAGGUGUCGCAGAAACAGUUUUUCUGUGAUGUACUACUUUCCAAUAAGGGAGCAGGUAUAGUUACCUCGUCAAGUUCUACUUUCCUCCCACUCACUUCUUUCGAGAGAAACUCCUUCUCUAGAAAUGAUCCAUUCUUAGCAAUGAAUGUCUUACCUUCGGAUUUGUGAUAGAAGGUGUACCCAACAGUCUCCUUUGCGUAUCCUAUGAAGACACAUUUCUCCGAUUUGGGCUCGAGCUUAUGAGGUUGAAGCUUUUUCACAUAAGUAUCGCAGCCCCAAACUUUAAGAAACGACAACUUUGGUUUCUUGCCAAACCACAGUUCAUAAGGCGUCGUCUCAGCAGAUUUUGAUGGUGCCGUAUUUAGCGUGAAUGUGAGCGUCUCUAAAGCAUAACCCCAAAACGAUAGCGGUAAAUCAGUAAGAGACAUCAUAGAUCGCACCAUAUCUAGUAAAGUACGAUUCCGAUGUUCGGACACACCAUUACACUGUGGUGUUCCAGGUGGCGUGAGUUGCGAAACUAUUCCACAAUUUUUCAAAUGUACACCAGACUCGUAACUCAAAUAUUCUCCUCCACGAUCAGAUCGUAGAAACUUUAUUUUCUUGUUAUGAUGAUUUUCAACUUCACUCUGAAAUUCUUUGAACUUUUCAAAUGUUUCAGACUUAUGUUUCAUUAAGUAGAUAUACCCAUAUCUGCUUAAGUCAUCUGUGAAGGUGAGAAAAUAACGAUAUCCACCACGAGCCUCAAUAUUCAUCGGACCACAUACAUCAGUAUGCAUGAUUUCCAACAAAUCUGUUGCUCUCUCCAUAGUACCGGAGAACGGUGUUUUAGACAUCUUGCCCAUGGGGCACGGUUCGCAAGUACCAAGUGAUUCAUAAUCAAGUGGUUCCAAAAGUCCAUCGGUAUGGAGUUUCUUCAUGCGCUUUAUACCGAUAUGACCUAAACGGCAGUGCCACAAAUUAGUUGCACUAUCAUUAUCAACUCUGCAUCUUUUCGCCUCAACAUUAUGAAUAUAUGUGUUACUACUAUCGAGAUUCAUCGAAAAUAGACCACUCCUCAAAGGUGCAUGACCAUAAAAGAUAUUACUCAUAUAAAUAGAACAACCAUUAUUCUCUGAUUUAAAUGAAUAACCGUCUCGCAUCAAACAAGUUCCAGAUAUAAUGUUCAUGCUCAACGCUGGAACCAAAUAACAAUUAUUUAGGUCUAAUAUUAAUCCCGAAGGUAGAUGUAGAGGUAGCGUGCUGACCGCGAUCACAUCGACUUUGGAACCGUUUCCCACGCGCAUCGUCACCUCGUCCUUCGCCAGUGUUCGCUUAAUCCGUAGUCCCUGUUUCGAGUUGCAAAUAUUAGCAACAGAACCAGUAUCACAUACCCAGGUGCUACUGCGAGCUCUAGUAAGGUACACAUCAAUAACAUGUAUAUCACAUAUACCUUUGUUCACCUUGCCAUCCUUCUUAUCCGCCAAUACUUGGGGCAGUUCCGCUUCCAGUGACCAGUCUGCUUGCAGUAGAAGCACUCAGUUUCAGGCUUAGGUCCAGACUUGGGUUUCUUCUCUUGAGCAGCAACUUGCUUGCCGUUCUUCUUGAAGUUCCCCUUCUUCUUCCCUUUGCCCUUUUUCUUGAAACUAGUUGUCUUACUGACCAUCAACACUUGAUGCUCCUUUUUGAUUUCUACCUCCGCAGCUUUCAGCAUUGCGAAGAGCUCGGGAAUAGUCUUGUUCAUCCCUUGCAUAUUAUAGUUCAUCACAAAGCUCUUGUAGCUUGGUGGCAGUGAUUGGAGAAUUCUGUCAAUGACGCAAUCAUCUAGAAGAUUAACUCCCAUCUGAAUCAAGUGAUUAUUAUACCCAGACAUUCUGAGUAUAUGCUCACUGACAGAACUGUUCUCCUCCAUCUUGCAGCUAUAGAACUUAUUGGAGACUUCAUAUCUCUCAAUCCGGGCAUUUUCUUGAAAUAUUAACUUCAACUCCUGGAACAUCUCAUAUGCUCCAUGACGUUCAAAACGUCGUUGAAGUCCCGAUUCUAAGCCGUAAAGCAUGGCACACUGAACUAUCAAGUAGUCAUCAGCUUUGCUCUGCCAGACGUUCAUAACAUCUAGUGUUGCUCCAGCAGCAGGCCUGGCACCUAGCGGUGCUUCCAAGACGUAAUUCUUCUGAGCAACAAUGAGGAUAAUCCUCAAGUUACGGACCCAGUCCGUGUAAUUGCUACCAUCAUCUUUCAACUUUGCUUUCUCAAGGAACGUAUUAAAAUUCAACGAAACAACAACACGAGCCAUCUAUCUACAAUCAACAUAAACAAGCAAGAUACUAUCAGGUACUAAGUUCAUGAUAAGUUUAAGUUCAAUUUAAUCAAAUUACUUAAGAACUCCCACUUAGAUAGACAUCCCUCUAAUCGUCUAAGUGAUCACGUGAUCCAAAUCAACUAAACCAUAACCGAUCAUCACGUGAGAUGGAGUAGUUUUCAAUGGUGAACAUCGUUAUGUUGAUCAUAUCUACUAUAUGAUUCAUGCUCGACCUUUCGUUCUCCGUGUUCCGAGGCCAUAUCUGCAUACGCUAGGCUCGUCAAGUUUAACCUGAGUAUUCUGCGUGUGCAAAAACUGGCUUGCACCCGUUGUAGAUGGACGUAGAGCUUAUCACACCCGAUCAUCACGUGGUGUCUGGGCACGACGAACUUUGGCAGCAGUGCAUACUCAGGGAGAACACUUCUUGAUAAUUUAGUGAGAUAUCAUCUUAUAAUGCUACCGUCAAUCAAAGCAAGAUAAGAUGCAUAAAAAGAUAAACAUCACAUGCAAUCAAUAUAAGUGAUAUGAUAUGGCCAUCAUCAUCUUGUGCUUGUGAUCUUCAUCUCCGAAGCACCGUCAUGAUCACCAUCGUCACCGGUGCGACACCUUGAUCUCCAUCGUAGCAUCGUUGUCGUCUCGCCAAUCUUAUGCUUCCACGACUAUCGCUACCGCUUAGUGAUAAAGUAAAGCAUUACAUCGCGAUUGCAUUGCAUACAAUAAAGCGACAACCAUAUGGCUCCUGCCAGUUGCCGAUAACUCGGUUACAAAACAUGAUCAUCUCAUACAAUAAAAUUUAGCAUCAUGUCUUGACCAUAUCACAUCACAACAUGCCCUGCAAAAACAAGUUAGACGUCCUCUACUUUGUUGUUGCAAGUUUUACGUGGCUGCUACGGGCUUAAGCAAGAACCAAUCUCACCCACGCAUCAAAACCACAACGAUAGUUUGUCAAAUAGACUCCGUUUUAUCCUUCGGAAGGACCGGGCGUAGCCACACUCGGUUCAACUAAAGUUGGAGAAACAGUCGCCCGCAAGGCACCUGUGUGCAAAGCACGUCGGGGGAACCGGUCUCACGUAAGCGUACGCGUAAUGUUGGUCCGGGUCGUCUCGUCCAACAAUACCGCCGAACCAAAGUAUGACAUGCUAGUAGGCAGUAUGACUUGUAUCACCCACAACUCACUUGUGUUCUACUCGUGCAUAUAACAUCAAACCAUAAAACCUAGGCUCGGAUGCCACUGUUUGGGAACGUAGUAAUUUCAAAAAAAUUCCUACGCACACGCAAGAUCAUGGUGAUGCAUAUCAACGAGAGGGGAGAGUGUGAUCUACGUACCCUUGUAGAUCAAUAGCGGAAGCAUUGACGCAAUGUAGAGGAAGUAGUCGUACGUCUUCCUUAUCCGAUCGAUCCAAGCACCAUUACUCCGGCACCUCUGAGUUCUUAGCACACGUACAGCUCGAUGACGAUCCCCGGGCUCCGAUCCAGCAAAGCGUCGGGGGGGAGUUCCGUCAACACGACGGCGUGGUGAUGAUCUUGAUGUUCUACCAUCGCAGGGCUUCGCCUAAGCACUGCUCCAAUAUGAUCGAGGUGGAAUAUGGUGGCAGGGGGCACCGCACACGGCUAAGGAACGAUCUCAAUGAUCAACUUGUGUGUCUAGAGGUGCCCCCUGCCUCCGUAUAUAAAGGAGCCAAGGGGGAGGGGGCCGCCGGCCAGGAGGAGGGCGCAGGAGGAGUCCUACUCCUACCAGGAGUAGGACUCCCCCCCCCCAAUCCUAGUUGGACUAGGAUUCCCCGAGGGGGAAAGAGAGAGGGGGGGCCGGCCACCUCUCCUAGUCCUAAUAGGACUAGGGGAGGGGGGAGGCGCGCGGCCACCUUGGGCUGCCCCUUUCUCCUUUCCACUAAAGCCCAUCAAGGCCCAUAUGGCUCCCGGGGGGUUCCGGUAACCUCCCGGUACUCCGGUAAAAUCCCGAUUUCACCCGGAACACUUCCGAUGUCCAAAUGUAGGCUUCCAAUAUAUCAAUCUUUAUGUCUCGACCAUUUCGAGACUCCUCGUCAUGUCCGUGAUCACAUCCGGGACUCCGAACUAACUUUGGUACAUCAAAAUGCAUAAACUCAUAAUAACUGUCAUCGUAACGUUAAGCGUGUGGACCCUACGGUUCGAGAAUAAUGCAGACAUGACUGAGACACAUCUCCGGUCAAUAACCAAUAGCGGGACCUGGAUGCCCAUAUUGGCUCCUACAUUUUCUCCGAAGAUCUUUAUCGGUCAGACCGCAUAACAAAAUACGUUGUUCCCUUUUCAUCGGUAUGUUACUUGCCCGAGAUUUGAUCGUUGGUAUCUCAAUACCUAGUUCAAUCUCGUUACCGGCAAGUCUCUUUACUCGUUCCGUAAUACAUCAUCUCGCAACUAACUCAUUAGUUGCAAUGCUUGCAAGGCUUAUGUGAUGUGCAUUACCGAGAGGGCCCAGAGAUACCUCUCCGACAAUCGGAGUGACAAAUCCUAAUCUCGAAAUACGCCAACCCAACAUCUACCUUUGGAGACACCUGUAGAGCUCCUUUAUAAUCACCCAGUUACAUUGUGACGUUUGUUAGCACACAAAGUGUUCCUCCGGGAAACGGGAGUUGCAUAAUCACAUAGUCAUAGGAACAUGUAUAAGUCAUGAAGAAAGCAGUAGCAACAUACUAAACGAUCGGGUGCUAAGCUAAUGAAAUGGGUCAUGUCAAUCAGAUCAUUCAACCAAUGAUGUGACCUCGUUAAUCAAAUAACAACACCUUGUUCAUGGUUAGGAAACAUAACCAUCUUUGAUUAACGAGCUAGUCAUGUAGAGGCAUACUAGUGACACUAAGUUUGUCUAUGUAUUCACACAUGUAUUAUGUUUCCGGUUAAUACAAUUCUAGUAUGAAUAAUAAACAUUUAUCAUGAUAUAAGGAAAUAAAUAAUAACUUUAUUAUUGCCUCUAAGGCAUAUUUCCUUCAUCUAUCCCCCUAGGAGCAUGCGCGUAGUACCGAGGUUUUUGAUGACUUGUAGAUUUUUGCAAUGAGUAUGUGAGUUCUUUAUGACUAAUGUUGAGUCCAUGAAUUAUACGCACUCUCACCCUUCCAUCCUUGCUAGCCUCUUCGGUACCGUGCAUUGCCCUUUCCCACAUUGAGUGUUGGAGCAAACUUCGCCAAUGCAUCCAAACCCUGUGAUAUGAUACGCUCUUUCACACAUAAACCUCCUUAUAUCUUCCUCAAAACAGCCACCAUACCUACCUAUUAUGGCAUUUCCAUAGCCAUUCCGACUUAUAUUGCCAUGCAACUUUCCACCAUUCCGUUCAUCAUGACACAUUUAGCAUUGUCAUAUUGCUUAGCAUAAUCAUGUAGUUGACAUAGUAUUUGUGGCAAAGCCACCGUUCAUAAUUCUUUCCUACAUGUCACUAUUGGUCCACUGCAUAUCCGGUACACCGCCGGAGGCAUUUAUAUAGAGUCAUACUUUGUUCUAGUAUCGAGUAGUAAUUAUUGAGUUGUAAAUAAAUAGAAGUGUGAUGAUCAUCAUUAAUAGAGCAUGGUCCCAAAAAGAGAAAAAAGGAAGGGCCAAAAAAAGGCCAAAUAAAAAAAUAUAAAAAAGGGGGGCAAUGCUACUAUCCUUUUUUUCCACACUUGUGAUUCAAAGUAGCACCGUAAUCUUCAUGAUAGAGAGUAUCUUGAUUUGUCACUUUCAUAUACUAGUGGGAAUUUUGCAUUGUAGAACAAUGGGCCUCCUCAAGUGCCCUAGCUCUUCGUGAGCAAGCAAGUUGGAUGCACACCCACUUAGUUUCUUUUGUUGAGCUUUCAUACAUUUAUAGCUCUAGUGCAUCCGUUGCAUGGCAAUCCUUACUCCUUGCAUUAACAUCAAUCGAUGGGCAUCUCCAUAGCCCAUUGAUUAGCCUCAUUGAUGUGAGACUUUCUCCUUUUUGUCUUCUCCACAUAACCCCAGUGAUUAUAUUCUAUUCCACCCAUAGUUUUAUGUCCAUGGCUUGCAAUCAUAUAUUGCGUGAAAGUUUAUAGGUUUGAGAUCACUAAAGUAUGAAACAAUUGCUUGGCUUGUCAUCGGGGUUGUGCAUGAUGAGAGCAUUCUUGUGUGAAGAAAAUGAAGCAUGAUUAAACUAUAUGAUUUUGUAGGGAUGAACUUUCUUUGGCCAUGUUAUUUUGAGAAGACAUAAUUGCUCAGUUAGUAUGCUUGACUCUUUUGGAUCUGAAUAUUCAUACCACAAGUAAGAAGAAUUACAUUAAAAUCAUGCCAAGUAGCACUCCGCAUCAAAAAUUCUGUUUUUAUCAUUUACCUACUCUAGGACGAGCAGGAAUUAAGCUUGGGGAUGCUUGAUACGUCUCCAACGUAACUAUAAUUUUUGAUUGCUCCAUGCUAUAUUAUCUACUGUUUUGGACAAUAUUGGGCUUUAUUAUCCACUUUUAUAUUAUUUUGUAACUAACCUAUUAUCUACUGUUUUGGACAAUAUUGCCUAGAUUUGCUGUUUUUUUGCCUGUUUUAGGGUUUCGAAGAAAAGGAAUAUCAAACGGAGUCCAAACGGAAUGAAACCUUCGGGAACGUGAUUUUCUCAACGAACAAGACCCAGGAGACUUGGACCCUCCGUCAAGACACAAAAGAGGAGGCCACGAGGUAGAGGGCGUGCCUACCCCCCCCCCCCUGCGCGCCCACCACCCUCGUGGGCCCCCUGUUGCUCCACCGACGUACUCCUUCCUCCUAUAUAUACCUACGUACCCCCAAACGAUCAUAUACGGAGCCAAAACCCUAAUUCCACCGCCGCAACUUUCUGUAUCCACGAGAUCCCAUCUUGGGGCCUGUUCCGGAGCUCCGCCAGAGGGGGCAUCGAUCACGGAGUGCUUCUACAUCAACACCAUAACCUCUCCGAUGAAGUGUGAGUAGUUCACCUCAGACCUACUGUUCCAUAGUUAUUAGCUAGAUGGCUUCUUCUCUCUUUUUGGAUCUAAAUACAAUGUUCUCCCCCUCUCUUGUGGAGAAUUAUUCGAUGUAAUCUUCUUUUUGCGGUGUGUUUGUUGAGACCGAUGAAUUGUGGGUUUAUGAUCAAGUCUAUCUAUGAAUAAUAUUUCAAUCUUCUCUGAAUUAUUUUAUGUAUGAUUGGUUAUCUUUGCAAGUCUCUUCGAAUUAUCAGUUUGGUUUGGCCUACUAGAUUGAUCUUUCCUGCAAUGGGAGAAGUGCUUAGCUUUGGGUUCAAUCUUGCGGUGUCCUUUCCCAGUGACAGUAGGGGCAGCAAGGCACGUAUUGUAUUGUUGCCAUCGAGGACAACAAGAUGGGGUUUUCAUCAUAUUGCAUGUGUCUAUCCCUCUACAUCAUGUUAUCUUGCUUAAGGCGUUAAUCUGUUUUUAACAUAAUACUCUAGAUGCAUGCUGGAUAGCUGUCGAUGAGUGGAGUAAUAGUAGUAGAUGUAGGCAGGAGCGGUCUACUUGUCUCGGACGUGAUGCCUAUAUACAUGAUGAUACCUAGAUAUUAUCAUAACUAUGCUCAAUUCUGUCAAUUGCUCAACAGUAAUUUGUUCACCCACCGUAGAAUACUUAUGCUCUCGAGGGAAGCCACUAGUGAAACCUAUGGCCCCGGGUCUAUCUUUAUCAUAUUAAUCUCCUACUACUUAGUUAUUUCCUUUGCUUUUUUACUUUGCCUUUAUUUUACUUUGCAUCUUUAUCACAAAAAUACCAAUAAAAUUAUCUUUAUCAUAUCUAUCAAAUCUCACUCUUGUAAGUGGCCGUGUAGGGAUUGACAACCCCUAUUCGCGUUGGUUGCGAGGAUUUAUUUGUUUUGUGCAGGUACGAGGGACUCGUGCGUAGCCUCCUACUGGAUUGAUACCUUGGUUCUCAAAACCUAAGGGAAAUACUUACGCUACUUUGCUGCAUCAUCCCUUCCUCUUCGGGGAAAACCAACGCAGUGCUCAAGAGGUAGCAAGGGUUCCUUUUUGUCGACGAUCCUAUGUUUCAACCUUGUUUUCCAGGCGGCCAAUGCGUCGCUAAACUUGGGCAUGGCGUGUUUGUUUAUCUUCUUCAUUGCCAGGUCCUUAUCUGGAUCUUUAUUAUCCUUUUCAUUGCGGUUAAUGAACAAGAAUAUCUGGUGCCGCUUCUUUAAAAGGGAGGGCCUCAUAUUAUCUAUCUUCUGUAGUUUCCCAUCGUUGAUCGUGGCAGUUGUCCGUACGAUGCAACCUAUUUGAUUGCCAUAGCACGAUUGCGCUUCCUCGGGCGCUAUUGUCUCAAAAAUACCGUUGUCCAUCUCCGUGACCACCAGUCUAGUACUCGUGAGCUGGUUUCGGCGCCGUGGCCUCUUUGCUUUCGGUUCUAGACCAGCUCCGCUAGUCUCGGCGCCGGUCUCAGUCUCAUCGCCGGUCUGCAUGUCGGUAUCAGUCCCCGAUGCGACAGCACAGUCGCUGCAACAUGGGUAAGGGAGACCACAUCAGUGCUGGGGGGGUCUGAAAAUUGGGACACACUUUCGCGCAUCGCGGGCCGCCUCUCAGACAGCUACUGGGGAGGCGGCGGAGUACCUGGGUGCGCGGUAAAUCCCCGGGAACUCGGUGACCAACUUCCUUCCCGUGUGGUGCAUGGAGACGACGACGACCCCGGCAAAGAGCAGCUUAGCCGUGAGCUGCACAGCCUCGUCCACCUCCUAAGUUGGGUCCUCCGCGCGAGCGUUGCGGGGCCGCCGCUCGGAUGGCUUCUGGAAGGCGCUUGUACAUGGGCAUAGGGUGAAUCCCGGCGAGAGCUAGCCAUUGGCGCGCGCAAGUAGACGACGACGUCCCCGACGAAGAGCAGCCCGGCCAGCUCGCCUCACUCUCCUUUGAUUAGAAUUGAAAGAUUGGGAAGAAGCAGACUUGAGCCUGCAGGGAAAGGAUAAGGUGACGAUGCAGUCUCCACUCGUUCGGGGCGACACGCGAAUUGAAUGUAUGAGAAACGUGACGUGGCAGGGACCCCAAGAUACUCCCUCCAUUUAUUUUUAGUCUGCAUAUAAAGUUUGGUCAAAGUCAAGAUUUGUAAAUUUUAACUAACUUUAUAAUAAAAAAAUAUCAACAUUCACAAUAUGAAAUAAUUAUUACCAGAUGCGUGAAGAAAUGUAUUUCCAUACUAUAUAGUUUUGGUAUUGGAGAUGUUCAUAUUUUUUUAUAUAAAUGGGAAGUAGAGGCACUCUUCCAUAUAAUGAAGUUUAUAAUAUAUGUGCUUAUAUUGUACUAUAAUUGUUUGAAUAACUUAGCAUAUGUUCAGAUGUAUGAUAUCUGUAAUUUAAGCGCUUGAAUUUUACAUAUAAAUAUUUAUUAAUAAAUAUGUACCCCUAUAAUAGCUAGGCCGUGCAGUUGCACGGGUAGAUGACUAGUGAUUACAGUCUUGUUUGUGUGCAAGUCAAGCUUAUCUAGUUUACACGUAACAACUCGUAGAACAUGUUUAUGCUUGCUAAUAACUUCUAGAACACUACAACACUUUACAUGUAAAAGGAAUUUCACGAGUCAUGGCCUACUAAAGCAAGUUACAUUACUAGUCUUAUAUCUAUCUUAACAGACCACACAAGACUACAAACUAAGUACCAUGACAGCCAUGCUUAUCUAGUUUAUGCGUAACAAUUUGCAGAAAAUUACAAACUUAGUUUUAGAAAAAUGGGCAAUCCAGAUUAGUGUUUGAGCUGUAAAGUGAAUAAGAUGAGUCAUGUGUGUUAUCACACCUUUUUGGUGGUGGAAUGAUAGUGCAACAACAAGGAACUUUAAUGAACAGUGCAAGAAUACACUUGUAAGUAGUGCCACCAAACAGAACAUACCAAAUGAUGAUUUUGAGAAGCAUCCAAGCACUUUCCACACAAACAAAUGCCAAUUGUGAAAGAGAUCAUUCCAUGGCAGCUAUAAAUAGCCCCGUAGCAUGACGAUCAUCCUUCCUCAUCCAUCAUUCUCAUAAGUAGAACGCAUCAUUUAAGCCAAGCAAGGUGUGGUCAAUACAAAUCCACCAUGAAGACAUUUCUCAUCCUUGCCCUCCUUGCUAUCGUGGCGACCACCGCCACAACUGCAGUUAGAGUUCCAGUGCCACAAUUGCAGCCACAAAAUCCAUCUCAGCAACAGCCACAAGAGCAAGUUCCAUUGGUACAACAACAACAAUUUCUAGGGCAGCAACAACCAUUUCCACCACAACAACCAUAUCCACAGCCGCAACCAUUUCCAUCACAACAACCAUAUCUGCAGCUGCAACCAUUUCCGCAGCCGCAACUACCAUAUUCGCAGCCACAACCAUUUCGACCACAACAACCAUAUCCACAACCGCAACCACAGUAUUCGCAACUACAACAACCAAUUUCACAGCAGCAGCAGCAGCAGCAACAACAACAACAACAACAACAACAACAACAACAACAACAACAACAACAACAACAACAACAACAACAACAACAACAACAACAAGAACAACAAAUCCUUCAACAAAUUUUGCAACAACAACUAAUUCCAUGCAUGGAUGUUGUAUUACAGCAACACAACAUAGCGCAUGGAAGAUCACAAGUUUUGCAACAAAGUACUUACCAGCUGUUGCAAGAAUUGUGUUGUCAGCACCUAUGGCAGAUCCCUGAGCAGUCGCAGUGCCAGGCCAUCCACAAUGUUGUUCAUGCUAUUAUUCUGCAUCAACAACAAAAACAACAACAACAACAACCAUCGAGCCAGGUCUCCUUCCAACAGCCUCAACAACAAUAUCCAUUAGGCCAGGGCUCCUUCCGGCCAUCUCAGCAAAACCCACAGGCCCAGGGCUCUGUCCAGCCUCAACAACUGCCCCAGUUCGAGGAAAUAAGGAACCUAGCGCUACAGACGCUACCUGCAAUGUGCAAUGUCUACAUCCCUCCAUAUUGCACCAUCGUGCCAUUUGGCAUCUUCGGUACUAACUGAGAAGAAAAUAACUCUAGUACUAGAUAUAUGAAACACCGUUUUCUCAGUCCAUGGUUUGGUCAUUGUAGCGGUGAAAAAAUAAUGUGACAUGCACUAUCAUGUAAGAACCCGAACUAUACUAGUUCAAACUUGGGAAUAAAAGACAAACACAGGUCUUGUCUACAUAUUUAUGUUGCAUUUAUCUAAAGAUAACAAAAUGAGUCUAAAAUUUGAAUUAAAUUGAAGUAUUUUCUUGGACUUUAAUUUGCACAUUAAUUAGAAAUUACUAUCCCUCGAUCUGGUAAAUCUUAACAAAUAGAAUUAUCUUGACCGUUAGAUUUAUGUAACAUAUAUAAUGCUCUGGGCCUCCAACGACUGUACGUGACACAUCUGAACGCACAUAUGUUAAAGAAAAUAUAUUUUGUAAAUGGUGGGCCUCUUUAAAAAGAGAACUUACGUACAUACACCAACUAAGAAAAACACAUACAUGUAAAUGGGAAAAGGAUGAGAUUUUCUCACGUACAUGUGUUGAUGCUUAAAAGUGGCACGAUCAUAAAGCAGCAUGCCGGGGCGAAAACCUUGCCGGGGUAAAAUCUUGCUGGUGUGAAAGCUUGCCGGUGUGAAGGCUUGCCGGCGUGGAAACCUUGCCGGCACAGAAAGAUCGCCGGUGCUUGCCGGUGUGAAAUCUUGCCGGGGGAGAAACCUUGUCAGGGAGGAACCCUUGCCGGAGUACAAACCUUGCCGGAGUGAAACCUUGCCGGUGUGAAAGCUUGCCGGGUAGAAACUUUGCCGGUGUGGAAAGCUUACUCGGAUGGAAAACUUGCCGGGUUGGAGGCUGAGAUAGUCAAUCGAACGAGAAGUUGAAGAUGGGCUCAAAAGGUUAUUCAGAUGAUCUCGGAUGGAAAAAUGAUCUACAGGGUUGUCUUCGUCUCGUCGAAACGAUCGAUUUUGAUAUAAAAAUCAUUCAAAUCCGAGUUCGUAUGCAAAAGUUAGAGCAAUCAGAGUGCAGCCCUGUCACGAGGCGAGAUGUGGCACGCCCACCAGACACAUGUCUGACGGGUAGUGUGAGGAAAUAGCCUGUGUUGCGAGACCGAUCUGACCCUCAAGAUGACCUCUGAUCAAAAAACCUUCAACAUGAAAGUUGUUCGUCUCGUCGAAACGGUCAAGAUUGCUUUUGGGCUUGUUUUCAUCCGGAAUCGUUUACCACCGCAAAAAAGACCCGCAAGGUGCAGCCAGUUUUAACCGAACAGUUUUGGAAAGUUUGGAUAAACCAGUCCGAAUUUGACUAAUGUUUUGGACGUGAAUUGAUGUAAUUUUCUUGUAAGGAAAGCCUAGAUAAAUUCUUGGCUUGUACGGGAAGUCCAGCUGCCUCUUAUAUAUGUUGGGGGUGGCGGCCGAUUGAAACAACACAUAAUCGAACAAACACAUAUACUACUUUUUCGUGUUCAUCUACUUUUUAUCUCUCCCUUGUAUCUUUCUUCUCGUUCUUCGCUAGUUCUUCAUGCUGGAGGGCUGCGGAUCCACGAGGCUCUAGGGGCGAGUGAAUCGACCUAGGGCAGCCCAUAGCCGCCGCAAUCCCUGACGGGGUCCCUCCCGGGUGCGCGGGGUUUCGGGUCUGCAAAAGCGCCCGCCGACUGCCUUGCGUAUCACGCUGUCGGUCGGGUCUCCUUCGACGUGAGCUACGGUGCAUCACCCCCGGCGUCGAGGGUAAACGUGACAUGUUCGUGUGCGAACACACUUUUUGGCGACUCCGCUGGGGACGAAGCUCUGAACAGUCUCCAGCCUGUUCUUGCUACGAGGAGAGCGUCACCAAGCGGCUGCAAUCUACAACGGUAACAUGUAUCGUCAAUCUCCUUGCGUAGAUGCAAAUAGCCAUUAUGUUGAUGUUGCUAGAUCUUUCAACGGACAUGUGAUGUCGGCCAGCCCUAAUGAGGAAAGGCCGACUAGUUAUUCCAUUGGAGAAACUUGGAAUUUACAGAAUCGUGACAUGCAACUUAUGAAUCUGAACUUUCGUGCAUCGGCAACAACUUUCAAUAUGCCGGUGAACAACACGAUUUGUUCGAGUGAUCAAUAUAGGACACCUCAUGUACAGGAGGGUAUCUCAAAGUUUUAUCCAUCGGCAGCCGGCUCGCAAUAUGCGGGUUCAUCCCCAAACAUGCCGAUGAAUGGGGGAAUCGGUCAUGCUUUUGUUAGCUAUUUGGCCGGUUAUCCUCAAACAUCAUAUACUACACCUCAUCAGAUUAAUUGUUCAAUGGCGUAUGAAACUAAAAAUAUUCAUAACUCGGCUCACGUUCACGGUCAUGGCCGAGUGAAUGGAGAUACUAUAGGAGCAUAUGUGCCUAAUAUUGCAGGAGAUGAGGUGGCUCUGGCUGCAUUAAAAAUUUUAGCCCAAAAUAAGAAGAUUAGUGCUAUUUUCCUUGAGCAACACGACAAGGGAUUGGUUCCUGAUUAUGAGGCAAUAAGAGCUAGGGUUUUGAAAGAAGACCAAGUGUUGCCGAUUGAUCAAAUUGUCGAGAGAAAAUAUUCAACAACGAUGCACAUGCCUUCACCUAUCAUUGCAGCAUGUUAUACACCCCCUGUACAAGCGCAAAAUUUCGGCAACAUUAAUUCAUUGCCGAAAGAUCCUAAAAGUAUUGGGGGGCAAGCCGAUCCAAGCAGGGUUGAGUUUAAAGAAAAAUAUCUAGCCCAAGUGGACAAGAUCAAGCCAAAGCUCACAGGGAAUAGAGUCAACGAAUUUACUACACCUACCCUUGAGGAAUUACCAGCAGAAUAUCGACAGGCCUACGAAGCACUCAAGAAGAAACGUGGAGAGGGAUAUUUGCAAGAAUACUUCAAGUGCCUUCCUCCAUGUAGCAACCAUGUUGGCCCUUCUACACUGUUGAGGCAAGAUAAAAAAAGAAGCUUUGCAAGCAAACCAGCAAAAAAGGAUUCACUCGGCUAAUACGGUGGAUUCGGUUGAAACCGGAUUGAGCAACGGGAUGUUUAAGGCCGAGUGCGUUGCAUCGUGCCAGCCGAGUGCAUCGUUCCAGACGAGUGCAUCACCAGCUAAAGCCGAGUGCAUCAAGCCAACUAUUGCCUCGUGUACGAAAAUAGAAGAUGCAAGCUUGGCUGAGCAAAGGAACAACAAACGCAACAAAUUGGUUGUGCUCGAUUUUUCUGGAUCUAAGGGAGCUUACAUGCUACCUUAUGAGUUUCGUGCUAAAGAUAUUGAUGAGCAUCAAGAACACAGUAAUGGCUGAACACAGUUCAGUUAACGAUGAACAUCAAGACCAAGAAAAUGCGGCCGAGCAAAGUUCAACUGACAAAGAGCGUCCGAGUGAAAUCCACUCGGGCAAUCCGACUGAAAUAUACUCGGGCAAUUCGAGUGAAAUAUACUCAGGCAAUCCGAGUGAUGAGGCACCAGAUCCAGAAAAAGAGGAAGAGGCAUUGGAGAAUUAUUCAUAAGUGGAGCAAUGUAUUGUUCCAGUGGUGCAACCAUCUUCUCCUUCCAAUGUCUUCACAAAGGUACACCUAGAAGAUAGUUUACUCAAUUUUCAAUUCGGUCAAAAUGAUAUUGUUGAUGUACCUAUUAGUAAGAUUCUAAUUAAUUUUGAAAGACCAAUUGAAAUGAGUAAUCUUUUUGUUAGGAAGGAUCUUGUCACUAAUCAUGAUAGUCAACACAUGGUAUCGUUCAUAGAGGCUAAUAGUGACAACUUAUCAAAACCAAAGUUGUUCUUGUCAUGCCAACUGAACUUUGUAUUCAUAUGGACAACUUUGUUUGUUUCAUGCCCGGCUAACAUUUGGACUCGUAUGAGCCGUAUAUUCUGUAAUUAUUUUAGUUGCAGAAACAUAAAGCCAGGUCCAAAGUCCUUCGAAGCCAAUUCAAAUGCAUCAGGAAAAGAAGAUGAAUCUUUCCCAAUUGAUAAAAUUGGCGAGCAAAAAUAUGGUUUUACAACAAUGCAUAUGCCUUCACCUAAUACUACAUCAUAUUAUACAGCCCCUACACAAUUGCAAAGUUUCGGCAACACCCAUGUGCCAUUGCCGAAAGAGUCUAAAAGCAAUGGGGGACAAUCGUAUCCGAAGUGGGCUGAAAAUGAGAAAAAGAUUAAAGCCAAUUUCGCCACUCGCCGCCAGAAACAAAAAGAAACAGAAUUGGCUCAAGUGAAAGAAGCAUUGCCAAUUGGUAGAAGCAAUGUAAAGAAAGAUGAUUCAGAACAUGAAAGUACUCCGGUUAAAAGAGCCGAAUCAAGAAGUAUAUAUUCUGAAUCCAUCAAAUGCAAAGAGGCAAGCAUUAUUGAGAAAGGGCAUGGCAAGCAUAGCAAAGCGACCAUACUUGAUUUUUCUAAAGUUAAUGGAACCUACUUCCUGCCCUAUGAGUUUCGUGCCAGAGAAUUUUGAUGAACUUCAAGGACAAGAACAAGUAGCCGAACAAAGUUCGGCCGACAAAAAUCUUCAAUGUAAUGAUGCACGGAAUCAAGAAAAAGAUGAUGAAGAAGCGUUGGGGGGCCAUCCAAAGGCGGAGCAAGAUAUUGUUCAAGUCACACCACCAUCGUGCUCUCCCAACAUAUUUGAAGAGGUAUGUUUAGCAAGUAAUUUACUUAUUUUCAGAUUUGGUCAGGACUUUAUUGUUGAUGCAUCUAUUGGAAAAAUCCUCAUAAGUAAUUUUGAAAGACCAAUGAAGAAGGGUAAUUUACUUGCUAGCAAUAAAGUUGUUAUUGAGCAUAUCGGUCAACCCAUUACGCCAUUUAUAAAGACCGAUAGUGACUUAUUAUUACAGCCAAAGCUUUCCCCGUUGCUUUAUCUAAAGUUCAUAUCUAUUUGGGUAGCUUUGCUUAUUUCAUACUUGGCUUGCACUUGGUCUCAAUUGAGACAUGUGUGUUCUAACUAUUUUCGUUUUAGAAAUUUAAAGCCAAGAUUAAAUUCUGUUGAGAAAACCGAUGCUAGUAUAAUAUCUUACCCAAAGACAUCGGAGAUAGAGUGCAAAACACAAUGCAUAGCCGAAUGGUGUGAUGCAAAAUCUGAACCAUUCGUUUGCUUAAUUCCAAAGCCGUUCUCACAGCAAGAUCGGCUAGAAAACAAGAAGUAUACCUUCAAUUCAAGCAUGUGUGUUCAAAUAUUUGAUUUGUUGCUGAAAAAUAAUUACAUUACAAUUCUUGAUCACCAUGUUAAGCCAUCAAUCCAAGGACGAAUGUAUUGUAAGUUGCAUGAUUCGUCCAAGCAUGAUUUUGAGGAUUGCAACAUGUUUCGUCAAAUAGUUAAAUCGGCCAUUGAAAAAGGACGAUUGAAGUUUGUUGAAACACCAAGAGAUGACCAGUCUAUUCCGAUUGGUCCCGAUGGCAAAAAGUUUUUGCAUCGGCUGCUUCGAGCCGAUCCAUUUAAAGAGAAGGUAAAAACUGCAGGUGAUGGGAUCAAGCUUUCAACUAAAGAAGUUGUUGAAGAGCAUAAUGAACAUAAUCUUGAGGGUGAGAAUUCCAUCGAAGCUACAAUGGAGACGCCAAGGACUGGGGGGCAGCAAGCAAAUCCAACGAUCGAUGAAAGCAAACCAAAAGAAAACAAAGGCCGAAAUAAGCGCAAGUGUAAAAUAUCAAAAAUCACCUUCGCUGAACUAUUGGAGAAAUAUCAAAAGAAGAGUGAAGAGAAGAAUGCUUAUCGGCCCAAUCAUGCAAAGAAACCAAAAUCACCCCCAAGGCGCAAAUAUGAGGAUCCGUAUUGGCAAAGUGAGAGUUUCAAUGCAACAUAUUCAUAUCCUUAUUUUGGGCCGCCAAUGACAAUGCCGUGGAUGCCUCCCUAUACUCAUGUAGAUCCAUGUUCAUCAUGGGACAGGUAUGAUACAAGGGCACAUUCUCCAUCUUAUUUUAGACCAUCUCACCAAUAUUAUGCAGCUCCGAGAAGAUCAACAUUUGAACAGUCACAUGUUAAAGAUCGUUUCAAUUAUAAGGAAUCGGUCCGGACACCAUGGAUGAAAAAAGAGGUGGUCAACCAAGUCUACCGCGUGAAAAGAGAUGGUCGUAAGUGUGCUACUUCAGAUUUGAUCUCAAAUAAUAAAGAGCCAAUUAAAGUGUUGACAUUGUCUACAAAAGGCAAUGAGACGAAGCAACCAAUUAUUGAGAGUCAAAGUGCCAAAUCAGAAGAAAAGAAGUUGAGAGUGCACAAGGUCAAAAAGGAAUUGCCAUUGGUCAGAACAGAAUCAUAGCCGAGAUGCCCACUCGGCUUAUCGUAUUGGCAAAAGAGGGAAUUACACAAACUUAGUGCACAAGAACUUGAAGAAAGGAACAUGGCAUGGGUUCCCAAAGGAAGUGCUCAAAAUAAGAAUUAUGUGCAUGCCUCCAUUACAAGAAGUGCGGCAAAAGUGAAGAAGGAAAAGAGUAAAAACUAUGAAGGACCAAGCCGAAGGAUUCAACAUCUUUGGUCUACACAUUAUCCAUAUUCUUCAACUAUGCCAUUAACGCCUAUGCCAUGGAAUUCGUCAUCAGGUAUGAUUGGUAACCCUCAAUGGGCUUAUUUUAAUCCAUGGAUGCAAUAUAAUUUCUUACGUCAUGAAAGGGUAUUACCAAGUCACUAUACAUUUGAUUAGCUACAAGUUUGUUGCUGAUCCAGAGGGCCGAAAUACUUGAUUUGUCAUUUCAUUUGUUUAUUUCGGCUAUAUGUGCUUUGAAUGAAGUUUACAUGGUAAUGGCCGAUGAUAUUUAUCUAUCGUCCUAAGAGUAUGUCAAUUCAUGCCCGGUGUAGUAUUCUAAUAUCAUCCUUAGUUUGAUGGAGAGCGAGACAAGGUACAUGCUCAUGAAAAUUUAUAUGUAUGCCUAUAUUAUGAUUGAAUGGAGUUGAGACAUCAUGACCGAUGUCAUUGAAUAUAUGCUGCAUAGACCAAUUCAUAGCUGCAGAAUUGGUUGGUGGGCUUAUACUUUGUUUGGAUAUGAUUUGGCUUAUGCAUCUUUGAGAUCUAUAAGAGGCCAAAUCAUAGUUGAUUUUGUUACUGAACAUCGGAUUAGUGUCAUGCAUAAUAUUAAUAUUAUCCUUGUCUCUCUAGUACUAUGGAGAUUAUGUUUUGAUGGUUCAAUUCAUAGCAAUGGCCAAAGUGUUGGUGUUGUUUAUAUAUUUCUUUAUGGUACUAUUUUUUGAAGCCUCGUGCCGCUUAGAAUAUUUUUAUGCACGAUUAAUCAAGGCCGAAUAUGCAUUGUUAUUCGGAUUGACUCUUUUACUUGCUGUAGGUGUUAUACAGAUUGAGGCUUUUGGUGAUUCGUUAUGAGUAGUGCAACAAAUAUCCAAGGAUUAUCAAUGUGUUUUGACGAAUCACUUAUAGUUUAUCUUGGGUUUGUCUAGAUGAAGAAUUUACCUUGGGUUGCAUUAAAUUUUUUCAUAUAUUUAGACAUGACAAUUGGAGAGAGUUGGCAUAGCAAGCAUCCGGCUACCAUGUCCAUCAUGUUGUAUUGCGUUUCUCUCAAUAGCCGAUGCUUAGUCUUGUCAACAUAGGUAAGGCCGAACCGAAGUCUAGAACUUCGGACACUAAUGAAAUUUUUAUGCAGGCGAAAGUAAGGAUUGGAGAAAGUUUAUUGUUGAUUGUCUACAAAAUCCUAGCAAAAGGGUGAACAAUAUGGUUCGGAGUAUGACAUUGAGAUACAUAUCUAUGGAACUUUAUCACCGGAUUGUUAAUGAAGCUGAGAAGGUUUCACCCAAGUUUGCAUCAGAAAGUUCACACAAGACAUGGCCGAUAUAUACUUAUCGUCCUAAGAACAUAUAAAUGGCCGAUGGAGUGUUGACAUCGUCCUUAGAACAAACUUGGUACAAGUAUUUUUCGGCAUGCUAGCUUUACCGAAAAACGGGAGGGCAUGUGUUGACGCUCAAAAGUGGCACGAUCAUAAAGCAGCAUGCCGGGGCGAAAACCUUGCCGGGGUAAAAUCUUGCCGGUGUGAAAGCUUGCCGGUGUGAAGGCUUACCGGCGUGGAAAGCUUGCCGGCACAGAAAGAUCGCCGGUGCUUGCCGGUGUGAAAUCUUGCCGAGGGAGAAAUCUUGUCAGGGAGGAACCCUUGCCGGAGUACAAACCUUGCCAGAGUGAAACCUUGCCGGUGUGAAAGCUUGCCGGGUAGAAACAUUGCCGGUGUGGAAACCUUACUCGGAUGGAAAACUUGCCGGGUUGGAGGCUGUGAUAGUCAAUCGAACGAGAAGUUGAAGAUGGGCUCAAAAGGUUAUUUAGAUGAUCUCGGAUGGAAAAAUGAUCUACACGGGUUGUCUUCAUCUCGUCCAAACGAUCGAUUUUGAUAUAAAAAUCGUUCAAAUUUGAGUUUGUAUGCAAAAGUUAGAGCAAUCGGAGUGCAGCCCUGUCACGAGGCGAGAUGUGGCGCCCCCCACCAGACACAUAUCUGACGGGUAGCGCGAGGAAAUAGCCUGUGUUGCGAGACCGAUCUGACCCUCAAGAUGAUCUCUGAUCAAAAAACCUUCAACAUGAAAGUUUUUCGUCUCGUCGAAACAGUCAAGAUUGCUUUUGGGCUUGUUUUCAUCCGGGAUCGUUUACCACCGCAAAAAAGACCCGCAAUGUGCAGCCAGUUUAAACCGAACAGUUUUGGAAAGUUCGGAUAAACCAGUCGGAAUUUGACUAGGGUUUUGGACGUGAAUUGAUGUAAUUUUCUUGUAAGGAAAGCCUAGAUAAAUUCUUUGCUUGUACGGGGAGUCCAGCCGCCUCUUAUAUAUGUUGGGGGUGACGGCCGAUUGAAACAACACACAAUCGAACAAACACAUCUACUACUUUUUCGUGUUCAUCUACUUUUUAUCUCUCCCUUGUAUCUUUCUUCUCGUUUUUCGCAAGUUCUUCAUGCUGGAGGGCUGCGGAUCCACGAGGCUCUAGGGCCGAGCGAAUCGACCUAGGGCAGCCCAUAGCCGCCGCAAUCCCUAACGGGGUCCCUCUCAGGUGCGCGGGAUUUCGGGUCUACAAAAGCGCCCGCCGACUGUCUUGCGUAUCGCGCUGUCGGUCGGGUCUCCUUCGACGUGAGCUGCGGUGCAUCACCCCCGGCGUCAAGGUUACAUGUGACGUGUUCGUGUGCGAACAACGUGCUCCCUGGCUCCACCCCGUUGAAAAAAUAUACAUUUGGAGGCCACUUUGUUUCCUCAUCAAAAAAAACUUACGUUAAAAAGAUUGCAUGCAUCCCAGGGAAAGUAAUCAAGAAGAAGUCGGACUCUUCCUUACAAAAACAAGGAACGUGUUAAGUUAACUUCAAAGAAAAAGGAACAUGUUAAGUUAAAAAAAAGAAGAAACAUGUUAAGUUAGAAAAAAACAAGGAACGUGUUGUCCUAGGAAAGAUAUGUGUCAAAUCUUACAAAAAAAAGAAUACACACACGUACGUUCAUGCACUUGGAAAAUAGAAAAAAAAGGAACAUCACGUAUGUAUACACUUCGGAAACUCAUUACAUGACCAUGUCUGAUAUACUCAUCUAAUGCUUAAUAUUAGUGCCUAAUAAUUUAUAUUUAAAAUUUAAUUUACUGAUCAAAUAUCCCCAAUGUUUAAAUUUUAAUUUGGCACAUUGUUUGGCUAUAGUAUGAACCUAAAUUUCCUCUUAUUAUUAUAUAUCAUGAUAAUAAUCCAAAGGCGACUAAUCUGCGCUGGUGCACCGGGGCAAUCAAUUCGGCCGGACACAGCGCGGCCUUUUGAUUAGAUUGCAUUUAACCGUCUGAUCUGGAAUUGUUUUCUUUCCAAUUAAACGGAUUCAACCAAACAGCAGAGGGGAAAACAAAGCAGCGCCGCCGCCAACACUAGCCAUGGACGAUCGAUGUAGCAAAACCUUGAAGAACCGCCGCCGGUCGCCACCCUCGCCGCUGGUGGCCGCCCUCGCCAUCGGUCACCGCCGGUCGCCGCCCUCGCCGCCUGCGUUUCUCAUCGGCUUCAUGCAUGCAACAACAUGCACUCGUGGUUGCAGGCUUGCAGCUCCGGCUCCGGGGGACAUGGCCGCAUCUCCGGUAACGCCGGCCGCCAACCAUAGCACCUGUCAUUGUGGUCGCGUUGUACCUCACCGUGUGCCCUCCCAAGGCUCUUGCUGGUUCCAACAAAAAACGAUACCUGUUGUAGCAAAAAAGUUUAUCGCUUCCAGCAAAAAAGCUUUCCGCUACAGCCCGCCAUUGUCAUUGUAGCAAAAAUGUUAACCCGAUGUAGCUUUUGUGGUUGCCGACUGCAACAAAAAAUGACAUGGUUGAAGCAAAACACAAAAGAAAAACGCCGGCCGGCCGCUGUGUAUGGUGGUAACAAACCCUAUAGCCGGUGGUAGCGAAAAACUUCAUAGUUUGCAGCAAAAAAAUGUUGUCGCCCGUCGUCGAGGUUGCAUCAUCUUCAUGAAUUAUGUCGCAAAAAAACAUUGUCGCCGGUAGUAGCAAAUGAAGCCGCCCGGUAGUAGCAAAACAAGACACUGGUUCCAGCCAAAAAAAAUCAGCGACAGAACCUUUGGUUGGUUCCAACAAAAAAACUUGUCGGUUGUAACAUCCCUCGCCGCCGGAUGUAGCAUCUCCCGGGGCUGGUUGCAACACUCUAAAAAAAAGUUGUCUAAGAGCGCAUCCAUGGCGACUGCUGCACCGUCAGCAACGAGGGGAAGAGGAGGCAAUGAAAAUCGUUCGAGUCGUAGCUCCACAGGACGCGGCUGCAGCAUGGGGAGUCCAAAAAUCUGUCACAAGCAACAUGCGCCUCGCCAUCCUCCUGCGUAGGAGAGAGAAGAAAAAGGAAUAAGAGGAAGAAGAAAGGAAACGGGAGAAAGAAAAAAGAAACGAUUGGUGGUGGGCUGAGGCAAUUAGUCAAACGAGGGGCACGCGGGGCCGCAGGAUACAGCGCAAUCGAACGAAGCACGCGCGUCCGGCCGAAGACUCGGCCGGACUGCCGGCUGGAAACGUUUCCCUAAUCCAAAGGCUUUGUCUGAAUGACAAGUCGUCUAGGUUACCGGCUAACUAGAAAAAAGAUAAAUAUGCUAGAGAAUUUCAUAAUAAUUAGAAAUAUCUAGCCUUUAAUUAUGUAAAUCAGAAAAUCACAACCGUAGGAUUUACUUUAAAGGUAAAUUUCUCUAAAUUCCCACCAUUGCCAGUAUGUAGAAACAUGUGCUGCUUCAAUUCUCCCAUAAUCACCAAUCAAUCAACAACACAAAACAUACCUCAGUUAAAAAAAACUGAACAAAAAAAAGAAAAAAAGAAGAAAGGACAAGAUACACGCAUGUACACGACAGCCUUGGCUUGAAACACAUCAGUAGAUCAAGUGUCCGCCUCCCUUACACAGAAUAAAUUCUAGGGAAGAAAAUAAUAGUGCAACCUAACCUUAUACGUACUAUUCUAUCCUCACGUCCCAUGAGGUUUACUAGCCUACCGCCGCCGCAUCAUGCCAUCCUCUCCUUUCAGCUCCCAUGCUCUCCAGCAUCCUCCUUGCCGCGCCACUACUCGCCUAGGAAUAUUGCUGCUCAGACCGCGGAGCUUAACCUGCUUCUUCUUCAGCAAAUAUGGAACUGCUUUAGGAUCCUUCUCACAUCAGCACGUAUGGGCCUCAUUAUACUGCAGCUCCUGGACCUCCUACAAUUGGUUGGCUAUGGCCAGUUGAUCGAUGUGCUGAAGUCUAGGUCUGUUUGCUGGCACAUAUGCUUUGGAAAUAGGCCACUAUGUUUGUACUUCAAAAUUGUUUCGGUAUUCUUGAGUGGUACAUCCUUUUAAGUGCCAGUUUUUUAUGUUAAUUCGACAACACUUAACCUAGCCUUUCAUGUUCACGUACUAAAUACAGGAGCAAGUAAAAAAAACAGACCACCUAAUUGCUCUGCAAGUUCUACAUAGGAAAAUUUGUCAUGUUCUACGAUCGCACCAUCCCACCCUUCUCUCUUGGUAUGGGCGCCAAUUGAGGGAUUGAUAAAACUGAAAUGAAGACGUCACAGGGCUGGAAGUACCGCUAGCCUGGUUUGCACUGCAACCUACCCAACGCCAUCAGAAACUAGCAACUGAGGCAGGUGUUGAUCGAUUCUCUCAAAUUGCUCUCAUGUAAGUACUACCCCUUGCAUGUGCGUACAUACCUUUGUUGCAUUCUCAAACAGAUAGAACAUGUAUGAUCGGUGCAUGGCUAUUUUUAGGUAUAGCGACUGCACAACUUCUUCAACUCCAUAUGAUGCUAGUGUAUUGCAUCGAAAGAAUCAACGGAUUGCUAGAGAUCAACUGAGGUAUUCUCAUAUUAUUGGCUCGCUUAUGUAUUUGACGACUGCCACGAGGCCUAACAUCUCGUUUGCUGUUAGCAAGCUGAGUCGGUUUGUGUAAAAACCAGGAGAUGAUCAUUGCCAUGCGCUUGAGAGAGUUAUGCGCUAUUUGAAAGGCACCGCGAGCAAUGGGAUUCACUACACCGGGUAUCCAAGGGUACUGGAGGGUUAUAGUGACUCAAACUGGAUAUCUGAUGCUAAUGAGAUUAAGGCCACAAGUGGUUAUGUUUUUACACUUGGUGGUGGCACUGUUUCUUGGAAGUCCUGCAAACAGACCAUCUUAAUGAGGUCAACUAUGGAAGCGGAACUCACAGCAUUAGAAACUACCACUGUUGAAGCAGAGUGGCUUCGUGAGUUCUUGAUGGACUUACCUAUAGUUGAAAAACCAAUACCCCCUAUCCCUAUGAACUGUGAUAAUCAAACUGUGAUUGUCAAGAUAAACAGUUCUAAGGACAAUAUGAAGUCCUCAAGGCAUGUGAAGAGGAGACUGAAAUCUGUCAGAAAAUUGAGGAACUCCGAAGUUAUUACGUUGGAUUAUAUCAAAACGUCGAAAAAUUUGGCUGAUCCCUUCACAAAGGGUCUAUCACGUAAUGUGAUAGAUAAUGCAUCGAUGGAGAUGGGUCUGAGACCCACCGCAUGAGUUGUCCAUAGUGGUAACCCACUCUAUGUGAUCGGAGAUCCCGUGAAGUAGAAGUGGGAGACAAGUUGUUGGUCAGCUGGGAGGAGAGUAUCCCUAUAUUACCUAUCCCACUCCCUGAAGAUGCAAUACUCUCCUAAUCUGCAUGGCAGGUUGAUACUUACCUUAAUGUGUUCCAAGUGGCUUAUUCGGGUAAGUAGAAAUGUUGUCCUGCAGAACAUCUUCUGAGGAACACACCUAUAUGAAUUUGACUGUUAACAUUGUAGUCUGUGAGAAUUGGGUGUUCUCUAAUAAAUUCAUGAAAAGGCCCUGGAGUAUGACGUAUACGCUCCACCCGCGGGGAAGCCUUGCGGCAGCCUAGUAUCGGUCAAGAAUUUGUGUGAAACUAGUCUCGCAGAAAAUUUGUAGUUCAAGGCAUAGUCCACUAUUUAAGUUGUGAUCUAGUGUAGCAUAAAUCUCUAAGUGGAAGUUCAACUUCAUAGUCUCCACUAAGCACCGGUAUAUAAACAAUGUUUUGGAACUAAAUGAUGAGAUGUUCCAAUGAGUCUUUGUGGGGGAAUUGUUGGAAUUUUGCUAGUACGCCUUUGGCCCAAAGCCCAACUAAAAUUAUGAAAUUUUCUUGGCCCAUUCAUGCAUACAUGUGAGUGGAGUGAGUGAGACUAAAGUAUAGUCCCACCCCGGAAGUUGAGAGAGAGCACCUCUUUAUAAGGUAAGCUCUUCUACCACUUGUAUGAGCAUGAGAAUAGGAGACCUACACACGCGCUCCUCCUUGCUCGCCACGCCACGCCUCGUCACGACGCGCUGCAGGUUGCGGGAUUGAGCGGAGCCGAGGACAGAGCUAUGCACGUUGUCUAUUUUUUGCUACCCGGGAAAAAUUAAUGAGUCAUUAAUUAAUAAUUAAUGGACGCGUUAAUAACUGAACCGUUUCCGAUUCUUUUGGAUCGUGACGACUCGGACAUGGGGUUUACUCCCACGACCUACCCGGCCCGCACUAUAUAGUCAGUCAGACGUCUACCCUAGCCGCCGCCGCUUCGUAUGGUUUCUCACCACCAUUCCAGAUCAUUGCGCCGCAAAGCAAGUCUUCUCCAUACCUCCUUUCGGCGUGCACUGGGAGAAGGAACAGCAGGCCUUCGGAACCCCGCCGCUCGUGAUCCUGUACGGGAGAGGGGCGAUCAGGUUUUUGGGGAGCGCACUCGCGCGACUGCUGGCAGCGACGACUUCGCGAAUGACGACUUCAUCCCGGACCUCGGCAACCUCAUCCUCGACGACAUGGGUGACAACGUCAACGCCGGCGGUGCUGCAGCCGCUGCACCGUAUGUUAUUCUAUCCUUCUUGUUCGAGAUCGUGGUAGAAUUCAGGUUUCUAGUAUGUGCCCUAGAUGUGAUCUGUUCAUCUACUCUGCUAGUUCGCAUGAUUAGUUUAAUCUCUGCUAUUGCUGUCAUGAUCUAUUUCCAAUUUAUUCGGAUUAAAUCUCGUAGUAAUUUGCUCAUUUUUCCAACAAUGCCAUCUGAUAGAUGAUGUAAUUCUCGUCAAGUUUGACGUUGUUGAGCUAAUUUACAAAAAAACCUCAUCAUUAUUGGAUGUCCUUAACAGCUCAAGAACAAGUUGGGGUCGAACUAAUGGAUUUUACACUUUUACAUUAAAGGUUUAGCUAAAGCUAGCAGGUGUUUUUAAACCUGAUUUUUUUCCUCCUAAAUUUCUUUGUAUUUUCUUAUUGACACUAUUUAUACAAUCAUCUGACAAAGAUUUGCUAAAGCUGCUUGUAGAUACGUUGAAACCUGAAAAGCUUCUUUGGUUUUCUCAUAGGUCUUAAUUCUUAUGUAAUACCAAGAUGCAUUGUGGUAGUGUACAUGUGUUAAAUUCGUGUUGUUAUUCACAAUUUGCGACAAAAUUUAGCUCACGCUACAUUUCAAUAUGUUGAAAUGUGAAAGCUCUUUUUCUUCUCCUUUCUACACCUUGCAUCGGAUUGCAUCCCUUUAGUUAUCCAACAUUUUGUACAACAUGUAGAGAUUAGGAAGUUCAUCAUAGUUUGUCUAUUUCGGUGCUAAUAAAUGUAUGAAAUCUGCAUUUCCAAGCUAUUAGGACAAGUAAAAAAUAAUAAUUUUACUAUAGGAUUCAAAAACAGCAGUUCUGAAGUGCACUUUAUUUAUUUGCGAAAGUGACCACAUUUUGUUUCAUUUUUCUAUAGACAAAUCUACUAAUACAUACUCACGAUAAAACUAUAAAAGUUCUAGUCCGCACAUUGGGCGGGCCACCCGGCUGGUUCGUCUAAAGAAAACAAAAUGAGUCUGGAAUUUGAAUUAAAUUGAAGUAUUUUCUUGGACUUUCAAAUUGAGUAUAGUUAAAGUAGUAAGGACUAUCCACAUCCUUGGCUUGCCCCUAAUCAAUUAUUUCCAGAGAAGCAUUCAAUUCAUCAAUCAAUUACAUUGAUUUUAGUGGCUGGUACUUCUCCUGAACAUCAGUAUAUUCACCGUGGCCACUCCAAAUCGGCAAGAAUGAGGUACCAGUGCUCUGGAGCAGUGCAAGCUAAUUGCUUCUCAUGUGAAGGGGUGCGGGCGCGGGAGAGGUAUUUCUGGUGGGCCAAGGGACUAAGAAGCGACCGUGGCAGCGGUACAGACGCCCGCAAAGCCCCAUAGUUUGUUUUUGAUUUACAGGAAAAUUGCACAUCCAUACUGGCCUGGGGAAUAUAGGACCGUAUUGGAUGGAAAACCAUGUCCGGAUGGUUGCGAGCGGUUUGAGGGUUAGCUUUUGUAACACCCGGUUAGUUAUGCUACAGCAAUUCCCUGCUAAUGAUGUCACGUCACCACGAUUACUGUUGUUAACCUCACAAUGAUUGAAUCCCAUUCAAAUUCAAAUUUAAAAUAAAGGCAAACAUCAAAAGUUUUCAAACAUGAAAACUAAAAUCUUUGAGAGGUGACAAAUAAUGCAUAAGUAAUUAUGGUGGAGAAACCACACUUUAAUUAAAUGUUAAAAUACUCUAAAAUGAAAAAAACAGUGGCUUAAACUAUUAUUUAAAUGCUUUUAAAAUAGUAAAAAUCUUCUAACUAAAUUAUUUGGGUACCAAACUUUUGGUGGCAGUGGUAUAUUUAGUAGAACUAAUUUAGAUGCUAAUUAUAUAAUUUACAAAAUUAGAAUAAAUUGAAAAAUAGGAUAAAACGGAAAAGGAAAGACAAAACAAAUAAAAGCAAAAAGGGGGCAACCCCUCGCUGGGCCUCGGCCUAGCUGGCCACUAGGCGAGCUAGGCUGGCCCCGCUGCCUCCCUUAACCCCCACACUCCUCAUCGAACCCAAGCCCGAUCGCCCCACUUCCCCACACCCCCUCGCCAGCCUCCCCACCCCUUGAUCCCAUCUGGAUCGGCGAGUGUAUUGCCCCCAUCGACCCCGUUGCCAUCGCUAGAUCGCCCGCCGACGUCGCCAGGCCUCCUCCCCGCCGCACGUCUUUGGCUCGCCUCUCCUCUCGCUCCUCUUCCCCGGCCCGAUCUUGAUCGUGAACGAGCAAUGAGCUUGAAGCCCCCCUUCACCGGCGCCAUCACCGUGCGCCACCACCACCGCCUGAAGACCUCACCGUCGCUGAACCUUGCGUCGCCUCCUCGUAUCCCUCCCCUACUCACGUCCUCAAGCCAGGCCGAGCCCCUUCUCGGCAACGCUGUGAGACGCCCCCGUUUCCCUCCUCUUUCCACCGCGUUCACCACGCCGCCCGCCAUGCCCCUCGCCGUGCGCAUGCCCACCACCGCACCAGCCCCCGCUCCGCGCACGACCCUACCCGCGCCCGCGACAUGAUCCCCUUUUCCGCCCUAUCUUCCUGCGCUCGCCGCGGUCCCGAUGCUCCCCCGCGCCUUCUUUCAGGGGCGCCGACUGCCCCUGUCCCGCUGCUCGCCGCCGUGCCUCGCCACCGCUCUACUGCUGCGUUACUACUGUGCUGCGGCCGCCGCCUCUUCCUGCUGCUCCGCCAGCGCCGAAGCUCCCAGUUGGCUCCACCACUGCUCACUUUAAACCGCCGGCCUAAAUGGCCUAACCCCGGCUAAUGAACCCCCACUAACCCACUGACACCGGGACCCACAUUCCCUAAUUAACCAUUUAAUAAAUUAAAACUCUUAAAUUAACAUUAGUGUAUGACAUGUGCGUCCCCUGUUAAUUAAUAAUUUUGCUGCUAGUUUUAUUAGUUUCUGUUUUUCUGCAUAUUUCUUUUGUAUUUGAACACGCUUUAUACAGUAAUAUUUAGCGUAUCAUACACAUACAAAUGUAAUCAUAGCAUAUACAUACAAAUAGUCUCAUCAAAUCAUGUCAUCAUCAUAAUCAUCAUCCAUCACAAAGUGGUCUCUCGUCAUCAUCUCGAAAAUAGCGAUACAAGUCUCGAUUACUUGCAACUACAUCGUCAUCCAUCUAAAUAAUGAUAUACGCGAGAAGAGCUAUUACUAUGAGUACGAGCGGAACUAUGCAGUACAUGAGGCUGUAUCCCUCUCUCGCAUUAGCGUGAACCUAAACUAACUACUGGCUGUUGCUCGGAAACCGGAAACCGGUACACCUAGGCUUGACACUCCGGCCACUCGUCGUAUACUCCUGGCGUAGAACUUCUUCUCCAUCGAUGAUCUAUGUGAAGGAAAUAUGCCCUAGAGGCAAUAAUAAAGUUAUUAUUUAUUUCCUUAUAUCAUGAUAAAUCGUGAUGGGAAUGGGCCGGGUCGGCCCGCUGGGUCACUGACUCGGCCCGAAAUCUCGAGGCCAAUGGGCCAGGGAGGUUGGCCUCGAAUCACAAAACGGGUCAGUGGAGCCGGCCCCGUGUGACCCGAUGGACCAGAUGGGUCGACCCAGCGCUGCCCUAGUCCUCCAUCUAUGCCGCCGCCCCCCACGAUCUCUGUAGCCGCUCCCGAUGAUUUCUUCCGCCGCCGGCCAUCUUUGCCGCCCCUGGCAUCCCCCGACCUUCUCUAUCGGCCGCUCCCGACCUGCUGCCGCCGCCGGCUGCCCCUGAACAUCUUUGCUGGCCUGCUGCCGCCGGCGUUCCUCCCGCAUCUCGUUCGUCGUCUUGGUCGCCGUCGAGCUCGCUGACCUGCGGUCCCGUCCACCAUCUACCUCGCCAUUCCGGUCGCCGUCCUCAUCGUCAUCAUCACGCAGGUGAGACUCUUGCCGGCUUCCUCCCUGUCCCAGCGCAGCUGCAAUGACUGGUCUAGUUUAGGUUCUUGGUCUUGCUGGCACUCUCUGCGUUGUCUGCAAUUGUUUCAGUAGUUGGAGCUUGGAAGAAAUAGUCAACACUCAAAAAUAGACUGUUUGAUUGUUCAGCAUGGGACUUGUUUGAUUGUUCUCAAGAAGAAAUAGUGCUUCAGUUGAGCUCCUGUGUAGCUGCAGUUUAGCAUUCAACAACAGUUUUCUUUUUUGUGCAGCAUGCCACUUUCUUUUUUGUGCAGCAGCUUAGCUGCAGUUUAGCCUUUCGGUCCUCUGAUCCGAGGAAAAGUAAUUAGUGUUACUUCCUGUUGUUGGUUACUAAAUAAACCAGAAAUAGUUGUCCUGUGAAACAAUUUUACUCUGUUUUUUUGUUGAAUCGGCAAAUUUUACUCUGCUGGUAGGAUGGAGUAGUGCAUAUGUUGAUGAUGCUCACGAAAAACCUUCCUGGAGUAGUGCAUAUGUCCAACUGUGAGUUUCUUCUAUUCCUCGAAUGGCCGUUUGGUGUGGUGUUCUCCUAAUUUGUUGCCUGACAAGCUAGGUGUUGUGGGCGUGCUGCAUAAGAAGUAACAAUGGUUAGAAGAUGUAGUUAAUGCUUAGUUUUUUAUGUGAUAUAGGGUCAUGUGACUUCUUUUUCUUGGGCUAGCUGCCAGGUUGAGUUUGCGUAUAUGCAUAUCAGUGUAGCUGAUCCAUCGACAAGUCCAGCAUUUUUUAGUGUCAGUUCAGGGGAUGCUUUACUGGCAGCGAUUUCUGUAGUGUUGCUCAAUGGGAUGCUUUGCCGACAGUGAUUAGACCGUAAACUAAACUAUCCGGUUUCUUAUCUGCAUGCAUCUGCUGUUGAUUUUGAAAGUUAAUGCUCUCUAAUGUUCAUAUAUUUCCCUCUGAUUAGAAAAAUGGAAGAGGAGGAAGGGGACCAUGAGGCAUACCAAAGUGGUGGUUCAUCGUUGAUAUCCGGUGCGAUAAUGAGAAGGGCUCAACCACCCCCAGGGGUGUCUCCUUCUUCGAUAGACAUCUGUAGAGCUUAUCAUGGUGAGUAUUGUUAAUCUUUCUUUUUAUAGGGAUGCAAAUUAAUGGUUGCUAAAAUAAAAAAUACUCAUAAUUGUAAUGUUAACACUCGUGUCCUUUGCUCAGCAGGACGUUCGCAAGACACUCGUAUGGUUGAUUUUGAAGAAGAUGAGGCUGAUGAAGAAGAUGUUGACUAUGAAGAAGCAGAGGAAGGAGAAGAAGAUGAGGAUGAUGAAGAAGAAGAAGAAGAUGAUGAUGAUGAAGAAGAAGAAGAAGAGGGAGAUAAUGUGGAUGAAGAGGGAGAGGUUGAGAUCAUUGACAUGGGAUCGUUUUCUGAACCGGGAAGAAAGUUUUUGUCGAAAGUGUGGAAAGAAUAUGAGCCUAUCCGUGUUGAUGGCAUUGUUGUAGCUGCUGAGUGCAAACACUGUGCAAGGAAUAUUUGUGCUGAGCGUAAACAUGGAACAAGUUCAUUGCGCAAACAUUUGAAGAGAUGCAGGGAAAGGAAGAAGGUUCUUAGAGUUUCUGGACAGCUGAGUGCUUCUAUCGUGAGUCCUGAUGGAGUUGCAAUGGGGCUUUGGACCUUUAAUCAGGCAUUAGCACGCCGAGAGCUGAUGAGGAUGAUAGUGUUGCAUGAAUUGGCAUUCUCAUUGGUGGAGUACGAUGGAUUUAGAAGAUUUGUCUCUAGUUUAAAUCCUAGCUUCAAGAUGAUAUGCAGAAAAACUGUGAAGGAGGACUGCAUGAAAGCAUUUAAGGAAGAGAAGAGAAUUUUGCAAAGGAUGUUCCAAAACUCCAAAUCCAAGAUUUCUUUGACUACGGACCUAUGGACAUCAAAUCAGACAGUGGGGUACAUUUGCAUCACAGCUCACUUCAUUGAUGAGGAGUGGAAGCAGCAGAAGAGGAUAGUGAAAUUUGCAGCUAUGGAGACGCCGCACACAGGAGCUGCAAUGUUCAACGUCAUGGUGAAUUUCAUAAGAGAGUGGAACAUUGAAGAUAAUCUCUUUGCUGUGACGCUAGACAAUGCAUCGAACAAUGGUGCAAUGAUGAAGCUAUUGAAGGCACAUCUCCUGCUUAAGAAGAUGUUACCUGGUGGUGGCAAGUUGUUUCACCAACGUUGUGCCGCCCAUGUCAUAAAUCUGAUAUGUCAAGCAGGAUUGAACUUCCUUGGUCCAGUGAUCAACAUGAUACGUGAAACUGUGAAAUAUAUUCGAAGCUCACCAAGUCGAAAGGAAAAAUUUCAAGAAAUUGUUGAGCAACAUGGUGUAUCAUGUAGGAGAACUCCAAUUCUUGAUGUUCCAACUCGUUGGAACUCAACCUACAUGAUGAUUGAUAUAGCAAAAGAGUAUCGUGGAGUGUUUGACUCUUUGGCCAUUCAAGAUAAACAAUAUACCUUCAAGCCAUCUUUUGAGGAUUGGGAAAAUGCUGAAGAUGUUUGCAGGCUACUGAAGGUAUUUUAUGAAGCCACUAAUGUGAUAUCCGGCACAAAAUAUCCAACUGCUAACUUGUAUUUCCAUGAAAUGUGGAAAGUGAAGCUGACCUUAGAGCAACAACAUUAUGAAGAGGAUUCUGAGAUGGGCACAACGGUCAAAUAUAUGAAGAGAAAAUUUAGAAGGUAUUGGAAGAUGACAUGGUUGAGCCUUUGUAUUCCAGUGAUUUUGGACCCACAAUUCAAGUUGAAAUAUGUUGAUUUCCGAUUUGGCCUAGAGUUUGGGAACGAAGUUGCAGCAAUGAUUGCUAAAAUAAAAAAUGUGUUCCAAGGGUUGUUCAAGGAAUACCUCCAAUUGAAUGACAAUGGAUCAGAUCCCAUGUCACAAGGAGGUGAUGAUGACAUGGCUGUAAGUGGUGAAGAUCCUAUGGCUGAUUGGGUCCAACAUGUCACCCUCACUGCUCGAUCAACAAAUUUGGAUUAUACCGAACUUGAUUCGUACUUGUCAAAGGUACCCAUCCGCCGAAGUGAUCAAUUCAAUAUCCUUACAUGGUGGCAGACGAACUCCAGUGAAUACCCAACGCUGAGUCGCAUGGCAGCUGAUAUCUUGGCGGCUCCUUCCUCUGCGGUGGCAUCCGAGUCCGCCUUCAGCACAGGGAAGAGAGUCCUAUCAGAUUUUCGAAGUCGAAUGACCGCAACGACACUUGAAGCUCUUGUUUGUUUACAAGAUUGGAUAAGGGCCAACGGUAAAGCCAUACGACACAAGUUUCUUCUUUGUUUCUUAUUAAUGCUUCAAGUUUACAAGUUUCUUUUUUUUCUGCAGCUAAUACUCAACGUAGCUUGGCUUCAGUUCAUGACAUUAUAAUGGACUUACAAGGUAUGAGAAAUCUUCUGAUGUAUAUAGUGCCAUGUAUAUGAAGUACACUUAGUAUGAAGUCUGCUUUUUAUUUAGGGAUUUCAUAUCUACAGUUUGUUCCAGGGAACUAUUUGCAAGAUGCAACCCAAACAUGUAGAUGAGUAUAUAGAGUGUUUUACACACAGAACUAGUGCUUUUAUUUUUGGUUUCCCCAAGUUGUAGUUGAUCUCUAAUAUAUAUUUCUUUUUUCUCUCAGAUAUGAAUGUGUAGUUUAGAUUCAUUUUUUUAAUCGCCAAACUAUAUUAAAAAUAUGCAUUGCUAACUACAGUAACUUGAUUAGAAUAUGUUGCGGAGUGGAUGACAGGUAGUGUAUAAUGGAUAUUUAGAAGUGUAUUUUCUUGCAAACCUGAUCAUGAAUUGGUUUUCUGGAACACGCCUUUGCUACUAAGAAUAUUCCUCUGUUCAUAAAUAUAUUAUUUAGUUUUUUUGUGGAUAAAUAUACUAUUUAGUUGAUGUGCACAGAAUUACUCUUGUAACAUUUCUUUGCAAAUACAGAUAUCGAGGACUGAUGCUUGUUGGAGCAAUUGAUGUUAAAGCUCAAGCAGAUGGUGAAGAAGAUAUGUCAGCUUUCUCUAUAACCUACUGGAUGUGAAAAGAUUAGCAUGUUGAACUUGUAAUAUUUUGAUCUUGCAUGAGUCUGUUGGAUUGAGGUCAUUAGCUUGACGUUCUUUGAAAUCUGUAAUCUUUUGGUCUUGUUCGAAUCUGUUGGAUUGAGGUCUUUUGCUUGAUGCUCUUUGAAACAUGUAAUCUCAUGAUCUUGCCAUUCUAGAAACAUUUGCUAAAUUCUGGGUCGGCCUCAUGUACCCAAUGGGUCAAUGGGGCCACAAAAUUCUGAUGAAAUGGGCCGGCCCGUGGCCUCACAUUUUGACCUUGGGGCCACGGGGCCGGGGCCGGGGCCAGGGCCGGGUCGGCCCAUUCCCAUUCUGAAUGAUAAAUGUUUAUUAUUCAUGCUAGAAUUGUAUUAACCGGAAACAUAAUACAUGUGUGAAUACAUAGACAAACAGAGUGUCACUAGUAUGCCUCUACUAGACUAGCUCGUUAAUCAAAGAUGGUUAAGUUUCCUAACCAUAAACAAAGAGUCGUUAUUUGAUUAACGAGGUCACAUCAUUAGUUGAAUGAUCUGAUUGACAUGACCCAUUCCAUUAGCUUAGCACCCGAUCGUUUAGUAUGUUGCUAUUGCUUUCUUCAUGUCUUAUACAUGUUCCUAUGACUAUGAGAUUAUGCAACUCCCGUUUGCCGGAGGAACACUUUGUGUGCUACCAAACGUCACAACGUAACUGGGUGAUUAUAAAGGAGCUCUACAGGUGUCUCCAAUGGUAGAUGUUGGGUUGGCGUAUUUCGAGAAUAGGAUUUGACACUCCGAUUGUCGGAGAGGUAUCUCUGGGCCCUCUCGGUAAUGCACAUUACACAAGCCUUGCAAGCAUUGCAACUAAUGAGUUAGUUGCGGGAUGAUGUAUUACAGAACGAGUAAAGAUACUUGCCGGUAACGAGAUUGAACUAGGUAUUGGAUACCGACGAUCGAAUCUCGGGAAAGUAACAUACCGAUGACAAAGGGAACAACGUAUGUUGUUAUGCGGUCUGACCGAUAAAGAUCUUCGUAGAAUAUGCAGGAGCCAAUAUGGGCAUCCAGGUCCCUCUAUUGGUUAUUGACCAGAGACGUGUCCUGGUCAUGUCUACAUUGUUCUCGAACUGUAGGGUCCGCACGCUUAACGUUACGAUGACAGUUAUUAUGAGUUUAUGCAUUUUGAUGUACCGAAGGUAGUUCGGAGUCCCGGAUGUGAUCACGGACAUGACGAGGAGUCUCGAAAUUGUCACACCCUAGCUAGUUUAUGCAUUAGAGUGUGCAUCAUGUUUACCUUCAUCAGAAAUUGAAAUGGGGAGAGCAGAACCCCCAGCACCCCCCCCCUGAAAUCAACGAGGGUUUACUAAAAAUAAAUUCAAUGAACCUGAAAUGCCCUUGAAAUAUGUUCACCCUCUUUGCCUUGGGUUAGAACCCUUGGGAAAAAUGGUGCAUAUAAUUUUAGGUCAACAAAAGGGGCAUUGACUUAAUUCAUAAAUAUUUGAAUUUGGGCAUUUAAAAUACUAUUAUAUAAUUCAAAUGCUCAAAUAAUGUUGGAACUAUUUUUGGGCCACUGAAAUAUUUCAGAAAGUGUCCAUAAAUAUUUUCAGGAUUUUAUAAAAUGAUUUAGUAUCUGAACUAAAUCAAAACAGAAUAACAGAAAUAGAAAAACAAAAAAAAAUAAAGAGGGAAAGACCAUGGGCCACUUACCUGGCCCAGCGCCAGGCCACUAGCGGCCCAGCCCACCAGGCCGAUGCCAGUCGUCCCCUAGCUCCUGCCAGGAGGACGAAGGGCGUGUGCCCGCGGUGCGCCAGCACGCACACGGCCACCGACGGCCACCUCCUGCUUCGGCCGCCUCCCCGACGUCGCUUUGGACGCCACGCAUCCCCCCCUGACCCCUCGCUCACUCUCUUUCAUCCUCAUCCCCUCCUCUGCUCUCUCUCCCGCGCAACCGCCAUGAGCCCGAGAGCGCCGACGAGGACCACCACGGCCACCGCCUACCCCUCGCUUCCCUGACCAGCUUAGAGGCUCCGCCUCGACCCCGUCUUCCUUCUCACCGAACCACGCCCCGCCGGAAGCCCUGCGUCAUCAAAUUCAAGCUCUUCUUCAAGCUUCGGCACCGACGAUCGCCGCCGUCGAUUCGCUUGCUCCAGUGCCUCCCCGAGCUUGCCGAGGCCACCGCUGCAACUGCUGUGAGCUCCUGUGUCGUUUCCCCCUCCCCCCUGGCUCGAUUUCUUCUUCUAACACCGAUGCCCGUCAGAACCGAGAGCUCUUCGCCGCCGGCCAUGCCGCCACCGUGACCACAGCCGUGCAAGCUCACUCCCGAGCACGGCAACGUGCUCCACACCUCACCAAGAGCACGUGGAACCCAUCAGUUUCCCCUCCCGUGCACCACAACGCCGAUCCGCUCAACUCCCGAACUCCGGCCGCCGCGCAAGUUGCCGCCGCCGUCGUUUUAGGCCACUAGGGCUGCUGCCGUGUGCACAGAUAGAUGCGGGCGAGUCCCAGCUCCGCGUAGAUGCCCUCCGCUGGCCAUUUGGUCGCCGGAGGAGGAUUUCCGAGCCCCUCCGCCGUCUCUGGCCUUGCCGGCGACGAGCCGGGGUCAACUCCGGCGUGUUUUGACCCCGGGUCGGCUGGGUUGACUCCCCCCUGACUCACUGACGUGUGGGCCCAGGCGCCUGCCUAAUUACCAUUAGUUAAUUAGAGUUAAUAAAAAUUAGCUAAUUAGUGAGCCACUGACAUGCGGGCCCCGCCCGGCUAACCAAGUUAGUUAGGGUUAACUAACUUAGUUAGUUGAUUGUGUCACUGACCAGUGGACCCCACUGGUCAUGUUUGACCUGGAGGCGCCAGUUGACCUGCUGACAUCAGGGUGAUGUCAUGCUGACGCAAUAACUCUUUUUCUGGAUUUAAUUUUAUAUAGAAAAUUCCAGAAAAUUGCCUAAACUUCAAAAAUUCAUAGAAAUUCAACCAUAACUCCAAAUGAGACAAAUUAUAUAUGAAAAAUUAUCAGAAAAAUUCAAGGAAUCCAUCUGUACCAUUUUCAUGCAUGUUUGAACAAUGCUUGUCCUCUGUUUUGGACAAAACAAAUAAAGGGCAUUUAAAUAAUCAUAUAUGGGGUUGGAAUUUGAAUCUUGUACUCAAACCAACUCCAUUUAAAUCAUAGCUAGUUGCAUAAGCUCAAGACACAUCCAUAUUGCCAUGUCAUAGCAUGCAUCAUAUUGUUGCAUAUCAUCAUGUGUUGAUUGUGCUCGGUUGUGUUCUUCGUGGUAGGUUCUGCCUCCGAGGAUAUUCACGAGUAUCCAACUGAAGGGCAGUAUCCCGUUACCACUCCAUCAGGCAAGCAACCAUUGAUCAUUCCGAUACAACCCAUGUUCUCGCUCCUACUCUUGUUUACUGCAUUAAGACAACACGAUUCAAACUGCCGUGUGCUACGGUAGUUGAACCCUUAUCCUCUGCAUGACCUGUCAUUGCCACAGUAACUAGAUGAAACCCACUAGCAUGUGUAGGAGUUGAUUGAGCCAUGUUUUGUGAUUCCUACCUUGCUAUGCCUGCUAUGCUUAGAGUUGUGUCAGGUCUGGUUCAUCUGGGGAAUGGGCUAGAGUGAAAUGCUUGUGCCAGUAAAUUGUGGGAUGUGUUGAACAUGUUUUGGUAAAGGUAUCGAUGAGAGGCCAUGUAGGAGUACAUGGUGGGUUGUUUCAUUGAAGCCGUCCCUAAGAACUGAGUUCUGUAUGCGUGAAUUAAGAUUCAGCUACUACCACACAUUGGGCCCUGAAAUAUGACCCCGCUCGACUUACCGACCCCUCUCGCCUCAGUCCAGGAGUUGCAACUAGUUUCUGGUGUUUGUAGGAUAUGUGUUGGCGGCCGUGCGUAGCGCUGACCCUAGGGGUGGGCUAUGUUGCGGUAGAUACACCGUGGCACGGUGUACUGAGUCACCCGUUUGGUGUCUCGGGAACCCUGUUCACAUCGUUCGGGGCCGUUGAGGACACCCCGGCCGGAUUUCCUUGCGGAUGGAACCUGAAUAGGCGAUGACCCUGGACUAGAGACUCGUGAGGUUAGUCAGGUCGUGGUCUACACCCACGUCGGUUUUCGCUUGAAGUCUGCCGAGCACAUUUCGUGUGCAGACGCUAAGUGGUGGAAACAUGUGUGACGAAGUACACCCCUGCAGGGUAUAAAACUAUUCGAAUAGCCGUGUCCGCGGUAAAGGACUACUUGGUUGCAUAUACAGUUCAUAGACAAGUUAAUGGAUACUACUAAAAGACUCAAGAUAAGUGUGAGUACCGAGGAUGGCUCCCUCGCAGGAUACGAGGGAGGAUCCACGGUGGAGUAUUGUGAUGGUGAGUAGUGGACUCGUGUGCAAAAACUAUUUUGCUAAAAGAUUCCGUAGGAUAGCUUAGCCAAGAGUCAAAGCUGGUUUGCUGCAUAAACCCCACCACCUUCUUGAGAAUGAGCAUGUACAGUAGGUUCUGAUGUAAGACUUGCUGAGUACCUUUGUACUCAUGUUUGCUUAUUUAUUGUUUUCAGACGACAACACUGCCCCCUCCGAUGGGUUUUACGUAGACCUUGACGUCGACGAGUGACUAGCCACCCAGGUGGUGAUCCAGGCCAUGGAGGGCCCUAUGUAGAUAGACAGGCUUCGAGAAGCCUUCUUUCUUUCUAGAGUCUGUACCCAGACUAGUUGCUUCCGCAUGUGCUUGUAUGACUGUAUGACUUGAGUGUCGGGUCAUGUGACCCCUACCUGUAUGGAUAUGUUAUGUAUGGCUCCCUGGAGCCUUUAAAUAAAGUACCUGAGUUGUAGAGUUUUGUUGUGAUGCCAUGUUGUAUGUACUCAUAUCGAGCAUAUUGUAUGUAUGAUUGAAAUGCUUGGUAUGAGUGGGAUCCGACAAUCUAGUUGUUUGUCCUUCGCAGCCUUUCUUAUGGGGAAAUGUAGUCUAGUGCUCCUCGAGCCAUAGUAGUCCGCUACAGCCCGGUUCAGCGGAGUCCUACUAGCCCAGCACUACUGUUCAGGACACUUGACUAGCCGGCAUGUGUUUCACUUCGGGGAAAUGUCACGCGGUGAUCUCCGGAGUCCUGUCUAGCCUGCUACAGCCCGGGAUCCCCCGGAGUCCUGUUAGCCCAGUGCUACAGCCCGGAAUCACUCGUUGAUGACCGACAUGUUCGUUGUGAUUCAUGUAUGCCUGUCUCCAUAGGUCUGUGCCGCUUUGGGUUCACGACUAGCCAUGUCGGCCCGGGUUCUCGGUCAUAUGGAUGCUAGCGACAUUGUCAUAUACGCGAGCCAAAAGGCGCAAACGGUCCCGGGCCAUGGUAAGGCGACACCCGUGGGAUACCGUGAGUGAGGCCGCAAAGUGAUAUGAGGUGUUACCGGCUAGAUCGAUGUGGCUUAGAAUCGGGGUCCUGACAGCGUUGGCAUCAGAGCCGGACUGCCUAUAGGUUCGUUCAGCCAAACUGGUCGAUGUCGAGUCUAGAAAUGCUUUAGUUAUAUGUAAGGGAAUUGAUUGUGGGAGGGAACGUAAGGUUCUUUUACUCCUUUACCCUAUGCUUCUGAUCUGAGUCAUUCUCUUCUCAUUCAACGUGGGUUAAGGACUAGGCUCUCUUCUUCUAUCAGGUUCACGUGUUACUAAUCCGUAGUAGUUCAUAGGAUUAUUGCUACGAGUUCCAGUCCAGUUUCUACUAUUUUAGUACGUUGCUAUUUGAAUCAGAACCUUGAUAUGAUGCUGUUGAGCGGUAUUGUGAACUGUUGUGGAUGUCUCAAAUCUUUUUCUGAGCAUUUACAACCGCUAUGCUGCCCAAUUUUCCCUAGGAAUUCUGAUGUCUUUGUCUUGUGGUUGUGCUUUCAGAUGGCCAACCAUUCUCAAAAUCAAGUGGUUCGCCUGACUAGGUGCCUCGACGUGCCCGGUCAUACUGCUAUGUUGGUCCGGGUCAUGAUCGAGACAGGAUACCGUUGGUAUCCCGAAUACACUGUUGAAGAGCAGUUCCGCGACUUUAAUCAAAGCCAGUAUUUAUGCACCGUCAGGAUAUUUCCUUCCUAUCCUGGAUCUACCGAGCCCCUUCACUGUUCCUAUGGACUCGGAGUUACCAUUGAGAUGGCUGUGCAGGAUGCUGCCUAUUUCAUGAUGACCAUCUUGCGAGUCCGGACUGGCCUGCUUCGGAACACUGACUUCCGUUACAUGCCAGCUUCACUUCCGGGAGCGCAGGGGUAUCUUCAGGCUAUCUAUGCUGACUCCACUCAGGAGGACUCAUUAACUCGUACCACCGCUGAGAUGCUCGAAGAUAUGGACCGAGAGAAUCGGGCCUUGAGGCUGGAGCUCUUUAAUACCCGUGCUGAUCAUUGGGCCACAUUGACUCGGUUUGCACCCGCGGUGCAAGCGGGAUGUAUGGAUACCAGGGAUCUGUAUCCUGUGAGAGCAGCUCUGCCAGACAUGGUGGAUUGGCGUGAUGUGGGAGGCAUCACCCCACCCCUUGGUCACCGCAGGCCACCGUUUGUGGGUCCAAGACCUUAUCCUAGCCCCUAUGGUCCACAGGCUCCUCAGGACCGUCUGUUUCCGGAUGAUCACGUUGAACUUCCAGGCUAUGGAGGUGACUUCUAUGAGGACUACUACGGAGCUAUCUGAGUUAGUAGUAGUACCACUAGUAUUGUAGUAGUUGUAUCUCCACUGUCCUGUGUGACUUGUGGAAUACGACUUGGUGUGUAAUCGAUUCCGGAGGUGUAGACAAAUAAUGUAUAGGGACUCGGAAUGCCUCCGAUGAGAUGUAACGUCUACCUUCAUAGUUGUACUGUAGCAUGGGCUUGUACUAAACUAUGUAUGACGAGUAUGACCGUUGGUGUAUAUAUGGCAGUUUUAUAUUACCAUGGCAUACGAAUGAGCAUCUCUGCAUUCCGCGUUAUCCUUUACAUUCUGCACUUCCCUGUUAAGUUUGAGCCAUCCUUGUCUAAACCGUUGUCUUGUUUCCUCCUAGGAUGGUCAACACCCGCGGAAACCCUGCUGCCCCGGAGCAGGGGGAAGCCAAUGCAGCUAGAGGUGAAAAUUUGCCUCACCCGCCUUCCCUGGCCGAAGUGAUGCUGGAGGCGGAAAGGAACAAGCGUGAGACCAACCGCCUGCUGGAGCGGAUUGAGCAGAACACUGCACGCCACCCACGAAAUGACUUGGUGUCAAUCAACGACUUUAUCAAGCUGUACCCACCAAAGUUUAACCAUUCCGUCGAGCCCCUCGACGCGGAUGAUUGGCUUCGCAGCAUCACCCACAAGCUACGUUCUGCCAACGUAGCUGAAGCCGACAAGGUUACCUAUGCUGCUUAUCAUCUUGAGGGCCCCGCUAGCCAUUGGUGGGAAAACUACGAAGCUAUGCGCCCGGUCGGCCAAAUCACUACCUGGGCUGAGUUCAGCGAGGCUUUCCGUGAGCAUCACAUUCCGGAAGGUCUCAUGGAUCGCAAGAGGGAGGAGUUCUGUAACUUCACCCAAGGAAGGCUGACUGUGGAUGCAUAUAGCCGAGAAUUUGGGAACCUGGCACGCUAUGCUCCUGAAGAGGUUUCUACUGACGCCAAGAAGCAGGGAAGGUUCCGUAAGGGACUUAGCCCUGAGCUUCGCUGCGAUCUCCGUCCGCACGAGUGCACAUCCUUCCAGAAGCUGGUCAAUAAAGCUAUCAGUGCUGAGACAGGCCAGACUGAUUAUGACGCUUCACGCAAGCACUCUCGUGAUUUUGGGUCUUCAUCCGGCUCUGGAGCUCAGAAGCGCCGGGUGUGGAUUCCAAGCACCGCACUGCCAGCCAGAUUCACCCCGAGGCCAUCCUUUGAGGCGCCUCAUCCCAACCAGCAAUUUGCACCGCCCAAGCCCUAUGGUGGCCCCGCUGCUAAUGUUGCUCCACGCCCCACUAUGGUAACAUGCUUCAUGUGUGGAGAACCGGGUCACUAUAGUCGAGAGUGUCCCCAGAACAACCCCAAUCAAGCUGGAAAGUCCGUUGGCCGUGGUAAGCCCGCGGGAAAGACUUUCUAUGCCAAGCCGGCCACUACUGCACGUGGCCAUGUAAACUACGUCUCAGCCGAAGAGGCUCAUGAGGAUCCCAACGUCGUCCUUGGUACGCUCCUUGUUAACUGCCAUCCGGCAUCUGUUCUUUUCGAUACUGGAGCAUCUCAUUCAUUCAUAUCCGAGAAUUAUGCUCGGUCGCAUAACACGACAUUCUGUGACAUGCCCACUUCCAUGGUAAUUCAAACUCCGGGUUCCAAAUGGCAAACUUCUAGGGUAAGCCAUGGGAACGAAAUUCUUGUCGAUAGGCUUGUUUUCCUUGCAUCUUUAAUAGCUCUCAAGUCCUCCGACAUAAACAUCAUCUUGGGUAUGGACUGGAUGUCGGCUCAUUAUGCCAAGAUCGAUUGUGCCACUAGAACCGUUCAACUUAUUCAUCCCUCAGGCAAGACAGUUAAUGUCUUAACUCGAGUGGCCAAGCGCCAACUUUACUCUCUCAAUGCCAACCCUCUUCCAGACCUUGAGGACGUUCCGGUAGUCCGAGACUUCCCGGAUGUGUUUCCGGAAGAACUGCCAGGUGUUCCACCUGACCGGGAUGUCGAGUUUGUGAUAGACCUUGUUCCAGGAACCGUUCCAAUUGCUAGAAGACCCUACAAGAUGGCACCCUUAGAACUAGCCGAGCUUAAGAACCAACUCGAUGAGUCCUUGAACAAAGGGUUCAUCCGUCCUAGCUCCUCUCCUUGGGCUUGCCCCGUCCUCUUCGUCAAGAAGAAGGAUGGAACGGAUCGAAUGGUUGUGGAUUACCGACCUGUCAAUCUGGUCACCAUCAAGAACAAAUACCCGCUUCCCAGGAUCAACGACCUGUAUGAUCAGCUCACUGGAUCCUCAGUCUUCUCCAAGAUGGAUUUGAGGCUGGGCUACCAUCAAAUCAAAAUCAGAAACGGGGACAUUCCCAAAACGGCCUUUGUUACUCGUUAUGGCCAAUACGGGUACACCGUCAUGUCCUUCGGUUUAACCAAUGCCCCGGCCACUUUCUCCUGGUUAAUGAACUCGGUUUUCAUGGAGUACUUGGACAAAUUCGUUGUAGUAUACCUCGAUGACAUACUCAUCUACUCCAAGAAUGAAGAGGAACAUGCCGAACAUCUAAGGCUGGUAUUGAUGAAACUUCGAGAGCAUCGCCUUUAUGCCAAAUUCUCCAAGUGUGAAUUUUGGUUGUCAGAAGUGACCUAUCUAGGCCAUGUAAUCUCUGGUAAGGGUAUUGCUGUCAAUCCCGAGCGAGUUCAAGCCGUCCUUGAUUGGACUCCACCUGAAACGGUCAAGCAAGUUCGGAGUUUCCUUGGCCUAGCGAGCUAUUGCCGCCGCUUCGUCGAGAAUUUCUCCAAGGUUGCUAAACCUCUAACUGAACUCCUCAAGAAAGAUAAAAAGUUCGAGUGGACUCCGCAGUGCGAGUUCAGUUUUCAGGAAUUGAAAAGACGCCUGACAUCUGCUCCCGUACUGGUACCACCAGAUUUCUCCAAGGACUUUAUUAUCUAUUGCGACGCCUCGCGACAAGGACUAGGUUGCAUACUCAUGCAAGAUCGUCAGGUAAUUGCCUAUGCUUCAUGGCAAUUACACCCACAUGAGGAAAAUUAUCCCACACAUGAUCUAGAGCUUGCAGCUGUAGUCCAUGCACUCAAAACCUCGCGACAUUACCUCCUCGGUAAUCGUUGCGAGAUCUUCACCGAUCACCAAAGCUUGAAAUAUAUCUUCACCCAACCAGAUUUGAAUCUCAGGCAAAGACGUUGGGUCGAGUUGAUCUCGGAUUACGACUUAGGAAUAACUUACACCCCUGGCAAAGCCAAUGUCAUGGCCGAUCCGCUAAGUCGUAAGUCCUACUGUAACAACCUGCUGUUACAACAAAGUCAACCACUUCUCCAUGAGGAAUUUCGCAAGCUUAAUCUUCACAUUGUUCCUCAAGGAUUCUUGUCUACUCUGGUGGCGAAACCUACCCUUAUGGAUCAAAUCAUAGCUGCCCAAAAGCGUGAUAAGGGCAUAUCCCGGAUUAAGGAAAACAUUGCUAGCGGAGUAGCUAAAUGUUUUUCCAUGGAUGAGCAAGGUGCUGUCUUCUUUGAGAACCGCCUGGUGGUUCCCAAGAACCAACAUCUACGCCAGAUGAUCCUUAAGGAAGCUCAUGAAUCCCCUCUCACCAUUCAUCCCAGUAGUACUAAAAUGUAUCAAGACUUACGCCAGAGGUUUUGGUGGACUAGGAUGAAGAGAGAAAUCGCUCAAUACAUUGCUAAUUGCGACGUUUGUCGUCGUGUUAAAGCAGAGCAUCAACGGCCUGCUGGCACCCUUCAACCUUUGGCUAUUCCUGAAUGGAAAUGGGACAAAAUCAGUAUGGAUUUCAUCACUGGGUUUCCCAGGACCAAGAGGGGAAAUAAUGCCAUCUUCGUCGUGAUCGACCGUCUUUCCAAAGUAGCCCAUUUUCUACCUGUUCGUGAGAGUAUCACCGCUAGCCAGCUAGCUGACCUAUACAUCUCCCGAAUAGUGUCUCUUCAUGGUGUCCCAUUGGAAAUUAACUCAGACCGUGGAAGUCUCUUCACCUCUCGAUUUUGGGAAAGUUUCCAAAAUGCUAUGGGAACUCAUCUCUCCUUUAGCACCGCCUUCCAUCCUCAAUCAAGUGGUCAAGUAGAGCGAGUAAAUCAAAUUCUGGAAGAUAUGCUCCGAGCUUCUGUUAUCUCGUUCGGAAUGAGUUGGGAAAAAUGCCUUCCAUUCGCGGAGUUUGCUUAUAACAAUAGCUAUCAAGCUAGUUUGGGCAAGGCUCCCUUCGAAGUUCUCUAUGGACGAAAAUGUCGAACGCCUCUUAACUGGUCAGAAACCGGGGAAAGGCAACUCUUUGGCCCGGAUAUGAUUCAGGAAGCAGAAGAGCAGGUUCGCGUUAUUCGUGAGAAAUUGAAAACGGCCCAAUCUCGCCAAAAGAGUCAAUAUGAUCGUAAGCAUAAGCCAAUGACAUUUGAAAUUGACGAGAAAGCUUAUCUUCGGGUUACCCCGUUAAAGGGAACCCAUCGCUUCGGUAUCAAAGGCAAAUUGGCUCCUCGUUACAUUGGACCCUUUCGCAUUCUUGCCAAACGAGGAGAAGCUGCCUACCAAUUGGAACUACCUCCGCAUCUUUCCAGAGUUCACGACGUCUUCCACGUUUCGCAACUCAGGCGUUGCUUCGCGGAUCCUAUCCGUGGAGUGGACCACGAAACGCUUGAUUUACAAGAUAACCUCUCUUAUCGGGAAUACCCCGUUCGUAUCCUUGAUCAAGCCGAGCGUACCACUCGACGUCAUAAUAUCAAGUUUCUCAAGGUUCAAUGGUCACACCAUUCCGAGGAAGAAGCCACUUGGGAAAGGGAGGAUCGUCUUCGACUCGAGUACCCCGCCUUCUUCCCAGAUGAUCCUAAAUCUCGGGACGAGAUUCUAUUGAGUGGGGGUGAGUUGUCACACCCUAGCUAGUUUAUGCAUUAGAGUGUGCAUCAUGUUUACCUUCAUCAGAAAUUGAAAUGGGGAAAGCAGAACCCCCAGCACCCCCCCUGAAAUCAACUAGGGUUUACUAAAAAUAAAUUCAAUGAACCUGAAAUGCCCUUCAAAUAUGUUCACCCUCUUUGCCUUGGGUUAGAACCCUUGGGAAAAAUGGUGCAUAUAAUUUUAGGUCAACAAAAGGGGCAUUGACUUAAUUCAUAAAUAUUUGAAUUUGGGCAUUUAAAAUACUAUUAUAUAAUUCAAAUGCUCAAAUAAUGUUGGAACUAUUUUUGGGCCACUGAAAUAUUUCAGAAAGUGUCCAUAAAUAUUUUCAGGAUUUUAUAAAAUGAUUUAGUAUUUGAACUAAAUCAAAACAGAAUAACAGAAAUAGAAAAACACAAAAAAAAAUAAAGAGGGAAAGACCAUGGGCCACUUACCUGGCCCAGCGCCAGGCCACCAGCGGCCCAGCCCACCAGGCCGAUGCCAGUCGUCCCCUAGCUCCUGCCAGGAGGACGAAGGGCGUGUGCCCGCGGUGCGCCAGCACGCGCACGGCCACCGACGGCCACCUCCUGCUUCGGCCGCCUCCCCGACGUCGCUUUGGACGCCACGCAUCCCCCCCUGACCCCUCGCUCACUCUCUUCCAUCCUCAUCCCCUCCUCUGCUCUCUCUCCCGCGCAACCGCCAUGAGCCCGAGAGCGCCGACGAGGACCACCACGGCCACCGCCUCCCCCUCGCUUCCCUGACCAGCUUGGAGGCUCCGCCUCGACCCCGUCUUCCUUCUCACCGAACCACGCCCCGCCGGAAGCCCUGCAUCGUCGAAUUCAAGCUCUUCUUCAAGCUUUGGCACCGACGAUCGCCGUCGUCGAUUCGCUUGCUCCAGUGCCUCCCCGAGCUUGCCGAGGCCACCGCUGCAACUGCUGUGAGCUCCUGUGUCAUUUCCCCCUCUCCCCUGGCUCGAUUUCUUCUUCUAACACCGAUGCCCGUCGGAACCGAGAGCUCUUCGCCGCCGGCCAUGCCGCCACCGUGACCACAACCGUGCAAGCUCACUCCCGAGCACGGCAACGUGCUCCACACCUCACCAGGAGCACGUGGAACCCAUCAGUUUCCCCUCCCGUGCACCACAACGCCGAUCCGCUCAACUCCCGAACUCCGGCUGCCGCGCAAGUUGCCGCCGCCGUCGUUUUAGGCCACUAGGGCUGCUGCCGUGUGCACAGAUAGAUGCGAGCGAGUCCCAGCUCCGCGUAGAUGCCCUCCACUGGCCAUUUGGUCGCCGGAGGAGGAUUUCCGAGCCCCUCCGCCGUCUCUGGCCUUGCCGGCGACGAGCCGGGGUCAACUCCGGCGUGUUUUGACCCCGGGUCGGCUGGGUUGACUCCCCCCGGACUCACUGACGUGUGGGCCCAGGCGCCUGCCUAAUUACCGUUAGUUAAUUAGAGUUAAUAAAAAUUAGCUAAUUAGUGAGCCACUGACAUGCGGGCCCCGCCCGGCUAACCAAGUUAGUUAGGGUUAACUAACUUAGUUAGUUGAUUGUGUCACUGACCAGUGGACCCCACUGGUCAGGUUUGACAUGGAGGCGCCAGUUGACCUGCUGACAUCAGGGUGAUGUCAUGCUGACGCAAUAACUCUUUUUCUGGAUUUAAUUUUAUAUAGAAAAUUCCAGAAAAUUGCCUAAACUUCAAAAAUUCAUAGAAAUUCAACCAUAACUCCAAAUGAGACAAAUUAUAUAUGAAAAAUUAUCAGAAAAAUUCAAGGAAUCCAUCUGUACCAUUUUCAUGCAUGUUUGAACAAUGCUUGUCCUCUGUUUUGGACAAAACAAAUAAAGGGCAUUUAAAUAAUCAUAUAUGGGGUUGGAAUUUGAAUCUUGUACUCAAACCAACUCCAUUUAAAUCAUAGCUAGUUGUAUAAGCUCAAGACACAUCCAUAUUGCCAUGUCAUAGCAUGCAUCAUAUUGUUGCAUAUCGUCAUGUGUUGAUUGUGCUCGGUUGUGUUCUUCGUGGUAGGUUCUGCCUCCGAGGAUAUUCACGAGUAUCCAACUGAAGGGCAGUAUCCCGUUACCACUCCAUCAGGCAAGCAAGCAUUGAUCAUUCCGAUACAACCCAUGUUCUCGCUCCUGCUCUUGUUUACUGCAUUAAGACAACACGAUUCAAACUGCCGUGUGCUACGGUAGUUGAACCCUUAUCCUCUGCAUGACCUGUCAUUGCCACAGUAACUAGAUGAAACCCACUAGCAUGUGUAGGAGUUGAUUGAGCCAUGUUUUGUGAUUCCUACCUUGCUAUGCCUGCUAUGCUUAGAGUUGUGUCAGGUCUGGUUCAUCUGGGGAAUGGGCUAGAGUGAAAUGCUUGUGCCAGUAAAUUGUGGGAUGUGUUGAACAUGUUUUGGUAAAGGUAUCGAUGAGAGGCCAUGUAGGAGUACAUGGUGGGUUGUUUCAUUGAAGCCGUCCCUAAGAACUGAGUUCUGUAUGCGUGAAUUAAGAUUCAGCUACUACCACACAUUGGGCCCUGAAAUAUGACCCCGCUCGACUUACCGACCCCUCUCGCCUCAGUCCAGGAGUUGCAACUAGUUUCUGGUGUUUGUAGGAUAUGUGUUGGCGGCCGUGCGUAGCGCUGACCCUAGGGGUGGGCUAUGUUGCGGUAGAUACACUGUGGCACGGUGUACCGAGUCACCCGUUUGGUGUCUCGGGAACCCUGUUCACAUCGUUCGGGGCCGUUGAGGACACCCCGGCCGGAUUUCCUUGCGGAUGGAACCUGAAUAGGCGAUGACCCUGGACUAGAGACUUGUGAGGUUAGUCAGGUCGUGGUCUACACCCACGUCGGUUUUCGCUUGAAGUCUGCCGAGCACAUUUCGUGUGCAGACGCUAAGAGGUGGAAACAUGUGUGACGAAGUACACCCGUGCAGGGUAUAAAACUAUUCGAAUAGCCGUGUCCGCAGUAAAGGACUACUUGGUUGCAUAUACAGUUCAUAGACAAGUUAAUGGAUACUACUAAAAGACUCAAGAUAAGUGUGAGUACCGAGGAUGGCUCCCUCAUGUGACCCCUACCUGUAUGGAUAUGUUAUGUAUGGCUCCCUGGAGCCUUUAAAUAAAGUACCUGAGUUGUAGAGUUUUGUUGUGAUGCCAUGUUGUAUGUACUCAUAUCGAGCAUAUUGUAUGUAUGAUUGAAAUGCUUGGUAUGAGUGGGAUCCGACAAUCUAGUUGUUUGUCCUUCGCAGCCUUUCUUAUGGGGAAAUGUAGUCUAGUGCUCCUCGAGCCAGAGUAGUCCGCUACAGCCCGGUUCACCGGAGUCCUGCUAGCCCAGCACUACUGUUCAGGACACUUGACUGGCCGGCAUGUGUUUCACUUCGUCCCUAUGUCUGUCCCUUCGGGGAAAUUUCACGCGGUGAUCUCCGGAGUCCUGUCUAGCCUGCUACAGCCCGGGAUCCCCCGGAGUCCUGUUAGCCCAGUGCUACAGCCUGGAAUCACUCCUUGAUGACCGACAUGUUCGUUGUGAUUCAUGUAUGCCUGUCUCCAUAGGUCUGUGCCGCUUUGGGUUCACGACUAGCCAUGUCGGCCCGGGUUCUCGGUCAUAUGGAUGCUAGCGACAUUGUCAUAUACGCGAGCCAAAAGGCGCAAACGGUCCCGGGCCAUGGUAAGGCGACACCCGUGGGAUACCGUGCGUGAGGCCGCAAAUUGAUAUGAGGUGUUACCGGCUAGAUCGAUGUGGCUUAGAAUCGGGGUCCUGACAGAAAUGGUCGAGACAUAAAGAUUGAUAUAUUGGAAGCCUAUAUUUGGAUAUCGGAAGUGUUCCGGGUAAAAUCGAGAUUUUGCCAGAUUACCGGGAGGUUACCAGAACCCCCCGGGAGCCAUAUGGGCCUUAUUGGGCUUUAGUGGAAAGGUGAAAAGGGCUGCCAUGGUGGGCUGCACGCCUCCCCCCUCCCCUAGUCCUAUUAGGACUAGGAGAGGUGGCCGGCCACCUCUCUCUCUCUUUCCCCCUUGGGAGUCCUAUUUGGAAUAGGAUUGGGGGGGAGUCCUACUCACGGUAGGAGUAGGACUCCUCCUGCACCCUCCUCUUUGCCGGCCAGCCCCUCCCCCUUGGAUCCUUUAUAUACAGGGGCAGGGGGCACCUCUAGACACACAAGUUGAUCAUUGAGAUCGUUCCUUCGCCGUGUGCGGUGCCCCCUGCCACCAUAUUCCACCUCGAUCAUAUCGUUGUAGAGCUUAGGCGAAGCCCUGUGUCGGUAGAACAUCAAGAUCGUCACCAUGCCGUCGUGCUGAUGGAACUCCUCCACGAAGCUUUGCUGGAUCGGAGCCCGGGGAUCGUGAUCGAGCUGUACGUGUGCUAAGAACUCGGAGGUGCCGGAGUAACGGUGCUUGGAUCGGUCGGAUCGGGAAGAAGACGUACGACUACUUCCUCUACGUUGUGUCAACGCUUCCGUUGCGAUCUACAAGGGUACGUAGAUUAGACUCUCCCCCUCGUUGCUAUGCAUCACCAUGAUCUUGCGUGUGCGUAGGAAAAUUUUGAAAUUACUACGUUCCCCAACACUAUGCACCUGCAUCGUCACAUGAGUCGAUGAUAUGCAACAUAUAUAGUUGAGCAUCAGAAAGAGAUAGACUUGGCAAAAAUAGAAGCAACAUAUCAUAAGCAUAAAUAACAAAGUUCAUCGUACCCAAAAUGCCCUAACUAGAGUGAUCUUCGGUAGUCAAGGAGGAAGGUUUAAUUACAUCACAAAUAAUGUUUCGUCGUGCAUAACUCAAAGUUCCGUCAUACAGAAGGUAUGAACUAAACGGACACAUUGUCAUAUUUCGAAAAUCACUCCAACAUGGCGUGCCAUCCAUCCAAGUCAAGGAGAUAGUGCCCGAGCUUAGUGAAAGGCUUCAGGUCGAGACGCUGAGCGGCUACGCGUGUUCGGACUCUUCCCAUGACAUUUGUCCUUCUUCAUAGAACAUCCCUGUUUUUUCGACGACCUCCAUCAUGAUGAUUUGGGCAAGUUCGCACUGGAAGUGAUAUAACUCAUCUUGAAGUCGAUGAUCCUCGAUAUCUUCUAAGUUCUUUGCCCAUUGCAGAAUAUGGGCAUGGCUGAAUUUAGGUGACAUGCAAAGGUUCUGGUGAUCCUGUCUGUACUCCAUCAUGUGGUGUAGGACAUAGAACCCAUCAUCAAGAGAAUCACUCGGUUGCUGGAUGCAGCUGAAGUCGGUCUUAUGGGCCUGCCGUCCCUUUUCUUCUUGUCCUUGACCUCUCCACCCCGUGCAUCGUAGUAAAACAUAGCACUAUCGAGAACAAACUUGAUGUGGGUGUAAUCCUUUUUGUUAAUGUUCUUCGACGAGUCCACAAUAUCGGGGGUAGAGGAUGAUGAGGACGGCGCGCCUGCCGUUGCGCAAAAUAAGUACACCUCAAAUGAAUUAAACUCCAUCGUUCAAAUGAAUGAUUGAAAUCGAAGGAAGGAUAUCUGCGCGGAUGACUUACACGGGAUGAUAAGGCACGAGAAUCGCCUCCUUGUCCUUAUUGGCAAGCAUGAAAUUGACGAUGUAUUCCUCGUGUAUUCAUGGUGCUUUGCGCGGACUCCCAAGACGCCCUCGUGCAUGAAGUACGGGUCAGCGACAUAGAUAUGAGGUAUCUGCUCAACCCCGAUGAGGUAGUUCAUGUGCAAGGCAUAAAGGCGGACAAACAUAAAAUCCAGCUUCUUUAAGUGAAACAUGUUGAAGAUGUAAUCAGAUCGAAGGAAAAACUUCUUCGAGGGGAAUGUGUCGACGUACGACAAUUGCCCGGCACGUUAACCACGUAGAGAGGGUAUCCUGGAUUUUUCGAGGCGAUGAGGCCUUUCUCUAUCCGCAACACGUCGUCAUGAAGUCUCCUUAGAUCGCCGGAUCUGGCCCCUAGCGCUGCUUUCGGUAGGAUUGGUUCACCAGGAUACGCCAUUUUGCCGCUCCGGGGACAUCUAUACGGUCUUGAACCCGAGGCUGCUGAGGCGGCUGGAUCAUAGAAGCAGCUUUGUUGGCUUUCCUCAGUGUAUUCCUAGGCUUCUUUGCUACAGGAAGGUCAUCUAUGAUAUGUUCAGCCUCCAGAGGCGGCAAUUCAGGCACCGACUCAUGACGCUCAAACCCUGAGUAGGCGCCAGUAUUGAGAUACUGUUGAGUGCCAUUGUUGUCCUCAUCUAUGGCGGUGUCACCAGCGACAAAUGGAGCCUCUUCCUCACCCCGUUCGCUAUCACCCAGCACGACAGCCGGCGCUAAUUGGGUAGGUGGGGUGUUGAUGUUCAUACCUAACUGCGUGCUCGUGUGUGUGCUCCCGGCCGUCUCCAAACAAAGUAGACUCUUUGGCCACAACAGGACCCACCCAUUGCAAUCACCAAUCCCCUGCGGGAUCUCGUCGUCAUUCCCCCUAGUACCGGAGGAGCCAAAUUCUCCUGGCCUGGUUUGACACUGGCCACGGAAACUUUGUAGACGUCCGAGGGGAUCGGUCGGCCGUGGAACAAUGGUUCCUUAGGCUUCAUUAUCGUCACCUUCCCCACGUCCACCUCCUGGUAGCGGAUGUUGUACAAUAUGGUGCACGGGGUUACAUUGGCCUGCAAAGACAUUUCUGCGAUGUGAGAUAUCCGACAGGCAACAAAAAAUGGGAGAUUAUACAUUUAUUGAAGAGGGCUGGUGUGACAGAUAUAGUGAGGGCGUCGAGCUCAUCCAAAGAUGAAGCACCGCUGAGCACGUCCGGUGUCGGAGCCGGUGCGGGAGCAGGUGCAGGUGCUGGUGCAACGCUAGUCGAGCUGCUCCCGAAGAAGUCAGCAAGGGGAAAGUCCGCUGCAUUUUUUUUCUGGAUUUUGCGUGCUCGAAUUGAAAACGGCCGAAACCAAGACAGUAGACAUAUCUGCAACCACCUGUUUUGCGGCAGCUAUCGCUGUUGCGACUGUCUCAGAUGAUUUCUUCUCAAUCGGAAUCUAAACCUUCUGGCUGAUGUUUUCUUCAGUUAACCUCCGUCUUUCCUUUCGCUCCUCCGUGGUCUCACGGUAGUACUUCUUCCACGUGGCGCCGUCUACGACACCGUCCACGCGUCCAUACGACGGCCGAUUCUCCACCAGGAGUCCUUUCAAUAUGUUCAAUACCCGGUUGAAUGGAGUCUACCACUUGGGCCUCGCCAACGCCUCAGACGGCGAGUCACUUUCGGCUGCAAUCUUGUGCUGCUCUCUCUUCAAAAGGAACAAGGAUCGUUUACAAAUAUGACUAAACGUGCAGUCGAAUUGAUCAGAAACUAAAAUUACCAGCAGUCUCGUGAACUCCGUCGUGAUCGGGUCCGUCUUAAAAACCUUCUUGACUGAGUCCCAAUGGUGCCGUGCCCCGAGGACGUCACGCUCCUGCGGGACGGUGAAGUCCGCCAAGGGGUCUGGGAUGCCCAGACGUUCGCGUUCCGCGUCCUCCUUGGCCCAUAUGGACCUCUUCCCGCCGUAACCACGGCUUCCGAGGUGGUGGCGCCCCAUGUUCCUUUGUUGAAGCCCUUUCAUGUACUUCGACUUUUUUUUGGCAGCUUCGGCCUCGCAAGCCGCCUUGAAUUUUUCAAAGUGCUCUCCCGUGAUUGUCGGAUUAUCCUUUACAAUCUCGGAGUAUGGUUCCUUUUUGUCGACAAUCCGAUGUUUCAACCUUGUUUUCCAGGUGGCCAACGUGUCGCUAAACUUGGUCAUGGCGUGUUUGUUUAUCUUCUUCAUUGCCGGGUCCUUAUUUGGAUAUUUAUAAUCCUUUUCAUUCCGGCCCGGGAACAACAAUAUCUGGUGCAGCUUCUUUAGGAGGGAGGACCUCAUAUUAUCUAUCUUCUGUAGUUUCCCAUGGUUGAUCGUGGCAGUUAUCCGUACGAUGCAGCCUAUUUGAUUGCCGUAGCACGAUCGCGCUUCCUUGGGCGCUAUUGUCUGAAAAAUACGGUCGUCCAUCUCCGUGACCACCAGUCUAGUUGUCAUGAGCUGGUUUGGGCGCCGUGGCUUCUUAGCUUUCGGUUCUAGAUCAGCUCCGCUAGUCUCGGCGCCGGUCUCAGUCUCAUCGCCGGUCUGCAUGUCGGUAUCAGUCCCCGAUGCGACAGGUCGGCCCAGCAACAACAUUCGUUGAUCGUCGGCAAGGCUCAAAAAUUCAUCUGCCGCCAGGUAGACGUGUCGCAAUCACCAGAACCCUAUCCUUCAUCAUUGCUAGCCAUGUUUCCUACGAUUAUAUCUAGUCAAUUAAUUCUAGACCUAAUAAAAUGAAUAAUGACAUAAAACAGGCCAAUGUUUUGCAGGAUUACAACUCAACCCAUUGCAGAUUAGAAAACAAUCCCGUGUGAAUGCACAGGCUGACGACUAGUAUAUAUAAAGCUUAAUGGUGCCUAAGAAAGCUCGCACAAUUUUACAGUGGCUAUGGAAAUGUGUUGCCAAACUUUGACAUAAGAUUUUCGUUUGGCAUCCAGAGUUGCAAAACGCUUGUGUUGUCCUUAAUCCAUGGCCACUCUAAUUUUUCCGGCUGGGCCUUCCCUGUGGUAUCGCGGCAAGGCUUGCGUGUGUAUAUGUUUCCUUUAACUACCACUAGCACAUAUGCCCGUGCGUGCGUUGCAACGGGAGAGAUAAUGGCGUAUCCACCAAUAUAUCUAACAGCAUGACCCAACAAUAUCCGAAUGAUGUCACCCGAUGACGGCAGGAAGGCACGCACAGAGGUCUAGUAAAAACUCAUAUCAAUUGUAAGGGCAUGGUUAAUUCGCGUGAAUUCAGGGGUGUGAGAUUAGUUAGUGUUGGUCCCACAAUUGAAUUCGGGGGGUGAUUAGUUAGUGUGGGCCCACCCUCGAAUUCACGGGGGGAGACAAAAUAAUUAGGGUGAGGAGAGAUUUACGGGGCUUGGUCCCCAGAUGCGUUGUGGCAGUCAUUAUUCGAGCAUUGCAAUGCUCGCACGUGACGAGCUCUUUUUCCAAUUGUAUAUUAAGAAGCAUGCUACAGAUACAAUGUUUUUGAUACGUUUUUUGUACAAUGAUCCUGAUCUUAAAGGGCCACCUAAUUUUUAUAUCUUAAAGGCAUUAUUUGUAAGUUGUCGUGAAAAAAAUCUCGCUAAAAGGGUUGUGUUAGACCAUCUUCAGUACAUUAGAAAUAACGAAUUAUAAUUCCUUGGCAUUUGAAGAAACAAUCGCUACUUAUUUACACAUACAAUUCUUUUGGUACGAUUUUGAAAUCUUGAAGGCAUUAUUUGUAAGUUGAAGCAAUUUUGAAAUCUCACUAAAAGGUCUGUUAGACCCUCUAGAGCUUUAGAAAUAACUAAUUAUAAUUUUGCAAAAAAAAGAAAUAACUAAUUAUAAUUCCUUAAGCAUCUGACCGAAACGACCCCGAAUUAUUGUCUGGGUAGUAAUUCCUUUGCAACAUUAUUCUCUCCUUUUUUGAAGGAGCUCUUGCCUGGGUAGUAAUUCCUAUUUGCAAGGUUAUUCUCUCCUUCAUUUUUACAGGAGCUCUCCUUCCUUAUACUAAUUGGUCAUUAUCCUCUCCUUCCUUUUUCUUUUUGCCAAACUCUCUUUCCAUACUUAUGCCGCUAACCACGCCACUCUUUUUCCUUAUUUAUGCCCUUUGAUCACGCCACACAUCUCAUGAAAUCUAAGCCAUAUCACCCAUCUUUUUUCCUUAUUCUCAAAGGCGCUUUCCUCACAAACAGUAGUUCUCUAGGAUGCUUAACGAUUUUGAAACAGAAACAUAUAUAAAUCGGUAGAACGGGUUGUCAAGCAGCGAGGUGGUACUAGUUUAUAAAGAAACAAAUUAACCUUUUCUUUUUGUGUAAUGAUGCCUUGGUUCGGCUGGUUGCUGCCUUUGCCCUUGAUGUGCAGCGUUGGGAAAAGGAUGGGCGAAGUGGACGAACCAAAAACGGACAAAAUUACGGUAGUAAGAAGCGAUAGCCCAUUUAUUAGUAGGUAUAGAUAUAGAUGUCGAGGAUGAGGAUUUACUGCACACAAGUGCGGGGGCACUCAGGUCCUGGUGCCGGCCUUUUAUUUUGGCUUCCGAUUUUCAAACUUCUAUAUCUUUUAAACGAAAAGUUCAAUUUAAGUUACGUUUUCAUAUUCGUGCUUCUCGCGGCCAGCGCUUUCAAAUAAGAUCCAUUUUGCAUACAUUUUGGCUGCUUUUGGAAACAUUGCUAAGUUUCAUUGUUUGAAACUUAGUACGAGCGACCGAUAAAAUUUAAUUAUUUUGUGUCUACGACCAACAGGAGAAAUUGCUUAAAAUUACAUCUUUGAAACUGGUCAUUUUUUUACUGUGUCCUACUUCACGAAUCACGAGGCAAAUCAAGUAGGCGGCAUGCCCUGGCCGGUGAGUGCCAUUGCACUUACUUGCCCCAGCGAUUUUCCGCGUGCAUUGUAGAAUUCUUUCUCCGAGUCCUGUGAAUUAAAGAUGGUGCAGACAAAAGUAUAUCCUAUAUGCGUACAUGUGCAUGAUCAGAACAUGUUUUUACGUGCGUCUACUAUAAAUCAUGACCAUUUUUAACACAAAUCAUGACCAUUCAUGAUUAGUGAAUCAUACUGUCUUAACUUAUGUGAAAUCAUGUGGAGUAAUAUAAUAUAAUACAAUAGAUAGACAGAUCCAUGUUGUAUUAUUUUUUGUUUACAAAAAAAUCUGUAAUUACACAUUUUGAUUUAUGCAUUUGUUUACAAAAAAACAGUAACAUUUCAUGGUGGAAAGUUUGUAUUGUUUCAUACUGAACACCAAUGUUUUCCUGUAAAAGAAAAUAAUGCCUACGCAUAUGCUUUUAUAUUAUUAUUAUUCUUUCAAACUUAUUCAUAUAGUAUUUUUGAUUGUGCAACCAUAAUUUUUAUUAUCUCUCUCGUUCCACUACAUGCUCUUACUCAAUGAUUUUCUUUAUAAUGGGUGUUUUUAUUAACUCAAAAUAUAGCAUCAAGCGGAUACAGAACAUACUGAGCCACACCCGGUCUCUGCAUAACUAAGAUGCACACAGCCAAAAGCGGAAGUCUGACAAAAAUAAGAUAAGAAAAUCGACAUAUCGACAACAGUGAGUCAUAUAGUUCCGACACUAUGCCUCUGUCGAAGGAGGGGGUGGAGCGAUCUAGAGAUUAUGCUGCCUUCCAUGUUGAGUAAACACCUCCCUGGCCACUUGUUCCAACUGCAUAGACGCCGCCACGAAUAACGGUUGGUACUCUGUUCGGUGUAGCAUACACCAUGUAGGAAGUGAGUGCUCACUCCUAGUUACUGAAUUAUGUACACACUAGUAGAAAAAGGCCCAUUUGUCCCGGUUCGUAAGGCCCAUUUGUCCCAGUUGGGGAACCGGGACUAAAGGGUCGGUACUAAAGCCCUACACCUUUAGUCCCGGUUCUUACACCAACCGAGACAGAUGGGGCUCCACGUGGCCGUUGCGGCUUACCGUGGCAGGUGGGCCUUUUGUCCCGGUUGGUAGCACCAACCGGGACCAAUAAGCUACCACGCGUCAGCAUUUGAGGGGCUANNNNNNNNNNNNNNNNNNNNNNNNNNNNNNNNNNNNNNNNNNNNNNNNNNNNNNNNNNNNNNNNNNNNNNNNNNNNNNNNNNNNNNNNNNNNNNNNNNNNNNNNNNNNNNNNNNNNNNNNNNNNNNNNNNNNNNNNNNNNNNNNNNNNNNNNNNNNNNNNNNNNNNNNNNNNNNNNNNNNNNNNNNNNNNNNNNNNNNNNNNNNNNNNNNNNNNNNNNNNNNNNNNNNNNNNNNNNNNNNNNNNNNNNNNNNNNNNNNNNNNNNNNNNNNNNNNNNNNNNNNNNNNNNNNNNNNNNNNNNNNNNNNNNNNNNNNNNNNNNNNNNNNNNNNNNNNNNNNNNNNNNNNNNNNNNNNNNGGUUAAUUUUGGAGGGUUUCAUAUAUUGUGUUAGGUAGCUAAUUAAUUAAUACAGAGAAGUGUCAUCUCUUAUCUCCGUGCUUGGUCGACGCUACGUACUAUACGUACAGAGAGGCCCUCGACACGCUAGCCAGUAAGCAAAUGAAGGAAACCAUUAAGUACAGAAGUUCGUCAUGAACAUAUGCAUACAAACUAAGUGAUAUCGACCUCUCCUUCUCUGAGAGAUAGGUCGAACAACAAGUUUCCGUAUAUCUAUCCGGCGCUACUAGCUACAUAUAUACAAUAUUAAGAUCUCUUACAAUAUAAUCCCCUAAUUAUAUAUGAACUCAGCUUUCAGAUGGUAUUCUCCGGCUUUAUUGAUGACGUGGUCAAGAAAGAAUCCCUCCAAUUCCUCUUGAAUUGCUUUGAUGCGAUCUUCUGGUAGGAGUUCAUCCCGCAUCUGCCACAUCUAAUUUGAAGAAGGGGGUCAAUCACUAGUAGAAUAACAGCCAUUUGUCCUGGUUCGUAAGGCUCAUUCGUCCUGGUUGGGGAACCGAGACUAAAGGGUCGUUACUAAAGCCCUACACCUUUAGUCCCGGUUCUUACACCAACUGGGACAGAUGGGCCUCCACGUGGCCGCUGCGGCGAGCCCAGGCAGGAGGUCCUUUGGUCCCGGUUAGUGGCACUGAUACUUCUCCAACGUAUCUAUAAUUUUUGAUUGCUCCAUGCUAUUAUGUUAUCUAUUUUGGAUGUUAAUGGGCUUUAUUUUACACCUUUAUAUCAUUUUUGGGACUAACCUACUAAUCGGAGGCCCAGCCCAAAUUGUUGUUUUUUUGCCUAUUUUAGGUUUUCGAAGAAAAGGAAUAUCAAACGAAGUCCAAACGGAAUGAAACCUUCGGGAACGUGAUUUUCUCAACGAACAUGAUCCAGGAGACUUGAAGUGUGCGCCAAGAAAGAAGGGAGGAAGGCAAGAGGCAGGGGGCACGCCUACCCCCCUUGGGCGUGCCCUCCACCCUCGUGGGCCCUCCGCUGCUCCAUCGACGUACUUCUUCCUCCUAUAUAUAUCCACGUACCCCUCGAACAUCCAGGAGCACCACGAAAACCUAAUUCCACCGCCGCAACCUUCUGUACCCGAGAGAUCCCAUCUUGGGGCCUUUUCCGGAGGUCCACCGGAGGGGGCAUCGAUCACGGAGGUCCUCUACAUCAACUCCAUGGCCUAUCCAGUGAUGUGUGAGUAGUUCACUUCAGACCUACGGGUCCAUAGUUAUUAGCUAGAUGGCUUCUUCUCUCUCUUUGGAUCUCGAUACAAAGUUCUUUUCGAUUUUCUUGGAGAUCUAUUUGAUGUAACCUUAUUUUGCGGUGUGUUUGUCGAGAUCCGAUGAAUUAUGGGUUUAUGACCCAGAUUAUCUAUGAACAAUAUUUGAUUCUCCUCUAAAUUCUUUUAUGUAUGAUUGGUUUAUCUUUGCAAGUCUCUUCGAAUUAUCAGUUUGUUUUGGCCUACUAGAUUGAUCUUUCUUGCAAUGGGAGAAGUGCUUAGCUUUGGGUUCAAUCUUGCGGUGUUUGAUCCUAGUGACAGAAAGGGAACCGAUACGUAUUGUAUUGUUGCCAUCGAGGAUAAAAAGAUGGGGUUUAUAUCAUAUCGCAUGAGUUUAUCCCUCUACAUCAUGUCAUCUUCCUUAAAGCAUUACUCUGUUCUCUUGAACUUAAUACUCUAGAUGUGUGCUGGAUUGCGGUCGAUGUGUGGAGUAAUAGUAGUAGAUGCAGAAUCGUUUCGGUCUACUUGUCUCGGACGUGAUGCCUAUAUACAUGAUCAUACCUAGAUAUUCUCAUAACUAUGCUCAAUUCUGUACAAUAUGGUGCACGCGGUUACAUCGGCCUGCAAAGACAUUUCUGCGAUGUGAGACAUCCGAAAAGCAACGAAAACGGGAGAUUAUACAUUUAUUGAAGAGGGCCGGAGUGACAGAUACCGUGAGGGUCUCGAGCUCAGCCAAAGACAAAGGACAGAUGAGCACGGCCUAUGUCGGAGCCAGUGCGGGAGCCGGUGCGGGAGCAGGUGCAGGUGCAGGUGCUGGUGCAAUGCUAGUCGAGCUGCUCCUAAAGAAGUCAACAAUGGGAAAGUCCGCUACAUUUUUUCUGGAUUUUGCGUGCUCCAAUUGAAUACAGCUGGAACCAAGACAGUAGACAUAUCUGUUGGAAAUAUGCCCGAGAGCCAAUAAUAAAUUGGUUAUUAUUAUAUUUCCUUGUUCAUGAUAAUCGUUUAUUAUCCAUGCUAGAAUUGUAUUGAUAGGAAACUCAGAUACAUGUGUGGAUACAUAGACAACACCAUGUCCCUAGUAAGCCUCUAGUUGACUAGCUCGUUGAUCAAUAGAUGCUUACGGUUUCCUGACCAUGGACAUUGGAUGUCGUUGAUAACGGGAUCACAUCAUUAGGAGAAUGAUGUGAUGGACAAGACCCAAUCCAUAUCUAGCACAAGAUCGUGUAGUUCGUAUGCUAAAGCUUUUCUAAUGUCAAGUAUCAUUUCCUUAGACCAUGAGAUUGUGCAACUCCCGGAUACAGUAGGAGUGCUUUGGGUGUGCCAAACAUCACAACGUAACUGGGUGGCUAUAAAGGUGCACUACGGGUAUCUCUAAAAGUGUCUGUUGGGUUGGCACGAAUCGAGACUAGGAUUUGUCACUCCGUGUAAAUGGAGAGGUAUCUCUGGGCCCACUCAGUAGGACAUCAUCAUAAUGAGCACAAUGUGAUCAAGGAGUUGAUCAAGGGAUGAUGUCUUACGGAACGAGUAAAGAGACUUGCCGGUAAUGAGAUUGAACAAGGUAUCGGGAUACCGACGAUCAAAUCUCGGGCAAGUAUCGUACCGAUAGACAAAGAGAAUUGUAUACGGGAUUGAUUGAAUCCUUGACAUCGUGGUUCAUCCGAUGAGAUCAUUGUGGAGCAUGUGGGAGCCAACAUGGGUAUCCAGAUCCCGCUAUUGGUUAUUGACCGGAGAGUUGUCUUGGCCAUGUCUGCAUGACUCCUGAGCUCGUAGGGUCUACACACUUAAGGUUCGAUGACGCUAGGGUUAUAGGGAAAGUAUGUACGCGGUUACCGAAUGUUGUUCGGAGUCCCAGAUGAGAUCCCAGACAUCACGAGGAGUUCUGGAAUGGUCCGGAGGUAAAGAUUUAUAUAUGGGAAGUUCCGUUUUGGUCACCGGAAAUGUUUCGGGUGCUAUCGGUAACGUACCGGGACCACCGGGAGGGUCCCAGGGGUCCAUCAGGUGGGGCCACCAGCCCCGGAGGCCUACAUGGGCCAAUAGUGGGAAGGGACCAGCCCCUAGGUGGGCUGGGGCGCCUCCCGACAAGGCCCAAGUCGCCUCCAAGAGGGGAAGGGGGCAAACCCUAGGGCAGAUGGGCCCCAAGGCCCACCCUAGGUGCGCCUCCCCCUCUCCCCCUUGUAGCCGCCACCCUAGAUGGGAUCUAGGGCUGCCGCACCCCUUGGGGUGGGAACCCUAGAGGGGGCGCAGCCCCCUCCCCUCCCCCUAUAUAUACUUGAGGUAUGGGGGCUGCCCAACAUACGAUUUGAUCUCUCUCUUGGCGCAGCCCUACCCCUCUCCCUCCUCGUCUCUCAUAGUGCUUGGCGAAGCCCUGCUGGAGUUCCGCGCUCCUCCACCACCACUACCACGUCGUCGUGCUGCUGCUGGACGGACUCUUCCCAACCUCUCCUUCUCCCCUUGCUGGAUCAAGGCGUGGGAGACGUCACCGGGCUGCAGAUGUGUUGAACGCGGAGGCGCCGUGGUUCGGCGCUUAGAUCGGAAUCAACCGAGAUCUGAAUCGCUACGAGUACGGCUCCUUCAUCCGCGUUCUUGCAACGCUUCCGCUUAGCGAUCUACAAGGGUAUGUAGGUGCACUACCCUUCCCUUCGUUGCUAGGUUACUCCAUAGAUUGAUCUUGGUGAUGCGUAGAAAAUUUUAAAUUUCUGCUACGAUCCACAACAGUGGCAUCAUGAGCUAGGUCUAUGCGUAGUUUCUAUGCACGAGUAGAACAUAAAACAGUUGUGGGCGUCAAUAUUGUCAAUUACUUGCCGUUAGUAGUCUUAUCUUGAUUCGGCGGCAUCGUGGGAUGAAGCGGCCCGGACUGACCCUACACGUACGCUUACGUGAGACUUGUUCCACUGACUGACAUGCACUAGUUGCAUAAGGUGGCUAGUGGGUGUCUGUCUUUCCCACUUUAGUCAGAUCGGAUUCGAUGAAAAGGGUCCUUAUGAAGGGUAAAUAAAAAUUGGCAUACCACGUUGUCGUUUUGGCGUAGGUAAGAAAUGUUCUUGCUAGAAACCUAUAGGAGCCACGUAAAAACUUGCAACAACAAUUUGAGGACCUCUAACUUGUUUUUGCAGCAUGUGCCGUGUGAUGUGAUAUGGCCAAAAGGAUGUGAUGAAUGAUAUAUGUGAUGUAUGAGAUUGAUCAUGUUCUUGUAAUAGGAAUCACGACUUGCAUGUCGAUGAGUAUGACAACCGGCAGGAGCCAUAGGAGUUGUCUUUAUUUAUUUAUGACCUGCGUGUCAACAUAAACGUCAUGUAAUUACUUUACUUUAUUGCUAAAGCGUUAGCCAUAGUAAUGGAAGUAAUAGAUGACAAGACAACUUCAAGAAGACACGAUGAUGGAGAUCAUGAUGAUGGAGAUCAUGGUGUCAAGCCCGUGACAACGAUGAUCAUGGAGCCCCAAAGAUGGAGAUCAUAAGGAGCAAAAUGAUAUUGGCCAUAUCAUGUCACUAUUUGAUUGCAUGUGAUGUUUAUCAUGUUUUACCUCUUAUUUUCUUAGAACGACGGUAGCUUAAAUAAGAUGAUACCUCGCAAUAAUUUCAAGAAAGUGUUUCCCCUAACUGUGCACCGUUGCGAAGAUUCGUUGUUUUGAAGCACCACGUGAUGAUCGGGUGUGAUAUAUUCUAACGUUCAAAUACAACAGGUGUAAGCCAGAUUUACACACACAAUACACUUAGGUUGACUUGAUGAGCCUAGCAUUUACAGACAUGGCCUCGGAACACGGUAGACCGAAAGGUCGAGCAUGAGUCGUAUAGAAGAUACGAUCAACAUGAAGAUGUUCACCGAUGUUGACUAGUCCGUCUCACGUGAUGAUCGGCCACGGCCUAGUUGACUCGGAUCAUGUUUCACAUAGAUGACUAGAGGGAUGUCUAUCUGAGUGGGAGUUCAUUAAAUAAUUUGAUUAGAUGAACUUAAUUAUCAUGAACAUAGUCCAAAUUGUCUUUGCAAAUAUGUUGUGGAUAAAUAGCUCACGCUUUAGCUCCCUGUUUUAAUAUGUUCCUAGAGAAAAGACUAACUGGAAAGAUAUUGUAAGCAUUAACGCUGACUAGGUCUGUUGCCUGAGGAGUGUCCUCACUGCUACACAGAAGGCUUAUGUCUUUGAUGCACCGCUCGGUGUGCCAACCCCUCCGGCGUCGUCUGUGGAUGUUGUGAACACCCGACAGACACAUCCUGAUGACUACUUGAAAGUUUAGUGCACCAUACUUUACGGCUUAGAAUCGGGAUUCCAAUGACGUUUUGAACGCCAUAAGACAUAUGAGAUGUUCCAAGAGCUGAAAUUGGGAUUUCAGGCUCAUGCCCGUGUUGAGAGGUAUGGACCUCUGACAAGUGCUUUUGCCAACAAGAUGGAGUAGAAUAGCUCAGCUAGAGAGCAUGUGCUCGGAAUGUCUGGGUGCUACAAUCACUUAAAUCAAGUGGGAGUUAAGCUUCCAGAUAAGAUAGUGAUUGAUAGAGUUCUCUAGCCACUAUCACUAAGAUACUAGAUCUUCGUGAUGAACUAUGACAUGCAAGGGAUGGAGUUGAUCCCGGAGCUGUUCACGGUGCUUAAGAUCGCAAAAGGUAGAAAUCAAGAAGGAGCAUCAAGUGUUGAUGGUUUAACAAGACCACUAGUUUCAAGAAGGGCAAGGGCUAGAAGGGAAACUUCAUGAAUGGCAAACCAGUUACCAAUCAAGUGAAGGAACCCAAGGUUGAACCCAAACCCGAGACAAAGUGCUUCUAUUGUAAGGGGAACAGUCACUGGUAGCGGAACUACCCCAAAUACAUGGUAGAUAAGAAGGAUGGCAACUUCAACAAAGUAUAUACAUGUUAUUAAUGUGUACCUCACCAGUACUCUUGGUAGCACCUGGGUAUUGGAUACCGGUUCAGUUGCUAUUAUUGGUGACUUGAAGCAAAAGCUACGGACUAAACGGAGACUGGCUAAGGGCGAGGUGACGUUGUGUGGUGGAAGUGUUUCCAAAGUUGAUAAGAUCACCAUCGCAUGCUCCAUCUGCCUUUGGGAUUAGUAUUGAACCUAGAUAAAUGUUAUCAGGUGUCUACGUUGAGGAUGAAUAUGAUUAGAUCAUGUUCAUUGCAAUACGGUUAUUCAUUUAAGAUAGAGAAUAAUGGUUAUUCUGUUUACAUGAAUAAUACCUUUCAUGGUCAUGCACCCUAUGUGAAUGGUUCAUUGAAUCUCGGUCGUGGUAAUACAGAUGUUCACGCCAAAAGAUGUAGAGUUAACAAUGAUAGUACCACUUUCUUGUGGAACUGCCGCUUAGGUCAUAUUGGCAUAAGAUGCAUGAAGAAACUCCAUGUCGAUGGAUGUUUGGAGUCAAUUGAUUUUGAAUCGCUUGACACAUGCGAGCCAUGAUUCAUGGGCAGGAUGACUAAGACCCCGUUUUCAGGUAAAAUAAAACGGGCAAGUGACUUCUUGGAAAUCAUACAUGCUGAUGCAUGUGUUCCAAUCAGAAUUGAAGCGUGCGGUGGAUAUCGCUAUUUUCUCAUCUUCACUGACGAUUUGAGUAGAUAUAGGUAUAUUUACUUAAUGAAGCACAAGUCUGAAACAUUUGAAAAGUUCAAGCGAUUUUAGAGUGAAGUUAAGAACCAUCAUAUAUAAUAAGAAGAUCAAAUUCCUACGAUCUGAUCGAUGAGAAUUUCUGAGUUAUGAGUUGGGCAAUCACUUAAGACAUUGUGGAAUUGUUUCAUAGUUGAAGCCACCUGGAACAACACAGGGUAAUGGUGUGUCCGGACGUCGUAAUCGAACCUUAUGAGAUAUGGUGCGAUCUAUGAUGUCCCUUACCGAUCUACCAUUUUCAUUUUGAGGAUAUGCGUUAGAGAAAGCUGCAUUCACUUUUGAUAGGACACCAUCUAAGUCCGUUGAGAUGACGUCGUAUGAAUAUGGUUUGGCAAGAAACCAAAAUUGUCGUUUCUUAAUGUUUGGGGCUGCGAUGCUUAAGGCUUCAGGCGGAGAAGAUCGAACCCAAAAGAGGACAAACACAUCUUCAUAGGAUACCCAAAGGUGACAGUUUGGUAUACCUUCUAUCUCCAAUCUGAGGGCAAGUUGUUUGUCGCUAAGAAUGGUUCCUUUCUCGAGAAGGAGUUUCUCUCGAAAGAAUUGAGUGGGAAGAAGAUAGAACUUGAUGAGGUUGUCGAACCUUUGUUUCAACCAGAGAGUGAUGCAACACAGAAAGAUGUUUUCUGUGGCACCUACGUCUGUUGAAGAGGAAGUUAAUGAUAGUGAUCAUGAAGCUUCGGAUCAAGUUGCUAUCGAACCUCAUAGGUCGACCAGGAUAUGUACUACUCCUGAGUGGUACGGUAAUCCUGUCUUAGAUAUCAUGUUGUUAGACAACAAUGAACCCAUGAGCUAUGGAGAAGCGAUGGUGGGCCCGUAUUCCGACAAAUGGUUAGAAGCCAUGAAAUCCGAGAUAGGCUCCAUGUAUCAGAACAAAGUAUGGACUUUGGUGGACUUGCCCGAUGAUCGGCGAGCCAUUGAGAUAAAUGGAUCUUUAAGAAGAAGACGGACGUGGGCGGUAAUGUUACCAUCUAUGAAGCUCGACUUGUGGGAAAGAGUCUUUUCACAAGUUCAAGGAGUUGACUACGAUGAGAAUUUCUCACCCGUAGCGAUGCUUAAGUCCGUCGGAAUCAUGUUAGCAUUAGCUGUAUUUUUCGAUUAUGAAAUCUGACAGAUGGAUCUCAAAACAAGUUUUCUUACCAGUUUUCGUAAGAAAAAGUUGUAUGUGAUACAAUAAAAGGUUUUGUCGAUCCUAAGGAUGCUAAAAGGUAUGCUGGCUCCAGCAAUCCUUCUAUGGACUAGAGCAAGCAUCUCGAAGUUGGAAUAUAUGCUUUGAUGGAGUGAUCAAAGCUUUUAGGUUUAUACAAUGUUUGCUAGAAACUUGUAUUUACAAGAAAGUGAGUGGGAGAACUACAACAUUUCUGAUAAGUAUAUGUGGAUGACAUAUUGCUGAUUCAAAAUAAUGUAGAAUUUCUGGAAAGCAUAAACGGUUGUUUGAAGAGUGAUUUUCAAAGGCAGACCUGGAUAAAGCUGCUUACAAAUUGGGCAUCAAGAUCUGUAGAAAUAGAUCAAGACGCCUGAUGAUACUUUCAAAGAACGCACACCUUGACAUGUUUUUGAAGGAGUUCAAAAUAGAUCAGGCAAAGAAGGGGUUCUUACCUGUGUUGUAAGGUGUGAAGUUGAGUAAGACUUGAAAGCUUGACCACGACAGAAGAAAGAGGAAGGAUGAAGGUCAUCCCCUAUGCUUUUGUCAUAGGCUCUAUACGGUAUGCCAUGCUGAGUACCACACCAGAUGAGUGCCUUGCCACAUGUCUGGCAAGAGGGUACAAAGGUGAUCUAGGAGUGGAUCACCAGAUAGCGGUCAAAAUUGUCCUUAGAGGAAUAAGGAAAUGUUUCUCAGUUACGGAGCUGAUAAAGAGUUCGACAUAAAGAGUUACGUCGAUACAUGCUUAAACACCAAUCCGGAUAGCUCUGAGUAGAGAUACCAGAUACGUAUAAUGGAGCAACAAUUUGGAAUAGCUCCAAGUGGAACGUGGUAGCAGCAUCUACGAUAUGACAUAAAGUUUUGGGAAAUACAUAGGGAUCUGAAUAUUACAGACCCGUUGACUACAACCUCUCUCACAAGCAUAACAUGAUCAAACCCAGAACUCAUUGAGUGUUAAUCGCAUAGUGAUGUGAACUAGAUUAUUGAAUCUAGUAAACUCUUUAGAUGUUGGUCACAUGGCGAUGUGACCAGUGAGUGUUAAUCACAUGGCGAUGUGAACUAGAUUAUUGACUCUAGUGCAAGUGGGAGACUGUUGGAAAUAUGCCCUAGAGCUAAUAAUAAAUUGGUUAUUAUUAUAUUUCCUUGUUCAUGAUAAUCGUUUAUUAUCCAUGCUAGAAUUGUAUUGAUAGGAAACUCAGAUACAUGUGUGGAUACAUAGACAACACCAUGUCCCUAGUAAGCCUCUAGUUGACUAGCUCGUUGAUCAAUAGAUGGUUACGCUUUCCUGACCAUGGACAUUGGAUGUCGUUGAUAACGGGAUCACAUCAUUAGGAGAAUGACGUGAUGGACAAGACCUAAUCCUAAGCCUAGAACAAGAUCAUGUAGUUCGUAUGCUAAAGCUUUUCUAAUGUCAAGUAUCAUUUCCUUAGACCAUGAGAUUGUGCAACUCCCAGAUACAGUAGGAGUGCUUUGGGUGUGCCAAACGUGACAACGUAACGGGGUGGCUAUAAAGGUGCACUACGGGUAUCUCUGAAAGUGUCUGUUGGGUUGGCAUGAACCGAGACUGGGAUUUGUCACUCCGUGUAAACGGAGAGGUAUAUCUGGGCCCACUCGGUAGGACAUCAUCAUAAUGUGCACACUGUGAUCAAGGAGUUGAUCACGGGAUGAUGUAUUACGGAACGAGUAAAGAGACUUGCCGGUAACGAGAUUGAACAAGCUAUCGGGAUACCGACGAUCGAAUCUCGGGCAAGUAUCAUACCGAUAGACAAAGGGAAUUGUAUACGGGAUUGAUUGAAUCCUUGACAUCAUGGUUAAUCUGAUGAGAUCAUCGUGGAGCAUGUGGGAGCCAACAUGGGUAUCCAGAUCCCGCUGUUGGUUAUUGACCGGAGAGUUGUCUCGGCCAUGUCUACAUGACUCCCGAGCCCGUAGGGUCUACACACUUAAGGUUCGAUGACGCUAGGGUUAUAGGGAAAGUAUGUACACGGUUACAGAAUGUUGUUCGGAGUCUUGGAUGAGAUCCCGGACGUCACGAGGAGUUCCAGAAUGGUCCAGUGGUAAAGAUUUAUAUAUGGGAAGUCCCGUUUUGGUCACCGGAAAGGUUUCGGGUGCUAUCGGUAACGUACCGGGACCACCGGGAGGGUCCCAGGGGUCCAUCAGGUGGGGCCACCAGCCCCGGAGGCCUACAUGGGCCAAUAGUGGGAAGGGACCAGCCCCUAGGCGGGCUGGGGCGCCUCCCACCAAGGCCCAAGGCGCCUCCAAGAGGGGAAGGGGGCAAACCCUAGGGCAGAUGGGCCCCAAGGCCCACCCUAGGUGCGCCUCCCCCUCUCCCCCUUGUAGCCGCCACCCUAUAUGGGAUCUAGGGCUGCCGCACCCCUUGGGGUGGGAACCCUAGAGGGGGCGCAGCCCCCUCCCCUCCCCCUAUAUAUACUCGAGGUAUGGGGGCUGCCCAACAUAUGAUUUGAUCUCUCUCUUGGCGCAGCCCUACCUCUCUCCCUCCUCGUCUCUCAUAGUGCAUGGCGAAGCCCUGCUGGAGUUCCGCACUCCUCCACCACCACCACACCGUCGUUCUGCUGCUGGACGGAGUCUUCCCAACCUCUCCUUCUCCCCUUGCUGGAUCAAGGUGUGGGAGACGUCACCGGGCUGCACGUGUGUUGAACGCGGAGGCGUCGUGGUUCGGCGCUUAGAUCGGAAUUAACCGCGAUCUAAAUCGCUACGAGUACGGCUCCUUCAUCCGUGUUCUUGCAACGCUUCCGCUUAGAGAUCUACAAGGGUAUGUAGAUGCACUCCCCUUCCCUUUGUUGCUAGAUUACUACAUAGAUUGAUCUUGGUGAUGCGUAGAAAAUUUUAAAUUUCUGCUACGAUCCCCAACAAUAUCUGCAACCACCUGUUUUGCGGCAGCUACUGCUGUCGCGAAUGUCUUAGAUGAUUUCUUCUCAACCGCAAUCUCAACCUUCUUGUCGAUGUUUUCUUCAGUUAACCUCCAUCUUUCCUUUCUCUCCUCCGUGGUCUCACAGUAGUACUUCUUCCACGUGGCCCCGUCUCCGACACCGUGAACGCGUCCAUACGACGACCUAGUCUCCACCGGCAGUCCUUUCAAUAUGUUCAAUGCCCGGGUGAAUGGAGUGUCCCACUUGGGCCUCGCCAACGCCUCAGACGGUGAGUCGCUUUCAGCCACAAUCAUGUGCUUCUCUCUCUACAAAAGGAACAAGGAUCAUUUACAAAUAUGACUAAACGUGCAGUCGAAUUGAUCAGAAACUAAAAUUACCAGCAGUCUCAUGAACUCCGUCGUGAUCGGGUCCGUCUUGAAAACCUUCUUGACCGAGUUCGAAUGGUGUCGUGCCCUGAGGACGUCAUGCUCCUAUGGGACGGUGAAGUCCGCCAAGGGGUCUAGGAUGCCAGACUUUCGUGUUCCGUGUCCUGCUUGGCCCAUAUGGACCUCUUCCUGCCGUAACCACGGCUUCUGAGGUGGUGGCGCCCCAUGUUCCUUUGUUGAAGCCCCUUCAUGUACUUUGACUUUGUUUUGGCGGCUUCGGCCUCGCAAGCCGCCUUUAAUAUUUCAAAGUGCUCUCCCGUGAUUGUCGGAUUAUCCUUUACAAUCUCGGAGUAGGGUUGAUACGUCUCCAACGUAUCUAUUAUUUUUGAUUGCUCCAUGCUAUAUUAUCUACAGUUUUGGACAUUAUUGGGCUUUAUUAUCUACUUUUAUAUUAUUUUUGGGACUAACCUAUUAACCAGAGGUCCAGCCCAGAAUUGCUGUUUUUUUGCCUGUUUUAGGGUUUCGAAGAAAAGGAAUAUCAAACGGAGUCCAAACGGAAUGAAGCCUUCGGGAAUGAGAUUUUCUCAACGAACAAGACCCGGGAGACUUGGACCCUACGUCAAGACAAAANNNNNNNNNNNNNNNNNNNNNNNNNNNNNNNNNNNNNNNNNNNNNNNNNNNNNNNNNNNNNNNNNNNNNNNNNNNNNNNNNNNNNNNNNNNNNNNNNNNNNNNNNNNNNNNNNNNNNNNNNNNNNNNNNNNNNNNNNNNNNNNNNNNNNNNNNNNNNNNNNNNNNNNNNNNNNNNNNNNNNNNNNNNNNNNNNNNNNNNNCACCGACGUACUUCUUCCUCCUAUAUAUACCUACGUACCCCCAAACGAUCAUAUACGGAGCCAAAACCCUAAUUCCACCGCCGCAACUUUCUGUAUCCAUGAGAUCCCAUCUUGGCGCCUGUUCCGGAGCUCCGCCGGAGGGGGCAUCGAUCACGGAGGGCUUCUACAUCAACAGCAUAGCCUCUCCGAUGAAGUGUGAGUAGUUGACCUCAGACCUACGGGUCCAUAAUUAUUACCUAGAUGGCUUCUUCUCUCUUUUUGGAUCUCAAUACAAUGUUCUCCCCCUCUCUUGUGGAGAACUAUUCGAUGUAAUAUUCUUUUUGCGGUGUGUUUAUUGAGAUCGAUGAAUUGUGGGUUUAUGAUCAAGUCUAUCUAUGAAUAAUAUUUGAAUCUUCUCUGAAUUCUUUAAUGUAUGAUUGUUUAUCUUUGCAAGUCUCUUCGAAUUAUCAGUUUGGUUUGGCCUACUAGAUUGAUCUUUCUUACAAUGGGAGAAGUGCUUAGCUUUGGGUUCAAUCUUGCGGUGUCCUUUCCCAGUGACAGUAGGGGCAGCAAGGCAUGUAUUGUAUUGUUGCCAUCGAGGACAACAAGAUGGGGUUUUCAUCAUAUUGCAUUAUUCUAUCCCUCUACAUCAUGUCAUCUAGCUUAAGGCGUCACUCUGUUUUUAACUUAAUACUCUAGAUGCAUGCUGGAUAGCGGUCGAUGAGUGGAGUAAUAGUAGUAGAUGCAGGCAGGAGUCGGUCUACUUGUCUCGGACGUGAUGCCUAUAUACAUGAUCAUACCUAGAUAUUCUCAUAAAUAUGCUCAAUUCUGUCAAUUGCUCAACAGUAAUUUGUUCACCCACCAUAGAAUAAUUAUACUCUCAAGAGAAGCUACUAGUGAAACCUAUGGCCCCCGGGUCUAUCUUUAUCAUAUUAAUCUCCUACUACUUAGUUAUUUCCUUUGCUUUUUCCUUUGUAUUUCCUUUGCUUUUUUCCUUUGCCUUUAUUUUACUUUUCAUCUUUAUCACAAAAAUACCAAACAUAUUAUCUUUAUCAUAUCUAUCAGAUCUCACUCUCGUAAGUGGCCUUGUAGGGAUUGACAACCCCUAUUCGUGUUGGUUGUGAGGAUUUAUUUGUUUUGUGCAAUUACGAGGGACUCGCGCGUAGCCUCCUACUGGAUUGAUACCUUCGUUCUCAAAAACUGAGGGAAAUACUUACGCUACUUUGCUGCAUCAUCCCUUCCUCUUCGGGGAAAACCAACGCAGUGCUCAAGAGGUAGCAAGAAGGAUUUCUGGUGCCGUUGCCGGGGAGGUCUACGCAAAAGUGAACAUACCAAGUACCCAUCACAUACCCUUAUCUCCCGCAUUACAUUAUUUUCCAUUUGCCUCUCGUUUUCACCUCCCCCACUUCACCCUUGCUGUUUUAUUCGCCCUCUCUCUCUAUCCGCCCUCUCUUUCUCUAUUUGCCUCUUUUUUCCCGCUUGCUUUCUGUUUGCUUGUGUGUUAGUUGCUUGCUUGUCACGAUGGCUCAAGAUAAUACUAAAUUAUGUGACUUCACAAUGGCGAAAGCCUGGUUUUCGUCUUUGGCUAAAAAUAGUAUUGAUUCAUGGAAUAAGUGCAAAGAUGCUUUUAUCUCUAAGUAUUUUCCUCCUGCUAAGAUCAUCUCUCUUAGAAACGAUAUAAUGAAUUUUAAGCAACUUGAUCAUGAACAUGUUGCACAAGCUUGGGAGAGAAUGAAACUAAUGGUACAUAAUUGCCCUGCCCAUGAUUUAAAUUUGUGGAUGAUUAUACAAAAUCUUUAUGCCGGAUUGAAUUUUGCUUCUAGAAAUCUUUUAGAUUCAGCCGCGGGAGGCACUUUUAUGGAAAUCACUUUAGGAGAAACUCCUAGAUAAUAUUAUGGUCAAUUAUUCUCAACGGCAUACUGAAAGAUCUAAUAAUAAAAUGGUGCAUGCGAUAGAAGAAAUUAAUGUUUUGAGUGGAAAGAUGGAUGAACUUCUGAAAUUAUUUGCUAAUAAGAGUGUUUCUUCUGAUCCUAAUGAUAUGCCCUUGUCUAAUUUGAUUGGGAAUAAUAAUGAAUCUAUGGAUGUGGAUUUUGUUGGUAGGAACAAUUUUGGUGACAACGCGUAUAGAGGAAAUUUCAACCCUAGGCUUUAUCCUAGUAAUCUCUCUAAUAAUGAUGGUAAUUCCUACAACAAUUCUUAUGGAAAUUAUAAUAAGAUUCCCUCUGAUUUUGAAUCUAAUAUUAAAGAAUUUAUUACUUUGCAAAAGAAUUUCAAUGCCUAGAUUGAAGAAAAAUUGCUUAAGAUUGAUGAUUUGGCUAGGAACGUUGAUAGAAUUACUCUUGAUGUUGAUUCUUUGAAACUUAGAACUAUUCCACCUAAGCAUGAUGUCAAUGAGUCUCUCAAAGCCAUGAGAAUUUCCAUUGAUGAGUGCAAAGAAAGAACCGCUAGGAUGCGUGCUAAGAAAGAUGCCUUUAUAAGAGCGUGUUCUUCUCGUUCCUAUGAAAAUAAUGAUGAAGAUCUAACAGUUAUUGAUGUGUUCCCUAUUAAAUCUUUGUUUUGCAAUAUGAAUCUUGAUAAUGAUGGGACUGAAUAUGAUCCACCUUUACCUAUCAGGCGUUCCAAGAAUUCAGAAUUUGUUGAUCUUGAUGCUAAAAUUGAUAAAGGUGGGAUUGAAGAAAUUAAAACCCUUGAUGUUGCUAAACCCACUAUUAUGGAUUUCAAGGAAUUUAACUAUGAAAAUUGCUCUUUUAUUGAUUGUAUAUCCUUGUUACAAUCCAUGCUAAAUUCUCCUCAUGCUUAUAGUCAAAAUAAAGCGUUUACUAAACAUAUCGUUGAUGCCUUGAUGCAAUCUUAUGAAGAAAAACUUGAAUUGGAAGUUUAUAUCCCUAGAAAGCUUUAUGAUGAGUGGGAAUCAACUAUUAAAAUUAAAAUUAAAUAUCAUGAAUGCUAUGCUUUAUGUGAUUUAGGUGCUAGUGUUUCCAUGAUUCCAAAGACUUUGUGUGAUUUGUUAGGUUUCCGUGAUUUUGAUGAUUGCUCUUUAAACUUGCGCCUUGCGGAUUCCACUAUUAAGAAACCUAUGGGAAGAAUUAAUGAUGUUCUUAUUGAUGCAAAUAGGAAUUAUGUGCCUGUAGAUUUUAUUGUUCUUGACAUAGAUUGCAAUCUUUCAUGUCCUAUUAUUCUUGGUAGACCUUUCCUUAGAACGAUUGGUGCAAUUAUUGAUAUGAAGGAAGGAAAUAUUAGAUUCCAAUUUCCAUUAAGGAAAGUCAUGGAACACUUUACUAGAAAGUAAAUUAAAUUAACUUAGGAAUCUAUUAUGAUAGCCACUUAUGGAUUGCCUACCAAAGAUGGCAAUACCUAGAUCUAUCCUUGCUUGUUAUGCCUAGCUAGGGGCAUUAAACGAUAGCGCUUGUUGGGAGGCAACCCAAUUUUGUUUUUAUUCCUUGAUUUUUGCUCCUGUUUAGUAAUAAAUAAUUUAUCUAGCCUCUGUUUCGGUUGUGUUCUUUGUGUUUAAUUACUGUUUGUGCCAAGUAGAACCGUUAGGAAGACUUGGGGAAAGUCUUGUUACACUUGCUGUAAAAAACAGAAACUUCAGCGCUCACGAGAACUGCUGCCAUUUUUAUUUGGAAGUGCUAUUUAGUUAAUUAUUUCUGCAGAUGAUUAAUACAUAAAUUCCUCACGUCCAGCAAUUUAUUUUAGAAUUUUUGGAGUUCCAGCUCUUGAGCUAGCUACAGAUUACUACAGACUAUUCUGUUUUUGAAAGAUUCUGUUUUUUCGUGUGUUGUUUGCUUAUUUUGAUGAACCUAUGGCUAGUAAAAUAGUUUAUAAACCAUAGAGAAGUUGGAAUACAGUAGGUAUAACACCAAUAUAAAUAAAUAAUGAGUUCAUUAUAGUACCUUCAAGUGGUCUUUUAUUUUCUUUCGCUAACGGAGCUCACGAGAUUUUCUACUUUAAGUUUUGUGUUGUGAAGUUUUCAAGUUUUGGGUAAAGAUUUGGUGGAUUAUGGAACAAGGAGUGACAAGAGCCUAAGCUUGGGGAUGCCCAUGGCACCCCCAAGAUAAUCUAAGUACACAUAAAAGCCAAAGCUUGGGGAUGCCCCGGAAGUCAUCCCCUCUUUCGUCUACUUCUAUCGGUAACUUUACUUGGAGCUAUAUUUUUAUUUGCCACAUGAUAUGUGUUUUGCUUGGAGCGUCUUGUAUUAUUUGACUUGUCAGGACCCCGAUUCCAAGCCACAUCGAUCUAGACGGUAACACCUCAUAUCACUUUGCAGCCUCACGCACGAUAUUCCACGGGUGUCGCAUUACCAUGGCCUGGGACCGUUUGCGCCUUUUGGCUCACGUAUAUGAUAGUGUCGCUAGCAUCCAUAUGACAGAGAACCCGGGCCGACAUGGCUAGUCGUGAACCCAAAGCGGCACAGACCUAUGGAGACAGGCAUACAUGAAUCACAUCGAGCAUGUCGGUCAUCAGCGAGUGAUUCCGGGCUUUAGCACUGGGCUAACAGGACUCCGGGGAACCCGGGCUGUAGCAGGCUAGGCAGGACUCCGGAAGUCACCGCGUGACAUUUCCCCGAAGAGACAGACAUAGGAACAAAGUGAAUCACAUGCUGGCCAGUCAAGUGUCCUGAGCAGUAGUGCUAGGCUAGCAGGACUCUGGUGAACCGGGCUGUAGCGGACUACUAUGGCUCGAGGAACACUAGACUACAUUUCCCCAUAAGAAAGGCUGCCAAGGAUAAACAACUAGAUUUUCGGAUCCCACUCAUACCAAGCAUUUCAAUCAUACACACAAUAUGCCCGAUAUGAGUACAUACAACAUGGCAUCACAACAAAACUCUACAAAUCAAGUACUUUAUUUAAAGGCUCCAGAGAGCCAUACAUAACAUGUUCAUACAGAUAGGGGUCACAUGACCCGACACUCAAGUCAUACAAUCAUACAAGCACAUGCGGAAGCAACCGGUCUGAGUACGGACACUAGAAAGAAAGAAGGCUCCUCGAGGCCUGUUUAUCUACAUAGGGCCCUCCAUGGCCAGGAUCACCACCUGGGUGGCUAGUCACUCGUCGACGUCAAGGUCUACAUAGAACCCAUCGGAGGGGGCGGUGUUGUCGUCUGAAAACAGUAAUUAAGCAAACAUGAGUACAAAGGUACUCAGCAAGUCUUACAACAGAACCUACUAUACAUGCUUAUUCUCAAGAAGGUGGUGGGGAUAUUGCAGCAAGCCAGCUUUGACUCUUGGCUAAACUAUCCUAUGGAACUUCUCUAGUAAAAUAGUUUUCGCACACGAGUCCACUACUCACCAACACAAUACUCCACCGGGGAUCCUCCCUCGUCAUCCUACGAGAGGGCCAUCCUCGGUACUCACACUUAUCUUGAGUCUUUUAGUAGUAUCCAUUUACUUGUCUACGAACUGUAUAGGCAACCAAGUAGUCCUUUACCGCGGACGCGGCUAUUCGAAUAGUUUUAUACCCUGCAGGGGUGUACUUCGUCAUGCACGCUUUCACCACUUAUCGCCGUUUACACGACAUGUACUCGGCAACCUUCAAGCGGAAGCCCAGUGAGGGUGUCGGCCACGGCCUACCUAAACACUUAAGUCUCUAGUCCAGGUUUAUCGCCUAUCCAGGUUCCAUCCGCAGGGAGUCCGGCCGAGGUUUCCACAUACGGCCCGAACGAUGUGAACAGGGUCCCGAGACGCCAAUCGGGCACCCGGCAUACCCGGCCACGGUGUAUCUACCGCAACAUAGCCCACCCCUAGGGUCAGCACUACGCACGGCCGCCAACACAUAACCUACAAGCACCAGAAACUAUUUGCAACUCCUGGACAGAGUACUAGGGUGAUUAAGAAGCCGAGAGGGUCAAUUAAGGAUCCCAAUGCAUGGUAGUAGCUGAAUCUUAAAUCGCACAUACAGAUCUCAGUUCUUUGGGACGGUCUCAAUGAAACAACCCACCAUGUACUCCUACAUGGCCUCUCAUCGAUACCUUUACCAAAACAUGUUCAACACAUUCCUCAUAUUACCGACAUAAUCAUAUCACUCUAGCCCAUCACCCAGAUGAACCAGACCUGACACAACUCUAAGCAUAGCAGGCAUAGCAAGGUAGGAAUCACAGACAUGGCUCAAUCAACUCCUACACAUGCUAGUGGGUUUCAUCUAGUUACUGCGGCAAUGACAGAUCAUGUAGAGGAUAAGGGUUCAACUACCGUAGCACACAGUAGUUUGAAUCGCGUUGUCUUAAUCCAGUAAACAAGAGCAAAGGCGAGAACAUGGGUUGUAUCGGAAUGAUCAAUGGGUUGCUUGCCUGAUGGAGUGGUAGCGGGAUACUGCCCUUCAGUUGGAUACUCGUGAAUAUCCUCGGAGGCAGAACCUACCACGAAGAACACAUCGGAACACAAUCAACACAUGACGAUAUGCAACAAUAUGAUGCAUGCUAUGACAUGGCUAUGGUGUUGGCCUAAUGCAAGCUAAAAUAGAAAGGGAUGAACUCAUUUGAAUCAAAGAUUCAAAUAUUAGCUCAUUAAACAUGGCCUUAAUAGUGGAUUUCCUUAUUCUGCUUAAACAGCAAGGUAAACUUGUUUUUUCAUGCAUGAAACCAUUACAUAUGGAUAGAUUGAAUUUUUCUGAUAAAUUUUUCAUAUAUAAAUUAUUUCAUUUGGAGUUACGGUUGAAUUUCUAUGAUUUUUAGAAGUUUUAAACAUUUUCUGGAAUUUCCUGAAUAAAGAUAAAUCCAGAAAAUGCAUUACUGCAUCAGCAUUGCGUCAUGCUGACCUCAGCAGGUCAAAGGCGCCAGCCCAGGUCAAACCUGACUGGUGGGCCCCUUCUGUCAGUCUCUGAGUUAAAUAACAGGAUUAGAUUAACACUAAUUAGCUGUCAGUGGGGCCUGGGCCCACAUGUCAGUGACUGAUUAAAAUAAAAUUAGUUAAAACUAAUCCUAGAUUAGUUAGCAGACCGGCCCCACCUGUCAUAGACUCAGGGGGGUCUACCUGGGCCCACCCAGGGUCAAACUGGGUCAAACUCACCGGCGUUGAGCAGCCGGCGAGGCCCGAGACGGUGGCGCAGCUCGGAAAACGCCUAUAGGGCAUGAGGGAGGCCGUUCUUGGGCUCGUUGGAGAGCUCUUGCAAUCGCGCAUCUAGUGGUGGUGGUGGCCGAGCCUACGGUGGCCGGAGACGACGACGGCGAGCUCCAAGGCGGCGGCCGGAGUUCGGCCAUGUGCGGGGUGUGGGCUGCGGUGUGCAAACGUGGAAACUGAGGCGCUAGCGAGGCACUACGCGAUGCGGCAAGCAUGUUGCGUAGCACGGGAUGACCAAAUGGUCGCCGAAGCGGCACCGGCGACAAGCUCGAGCGGAGACGAGCUUCGGCCAUGGUGGAACUAUGGCCUAGAGGGUGCAAACGCGUGGAAAAGAAGAGGGGAAAGGUGGGGGAGCUCACAGGGAGGUCGAUGAGCAGCUCAGCGGGCUUGGGGGCGACCGGAGUGAGGCGAAUCGAUGAGCGGUGUCCGGUGGGUACCGAGGUUGAAGACGAUCCGAUGGCGGCGAUGCAGGGCCUCCGGCGAUGCGUGGCUCGGUGGGGAGGGCGAGGGCGUCACGGCAGAGCUUCUGGACAGGUCUGAGAGGCGAGAGGGUGACGGAGGGCGUGACUACGGCGGUGAGAGGGCGACGGGUGCGUCGGCCAUCGCGGGAGAGGGAGAGGGAGACGCGGUGGAGAGUGAGAGAGGAUGAGAGGGGGACGUGGGGGUCGCGUGGCAUUCCCUAGACGUCUCCCGGUGUCGGCGGAAGCAGGAGGUGGCCGGCGUGUGGCCGCGGGCGUCGGCCACGCGCUCCGCGUCCUUCUGGCACGAGGAGGACGACGACUGGCAGCGCCAGUAGGCUGGGCCGAGCCAGGUGGGCUGGCCAGCACAGGUAAGGCCCAGGUGGGCUUCUCCCUCUCUUUUUUUAAUUUGUUUCUGUUUUCUAUUUAACUGUAACUGUUGGGCUUUAUUUAAAAUACUAAAACAUUUCCAAAAAUCCUGAAAAUAAUUGUGGGCUCUAUUUGGAUUAUUUCCAACAGCAAACAUUUAUUUCCAGAAUUAUUUGAGCAUCUAAAUUAUUUAAUAGCAUUUAAAUGUCCAAAUUCAAAUACUUAUGAUUUAAAUCAAUGACCUUCUGUUGACCAAGAAAAAUUGUGCACCAAUUUUGCCAGAGGUUCUAACCCAAGACAAAGAGGGUGAACUUUUUAGAAGGGCAUUUCAGGUUCAUUGAAAAUAAUUUUAGUAAACCCUAGUUGUUUCCAGGGGGGUGUUGGGGGUUUGUGCCUUCCCCAACUCAAAUUUAAGAGGAAUUUAAACAUGAUGCACAUUCUAAUGCUUGAACUAGCUAGGGUGUGACAACUCACCCCCAGUCAAAAGAAUCUCGUCCUGAGAUUUAGGAUCCUCUGGAAAGAAGGUGGGGUACUCGAGUCGAAGACGAUCCUCCCUUUCCCAAGUGGCUUCUUUCUCGGAAUGGUGUGACCAUUGAACCUUGAGAAACUUGAUAUUAUGACGUCGAGUGGUACGCUCGGCUUGAUCAAGGAGACGAACGGGAUAUUAUCGUUAAGAGAGAUUAUCUUGUAGAUCAAGCGUUUUGUGGUCCACUCCACGAAUAGGAUCCGCGAAGCAACGCCUGAGUUGUGAAACGUGGAAGACAUCAUGAACUCUGGAAAGAUGCGGAGGUAGUUCCAAUUGGUAGGCAACUUCUCCUCGUUUGGCAAGAAUGCGAAAGGGUCCAAUGUAACGAGGAGCCAAUUUGCCUUUGAUACCGAAACGAUGGGUUCCUUUUAAUGGGGUAACCCGAAGGUAAGCCUUCUCGUCGACUUCAUAAGUCAUAGGCUUAUGUUUACGAUCAUAUUGACUCUUUUGACGAGAUUGGGCUGUUUUCAAUUUCUCACGAAUAACGCGAACCUGCUCUUCCGCUUCCUGAAUCAUAUCCGGUCCAAAGAGUUGUCUUUCCCCGGUUACUGACCAGUUAAGAGGCGUUCGACAUUUUCGUCCAUAGAGAACUUCGAAAGGAGCUUUGCCCAAGCUAGCUUGAUAACUAUUAUUAUAAGGAAACUCCGCGAAUGGGAGGCAUUUCUCCCAACUCAUUCCGAACAAGAUAACAUAAGCUCGGAGCAUAUCUUCCAGAAUUUGAUUGACUUGCUCUACUUGACAACUUGAUUGAGGAUGGAAGGCUGUACUAAAAGAGAGACGAGUUCCCAUAGCAUUUUGGAAACUUUCCCAAAAUCGAGAGGUGAAGAGACUCCCACGGUCUGAGUUAAUUUCCAAUGGGACACCAUGGAGAGACACUAUUCGGGAGAUGUAUAAAUCGGCUAGCUGGAUAGCAGUGAUAUUCUCACGAACAGGUAGGAAAUGGGCUACUUUGGAAAGACGGUCGAUCACGACGAAGAUGGCAUUAUUCCCUCUCUUGGUCCUGGGAAACCCAGUAAUGAAAUCCAUACUGAUUUUAUCCAAUUACCAUUCAGGAAUAGCCAAAGGUUGAAGGGUGCCAGCAGGCCGUUGAUGCUCUGCUUUAACACGACGACAGACGUUGCAGCUAGCAAUGUAUUGAGCGAUUUAUCUCUUCAUCCUAGUCCACCAAAACCUGUGGCGUAGGUCUUGAUACAUUUUAGUGCUACCGGGAUGAAUGGUGAGAGGGGAUUCAUGAGCUUCCUUAAGGAUCAAUUGGCGUAGAUGUUGUUUCUUGGGAACCACCAAACGAUUCUCAAAGAAGACAGCACCCCGCUUAUCCAUGAAAAAACAUUUAGCAACUCCACUAGUAAUGUUUUCCUUAAUCCGGGAUAUGCCCUUAUCAUACCACUGGGCGGUUAUGAUCUGAUCCAUAAGGUUAGGUUUCGCCACCAGGGUGGAUAGGAAUCCUCGAGGAACAAUGUGAAGAUUAAGCUUACGGAAUUCCUCAUGCAGAAGUGGUUGACUUUGUUGUAACAUCGGGUUGUUACAAUAGUAUUACGGCUUAGCGCAUCAGCCAUGACAUUGGCUUUGCAUGGGGUGUAGGUUAUUCCUAAGUCGUUAUCCAAGAUCAACUCAACCCAACGUCUUUGCCUGAGAUUCAAAUCUGGUUGGGUGAAGAUAUAUUUCAAGCUUUGGUGAUCGGUGAAGAUCUCGCAACGAUUACCGAGGAGGUAAUGUCGCCAAGUUUUAAGUGCAUGGACUACAGCUGCCAGCUCUAGAUCAUGUGUGGGAUAAUUUUCCUCAUGUGGGUGUAAUUGCCGUGAAGCGUAGGCAAUUACCUGAUGAUCUUGCAUGAGUAUGCAACCUAGUCCUUGUCGCGAGGCGUCGCAAUAGAUAAUAAAGUCCUUGGAGAAAUCCGGUGGUACCAGUACGGGAGAAGAUGUCAGGCGUCUUUUCAGUUCCUGAAAGUUGAACUCGCACUGUGGAGUCCACUCAAACUUUUUAUCUUUCUUGAGGAGUUCAGUUAGAGGUUUAGCAACCUUGGAUAAAUUCUCGACGAAGCGGCGGCAAUAGCUCGCUAAGCCAAGGAAGCUCCGAACUUGCUUGACCGUCUCAGGUGGAGUCCAAUCAAGGACGGCUUGAACUCGCUCGGGAUUGACGGCAAUACCCUUACCAGAGAUUACAUGGCCUAAAUAGGUUACUUCUGGCAACCAAAAUCGACACUUGGAGAACUUGGCAUAAAGGCGAUGCUCUCGAAGUUUCAUCAAUACCAGCCUUAGAUGUUCGGCAUGUUCCUCUUCAUUCUUGGAGUAGAUGAGUAUGUCAUCGAGGUAUACUACGACGAAUUUAUCCAAGUACUCCAUGAAAACCGAGUUCAUUAACCGGGAGAAGGUAGCCGGGGCAUUGGUUAAACCGAAGGACAUAACGGUGUACUCGUAUUGGCCAUAACGAGUAACAAAGGUCGUUUUGGGAAUGUCCCCGUUUCUGAUUUUGAUUUGAUGGUAGCCCAACCUCAAAUCCAUCUUGGAAAAGACUGAGGAUCCAGCGAGCUGAUCAUACAGAUCAUUGAUCCUGGGAAGCGUGUAUUUGUUCUUGAUGGUGACCAAGUUGACAGGUCGGUAAUCCACAACCAUUCGAUCUGUUCCAUCCUUCUUCUUGACGAAGAGGAUGGGGCAAGCCCAAGGAGAGGAACUAGGACGGAUGAAACCCUUUUUCAAGGACUCAUCGAGUUGGUUCUUAAGCUCGGCUAGUUCUAAGGGUGCCAUCUUGUAGGGUCUUCUAGAAAUUGGAACGGUUCUUGGAACAAGGUCUAUCACAAACUCGACAUCCCUGUCAGGUGGAACACCUGGCAGUUCUUCUGGAAAGACAUCCGGAAAGUCUCGGACUACCGGAACAUCCUCAAGGUCUAGAAGGGGGUUGAUAUUUAGGGAGUAAAGUUGGCGCUUGGCCACUCGAGUUAAGACAUUAACUGUCUUGCCCGAUGGGUAAGUUGAACGGUUCUAGUGGCACAGUCAAUCUUAGCAUAAUGAGCUGACUUCCAGUCCAUACCUAAGAUGAUGUUUAUGUCCGAGGACUUGAGAGCUAUUAAGGCUGCAAGGAAGACAAGUCUAUCGACAAGAAUUCGUUCCCAUGGCUUACUCUAGAAGUUUGCCAUCUAGAGCCAGGGGUUUGAAUUUCCAUGGUAGAGGGCAUGUCACAGAAUGUGGUGUUGUGCAAUCGAGCAUAGUUCUCGGAUAUGAAUGAAUGAGAUGCUCCAGUAUUGAAAAGAACAGAUGCCGGAUGGCAGUUAACAAGGAGCGUACUAAGGACGACGUUGGGAUCCUCAUGAGCCUCCUCGGCUGAAACAUAGUUGACAUGGCCACGUGCAGUGGUGGCCGGCUUGGCGUAGAAUGUUUUUCCGACGGGCUUACCACGGCCAACGGACUUUCCAGUUUGAUUGGGGUUGUUGUUCUGGGGACACUCUCGGCUAUAGUGACUCGGCUCUCCACACUUAAAGCAUGUCACCACAUUGGGGCGUGGAGCAGCAUUAGCAGCGGGGCCACCAUAGGGCUUGGGCGGUGCAAAUUGCUGGUUGGGACGUGGUACCUCAAAGGAUGGCCUCGGGAUGAACCUGGGUGGCAGUGCCGUGCUUGGAAUCCACACCCGGCGCUUCUCAGCUCCAGAGCCAGAUGAAGAGCCAAAAUCACGGGAGUGCUUGCGUGAAGCGUCAUAAUCAGUCUGGCUUGUCUCAGCACUGAUGGCUUUAUUGACCAACUUCUGAAAGGAGGUGCACUCGUGCAGAUGAAGAUCGCGGCGAAGCUCAGGGCUAAGUCCCUUGCGGAACCUUGCCUGCUUCUUAGCAUCAGUAGAUACCUCUUCGGGGGCAUAACGUGCCAGAUUCCCAAAUUCACGACUGUAAGCAUCCAUAGUCAGUCUUCCUUGGGUGAAGUUGAAUAACUCCUCCCUCUUGCGAUCCAUGAGACCUUCCAGAAUGUGAUGCUCACGGAAAACCUCACUGAAUUCAGCCCAAGUAGUGAUUUGGCCGACUGGGCGCAUAGCUUCGAAGUUUUCCCACCAAAGGCUAGCAGGGCCUUCGAGGUGAUAGGCAGCAUAAGUAACCUUCUCGGCUUCGGCUACGUUGGCAGAACGUAGCUUGUGGGUGAUGCUGCGAAGCCAGUCAUCCGCGUCGAGGGGCUCGACGGAAUGGUUAAACUUUGGUGGGUACAGCUUGAUAAAGUCAUUGAUUGACACCAAGUCAUUUUGCGGGUGGCGUGAAGUGUUUUGCUCAAUCCGCUCCAGCAGGCGGUUGGUCUCACGCUUGUUUCUUUCCGCCUCCAGCAUUACUUCAGCCAAAGAAGGCAUGUGAGGCAGAUUUUCACCUCUAGCAGCACUGGCUUCCCCCUGCUCCGGGGCUGCAGGGUUGCUGCGGGUGUUGACCAUCCUAGGAGAAAACAAGACAACGGUUUAGACAAGGAUGGCUCAAACUUAGCAAGGAAGUGCAUAAUGUAAUGGAUAACACGGAAUGCAGAGAUGUUCAUCCGUAUGUCAUGGUAAUAUAAAACUGCAAUAUAUAUACCAACGGUCAUACACAUCAUACAUAGUUUAGUACAAGCCCAGGCUACAGUACAACUAUGAUGAAAGACGUUACAUCUCAUCGGAGGCAUUCCAAGAUCCUAUACAUUAUUGUCUACACCUCCGGAAUUGAUUACACGCAAAGUCAUAUUCCACAAGUCACGCAGGACAGUGGAGAUACAACUACUACAAUACUAGUGGUACUACUAUGUCACGACCGGUUUUCCAAUAAAAAUAUUUAUUGAGAAACCAAUCUUUUGAGUCCAGUAUGAGGGAAAUCCUCCUCACUGGUAGACAAAAUUCUUGAUACAAUAAGCCAGUAGCAAAGAAUAUAUUACAAGGUUGAGCUAGGGCUGCUCAACAAUUUAUAACAAGCGCGCCAACAAUUAUAUAUAAUGGCGGAUAUACCACAAUGGUGUGGUGGCAUACUACUGACUCGGGGAUAAAGUGAUGGUGGAAUAACACAGUGGGGAGUGUGAUAACAUGACUCUCAAACUGGCAUCUCAUCGAGCGUCGAGGUGAGGCUCGAUGAAUUUUAUUCGGGUUGCGGAAGCGAAUAUAAUACAUUGACCGAAUCCAGGGUCGCACGAGACUGAUUGGGACUCCUCUAGGCGUCGGACUCGCUAUCGAACUAUUCAUCCAUGAGAUCGCCUUCGUCAGCAUCUGGCCAAAUCAACAAGCCAGUGAGUACUUUGAUAGUACUCGCAAGACAGUUUGGACUUAAGAUAUAACAAAUGCAUGCAUGAAUGCGUCAUGAUUAAUUCACCAAAUGUGCAUUCCAAAAAUUAGCAUAACAAAGCAAGUAAAAGGGAAACGGCGGUAGUCCGCCUGAAAUCCCAACAAAAGCAUAAAUGAAAACCGAUCGGGUGUCUGAAGCGAUGCCUCGAAAGGUGAACAAAUAAAUAAAGGAGAAAGUCAUGCCACAGUCGGGCGUCUUCACGACACCACAUAAAGGGCUUUGAAAGAAAUGCCACAGUCGGACGUCGGGGCGACAUCACAGAAAGGGCUUUAAAAGAAAUGCCACAGUCGGACGUCGGGGCGACAUCACAGAAAGGGCUUUAAAAAAAUGCCACAGUCAGAANNNNNNNNNNNNNNNNNNNNNNNNNNNNNNNNNNNNNNNNNNNNNNNNNNNNNNNNNNNNNNNNNNNNNNNNNNNNNNNNNNNNNNNNNNNNNNNNNNNNNNNNNNNNNNNNNNNNNNNNNNNNNNNNNNNNNNNNNNNNNNNNNNNNNNNNNNNNNNNNNNNNNNNNNNNNNNNNNNNNNNNNNNNNNNNNNNNNNNNNNNNNNNNNNNNNNNNNNNNNNNNNNNNNNNNNNNNNNNNNNNNCGGACGUCGGGGCGACAUCACAAAAAGGGCUUUAAAAGAAAUGCCACAGUCGGAUGUCGGGGCGACAUCACAAAAAGGGCUUUAAAAGAAAUGCCACAGUCGGACGUCGGGGUAACAUCACAGAAAGGGCUUUAAAAGAAAUGCCACAGUCGGACUUCGGGGCGACAUCACAGAAAGGGCUGUAAAAGAAAUGCCACAGUCGGACGUCGGAGCGACAUCGCAGAAAGGGUUUUAUUCACAAGUAAAUAAUAAUCAUAAUAAAUAUUCAAUUCAUGAUAAUAAACAGGUUAGUCCAUCCACAGGAAUAACAUUUAGCCGGGCUUAGCACUCAUGGGAUUCACCGGAGUCUCUGUCAUCAAACUGAUACUGUUAGGCCAAGAUGAUACGAAUUUGGACAUGGAAUAGAUGAUUCAAGGAAUGUAUGACUCUGCAGAGUUUGUACAAAAUUUUUUCCCACAGCCAACGGAUUUCCGUAGUCACGAGGGACUAGUUCCGUUUACGGUUUUUCGGAAGAAAACACAGCUAACCAAUACACACCCAUCCUACCUCUCGAUGCCAGGACUCACCCUAGACAUCGUCCAAGAAAAACUUUUGAGACGGGGAGAUCACAAUCUCGAAUAGCAUGGGAUCAAAUUUAUAUAUGCGCGCUCUAAGGGGUGCCCCCCUCUCGGUCCCAACCGGAAACACCCAUGCCCCCUGACCGGAUGACUGGCUUUAAUCCAGGGCCAUGGAACCAUCAUCCUGGCCUCUCCUUUUGGUGUGUACCAGGAAAGCGGUUUGCAACUUACUAAGCCAUAUUCCUUGCGAAAAACAUGUGGUAGUACAGGGAAGGAAAUGGGAGGAACUGGACUGGUACGGUUUGACCCUGAAGUCAUAUAGUCUGGCAUAAGACUGGCAUGCUACAACACUGCCAUCUUACCCAUCCUCAUGCCAACACAUGGCCAUUCAUACUCACAUCCAUCCACUUAUGGAUCAUCGAACUCACUUACCUCAACAUUUCAUAAAAAAAAUAACGUUCAUCGGUAUGCUCAUCAACAUGCCAUGAAACUAACUAAAUGCAAAACAUGCCAAGACACUCAUCAUAUCAAAAGUUCAAACAUGCUUGCCUGGUUCAGAGUAGUCGGAGCCUAGCUCGGUGAAGUUCGCGGCUCCGUCACCUCCUUCGGUAUCUAUGGUAUAAAGAAAAUAUAUGCGCUAUCGUAAAUUCCAAGAGGUGCACAGAAAGUAUUCCAAAUAUUUUUCAAAUAAAUAUGAUAAAAAACUAGACAAAAAUCUGAAGAGGACAGGAAAAGAAUCACUCAAAAAUUCCUUUCUGUUAAAAAGUUAUAAGGGUUUUAAUCCAAGGACUUAUCUGUAAUGAAACAGAAAGUUUCCAGGGGCUAGUUUAUAAAAACAGAAAACGCUUCGGCAGAAACUACGCCAGCCCAGAGGGAAGGCGCAUUUGGCAGAAGGCGUUUUCAGAAAACGAUUCGCUUAGACAGGAUAGAGAGGCUGACAGCGGGUCCCGCCCGUCAGGUUUAAACUUUCAAACGGGGGGGGGGGCAGAUUUCGCCGGUGCCCGAGAGCCGCGGUGGUCGCCGGCGGCGAUCCACGGCCAGGCAGGGUGAUCGGAGAUUACCAACGUGCUCACCGUGUCCUUCCGCAAUGGUGGGUGGUGGUGUUGGUCGCCGGUGAGCACCACGUCGACGCAGAGCUUGGUCGGGAAGGUUUAGGGAGUUGGGCGUCAUCGCGAAGUUGCACCGGUUCCAUUUAGGUGCUAAGCGAGCUUGGAUUGGGGUGCUAAGGGCGAAGUCGACGGAACGGGGCGGCGCGGGCCCGUCGGCGGCAGGGAGCAUGUUUCGUGCUUGCCGGGCCGCAGUGAUGGUGCCACGGGCGUGCGCUGGCAUGCAUGAGGACAUGCGGAGAGCCAGGGAGCUUUGGGUGGCGCCGAACGGCGUUCUGCCGUGGUGUGCCUUCUGUCGGCCGCCACAGGAGGUCCCGACGCCGCAGAAGACGCCGGCGAGGGCGGGCCAGCGCGCCACUGACGCCAGGAAAGCUCCAAGCACGCGUGUGAAGCUCCGGACAAGAGGGAGGGGCUGCGAGCAUCGAGCCAAAGGCACUGUGAGCAUAUGCCUGAAACUCUGAAGAAAACGACACUGUAAAACUGAAUUUUACUGAACUUUUCUGAAAAAUGCAAAGAACAGUGCAGCUCAGGUGAUCGACAGAAUGUUUUUGGCAUCUAGGGAUUUUUCCUUGAGCUAAAACUUGGUGGAGUGGCCUCUCAUUGCUCCAGUAGGCUGCCUGAAUUUUGGUGGAAUUUUUUUGGAGAAGUGUAGAUAUGAAUUUCACCAAAUUUGGCAAAUCUGGUCCAAACUUGCAGUGAGUGAAAUUGAAAUAUUUGAAAAGAAUAAGAGUGGAUCAAGAUGGUUCUAGGUUGUGGGUACUAAAGACAAUCCAGGGAAGUUGGUUUGGGAUAAAAACUCAAAGGCAAAGUGAUACUUGCUUUGAAAAUCACUUAAGCUCAAAAUAAAUGGCAGAAAUGUUUUGGGGGAUAAAAUAAUUGAAAUAAAAUCCAAAACUUGUUUGGACUUGUUGAGACAGAGAAUUUAGAUUGUUCAAAGGUGGAGGGAUGGAUUUUGAGAGGAUUUACUAUAGGAGACAUGGUAAAACCAUGGGUGUUUUCAAAAAGAAAGAAGUCCCAAAACUCCUAGGGUUUCCUUUUUUUUGAAAAAAAUAAGUUUGAGAGGGUAACAACCAGAAGGAAAAGCUCCCAAAAACUUCAACACCAAAUUUGAAAAGGGAAAAGAAAAUCCUUGACAAAGGAAAGGAAGUUUUUAAGAGGAAGGAUUUCUGGAAAAGAAAUUUUUAAAAAACCCUCUUUUAAAAUCCAACAAGGUUUUGAUAAAAACCAAAUUAAAAUUUUGGAGUGUCACAGCACUUACCCCCUUAGGAAAAAUCUCGUCCCCGAGAUUUCAGCUGAUCCUUAAAUAAGCGAGGAUGCUCUGUCCGAAGAAAAUCCUCUCUUUCCCAAGUUGUUUCACUGUCGGUGUGAUUGCUCCACUGGACUUUGAAAAACUUGAUGGUCUUCUGUCGGGUCCUCCUUUCAGACUCCUCUAAUAUUCUUACAGGACGUUCCCGAUAAGUGAGGUCUGGCUGCACGUCGAUGUUCUCAUGGGAUACUUGUUUCUCUGGGUUGCUUACGCACUUCCUCAAUUGCGAGACGUGGAACACGUCGUGGACAUCGGAUAAUUCCUCGGGUAAGUCUAGCUGGUAGGCUACCGUGCCUCUUCGUGCCCUUAUACAGAAAGGUCCGAUGAAUCUUGGUGCUAGCUUCCCUUCAAUCUUGAACCAUUGCAAUCCGCUCAUAGGGAUACUCUUAGGUAUACGAACUCACCGGGUUCGAAGCUGACCCCACGAUGUUUCUGAUCGUAAUAACUCUUCUGUCGACUUUGAGCAGUCUUAAGUCGGUCUCUGAUUAGUUUGACUUUUUCCUCGGCUUCUCUGAGCAUGUCUGGUCCGAAGAUGCGGCUGUCUCCGGUCUCUGACCAAUUUAACGGGGUACGACAUCUUCGUCCGUAUAAGGCCUCAAAUGGUGCCAUUUGCAGGCUGGCCUGGUAGCUAUUGUUGUACGCGAACUCGGCGUAUGGCAGGCUUUCUUCCCAACUAUUUUCAUAGGUGAGGACACAUGCUCUCAGCAUGUCUUCUAAAACCUGGUUUACGCGUUCUGUUUGCCCAUCGGUCUGUGGGUGGUAUGCGGUACUGAAGGCUAGUUGGGUUCCCAGAGCCUGUUGUAAAUGCUCCCAAAAGCUCGAGACGAACUGAGUGCCUCUGUCGGACAUUAUAGUCUUCGGGACACCGUGCAGACAAACUAUGCGGGAAAGAUAAAUCCUGGCAAGCCUCUGAGUGGUGUGGGUCGUCUUUAUUGGAAUAAAGUGUGCCACUUUGGUUAACCUAUCAGUGAUGACCCAUAUGGCAUCAUUCCCGUGUCGUGACCGAGGUAGUCCGACAAUGAAAUCCAUCCCUAUUUCAUCCCAUUUCCACUCAGGUAUUUUGUUCGGUUGCAGUAGUCCGGCUGGUCUCUGAUGCUCAGCUUUUAUGCGUUGACAUGAGUCGCAGCGCGCAAUGAAGGUGGCUAUGUCCCUCUUCAUACUGUGCCACCAAAAUCUUUCCUGAAUAUCUUUAUACGUUUUGGUUCCUCCAGGGUGGAUCGAGUACGAGGCGGUGUGGGCUUCAGCUAAAAUUUGCUAUUUAAGGUCUUCUAUGUUUGGCACGCAGAGUCUGUCUCCGUACCAUAAUAUUCCUUCAUUGUCUAUGACUAAUUCCGAGGCUUUGCCCAUACUCACCUUUCUUUUGAUGCCUUCGAUGCUGGGGUGACCGGGCUGAGCUCCUUUAAUUUCCCCCACAAGGUCGGGUUGUAUUUCCAAGUUUGAUAUGGUGCCUUCUGCUACCAUCAUCAAGUUGAGCUUGGCAAAUUCUUGUUGGAAUUCGGGCCUCAAUCUGUGCAAAUUGUUGUCGUCGGAGCUGGGAUUCCGACUAAGAGCAUCGGCCACUACAUUUGCUUUUCCUGGAUGGUAAUGGAUACCAACAUCAUAAUCCUUUACCAAUUCCAACCAACGUCGUUGCCGUAAGUUUAGUUCUGGCUGUGUGAAAAUAUAUUUGAGGCUUUUGUGAUCCGUAUAUAUUUCACAUCGAUUCCCAAGUAAGAAAUGCCUCCAUUCCUUGAGUGCAUGAAUAACUGCUGCCAUUUCUAAGUCAUGAGUGGGAUAAUUUUCCUCAUGCUUACGAAGUUGCCUUGAAGCGUAGGCGACAACCUUGCCUUCCUGCAUCAACACGCAUCCGAGGCCCUUUCUGGACGCGUCACAAUAUACUUCAAAAUUCUUGUGUAUGUUGGGUACAAUUAAUACCGGUGAUGUCGUUAAUUUCCGUUUUAGCUCUUGGAAACUUUUCUCGCAGGCUUCUUUCCAUUCAAACUUCUUGUCUUUCUUGAGUAACUGUGUCAUAGGCUUGGCUAUGGUGGAGAACACUUCAAUAAAACUGUGGUAAUAUCCUAACAUUCCCAAGAAACUUCGUAUGUCCGUUACGCUGGCUAGUGACAUCCAGCCAAGUAUGGCCUUGACUUUCUCUGGGUCCACUGCGAUACCGUCUUGGGUCAGUACGUGGCCUAGAAAGCCUACUUUUCUUAGCCAAAAUUCGCACUUGCUGAACUUGGCAUACAAUUGGUGUUUUCUGAGCUCUCCUAGCACAAUCUUGAGAUGUUCUGCGUGCUCUUCUGGUGUCUUGGAGUAUACCAGAAUAUCGUCGAUGAAUACCACGACGAACUUGUCCAUAAACUUCAUAAAUACUUUGUUCAUGAGGUGAACAAAAUAUGCGGGGGCGUUAGUUAAUCCAAAUGGCAUCACUGUGAACUCGUACAGUCCAUAUCUGGAGGUGAAGGCUGUUUUGGGAAUAUCUUCUGUUCGCACCUUUAAUUGAUGGUAUCCUGACCUUAAGUCAAUUUUUGAGAAUACCUUGGCCUGAGCGAGUUGAUCAAACAAAUCGUUUAUCCUUGGCAUCGGGUAUUUGUUCUUGACUGUGACCAUGUUAAGUGCUCGAUAGUCAAUACACAAUCUCAGUGUUCCAUCCUUCUUUUGGCAAAUAAAAUUGGUGAUCCCCAAGGUGAGGAGCUGGCUCGAAUGUAUCCUUUGUCUAGCAAUUCCCUUAUUUGUUUCUUCAACUCAACUAAUUUGGAUGGUGCCAUUCGGUACGGUUUCUUGUAUAUGGGGGUGGUUCCUAGUGCGAGCUCAAUGCUGAACUCUAUCUCUCGGUCUGGUGGCAUGCCUGGUUGCUCUUCAGGGAAUACGUCUGGAAAUUCACACACUACUGGAACCUUGUUUAGCUCAGAAAUGUCCACCUUAUUCAAUCUCGGUUGGCAGGGUAUUUUUCCUUCCUUGGCUGAUACUCUUAUUGUCUUCCCUUGGUGGUGUGUGAGAAUUACGGUCCUGUUGAAACAGUCGAUAAACCCCUUGUUGGUGGUUAGCCAAUCCAUCCCUAGGAUGACAUCCAGUCCUUUAUUUUCCAACACAAUAAGAUUUGCGUGAAACUCCAAUCCUUCGAACUCAAUGACCACAUUCUGACACUAAUUCUGAGUAACUUGCUGAAUCCCAGGGGACUUGAUGAUCAUGGAUUUCUCCAAAGGAAGCAUCGAAAAAUUAUUUUGCAAAGCAAAACUUUUCAAAAUGAAAGAGUGAGAAGCUCCAGAAUCAAACAAAACCGUUGCAGGUAUUGUGUUGACAGGAAACGUACCGAGUACGAUAUCCGGAGCAUUUUGUGCCUCCUCUUUGGUUACGUGGUUCAGAUGAUCCUUCCUGUGGUUGUUGUUGGGAUUGAAAUUGUUUCGCUUGGGCACUGAAUUACUGCCGCCGUUGUUCGGCUUUGGGGUUGAGUUCCUUGGCUUGGGGCACUGUUUGGCAUAGUGCCCUUCUUCUCCACAAGUGUAACAAGUAACGCCGGGGCGAUAUGUGAACUCCUUGUCCCUUGCAUGAAAAUUCUUGAUUGGGAGUGAGACGUUGGAUGAGGAUUUGUGCGUCCCACCCUUUUUGAAAUCUGUCUUGCUCCGGUGAUUGCGAGCAAGGUUAGUCUGGUCCCUUUUUCGCUUGCGGAUAUCUUCCAGACUGCGUCUCUCAUUCUCCAGAGUAAUGGCUUUGUCCACCAGUGUUUUAAAAUCAGGAAAAGUGUGCACGACCAGUUGGCAUUUAAGCGCGGGCACCAUACCGUCAAGGAAUUUCUCCAUCUUCUUGCUUUCAGUCAUACGCUCUUCAUUGGCGUAGCGGGACAAUAGAGUAAAUUGACUGUUGUAAUCUGACACUGUCAUGUUCCUUUGCUUGAGGUCGUCGAACUCUCUCUUCUUGAUUUUCAUAAUACUCUUAGGAAUGUGUGCACCACGGAAACCUUCCUUGAAAUCAUCCCAGGUUAUGUCAUUUUCAUUGGGAUGCAUGUGCAGAAAAUUCUCCCACCACGAUGCGGCUGCUCCUGUGAGAUAGUGCGGAGUAUACAGUGCUUUUUCGGGGUCUGAACAUUUUGCAAUAUCUCUAAGCCAGUCCUCGGCUUCAAGAGGUUUGUCAGUGUGAGAAAAUGUUUGGGGACGUGUCUUCUGAAGCUUAGAUAACUUGGAUUGCUGCUGAUACUGUCCAUGGUGAUUCCCCAUGUUGAUGACUUGGUUCAUCAUUUCACGAUGUUGUUGCUGACUUUGUUCAUAUAGGCGGCACAUUUGGGAAAGUGUCGUUUCACUGUCCUGUUGACUCGACUGCCCUUGUGUGAAAUUGUUGCCUGGUUGAGUGUCAUAAUUUUCCUCUGGUGGAGUAGGCAUGGAGCGAGUCCAAGGACGAGACAUUUUUCACUAUGGGGAUAUAAUUUGCAAAACUCAUAAGAAAAGCGAAAAUGGUCGCAAAAACAAAUCCAAAAUUGCACAAGGAUGGCAAAUAAUUUAAAUGACCAAGAUCACUUAAGAAAACAAAUCGAAUUGCGCACGGAGAAGGACUGCUCAUUACAUAUCUUACACGCGGGCGAUAAUUAUACAAUACAUCACUCAGGAUAUGUGUACAUAAUCCUGACAUGUUAUUUAGGCUAGUGCACUUCUCUAGUUCCUACAUGAUGCGCAAACAAGCUACUCCUCACAACCUAUGUACAUAUCUUACAAAGCGGUACAUCGCAUGACGGGCAAGCGCACUCAGCCGGAAAUGUUGACGAUCUCCUUGGCCCUGCCAAGGGUGAGGCGCAGUGAGGCUGGGGACUCGACCUCCUCCUCACUAAUAGGCUCCAGACGUGAAGAGCUGCGUCGGGUAGAUGGAGCGGGUGCCAGGGGCGGAGCAACACGAAUAGGAGUAGGCACAACGGGUGGUGCAGUGCGCGCUGGAGUGGGCGCAAUGGCCUGGUUGAACUCCUAAGUGGUAGGCGGGCGACGAGUAGGUGCAAAAGAUGCUGAUGACAAGACCAAAGUCAGUGGCGGUGCGGCGGGUAGGAGCUCCCUCCUAUUGGUGGCACAGCCAUGGAUUGAGUCCAUGCGGGCAGCUACGAAGUCGUCCACCAGGUUGUCGAAGGCUGCCUCCAGAGCCCGGAGAUACUCAAUAAGCAUCUCAAAAGCCUCAUCUUGUUCUCCUCUGGGGCAGGAGAAUGCGUAGUGACAGGUGUAAGGCACAUGGCAUGGAAGAUAGCGGUAGCGACGAGUCUUCAUCGCGGGAAGGACAUCCCUGAGGCGAGCUAUCGCCUCACGGGCUGCCAUCUGCAUAGCAUGCCUCUCCGUAGGCAUGGCUCUUCCCACGAACCGGAAGCGGCGUAACUCACCACGCCCUCCCCUGAACUGCACCGUGACCUGGUGCAUGGUCAGAUUGUCGCUGACCUUGUGCUGGUAGAGUGUGAAGACUAGGCGCACAGACAGCCCCAUCGCGACCUGAACGAUGAAGGAGAGAAGCUUGACGAACCCAUUGGGCACGUUGGCGAAGGUUUGAGACUCGCAGCUGUUGUCGGCCAUCUACAAAAGUAGGCAAAAUUCCUGCAUGGUCAGAUCAUAAAUUUAUGCUGACUGUCAGAAAAUGACUACCAUUGCAAAAAUAUAAAUUAGCUCUAUUAUGCUAAUAACGAAUUAGCGAUCGCACCUAGUGGCUUCCUACGGUCAGCCUGACUCUGAUACCAAGCUUGUCACGACCGGUUUUCCAAUAAAAAUAUUUAUUGAGAAACCAAUCUUUUGAGUCCAGUAUGAGGGAAAUCCUCCUCACUGGUAGACAAAAUUCUUGAUACAAUAAGCCAGUAGCAAAGAAUAUAUUACAAGGUUGAGCUAGGGCUGCUCAACAAUUUAUAACAAGCGCGCCAACAAUUAUACAUAAUGGCGGAUAUAACACAAUGGUGUGGUGGCAUACUACUGACUCGGGGAUAAAGUGAUGGUGGAAUAACACAGUGGGGAGUGUGAUAACAUGACUCUCAAACUGGCAUCUCAUCGAGCGUCGAGGUGAGGCUCGAUGAAUUUUAUUCGGGUUGCGGAAGCGAAUAUAAUACAGUGACCGAAUCCAGGGUCGCACGAGACUGAGUGGGACUCCUCUAGGCGUCGGACUCGCUAUCGAACUCUUCAUCCAUGAGAUCGCCUUCGUCAGCAUCUGGCCAAAUCAACAAGCCAGUGAGUACUUCAACAGUACUCGCAAGACAGUUCGGACGUAAUAUAUAACAAAUGCAUGCAUGAAUGCGUCAUGAUUAAUUCACCAAAUGUGCAUUCCAAAAAUUAGCAUAACGAAGCAAGUAAAAGGGAAACGGCGGUAGUCCGCCUGAAAUCCCAACAAAAGCAUAAAUGAAAACCGAUCGGGUGUCUGAAGCGACGCCUCGAAAGGGUGAACAAAUAAAUAAAGGAGAAAAUCAUGCCACAGUCGGGCGUCUUUGCGACACCACAUAAAGGGCUUUAAAAGAAAUGCCACAGUCGGACGUCGGGGCGACAUCACAGAAAGGGCUUUAAAAGAAAUGCCACAGUCGGACGUCGGGGCGACAUCACAGAAAGGGCUUUAAAAAAAUGCCACANNNNNNNNNNNNNNNNNNNNNNNNNNNNNNNNNNNNNNNNNNNNNNNNNNNNNNNNNNNNNNNNNNNNNNNNNNNNNNNNNNNNNNNNNNNNNNNNNNNNNNNNNNNNNNNNNNNNNNNNNNNNNNNNNNNNNNNNNAACCGAUCGGGUGUCUGAAGUGACGCCUCGAAAGGUGAACAAAUAAAUAAAGGAGAAAAUCAUGCCACAGUCGGGCGUCUUAGCGACACCACAUAAAGGGCUUUAAAAAAAAUGCCACAGUCGGACGUCGGGGCGACAUCACAGAAAGGGCUUUAAAAGAAAUGCCACAGUCGGACGUCGGGGCGACAUCACAGAAAGGGCUUUAAAAGAAAUGCCACAGUCGGACGUCGGGGCGACAUCACAGAAAGGGCUUUAUUCACAAGUAAAUAAUACUCAUAAUAAAUAUUCAAUUCAUGAUAAUAAACANNNNNNNNNNNNNNNNNNNNNNNNNNNNNNNNNNNNNNNNNNNNNNNNNNNNNNNNNNNNNNNNNNNNNNNNNNNNNNNNNNNNNNNNNNNNNNNNNNNNNNNNNNNNNNNNNNNNNNNNNCAGAAAGGGCUUUAAAAAAAUGCCACAGUCAGACGUCGGGGCGACAUCACAGAAAGGGCUUUAAAAGAAAUGCCACAGUCAGACGUCGGGGCGACAUCACAAAAAGGGCUUUAAAAGAAAUGCCAUAGUCGGACGUUGGGGCGACAUCACAGAAAGGGCUUUAAAAGAAAUGCCACAGUCGGACGUCGGAGCGACAUCGCAGAAAGGGCUUUUAUUCACAAGUAGAUAAUACUCAUAAUAAAUAUUCAAUUCAUGAUAAUAAACAGGUUAGUCCAUCCACAGGAAUAACAUUUAGCCGGGCUUAGCACUCAUGGGAUUCACCGGAGUCUCUGUCAUCAAACUGAUACUGUUAGGCCAAGAUGAUACGAAUUUGGACAUGGAAUAGAUGAUUCAAGGAAUGUAUGACUCUGCAGAGUUUGUACAAAUUUUUUUCCCACAGCCAACGGAUUUCUGUAGUCACGAGGGACUAGUUCCGUUUACGGUUUUUUGGAAGAAAACACAGCUAACCAGUACACACCCAUCCUACCUCUCGAUGCCAGGACUCAGCCUAGACAUCGUCCAAGAAAAACUUUUGAGAUGGGGAGAUCACAAUCUCGAAUAGCAUGGGAUCAAAUUUAUAUACGCGCGCUCUAAGGGGUGCCCCCCUCUCGGUCCCAACCGGAAACACCCAUGCCCCCUGACCGGAUGACUGGCUUUAAUCCAGGGCCAUGGAACCAUCAUCCCGGCCUCUCCUUUUGGUGUGUACCAGGAAAGCGGUUUGCAACUUACUAAGCCAUAUUCCUUGCGGAAAACAUGUGGUAGUACAGGGAAGGAAAUGGGAGGAACUGGACCGGUAGAGUUUGACCCUGAAGUCAUAUAGUCUGGCAUAAGACUGGCAUGCUACAACACUGCCAUCUUACCCAUCCUCAUGCCAACACAUGGCCAUUCAUAAUCACAUCCAUCCACUUAUGGAUCAUCGAACUCACUUACCUCAACAUUUCAUAAAAAAAUAACGUUCAUCGGUAUGCUCAUCAACAUGCCAUGAAACUAACUAAAUGCAAAACAUGCCAAGACACUCAUCAUAUCAAAAGUUCAAACAUGCUUGCGUGGUUCAGAGUAGUUGGACCCUAGCUCGGUGAAGUUCGCGGCUCUGUCACCUCCUUCGGUAUCUACGGUAUAAAGAAAAUAUAUGCGCUAUCGUAAAUACCAAGAGGUGCACAGAAAGUAUUCCAAAUAUUUUUCAAAUAAAUAUGAUAAAAAACUAGACAAAAAUCUGAAGAGGACAGGAAAAGAAUCACUCAAAAAUUCCUUUCUGUUAAAAAGUUAUAAGGGUGUGAAUCCAAGGACUUAUCUGUAAUGAAACAGAAAGUUUCCAGGGGCUAGUUUAUAAAAACAGAAAAUGCUUCGGCAGAAACUACGCCAGCCCAGAGGGAAGGCGCAUUUGGCAGAAGGCGUUUUCAGAAAACGAUUCGCUUAGACAGGAUAGAGAGGCUGAUAGCGGGUCCCGCCCGUCAGGUUUAAACUUUCAGACGGGGGUGGCAGAUAUCGCCGGUGCCCGAGAGCCGCGGUGGUCGCCGGCGGCGAUCCACGGCCAGGCAGGGUGAUCGGAGAUUACCAACGUGCUCACCGUGUCCUUCCGCAACGGUGGGUGGUGGUGUUGGUCGCCGGCGAGCACUACGUUGACGGCGGUCUUGACUCCGGCGGACGAUGGUUCGGGCGUUGAUGGAUCUCGCCGAGGAGGGCUGCAAGGAUCAAAUUGAGGUGGGGGUUAGAGCACUAGGUGUAAGAGAAGGCUACGGAUGAGGUUUGGGCGCCGGAGAUGGCCUCACCGGAGUGAAUCGAGGUGGAGGCCGAGGCGGAGCGAGGCGGCCGGAGUUGGGGAAGGAGACCUCCUCGAGGUCCUCCUGGUGGCUUGGCAGGGUCCUGGAGAGGUGCAGUGAAGGUGUGGGUCUCGUGAGCGAGCUCGGGGUCCUUUUUAUAGGCGAGCCGAGGCGGUGGCCGUGAAUGGGGAUCUCCGGCGAAGGUUACGGCGGCGCAGAGCUUGGUCGGGAAGGUUUAGGGAGUUGGGCGUCAUCGCGGAGUUCCACCAGUUCCAUUUAGGUGCUAAGUGAGCUUGGAUUGGGGUGCUAAGGGCGAGCUCGAUGGAACAUGGCGGCGCGGGCCCGUCGGCGGCAGGGAGCACGUUCCGUGCUUGCCGGGCCGCGGUGAUGGUGCCACGGGCGUGCGCUGGCAUGCAUGAGGCCACGCGGAGAGCCAAGGAGCUUUGGGCGGCACCGAACGGCGUUCUGCCGUGGUGUGCCUUCUGUCGGCCGCCACAGGAGGUCCCGACGCCGCAGAACACGCCGGCGAGGGCGGGCCAGCGCGCCACCGACGCCAGGAAAGCUCCAAGCACGCGUGUGAAGCUCCGGACAAGAGGGAGGGGCUGCGAGCAUCGAGCCAAAGGCACUGUGAGCAUGUGCCUGAAACUCUGAAGAAAACGACACUGUAAAACUGAAUUUUACUCAACUUUUCUAAAAAAUGCAAAGAACAGUGCAGCUCAGGUGUUCGACAGAAUGUUUUUGGCAUCUAGGGAUUUUUCCUUGAGCUAAAACUUGGUGGAGUGGCCUCUCAUUGCUCCAGUAGGCUGCCUGAAUUUUGGUGGAUUUUUUUUUGGAGAAGUGUAGAUAUGAAUUUCACCAAAUUUGGCAAAUCUGGUCCAACUUGCAGUGAGUGAAAUUUGAAAUAUUUGAAAAGAAGAAGAGUGGAUCAAGAUGGUUCUAGGUUGUGGGUACUAAAGACAAUCCAGGGAAGUUGGUUUGGGGUAAAAACUCAAAGGCAAAGUGAUACUUGCUUUGAAAAUCACUUAAGCUCAAAAUAAAUGGCAGAAAUGUUUUGGGGGAUAAAAUAAUUGAAAUAAAAUCCAAAACUUGUUUGGACUUGUUGAGACAGAGAAUUUAGAUUGUUCAAAGGUGGAGGGAUGGAUUUUGAGAGGAUUUACUAUAGGAGACAUGGUAAAACCAUGGGUGUUUUCAAAAAGAAAGAAGUCCCAAAACUCCUAGGGUUUCCUUUUUUUUGAAAAAAAUAAGUUUGAUAGGGUAACAACCAGAAGGAAAAGCUCCCAAAAACUUCAACACCAAAUUUGAAAAGGGAAAAGAAAAUCCUUGUCAAAGGAAAGGAAGUUUUUAAGAGGAAGGAUUUCUGGAAAAGAAAUUUUUAAAAAAACCCUCUUUUAAAAUCCAACAAGGUUUUGAUAAAAACCAAAUUAAAAUUUUGGAGUGUCACAACCUACUAACUCAGAUAGCUCCAUAGUAGUCCUCAUAGAAGUCACCUCCAUAGCCUGGAAGUUCAACGUGACCAUCCGGGAACAGACGGUCUUGAGGAGCCUGUGGACCAUAGGGGCUAGGAUGGGGUCUUGGACCAACAAACGGUGGCCUGCGGGGACCACGGGGUGGGGUGAUGCCUCCCACAUCACGCCAAUCCACCACGUCUGGCAAAGCAGACCUCACAGGAUACAGAUAUCUUGUAUACAUACAUCCAGCUUGCACCGCAGGUGCAAACCGAGUCAAUGUGGCCCAAUGAUCAGCACGGGUAUUAAAAAGCUCCAGCCUCAAGGCCCGAUUCUCUCGGUCCUUAUCUUCGAGCAUCUCGGCAGUGGUACGAGUUAAUGAAUCCUCCCGAGUGGAGUCAGCAUAGAUAGCCUGAAGAUACCGUUGCGCUCCCGGAAGUGAAGCUAGCAUGUAUCGGAAGUCGGUGUUCCGAAGCAGGCCAGUCCGGACUCGCAUGAUGGUCAUCAUGGAAUAGGCAGCAUCCUGCACAGCCAUCUCAACAGUAACCCCGACUCUCGGAAUAACUGACGGUGCAGAAAUACUGGCUUUGAUUAAAGUCUCGGAAUUGCUCUUCGACGGUGUAUUCGGGAUACCAACGGUAACCCGUCUCGAUCAUGACCCGGACUAACAUAGCAGUAUGACCGGGCACGUCGAGGCACCGGGUCAGGCGAACCACUUGGUUUUGAGCACGGUUGGGCAUUUUAAAGCACAACCACAAUGCGAAGACAUCAGAAUUUCUAGGGAAAAUUGGACCGCAUAACAGCUGUAAAUGCUCAGAAAAAGAUUUGAGACAUCCACAACAGUUCGCAAUACCACUCAACAACAUCAUAUCAAGGUUCUGAUCCAAAUAGCAACAUACUAAAAAUAGUAGAAACUGAACUGGGCUUGUAACAACAAUCCUAUAAGCUACUACGGAUUGGUAACACGUGAACCUGAUAGAAGAAGAGAGCCUAGUCCUUAACCCAUGUUGAAUGAGAAGGGAAUGACUCAGAUAAGAGGCAUAGGGUAAAGGAGUAAAAGAGCCUUAUGUUCCCUCCCACAAUCAAUUCCCCUACAUAUAACUAAAGCAUUUCUAGACUCGGCAUCGACCAGUUUGGCUCAACGAACCUACAGGCAGUCCAGCUCUGAUGCCAAAGCUGUCAGGACCCCGAUUUCAAGCCACAUCGAUCUAGCCGGUAACACCUCAUAUCACUUUGCGGCCUCACGCACGAUAUUCCACGGGUGUCGCCUUACCAUGGCCCGGGACCGUUUGUGCCUUUUGGCUCACGUAUAUGAUAGUGUCGCUAGCAUCCGUAUGACAGAGAACCCGGGCCGACAUGGCUAGUCGUGAACCCAAAGCGGCACAGACCUAUGGAGACAGGCAUACAUGAAUCACAUCGAGCAUGUCGGUCAUCAGCGAGUGAUUCCGGGCUGUAGCACUGGGCUAACAGGACUCCGGGGAACUCGGGCUGUAGCAGGCUAGGCAGGACUCCGGAAGUCACCGUGUGACAUUUCCCCGAAGGGACAGACAUAGGAACGAAGUGAAUCACAUGCCGGCCAGUCAAGUGUCCUGAGCAGUAGUGCUGGGCUAGCAGGACUCCGCUGAACCGGGCUGUAGCGGACUACUAUGGCUCGAGGAACACUAGACUACAUUUCCCCAUAAGAAAGGCUGCAAAGGAUAAACAACUAGAUUGUGGGAUCCCACUCAUACCAAGCAUUUCAAUCAUACACACAAUAUGCCCGAUAUGAGUACAUACAACAUGGCAUCACAACAAAACUCUACAACUCAAGUACUUUAUUUAAAGGCUCCAGAGAGCCAUACAUAACAUGUUCAUAUAGAUAGGGGUCACAUGACCCGACACUCAAGUCAUACAAUCAUACAAGCACAUGCGGAAGCAACGGGUCUUGAAAGUGCGUUAUAUCGGCUAGGGGGGGGGGUGAAUAGGCGAUUUUUAUGGAAGUCUUCAAAACGUGGAAGUUAUGAAGACAAACAGAGUGAACAAGCCUAUCACUAUGCAGCGGAAGUUAGAUUACACAACGCAAGCCAUGGUCAAGUAUACAAUAUAGUGAAAGCACAGUGACAAAUAGCUUCAGUGUAAUGAGGAUCAGGUUGGAAGAAGUUAUGAAGCCAAACAGAUCAUACAGUCAAGUUGUGAAGACAGAAGAUAAAGCAAGCAUGCAAUAGCUUCACAAUGUGUACUGGUAAGUAAAGGGAGGCGAAGAUGAAACCAGUGACACGUUGAAGACAAUGAUAUGUUGGACCAGUUCCAGUUGCUGUGACAACUGUACGUCUGGUUGGAGCGGCUAGGUAUUUAAACAAAAGGACACACAGUCCCGGACACCCAGUCCUGAACACGCAGCUCAGGACACCCAGUCCUCACCGUUUUCUCCUUGAGCUAAGGUCACACAGACCCCGCCCAAUCACUCUGGUAAGUCUUCAAGGUAGACUCCCAAACCUUCACAGACUUUGUUCACCGGCAAUCCACAAUUCCUCUUGGAUGCUCAGAACGCGACGCCUAACUGUCUGGAGGAUGCACAGUCCUCAAGUGUAAUAAGUCUUCAGAUCACUCAGACAAGAAGACUUAAGUGAUGCCCAAUUACUCUGGCUCUGGGUGGUUAGGGCUUUUCUCCUCACUAAGGAUUUUCUCUCAAUGGCUUCGAGGUGGGUUGCUCUCAAACGACAAAAGCCGUGCACUGAAAUCUGAGCAGCCAACCGUUUAUGGUUGUAGGGGUGGACUAUUUAUAGCCGCUUGGCAACCCUGACCUGAUUUGUCCGAAAUGACCCUGGGUCACUAAGGAACUGACACGUGUACUAACGGUCGGAUUUUGAACUCUCACGGCAACUUUACUUGGGCUGCAAGUAAAGCUGACUUUUCUGACUCUGGACAAGAUUUUCUCUCAUUGUCUUCACUCGAAGACAUAGGAUUUGAAUUAGGCAUCAUUUCAGUCAUCCUGACUGGUUCUCUUGGACCCCACUUAACAGUACGGUGGUUCCUAUGACACAACAUGAAUAAAGUAAAACUACAAAGGAUCUAAGUCUUCGAGUUCCAAAGGCUUCAUGGGGAGUCUUCAUAUGUCAUUGUCUUCGACAUGAAUGUCUUCAUGAACCACCAUUGUCUUCAAUGUCUUCGUACAUUUUUCGGGGUCAUCUCUGGUAACUAAACCGAAUCAAUGAGGGACUUCUACCUGUGUUAUCCUGCAAUUCUCACAAACACAUUAGUCCCUCAACUAGGUUUGUCGUCAAUACUCCAAAACCAACUAGGGGUGGCACUAGAUGCACUUACAAUCUCCCCCUUUUUGGUGAUUGAUGACAAACUAGUUGAAGUUUUCAACGGGGAAUAUAAUUUGUGAAAUUGUAAAGGAAUUGUCUUCAUAAGCUGCAAGGGCUCCCCCUGAGGAUGUGCAUAUAAGUGAUUUGCUUUUGGAACGCGAAUGCACAUAGCAGGUUGUAUUUGUGGGAAUCCACUUCAACUUAUGAUGACAAUCCAUCAUGCAUGUAAACAUAUAAGAAGAUAAUGAUAUGCAUAAUGAAAAAUGGACGCCUGCGAAAUGAUAUAAGUGCGGAAAUUAUCGUCGUACAUGCGGAAUUUAUCUUCGCAAAAACACAGUGGCAAACAUAGUAGCAGACGACCAUCAAGUUUAAGUGUUACAACUCAAAGAACCAAAUGUAGCAAAACGAGAGUUGUAAGCACGAAGCAAAAUAUAAUAAAGCACCAGCCCUUAUUAUUGACCCGCUUGAAGACUAUAAACAUCAUAUGCUUCUCCCCCUUUUGUCAGUGAUGACCAAAAAGGUUUGAAGGCAUAGAGUUUUCUACGUGUUCCCAGGCGCAGCAGGGUCGAUGGAGGCGUUUGGUGGAGCUGGCGAGCUUGGUGCAGUGAUGAUGCGCGCUGAAGAAGGUGGUGGUGAUGUAGCAUCGUCUUCUUCCUCAAUGAUUUUUCCAGUCACUAUGGCAGCAGAGGAAGAGAACUCUGAUUCUUCAAGCGACGGAGUUCCACGCAACACAGCUCUUCUGGGGGGUGUGGAGUCAAACUUGAAUCUCUCUUUGAAGCCAUCCUCUUGCAGUUCAGCUUCAGUGCACAUCAUUGUGAGGCCUUUCCAAGUGCGGCGACAGGUUUCAUGUGCGACAAAGGCAUUCUUGGUGGCCAGAUUCCUGAUGCGAUUGACUUCUUGCAUGAUACUGCGCAUCUGCCUUUUGAGCCAGUCGUGAUGCCUAUCUUGCUUUUGGUGCAGAGCCACAAGAAGUUCACGGUCAGUGAGUGUACGAGCGCGUUUCUUGGGUCUCUGUGCAGCUGUGCUGUCAGUGGCUUCAGUUGAUGCAGGGGCACGCGUGGUGCCAGCCAUUGGAUAGACUCUGGAAAUGGCUUCAACACCUUCAUCAUGCUGAGUGAAGCUCUGGUGUUCUACAUUCUGAAGACUUAAUGGCUGCUUGGCAGGCUCAGGAUAAAUCGCUUCAGCAGAGGUGUCCACAUCAGGUAAGAAGAUUCUGUGGUUGCGGGCAGAGUGUUGAUAGGAUAUGGUAGAGUGGAGCUUGAUGAGCCUCAUAACCCAUGGAGCAUAAAUCUUCAGACCAAAGAGAUCUGAGCCAAACGCUGCUAGUUGACGUAUAAAGAGAUCCUGGGCAUUGAAGCAUUUGCCAUGCAGGAUGCAGAAGAUGAGAGUCUUCAUGGCACCUUCAACCUUGGCAUAUCGAGAGUGCCCCUUAAUGGGCCAUAGAGUCCGCCUGAUGAUGUGAUAGAUAGUUCUAGGCAGGUACUCUAAGUCUUCAACGAAGAACUCGGUUGGGUAAGGUGCGUCAGGAGGCAAUGGCUUCAUCAUUGAGAGCAUCUGACUCAUAUUUGGCUCAGGUCGCUGAAAUAUGCUCUCAACUGCUUCAGCAUGGAGUUGGCAGCCUUCUUCGAAGAGUUCGCCUGGAGUGGGUAGGCCGGUGAGCUCAAUGAUAUCAAAUGCAUUGGCUUCAUGAUGGACGUUGCCGGUCAUCCACUCCAGGACCCAAGUCUUUGGAUCUUUGUUGUAGCCUUUGAUGUGCAGUGUGGCAUAGAACUGGAGCAGAAGCUCUUCAUUCCAGUGCUCUUCAUCCGUGACAAACGGCAGCAGGCCAACUUGCUUGAAGCAGUCCAGUGCUUCUUCCAGACCAGGCAGACCAGCAAUAGCUUCAACCUCAAGGCGCUGGUGUGGAAAGAUACGGCCUUGGUUGUAGAGGACGCAGAAGUAGUAGCUGCGCUGUGGGUAGCUCCAGAACCUAUCUAACACAAUCCGUUCCCUUGAGUAAGGGUUCUUGGAGCGGUUGAAGAAGGUGUUACCUGCCCUGAAGCUAUUGACAUUAAAGGAGCCAGGAGCGGUGGCAGGACCUGGGAACCUUGGCAGUCGUGGGAUUGGCUUCUGUACCUGGGGCCUGUGCGCAACAUGAUAGUUGAACUGUGGACCGGCAGCAGACUCAGGCACAGAAGGGUCAGAGGCAGAAGCUUCAGUAUCUCUUGAAGCUGUUGGUUGGUCGGGCUCCACAAAUGCUUCAGUAUUGGGUGUGGCAGCCGCAGUGGUGUCAGCCUCAUCACGUGUAGUGAGAGGGAUGGAUUCAGGUACGUUCUCCUUGAGAACUUCUUCUUGUUGGUGUGGGGGAGAUGGAGCUUGAGGUUCUUCAUGCUCUUCUUCAUGUUCUUCGGCUGAUGCAGCCGGAAUGUCGUCAGCAGUCUGAGCCCUUGGCCCUUUGCGAAGCCUACGGAAUGCAGGCAACGCCGGUGGAGUUGCAGUGGGCUGGGGCUCAUCCUCUUCCUCCUGCGGGCGAUCUGCCCAUGAUGCAUCUUGGGUGAUUGGCGUCAAGGGACGACCAAUGCUGAUCAUUUCACUCGUUUCGAGCUGAGGAAGGACUGCAUCACCUUGCACAUUGUCUUGGAGACCAAUGUCUUCAGCAGCGUUGGAGUCGGCUGCUGGAAUGUCUUCAGCAUGCGGAGCCUUUGUGAGAGCAGGCUCAUGCACGGUCAGCUGACGAUCUUCAUGAGGAAAGCAAACGGAGAGGGGUUCGACUAUCAAGGGCUCUGUGGGAGCAGCCCGAGACUUCUUGUUCUUGCGCUUCUUGAUGGUGGGGUCUAAAGGAGAGGCUUCAGGGUGUUUCCUCUUCCUUGCUUCAGCUUCGGCUGUCCUUGUCUUCUUAACCUAUGAAGCGGUUGAGCGGUGCUUUGGCUUCGAGCCAGGCUUGGCAGUGGGGAAGACAAUCGGAACAGCUUCUUGUCGUGGGGCCUCUUGUUCAGCCACAGUGGGCUUCUUCUUUUUCUUAGCGGCCAUCCUGGGGUCGAUGCUGGGACGCCCAAGCGCCUUUCGCUUCUCGGACUCAUUGUAGGCCUGCACACAGAGAUCAGCCAAAUUCUUCAUGCGCUCACGUGAACCCUGAGCCUCUGCACGUUUCUGCAUAAAGUUUUCCUUCAACUCGUGCAGCAUGACUUUGAAGUCUUUGACUUCUUGGACGCUGAGCGUGGCCAUGUUCUGCUUGAACUGAGCCUUUUCAAAAUCUAUCUUCUGCUUCAGUUCCACUAUGCGCUGGGCAAUUGCGAGUUCUGAAGCAAUAGCUCCUUGGAAGGCUACGCUGAGGCCAAUGGGCAGCUGCAGAUCAUGGAAGCUGAUGUUGGGUGUAUCAAACCACUCAUCAAUGAAGUUGUGGAUGAUUGCUGCAUCGAACAAAGGCAGAUUGUUGAAGAUUUCAGCCUCCUCCUUGCUCUUGAUUAGCUGCUCAAGAGCGUCAUCGGCAAGAUCGUCGUCACUUGACAGAUCAAUGGCCUCGCAGCGCAGAACGGCUGCGGCAGUGAGCUCUUUGUCAGUAUGUGGCUGAUGCUUCUUGGCUUCUUGGGGCUUGGAGACUCGUGAUAAGUCUUCAGACUGCACACUUGCUUCAGGAGGUGCAGUGGCCAAUGGCUUCGCUCUGGAGAUCUUGGGAGAAGCGGCUGGCUUGGAAGCUUUUGGCUUCUUCUUCAUCUGCUUCGGCUCCGGGGCAGCAGGAGCGUCAUCAGACUCAGUGUCUACUGGAGGGUCGUUCACGGCAGUCCCUUGGACUAGAAUGCGAGUGAUGAGGCCUUUGAGAUUGGCAUACGGCCCGAUGACAUUGGGAUUUGCAUCGCGUGUGCCAUCCGCCCUUGGCUUAGAGGGACCAGGGUUGAAGUCCAGUCCAAACUCCUUCUUGUUUUGCUUCGCAGAGUUCUGAGCAAAUUGGAAGUUGCGCUUGAAGAGAUUGUCAUCGCGACACCAGAGAAGUGAUGACGGAUGUGCCUCAGCUGGCUGUGGUCCUCUGACCAUGCAUGGAUAGAAGCCUUGAGCAAUGGCUUCGUCUCUGGACCGGGGUACGAGAUUUUUGUACAAGACAUCUCCCCAUGGCCUCUGGAUGGCGCACUUCUCUGCAUAUUCCUUGGCGACGAAGCGGUAUUGGAACCACUGCUCUGCCCAAUAUCUUCGAAUCCAUUGGAUUCGUGUCUAGCGCUGACCAUAGCUCUCUUCAGGAUCAGUUUGGUACAUUUCUGCCAAAUCUUCAGGCAGAUCUUUAGACGUUUCACCACGUCUCUGUCUGCCUCCCUUCCUUGCUGGUUUUUCUGUUGCCAUGAAGCUUAACUUGGAAGGCUUCAAGAGAUUCAAAGUCUUCAAAGGCUUCCUUUUGCUUGACCAACAGGAACUUGCUUCGGGUGAAUUGAUGUGACGCUGUAGGAACUCUGCAAAUGAAUGCAGACUAUGAGAACCAAAAGAUUCUCCCACGGACAUGUACCUGUGACAGCAUUAAGGUGCGAGGGAAGGGGAAGAGGUCAUAUGCAUUCUCAAAAGAUUUUGAAGAUAAAUCAGUUUAGAAGAUAUUGACCUCAUCAUGCGAAGACAUUCACUUUAUAGAAAAGAAGUUGGUUCCAGAUUUGUACGAACCCAUAGAUCAGUACAAGUGAGGAAUCUAACUACUUCAUGAAGAACAAGUGAAUAUACUAGGCACGUUAUGAGAUACAGAUGAGAGGGAUUAAACUUUUGUGAAUGGAAACCUCUUUUGGCAGAAAGUGAUGGAGCUAUAGGAUCAAAAGAGGCUGUAAAAAGACUUGUUAUUUACCAGACUUGGAACUGCUAGACGAGGUGAGAGUUGAGGCCGAGCAGUUCGAUCCUCCGUGCCCUAACUUGGCGACGGAAGACACCUAGGGCGACGGCGGAGAGACUGAUGUCCGCUGUCGGCGUGAGAACGGCAUCGGAGAGGUUGCGGCAGUGAAGCACUUCGUCGCCGGCGUCGUUGAGAGUUAGCGGUGGCGCUAGGGUUUGUGCGAGGGUGGAAGAAGAGAUAAUGACCGCAGUGAAACGUGUAUUUAUAGGGAUAUGGGCGGCACUGCGCUAUUACUCAGGUGCCCCUGGCGAUUCGCAUCUGAUCAGUACGUGGCCAGCAUGCGGAAUUGUGGGGGCAGUUUCACCCCACGCACGCCUGGUUUGUCGGAAGCCGUUCCUACUUCUCUGGAUUUCUUGUUGAUGAAAAAACAUUAAAAUCUGUUUUAAAGUUUGUCUCUGUGUCUUCUUCUGACAAGGAUGCAGUGAAGACAUUCGACAGUUUCAAUAGAAUGCAUAGACUUGGAGAGAUAGAGUUUGAGGUAGGAAGCAUGGAGAGGUUAGGGUCCGAUCACAUUCACUUAGUUCAAAAGAUUCAAACAAGAAGACAUAGCUAUAAGUGAAUGCUGUAGAGGACAGAACACCAGUACAUAUAUAAUCAACAUAGUGAAGAUAAUCAUGAAGACAUGUUGAGAUUGAAGCUAAACCAAAUGUGAAGACAUAGCAAAUGUAAUGCCAUGAGUGAAACACUUCAAGCAGAAAAAUUUGGUGGUGGCGCUACCCACCGUAUAGGAAGUAUUGGACCCAGACACGGCGCACAAUUAUCGUGGCGCUCCGAGGUCAAAUUCCACGUUAAUGUGUUCACACUUAGAAUGUAUGUCUUCAUUGAUUGAAGAUAUACGUUACUUCGUGUGUUGCACAUCUAAGUCAUCAUCAUGCAUAAGUGUUAGGAUGUGUGCCUGAUCACAGGACAUUUGAGGAUUCCAAGAUAUUUAGCUCACACCGUAACUUGCAAAAUCUCUUCUCAUCCAAGGGCUUGGUGAAGAUAUCUGCCAAUUGCUCUUUAGUGUUGACGUGUAUGAUAUCAAUGUCUUCCUUUGCAACAUGAUCUCUGAGAAAAUGAUGACGAAUUUCAAUGUGCUUUGUCUUCGAGUGCUGAACUGGGUUGUUGGCGAUCUUGAUGGCACUUUCGUUGUCGCAGUAAAGUGGCACUUGCUUCAGAUGAAUGCCAUAAUCCUUGAGGGUUUGCUUCAUCCAUAGAAGCUGAGCGCAGCAGGAUCCAGCAGCAAUGUAUUCAGAUUCAGCAGUGGAGAGAGAUACACAGUUCUGCUUCUUUGAAGACCAACAGACAAGUGAUCGCCCAGAAAGUGACAUGUGCCUGAUGUGGACUUCCGAUCAACCUUGUCACCAGCGUAAUCAGCGUCCGAAAAUCCAACCAGAUCAAACUCUGAGCCCUUUGGAUACCAUGACCCUAGAGUUGGGGUGUGAGCCAAAUAUCGAAGAAUUCGCUUCACAGCUAAGUGAUGCGACUCCUUUGGUGCCGCUUGAAACCGAGCACACAUGUAAACACUAAGCAUAAUAUCUGGCCUAGAUGCACAUAAAUAAAGCAAAGAACCAAUCAUGGAGCGGUAUACCUUUUGAUCGAACUCUUUACCAUUGUCGUCAGGACCCAGAUGAUGUUUGGCUGGCAUUGGUGUUGUGAAGCCUUUGCAGUCUUGCAUACCGAACUUCUUCAGGCAGUCUUUGAGAUAUUUCUCUUGAGAUAUGAAGAUGCCAUUGCGUUGUUGCCGUAUCUGAAGACCGAGGAAGAAUUUCAGCUCCCCCAUCAUAGACAUCUGAUAUUGCUCUUGCAUCAUAUAUCCGAACUCCUCACUGUACUUCUGAUUGGUGCAGCCGAAGAUAAUGUCAUCCACGUAUAUUUGGCACACAAACAGUUCACCAUCAUAUGUCUUUGUGAAGAGAGUGGGAUCCAGGGAACCAGGUAUGAAGCCUUUGCUCUUCAGGAAGUAUUUGAGUGUAUCAUACCAGGCCCGAGGGGCUUGUUUGAGGCCAUAUAGUGCCUUUUUGAGCUUGUACACCAUGUCAGGAUGUUUUGGAUCUUCAAACCCAGGUGGUUGUGCAACAUACACUUCUUCUUCAAUUUUGCCAUUGAGGAAGGCACUUUUUACAUCCAUUUGAUACAGGAUUAUGUUGUGAUGAUUUGCAUAGGCCAGCAGUAUACGGAUGGCUUCAAGUCUGGCAACAGGAGCAAAUGUUUCAUCGAAGUCAAUGCCUUCGAGUUGAGUAUAUCCUUGAGCAACGAAACGAGCCUUGUUUCUGACGACUUGGCCAUGCUCAUCUUGCUUGUUGCGGUAUAUCCAUUUGGUGCCUAUUAUGUUAUGCUUCCAUGGAUCAGGACGCUUAACCAACUCCCAUACAUUGUUCAGCUCAAAUUGUUGAAGCGCUUCUUGCAUAGCUUGAAUCCAUUCAGGUUCCAUAAAGGCUUCAUCAAUUUUCCUGGGUUCUGUCAUUGAAACGAAUGCGAAGUGUCCGCAGAAGUUUGCCAGUUGAGUUGCCCUUGAAUGAGUCAGUGGACCAGGUGCAUUGAUGCUAUCAAUUAUUCUGCAAUCUGCACUUCAUUGGCAACAUGAGGAUGUAGGGGUCGAAGACUUUGCUCUUGCUGAUCUACGUUGUCAUGGGGAGGAAUGUCUUCAGGCUGAGCGUUGUCUUCAUGUGGAUCAGGUGCUGAGAUGAUAAGUUCUUCUUCAGGACGAGCUUCAGAAGGUAUAAUUUCUCCAGUUCCCAUUAGCUUGAUUGAUUCACUGGCUGGAACUUCAUCUAGCACAUCUGGUAGUUGCUCUCUUUGUGACCCAUUGGUCUCAUCGAACCGCACAUCCACUGUUUCAACCACUUUGUAGUGGAAGAGAUUGGAGACUCUGUAGGAGUGCGAAUCCUUUCCAUAUCCAAGCAUGAAGCCCUCAUGUGCUUUUGGAGCAAAUUUUUAGGUGUGGUGAGGGUCCUUGAUCCAGCAUCUUGAUCCAAAUACUCUAAAGUACCUUACAUUUGGCUUCUUGCCAGUCAGAAGUUCAUAAGAUGUCUUGUUCAGCAGCUUGUGAAGAUAUACACGGUUGAUAGUAUGGCAUGCAGUGUCAAUGGCUUCAGUCCAGAAUUUUCUUGGUGUCUUGUACUCAUCUAACAUUGUUCUGGCCAUCUCAAUGAGUGUUCUGUUCUUGUGUUCGACGAUGCCAUUCUGUUGUGGCGUGUAUGGAGCUGAGAAUUCAUGAGUGAUGCCCAAUGUAUCAAGAUAUGUGUCAAGGCCGGUGUUCUUGAAUUCUGUGCCAUUGUCACUUCUGAUGUGCUUUAUCUUGGCGCCAUAAUUGUUCAUUGCCCGAUUUGCGAAGCGUCUGAAGACAUCCUGCACUUCAGUCUUGUAAAGGAUUAUGUGCACCCAAGUAUAUCUAGAGUAAUCAUCAACAAUGACGAAGCCAUAGAGGCAAGCAGUAGUGGAGAAAGUUGAGUAGUGAGUGGGACCGAAGAGAUCCAUGUGAAGCAGUUCGAAGGGUUGAGUAGUGGUCAUGAUUUUCUUCGAAGGAUGUUUUGCCCUUGUCAUCUUCCCAGCUUCACAGGCACCGCAUAAGUGAUCUUUCUUGAACUUGACGCCCUCGAUGCCUAUGACAUGCUUCUUCUUCGCAAGGGUGUGGAGGUUCCUCAUGCCAGCAUGCCCAAGUCUUCGAUGCCAAAGCCAGCAUUCUGAAGCCUUUGCGAGAAGACAAACUGCAAGCUGUGGCCCUGCUGAGAAAUCUACCACGUACAAAUCAUCUUUUCGAUACCCUUCAAACUCUAGAGACUUGUCAGAUUCCAUUAGUACCAGACAACGAUAUUUUCCAAAGAUUACAAUCAUGUUUAAAUCGCAAAGCAUUGAGACAGACAUUAAGUUGAAGCCAAGGGACUCAACAAACAUGACUUUAUCCAUGUGUUGAUCCUUUGAGAUUGCAACUCUACCUAGACCCAGUACCUUACUUUUACCAGUGUCAGCGAAUGUGAUGUGGCUCUUGUCAGAUGGACGUAAGGUUGAGUCCAUAAAGAGACUUCUUUUGCCAGUCAUGUGAUUUGUACACCCAUUGUCAAUAAUCCAUUCUGAAGACUCUGAAGUCACUGGUGUCGUACCCUACAGUGCAGUUAGGGGGAUAGGCUUCACGAAGAGUGUUGUGAAGCAAAAACAUUUGACGAACCAGUGGAUUAUGAAAACUUAGAUCCAGGUUAGGACAAGUAGGGAGAGUAGCAUGCGAUUCAGGUAUGAAAUACAUAGUGAUGCCAUUCGGGCAUUUGAUCUUGCGCCCACAAGAUUUUUAAGGUCCCCAGCAAUAGCAUCAGAAGAUUUUGGUUUUGUGCUGGAGACCUUUCCCUGCAAAAGAGAGUUAAGCUUUCUUAACCACCCACAUCUUCAAGGGUGGCUUAGAAGCAAACAGUCUAGCAGGUGGGCAAUAGUACUCAUAAGAAUAGGCAGAAUAGUUUUUGGUCAUAUGAGAAUGACGGUUUGAAGAACCGCUCUCAUAUGCCUGAGCAUGGUUUCCCUGCAAAACAUUUGUGUUAGUGCGACUCAAAUGAGUCCUCUGCCUGUAUGAAGCCUUUGGACCAUAUAUGAAGCCUUUGGUCCGAGGUUUGUCUUCUUCAUGUGAGGUGUCAUGAGGACAUUCACAGGAAGAUUCUCAAGACACGUUUUUGGAACCCAGAUCUUCUUCAUAGGCGGUCCAUUCCUGCAGUUAGUACCAAUGUACCUGGCAAAUACUUCACCAUUCUGAUUCCUGAACAGUUUAUAGUUUGCAUCAAAGGAUUCAUCAAUGAUAAUUGGAUUAGCACAAGUGAAGCCAGAUAGAUUGGAUGGAUCUGCUGAGGAUUCCUUUGCAGCAACCCAUGUGGUUUUGGGGUACUGCUCAGGUUUCCAGUAAGAGCCAUCUGCAUUAAUUUUCCUCACGAACCCAACACCCUCCUUCCUAGGGUUUUGGUUCAGAAUCUGCUUCUUGAGGACAUCACAUAAUGUCUGAUGUCCUUUGAGACUUUUGUACAUCCCUGUUUCAAGCAAUGUCUUCAACCUAGCAUUUUCAUCAGCAAUAGCAGUGGUAUCCUCAGUAGAGGGGUUAGUUACCACUUCAACAGUUGCAACAGCAGUAGCAGUGGAACAUUCAGCAACAGAAAUAGCAUUAUCACAAUCAAUGCAUUUAAGGCAUGGUGGUUCAAAUCCUUCCUGAACAGAACUGAUCUGUUCGGCUCGAAGUGACUCGUUUUCCUUUUGAAGAUCUUCAUGAUCCGUUUUUCAAGAUGUUGCUUCUUUUGAAGAUAAUCAUAGGAAAGCUUUUCAUGAGUAGUUGAGAGAGUCUCAAGACGAUCUUCGAGUUCCUGAUACUUAACAUGAAGAUUUUUUAUGUCUUCAAUUAAGGAUUCAGAACGAGUCAUUUCAGCACCCAACAGAUCAUCGCUUCUGUCUAACAGUUUUUGAAUAUGUUCCAUGGCCUUUUGUUGUUCAGUUGCAAUUUUAGCAAGUGUUUUGUAACUGGGUUUUGAAUCACAAUCAGAGUCAUCGUCACUAGAUGUUUGAUAGUGAGUAGUGCGUGUGUUUACCUUGGCACCACGUGCCAUGAAGCAGUAGGUAGGAGUAGAGUCGUCCUUGUCAUUUGCAUCGGUGAUGGUGAUGGAGUCAUUGUCUUCAGUGUUGAAGAUGGACUUGGCGACGUAGGCUGUAGCCAGACUCGCAAUGCCUGAAUCAGACUCCUCCUCAGACUCCACCUCUGCCUCCUCAGAAGCGGACUCCUCCUCUGAAUCCAUUUCCUUGCCAACAAACGCACGAGCCUUGCCAGAUGAACUCUUCUUGUGUGAUGAAGACUUUGAGGAAGACUUGGACGAAGACUUUGAGUAUUUCUUUGUCUUCUUAUCGUCAGAGUCAUAUUCCAUGCUCUAAUUCUUCUUUCUGUUCUCAUUGUCCCACUGUGGACACUCAGAGAUGAAGUGUCCAGUUUUCUUGCACUUGUGACAUGUUUUCUUCUUGUAGUCAUGCGCAGAAGCUUCAUCAUUCCUUGAGCUUGAUCGUGAAGACUUUCUGAAGCCUUUCUUCUUGGUGAAUUUCUGGAACUUCUUCACUAGCAUUGCAAGUUCCCUUCCAAUGUCUUCAGGAUCAUCAGAACUGCUGUCAGAUUCUUCUUCAGAUGAGGACACAGCUUUUGCCUUCAAGGCACGAGUUCGCCCAUAGUUUGGACCGUAGAUAUCUCUUUUCUCAGAAAGCUGAAACUCAUGUGUGUUGAGCCUCUCAAGUAUGUCAGACGGAUCGAGUGUCUUGAAGUCUGGAUGUCAAAUGAACUGUCAAGUGAUCUUAGCAGCGUCUUAACGAUUUCAUGUUUGGUGAUCUCAGUGGCGCCGAGGGCUUGAAGCUCAUUUGUGAUGUCAGUGAGCCGGUCAAAUGUGUGAUGGACAUUCUCAUUGUCAUUUCGCUUGAAGCGGUUGAAGAGAUUGCGAAGAACACUGAUUCUCUGAUCUCUCUGGGUUGAGAUGCCUUCAUUGACCUUGGAGAGCCAGUCCCAAACCAGCUUGGAUGUCUUCAAGGCACUCACACGGCCGUACUGUCCCUUGGUCAGAUGACCACAGAUAAUAUUCUUGGCAGUGGAGUCCAGUUGAGUGAACUUCUUGACAUCAGCCGCAGUGACACCUUCUCCAGCCUUGGGAACGCCGUUUUUGACGACAUACCAUAGGUGGACGUCAAUGGCUUCAAGAUGCAUGCGCAUCUUAUUCUUCCAGUAGGGAUAUUCAGUUCCAUCGAAGACGGGGCACGCAGCGGAGACUUUAAUUAUCCCUGCAGUCGACAUAGCUAAAACUUUAGGUGGUUAAACCAAAUCACACAGAACAAGGGAGCACCUUGCUCUGAUACCAAUUGAAAGUGCGUUAUAUCGGCUAGGGGGUGAAUAGGUGAUUUUAAUGAAAGUCUUCAAAACGUGGAAGUUAUGAAGACAAACAGAGUGAACAAGCCUAUCACUAUGCAGCGGAAGUUAGAUUACACAACGCAAGCCAUGGUCAAGUAUACAAUAUAGUGAAAGCACGGUGACAAAUAGCUUCAGUGUAAUGAGGAUCAGGUUGGAAGAAGUUAUGAAGCCAAACAGAUCAUACAGUCAAGUUGUGAGGACAGAAGAUAAAGCAAGCAUGCAAUAGCUUCACAAUGUGUACUGGUAAGUAAAGGGAGGCGAAGAUGAAACCAGUGACACGUUGAAGAGAAUGAUAUGUUGGACCAGUUCCAGUUGCUGUGACAACUAUACGUCUGGUUGGAGCGGCUAGGUAUUUAAACCAAAGGACACACAGUCCCGGACACCCAGUCCUGAACACGCAGCUCAGGACACCCAGUCCUCACCGUUUUCUCCUUGAGCUAAGGUCACACAGACCCCGCCCAAUCACUCUGGUAAGUCUUCAAGGUAGACUCCCAAACCUUCACAGACUUCGUUCACCGGCAAUCCACAAUUCCUCUUGGAUGCUCAGAACGCGACGCCUAACCGUCUGGAGGAUGCACAGUCCUCAAGUGUAAUAAGUCUUCAGAUCACUCAGACAAGAAGACUUAAGUGAUGCCCAAUUACUCUGGCUCUGGGUGGUUAGGGCUUUUCUCCUCACUAAGGAUUUUCUCUCAAAGGCUUAGAGGUGGGUUGCUCUCAAACGACAAAAGCAGUGCACUGAAAUCUGAGCAGCCAACCGUUUAUGGUUGUAGGGGUGGACUAUUUAUAGCCGCUUGGCAACCCUGACCUGAUUUGUCCGAAAUGACCCUGUGUCACUAAGGAACUGACACGUGUACUAACGGUCGGAUUUUGAACUCUCACGGCAACUUUACUUGGGCUGCAAGUAAAGCUGACUUGUCUGACUCUGGACAAGAUUUUCUCUCAUUGUCUUCACUCGAAGACAUAGGAUUUGAAUUAGGCAUCACUUCAGUCAUCCUGACUGGUUCUCUUGGACCCCACUUAACAGUACGGUGGUUCCUAUGACACAACAUGAAUAAAGUAAAACUACGAAGGAUCUAAGUCUUCGAGUUCCAAAGGCUUCAUGGGGAGUCUUCAUAUGUCAUUGUCUUCGACAUGAAUGUCUUCAUGAACCACCAUUGUCUUCAAUGUCUUCGUACAUUUUUAGGGGUCAUCUCUGGUAACUAAACCGAAUCAAUGAGGGACUUCUACUAGUGUUAUCCUGCAAUUCUCACAAACACAUUAGUCCCUCAACUAGGUUUGUCUUCAAUACUCCAAAACCAACUAGGGGUGGCACUAGAUGCACUUACAGGUCUGGGUACAGACACUAGAAAGAAAGAAGGCUCCUCGAGGCCUGUCUAUCUACAUAGGGCCCUCCAUGGCCAGGAUCACCACCUGGGUGGCUAGUCACUCAUCGAAGUCAAGGUCUACAUAGAACCCAUCGGAGGGGGCGGUGUUGUCGUCUGAAAACAGUAAUUAAGCAAACAUGAGUACAAAGGUACUCAGCAAGUCUUACAACAGAACCUACUAUACAUGCUUAUUCUCAAGAAGGCGGUGGGGAUAUUGCAGCAAGCCAGCUUUGACUCUUGGCUAAACUAUCCUACGGAACUUCUCUAGUAAAAUAGUUUUCGCACACGAGUCCACUACUCACCAACACAAUACUCCAACGGGGAUCCUCCCUCAUCAUCCUACGAGAGGGCCAUCCUCGGUACUCACACUUAUCUUGAGUCUUUUAGUAGUAUCCAUUUACUUGUCUAUGAACUGUAUAGGCAACUAAGUAGUCCUUUACCGCGGACGCGGCUAUUCGAAUAGUUUUAUACCCUGCAGGGGUGUACUUCGUCAUACACGCUUUCACCACUUAUCGCCGUUUACACGACAUGUACUCGGCAACCUUCAAGCGGAAGCCCAGCGAGGGUGUCGGCCACGGCCUACCUAAACACUUAAGUCUCUAGUCCUGCUUUAUCGCCUAUCCAAGUUCCAUCCGCAGGGAUUCCGGCCGAGGUUUCCACAUACGGCCCCGAACGAUGUGAACAGGAUCCCGAGACGCCAAACGGGUGCCCGGCAUACCCGGCCACGGUGUAUCUACCACAACAUAGCCCACCCCUAGGGUCAGCGCUACGCACGGCCGCCAACACAUAACCUACAAACACCAGAAACUAUUUGCAACUCCUGGAGAGAGUACUAGGGUGAUUAAGAAGCCGAUAGGGUCAAUUAAGGAUCCCAAUGCAUGGUAGUAGCUGAAUCUUAAAUCAUACAUACAGAUCUGAGUUCUUAGGGACGGUCUCAAUGAAACAACCCACCAUGUACUCCUACAUGGCCUCUCAUCGAUACCUUUACCAAAACAUGUUCAACACAUUCCUCAUAUUACCGACAUAAUCAUAUCACUCUAGCCCAUCACCCUGAUGAACCAGACCUGACACAACUCUAAGCAUAGCAGGCAUACCAAGGUACAAAUCACAUACAUGGCUCAAUCAACUCCUACACAUGCUAGUGGGUUUCAUCUAGUUACUGUGGCAAUGAAAGGUCAUGCAGAGGAUAAGGGUUCAACUACCGUAGCACACAGCAGUUUGAAUCGCGUUAUCUUAAUGCAGUAAACAAGAGUAGAGGCGAGAAUAUGGGUUGUAUCGGAAUGAUCAAUGGGUUGCUUGCCUGAUGGAGUGGUAGUGGGAUACUGCCCUUCAGUUGGAUACUCGUGAAUAUCCUCGGAGGCAGAACCUACCACGAAGAACACAUCGGAACACAAUCAAUACAUGACGAUAUGCAACAAUAUGAUGCAUGCUAUGACAUGGCAAUAUGAAUGUGUCUUGGCCUAAUGCAAGCUAAAAUAGAAAGGGAUGAACUCAUUUGAAUCAAAGAUACAAAUAUUAUCUCAUUAAACAUGGCCUUAAUAUUGCAUUUACUUAUUCUGCUUAAACAGAAAGGUAAACUUGUUUUGUCAUGCAUGAAACCAUUACAGGUGGAUAGAUUGAAUUUUUCUGAUAAUUUUUCAUAUAUAAAUUAUUUCAUUUGGAGUUACAGUUGAAUUUCUAUGAUUUUUAGAAUUUUUAAACAUUACUGCGUCAGCAUUGCGUCAUGCUGACCUCAGCAGGUCAAAGGCGCCAGCCCAGGUCAAACCUGACUGGAGGGCCCCUUCUGUCAGUCUCUUAAUUAAAUAACAGGACUAGAUUAACACUAAUUAGCUGUCAGUGGGGCCUGGGCCCACAUGUCAGUGACUGAUUAAAAUAAAAUUAGUUAAAACUAAUCCUAGAUUAGUUAGCAGACCAGCCCCACCUAUCAUAGACUCAGGGGGGGUCUACCUGGGCCCACCCAGGGUCAAACUAGGUCAAACUCGCCGGCGUUGAGCCGCCGGCGAGGCCCGAGACGGUGGCGCAGCUCGGAAAACGCCUAUAGGGCACGAGCGAGGCCGUUCUUGGGCUCGUUGGAGAGCUCUUGCAGUCGCGCAUCUAGUGGUGGUGGUGGCGGGCCUACGGUGGCCGGAGACGACGACGGCGAGCUCCAAGGCAGCGGCCGGAGUUCGGCCAUGUGCGGGGUGUGGGCUGCGGCGUGCAAACUUGGAAACUGAGGCGCUAGCGAGGCACUACGCGAUGCGGCAAGCACGUUGCGUAGCACGGGAUGACCAAAUGGUCGCCGGAGCGGCGCCAGCGACAAGCUCGAGCAGAGACGAGCUUCGGCCAUGGUGGAACUAUGGCCUAGAGGGUGCAAACGCAUGGAAAAGAAGAGGGGAAAGGUGGCGGACCUCACGGGGAGGUCGAUGAGUAGCUCAGUGGGCUCGGGGGUGACCGGAGCGAGGCGAAUCGAUGAGCGGCGUCCGGCGGGUACCGAGGUUGAAGACGAUCCGAUGGCGGCGAUGCAGGGCCUCCGGCGAUGCGUGGGGAGGGCGAGGGCGUCACGGCGGAGCUUCUGGACAGGUCAGAGAGGCGAGGGGGUGACAGAGGGCGCGACUACGGCGGUGAGACGGCGACGGGUGCAUCGGCCAUCGCGGGAGAGGGAGAGGGGGACGUGGGGGAGAGUGAGAGAGGAUGAGAGGGGGACAUGUGGGUCGCGUGGCAUUCCCUGGACGUCUCCCGGCGUCGGCGAAAGCAGGAGGUGGCCGACGUGUGGCCGCGGGCGCCGGCCACGCGCUCCGCGUCCUUCUGGCGCGAGGAGGACGACGACGGGCAGCGCCAGUAGGCUAGGCCGAGCCCGGUGGGCUGGCCAGCACAGGUAAGGCCCAGGUGGGCUUCUCCCUCUCUUUUUUUAAUUUGUUUCUGUUUUCUAUUUAACUGUAACUGUUGGGCUUUAUUUAAAAUACUAAAAUAUUUCCAGAAAUCCUGAAAAUAAUUGUGGGCUCUGCUUGGAUUAUGUCCAACAGCAAACAUUUAUUUCCAGAAUUAUUUGAGCAUUUAAAUUAUUUAAUAGCAUUUAAAUGCCCAAAUUCAAAUACUUAUGAUUUAAAUCAAUGACCUUCUAUUGACCUAGAAAAAUUGUGCAUCAAUUUUGCCAGAGGUUCUAACCCAAGACAAAGAGGGUGAACUUUUUAGAAGGGCAUUUCAGGUUCAUUGAAAAUAAUUUUAGUAAACCCUAGUUGUUUCCAGGGGGUGUUGGGGGUUUCUCCCUUCCCCAAUUCAAAUUUAAGAGGAAUUUAAACAUGAUGGAGAUUCUAAUGCUUGAACUAGCUAGGGUGUGACAUGACUCUUUAUUUGUUAGUUUACCAUAAUCAUCCUUGCUGUACACACCUUUUGAGAGGGCCAUACAUGAUUUGGAAUUUGUUAGAAUACUCUAUGUGCUUCGCUUAUAUCUUUUGAGUUAUAUAGUUUUGCUCUAGUACUUCACUUAUAUCUUUUAGAGCACGGUGGUGGAUUUGUUUUAUAAAAACUAUUGAUCUCUCAUGCUUCACUUACAUUAUUUUGAGAUGCUUAAUAGCAUGGUAAUUUGCUUAAAAUCUUAAUAUGCUAGGUAUUCAAAGUUAGUAAAAUUUUCUUAAGAGUGUUUUGAAUACUAAGAGAAGUUUGAUGCUUGAUGAUUGUUUUGAGAUAUGGAGGUAAUAAUAUCACAGUCAUGCUAGUUGAGUAGUUGUGAAAUUGAGAAAUACUUGUGUUGAAAUUUGCACGUAUGGUAAACGUUGUGUAACAAAUUUGAAACAUGAGGCGUUAUUUGAUUGUCUUCCUUAUGAGUGGCGGUCGGGGACGAGCGAUGGUCUUUUCCUACCAAUCCAUCCCCCUAGGAGCAUGCGCGUAGUACCUAGGUUUUUGAUGACUUGUAGAUUUUUGCAAUAAGUAUGUGAGUUCUUUAUGACUAAUGUUGAGUCCAUGAAUUAUACGCACUCUGACCCUUCCAUCCUUGCUAGCCUCUUAGGUACCAUGCAUUGCCCUUUCCCACAUUGAGUGUUGGAGCAAACUUCGCCGGUGCAUCCAAACCCCGUGAUAUGAUAUGCUCUUUCACACAUAAACCUCCUUAUAUCUUCCUCAAAACAGCCACCAUACCUACCUAUUAUGGCAUUUCCAUAGCCAUUCCGACAUAUAUUGACAUGCAACUUUCCACCAUUCCGUUCAUCAUGACACAUUCAUCAUUGUCAUAUUGCUUAGCAUAAUCAUGUAGUUGACAUAGUAUUUGUGGCAAGGCCACCGUUCAUAAUUCUUUCAUACAUGUCACUAUUGGUCCAUUGCAUAUCCCAGUACACCGCCGGAGGCAUUCAUAUAGAGUCAUACUUUGUUCUAGUAUCGAGUAGAAAUUAUUGAGUUGUAAAUAAAUAGAAGUGUGAUGAUCAUCAUUAAUAGAGCAUGGUCCCAAAAAUAUAAAAAAGGAAGGGCCAAAAAAAGGCCAAAUAAAAAAAUGUAAAAAAGGGGGGCAAUGCUACUAUCCUUUUUUCCACACUUGUGAUUCAAAGUAGCACCGUAAUCUUCAUGAUAGAGAGUAUCUUGAUUUGUCAUUUUCAUCUACUAGUGGGAAUUUUUCAUUAUAGAACUUGGCCUGUAUAUUCCAACAAUGGGCCUCCUCAAGUUCCCUAGGUCUUCGUGAGCAAGCAAGUUGGAUGCACACCCACUUAGUUUCUUUUGUUGAGCUUUCAUACAUUUAUAGCUCUAGUGCAUCUGUUGCAUGGCAAUCCCUACUCCUUGCAUUAACAUCAAUCGAUGGGCAUCUCCAUAGCCCAUUGAUUAGCCUCGUUGAUGUGAGACUUUAUCCUUUUUGUCUUCUCCACAUAACUCCAGUCAUUAUAUUCUAUUCCACCCAUAGUGUUAUGUCCAUGGCAUGCAAUCAUAUAUUGCGUGAAAGUUUAUAGGUUUGAGAUCACUAAAGUAUGAAACAAUUGCUUGGCUUCUCAUCGGGGUUGUGCAUGAUGAGAGCAUUCUUGUGUGACCAAAAUGAAGCAUGAUUAAACUAUAUGAUUUUGUAGGGAUGAACUUUCUUUGGCCAUGUUAUUUUGAGAAGACAUAAUUGCUCAGUUAGUAUGCUUGAAGUAUUAUUAUUUUUAUGUCAAUAUGAACUUUUGUCUUGAAUCUUUCGGAUCUGAAUAUUCAUACCACAAUUAAGAAGAUUUACAUUAAAAUCAUGCCAACUAGCACUCUGCAUCAAAAAUUCUGUUUUUAUCAUUUACCUACUCAAGGACGAGCAGUAAUUAAGCUUGGGGAUGCUUGAUACGUCUCCAACGUAUCUAUAAUUUUUGAUUGCUCCAUGCUAUAUUAUCUACUGUUUUGGACAAUAUUGGGCUUUGUUAUCCACUUUUAUAUUAUUUUUGGGACUAACCUAUUAACCAGAGGCCCAGCCCAGAAUUGUUGUUUUUUGCCUGUUUUAGGGUUUCGAAGAAAAGGAAUAUCAAACGGAGUCCAAACGGAAUGAAACCUUCGGGNNNNNNNNNNNNNNNNNNNNNNNNNNNNNNNNNNNNNNNNNNNNNNNNNNNNNNNNNNNNNNNNNNNNNNNNNNNNNNNNNNNNNNNNNNNNNNNNNNNNNNNNNNNNNNNNNNNNNNNNNNNNNNNNNNNNNNNNNNNNNNNNNNNNNNNNNNNNNNNNNNNNNNNNNNNNNNNNNNNNNNNNNNNNNNNNNNNNNNNNNNNNNNNNNNNNNNNNNNNNNNNNNNNNNNNNNNNNNNNNNNNNNNNNNNNNNNNNNNNNNNNNNNNNNNNNNNNNNNNNNNNNNNNNNNNNNNNNNNNNNNNNNNNNNNNNNNNNNNNNNNNNNNNNNNNNNNNNNNNNNNNNNNNNNNNNNNNNNUGUUGCUCCACCGACGUACUCCUUCCUCCUAUAUAUACCUACGUAUCCCCAAACGACCAUGUACGGAGACAAAACCCUAAUUCCACCGCCGAAACUUUCUGUAUCCACGAGAUUCCAUCUUGGCGCCUGUUCCGGAGCUCCGCCGGAGGGGGCAUCGAUUAUGGAGGGCUUCUACAUCAACACCAUAGCCUCUCCGAUGAAGUGUGCGUAGUUGACCUCAGACCUACGGGUCCAUAGUUAUUACCUAGAUGGCUUCUUCUCUCUUUUUGGAUCUCAAUACAAUGUUCUUCCCCUCUCUUGUGGAGAACUAUUCGAUGUAAUCUUCUUUUUGCGGUGUGUUUGUUGAGACCGAUGAAUUGUGGGUUUAUGAUCAAGUCUAUCUAUGAAUAAUAUUUGAAUCUUCUCUGAAAUAUUUUAUGUAUGAUUGGUUAUCUUUGCAAGUCUCUUCGAAUUAUCAGUUUGGUUUGGCCUACUAGAUUGAUCUUUCUUGCAAUGGGAGAAGUGCUUAGCUUUGGGUUCAAUCUUGCGGUGUCCUUUCCCAGUGACAGUAGGGGCAGCAAGGCACGUAUUGUAUUGUUGGCAUCGAGGACAACAAGAUGGGGUUUUCAUCAUAUUUUAUGAGUCUUUCCCACUACAUCAUGUCAUCUUACUUAAGGCGUUAAUCUGUAUUUAACUUAAUACUCUAGAUGCAUGCUGGAUAGCGGUCGAUGAGUGGAGUAGUAGUAGUAGAUGCAGGCAGGAGUCGGUCUACUUGUCUUGGACGUGAUGCCUAUAUACAUGAUCAUACCUAGAUAAUCUCAUAACUAUGCUCAAUUCUGUCAAUUGCUCAAUAGUAAUUUGUUCACCCACCGUAGAAUACUUAUGCUCUCGAGAGAAGCCACUAGUGAAACUUAUGGCCCCCGGGUCUAUCUUUAUCAUAUUAAUCUCCUACUACUUAGUUAUUUCCUAUGCUUUUUUACUUUGCCUUUAUUUUACUUUGCAUCUUUAACACAAAAAUACAAAAAAAUUAUCUUUAUCAUAUCUACCAAAUCUCACUCUCGUAAGUGGCCGUGUAGGGAUUGACAACCCCUAUUCGCGUUGGUUGCGAGGAUUUAUUUGUUUUGUGCAGGUACGAGGGACUGGCGCAUAGCCUCCUACUGGAUUGAUACCUUGGUUCUCAAAACCUGAGGGAAAUACAUACACUACUUUGCUGCAUCAUCCCUCACUCUUCGGGGAAAACCAACGCAGUGCUCAAGAGGUAGCAAGGGUUCCUUUUUGUCGACGAUCUGAUGUUUCAACCUUGUUUUCCAGGCGGCCAACGCGUCGCUAAACUUGGUCAUGGCGUGUUUUUUUAUCUUCUUCAUUGCCAGGUCCUUAUCUGGAUCUUUAUUAUCCUUUUCAUUACGGUCCGGGAACAAGAAUAUCUGGUGCAGCCUCUUUAGGAGGGAGGGCCUCAUAUUAUCUAUCUUCUGUAGUUUCCCAUCGUUGAUCGUGGCAGUUGUCCAUACAAUGCAACCUAUUUGAUUGCCGUAGCACGAUCGCGCUUCCUCAGGCGCUAUUGUCUCAAAAAUACCGUCGUCCAACUCCGUGACCACCAGUCUAGUACUCAGGAGCUGGUUUGGGCGCCGUGGCCUCUUUGCUUUCGGUUCUAGACCAACUCCGCUAGUCUCGGCGCCGGUCUCAGUCUCAUCGCCGGUCUGCAUGUCGGUAUCAGUCCCCGAUGCGACAACACAGUCGCUGCAACAUGGGUAAGGGAGACCUCCGCGCGUUUGUACAUAGGCACAGGGUGAAUCCCGGUGAGAGAUGGCCAUUGGCGCAUGCAAGUAGACGACGACGUCCCCGACGAAGAGCAGCCGGCCAGCUCGCCUCACUCUCCUUUGAUUAGAAAUGAAAGAUUGGGAAGAAGCAGACUGGAGCCUGCAGGGAAAGGAUAAGGUGACGAUGCAGUCUCCACUCGUUCGGGGCGACACACGUACUGAAUGUAUGAGAAACGUGACGUGGCAGAGACCCCAAGAUACUCCCUCCAUUUAUUUUUAGUCUGCAUAUAAAGUUUGGUCAAAGUCAAGAUUUGUAAAUUUUAACUAACUUUAUAAUAAAAAAAUAUCAACAUUCACAAUAUGAAAUCAAUAUUACCAGAUGUGUCAUGAAAUGUAUUUCCAUACUAUAUAGUUUUGGUAUUGUAGAUGUUCAUAUUUUUUAUAUAAAUGGGAAGUAGAGGCACUCUUGCAUAUAAUGAAGUUUAUAAUAUAUGUGCUUAUAUUGUACUACAAUUGUUUGAAUAGCUUAGCAUAUGUUCAGAUGUAUGAUAUCUGUAAUUUAAGCGCUUGAAUUUUACAUAUAAAUAUUUAUUAAUAAAUAUGUACCCCUAUAAUAGCUAGGCCGUGCAUUUGCACGGGUAGAUGACUAGUGAUUACAAUCUUGUUUGUGUGCAAGUCAAGCUUAUCUAGUUUACACGUAACAACUUGUAGAACGUUACAAAAUUUAUGCUUGCUAAUAACUUCUAGAACACUACAACACUUGACAUGUAAAAGGAAUUUGACGAGUCAUGGCCUACUAAAGCAAGUUACAUUACUAGUCUUAUCUAUCUUAACAGACCACACAAGAUUACAAACUAAGUACCGUGACAGCCAUGCUUAUCUAGUUUAUGCGUAACAAUUUGCAGAAAAUUACAAACUUAGUUUCAGAAAAAUAGGCAAUCUAGAUUAGUGUUUGAGCUGUAAAGUGAAUAAGAUGAGUCAUGCAUGUUAUCACACCUUUUUGGUGGUGGAAUGAUAGUGCAACAACAAGGAACUUUAAUGACCAGUCCAAGAAUACACUUGUAAGUAGUGCUACCAAACAGAACAUACCAAAUGAUGAUUUUUAGAAGCAUCCAAGCACUUUCCACACAAACAAAUGCCAAUUGUGAAAGAGAUCAUUCCAUGGCAGCUAUAAAUAGCCCCAUAGCAUGACGAUCAUCCUUCCUCAUCCAUCAUUCUUAUUAGUAGAGCGCAUCAUUUAAGCCAAGCAAGCUGUGGUCAAUACAAAUCCACCAUGAAGACCUUUCUCAUCCUUGCCCUCCUUGCUAUCGUGGCGACCACCGCCACAACUGCAGUUAGAGUUCCAGUGCCACAAUUGCAGCCACAACAUCCAUCUCAGCAACAGCCACAAGAGCAAGUUCCAUUGGUACAACAACAACAAUUUCUAGGGCAGCAACAACCAUUUCCACCACAACAACCAUAUCCACAGCCGCAACCAUUUCCAUCACAACAACCAUAUCUGCAACUACAACCAUUUCCGCAGCCGCAACUACCAUAUUCGCAGCCACAACCAUUUCGACCACAACAACCAUAUCCACAACCGCAACCACAGUAUUCGCAACCACAACAACCAAUUUCACAGCAGCAGCAGCAGCAGCAACAACAACAACAACAACAACAACAACAAAUCCUUCAACAAAUUUUGCAACAACAACUGAUUCCAUGCAUGGAUGUUGUAUUGCAGCAACACAACAUAGCGCAUGGAAGAUCACAAGUUUUGCAACAAAGUACUUACCAGCUGUUACAAGAAUUGUGUUGUCAGCACCUAUGGCAGAUCCCUGAGCAGUCGCAGUGCCAGGCCAUCCACAAUGUUGUUCAUGCUAUUAUUCUGCAUCAACAACAAAAACCACAACAACAACCAUCGAGCCAGGUCUCCUUCCAACAGCCUCUGCAACAAUAUCCAUUAGGCCAGGGCUCCUUCCGGCCAUCUCAGCAAAACCCACAGGCCCGGGGCUCUGUCCAGCCUCAACAACUGCCCCAGUUCGAGGAAAUAAGGAACCUAGCGCUACAGACGCUACCCGCAAUGUGCAAUGUCUACAUCCCUCCAUAUUGCACCAUCGCGCCAUUUGGCAUCUUCGGUACUAACUGAGAAGAAAAUAACUCUAGUACUAGAUAUAUGAAACACCGUUUUCUCAGUCCAUGGUUUGGUCGUUGUAGCGGUGAAAAAAUAAUGUGACAUGCACUAUCAGGUAAGAACCCGAACUAUACUAGUUCAAACUUGGGAAUAAAAGACAAACACAGGUCUUGUCUACAUAUUUAUGUUGCAUCUAUUUAUAUAUUAAAAGUAAUAUAAGGUGAACCAGGAGCAAGGUAAAUAUGCUAGAAAAUUGCACGUUAAUUAGAAAUUACUAGCCCUCGAUCUGAUAAAUCUUAACGAACAUAUAUAAUGCUCUGGGCCUCCAACGACUGUACGUGACACAUCUGAACGAACAUAUGUUAAAGAAAAUAUAUUUGGUAAAUGGUGGGCUUCUUUAAAAAGAGAACUCACGUACAUGCACCAACUAAGAAAAACACAUACAUGUAAACGGGAAAAGGAUGAGAUUUUCUCACGUACGUGCUCCCUGGCUCCACCCCGUUGAAAAAAUAUACAUCUGGAGGCCACUUUGUUUCCUCAUCAAAAAAACUUACGUUAAAAAGAUUGCAUGCAUCCCAGGGAAAAUAGUCAAGAAGAAGUCGGACUUUUCCUUACAAAAACAAGGAACGUGUUAAGUUGACUUCAAAGAAAAAAGGAACAUGUUAAGUUAAAAAAAAACAAGAAACCUGUUAAGUUAGAAAAAAAACAAGGAACGUGUUGUCCAAGGAAAGAGGAAGAAGAAAGUUGGUUUCAGUGAGUCAUGUGAAUUGUAGAAGAAAUAGGUAAACAAGGCUAGCUCCCCUGGGGGUUGUCAUAUUACAAUCAUUUGUAUUACUUUCCUACCAAUCCUGAACUAGCUAUGACCCUUAUAGCGAGCCUCACUUUACCGUUUCAGAUAGAAACAUAUGGCAGUACUGUACGUACUCGAGAGAAGUUGCUCCCUUCCAUGACAAGGACUAGUUAAGUUUCACUAUCUCCUUUCUCAACUCACUAUAUCCCAGCGGCGGAUUAAUAUAUAUACGUUGAAAAGCAAGGGGAUAAAUUGAACGAAAUGAAGAGCAAUCCAGAAUCCUAUUUUGUAUAUGUGUCAAAUCUUACAAAAAAAAAAGAAUACACACACGUACGUUCAUGCACUUGGAAAAUAGAAAAAAAAGGAACAUCACGUAUGUAUACACUUCGGAAACUCAUUACAUGACCAUGUCUGAUAUACUCCUCUAAUGCUUCAUAUUAGUGCCUAAUAAUUUAUAUUUAAAAUUCAAUUUACUGAUCAAAUAUCCCCACUGUUUAAAUUUUAAUUUGGCACAUUGUUUGGCUAUAGUAUGAACCUAAAUUUCCUCUUAUUAUUAUAUAUCAUGGUAAUAAUCCAAAGGCGACUAAUCUGCGCCGGCGCACCGGCGCAAUCAAUUCCGCUGGACACAGCGCGGCCGUUUGAUUAGAUUGCAUUUAACCGUCAGAUCUGGAAUCGUUUUCUUUCCAAUUAAACAGAUUCAACCAAACAGCAGAGGGGAAAACAAAGCAGCGCCGCCGCCAACACUAGCCAUGGACGACCGAUGUAGCAAAACCUUGAAGAACCGCCGCCGGUCGCCACCCUCGCUGCUGGUCGCCGCCCUCGCCGUCGGUCACCGCCGGUCGCCGCCCUCGCCGCACUCGUGGUUGCAGGCUUGCAUCUCCGCCUCCGGGGGACAUGGCCGCAUGUCCGGUAGCGCCGGCCGCCGGCCGGUGCACCUGUCGUUGUGGUCGCGCUGUACCUCGCCGUGUGCCCUCCCGUGGCUCUUGCUGGUUCCAACAAAAAACGAUACCGGUUGUAGCAAAAAAAUAUCGCUUCCAGCAAAAAAGCUUACCGCUACAGCCCGCCAUCGUCAUUGUAGCAAAAAUGUUAACCCGAUGUAGCUUCUGUGGUUGCCGACUGCAGCAAAAAAUGACAUGGUUGUAGCAAAACACAAAAGAAAAACGCCGGCCGGCCUCUGUGUAUGGUGGUAACAAACCCCAUAGCCGGUGGUAGCGAAAAACUUCAUAGUGCGCAGCAAAAAAAUGUUGUCACCCGUCGUCGAGGUUGCAUCAUCUUCAUGAAUUAUGUCGCAAAAAAACGUUGUCGCCGGUAGUAGCAAAUGAAGCCGCCGGUAGUAGCAAAACAAGACACUGGUUCCAGCCAAAAAAAAUCAGCGACAGAACCUUUGGUUGGUUCCAACAAAAAAACUUGUCGGUCGUAACAUCCCUCGCCGCCGGAUGUAGCAUCUCCCGGGGCUGGUUGCAACACUCCAUAAAAAAAAGUUGUCUAUGAGCGCAUCCAUGGUGACUGCUGCACCGUCAGCAACGAGGGGAAGAGGAGGCAAUGAAAAUCGUUCGAGUCAUAGCUCCACAGGACGCGGCUGCAGCAUGGGGAGUCCAAAAAUCUGUCACAAGCAACAUGCGCCUCGCCAUCCUCCUGCGCAGGAGAGAGAAGAAAAAGGAAUAAGAGGAAGAAGAAAGAAAACGGGAGAAAGAAAAAAGAAACGAUUGGUGGUUGGCUCAGGCAAUUAGUCAAGCGAGGGGCACGCGGGGCGCAGGAUACAGCGCAAUCGAACGAAGCGCGCGCGUCCGGCGAAGACUCGGCCGGACUGCCGGCUGGAAACGUUUCCCUAAUCCAAAGGCUUUAUCUGAAUGACAACUCGUCUGGGUUACCGGCUAACUAGAAAAAAGAUAAAUAUGCUAGAGAAUUUCAUAAUAAUUAGAAAUAUCUAGCCUUUAAUUAUGUAAAUCAGAAAAUCACAACCGUUGGAUUUACUUUAAAGGUAAAUUUCUCUAAAUUCCCACCAUUGCCAGUAUGUAGAAACAUGUGCUGCUUCAAUUCUCCCAUAAUCACCAAUCAAUCAACAACACAAAACAUACCUCAGUUAAAAAAACUGAACAAAAAAAAAGAAAAAAGAAGAAAGGACAAGAUACACGCAUGUACACGACAGCCUUGGCUUGAAACACAUCAGUAGAUCAAGUGUCCGCCUCCCUUACACAGAAUAAACUCAUAGGGAAGAAAAUAAUUGUGCAACCUAACCUUAUACGUACUAUUCUAUCCUCACGUCCCAUGAGGUUUACUAGCCUACCGCCGCCGCAUCAUGCCAUCCCCUCCUUUCAGCUCCCAUGCUUUCCAGCACCCUCAUUGCCGCGCCACUACUUGCCUAGGGAUAUUGCUGCUCAGACCGUGGAGCUUAACCUGCUUCUUCUUCAGCAAAUAUGGUACUGCUUUAGGAUCCUUCUCACAUCAGCACGUAUGGGCCUCAUUAUACUGCAGCUCCUGGACCUCCUACAAUUGGUUGGCUAUGGCCAGUUGAUCGAUGUGCCGAAGUCCAGGUCUGUUUGCUGGCACAUAUGCUUUGGAAAUAGGCCACUAUGUUUGUACUUCAAAAUUGUUUCUGUAUUCUUGAGUGGUACAUCCUUUUAAGCGCCAGUUUUUUAUGUCAAUUCAUGCUGACAACACUUAACCUAGCCUUUCAUCUUCACGUACUAAAUACAGGAGCAAGUAAAAACAACAGACCACCUAAUUGCUCUGCAUGUACUACAUAGGAAAAUUUGUCAUGUUCUACGAUCGCACCAUCCCACACUUCUCUCUUGGUAUGGGCGCCAAUUGAGGGAUUGAUAAAACUGAAACGAAGACGUCACGGGGCUGGAAGUACCGCUAGCCUGGUUUGCACUGCAACCUACUCAACGCCAUCAGAAACUAGCAACUGAGGCAGUUGUUGAUCGAUUCUCUCAAAUUGCUCUCAUGUAAGUACUACCCCUUGCAUGUGCGUACAUACCUUUGUUCCAUUCUCAAACAGAUAGAACAUUUAUGAUCGGUGCAUGGCUAUUUUUCAUCACAUGACAUCCAGAUAACAAGCAUGAAAGGACUACAUUGGAGAUCAAAAAAUAUUGGUUCCUGGCUAGAGGACCACUACCUAUGGACUUGUCUCCAUAGAAUUUGUUCCCAAGAUGUUAUUUUAAUUAACCUCUUUAGCUUUCUUCCAUUGCAAACGGUGAUGUGCAUCUUGGUAUAUACGUGACCAUCUUGCACAUGUAUACACAAGAGGCUCAGACGGAGGUGCUGGAUUCUGGACGAGGGAAUAUGAAGCAGCAGUGAGCGAAGAGUAAAUAAUGGUGGGAGUACCGAUUGGUGUUAUGAAGAAAAAUGCCAUCCAAAGAUUGAUUAGUGUCAUGGAAGAUUAAUUUCUGAAUGCGAAUAUAUAUGUUACAUUGGUUUGGAUCUUUUUGAGAUAAUUGCACAUAAAUUAGGUUCUUUCUUAUUUCAUAUGUAUACCUUAUUUCAGUAAAAGUUCACAACGAACUUAGUAGGACAAAUAUAAUUUUGUUUGUUCUUUCUGUUGUCCGCCACCAAAGCUCAAUUUGAACUCUCUAGAAAUGGACAAUGAUUUAUGCAUUCUAUAUCUUCUUGAUUCAUUAGCCAUGACAAGGAAAUAAAAGGAUUGACUGAUAUAGCAUAACUUUGGAACGAUCUGUUCGUAGAGGUUACUACAAAUUAGAGUAGUGUCUGCUGGAAUUUUGCCAGUAGGUCUUUGGCCCAAAGCCCAACUAAAAUUCUGAAAUUCUCUUGGCUCAUUUAUGCACACAUGUGAGUUGAGUGAGUGAGACUAAAGUUUAGUCCCACCCCGGAGUUGAGAGAGAGUUGCACCUCUUUAUAAGGUGAGCUCUUCUACCACUUGUAUGAGCAUGAGAAGAGGAGACCUACACGCGCGCUCCUCCUCCUCGCUCGCCACGCCUCGCCGCGCCGCGCCGCGGGUUGCGGGAUUGAGCCGAGCCGAGGACGUUGUCUAUAUUUUUGCUGCUCGGGAAAAAUUAAUGAGUCAUUAAUUAAUAAUUAAUGGACGCAUUAAUUACUGAACCGUUUCCGAUUUUUUUGGAUCGUGACGAAUCGGACGCGGGGUUUACUCCCAGGACCUACCCGGCCCGCACUAUAUAGUCAGGCAGACGUCUACCCUAGCCGCCGCCGCUUCAUAUGGUUUCUCACCAUCGUUACAGAUCAUUGCGCCACCAAGCAAGUUUUCUCCAUCCCUCCUUUCGGCGUGCACCGGGAGAAGGGAUAGCAGACCUCCGGAACCCCGCCUCUCGUGAUCCUGUACGGGAGAGGGGCGAUCAGGCUUUUGGGGAGCACACUCGCACUACUGUUGGCAGCGACGACUUCGCAAACGAGGACUUCUUCCCCGACCUCGGCAACCUCAUCCUCGACGACAUGGGCGACAACGUCAACGCCGGCGGUGCUACACCCACUGCACCGUAUGUUAUUCUCUCCUUCUUGUUCGAGGUCGUGGUAGAAUUCAAAGUAUAUGUGCCCUAGAUGUGAUCUGUUCAUCUACUAUGGUAGUUCGCAUGAUUAGUUUAAUCUCUGCUAUUGCUGUCAUGAUCUAUUUCCUAUUUAUUCGGAUUAAAUCUCGUAGUAAUUUGCUCAUUUUUCCAACAAUCCAAAAACCUGAUUAAUGGAAAUUUACUCCGAGUGGUUUUGCUGCGCAUCUGAAAGCCGCUUGCCUUUAAGGGGGCGCAAUAUAAGAGGUGGCUCACAAGAGUAGUCUACUGGUUUCAGAUCAUGGGCUGCUAUGACGCCACCAAGGGCAAGCCUGAGGGCGAUCUUAAUCCAGCACAGCUGGAUGCUAUGACAACGGCAAGAACACGUGGGCUACGCUCGAGGCCAAGUUUGGUGCCUCGGACGCCGGCAGCGAGUUGUACGUCAUGGAGCAAUUCUAUGACUCCAAGAUGACUGAUGAGCGCCCUGUUGUACAGCAGGCUCAUGAGAUACAGUUGCUCGCAAAAGAACUUGAGUACUUCAUGUUGGGGAACGUAGUAAUUUCAAAAAAAUUCCUACGCACACGCAAGAUCAUGGUGAUGCAUAGCAACGAGGGGGAGAGUCUGAUCUACGUACCCUUGUAGAUCGCAACGGAAGUGUUGACACAGCGUAGAGGAAGUAGUCGUACGUCUUCUUCCCGAUCCGACCGAUCCAAGCACCGUUACUCCGGCACCUCCGAGUUCUUAGCACACGUUCAGCUCGAUGACGAUCCCCGGGCUCCGAUCCAGCAAAGCUUCGGGGAGGAGUUCCGUCAGCACGACGGCGUGGUGACGAUCUUGAUGUUCUACCGACGCAGGGCUUCACCUAAGCACUACAACGGUAUGAUCGAGGUGGAAUAUGGUGGCAGGGGGCACCGCACACGGCUAAGGAACGAUCUCAAUGAUCAACUUGUGUGUCUAGAGGUGCCCCCUGCCCCCGUAUAUAAAGGUUGCCAGGGGGAGGGCUGGCCGGCCAAGCUAUGGAGGCGCAGGAGGAGUCCUACUCCUACCGGGAGUAGGACUCCCCCCAAUCCUAUUCCUAAUAGGACUCCCAAGUGGAAAGAGAGGGAGAGAGGUGGCCGGCCACCUCUCCUAGUCCUAAUAGGACUAGGGGAGGGGGGAGGCGUGCAGCCCACCUUGGGCUGCCCCUUUCACCUUGCCACUAAGGCCCAAUAAGGCCCAUUUGGUUCCCGGGGGGUUCCGGUAACCUCCCGGUACUCCGGUAAAAUCCCGAUUUCUCCCGAAACACUUCCGAUGUCCAAACAUAGGCUUCCAAUAUAUCAAUCUUGAUGUCUCGACCAUUUCGAGACUCCUCAUGAUGUCCGCGAUCACAUCCGGGACUCCGAACAACCUUCGGUACAUCAAAAUGCAUAAACUCAUAAUAACUGUCAUCGUAACGUUAAGCGUGCGGACCCUACGGUUCGAGAACAAUGUAGACAUGACCGAGACACGUCUCCGGUCAAUAACCAAUAGCGGGACCUGGAUGCCCAUAUUGGCUCCUACAUAUUCUACGAAGAUCUUUAUCGGUCAGACCGCAUAACAACAUACGUUGUUCCCUUUGUCAUCGGUAUGUUACUUGCCCGAGAUUCGAUCAUCGGUAUCCAAUACCUAGUUCAAUCUCGUUACCGGCAAGUCUCUUUACUCGUUCUGUAAUACAUCAUCCCGCAACUAACUCAUUAGUUGCAAUGCUUGCAAGGGUUGUAUAAUGUGCAUUACCGAGAGGGCCCAGAGGUACCUCUCCGACAAUCGGAGUGACAAAUCCUAUUCUCGAAAUACGCCAACCCAACAUCUACCAUUGGAAACACCUGUAGUACUCCUUUAUAAUCACCCAGUUACGUUGUGACGUUUGGUAGCACCCAAAGUGUUCCUCCGGCAAACGGGAGUUGCAUAAUCUCAUAGUCAUAGGAACAUGUAUAAGUCAUGAAGAAAGCAAUAGCAACAUACUAAACGAUCGGGUGCUAAGCUAAAGGAAUGGGUCAUGUCAAUCAGAUCAUUCAUCUAAUGAUGUGAUCCCAUUAAUCAAAUAACAACUCUUUGUCCAUGGUUCGGAAACAUAACCAUCUUUGAUUAACGAGCUAGUCAAGUAGAGGCAUACUAGUGACACUCUGUUUGUCUAUGUAUUCACACAUGUAUUAUGUUUCCGGUUAAUACAAUUCUAGCAUGAAUAAUAAAUAUUUAUCAUGAUAUAAGGAAAUAAAUAAUAACUUUAUUAUUGCCUCUAGGGCAUAUUUCCUUCAGUCUCCCACUUGCACUAGAGUCAAUAAUCUAGAUCACAUCACCAUGUGAUUAACAUCGAUAGUUCACAUCAUCAUGUGAUUAACACCCAUAGUUCACAUCGCCAUGUGACCAACACCCAAAGGGUUUACUAGAUUCAGUAAUCUAGUUCACAUUGCUAUGUGAUUAACACCCAAAGAGUACUAAGGUGUGAUCAUGUUUUGCUUGUGAGAGAAUCUUAGUCAACGGGUCUGCCACAUUCAGAUCCACAUGUAUUUUGCAAAUUUCUAUGUCAACAAUGCUCUGCAUGGAGCUACUUUAGCUAAUUGCUCCCACUUUCAAUAUGUAUCUAGACCGAGACUUAGAGUCAUCUAGAUUAGUGUCAAAACUUGCAUCGGCGUAACCCUUUACGACGAAUCUUUUUAUCACGUCCAUAAUCGAGAAACAUAUCCUUAUUUCACUAAGGAUAAUUCUGACCGAUGUCCAGUGAUCUACUCCUAGAUCACUAUUGUACUCCCUUGCCAAAUCAGUGCCGGGUAUACAAUAGAUUUGGUAUACAGCAUGUCAUACUUUAUAGAACCUAUGGCCAAGGCAUAGGGAAUGACUUUCAUUCUCUUUCUAUCUUCUGCCGUGGUUGGGCUUUGAGUCUUACUCAACUUCACACCUUAUAAUACAGGCAAGAACUCUUUCUUUGACUGCUCCAUUUUGAACUACUUCAAAAUCUUGUCAAGGUAUGUACUCAUUGAAAAAACUUAUCAAGCGUCUUGAUCUAUCUCUAUAGAUCUUGAAGCUCAAUAUGUAAGCAGCUUCACCGAAGUCUUUCUUUGAAAAACUCCUUUCAAACACUCCUUUAUGCUUUAUAGAAUAAUUCUACAUUAUUUCCGAUUAACAAUAUGUCAUUCACAUAUACUUAUCAGAAAUGUUGUAGUGCUACCACUCACUUUCUUGUAAAUACAGGCUUCACCGCAAGUCUGUAUAAAACUAUAUGCUUUGAUCAACUCAUCAAAGCAUAUAUUCCAACUCCGAGAUGCUUGCACCAGUCCACAGAUGGAUCGCUGGAGCUUGCACAUUUUGUUAGCACCUUUCGGAUUGACAAAACCUUCUGUUGCAUCAUGUACAACUCUUCUUUAAUAAAUCCAUUAAGGAAUGCAGUUUUGUUUAUCCCUUUGCCAGAUUUCAUAAAAUGCGGCAAUUACUAACAUGAUUCGGACAGACUCAAGCAUAGAUACGAGUGAGAAGCUCUCAUCGUAGUCAUCACCUUGAACUUGUCGAAAAACUUUUGCGACAAUUCUAGCUUUGUAGAUAGUAACACUACUAUCAGCGUCCGUCUUCCUCUUGAAGAUCCAUUUAUUCUCAAUUGCUUGCCGAUCAUCGGGCAAGUCAACCAAAGUCCAAACUUUGUUCUCAUACAUGGAUCAUAUCUCAGAUUUCAUGGCCUCAAACCAUUUCGCGGAAUCUGGGCUCAUCAUCGCUUCCUCAUAGUUCGUAGGUUCGUCAUGGUCAAGUAACAUGACCUCCAGAACAGAAUUACCGUACCACUCUGGUGCGGAUCUCACUCUAGUUUACCUACGAGAUUCCGUAGUAACUUGAUCUGAAGUUACAUGAUCAUCAUCAUUAGCUUCCUCACUAAUUUGUGUAGUAGUCACAAGAACAGAUUUUUGUGAUGAACUACUUUCCAAUAAGGUAGAAGGUACAAUUACCUUAUCAAGUUUUCUACUUUCCUCCCACUUACUUCUUUCAAGAGAAACUCCUUCUCUAGAAAGGAUCCAUUAUAAGCAACGAAUGUCUUGCCUUAGGAUCUGUGAUAGAAGGUGUACCCAACAGUCUCCUUUGGGUAUCCUAUGAAGACAUAUUUCUCCGAUUUGGGUUUGAGCUUAUCAGGAUGAAACUUUUUCUCAUAAGCAUCGCAACCCCAAACUUCAAGAAACGACAACUUUGGUUUCGUGCCAAACCAUAGUUCAUAAGGCGUCGUCUCGACGGAUAUAGAUGGUGCCCCUUUUUUUAACGUGAAUGCAGCUGUCUCUAAUGCAUGACCCCAAAAACGAUAGUGGUAAAUCGGUAAGAAACAUCAUAGAUUGCACUAUAUCCAAUAAAGUACGGUUAUGGCGUUCGGACACACCAUUAUGCUGUGGUGUUCCAGGUGGCGUGAGUAGUGAAACUAUUUCACAUUGUUUUAACUGAAGACCAAACUUGUAACUGAAAUACUCUUUUCCACGAUCAGAUCGUAGAAACUUUAUUUUCUUGUUACGAUGAUUUUCCACUUCACUCUGAAAUUCUUUGAACUUUUCAAAUGUUUCCGACUUAUGUUUUAUCAAAUAGAUAUACUCAUAUCUGCUCAAAUCAUCUGUGAAGAUCAGAAAAUAAUGAUACCUAUCGCGAGCCUCAAUAUUCAUCGGACCACAUACAUCAGUAUGUAUGAUUUCCAACAAAUCUGUUGCUCGCUCCAUUGUUCAGAAGAACAAAGUCUUAGUCAUCUUGCCCAAAAGGCAUGGUUCGCAAGCAUCAAGUGAUUCCGAAAGCCCAUCAGCAUGGAGCGCUUUAUACCAAUAUGACCUAAACGGCAGUGCCACAAAUAAGUUGCACUAUCAUUAUUAACUCUGCAUCCUUUGGUUUCAAUAUUAUGAAUAUGUGUAUCACUACGAUCGAGAUCCAACGAACUUGUUUCAUUGGGUGUAUGACCAUCGAAGGUUUUAUUCAUGUAAACAGAACAACAAUUAUUCUCUGACUUUAAUGAAUAACCGUAUUGCAAUAAAUAUGAUCAAAUCAUAUUCAUGCUCAACGCAAAAACCAAAUAACACUUAUUUAAGUUCAACACUAAUCCCGAAAGUAUAGGGGAGUGUGCGAUGAUGAUCAUAUCAAUCUUGGAACUACUUCCAACACACAUCGUCACUUCACCCUUAACUAGUCUCUAUUUAUUCUGCAACUCCUGUUUUGAGUUACUACUCUUAGCAACUGAACCAAUAUCAAAUACUAAGGGGUUGCUAUAAACACUAGUAAAGCACACAUCAAUAACAUGUAUAUCAAAUAUACUUUUGUUCACUUUGCCAUCCUUCUUAUCCGCCAAUCACUUGGGGUAGUUCCGCUUCUAGUGACCAGUCCCUUUGCAGUAGAAGCACUUAGUCUCAGGCUUAGGAUCAGACUUGGGCCUCUUCACUUGAGCAGCAACUUGCUUGCCGUUCUUCUUGAAGUUCCCCUUCUUCCCUUUGCCCUUUUCUUGAAACUAGUGGUCUUGUCAACCAUCAACACUUGAUGUUUUUCUUGAUUUCUACCUUCGUUUAUUUCAGCAUCACGAAGAGCUUGGGAGUUGUUUCUGUUAUCCCUUGCAUAUUAUAGUUCAUCACGAAGUUCUACUAACUUGGUGAUGGUGACUAGAGAAUUCUGUCAAUCACUAUCUUAUCUGGAAGAUUAACUCCCACUUGAUUCAAGCGAUUUUAGUACCCAGACAAUCUGAGCACAUGCUCACUAGUUGAGCGAUUCUCCUCCAUCUUUUAGCCAUAGAACUUGCUGGAAACUUCAUAUCUCUCAACUCGGGUAUUUGCUUGAAAUAUUAACUUCAACUCUUGGAACAUCUCAUAUGGUCUAUGACGUUCAAAACGUCUUUGAAGUCCCGAUUCUAAGCCAUUAAGCAUGGUGCACUAAACUAUCAAGUAGUCAUCAUAUUGAGCUAGCCAAACGUUCAUAACGUCUGCAUCUGCUCCUGCAAUAGGUUUGUCACCUAGCGGUGCAUCAAGGACAUAAUUCUUCUGUGCAGCAAUGAGGAUAAAACUCAGAUCACGGAUCCAAUCCGCAUCAUUGCUACUAACAUCUUUCAACACAAUUUUCUCUAGGAACAUAUCAAAAUAAACACAGGGAAGCAACAACGCGAGCUAUUGAUCUAUAACAUGAUUUACAAAAUACUACCAGGACUAAGUUCAUGAUAAAUUUAAGCUCAAUUAAUCAUGUUACUUAAGAACUCCCACUUAGAUAGACAUCCCUCUAAUCCUCUAAGUGAUCACGUGAUCCAAAUCAACUAAACCAUAACCGAUCAUCACGUGAAAUGGAUUAGUUUUCAAUGGUGAACAUCAUUAUGUUGAUGAUAUCUACUAUAUGAUUCACGCUCGACCUUUCGGUCUCCGUGUUCCGAGGCCAUAUCUUUAUAUGCUAGGCUCGUCAAGUUUAACCUGAGUAUUCUGCGUGUGCAAAACUGGCUUGCACCAGUUGUAGAUGGACGUAGAGCUUAUCACACCCGAUCAUCACGUGGUGUCUGGGCACGACGAACUUUGGCAACGGUGCAUACUCAGGGAGAACACUUCUUGAUAAUUUAGUGAGAGAUCAUCUUAUAAUGCUACCGUCAAUCAAAGCAAGAUAAGAUGCAUAAAAAGAUAAACAUCACAUGCAAUCAAUAUAAGUGAUAUGAUAUGGCCAUCAUCAUCUUGUGCUUGUGAUCUCCAUCUCCGAAGCACCGUCAUGAUCACCAUCGUCACCGGCGCGACACCUUGAUCUCCAUCGUAGCAUCGUUGUCGUCUCGCCAAUCUUAUGCUUCCACGACUAUCGCUACCGCUUAGUGAUAAAGUAAAGCAUUACAUCGCGAUUGCAUUGCAUACAAUAAAGCGACAACCAUAUGGCUCCUGCCAGUUGCCGAUAACUCGGUUACAAAACAUGAUCAUCUCAUACAAUAAAAUUUAGCAUCAUGCCUUGACCAUAUCACAUCACAACAUGCCCUGCAAAAACAAGUUAGACGUCCUCUACUUUGUUGUUGCAAGUUUUACGUGGCUGCUACGGGCUUAAGCAAGAACUCAUCUCACCUACGCAUCAAAACCACAACGAUAGUUUGUCAAAUAGAUUCCGUUUUAACCUUCUCAAGGACCGGGCGUAGCCACACUUGGUUCAACUAAAGUUGGAGAGACAGUCGCCCGCAAGCCAUCUAUGUGCAAAGCACGUCGAGGGAACCGGUCUCGCGUAAGCGUACGCGUAAGGUUGGUCCGGGUCGUCUCGUCCAACAAUACCGCCGAACCAAAGUAUGACAUGCUGGUAGGCAGUAUGACUUGUAUCGCCCACAACUCACUUGUGUUCUACUCGUGCAAAUAAUAUCAAACCAUAAAACCUAGGCUCGGAUGCCACUGUUGGGGAACGUAGUAAUUUCAAAAAAUUUCCUACGCACACGCAAGAUCAUGGUGAUGCAUAGCAACGAGGGGGAGAGUCUGAUCUACGUACCCUUGUAGAUCGCAACGGAAGCGUUGACACAACGUAGAGGAAGUAGUCGUACGUCUUCUUCCCGAUCCGACCGAUCCAUGCACCGUUACUCCGGCACCUCUGAGUUCUUAGCACACGUUCAGCUCGAUGACGAUCCCCGGGCUCCGAUCCAGCAAAGCUUCGGGGAGGAGUUCCGUCAGCAUGACAGCGUGGUGACGAUCUUGAUGUUCUACCGACGCAGGGCUUCGGCUAAGCACUACAACGGUAUGGUCGAGGUGGAAUAUGGUGGCAGGGGGCACUGGACACGGCUAAGGAACGAUCUCAAUGAUCAACUUGUGUGUCUAGAGGUGCCCCUACCCUCGUAUAUAAAGGUUGCCAGGGGAGGGCUGGCCGGCCAAGCUAUGGAGGCGCAGGAGGAGUCAAACUCCUACCGGGAGUAGGACUCCCCCCCCCCAAUCUUAUUCCUAAUAGGACUCCCAAGGGGAAAGAGAGGGAGAGAGGUGGCCGGCCACCUCUCCUAGUCCUAAUAGGACUAGGGGAGGGGGGAGGCGCGCAGGCCACCUUGGGCUGCCCCUUUCACCUUUCCACUAAGGCCCAAUAAGGCCCAUUUGGUUCCCGGGGGUUCCGGUAACCUCCCGGUACUCCGGUAAAAUCCCGAUUUCUCCCGGAACACUUCCGAUGUCCAAACAUAGGCUUCCAAUAUAUCAAUCUUUAUGUAUCGACCAUUUCGAGACUCCCCGUCAUGUCCAGGAUCACAUCCGGGACUCCGAACAACCUUCGGUACAUCAAAAUGCAUAAACUCAUAAUAACUGUCAUCGUAACGUUAAGCGUGCGGACCCUACGGUUCGAGAACAAUGUAGACAUGACCGAGACACGUCUCCGGUCAAUAACCAAUAGCGGGACCUAGAUGCCCAUAUUGGCUCCUACAUAUUCUACGAAGAUCUUUAUCGGUCAGACCGCAUAACAACAUACGUUGUUCCCUUUGUCAUCGGUAUGUUACUUGCCUGAGAUUCGAUCGUCGGUAUCCAAUACCUAGUUCAAUCUCGUUACCGGCAAGUCUCUUUACUCAUUCUGUAAUACAUCAUCUCGCAACUAACUCAUUAGUUGCAAUGCUUGCAAGGCUUGUAUAAUGUGCAUUACCGAGAGGGCCCAGAGGUACCUCUCCGACAAUCGGAGUGACAAAUCCUAUUCUCGAAAUACGCCAACCCAACAUCUACCAUUGGAAACACCUGUAGUACUCCUUUAUAAUCACCCAGUUACAUUGUGAUGUUUGGUAGCACCCAAAGUGUUCCUCCGGCAAACGGGAGUUGCAUAAUCUCAUAGUCAUAGGAACAUGUAUAAGUCAUGAAGAAAGCAAUAGCAACAUACUAAACGAUCGGGUGCUAAGCUAAUGGAAUGGGUCAUGUCAAUCAGAUCAUUCAUCUAAUGAUGUGAUCCCAUUAAUCAAAUAACAACACUUUGUCCAUGGUUAGGAAACAUAACCAUCUUUGAUUAACGAGCUAGUCAAGUAGAGGCAUACUAGUGACACUCUGUUUGUCUAUGUAUUCACACAUGUAUUAUGUUUCUGGUUAAUACAAUUCUAGCAUGAAUAAUAAAUAUUUAUCAUGAUAUAAGGAAAUAAAUAAUAACUUUAUUAUUGCCUGUAGGGCAUAUUUCCUUCACUUCAAGUGUGUGUUGCCGAACAAAUUUGUUGCCGGAGGCAUCAUUGCCAAGCUUCCACCUUCGUGGAACAAUUUUGCUACUUCCCUGAAACACAAGAGACAGGAGUUUUUCGUUGCGGAUCUCAUUGGUACUCUUGAUGUUGAAGAGAAGGCGAGAGCAAAGGAUACACGUGCUCGAGUUGCUGAGGGAGGUUCUAGUGCCCACAUGGUACAGAAGAAGAUCUUCCAGCCCAACAAGUUCAAAAACAACAAGAACAAAACUUAGGGCAAAGGCAAGUUUGAUACAAAGAACAAGCCAUCACAUUCUACCAACUUCAAGAAGAACUCUCAUAAGAAGGGGAAGGGACUUUGCCAUGUCUGCGGUGAUCCUAAUCACUGGGCUCCGAAGUGUCCUAACCGCUUUGAGGAGCGCGAACAUGAGAAGAGCGGCAAGUCUGCUAAUGUUGUCAUCGGUGAUACUGAUAUGAAGGAAUCAGGGUACGGUAUUUUUCCUACCAUCCUUUCAGUAUUCCAAAUCCCUGAUUGGUUAAUUGACAUCGGUGCCAAUGUACAUGUUUGUGCUGAUGCCUCCAUGUUUUCUUCUUACCAGGCCACUUGGACUUCUCCUGUGCUGAUGGGGAACGGGUCACAUGCCAUCGUUCGAGGUGUUGGUGCGGUCAAUCUGAAGUUUACUUCGGGGAAGACCGUGCGUCUGAAGAACGUUCAUCAUGAGCCGUCCAUCAAUAAAAAUCUCGUUAGCGGUUCCCGUUUAUGUCGAGAUGGUUUUAAGUUGGUUUUCGAAUCCAAUAAAGUUAUAAUUUCUAAGUAUGGACAAUUUGUUGGAAAAGGCUAUGAGAGCGGAGGCUUGUUUCGCCUGUCUUUGUCAGAUAUUUGCACUAAAGUUAUUAAUAAUGUUUGCCACAACAAUGAGUCUGAUAUUUGGCAUUCACGACUUUGUCACAUUAACUUUGGUUGCAUGACCCGGCUAGCCAAUAUGAAUUUAAUUCCGAAAUCUCUACUGUCAAAGGCUCUAAGUGCCAAGUAUGUGUGAAAGCUAAGCAACCUCGCAAAUCCCAUAAGACUGCAGAGGCGACAGACUUGGCGCCACUAGAGCUUAUACAUUCUGAUAUUUGUGAGAUGAAUGGCGUGUGGACAAAAGGUGGAAAGAGAUACUUCAUGACGUUGAUUGAUGACUCCACUAGAUAUUGUUAUGUGUAUCUUAUGAAAUCAAAAGAUGAGGCUUUGGCUUUCUUCAAAAACUAUAAAGCUGAGGCAGAGAACCAACUUGAUCGAAAAAUUAAACGGCUUAGGUCCGAUCAUGGUGGAGAGUAUUUUUCCAAUGAAUUUGAUCUAUUUUGUGCGGAACAUGGUAUAAUCCAUGAGAGGAUGCCUCCCUACUCACCCCAGUCAGAUGCGGUAGCCGAAAGAAAGAACCAAACUCUAACUGAUAUGGUUAACACCAUGUUAGACACUUCGGGUCUAUCCAAGGAAUGGUGGGGGGAGGCGCUAAUGACUGCGUGUCAUGUCCUAAACCGAGUUCCCACAAAGCAUAAGACCAUGACUCCAUUUGAGGAAUGUUAAAGGAAAAGGUUGAAACUCUCUUACCUACGUACUUGGGGUUGUUUGGCGAAAGUCAAUAUACCAAUUCCCAAGAAGCGCAAGCUUGGACCAAAAACCGUGGGUUGUGUUCUUCUUGGGUAUGCUUUUCAUAGCAUCGGCUAUAGAUUUUUGAUAAUAAAAUCUGAGGUAUCCGACAUGCAUGUUGGUACGAUUAUGGAGUCGAAUGAUGCAACUUUCUUUGAGGACAUAUUUCCUAUGAAGGAUAUGUUGAGUUCAUCAAAUCAGGAGACACCUACUCCACCUAGUGAGGAAUUCACUGUAAUUCCUGAACCCACCAUUGCGAUGGAACACAUAGAGAAUCCUGUUGAGGGUGACAAUGGAACUCCUGUGAGGAGUAAGAGACAUAGGACUACAAAGUCCUUUGGUGAUGAUUUCAUUGUGUACCUCGUGGAUGACACACCCAGGACUAUUUCAGAAGCCUGUGCAUCUCUUGAUGCUGACUACUGGAAGGAAGCUGUACAUAGCGAGAUGGAUUCCAUCUUAGGUAACAGAACCUGGGAGAUCACUGACCGUCCUUAUGGGUGAAAACCUGUAGGAUGUAAGUGGGUGUUCAAGAAGAAGCUUAGACCUGAUGGUACGAUUGAAAAGUACAAGGCACGGCUUGUGGCCAAGGGUUAUACCCAGAAAGAAGGUGAAGACUUCUUUGAUACUUACUCACCCGUGGCUAGAAUGACCACAAUUUGGGUGCUACUAUCACUUGUUGCCUCACAUGGUCUUCUCGUUCAUCAAAUGGACGUUAAGACAGCUUUCCUCAAUGGAGAGUUGAAGGAGGAAAUUUACAUGGAUCAGCCAGAUGGUUUUGUAGUACCUGGUUAGUAAGGAAAGUUGUGCAAGUUAUUAAAGUCUUUAUAUGGCCUUAAACAAGCUCCUAAAGAGUGGCAUGAGUAGUUUGAAAGAACAUUAACUGCUGCCGGCUUUGUAGUAAACGAUGGUGACAAGUGCGUGUACUAUCGCUAUGGUGGUGGCGAAGGAGUUAUUCUUUGUCUGUAUGUCGACGACAUAUUGAUCUUUGGAACGAAACUUGAUUUAAUCAAGGAGGUUAAGGAUUUCUUAUCUCGCUAUUUUGAGAUGAAGGAUCUAGGAGUAGUUGAUGUUAUCUUAAACAUCAAGCUGUUGAGAGAUGAGAAUGAUGGGAUCACACUGCUUCAGUCUCACUAUGUGGAAAAGGUCUUGAGUCGUUUUGGGUAUAGCGACUGCACACCUUCUCCAACUACAUAUGAUGCUAGCAUGUUGCAUCGAAAGAAUCGACGGAUUGCUAGAGAUCAACUGAGGUAUUCUCAUAUUAUUGGCUCGCUUAUGAUUUGGCGAGUGCCACGAGGCCAAACAUCUCGUUUGCUGUUAGCAAGCUGAGUCGAUUUGUGUCAAAACUAGGAGAUGAUUAUUGGCAUGCGCUUGAGAGAGUUAUGCGCUAUUUGAAAGGCACCGCGAGCUAUGGGAUUCACUACACCGGGUAUCCAAGGGUACUGGAGGGUUAUAGUGACUCAAACUGGAUAUCUGAUGCUAAUGAGAUUAAGGCCACAAGUGGUUAUGUUUUUACACUUGGUGGUGGCGCUGUUUCUUGGAAGUCCUGCAAGCAGACCAUCUUAAUGAGGUCAACUAUGGAAGCAGAACUCACAACAUUAGAAACUGCUACUGUUGAAGCAGUGUGGCUUCGUGAGCUCUUGAUGGACUUUCCUAUGGUUGAAAAACCAAUACCCCCUAUCCCAAUGAACUGUGAUAAUCAAACUGUGAUCGUCAAGAUAAACAGUUCUAAGGACAAUAUGAAGUCCUCAAGGCAUGUGAAGAGGAGACUGAAAUCUGUUAGAAAAUUGAGGAACUCCGGAGUUAUUACGUUGGAUUAUAUCCAAACGUCAAAAAAAUUGGCAGAUCCCUUCACAAAGGGUCUAUCACGUAAUGUGAUAGAUAAUGCAUCGAUGGAGAUGGGUUUGAGACCCACCGCAUGAGUUGUCCAUAGUGGUAACCCACUCUUUGUGAUCGGAGAUCCCGUGAAGUAGAAGUGGGAGACAAGCUGUUGGUCAGCUGGGAGGAGAGUAUCCCUAUAUUACCUGUCCCACUCCAUGAAGAUGCAACACUCUCCUAAUCUGCAUGGCAGGUUGAUACUUAUCUUAAUGUGUUCCAAGUGGCUUAUUCGGGUAAGCAGAGAUGUUGUCCUGCGGAACAUCUUCUGAGGAACACACCUAUAUGAAUUUGAUUGUUAACGUCGCAGUCUGUGAGAAUUGGGUGUUCUCUAAUAAAUUCAUGAAAAGGCCCUGGAGUAUGACGUAUAAGCUCCACCCGCAGGGAAGCCUUGCGGCAGCCCAGUAUCGGUCAAGAAUUUGUGUGAAACUAGUCUCGCAGAAAAUUUGUAGUUCAAGGCAUAGUCCACUAUUCAAGUUGUGAUCUAGUGUAGCAUAAAUCUCUAAGUGGAAGUUCAACUUCAAAGUCUCCACUAAGCCCCGGUAUAUAAACAAUGUUUUGGAACUAAAUGAUGAGAUGUGCCAAUGAGACUUUGUGGGGGAUUGUUGGAAUUUUGCUAGUAUGCCUUUGGCCCAAAGCCCAACUAAAAUUCUGAAAUUCUCUUCGCCCAUUCAUGCACACAUGUGAGUGGAGUGAGUGAGACUAAAGUUUAGUCCCACCCCGGAAGUUGAGAGAGAGCACCUCUUUAUAAGGUGAGCUCUUCUACCACUUGUAUGAGCAUGAGAGUAGGAGACCUACACACGCGCUGCUCCUCCUCGCUCACCACGCCACGCCUGGUCACGACGCGCCGCGGGUUGCGGGAUUGAGCCGAGCCGAGGUCAGAGCUAUGCACGUUGUCUAUUUUUUGCUACCCCGGAAAAUUAAUGAGUCAUUAAUUAAUAAUUAAUGGACGUGUUAAUUACUAAACCGUUUCCGAUUCUUUUGGAUCAUGACGACUCGGACGUGGGGUUUACUCCCACGACCUACCAGGCCCGCACUAUAUAGUCCGGCAGACGUGUACCCUAGCUGUCGCCGCUUCGUAUGGUUUCUCACCACCGUUCCAGAUCAUUGCGUCGCCAAGCAAGUCUUCUCCAUCCCUCCUUUCGGCGUGCACCGGGAGAAGGGACAGCAGGCCUCCGGAACCCCGCCUCUCGUGAUCCUGUAUGGGAGAGGGGCGAUCAGGUUUUUGGGGAGCGCACUCGCGCGACUUCUGGCAGCGACGACUUCGCGAAUGACGACUUCUUCCCUGACCUCGGCAACCUCAUCCUCGACGACAUGGGCGACAACGUCAACGCCGGCGGUCCUGCACCCGCUGCACCGUAUGUUAUUCUAUCCUUCUUGUUCGAGAUCGUGGUAGAAUUCAGGUUUCUAGUAUAUGCCCUAGAUGUGAUCUGUUCAUCUACUAUGCUAGUUCGCAUGAUUAGUUUAAUCUCUGCUAUUGCUGUCAUGAUCUAUUUCCUAUUUAUUCGGAUUAAAUCUCGUAGUAAUUUGCUCAUUUUUCCAAUAGUACCAUCUAAUAGAUGAUGUAAAUCUCCUCUAGUUUGACGUUGUUGAGCUAAUUUACAAAAAAAAAACCUCAUCAUUAUUGGACGUCCUUAACAGCUCAAGAACAAGUUGGGGUCGAACUAAUGGAUUUUACACUUUUACAUUAAAGGUUUAGCUAAAGCUAGCAGGUGUUUUUAAACCUGAAUUUUUUUUUCCUCCUGAAUUUCUUUGUAUUUUCUUAUUGACACUAUUUAUACAAUCAUCUGACAAAGAUUAGCUAAAGAUGUUUGUAGAUACGUUGAAACCUGAAAAGCUUCUUUGGUUAUCCUUUUAAUAGUUCUACGUUUAAUUUCUCAUAGGUCAUAAUUCUUAUGUAAUACCAAGAUGCAUUGUGGUAGUGUACAUGUGUUCAAUUCAGGUUGUUAUUCACAAUUUGCGACAAAAUUUAGCUCACGCUACAUUUAAAUAUGUUGAAAUGUGAAUGCUCUUUUUCUUCUCCUUUCUACACCUUGCAUCGGAUUGCAUCCCUUUAGUUAUCCAACAUUUUGUACAACAUGUAGAGAUUAGGAAGUUCAUCAUAGUUUGUCUAUUUCCGUGCUAAUAAAUGUAUGAAAUCUGCAUUUCCAAGCUACUAGGACAAGUAAAAAAUAAUAAUUUUACUAUAGGAUUCAAAAACAGCAGUUCUGAAGUGCACUUUAUUUAUUUUUGAAAGUGAUCACAUUUUGUUUCAUUUUUCUAUAGACAAAUCUACUAAUACAUACUCACGAUAAAACUAUAAAAAUUCUAGUCCGCACAUUGGGCGGGCCACCCGGCUAGUUAGUCUAAAGAUAACAAAAUGAGUCUGGAAUUUGAAUUAAAUUGAAGUAUUUUCUUGGACUUUCAAAUUAAGUUUUAUUAAAGUAGUAAGGACUAUCCACAUCCUUGGCUUGCCCCUGAUCAAUUAUUUCCAGAGAAGCAUUCGAUUCAUCAAUCAAUUACAUUGAUUUUAGUGGCUGGUACUUCUCCUCAACAUCAGUAUAUUCACCGUGGCCACUCCAAAUCGGCAAGAAUGAGGUACCAGUGCUCUGCAGCAGUGCAAGCUAAUUGCUUCUCAUGUGAAGGGGUGCGGGCGCAGGAGAGGUAUUUCUGGUGGGCCAAGGGACUAAGAAGCGACUGUGGCAGCGGUAUAGAUGCCCGCAAAGCCCCAUAGUUUGUUUUUCGUUUACAGGAAAAAUGCACAUCCAUACCAACCUUGGGAAUAUAGGACCGUAUUGGAUGGAAAACCAUGUCCGGAUGGUUGCGAGCGGUUUGAGGGUUAGCUUUUGUAACGCCCGGUUAGUUAUGCUAUAGCAAUUCCCUGCUAAUGAUGUCACGUCACCACGAUUACUAUUGUUAACCUCACAAUGAUUCAAUCCCCUUCAAAUUCAAAUUUAAAAUAAAGGUAAACAUCAAAAGUUUUCAAACAUUAAAACUAAAAUCUUUGAGAGGUGACAAAUAAUGCAUAAGUAAUUAUGGUGGAGAAACCACACUUUAAUCAAAUGUUUAAAUACUCUAAAAUGAAAAAAACAGUUGCUUAAACUAUUAUUUAAAUGCUUUUAAAAUAGUAAAAAUCUUCUAACUAAAUUAUUUGGGUACCAAACUUUUGGUGGCAGUGGUAUAUUUAGUAGAAUUAAUUUAGAUGCUAAUUAUAUAAUUUACAAAAUUAGAGUAAAUUGAAAAAUAGGAUAAAACGGAAAAGGAAAGACAAAACAAAUAAAAGCAAAAGGGGCCAACCCCUCGCUGGGCCUCGACCUAGCUGCCACUAGGCUAGCUAGGCUGGCCCCGGCGCCUCCCUUAACCCCCCCCCCCACUCCCCAUCGAACCCAAGCCCGAUCGCCCCACUUCCCCCACACCCCCUCGCCAGCCUCCCCACCUCUUGAUCCCAUCUGGAUCGGGGAGGGUAUUGCCCCCAUCGACCCCGUUGCCGUCGCCGGAUUGCCCGCCGAUGUCGCCAGGCCUCCUCCCCGCCGCCCGUCUCCGGCUCGCCUCCCCUCUCGCUCCUCUUCCCCGACCCGAUCUAGAUCGUGAACGAGCAAUGAGCUCGAAGCCCCCUUCACCGGCGCCAUCACCGUGCGCCACCACCACCGCCUGAGGACCUCACCGUCGCCGAAUCUAGCGUCGCCUCCUCGUAUCCCUCCCCUACUCGCGUCCUCAAGCCAGGACGAGCCCCUUCUCGGCAACGCUGUGAGACGCCCCCGUUUCCCUCCUCUUUCCACCGCGUUCAUCGCGCCGCCCGCCGUGCCCCUCGCCGUGCGCACGCCCACCACCGCACCAGCCCCCGCUCCGCGCACGACCCUACCCGCGCCCGCGCCAUGAUCCCCUUUUCCGCCCUACCUUCCUGCGCUCGCCGCGGUCCCGAUGCUCCCCCGCGCCCUCUUUCGGGGGCGCCGACCUCCCCUGUCCCGCUGCUCGGCGCCGUGCCUCGCAAUCGCUCUACUGCUAAGUUACUACUGCGCUGCGGCCGUCGCCUCUUCCUUCUGCUCCGCUAGCGCCGAAGCUCCCGAUUGGCUCCACCACUUCUCACGUUAAACCGCCGGCCUAAAUGGCCUAACCCCGGGCUAAUGAACCCCCACUAACCCACUGACACCGGGACCCACAUUCCCUAAUUAACCAUUUAAUAAAUUAAAACUCUUAAAUUAACAUUAGUGUAUGACAUGUGCGUCCCCUAUUAAUUAAUAAUUUUACUGCUAGUUUUCUUAGUUUCUGUUUUUCUGCAUAUUUCUUUUGUAUUUGAACAGGCUUUAUACAAUAAUAUUUAGCGUCUCAUACACAUACAAAUGUAAUUAUAGCAUAUACAUACAAAUAGUCUCAUCAAAUCAUGUGAUCAUCAUAAUCAUCAUCCAUCACAAAGUGAUCUCUCGUCAUCAUCUCGAAAAUAGCGAUACUAGUCUCGAUUACUUGCAACUACAUCGUCAUCCAUCUAAACAAUGAUAUACGCGAGAAGAGCUAUCACUAUGAGUGAGAGCGGAACUAUGCAGUACAUGAGUUUGUAUCCCUCUCUCACAUUAGCGUGAACCUAAACUAACUACUGGCUGUUGCUCGGAAACCGGAAAACGGUACACCUGGGCCUGACACUCCGGCCACUCGUCGUAUACUCCUGGCGUAGCACUUCUUCGCCAUCGAUGAUCUAUGCACCUGCAUCGUCACAUGAGUCGAUGAUAUGCAACAUAUAUAGUUGAGCAACAGAAAGAGACAGACGUGGCAAAAGUAGAAGCAACAUAUCAUAAGCAUAAAUAACAAAGCUCAUCGUACGCAAAAUGCCCUAACUAGAGUGAUCUGCGCUAGUCAAGGAGGACGGUUUAAUUACAUCACAAAUAAUGUUUCGUCGUGCAUUACUCAAAGUUCCGUCAUACAGAAAGUAUGAACUAAAUGGACACAUUGUCAUAUUUCGAAAAUCACUCCCACAUGUCGUGCCAUCCAUCCAAGUCAAGGAGAUAGUGCCCGAGCUUAGUGAAAGGCUUUAGGUCAAGAUGCUGAGUGGCUACGCGUGUUCGGACGUCUUCCCACGACAUUUGUCCUUCUUCAUAGAACAUCCCUGUUUUUUCGACGACCUCCUUCAUCACUAGAAGAAAAAGGGCCUGUUGUCCCGGUUCUGGAACCGGGACUAAAGGGUCGGUACUAAUGCCCUGUCCCUUUAGUCCCGGUUCAAUCCAGAACCGGGACAGAUGGGCCUCCACGUGGCCUGUGCGCGGAGCCCAGGCAGGAGACCCUUUGGUCCCGGUUGGUGGCACCAACCGGGAACAAUAGGCAUCCACGCGUCAGCAUUUCUGUGGUUGGGGUUUUUGUUNNNNNNNNNNNNNNNNNNNNNNNNNNNNNNNNNNNNNNNNNNNNNNNNNNNNNNNNNNNNNNNNNNNNNNNNNNNNNNNNNNNNNNNNNNNNNNNNNNNNNNNNNNNNNNNNNNNNNNNNNNNNNNNNNNNNNNNNNNNNNNNNNNNNNNNNNNNNNNNNNNNNNNNNNNNNNNNNNNNNNNNNNNNNNNNNNNNNNUGGUGUUUCAUAUAUUGUGUUAGCUAGCUAUAAUUAAUAGAGAAAAGUGUCCUCUCUUAUGUCCGUGCUUGGUCGACGCUACGUACUAUACAUACGUAUAGAGAGGACUAGACACGCUAGCUAGCUAGUAAGCAAACGAAGGAAACAGAAGAUCGUCAUGAACAUAUAUGCAUACAGGACUAGACACGCUAGCUAGCUAGUAACCAAACGAAGUUCAACUAGUAAUGGCGCACCACUCCCACGGUGCGCCAUUAGUAGUUUUGAAAAAAAUUAAUUUUUUUUUUUACUAAUGGCGCACUGUGGAUGUGGUGCGCCAUUAGUAUUUGGACACUAAUGGCGUACCAACACAUGGUGCGCCAUUAGUAUAUAGUAAUGGCGCACCACAGGUCUGGUGCGCCAUUAGUGUCAAUUCCAUCUAUAGCCCUUUUCCUAGUAGUGUUAGGGACGGUCUCAAUGAAACAACCCACCAUGUACUCCUGCAUGGCCUCUCAUCGAUACCUUUACCGAAACAUGUGCAACACAUUCCUCAUAUUACCGACAUAAUCAUAUCACCCUAGCCCAUCACCCAGAUGAACCAGACCUGACACAACUAUAAGCAUAGCAGGCAUAGCAAGGUAGGAAUCACAUACAUGGCUCAAUCAACUCCUACACAUGCUAGUGGGUUUCAUCUAGUUACUGUGGCAAUGACAGGUCAUGGAGAGGAUAAGGGUUCAACUACCGUAGCACACAGCAGUUUGAAUGGCGUUGUCUUAAUGCAGUAAACAAGAGCAGAGGCGAGAACAUGGGUUGUAUCGGAAUGAUCAAUGGGUUGCUUGACUGAUGGAGUGGUAGUGGGAUACUACCCUUCAGUUGGAUACUCGUGAAUAUCCUCGGAGGCAGAACCUACCACGAAGAACACAUCGGAACACAAUCAACACAUGACGAUAUGCAACACUAUGAUGCAUGCUAUGACAUGGCAUUAUGAAUGUGUCUUGGCCUAAUGCAAGCUAAAAUAGAAAGGGAUGAACUCAUUUGAAUCAAAGAUUCAAAUAUUAGCUCAUUAAACAUGGCCUUAGUAGUGCAUUUCCUUAUUCUGCUUAAACAGCAAGGUAAACUUGUUUUGUCAUACAUGAAACCAUUACAGAUGGAUGUAUUGAAUUUUUCUGAUAAUUUUUCAUAUAUAAAUUAUUUCAUUUGGAGUUACGGUUGAAUUUCUAUGAUUUUUAGAAGUUUUAAACAUUUUCUGGAAUUUCCUGAAUAAAAAUAAAUCCAGAAAAUGCAUUACUGCGUCAGUAUUGCAUCAUGCUGACCUCAGCAGGUCAAAGGCGCCAGCCCAGGUCAAAACUGACUGGUGGGCCCCUUCUGUCAGUCUCUCAGUUAAAUAAUAGGAUUAGAUUAACACUAAUUAGCUGUCAGUGGGGCCUGGGCCCACAUGUCACUGACUGAUUAAAAUAAAAUUAGUUAAAACUAAUCCUUGAUUAGUUAGCAGACCGGCCCCUCCUGUCAUAGACUCAGGGGGGUCUACCUGGGCCCACCCAGGGUCAAACUGGGUCAAACUCGCCGGCGUUGAGCCGCCGGCGAGACCCGAGACGGUGGCGCAGCUCGGAAAACGCCUACAGGGCACGAGCGAGGCCGUUCUUGGGCUCGUUGGAGAGCUCUUGCAGCCGCGCAUCUAGUGGUGGUGGGGGCCGGAGACGACGACGGCGAGCUCCAAGGCGGCGGCUGGAGUUCGGCCAUGUGCGGGGUGUGGGCUGUGGCGUGCAAACGUGGAAACUGAAGCGCUAGCGAGGCACUACGCGAUGCGGCAAGCACGUUGCAUAGCACGGGAUGAUCCAAUGGUCGCCGGAGCGGCGCCGGCGACAAGCUCGAGCCGAGACGAGCUUCGGCCAUGGUGGAACUAUGGCCUAGAGGGUGCAAACGCGUGGAAAAGAAGAGGGGAAAGGUGGCGGAGCUCACAGGGAGGUCGAUGAGCAGCUCAAUGGGCUCGGGGGUCACCGGAGUGAGGCGAAUCGAUGAGCGGCGUCCGGCGGGUACCGAGGUUGAAGACGAUCCGAUGGCGGCGAUGCAGGGACUCCGGCGAUGCGUGGCUCAGUGGGGAGGGCGAGGGCGUCACAGCGGAGCUUCUGGACAGGUCAGAGAGGCGAGGGGGUGACGGAGGGCGCGACUACGGCGGUGAGACGGCGACGGGUGCGUCGGCCAUUGCGGGAGAGGGAGAGGGAGACAAGUGGGAGAGUGAGAGAGGAUGAGAGGGGGACGUGGGGGUCGCGUGGCAUUCCCUGGACGUCUCCCAGCAUCGGCGGAAGCAGGAGGUGGCCGGCGUGUGGCCGCGGGCGCCGGCCACGCGCUCCACGUCCUUCUGGCGUGAGGAGGACGACGACUGGCAGCGCCAGUAGGCUGGGCCGAGCCAGGGGGCUGGCCAGCACAGGUAAGGCCCAGGUGGGCAUCUCCCUCUUUUUUUUAAUUUGUUUCUGUUUUCUAUUUAACUGUAACUGUUGGGCUUUAUUUAAAAUACUAAAACAUUUCCAAAAAUCCUGAAAAUAAUUGUGGGCUCUGUUUGGAUUAUUUCCAACAGCAGACAUUUAUUUCCAGAAUUAUUUGAGCAUUUAAAUGCCCAAAUUCAAAUACUUAUGAUUUAAAUCAAUGACCUUCUAUUGACCUCGAAAAGUUGUGCACCAAUUUUGCCAGAGGUUCUAACCCAAGACAAAGAGGGUGAACUUUUUAGAAGGGCAUUUCAGGUUCAUUGAAAAUAAUUUUAGUAAUCCCUAGUUGUUUCCAGGGGGGUGUUGGGGGUUUCUGCCUUCCCCAAUUCAAAUUUAAGAGGAAUUUAAACAUGAUGCACAUUCUAAUGCUUGAUCUAGCUAGGGUGUGACAACUCACCCCCACUCAAAAGAAUCUCAUCCCGAGAUUUAGGAUCCUCUGGAAAGAAGGUGGGGUACUCGAGUCGAAGACGAUCCUCCCUUUCCCAAGUGGCUUCUUUCUCGGAAUGGUGUGACCAUUGAACCAUGAGAAACUUGAUAUUAUGACGUCGAGUAGUAUGCUCGGCUUGAUCAAGGAUACGAACGGGAUAUUCCUGAUAAGAGAGGUUAUCUUGUAGAUCAAGCGUUUCGUGGUCCACUCCACGGAUAGGAUCCGCGAAGCAACGCCUGAGUUGUGAAACGUGGAAGACAUCAGGAACUCUGGAAAGAUGCGGAGGUAGUUCCAAUUGGUAGGCAACUUCUCCUUGUUUGGCAAGAAUGCGAACGGGUCCAAUGUAACGAGGAGCCAAUUUGCCUUUGAUACCGAAACGAUGGGUUCCUUUUAACGGGGUAACCCGAAGGUAAGCCUUCUCAUCGACUUCAUAAGUCAUAGAGUUAUGUUUAUGAUCAUAUUGACUCUUUUCACGAGAUUGGGCUGUUUUCAAUUUCUCACGAAUAACGCGAACCUGCUCUUCCGCUUCCUGAAUCAUAUCCGGGCCAAAGAGUUGUCUUUCCCUGGUUUCUGACCAGUUAAGGGGUGUUCGAUAUUUUCGUCCAUAGAGAACUUUGAAAGGAGCUUUGCCCAAGCUAGCUUGAUAACUAUUGUUAUAAGCAAACUCUGCGAAUGGGAGGCAUUUCUCCCAACUCAUUCUGAAUGAGAUAACAGAAGCUCAGAGCAUAUGUUCCAGAAUUUGAUUGACUCGCUCUACUUGACCACUUGACUGAGGAUGGAAGGCGGUACUAAAAGAGAGACGAGUUCCCAUAGCAUUUUGGAAACUUUCCCAAAAUCGAGAGGUGAAGAGACUCCCACGCUCUGAGUUAUUUUCCAAUGGGACACCAUGGAGAGACACUAUUCGGGAGAUGUAUAAAUCGGCUAGCUGGCUAGCAGUGAUACUCUCACGAACAGGUAGGAAAUGGGCUACUUUGGAAAGACGGUCGAUGAUGACGAAGAUGGCAUUAUUCCCUCUCUUGGUCCUGGGAAACCCAGUAAUGAAAUCCAUACUGAUUUUAUCCCAUUUCCAUUCAGGAAUAGCCAAAGGUUGAAGGGUGCCAGUAGGCCGUUGAUGCUCUGCUUUAACACGAAUACAGACGUCACAGCUAGCAAUGUAUCGAGCAAUUUCUCUCUUCAUCCUAGUACACCAAAACCUCUCGCGUAGGUCUUGAUACAUUUUUGUGCUACCGGGAUGAAUGGUGAGAGGGGAUUCAUGAGCUUCCUUAAGGAUCAAUUGGCGUAGAUGUUGUUUCUUGGGAACCACCAAACGGUUCUCAAAGAAGACAGCACCCCGCUUAUCCAUGGAAAAACAUUUAGCAACUCCGCUAGCAAUGUUUUCCUUAAUCCGGGAUAUGCCCUUAUCAUACCGCUGGGCAGUUAUGAUCUGAUCCAUAAGGUUAGGUUUCGCCACCAGGGUGGAUAGGAAUCCUCGAGGAACAAUGUGAAGAUUAAGCUUACGGAAUUCCUCAUGGAGAAGUGGUUGACUUUGUUGUAACAUCAGGUUGUUACAACAGGAUUUACGGCUUAGCGCAGCAGCCAUGACAUUGGCUUUGCCCGGUGUGUAGGUUAUUCCUAAGUCGUAAUCCGAGAUCAACUCAACCCAACGUCUUUGCCUGAGAUUCAAAUCUGGUUGGGUGAAGAUAUAUUUCAAGCUUUGGUGAUCGGUGAAGAUCUCGCAACGAUUACCGAGGAGGUAAUGUCGCGAAGUUUUAAGUGCAUGGACUACAGCUACCAGCUCUAGAUCAUAUGUGGGAUAAUUUUCCUCAUGUGGGUGUAAUUGCCAUGAAGCGUAGGCAAUUACCUGAGGAUCUUGCAUGAGUAUGCAACCUAGUCCUUGUCGCAGAUGUCAGGCGUCUUUUCAGUUCCUGAAAGCUGAACUCGCACUGUGGAGUCCACUCGAACUUUUUAUCUUUCUUGAGGAGUUCAAUUAGAGGUUUAGCAACCUUGGAGAAACUCUCGCCGAAGCGGCGGCAAUAGCUCGCUAAGCCAAGGAAGCUCCAAACUUGCUUGACCGUCUCAGGUGGAGUCCAAUCAAGGACCGCUUGAACUCGCUCGGGAUUGACGGCAAUACCCUUACCAGAGAUUACAUGGCCUAGAUAGGUUACUUCUGGCAACCAAAAUUCACACUUGGAGAACUUGGCAUAAAGGCGAUGCUCUCGAAGUUUCAUCAAUACCAGCCUUAGAUGUUCGGCAUGUUCCUCUUCAUUCUUGGAGUAGAUGAGUAUGUCAUCGAGGUAUACUACGACGAAUUUAUCCAAGUACUCCAUGAAAACCGAGUUCAUUAACCGGGAGAAGGUAGCCGGGGCAUUGGUUAAACCGAAGGACAUAACGGUGUACUCGUAUUGGCCAUAACGAGUAACAAAGGCCGUUUUGGGAAUGUCCCCGUUUCUGAUUUAGAUUUGAUGGUAGCCCAACCUCAAAUCCAUCUUGGAAAAGACUGAGGAUCCAGCGAGCUGAUCAUACAGAUCGUUGAUCCUGGGAAGUGGGUAUUUGUUCUUGAUGGUGACAAAGUUGACAGGUCGGUAAUCCACAACCAUUCGAUCUGUUCCAUCCUUCUUCUUGACGAAGAGGAUGGGGCAAGCCCAAGGAGAGGAACUAGGACGGAUGAAACCCUUUUUCAAGGACUCAUCGAGUUGGUUCUUAAGCUCGGCUAGUUCUAAGGGUGCCAUCUUGUAGGGUCUUCUAGAAAUUGGAACGGUUCCUGGAACAAGGUCUAUCACAAACUCGACAUCCCUGUCAGGUGGAACACCUGGCAGUUCUUCUGGAAAGACAUCCGGAAAGUCUCGGACUACCGGAACAUCCUCAAGGUCUGGAAGGGGGUUGGCAUUUAGGGAGUAAAGUUGGCGCUUGGCCACUCGAGUUAAGACAUUAACUGUCUUGCCCAAUGGGUGAGUAAGUUGAACGGUUCUAGUGGCACAGUCAAGCUUAGCAUAAUGAGCUGACAUCCACUCCAUACCUAAGAUGAUGUUUAUGUCCGAGGACUUGAGAGCUAUUAAGGAUACAAGGAAGACAAGUCUAUCGACAAGAAUUUCGUUCCCAUGGCUUACUCUAGAAGUUUGCCAUCUAGAGCUAGGGGUUUGAAUUUCCAUGGUAGAGGGCAUGUCACAGAAUGUCGUGUUGUGCAAUCGAGCAUAGUUCUCGGAUAUGAAUGGAUGAGAUGCUCUAGUAUCGAAAAGAACAGAUGUCGGAUGGCAGUUAACAAGGAGCGUACCAAGGACGAGGUUGGGAUCCUCAUGAGCCUCCUCGGCUGAAACAUAGUUGACAUGGCCACGUGCAGUGGUGGCUGGCUUGGCGUAGAAUGUUUUCCCCGCGGGCUUACCACGGCCAACGGACUUUCCAGUUUGAUUGGGGUUGUUGUUCUGGGGACACUCUCGGCUAUAGUGACCCGGCUCUCCACACUUAAAGCAUGUCACCACAUUGGGGCGUGGAGCAGCAUUAGCAGUAGGGCCACCAUAGGGCUUGGGCGGUGCAAAUUGCUGGUUGGGACGUGGUGCCUCAAAGGAUGGCCUCGGGAUGAACCUGGGUGGCAGUGCCGUGCUUGGAAUCCACACCCGGCGCUUCUGAGCUCUAGAGCCGGAUGAAGAGCCAAAAUCACGGGAGUGCUUGCAUGAAGCGUCAUAAUCAGUCUGGCCUUUCUCAGCACUGAUGGCUUUAUUGACCAACUUCUGAAAGGAGGUGCACUCGGGCAGACGAAGAUCGCGGUGAAGCUCAGGGCUAAGUCCCUUGCGGAACCUUGCCUGCUUCUUAGCAUCAAUAGAUACCUCUUUAGGGGCAUAACGUGCCAGAUUCCGAAAUUCACGACCGUAAGCAUCCACAGUCAGUCUUCCUUGGGUGAAGUUGCAGAACUCCUCCCUCUUGCGAUCCAUGAGACCUUCCAGAAUGUGAUGCUCACCGAAAGCCUCACAGAAUUCAGCCCAAGUAGUGAUUUGGCCGACCGGGCGCAUAGCUUCGAAGUUUUCCCACCAAAGGCUAGCAGGGCCUUCGAGGUGAUAGGCAGCAUAAGUAACCUUGUCGGCUGCGGCUGCGUUGGCAGAACGUAGCUUGUGGGUGAUGCUGUGAAGCCAGUCAUCCACAUCGAGGUACUCGACGGAAUGGUUAAACUUUGGUGGGUAUAGCUUGAUAAAGUCAUUGAUUGACACCAAUCAUUUCGUGGGUGGCGUGCAGUGUUCUGCUCAAUCCGCUCCAACAGGCGGUUGGUCUGACGCUUCUUUAUUUCCGCCUCCAGCAUUACUUCGGCCAGAGAAGGCGGGUGAGGCAGAUUUUCACCUCUAGCAGCACUGGCUUCCCCCUGCUCCAGGGCAGCAGGGUUGCUGCGGGUGUUGACCAUCCUAGGAGAAAACAAGACAACGGUUUAGACAAGGAUGUCUCAAAUUAGCAAGGAUGUGCAGAAUGUAAUGGAUAACACGGAAUGCAGAGAUGUUCAUCCGUAUGUCAUGGUAAUAUAAAACUGCCAUAUAUAUACCAACGGUCAUACACAUCAUACAUAGUUUAGUACAAGCCCAGGCUACAAUACAACUAUGAUGAAAGACGUUACAUCUCAUCGGAGGCAUUCCAAGCUCCUAUACAUUAUUGUCUACACCUCCAAAAUUGAUUACACGCAAAGUCAUAUUCCAAAAGUCACGCAGGACAGUGGAGAUACAGCUACUACAAUACUAGUGGUACUACUACUAACUCAGACAGCUCCGUAGUAGUCCUCAUAGAAGUCACCUCCAUAGCCUGGAAGUUCAACGGGACCAUCCGGGAACAGACGGUCCUGAGGAGCCUGUGGACCAUAGGGGCUAGGAUGGUGUCUUGGACCAACAAACGGUGGCCUGCGGGAACCACGGGGUGGGGUGAUGCCUCCCACAUCACGCCAAUCCACCACGUCUGGCAAAGCAGACCUCACAGGAUACAGAUCCCUUGUAUCCAUACAUCUAGCUUGCACCGCAGGUGCAAACCGAGCCAAUGUGGCCCAAUGAUCAGCACGGGUAUUAAAAAGCUCCAGCCUCAAGGCCCGAUUCUCUCGGUCCUUAUCUUCGAGCAUCUCAGCAGUGGUACGAGUUAAUGAAUCCUCCUGAGUGGAGACAGCAUAGAUAGCCUGAAGAUACCCUUGCGCUCCCGGAAGUGAAGCUGGCAUGUAUCGGAAGUCGGUGUUCCGAAGCAGGCCAGUCCGGACUCGCAUGAUGGUCAUCAUGUAAUAGGCAGCAUCCUGCACAGCAAUCUCAACAGUAACCCCGAGUCCAUAGGAAUAGUGAAGGGGCUCGGUAGAUCCAGGAUAAGAAGGAAAUAUCCUGACAGUGCAGAAAUACUGGCUUUGAUUAAAGUCUCGGAAUUGCUCUUCGACGGUGUAUUCGAGAUACCAACGGUAACCCGUCUCGAUCAUGACCCGGACUAACAUAGCAGUAUGACCGGGCACGUCGAGCCACCGGGUUAGGCGAACCACUUGGUUUUGAGCACGGUUGGCCAUCUGAAAGCACAACCACAAUGCAAAGACAUCAGAAUUUCUAGGGAAAAUUGGACAGCAUAACAGCUGUAAAUGCUCAGAAAAAGAUUUGAGACAUCCACAACAGUUCGCAAUACCACUCAAUAACAUCAUAUCAAGGUUCUGAUCCAAAUAGCAACAUACUAAAAAUAGUAGAAACUGAACUGGGGCUUGUAACAACAAUCCUAUAAGCUACUACGGAUUAGUAACACGUGAACCUGAUAGAAGAAGAGAGCCUAGUCCUUAACCCACGUUGAAUGAGAAGGGAAUGACUCAGAUAAGAGGCAUAGGGUAAAGGAGUAAAAGAGACUUACGUUCCCUCCCACAAUCAAUUCCCCUACAUAUAACUAAAGCAUUUCCAGACUCGACAUCGACCAGUUUGGCUCAACGAACCUACAAGCAGUCUGGCUCUGAUGCCAACGCUGUCAGGACCCCGAUUCCAAGCCACAUCGAUCUAGCCGGUAACACCUCAUAUCACUUUGCGGCCUCACGCACGAUAUUCCACGGGUGUCGCCUUACCAUGGCCCGGGACCGUUUGCGCCUUUUGGCUCACGUAUAUGAUAGUGUUGUUAGCAUCCAUAUGACAGAGAACCUGGGCCGACAUGGCUAGUCGUGAACCCAAAGCGGCACAGACCUAUGGAGACAGGCAUACAUGAAUCACAUCGAGCAUGUCGGUCAUCAGCGAGUGAUUCCGGGCUGUAGCACUGGGCUAACAGGACUCCGGGGAACCCGGGCUGUAGCAGGCUAGGCAGGACUCCGGAAGUCACCGCGUGACAUUUCCCCGAAGGGACAGACAUAGGAACGAAGUGAAUCACAUGCCGGCCAUUCAAGUGUCCUAAGUAGUAGUGCUGGGCUAGCAGGACUCCGGUGAACCAGGCUGUAGCGGACUACUAUGGCUCGAGGAACACUAGACUACAUUUCCCCAUAAGGAAGGCUGCCAAGGAUAAACAACUAGAUUGUUGGAUCCCACUCAUACCAAGCAUUUCAAUCAUACACACAAUAUGCCCGAUAUGAGUACAUACAACAUGGCAUCACAACAAAACUCUACAACUCAAGUACUUUAUUUAAAUGCUCCAGAGAGCCAUACAUAACAUGUUCAUACAGAUAGGGGUCACAUGACCCGACACUCAAGUCAUACAAUCAUACAAGCACAUGCGGAAGCAACCGGUCUGAGUACAGACACUAGAAAGAAAGAAGGCUCCUCGAGGCCUGUCUAUCUACAUAGGGCCCUCCAUGGCCAGGAUCACCACCUGGGUGGCUAGUCACUCGUCGAUGUCAAGGUCUACAUAGAACCCAUAGGAGGGGGCGGUGUUGUCGUCUGAAAACGGUAAUUAAGCAAACAUGAGUACAAAGGUACUCAGCAAGUCUUACAACAGAACCUACUAUACAUGCUUAUUCUCAAGAAGGUGGUGGGGAUAUUGCAGCAAGCCAGCUUUGACUCUUGGCUAAACUAUCCUACGGAACAUCUCUAGUAAAAUAGUUUUCGCACACGAGUCCACUACUCACCAACACAAUACUCCACCGGGGAUCCUCCCUCGUCAUCCUAUGAGAGGGUGUCGGGGGUGUCUGAUCCCUCGCACACCUAUGGGGAUCAGCGGACCGAGCCCCUUUUGGUUCGGUAGGGGGCGGUGGAUGCACAAAGAGUAGAUCGAGGCGAAACACAUGAGCGAGACAAUCGAUUUACCCAGGUUCGGGCCACACGGAUGCGUAAAACCCUACUCCUGCUUUGGUGGUUGUAUUGAGUUUUUUCUCGGGAGCAGCUGGCGAGACCGAGCGUGAGAAUGGCUGUCCCCCCCCUGUUGCGCAUGGGCCUCCUUUUAUAUGUCUAAGGGGUCACCGACACGUGGCAACAGAGGUAAGGGUAAAAAUGUAAAAGGGGUGGUAGUUGGCUCCACCGCCUACAUGUCGCAUCCUACCUAACUCUGACGGCAGGGGACAAGGGCAUUAAAUGCCCGUCUGUGUCACCUUGACGGCCCAGAGAGGGACCACUAGGAACGCCACCGUUUGCCACGACGGUUCCUUGUCAGCGUCUGCUUGCCAUUGCAUGCCCCCGGCUGCACAGCCUCCCGCCACGUACGCCAGGAAUGGCCCCAGGGCGACACGUUGGUGGGUGAGCUGGAGCGCGGGCUGCGGGGUAGUGGCUUGCCGCGGCAAGUGCCUUGCCGCGGGUGUUGUCUUGUCACGUCCGGGAGCUUGCCGCUCACCGGGUCUUGUCGGGGCACGCGGUGCGCCGCAGCGAGUCUCUUGAGAUGCUUUGGUUGUCUUCCCGGCAAGCUCCUCUUGCCGGGGUCUCGUCUCCUUCCCGGCAAGCUCCUCUUGCCGGGGCCUUGUUCCCUUCCCGGCAAGCUCCUCUUGCCGGGGCCUUGUUUGGAUCUUGGAUACUUUGUUCUUGAAUGGCUCCAGAGGAACCAUGGAGGGUCUUGGCGGUCGCCCGGCAAGCCUUGCCGCGGGUCGCUGCGACUACCCAUGCACAAGUUCGGGGUACUAAGGUACCCGUACUUUAGCACACCGACAGGAGCCCCCAGGCCUGGGCCAUACACGGUGCCGAGCGCUGUUGGGCCAGGCCCAAAACAGUGCAAGGGCACGCGCGGCCUGGGUCACGCCAUAACUGAUUCCGUAUCCACCGCGCUCUCCCCAAACGGCACGCGUCAAACGCGGCAUCGUGGGAGAGAUCGUGGGCGGUUUUCGAGGUGCCCACUCCCCACGAUCACGGGGUGGGGAGAGACCGCCCCAUCCGUCGCCUCGGUUCUGCACGCCUGCCACGCGGUUCCCGUGCACUUGGGGUCGCGGGCGGCGGAAGCGGGAAACGGGGCCGUCGUGGGUCGAGGGAGUGGGUCGGCCCCGGCUCCCCGCGUCUUGAUUCGCUGAGCGGGGCGGCCGAGCCCCCACCUUGCUCCUUUAUAAAGAGCGGGAGGGGAGGACGGGAGCCUGCAUCCUCCCAUCUUCUCCUUCCUUCAGCUCCUGCUCCCCUCCCCCCAUUCGCCAUGGAGAGAGGGAACCCUGGUCCUUCGUCAGUGGCGGCAAGGGUUGCCGCCAGGCAGCGCAUCCCUCCCUCUCCCGCACCCGUGGCGGCGGAGCCAGCCAUAAGGGGAAGAGGGAGGGGGCGAAGUCGUGGACGAGGCCGUGGCGCUCGGGGAAGAGGUGGGCGAGGCGGCGCGUCGGCUUCGCCUCCGCCGGCGGCUCUUCUUCCCGCGGUGGCCCAUGCCGGGGACGACCCUUGCGAGUUAUUCGUCAGGCUGCGCCGGGCGCCCCGCCGUCGCCUCUGACUCCCGGAUCCGUUUGCGGAAGUGGUGGAGUUGGACCCGCCCGAGACGCUGAGGCUGCAGAUGAGGGCUGUGGGAUCAGCGGCACGCGGGUCCGCGCCGAAUUCCCAGCCCCCGGCGUGAUUUAUCUUGGCCGAGGGUGGAAGACGUUCGCCCGCAUCCACAGCUUGACACCGGGGCUGACCCUCCACUUCAAGUUGGUGGAGGGUGAUCUCCUCUCCGUCAAGGUCUUCGGGUGCUUCAGCGUCCGGGCCCGGUGCUGCGUGGAAAGCUCCUCCGAUAGCGAAGGCUCCUCCUCGAGCAAGAGUGACGAGGAGGGAACGACAGCGGCGACGAGGGGAGCGGGCGGCAGGAUGGCGGGUCCGACUAGGUGUCGGGCGCCGCUCCGCGCGGCACCAGCAACCCCAUCAUCCGGGUCGCCGGCUCCUUGAACUCCCCGGGGGCGUCUCCUUGGGCGGCUGGCGUAGGGAGGCUGCGAAAGAGGAAGAGGGCAGGCGGCAAGGCCGUCAGGUCGGAGUACGAUGGCGUGGUGCCCUCGACAGCGUGCUGACGUCCUGCCGCCUCGUCUUCGAGCCCCCCUUCCGGCGCUGCCAUCACCAUCCAGCCUUGAAGGCCCCCGGGAUGUUCUCUUGGUGUCUUCUGGCACCCGUAGUUCCCCUAGGCACUCCUUUUGCCCUUCUCGCCUCCUUGACCUACCUCCUGAAAAGAGGGGCAGGAAAGAGAUUACGGGCAUCUUAUCUUUUUGAUUUGUAAGCCCUCGGGCCUUAGUUGCAUCUAAAACUUGUAAUCCUCUCUUUCAUGUUUUCCAUUCUCCAUGUACUGUACCUGCGUGGAAUGUUUUAAUGAAAAGGGGAUGCUUGCCAGGUUACUCGUCUCGCGGGUAGAACCCAUGCCAAGGAGCAAAUCCUUGGUAUCUCACAGAUAGACACUCCCUCCCCAGCAACAGGCCCUGCCACAUACCCACGUCGCUCGACCUUUCUCACGCUCUUGACGGAGGCAGAGACGAGGCGGGUGCGGCCCCUCGUUUCAUCCCUUUCCCGCCGCGACUGCGACCAAAGCUUGGCCCUGGGGCCCCAGGGACCAAAGCUAAGGGAGCACGGUGGCUUUCGGGAAGAAGCGAGGUUUUGUAUUCCCAGUCCAAAAGAGAAUGCACGAAGAGGGAUGAAAGACUUAUCUGAGACUGCAGCCCCCGGCAACUCUGGCUUGCCGUGGGGUGAACCUUGGUACUUGCAGCCUCCAGCAACUCUGGCUUGCCGGGGUUCGGAUGCCGGCACGUCCUUCUUCUCCCUUUCGUCCUCACGCGGUCCGACAAGGAUAUGCAAGCCCUGCGAACCAAAGGAAACAAAGGAAGGACAAAGGGACGCACACUAGACCUCUAAGUUAGGGGUUAGCUGCUGUUAGGCACUAUCAACCCUAACCGAGGACUCGACUCGACCUAGCAUGCAUGCUGUAACUCUGGGCGCCAGCGCUUCAUUAUCUUGUGCUCAAGGUCUGUGCCUGGCUUUGUACAAAGGAUUACAUGCAACAGCGUCAAGACUUGUACAAAAGGGUGGUUGCCGGACAGGGUCCGACAACCGCGCCUUACGGGUAAAACUUACAAAGAAGCUUGAUAUUCCAGGAGUUGCUCACUAGUACGCCAUCUUCGGUCUCCAGGCGGACAGUGCCAGGCCUGGUGACUCGUUUCACCCGGUAAGGGCCUUCCCACUUCGGCGUCAACUUGUUGGAAUUCUUGGCGGACUGAACGCGCCGAAGAACAAGGUCGCCUUCCUCGAGGCUCCUAGCAUUAACUUUGCGGCUAUGAUAGCGGCGCAAAGCUUGCUGGUAGCGAGCGGCUCGCACAGCAGCCUGGAGACGAUCUUCCUCAAGGAGCAGCGCGUCAUCUUGCCGCAGCUGCUCUUGCUCAAGCUCAUCAUAGCACUCGAGGUGACCCGUAUACGAGUUCCAUGGGGAUAACUGCCUCCGCUCCAUAGACUAGAGCGAAGGGUGUCUGCCCGGUGGCUCGAUUUGGCGUCGUCCUGAUCGACCAAAGAACCACCGGCAGCUCCUUGAUCCAGUUGCGUCCGCGCUUGUGCAGCCUGUCAAAUGUUCUGGUCUUGAGCCCGUGCAGCACUUCAGCAUUCGCCCUCUUAGCUUGGCCGUUGCUUCUCGGGUGAGCGACAGAAGCAAAGCAGAACUUGGCGCCAAGAUCUUGGACGUACUGCAUGAAGGCGCGGCUUGUAAAUUGUGUACCGUUGUCGGUGAUUAUCCUGUUAGGGAUUCCGAAACGGCAAACAAUCGACCUGAAGAAUUUGAUCGCGGACUGCGCCGUCACCUUCCUCACUGGUUCCACUUCCGGCCACUUUGUGAACUUGUCGAUUGCAACGUACAAGUACUCAAAGCCCCCGACGGAUCGGGGGAAGGGGCCGAGGAUAUCGAGCCCCCAGACCGAAAAUGGCCAGGAUAAAGGGAUCGUCUGGAGAGCUUGAGCUGGCUGGUGUAUCUGCUUGGAAUGGAACUGGCACGCUUCACACUUGGUUACUUGUGCAGUUGCAUCCUGGAGGGCUGUCGGCUAGAAGAAGCCUUGUCGGAAUGCUUUUCCGACAAGAGCUCUUGCGCCAAUGUGGUGACCACAUAUGCCUCCAUGUAUCUCUGCCAACAGCUUCUGUCCAUCUUCCCGAGGAAUACACUUCAAUUUCACACCGUUGAGUCUUCUUCUGCACAGUGUGUUGUCAACAAACUGGUACAUACUGGACUGCCGGGCUACUCUUUCUGCUUCUUCUGGUUCCUCGGGAAGCUCUCCUGUCUGAAGGAAACGGACGGUCUGCUACGCCCAUGUUGGAGCCUGUGGCUCGACAACAAGGACUAAAGGCACAUCUGCUGCUGUGGGAACGCCUACUUCUACGGCAGGAGCCUGCGACUCUGCCGGAGCUUGACAUUCCCCGACAAGCUUGCCGGAGCAGAGCUUGCCGGGAGUGUCUGCUGCAAUGGAACAAACCCUGGGGCUUGCCGGAGUAGACUGCUCCUCAGCACUCUUGGCGUCGAUCUUGGGGACCUUCUUGGCGGCGUCUUCGGGGAGCUUUGCCGGGAGAUAGUCACCAGAGAUCAACUUCCUCUUCUUGCUCUGUCCACUUGAUGGUGCCACGGAUGGCUGAGUUAGCUUGAGCACAAAGGUCCCUGGUUCCACAGGUAACUUAAGUGCUGCGCACUUUGACAGGCGAUCGGCAAUGUCAUUCUCAGCUCUUGGAACAUGUUCCAUUUGCAGGCUGUCAAAGCGCUCUUCCAGCUUCCUCACUUCAUCAACGUAAGCUUCUAUCAAUGGACUUUGGUAAUCUUUGUUCACUUGGCGGACGACAAGCUGCGAGUCACCCCUAACAAUGAGCUUCUUAAUCCCAAGUUCUGCCGCGAUCCUGAGACCGGCAAGCAAGCCUUCUUACUCUGCAGUAUUGUUUGUCGCUUGCUCCUUGGGAAAGUGCAUCUGGACUAUGUACUUGAGGUGCUCCCUGGUGGGUGCGACAAGCAGUACACCAGCACCGGCGCCUUGCAGCGAGAAAGCACCGUGAAAGUACAUGAGCCACUCUUUGCUUGCUUCCUUGGCGGGGAUGCUCGUCUCCGGAAUUUCUUCGUCUGGAGUUGGCGUCCACUCUGCUAUUAACUCUGCCAAUGCUCCGCUCUGGAUUGUUGAUGUACUCUCAAACUUGAGGCCAAAGCUUGACAGUUCCAGUGCCCACUCGACAAUCCUGAAUGUUGCUUCUGGAUUUUGCAAUAUCCUUUUCAGCGGAAAGCGAGUGACAACUGUGAUCUCGUGUGCUUGGAAGUAAUGACGUAGCUUUCUCGAGGCCAUGAGGAGGCCGAAAAGCAGCUUCUGCACACUAGAGUACCUUGACCUAGCCCCCUGUAAAAGGGAGCUGACAAAGUAAACUGGGUGCUGCACCAUUUUCUUCUGUAUCUCCUCUUGUAUCUGCGCAGAUCCUUGGUUGUCGGGACCAGAGCUUGUCGGGGAAGCCCCCUGCUUGUCGCUGGAUGUGCUUGCCGCGGCCGCUGGCUCGUCGUCGGCCUCCCUUUCCGCUACUAACGCAGCACUAACCACUUGAUUGGUUGCCGCUAUGUACAGGAGCAACUUCUCUUGUGGUUUAGGCGCGACAAGUGUUCGGGUGGACGACAGGUAUCUCUUCAAGUCUUGCAGCGCAGCCUCCGCUUCCGGAGUCCAUCUCAUUGGACCUGCCUUUUUCAAAAUUUGAAAAAGGGCAGGGCGCGCUCAGCAGACCAAGGGAUAAACCUGCUAAGAGCAGCUACGCAGCCGGCAAGCUUCCGUACAUCCGUGACGCGCUUUGGUGCUUCGAUCUGCUCAAUGGCCCUGAUCUUGUCGGGGUUGGCUUCGAUUCCCCGCUGAGACACGAAGAACCCGAGAAGCUUGCCGAAAGGGACUCCAAACACACACUUCUCGGGGUUGAGCUUGAGGUUGAUCUUGCGCAGAUAUGCAAAAGUCUCUUCUAAGCCUUGGAUCAGAGUUGCCCUGUCUUUGCUUUUGACCACUAUAUCAUCCAUGUAAGCUUCUACAUUUCUGUGUAUCUAUGGCUUCAAAGCAAUAUGGACUACUCUGGCAAAUGUUGAACCAGCAUUCUUUAAUCCGAAAGGCAUCCGUACGAAACAGUACGUGCCACAUCGAGUAAUGAAUGCGGUUUUCUCCUCAUCCUCUUCCGCCAUGAAGAUCUAAUGGUAUCCUGAGUAUGCAUCAAGAAAUGAAAGCAACUCACAUCCGGCCGUGGAGUCAACAAUCUGGUCAAUGCGCGGCAAGGGAAAUGGAUCUUUUGGACAAGCUUUAUUAACAUCAGUAAAGUCAAUACAAAGCCUCCAUUUCCCAUUCGCCUUGCGCACUACAACCGGAUUGGCCAACCACAUGGGAUGGAGCACCCCUCUAACGAGGCCUGCUGCUUCCAAUUUCUUGAUUUCUUCGGCUAUGAAUUCUUGGCGCUCCACCGCCUGUUUCCUGACCUUCUGCUUGACGGGCCGCGCAUGAGGACAAACUGCAAGGUGGUGCUCAAUUACCUCCCUGGGAACACCGGGGAUGUCAGACGGUUGCCAUGCAAACACGUCGACAUUCGCCCGCGGGAAAGUAACGAGUGCGCUUUCCUAUUUAGGGUCAAGCGUGGCACUGAUGGUGAAGGUACCACCAGUGCCGUCCUCCUUGGCGGGCACCUUCUUGGUAAGUGGUGGAGCGGCCAUCGUCUUCUUACUCUUGCAGCCGGAGCUCGAUGGUGCGUCCUCGACGGCAGCGCAGCACUCCGAAGAGGUGCGCCUGCCGGAGUAGGCAUCAGAGCACUCGCCGGGCUUGGUCUUCUUCUUGCCGGUGGAGCUCGAUGGUGCGUCCUCGACGGUAGCGCAGCACUCCGAAGAGGCGCGCUUGCUGGAGUGGGUACUAGAGCUCUUGCCGGACUUGGUCUUCUUCCCCCUGGGAGCUUCAGCGGCAAGUGUCUCGCGGUCUGUCGCGGCGGCAGCUUCCCGGUAGAUCUUGUCGGCGCAGAUAAGGGCGUCCUUCUUGUCGCCAGGGACAGAGAUGACGCUUAUCGGGCCCGGCAUCUUGAGCAUGUUGUAGGCAUAGUGAUAGGCUGCCAUUAACUUGGCGAGCGCGGGACGGCCAAGUAUCCCAUUGUAGGGCAAUGGGAAAUCGGCAACGUCGAAGGUGACCCUCUCAGUCCUGAAGUUCAUCUCACUGCCGAAUGUCACCGGCAGCGCGACUUUUCCCUUCGGCUUGCUCCUUCCCGGGUUAAUUCCUUGGAAUGUACCGGUUUCUUCGAGCUCACUGUCUGGGAUCUGGAGUUUCUGGAGCACAGCGGAGGAGAUCAGAUUCAGGCCGGCCCCGCCGUCAACUAGCAUCUUGGUGACCUUGAGGUUGCGGAUUGUUGGGGAAACCAACAACGGCAAGCACCCGACCGCAGUCGUGCGAUCAGGGUGGUCCUCAAUGUCAAAGAUGAUCGGCGUGCUGGACCACUUCAGAAGCUUGCGUGAUUCGACAGGUGGCUCUGCCGCAUUAACUUCCCGGAGCCACUGUUUGAGUUGGCGGUGGGAAGUGUGCAGAGAAGCGCCACCGUCAACACACAAGACUUCUGUAGCCUUCUGAAACUCCUGCUCGCUGUUCUCAACAUCAUCCAUGUCUUCGUCGUCGUCUUCGUCUUCGUCCUUAUCGCGGCCGCGAGGAGGUCUGUCUCCUUGCCGCUGCUUGGCCUUGCCACGGCUCCCUCCCGGGCCAGCGCGGUUCUUGCCGGCUUCUCCAUCGCCUCCUUGGGCUCUCUCCUUGUCGCGCCGCUCGUACUCACCUCUUUGUUGCUGGACAAGCUGCUCGACCCUCUUGCAGUUCUGGAGAUCAUGGCCCUUGGUGCGGUGGAUCUUGCAGUACUGCUUGUCGGAGCUGCCCUGCUUGUCGGCGGCCGCCACAGCCUGGCAGUUGGUACACGCGGCAACCUCUUUGCCGGAGCUGACAACUUUGGCUUGCUUGGCGGGGCCGUCAUCGCUGGACUGCUCAACGACCAGUACCUCUUUGCCGCUCUUCUUCUUGUUGGGCCUCCGGUUUUUGCUUGCCGGGGCGGCAUCCUCACUGUCAGAUAUCCCUGCUCUAGCAUCCUCUCCGGGGAGUUUCCUCCCUUCUUCAGCGCGUGCGCACUUGUCGGCCAGGGCGUACAGCUCGCUGACGUCCUUGAUCCUGCUCAUCGCCAUCUCCUCCCGCAUCCUGCAAUUACGCAUGUUCUGAUGGAACGCGCUGAUAACCGCGGUAGGGUGGAUGUCUGGGAUGUUGCGCUGCACGCGGCUGAAUCUCUGGAUAUACUUGCGCAAAGGUUCUCCUUCCUUCUGGGCAAGCAGGUGGAGGUCACUCUCUUGGCCGUGUGGUUUGUGGCCGCCUGUAAAGGCGCCGACAAACUGGUGGCACAAAUCCGCCCAAGAGGAUAUGGAGUUGUCCGGCAAGUGCAUGAGCUAGGAUCUGACUUCGGGCUUGAGCACGAGCGGGAAGUAGUUGGCAAGGACCUUGUCGUCUCGUCCCCGGCAGCUUGCACCGCAAUGGUGUAGAUGCUGAGGAACUCCGACGGGUGUGACUUGCCGUCGUACUUCUCCGGCACGUCUGGCUUGAAAUGCUUCUGGUUGGGCCACUGGACUUGCCGCAGCUCAUGGGUGAACGCGGGACAACCCGCCGCGUACGGCAAGUUACCUGGCUCUCCGGGUGCAUGCAUGUCAACAGAGGGCCCAGCGCACAGGUCAGAUUGACGCCGCGCUUCCCUUCGGCGCUCGAUGCAUGUUCAAGUGUCUUCUUGCUGUCUCUGAUGAAGAACUUGGCGUUGAUCGCGGUGAGCUCGCGGAUCUGACGACGCGGUGGAGUAGCCGUCGAGGUGGAUCCGGUGAGUCGGCGAUCUCGGCCUUCGGGGCGGAGAGUGCACAGUGGUUGCACCCUCACCGGUCUUGUCGCCACCGGCUCGCGCCUGGCUGACUUGCCGCGGCAGCGAUGCGCUCUGCUGCCGUGGGUUGUCACCAUUGGCGCAGCCGAUGAUGCUCUGAAUAGUGGCCCUCCAGUCAUCGAUCUUCUCUAGUGCUGGAGGGUAGUCUAGGAGCAGCUGGGCACGCGCCAACGGUUCCGUCGGAGUGGUGGGCGGCGGCAGCGAACGGUGCGAGGAGCGAGAUAUGCUCGGACUCCUAACCACGUUAGAAGGAGCAACAUCCCGUCCAAGCGACCGCGCCGCGCUCGCGCCAGCACGUUGGCGUGCCUGCUGAUCCUGAGCACUUCGGGAUCCGCCAGCUUGAUCUUGGCCCAGCAGGCGUAUGGUACAGUGGGUACCAUGACGCUACUGGUCCCGCGCCUCCUGGGAUGGGCGCGGUGCGUGUACGGACACCGAGGUCUCGGAGUGCGCGCGGUCGUCGUGGGAGGCGACCGCGCUACCGACGUGCGCCGCAGCCAGGCACUUGGACCUGGCAGUGCCAUGAGUCUCCCCGUCGGCGCCCGCCCUUCCGCCGGCGCCUACUUCACCCGCCGUUCGCUCCGGCGAUGGCGGGCUCGACGCGGACGGAGCGGCUACCUCCGAAGCCUUCUUCUUCGGCGGCAUGUUGAUGAAGACGAUGAAGAUUCGGCUCGCGCGAACGCCGGAUCAGGUUCGCACUACCUCGACGCACCCCCUACCUGGCGCGCCAAAGAUGUCGGGGGUGUCUGAUCCCUCGCACACCUAUGGGGAUCGGCGGACCAAGCCCAUUUUGGUUCGAUAGGGGGCGGUGGAUGCACAAAGAGCAGAUCAAGGCGAAACACACGAGCAAGACGAUUGAUUUACCCAGGUUCGGGCCGCACGGAUGCGUAAAACCCUACUCCUGCUUUGGUGGUUGUAUUGAGUUUUUGCUCGGGAGCGGCGAGUGCUACAGUACACUCAAGCAGCUGGCGAGACCGAGCGUGAGAAUGGCUGUCCCCCUCCCCCUGUUGCGCAUGGGCCUCCUUUUAUAUGUCUAAGGGGUCACCGAUACGUAGCAACAGAGGUAAGGGUAAAAAUGUAAAAGGGGUGGUAGUUGGCUCCACCGCCUACAUGUCGCAUCCUACCUAACUCUGAUGGCAGGGGACAAGGGCAUUAAAUGCCCGUCUGUGUCACCUUGACGGCCCAGAGAGGGACCGCUAGGAACGCCACUGUUUGCCACAACGGUUCCUUGUCAGCGUCUGCUUGCCACCGCAUGCCCCCGGCUGCACAGCCUCCCGCCACGUACGCCAGGAAUGGCCCCAGGGUGACACGUUGGUGCGUGAGCUGGAGCGCGGGCUGCGGGGUAGUGGCUUGCCGCGGUAAGUGCCUUGCCGCGGGUGUUGUCUUGUCGCGUUCGGGAGCUUGCCGCUCACUGGGUCUUGUCGGGGCGUGCGGUGCGCCGCAGCGAGUCUCUUGAGAUGCUUUGGUUGUCUUCCCGGCAAGCUCCUCUUGCCGGGGUCUCGUCUCCUUCCCGACAAGCUCCUCUUACCGGGGCCUUGUUCCCUUCCCGGCAAGCUCCUCUUGCAGGGGCCUUGUUUUUCUCUUGGAUACUUUGUACUUGAAUGGCUCCAGAGGAACCAUGGAGGGUCUUGGCGGUCGCCCGGCAAGCCUUGCCGCGGGUCGCUGCGACUGCCCGUGCACAAGUUCGGGGUACUAAGGUACCCCUACUUUAGUACACCAACAGAGGGCCAUCCUCGGUACUCACACUUAUCUUGAGUAUUUAGUAGUAUCCAUUUACUUGUCUAUGAACUGUAUAGGCAACCAAGUAGUCCUUUACCGCGGACGUGGCUAUUCGAAUAGUUUUAUACCCUGCAGGGGUGUACUUCGUCAUACACGCUUUCACCACUUAUCGCCGUUUACACGACAUGUACUCGGCAACCUUCAAGCGGAAGCCCAGCGAGGGUGUCGGCCACGGCCUACCUAAACACUUAAGUCUCUAGUCCAGGUUUAUCGCCUAUCCAGGUUCCAUCGGCAGGGAGUGCGGCCGAGGUUUCCACAUACGGCCCCGAACGAUGUGAACAGGGUUCCGAGAUGCCAAACGGGCGCCCGGCAUACCCGGCCAGGUGUAUCUACCGCAACAUAGCCCACCCCUAGGGUCAGCGCUACGCACGGCCGCCAACACAUAACCUACAAACCCAGAAACUAUAUGCAACUCCUGGACAGAGUACAAGGGUGAUUAAGAAGCCGAGAGGGUCAAUUAAGGAUCCCAAUGCGUGGUAGUAGCUGAAUCUUAAAUCAACAUACAGAUCUCAGUUCUUAGGGACGGUCUCAAUGAAACAACCCACCAUGUACUCCUACAUGGCCUCUCAUCGAUACCUUUACCAAAACAUGUUCAACACAUUCCUCAUAUUACCGACAUAAUCAUAUCACCCUAGCCCAUCACCCAGAUGAACCAGACCUGACACAACUCUAAGCAUAGCAGGCAUAGCAAGGUAGGAAUCACAUACAUGGCUCAAUCAAAUCAUACACAUGCUAGUGGGUUUCAUCUAGUUAUUGUGGCAAUGACAGGCCAUGUAGAGGAUAAGGGUUCAACUACCGUAGCACACAACAGUUUGAAUCGCGUUGUCUUAAUGAAGUAAACAAGAGCAGAGGCGAGAACAUGGGUUGUAUCGGAAUGAUCAAUGGGUUGCUUGCUUGAUGGAGUGGUAGUGGGAUACUGCCCUUCAGUUGGAUACUCGUGAAUAUCCUCGGAGGUAGAACCUACCACGAAGAACACAUCGGAACACAAUCAACACAUGACGAUAUGCAACAAUAUGAUGCAUGCUAUGACGUGUCUUGGCCUAAUGCAAGCUAAAAUAGAAAGGGAUGAACUCAUUUGAAUCAAAGAUUCAAAUAUUAGCUCACUAAACAUGGCCUUAGUAGUGCAUUUCCUUAUUCUGCUUAAACAGCAAGGUAAACUUGUUUUGUCAUGCAUGAAACCAUUACAGAUGGAUAGAUUGAAUUUUUCUGAUAAUUUUUCAUAUAUAAAUUAUUUCAUUUGGAGUUACGGUUGAAUUUCUAUGAUUUCUAGAAGUUUUAAACAUUUUCUGGAAAUUCCUGAAUAAAAAUAAAUCCAGAAAAUGCAUUACUACGUCAGCAUUGCGUCAUGCUGGCCUCGGCAGGUCAAAGGCGCCAGCCCAGGUCAAACCUGACUGGUGGGCCCCUUCUGUCAGUCUCUCAGUUAAAUAACAGGAUUAGAUUAACACUAAUUAGCUGUCAGUGGGGCCUGGGCCCACAUGUCAGUGACUAAUUAAAAUCAAAUUAGUUAAAACUAAACCUAGAUUAGUUAGCAGACUGGCCCCACCUGUCAUAGACUCAGGGGGGGUCUACCUGGGCCCACCCAGGGUCAAACUCGCCGGCGUUGAGCCGCCGGCGAGACCCGAGACGGUGGCGCAGCUCGAAAAACGCCUACAGGGCACGAGCGAGGCCGUUCAUGGGCUCGUUGGAGAGCUCUUGCAGUCGCGCAUCUAGUGGUGGUGGUGGCCGGGCCUACGGUGGCCGGAGACGACGACGGCGAGCUCCAAGGCGGCGGCCGGAGUUCGGCCAUGUGCGGGGUGUGGGCUGUGGCGUGCAAACGUGGAAACUGAGGCACUAGCGAGGCACUACGCGAUGCGGCAAGCACGUUGCGUAGCACGGGAUGACCAAAUGGUCGCCGGAGCGGCGCCGGCGACAAGCUCGAGCGGAGACGAGCUUCGGCCAUGGUGGCACUAUGGCCUAGAGGGUGCAAACGCGUGGAAAAGAAGAGGGGAAAGGUGGCGGAGCUCACAGGCAGGUCGAUGAGCAGCUCAGUGGGCUCGGGGGCGACCGGAGUGAGGCGAAUCGAUGAGCGGCGUCCGGCGGGUACCGAGGUUGAAGACAAUCCGAUGGCGGCGAUGCAGGGCCUCCGGCGAUGCGUGGCUCGGUGGGGAGGGCGGGGGCGUCACGGCGCAGCUUCUGGACAGGUCAGAGAGGCGAGGGGGUGACGGAGGGCGCGACUACGGCGGUGAGACGGCGAUUAGAAAGAAAGAUUUGGUUCACUCGUACGUGAAAAAAGGAACAAGCGCUUGAUGCCUUCCUUUGCAUCGAUGCCAGACGCGGUGCUGGGAAUCGACAAGAUAACCGCCAAUCUACCAGGAUUAAAUUCCUAGCGCCUCCUUCUAGCGCCUCCCACUGAAAAUGCCCUAACGAUUUUUGAGGGAUUUUUUUACUGUGUCCUACUUCACGAAUCACGAGGCAAAUCAAGUAGGCGGCAUGGCCUGGCCGGUGAGUGCCAUUGCACUUACUUGCCCCAGCAAUUUUCCGCGUGCAUUGUAGAAUUCUUUCUCCGAGUCCUGUGAAUUAAAGAUGGUGCAGACAAAAGUAUAUCCUGUAUGCGUACAUGUGCAUGAUCAGAACAUGUUUUUACGUGCGUCUACUAUAAAUCAUGACCAUUUUUAACACAAAUCAUGACCAUUCAUGAUUAGUGAAUCAUACUGUCUUAACUUAUGUGAAAUCAUGUGGAGUAAUAUAAUAUAAUAUAAUAGAUAGAUAGAUCCAUGUUGUAUUAUUUUUUGUUUACAAAAAAUAUCUGUCAUUACACAUUUUGAUUUAUGCAUUUGUUUACAAAAAAAACAGUAACAUUUCAUGGUGGAAAGUUUGUAUUGUUUCAUACUGAACACCAAUGUUUUCCUGUAAAAGAAAAUAAUGCCUACGCAUAUGCUUUUAUAUUAUUAUUAUUCUUUCAAACUUAUUCAUACAGUAUUUUUGAUUGUGCAACCAUAAUUUUUAUUGUCUCUCUCGUUCCACUACAUGCUCUUACUCAAUGAUUUUUUUUAUAACGGGUGUUUUUAUUAACUCAAAAUAUAGUAUCAAGCGGAUACAAAACAUAAUGAGCCACACCUGGUCUCUGCAUAACUAAGAUGCAUACAGCUAAAAGCAGAUGUCUGACAAAAAUAAGAUAAGAAAAUCGACAUAUCGACAACAGUGAGUCAUAUAGUUCCGACACUAUGCCUCUGUUGAAGGACGGGGUGGAGCGAUCUGAAGAUUAUGCUGCCCUCCAUGUUGAGUAAAUACCUCCCUGGCCACUUGUUCCAACCGCAUAGACGCCGCCACGAAUAAUGGUCGGUACUCUGUUCGGUGUAGCAUACACCAUGUAGGAAGUGAGUGCUCACUUCUAGUUACUAAAUUAUGUACACACUAAUAGAAAAAGGGCCAUUUGUCCCGGUUCGUAAGGCCCAUUUGUCCCAGUUGGGGAACCGGGACUAAAGGGUCGGUACUAAAGCCCUACACAUUUAGUCCCGGUUCUUACACCAUCCGAGACAGAUGGGGCUCCACGUGGCCGCUACAGCUUGCCGUGGCAGGGGGGCCUUUUGUCCCGGUUGGUAGCACCAACCGGGACCAAUAAGCUACCACGCGUCAGCAUUUGAGGGCUAGGUUUUUUGUUUUUUUUCNNNNNNNNNNNNNNNNNNNNNNNNNNNNNNNNNNNNNNNNNNNNNNNNNNNNNNNNNNNNNNNNNNNNNNNNNNNNNNNNNNNNNNNNNNNNNNNNNNNNNNNNNNNNNNNNNNNNNNNNNNNNNNNNNNNNNNNNNNNNNNNNNNNNNNNNNNNNNNNNNNNNNNNNNNNNNNNNNNNNNNNNNNNNNNNNNNNNNNNNNNNNNNNNNNNNNNNNNNNNNNNNNNNNNNNNNNNNNNNNNNNNNNNNNNNNNNNNNNNNNNNNNNNNNNNNNNNNNNNNNNNNNNNNNNNNNNNNNNNNNNNNNNNNNCAAAUGAAGUAAACCAUUAAGUACAGAAGUUCGUCAUGAACAUAUGCAUACAAACAUAAGUGAUAUCGACCUCUCCUUCUCCGACAGAUAGGUCGAACAACAAGUUUCCGUAUAUCUAUCCGGCGCUACUAGCUACAUAUAUACAAUAUUAAGAUCUCUUACAAUAUAAUCCCCUAAUUAUAAAUGAACUCAGCUUCGAGAUGGUAUUCUCCGGCUUUAUUGAUGACGUGGUCAAGAAAGAAUCCCUCCAAUUCCUCUUGAAUUGCUUUGAUGCGAUCUUGUGGUAGGAGUUCAUCCCGCAUCUGCCACAUCUAAUUUGAAGAAGGGGGUCAAUCACCAGUAGAAUAACAGCCAUUUGUCCUGGUUCAUAAGGUUAAUUUGUCCCGGUUGGGGAACCGAGACUAAAGGGUCGUUACUAAAGCCCUACACCUUUAGUCCUGGUUCUUACACCAACUGGGACAGAUGGGCCUCCAUGUGGCUGCUGCGGCGAGCCCAGGCCGGAGGUCCUUUGGUCCCGGUUAGUGGCACUGAUACGUCUCCAACGUAUCUAUAAUUUUUGAUUGCUCCAUGCUAUUAUGUUAUCUAUUUUGGAUGUUAAUGGGCUUUAUUUUACACCUUUAUAUCAUUUUUGGGACUAACCUACUAAUCGGAGGCCCAACCCAAAUUGCUGUUUUCUGCCUAUUUUAGGUUUUCGAAGAAAAGGAAUAUCAAACGGAGUCCAAACGGAAUGAAACCUUCGAGAACGUGAUUUUCUCAACGAACAUGAUUCAGGAGACUUGGAGUGUGCGCCAAGAAACAAGGGAGGAAGGCACGAGGCAGGGGGGGCGCGGCUACCCUCUUGGGCACGCCCUCCACCCUCGUGGGCCCUCCGCUGCUCCACCGACGUACUUCUUCCUCCUAUAUAUAUCCACGUACCCCCAAACAUCCAGGAGCACCACGAAAACCUAAUUCCACCGCUGCAACCUUCUGUACCCAAGAGAACCCAUCUUGGGGCCUUUUCUGGAGGUCCACCGGAGGGGGCAUCGAUCAGGGAGGGCCUCUACAUCAACUCCAUGGCCUCUCCGGUAAUGUGUGAGUAGUUUACUUCAGACCUACGGGUCUAUAGUUAUUAGCUAGAUGGCUUCUUCUUCUCUCUUUGGAUCUCAAUAAAAAGUUCUCCUCGAUUUUCUUGGAGAUCUAUUCGAUGUAACCUUCUUUUGCAGUGUGUUUGUCGAGAUCCGAUGAAUUGUGGGUUUAUGAUCCAGAUUAUCUAUGAACAAUAUUUGAUUCUCCUAUGAAUUCUAUUAUGUAUGACUGGUUUAUCUUUGCAAGUCUCUUCGAAUUAUCAGUUCGGUUUGGCCUACUAGAUUGAUUUCUUGCAAUGGGAGAAGUGCUUAGCUUUGGGUUCAAUCUUGUGGUGUUUGAUCCCAGUGACAGAAAGGGAACCAAUACGUAUUGUAUUGUUGCCAUCGAGGAUAAAAAGAUGGGGUUUAUAUCAUAUCGCAUGAGUUUAUCCCUCUACAUCAUGUCAUCUUCCUUAAAGCAUUACUAUGUUCUCUUGAACUUAAUACUCUAGAUGCAUGCUAGAUAGCGGUCCAUGUGUCGAGUAAUAGUAGUAGAUGCAGAAUCGUUUCGGUCUACUUGUCUAGGACGUGAUGCCUAUAUACAUGAUCAUACCUAGAUAUUCUCAUAACUAUGCUCAAUUCUGUACAAUAUGGUGCACGGGGUUACAUCGGCCUGUAAAGACAUUUAUGCGAUGUGAGACAUCCGAAAAGCAACGAAAACGGGAGAUUAUACAUUUAUUGAAGAGGGCCGGUGUGACAGAUACCGUGAGGGCGUCGAGCUCAGCCAAAGACGACGGACAGCUGAGCACGGCCUGUGUCAGAGCCGGUGCGGGAGCAAGUGCAGGUGCAGGUGCUGGUGCAACGCUAGUCGAGCUGCUCCUGAAGAAGUCAACAAUGGGAAAGUCCGCUGCAUUUUUUCUGCAUUUUGCGUGCUCCAAUUGAAAAUGGCUGGAACCAAGACAGUAGACAUAUCUGCAACCACCUGUUUUCCAGCAGCUACCGCUGUCGCGACUGUCUCAGAUGAUUUCUUCUCAACCGCAAUCUCAACCUUCUUGUCGAUGUUUUAUUCGGUUAACCUCCAUCUUUCCUUUCUCUCCUCUGUGGUCUCACGGUAGUACUUCUUCCACGUGGCCCCGUCUCCGACACCGUGAACGCGUCCAUACGACGACCGAGUCUCCACCGGGAGUCCUUUCAAUAUGUUCAAUGCCCGGUUGAAUGGAGUGUCCCACUUGGGCCUUGCCAAUGCCUCAGACGGCGAGUCGCUUUCGGCCGCAAUCUUGUGCUGCUCUCUUUACAAAAGGAACACGGAUCAUUUACAAAUAUGACUAAACGUGCAGUCAAAUUGAUCAGAAACUAAAAUUACCGGCAGUCUCAUGAACUCCGUCGUGAUCGGGUCCGUCUUGAAAACCUUCUUGACUUAGUCCCAAUGGUGCCGUGCCUUGAGGACGUCAUCCUCCUACGGGAUGGUGAAGUCCGCCAAGGGGUCUGGGAUGCCAGAUUUUCGCAUUCCGUGUCCUCCUUGGCCCAUAUGGACCUCUUCCUGCCGUAACCACUGCUUCCGAGGUGGUGGCGCCCCAUGUUCCUUUGUGGAAGCCCCUUCAUGUACUUCGACUUUGUUUUGGCAGCUUCGGCCUCGCAAGCCGCCUUGAAUAUUUCAAAGUGCUCUCCCAUGAUUGUCAGAUUAUCCUUUACAAUCUCGGAGUAGGGUUGAUACGUCUCCAACGUAUCUAUUAUUUUUGAUUGCUCCAUGCUAUAUUAUCUCCUAUUUUGGACAAUAUUGGGCUUUAUAAUCGACUUUUAUAUUAUUUUUGGGACUAACCUAUUAACCGGAGGCCCAGCCUAGAAUUGUUGUCUUUUGCCUGUUUUAGGGUUUCGAAGAAAAGGAAUAUCAAACGGAGUCCAAACGGAAUGAAACCUUCGGGAACGUGAUUUUCUGAACGAACAAGACCCAGGAGACUUGGACCCUAUGUCAAGACACAAAAGAGGAGGACACGAGGUAGGGGGCGCACCUACCCCCCCCCCCCCCUCGAGGCACGCCCUCCACCCUCGUGGGGCCCCUGUUGCUCCACCGAUGUACUCCUUCCUCCUAUAUAUACCUACGUACCCCCAAACGAUCAGAUACAGAGCCAAAACCCUAAUUCCACUACCGCAACUUUCUGUAUCCACGUGAUCCCAUCUUGGGGCCUGUUCCGGAGCUCCGCCAGAGGGGGCAUCGAUCACGGUGGGCUUCUACAUCAACACCAUAGCCUCUCCGAUGAAGUGUGAGUAGUUCACCUCAGACGUACGGGUCCAUAGUUAUUACCUAGAUGGCUUCUUCUCUCUUUUUGGAUCUCAAUACAAUGUUCUCCCCCUCUCUUGUGGAGAACUAUUCGAUGUAAUCUUCUUUUUGCGGUGUGUUUAUUGAGACCGAUGAAUUGUGGGUUUAUGAUGAAGUCUAUCUAUGAAUAAUAUUUGAAUCUUCUCUGAAUUCUUUUAUGUAUGAUUGUUUAUCUUUGCAAGUCUCUUUGAAUUAUCAGUUUGGUUUGGCCUACUAGAUUGAUCUUUCUUACAAUGGGAGAAGUACUUAGCUUCGGGUUCAAUCUUGCGGUGUCCUUUCCCAAUGACAGUAGGGGCAGCAAGGCAUGUAUUGUAUUGUUGCCAUCGAGGACAACAAGAUGGGGUUUUCAUCAUAUUGCAUGAGUCUAUCCCUCUACAUCAUGUCAUCUUGCUUAAGGCGUUACUCUGUUUUUAACUUAAUACUCUAGAUGCAUGCUGGAUAGCGGUCGAUGAGUGGAGUAAUAGUAGUAGAUGCAGGGAGGAGUCGGUCUACUUGUCUCAAACGUGAUGCCUAUAUACAUGAUCAUACCUAGAUAUUCUCAUAACUAUGCUCAAUUCUGUCAAUUGCUCAACAGUAAUUUGUUCACCCACCAUAGAAUAAUUAUGCUCUUGAGAGAAGCCACUAGUGAAACCUAUGGCCCCUGGGUCUAUCUUUAUCAUAUUAAUCUCCUAUUACUUAGUUAUUUCCUUUGCUUUUUCCUUUGCCUUUAUUUUACUUUUCAUCUUUAUCACAAAAAUACCAAACAUAUUAUCUUUAUCAUACCUAUCAGAUCUCACUCUCGUAAGUGGCUGUGUAGGGAUUGACAACCCCUAUUCGCGUUGGUUGCGAGGAUUUAUUUCUUUUGUGCAAGUACGAGGGACUCGCGCGUAGCCUCCUACUGGAUUGAUACCUUGGUUCUCAAAAACUGAGGGAAAUACUUACGCUACUUUGCUGCAUCAUCCCUUCCUCUUCGGGGAAAACCAACGUAGUUCUCAAGAGCUGGCAAGAUGGAUUUCUGGCGCCGUUGCCGCGGAGGUCUACGCAAAAGUCAACAUACCAAGUACCCAUCACAUACCCUUAUCUCCCUCAUUACAUUAUUUGCCAUUUGCUUCUCGUUUUCCUCUUCCCCACUUCACCCUUGCCUUUUUAUUCGCCCUCUCUCUCUAUCCUCCCUCUCUUUCUCUAUUUGCCUCUUUUUCCCUACUUGCUUUCUGUUUGCUUGUGUGUUAGUUGCUUGCUUGUCACGAUGGCUCAAGAUAAUACUAAAUUACGUGACUUCACCAAUACCAACAACAAUGAUUUUAUUAGCACUCCGAUUUCUCCUCUUACCGAUGCUGAAUCUUGAGAAAUUAAUACUGCUUUGCUGAAUCUUGUCAUGAAAGAUCUGUUUUCCUGCCUUCCUAGUGAAGAUGCCGCUACCCACAUAAAUAGAUUCGUUGAUUUGUGUGACAUGCAAAAGAAGAAAGGUGUGGAUAAUGAUAUUGUUAAAUUGAAGCUAUUUCCUUUUUCGCUUAGAGAUCGUGCUAAAGCUUGGUUUUCGUCUUUGCCUAAAAAUAGUAUUGAUUCAUGGAAUAAGUGCAAAGAUGCUUUUAUCUCUAAGUAUUUUCCUCCUGCUAAGAUCAUCUCUCUUAGAAAUGAUAUUAUGAAUUUUAAGCAACUUGAUCAUGAACAUGUUGCACAAGCUUGGGAGAGAAUGAAACUAAUGAUACGUAAUUGACCUGCCCAUGGUUUAAAUUUGUGGAUGAUUAUACCAAAUUUUUAUGCCGGAUUGAACUUUGCUUCUAGAAAUCUUUUAGAUUAGGCCGCAGGAGGCACUAUUAUGGAAAUCACUUUAGGAGAAGCUACUAAACUCCUAGAUAAUAUUAUGGUUAAUUAUUCUCAACGGCAUACCGAAAGUUCUACUAAUAAAAAGGUGCAUGCGAUAGAAGAAAUUAAUGUUUUGAGUGGAAAGAUGGAUGAACUUCUGAAAUUAUUUGCUAAUAAGAGUAUUUCUUCUGAUCCUAAUGAUAUGCCCUUGUCUACUUUGAUUGAGAAUAAUAAUGAAUCUAUGGAUGUGGAUUUUGUUGGUAGGAACAAUUUUGGUAACAACGCGUAUAGAGGAAAUUUCAACCCUAGGCCUUAUCCUAGUAAUCUCUCUAAUAAUUAUGGUAAUUCCUACAGCAAUUCUUAUGGAAAUUAUAAUAAGAUGCAUACUGAUUUUGAAUCUAAUAUUAGAGAAUUUAUUACUUUGCAAAAGAAUUUCAAUGCUUUGAUUGAAGAAAAAUUGCUUAAGAUUGAUGAUUUGGCUAGGAACAUUGAUAGAAUUACUCUUGAUGUUGAUUCUUUGAAACUUAGAUCUAUUCCACCUAAGCAUGAUGUCAAUGAGUCUCUCAAAGCCAUGAGAAUUUCCAUUGAUGAGUGCAAAGAAAGAACCACUAGGAUGCGUGCUAAGAAAGAUGCCUUUAUAAGAGCGUGUUCUUCUAGUUCCUAUGAAAAUAAUGAUGAAGAUCAAAAAGUUAUUGAUGUGCUCCCUAUUAAAUCUUUGUUUUGCAAUACGAAUCUUGAUAAUCAUGGGACUGAAUAUGAUCCACCUUUACCUAGAAGGCGUUCCAAGAAUUCAGAAUUUGUUGAUCUUGAUGGUAAAACUGAUAAAGGUGGGAUUGAAGAAAUUAAAACCCUAGAUGUUGCUAAACCCACUAUUAUGGAUUUCAAGGAACUUAACUAUCAAAACUGCCCUUUGAUUGAUUGUAUAUCCUUGUUACAAUCCGUGCUAAAUUCUCCUCAUGCUUAUAGUCAAAAUAAAGCAUUUACUAAACAUAUCGUUGAUGCCUUGAUGCAAUCUUAUGAAGAAAAACUUGAAUUGGAAGUUUCUAUCCCUAUAAAGCUUUAUGAUGAGUGGGAACCAACUAUUAAAAUUAAAAUUAAAUAUCAUGAAUGCUAUGCUUUAUGUGAUUUUGUGUGCUAGUGUUUCCACGAUUCCAAAGACUUUGUGUGAUUUGUUAGGUUUCCAUGAUUUUGAUGAUUGCUCUUUAAACUUGCACCUUGCGGAUUCCACUAUUAAGAAACCUAUGGGAAGAAUUAAUGAUGUUCUUAUUGUUGCAAAUAGCAAUUAUGUUCCCGUAGAUUUUAUUGUUCUUGACAUAGAUUGCAAUCUUUCAUGUCCUAUUAUUCUUGGUAGACCUUUCCUUAGAACGACUGGUGCAAUUAUUGAUAUGAAGGAAGGAAAUAUUAGAUUCCAAUUUCCAUUAAGGAAAGGCAUGGAACACUUUCCUAGAAAGUAAAUUAAAUUACCUUAUGAAUCUAUUAUGAUAGCCACUUAUGGAUUGCCUACCAAAGAUGGCAAUACCUAGAUCUAUCCUUGCUUGUUAUGCCUAGCUAGGGGCGUUAAACGAUAGCGCUUGUAGGGAGGCAACCCAAUUUUAUUUUUACUCCUUGAUUUUUGCUCCUGUUUAGUAAUAAAUAAUUUAUAUAGCCUCUGUUUUGCUUGUGUUCUUUGUGUUUAAUUAGUGUUUGUGCCAAGUAGAACCGUUAGGAAGACUUGGGGAAAGUCAUGUUACACUUGCUGUAAAAAACUGAAACUUCAGCGCUCACGAGAACUGCUGCCGUUUUUAUUUGGAAAGUGCUAUUUAGUUAAUUAUUUUUUCAGAUAAAUUCCUCACAUCCAGAAAUUUAUUUUAGAAUUUUUGGGGUUCCAGCUCUUGAGCUAGCUACAGAGUACUACCGACUGUUCUGUUUUUGAAAGAUUCUGUUUUUCGUGUGUUGUUUGCUUAUUUUGAUGAAGCUAUGGCUAGUAAAAUAUUUUAUAAACCAUAGAGAAGUUGGAAUACAGUAGGUAUAACACCAAUAUAAAUAAAUAAUGAGUUCAUUACAGUACCUUGAAGUGGUCUUUUAUUUUCUUUCGCUAACGGAGCUCAUGAGAUAUUCUACUUUAAGUUUUGUGUUGUGAAGUUUUCAAGUUUUGGGUAAAGAUUUGAUGCAUUAUGGAACAAGGAGUGACAAGAGCCUAAGCUUGGGGAUGCCCAUGGCACCCCCAAGAUAAUCUAAGUACACCUAAAAGCCAAAGCUUGGGGAUGCGCCGGAAGUCAUCCCCUCUUUCAUCUACUUCUAUCGGUAACUUUACUUGGAGCUAUAUUUUUAUUCGCCACAUGAUAUGUGUUUUGCUUGGAGCGUCUUGUAUUAUUUGAGUCUUUAUUUGUUAGUUUACCACAAUCAUCCUUGCUGUACACACCUUUUGAGAGAGUCAUACAUGACUUGGAAUUUGUUAGAAUACACUAUGUGUUUCGCUUAUAUCUUUUGAGUUAUAUAGUUUUGCUCUAGUACUUCACUUCUAUCGUUUAGAGCACGGUGGUGGAUUUGUUUUAUAGAAACUAUUGAUCUCUCAUGCUUCACUUAGAUUAUUUUGAGAUUCUUAAUAGCAUGUUAAUUUGCUUAAAAUCCUAAUAUGCUAGGUAUUCAAAGUUAGUAAAAUUUUCUUAAGAGUGUUUUGAAUACUAAGAGAAGUUUGAUGCUUGAUGAUUGUUUUGAGAUAUGGAGGUAAUAAUAUCAAAGUCAUUCUACUUGAGUAGUUGUGAAAUUGAGAAAUACUAGUGUUGAAGUUUGCAUGUCCCGUAGCACGCACGUAUGGUAAACGUUGUGUAACAAAUUUGAAACAUGAGGUGUUAUUUGAUUGUCUUCCUUGUGAGUGGCGGUCGGGGACAAGCUAUGGUCUUUUCCUACCAAUCUAUCCCCCUAGGAGCAUGCGCGUAGUACCAAGGUUUUUGAUGACUUGUAGAUUUUUGCAGUAAGUAUGUGAGUUCUUUAUGACCAAUGUUGAGUCCUUGAAUUAUACGCACUCUCACCCUUCCAUCCUUGCUAGCCUCUUCGGUACCGUGCAUUGCCCUUUCCCACAUUGAGAGUUGGAGCAAACUUCGCCAGUGCAUCCAAACCCCGUGAUAUGAUACGCUCUUUAACACAUAAACCUCCUUAUAUCUUCCUCAAAAUAGCCACCAUACCUACCUAGUAUGGCAUUUCCAUAGCCAUUCCGACAUAUAUUGCCAUGCAACUUUCCACCAUUCCGUUCAUCAUGACACAUUCAUCAUUGUCAUAUUGCUUAGCAUAAUCAUGUUGUUGACAUAGUAUUUGUGGCAAGGCCACCGUUCAUAAUUCUUUCAUACAUGUCACUCUUGGUCCAUUGCAUGUCCCGGUACACCGCCGGAGGCAUUCAUAUAGAGUCCUACUUUGUUCUAGUAUCGAGUAGUAAUUAUUGAUUCGUAAAUAAAUAGAAGUGUGAUGAUCAUCAUUAAUAGAGCAUGGUCCCAAAAAGAAAAAAAGGAAGUGCCAAAAAAGGCCAAAUAAAAAAAUAUAAAAAAGGGGGGCAAUGCUACUAUCCUUUUUUUCCACACUUGUGCUUCAAAGUAGCACCGUAAUCUUCAAGAUAGAGAGUCUCUUGAUUUGUCACUUUCAUAUACUAGUGGGAAUUUUUCAUUAUAGAACUUGGCUUGUAUAUUCCAAUAAUGGGCCUCCUCAAGUGCCCUAGGUCUUCGUGAGCAAGCAAGUUGGAUGCACACCCACUUAGUUUCUUUUGUUGAGCUCUCAUACAUUUAUAGCUCUAGUGCAUCCGUUGCAUGGCAAUCCCUACUCAUUGCAUUAACAUCAAUUAAUGGGCAUCUCCAUAGCCCAUUGAUUAGCCUCGUUGAUGUGAGACUUUCUCCUUUUUGUCUUCUCCACAUAACCCCACUCAUUAUAUUCUAUUCCACCCAUAGUGUUAUGUCCAUGGCUUGCAAUCAUAUAUUGCAUGAAAGUUUAUAGGUUUGAGAUCACUAAAGUAUGAAACAAUUGCUUGGCUUGUCAUCGGGGUUGUGCAUGAUGAGAGCAUUCUUGUGUGACGAAAAUGAAGCAUGACUAAACUAUAUGAUUUUGUAGGGCUGAACUUUCUUUGGCCGUGUUAUUUUGAGAAGACAUAAUUGCUCAGUUAGUAUGCUUGAAGUAUUAUAAUUUUAUGUCAAUAUGAACUUUUGUCUUGAAUGUUUCAGAUCUGAAUAUUCAUACCACAAUUAAAAAGAAUUACAUUAAAAUCAUGCCAUGUAGCACUCCGCAUCAAAAAUUCUGUUUUUAUCAUUUACCUACUCGAGGACGAGCAGGAAUUAAGCUUGGUGAUGCUUGAUACGUCUCCAACGUAUCUAUAAUUUUUGAUUGCUCCAUGUAUAUUAUCUAUUGUUUUGGACAAUAUUGGGCUUUAUUAUCCACUUUUAUAUUAUUUUUGGGACUAACCUAUUAACCGGAGGCCCAGCCCAGAAUUGUUGUUUUUUGCCUGUUUUAGGGUUUCGAAGAAAAGGAAUAUCAAACGGAGUCCAAACGGAAUGAAACCUUCGGGAACGUGAUUUUCUCAACGAACAAGACCUAGGAGACUUGGACCCUCCAUCAAGACAUAAAAGAGGAGGCCACGAGGUAGGGGGCGUGCCUACCCCCCCCCCCCCCGGCGCGCCCUCCACCCUCGUGGGCCCCCCUGUUGCUCCACCGACGUACUCCUUCCUCCUAUAUAUACCUACUAUUGGGGAACGUAGCAGAAUUUUAAAAUUUUCUAUGCAAGAUCAAUCUAUGGAGUCAUCUAGCAACGAGGGAGAGAGGAGUGCAUCUACAUACCCUUGUAGAUCGCGCGCGGAAGCGUUCAAGAGAACGGGGUUGAUGGAGUCGUACUCGUCGUGAUCCAAAUCACCGAUGACCAAGUGCCGAACGGAUAGCACCUCCGCGUUCAACACACGUACGGUUGGGAAGACGUCUCCUCCUUCUUGAUCCAGCAAGGGGGAAGGAGAGGUUGAUGAAGAUCCAGCAGCACGAUGGCAUGGUGGUGGAUGCAGCAGGAUCCCGGCAGGGCUUCGCCAAGUGCAAGCGGGGAGGAGAGGUGUUACGGAAGGAGAGGGAGGCGCCAAGAGAAAGGGUGCGGCUACCCUCCCUCCCCCCCUCUUUAUAUAGGGGCCUUGGGGGGCGCCGGCCCUAGGAGAUGGAUCUCCAAGGGGGGCGAAGGCCAAGGGGUGGCUUCCCCCCCAAGCCAAGUGGGGGGCGCCCCCACCCCUAGGGUUUCCCAACCCUAGGUGCAGGGGAGGCCCAAGGGGGGCGCACCAGCCCACUAGGGGCUGGUUCUGCUCCCAAUUCAGCCCAUGGGGCCCUCCGGGAUGGGUGGCCCCACCCGGUGGACCCCCGGGACCCUUCCGGUGGUCCUGGUACUAUACCGGUGACCCCCGAAACCUUUCCGAUGGCCGAAACUGUACUUCCUAUAUAUAAAUCUUUACCUCCGGACCAUUCCGGAACUCCUCGUGAUGUCCGGGAUCUCCUCCGGGACUCCGAACAUAUCCUGGGUUACUACAUACUAAUAUCUCUACAACCCUAGCGUCACCGAACCUUAAGUGUGUAGACCCUACGGGUUCGGGAGACAUGCAGACAUGACCGAGACGCCUCUCCGGUCAAUAACCAACAGCGGGAUCUGGAUACCCAUGUUGGCUUCCACAUGCUCCAUGAUGAUCUCAUCGGAUGAACCACGAUGUCGAGGAUUCAAUCAAUCUGUAUACAAUUCCCUCUGUCAAUCGGUAGGUUACUUGCCCGAGACUCGAUCGUCGGUAUCCCAAUACCUCGUUCAAUCUCGUUACCAGCAAGUCACUUUACUCGUGCCGUAAUGCAUGAUCCCAUGAUCAACCACUUGGUCACAAUGAGCUCAUUAUGAUGAUGCAUUACCGAGUGGGCCCAGAGAUACCUCUCCGUCAUACGGAGUGACAAAUCCCAGUCUCGAUUCGUGCCAACCCAACAGACACUUUCAGAGAUACCUGUAAUGUUCCUUUAUAGUCACCCAGUUACGUUGUGACAUUUGGCACACCCAAGGCACUCCUACGGUAUCCGGGAGUUGCCCAAUCUCAUGGUCUAAGGAAAUGAUACUUGACAUUCGGAAAAGCUACAGCAAACGAACUACACGAUCUUUGAGCUAUGCUUAGGAUUGGGUCUUGUCCAUCACAUCAUUCUCCUAAUGAUGUGAACCCGUUAUCAAUAACAUCCAAUGUCCAUAGUCAGGAAACCAUGACUAUCUUUUGAUCAACGAGCUAGUCAACUAGAGGCUCACUAGGGACGUGUUGUCUUCUAUGUAUUCACACAUGUAUUACGAUUUCCGGAUAACACAAUUAUAGCAUGAACAAUAGACAAUUAUCAUGAACAAAGAAAUAUAAUAAUAACCAUUUUAUUAUUGCCUCUAGGGCAUAUUUCCAACAGUCUCCCACUUGCACUAGAGUCAAUGUCUAGUUACAUUGUGAUGAAUCGAACACCCUUGAAGUUCUGGAGUUGAUCAUAUUUUUCUCUAGGGAGAGGUUUAGUCAAUGGAUCUGCCACAUUCAGGUCCGUAUGUACUUUACAAAUCUCUAUGUCUCCAUUUUGAACAACUUCACGAAUGGAGUUGAAGUGACGCUUGAUAUGCCUGGUCUUCCUGUGAAACCUGGGCUCCUUGGCAAGUGCAAUAGCUCCAGUGUUGUCACAGAAUAGAGUCAUCGGGCACGGUGCAUUGGGUAUGACUCCUAGGUCGGUAAUGAACUCCUUCACCCAGACUGCUUCUUGUCCUGCCUCCGAGGCUACCAUGUACUCCGCUUCACAUGUAGAUCCCGCCACAACGCUUUGCUUGCAACUCCACCAGCUUAUUGCCCCACCAUUCAAAAUAUACACGUAUCCGGUUUCCGACUUAGAGUCAUCCAGAUCUGUGUCGAAGCUAGCAUCGACGUAACCCUUUACGACGAGCUCUUCGUCACCUACAUAAACGAGAAACAUAUCCUUACUCCUUUUUAGGUACUUGAGGAUAUUCUUGACCGCUGUCCAUGUUAGGGAACGUUGUAAUUUCAAAAAAAUUCCUACGCACACGCAAGAUCAUGGUGAUGCAUAGCAACGAGGGGAGAGUCUGAUCUACGUACCCUUGUAGAUCGCAACGGAAGCGUUGACACAACGUAGGGGAAGUAGUCGUACGUCUUCUUCCCGAUCCGACCGAUCCAAGCACCAUUACUCCGGCACCUCCGAGUUCUUAGCACACGUUCAGCUCGAUGACGAUCCUCGGGCUCCGAUCCAGCAAAGUGUCGAGGAAGAGUUCCGUCAGCACGACGGCGUGGCGACAAUCUUAAUGUACUACCGACGCAGGGCUUCGCCUAAGCACUACAACAGUAUGAUCGAGGUGGAAUUUGGUGGCAGGGGGCACCGAACACGGCUAAGGAACGAUCUCAAUGAUCAACUUGUGUGUCUAGAGGUGCCCCCUGCCCCCGUAUAUAAAGGUUGCCAGGGGGUGGGCUGGCCGGCCAAAGGAGGAGGGCGCAGGAGGAGUCCUACUCCUACCGGGAGUAGGACUCCCCCCCCCAAUCCUAUUCCUAAUAGGACUCCUCGAGAGAGAGAGAGGGAGAAGGGGGCCGGCCACCUCUCCUAGUCCUAAUAGGACUAGGGGAGGGGGGAGGCGCGCAGCCCACCUUGGGCUGCCCCUUUCGCCUUUCCACUAAGGCCCAAUAAGGCCCAUUUGGUUCCCGGGGGGUUCCGGUAACCUCCCUAUACUCCGGUAAAAUUCCCGAUUUCACCCGGAACACUUCCGAUGUCCAAACAUAGGCUUCCAAUAUAUCAAUCUUUAUGUCUCGACCAUUUCGAGACUCCUCGUCAUGUCCGUGAUCACAUCCGGGACUCCGAACAACCUUCGGUACAUCAAAAUGCAUAAACUCAUAAUAACUGUCAUCGUAACGUUAAGCGUGCGGACCCUACGGUUCGAGAACAAUGUAGACAUGACCGAGACACGUCUCCGGUCAAUAACCAAUAGCGGGACCUGGAUGCCCAUAUUUGCUCCUACAUAUUCUACAAAGAUCUUUAUCGGUCAGACCGCAUAACAACAUACGUUGUUCCCUUUGUCAUCGGUAUGUUACUUGCCCGAGAUUCGAUCGUCGGUAUCCAAUACCUAGUUCAAUCUCGUUACUGGCAAGUCUAUUUACUCGUUCCGUAAUACAUCAUCUCACAACUAACAUCUUAGUUAUAAUGCUUGCAAGGCUUCUGUGAUGUGUCUUACCGAGAGGGCCCAGAGAUACCUCUCCGACAAUCGGAGUGACAAACCCUAAUCUCGAAAUACGCCAACCCAACAUCUACCAUUGGAGACACCUGUAGUACUCCUCUAUAAUCACCCAGUUAUGUUGUGACGUUUGGUAGUACCCUAAGUGUUCCUCCGGCAAACGGGAGUUGCAUAAUCUCAUAGUCAUAGGAACAUGUAUAAGUCAUGAAGAAAGCAAUAGCAACAUACUAAACGAUUGGGUGCUAAGCUAAUGAAAUGGGUCAUGUCAAUCAGAUCAUUCAACUAAUGAUGUGACCUCGUUAAUCAAAUAACAACUCUUUGUUCAUGGUUAGGAAACGUAACCAUCUUUGAUUAACGAGCUAGUCAAGUAAAGGCAUACUAGUGACACUCUGUUUGUCUAUGUAUUCACACAUGUAUUAUGUUUCCGGUUAAUACAAUUCUAGCAUGAAUAAUAAACAUUUAUCAUGAUAUAAGGAAAUAAAUAAUAACUUUAUUAUUGCCUCUAGGGCAUAUUUCCUUCAGUCUCCCACUUGCACUAGAGUCAAUUAUCUAGAUUACACAGUAAUGAUUCUAACACCCAUGGAGCCUUGGUGCUGAUCAUGUUUUGCUCAUGGAAGAUGCUUAGUCAACGGGUCUGCAACAUACAGAUCCGUAUGUAUCUUGCAAAUCUCUAUGUCUCCCACCUGGACUAGAUCCCGGAUGGAGUUGAAGCGUCUCUUGAUGUGUUUGGUCCUUUUGUGUAAUCUGGAUUCCUUUGCUAAAGCAAUUGCACCAGUAUUGUCACAAAAGAUUUUCAUUGGACCCGAUGCACUAGGUAUGACACCUAGAUCGGAUAUGAACUCCUUCAUCCAGACUCCUUCGUUCGCUGCUUCCGAAGCAGCUAUGUACUCCGCUUCACAUGUAGAUCCCGCUACGACGCUUGUUUAGAACUGCACCAAUUGACAGCUCCACCGUUUAAAGUAAACACCUAUCCGAUUUGCAAUUUAGAAUCGUCCGGAUCAGUGUCAAAGCUUGCAUCAACGUAACCUCUUACGGUGAGCUCUUUGUCACCUCCAUAUACGAGAAACAUAUCCUUAGUCCUUUUCAGGUACUUCAGGAUGUUCUUGACCGUUGUCCAGUGAUCCACUCCUGGAUUACUUUGGUACCUCCCUGCUAAACUUAUAGCAAGGCACACAUCAGGUCUGGUACACAGCAUUGCAUACAUGAUAGAGCCUAUGGCUGAAGCAUAGGGAACAUCUUUCAUUUUCUCUCUAUCUUCUGCAGUGGUCGGGCAUUGAGUCUGACUCAACUUCACACCUUGUAACACAGGCAAGAACCCUUUCUUUGCUUGAUCCAUUUUGAACUAAUUCAAAAUCUUGUCAAGGUAUGUGCUUUGUGAAAGUCCAAUUAAGCGUCUUGAUCUAUCUCUAUAGAUCUUUAUGCCUAAUAUGUAAGCGGCUUCCCCGAGGUCUUUCAUCGAAAAACUUUUAUUCAAGUAUCCCUUUAUGCUAUCCAGAAAUUCUAUAUCAUUUCCAAUCAGCAAUAUGUCAUCCACAUAUAAUAUCAGAAAUGCUACAGAGCUCCCACUCACUUUCUUGUAAAUACAGGCUUCUCCAAAAGUCUGUAUAAAGCCAAAUGCUUUGAUCACACUAUCAAAGCGUUUAUUCAAACUCCGAGAGGCUUGCACCAGUCCAUAAAUGGAUCGCUGGAGCUUGCACACUUUGUUAGCUCCCUUUGGAUCGAUAAAACCUUCUGGUUGCAUCAUAUACAACUCUUCUUCCAGAAAUCCAUUCAGGAAUGCAGUUUUGACAUCCAUCUGCCAAAUUUCAUAAUCAUAAAAUGCGGCAAUUGCUAACAUGAUUCUGACAGACUUAAGCAUCGCUACGGGUGAGAAGGUCUCAUCGUAGUCAACCCCUUGAACUUGUCGAAAAACUUUUGCGACAAGUCGAGCUUUAUAGACAGUAAUAUUACCGUCAGCGUCAGUCUUUUUCUUGAAGAUCCAUUUAUUCUCAUUUGCUUGCCGAUCAUCAGGCAAGUCAACCAAAGUCCAUACUUUGUUCUCAUAUAUGGAUCCCAUCUCAGAUUUCAUGGCUUCAAGCCACUUUGCGGAAUCUGGGCUCACCAUCGCUUCUUCAUAGUUCGUAGGUUCAUCAUGAUCUAGUAGCAUGACUUCCAGAAUUGGAUUACCGUACCACUCUAGUGCGGAUCUCACUCUGGUUGAUCUAUGUGGUUCAGUAGUAUCUUGUCCUAAAGUUUCAUGAUCAUCAUCAUUAGCUUCCUCACUAAUUGGUAUAGGUGUCGCAGAAACAGUUUUCUGUGAUGUACUAUUUUCCAAUAAGGGAGCAGGUACAGUUACCUCGUCAAGUUCUACUUUCCUCCCACUCACUUCUUUCGAGAGAAACUCCUUCUCUAGAAAUGAUCCAUUCUUAGCAACGAAUGUCUUGCCUUCGGAUCUGUGAUAGAAGGUGUACCCAACAGUCUCCUUUGGGUAUCCUAUGAAGACACAUUUCUCCGCUUUGGGUUCGAGCUUAUCAGGUUGAAGCUUUUUCACAUAAGCAUCGCAGCCCCAAACUUUAAGAAACGACAACUUUGGUUUCUUGCCAACACUACAGGAAUCGGCUACUUUGCCAUGUGCCACGGCGGACGGCAAAGGCCCGAACGGCGGACGGCAAAGGCCUUUGCCGUCAGCGGCGGACGGCAAAAGGCUCCGGCAAAGUAGGCUUCGGUAAACAGGUUCUUUGCCGUCUACUAUUGACGGCAAAGUCUUUGCCGUCUGCGGCGGACGGCAAAGAGAGAGCAGCAGACGGCAAAGACGGCGGACGGCAAUAAUUGCGCUGUCAGUCCGUUAAGUGGCUAACGGAAGGCCUUUGCCGUCCGCCGCUGACGGCAAAAUUUCUAGGGUCUUUGCCGUCCGCCGUAUGAUGUCAUCUACACGUCACUACGUGGCAGGUUCUUUGCCGUCUGCCACUGACGGCAAAGUCUUUGCUGUCUGCCACUGUAGGCAAACUGACCAAAUGGGUCAGCUCCCAGGAAGCACAGGUGGACGCCACGUGGCUUCUUUGCCAUCCGCGGCAGACGGCAAAGAGCCCGUUGCCGUCGGUGGUAGACGGCAAAGAGCCUGCAUAUUGGCUCUUUUUUCUGUUUUUUCAUAUACCCAACCAUUUUCACAGCAAAUAGAUGAUACAUAUAUAUUUUUCACAUGGCAAGUUCACAGCAAACAUAUGAGAUAUCCAACACAUAUAAUUGCAUCAUACAUGCAUAGUUCCAUCAACCAUACAUAGCAAGUUCGACAUACAUGCAUCCAACCAUACAUAUUACAAUAGUGUCAUCCUACCAUACAUGCAUAGUUCAUAGAUACAAAGGAAACAUAGUUCAUCCAAACAAGCACUCCAUCUAUGCAAGCUUCCGUGAAGUGAAUGAAUUCUGCAAAAUGGGAAAUAAGAAAGUUAGAAGAAGAAGAUUGGAAGAAGAAGAAGUAGAAGAAGAAUAUAUAUAUAUAUAUGACAUUUAUGCGCUAAUUUAGGUGAAAUUGAUCAUUUGUGAGCUAACUUAGGUGAAAUGGAUCGUUUAUGAGCUAACCUAGGUGCAAUGGAUCGCUUAUGAGCAAACUUAAGUAAAAUGCAUCAUUUUAGAGGUAACCUAGGUAAGAUGGAUCAUUUUGGAGCUAACCUAGGUAAAAUGGGUCAUUUUAGAGCUAACUUCGGUAGAAUGGAUCAUUUAUGAGCUAGGUAAGGUUAAAUGGAUCAUUUUAGAACUAACUUAGGUAAAAUGGAUCGUUUAUGAGCUAACUUAGGUAAAAUGGAUCGUUUUUGAGCUAACUAAGGUGAAAUGAAUCGUUUUUGAGCUAACUAAGGUGAAGGGCAUCAUUUUUGAGCUAACUAAGGUGAAAUGGAUCGUUUUUGAGCUAACUAAGGUGAAAUGAAUCGUUUUUGAGCUAACUAAGGUAAAAUGGAUCGUUUUUGAGCUAACUUAGGUGAAAUGGAUCGUUUUUGAGCAAACUUAGGUGAAAUGGNNNNNNNNNNNNNNNNNNNNNNNNNNNNNNNNNNNNNNNNNNNNNNNNNNNNNNNNNNNNNNNNNNNNNNNNNNNNNNNNNNNNNNNNNNNNNNNNNNNNNNNNNNNNNNNNNNNNNNNNNNNNNNNNNNNNNNNNNNNNNNNNNNNNNNNNNNNNNNNNNNNNNNNNNNNNNNNNNNNNNNNNNNNNNNNNNNNNNNNNNNNNNNNNNNNNNNGGAUCGUUUUUGAGCUAACUAAGGUGAAAUGGAUCAUUUUUUAGCUAACUAAGGUGAAAUGGAUCGUUUUUGAGCAAACUUAGGUGAAAUGGAUCAUUUAAGAGCUAAUUUAGGUGAAAUGGAUUGUUUUUGAGCUAACUAAGGUGAAAUGGAUCGUUUUUGAGCAAACUUAGGUGAAAUGGAUCAUUUAAGAGCUAAUUUAGGUGAAAUGGAUCGUUUUUGAGCAAACUUAGGUGAAAUGGAUCAUUUAAGAGCUAAUUUAGGUGAAAUGGAUCGUUUUUAGCUAACUUAGGUGAAAUGGAUCGUUUAGGAGCUACUCUAGGUAAAUUGGGUCAUUUUAGAGCUAACUUGGAUAAACUAGAUCACUUAUAAGCUAACCUAGGUAAGAUGGGUCAUUUUGGAGCUAACUUAGGUAAAAUGGAUCGUCUAUGAGCUAACUAAGCUAAUUAUGCAAUUUUUGACAUAAGUAAGCUAAGUAUAGAUUGUUUUAGAGCUAACUUAGGUAAAAUGGAUGGUUUUGGAGGUCAGUAAGCUUAUUUAGUCAUUUUGGAGGAGAAGAAGCUAAGUCUACGUCAUUAUGGUAAGCAUUGGAGGAAAUAAAGCUAAGUCUAGGUCUUUAUGCAUGUGUUAAGCAAAACACUAGAUAAACUUACCAAGAUCCAGGAGGUGUAGGAGUGGGGUGGCUCGUGUCGGUAGCUGGAGAAGGAUCGUGCGAUGCUUGUCUGGAGUUACGCUGCACCAAAGAUCAUUUCCAAUGUCUUGUUAGCAUGAUGACACUCAAAUGUUAAGACUAGUAAGUAAUGUCCAUUCAAAUAAAACUCACCGUGGUCCCAGGAGCAAUCACUGGCAUCGGCGGAGCGGUCUGACCUGUCUUCUCGCACACAGACUGCACAUUUGGUUUUGACGACUCAGUCAUACUAGUUAGUAAUGAGACAAACACUACAUGAAUGUUUUGGCUAAUCUGCAGAUGAAACUUACCACAAGGAGCUCGUACAUGGCCCUUGCCUGCAUGUCAUUCCGUGCCCUCUCCUCCUCCACCAUCUUUGUCGUCCUCUCCUCCAACUCCCGCUGCCUCUCCGCCGCCUCCGCCAGAAGUUUCUCCGUUCUAUCUCUCUCACUCUGUAUGGCAGCCUGCAACACCACUCACAUGACAAUUUGUAAUCAUUGAUGGAAGCGCACACAAUGUAAUGGAGAAAGAUAACUGAGUAUGUAUCACUAACCUUGAUGGCGACUUGCACUGGCCGUUCACGAGGCCUUAUCUUAGGAGCGGAGCUCGACUGGCGCGCCUUGAUCUCCGAGAGAGUGCUAGGACAACGGAUAAGUCCAUCUCCAAUGGCUAUGGAGCCAUGGGACCUCCCGUCACCAGAUAUCAUCAACAGCUCUGGAUCAAUGGGACCCUGGCUCGGGUUAAAGUCCUCCCCUUUCCUCGCCUUCCCCUCAUCUCUAUAUCUCACGAGCUUGUUGUGGGAGGAGAUGUUGGUGAAGUUGUUUGCAUCAUCGAGGUCAGACUGAGAGAAAGCCUUGACUUUCUUGAAAGAGGCAGUGUGGGCCAUGGCAUACAGGUCGUACACCUCUGGCACCUUAUCCGCCUUAUUAUAGCAUGCCUGAAAGAGAGAAACAAUGAAAAUUAGUAAUUAAAGGGCUCAAGCUAGCAUGAUGAAUGAAUUGCAUGAAUCAUGAAGCAAACCACAUACCCAGUUGCGCCCGAACUGAUAUAAGUUGGAGCUGCCUUGAUGGUGUGGCACACCUUCCAUUUUUGCACGUUUGUCCUUGGCCUCCUUGUGGGGGGCUAGCCAUCGUUGUGAGCACCACUCAUCGACCAACACCUCCCAACAAUCCAUCCGAUCCGCACACCAUCUCGGAGGCGCCUAAGUUAGCAAAUAGAAACUUGAGCGCUACGGCUAAGAAUUACUAAAUGAAGGAACUUAAGUAGAGAAGGCCUUGAGAAUUACCUUCAUGUAAUGCUCCUUACUCAGGAACUUAUCGCAGCAUGCCGGCUUGGUCUUCUUGAUACCACGCAAGGCGUAGUAGUCUCGAACAGCCUGCACCCGAGCCUCGUGCCGUAAGUUCUGGAGUAGGCGCUUGCAGACGUUCUCGAUAACAUGUGCCGCGUCCUCCUCGUAUCCCUCCUCACACCUGUAGAAUGUCUGCAAUCAAAUGAGACAAUGUUGAUUAGUACAAUUAAUAACUAGCUAGUUGAAGAUUUUUAAAUGUGUAAAGGAGAAAUUACCCAGAACUUUCUGAUCACCAUGUCUGCCCUCGUGUCACACACGACACCGUCGAUAAUCUCAUUUGGCAGGGCCGGGGCAGCCACGUAGUGCUCCCAGCUCAAUCCAAGCUCUGGAAGCCGACCCUCACCAGGCAACGUGACAAACCCCGGGAAGUUUUGCCGGCAAAGAACUCCAAGGACGGAGUUGGGCCGGCGGACACUAUGAUGGUGGUCCCAACCCCUGCAGCAUGACAAGGCCAACGCAUUAGUUAUUUGAAAAAAUGUGAAUGCACAAGGUACAAAAAUAUUAAAUGCACUUACGUACCUCUCCCCAUCAGGGAAAAUCAACCACCUCUGCUCGCGGGUCACCGGCACGGACGGGAGCCGUGUAGCACCACGCUGGUAGACGGUGCCCCCCUCCUCCUCAAGAUCAGUCGGCUCCCCGCCAUCAUCAGCAUGACCACUCGGCUCCUUGGGCUGAUCCGGCCAGGUACCCCAUCCGGACGUGUGCUCCUCCGGGGUCAUGUGGGCCGAACUCUCGUGGGCUGAAGACCCGUGGACCGGAGGCUCAUGGACCGGAGUUCGUGUAGCCUCCUCCUCGGACGAGUCCACCCUAGCAGUCACGUGCUUGGGUGAAACGGUUGGGGGUGGCGGCGAGGAAGGCACCGUAGCAGUCACCCUACCUCCUCUCCCAGGACCACGUGCCCCACCUCCUCUCUUCCUACCUCGUCCCCUGCUGGGCACCAUGGUCGACGAAGAAGGGCCCGGCGGUGUGGCCAUACUGUCCAGCAACGCUCGGCGGAGAGGUGCGUCUGGAAUGGAAGACCUCAGACCACGCUCCCGACCAGUGCCCACCAUCUUUCAACACCUGCCAUGACAAACAGUAAAUGAAAUUAGUACAACAUAAAAAAGGACCGACAUGAAUAAUAAUAUGUGUAUCACUUAAGUGUAUCAUCAUCAAGUACAACAUAAAAAAAUGUAAUACCGGACACUACUAAUAAUCUCGAUCAGUAUCAUCAAUAAAUGCAUAAUCAUCAUCAUCACUAUAAUCAAUGACGGGCUCAUAGGGUUCAUUGGCAUCAACAUGUGCAAGGCCACCUUGACGUAAUCGGUCAAGCAUUGACAGGUCAUCCGCAGCAGUAACCUCUUCUUGUUCCGGCUCUUCUUGUUCCUCCUCUGGGGUGAUGUCGGAUUCAUUGUCGCUGUCUACUUCAAUGUUUUGGGGUGAAGUAUAGCGGUUCUUGAAACGCUUUUUGGAAAGACGUGUCUCUUGGAAGAAUUCUCCUUCAUAUGUGUCUGGGUUAAUGUGAGGUUCAUAAUCCUCUUCCUUUGCGGGAGAAAGUCUAGCACGUGGCGGCACUUCAUAAACGACAUCCCAACCUUUCAGAUUUGGAUUAGUUUGGCAGGCCCACGGUAGAUAGAAUACUUGGGUCGCCUGUUGAGCCAUAAUAUAGACAUCAAGAACAUCUAAACGAGUGCUUUGGUUGAUUUCAACUAGCCCUACAUGUUCAUGAGUCCUUCUAGUCUCGUUUGGCUGAAACCAAUAACAUUUGAAGACUACGACAUUUUGUGGGUUUUCACCAUAGAACAGAAGUUCAUAAAUUGCUUCAACUCUCCCAUAAUACUCGGUACCUCCUUUGCCGAUAGCAGAUACACAACAAUUUGUUGACUUUGGGUCCGCCAUAGAUAGCUCUUUGCCAUAGGUACGAAAGCGAUACCCGUUGAUGUCGUACUUGUCAAAUGAACGGACCUUAUAGUCAAAACCAUUAGCGACUUGUCUCAAUUCGGCGUCCAUAGAGUCUGGAUUAGCCUACAGGUUUAAUAUGAAAGGAUUGUUGCAUUAUGCACAAAUUAGCGAAUGAAAUGAAAUUGUCUAAUAGAAAUUACCGUUUGUUUGAACCAAGAGAUGAAACCGGGAUAGCCACCUCCUUGCUUUGCGAGAAGCUCAUACUCUUCGACAGAAUCCUUUUGGAUCUCCGCUCCAUACGAGAAUAUGGUGACGUAUCGACUGUAUGACAUAUCCAGGAAUAAGAGUAGUUCAAAGGAAAUAGAAGUUGCGAAACAAUGUAUCGAGAACUUACUCGAUGUACGGCCGCACUUCUAUCAGGUUGUUGAAGAUAUACAAUGAAAUGGUCCGCCAUUCUUUGUUAUCCAAAGAUACUGGAUGUGAAACACCAGCUGGUGCGAGAUUCCCUUUGAAUAGGCUGAGGUUGGAUCCACCCUUUUUAGGCUCGUCAGCAUUGUACCGAGGCUUCGGAUUAUGCAAAUGACGAUUUUUGGCUUCGUAGUGCGCUGUUACGAAGUUUGCCACCUCCUCUGUGAUGAAUGCCUCAGCCAUCGAUGCUUCAAUUCUACGUUUAUUUUUACAUUUUUCUCGAAGCGUGUUCUGCAUCCUCUCAGUUGGGUAGCACCAACGAUUUUGCACGGGCCCCCCCAAUCUUGCCUCGGUCGGGAGAUGCAAAAUCAAAUGCUGCAUUGGAUUAAAGAAGCCCGGUGGAAAGAUUUUCUCUAACUUGUAGAUCAACUCCGGCGCCAACUCUUCCAUUUCUUCUAGCACGCCAGGAGAUAGUUAUUUCGCACAAAGAACACGGAAGAAAUAGCUGAGUUCUGCCAGUACUAGCCAUUCAUCCUCAGGGAUGAAGCCACGCAACAUCACCGGCAUUACCCGCUCAAUCCAUAUUUGCUCCCCUCUUUAGAUUCGCUGCAUACCCAUCGGGGAACAUCAACUGCUGUUGCACCCACAAGAGAAUUUCCCUCAUAGCUGGCCUUCCAAGAUUGAACCAUGCCUUUGGCUUCGUCUAGUUCUGCUUUCCUUUCGGUUCUUUCAUGUUUUGUAACGGCCUAUCACAUAGCGCCUCCAGAUCGACUCUAGCCUUAGUAUUAUCCUUUGACUUCCCAUCCAUGCCGAACAAUGUACCAAAAAGUGCCUCGGUGAUAUUCUUCUCAGUGUGCAUCACGUCGAUGUUGUGUGGGCAAAGGAGGUCUUUGAAGUAAGGCAGAUCCCAUAAGCAUGUUUUGUGAGUCCACGCAUGCUUAGUAUUAUACCCCUUGAAGUACCCUGGACAUUGUGGAUCUGGCUCGAGAGCGUUUAACUGAUCCAGGGUCUGUUGGCCUGUCAAUGCAGGUGGUGCAGAGUUUUUGACAACUCUACCCCUGAUGAAGUUCUUCUUGUCUUCCCUGAACUUAUGGCGAGGAUCCAGGAACUGUCUAUGCAUGUCGAAGCAAGAAAACUUGCGACCGGCCUGAAGCCAACGAAACUCAAGAGCUCCCUGGCAUGUGGGGCACGGGAACCUUCCAUGCACACACCAGCCAAUGAAUAGCGCAUACGCCGGCAAGUCAUGCGUCGAGUACAUGUACUAGACACGCAUUAUGAAGUUCCGUUUGCUAAAGGCAUCGUAUGUCUUGAACCCAUUAUCCCAAGCUUCUUGCAAUUCGUCCUUAAGCGGCUGCAUGUACACAUUCAUAUUUUUGCCCGGAUAGUUGGGUCCUGGAAAUAUCAACGUUAGGAAAAUGUUCUUUCUUUGCAUAAUCUGUGCGGGGGGGAGAUUGAGUGGAAAGACAAAUACGGGCCAACAACUGUAUUGGGCUGCCAUCAUACCAAACACACUGAACCCAUCCGUGCUGAUGCCGACUCGAGAAUGCCUCGGAUCUGCCGCUUUGUCAGCAUGUAAUUCAUCAAACUUUUUCCACGCAACACCAUCCGAUGUGUGUACCAUCAUCAGAUUCCCAUCUGCAUCUAGUGCGGUUCUUUUGCCUGUUUUGUGCCAUGUCAUCUGUCUGGCCGUCUCUUUGACCAUGAAAAGACGUUGAAGUCUUGGUACAAUUGGCAUAUACCGAAGAACACUAACGGGGAUUUUGGUCUGUGUCUUCUCACCCAUACCGUUGUCUACCACAAUAUACCUGGAAGACUUGCAAAUGGGACAAUAGUUCAAGUCCGCAUAGUCAAGCCUAAAUAAGGCACAUCCUUUCUCACAGGCAUGUAUCUUCUCAUAGGGCAUCUUCAGUGCAUGGAGGAUUUUGUCCGACUGGUACAGGUUUGCAGGCAUUACAUGUCCUUUGGGUAGAAAGCGUCCAAAUACUGUCAUAAUUGCGUCAUAGCAUUCUCUACCCAAGUUGAACUGAGCCUUCAGAGCCAUUACUUGUGAGAUGGCAUCCAACUGACAAAGCUCAGUGUGCUCGCGGAGCGGACGUUUCGAAGACUCCAACAUUUCAUUGAAGGCCUUUGCAGAUUCCUCCAUCUCCUCGUCCGAAUCCCGAGCAUCAUCAUAGUCUUGCACCAUGUUUUCCAUCCCGGUACCAUGCUCGUCGGUGCGACGACGAUCCACCUCAGCUCGGUCACGUUGGGCAGACUCACCAUGAAAUGUCCAGACCGUAUAAUCGGGCGUAAAACCACUCUUCUGCAGGUGUUUGCCCAUUUCAGCCUCUCUCUUCUUUUCCCAAUUGCCGCACCGGAAAUAGGGGCACCAGGUUUUCUUUUGGCCAUUUGCAAAUGCGGCUUGCACAAACCCCUUAGUUUUUGUGAACCAUUCAGCGCUCCAUUUGUUCUGACCAGUGUGACCGGUAUACAUCCAAGCACGGUCACUCAUCUUGACUUUCAGAGCUACUGGACACACAACAAUUAUAUAUGUAAUUCACCAUGUAUAUAUUCAUCAGUUGAUCUACUGUGUCAAUUUUAUUACGUCCAUGCAACCUACACUCUAAUAGGUAAUGAUAGGUCCUAAUCCCACCCGUGUAUGUGUAGAUUGGGUUCAUUUUCCCAUGCUAUGCUCCGGAUCCGACGCAAAAUUUCGGCAGCACCUCCCCGUUAUUCUCCUGAUACACGUCUCUGCAAUAAACAGAGAGGAUGUGUACCCGGAGAACAACAGGGGAGGCACUGACGAAAUAUAUGCGUCGGAUCCGGAGCAAAGCAUAUGGGAAAACGAACCCAAUCUACACAUACUCGGGCUGUCCAUGGAUAGCGUUGGACAAUUCGAAAGAAUCAAGGUUAUAAAUAUGCAAAUGCAUGCAUAUUUAUAAAUAUGACGCUUUCGAAUGGGAGACACAUAUUGGUUACGCAUACUGAUGAUUCAAGACACAUAUAUAGCUAGCUAUCAAGUUUCAUCGGAAUAGAUCAAAUAAUUAAUGGGGGAGGAGGACUUGUCAUUUGUGCUCACCCACGAACGAAGGGCAGAGCUCGUCAAACGCACGGCGAGGUCGUCGAACACCAAACCUCGCAGCGAUGAAACAACUGCACAUUUAAAACUACACGAUCAACACAAUUAUAUAUGAUGUUUUUCAUAACUAAAUCGAAAAAUAUAUAACCUAACUAAUAAUUCACAAAUAUAUGACCCCGUCGGCCUCUGGAAGGCCGAAGAACACCUUAAUUUUCGGGAGGUGUCGGUGGUCGGGGUGCCCUGUCGGUGUCGGGGUGCCGUGUCGGGGUCGGGGUCUCGGGGUCGGGGUGUCGGGUCGGGGUGCCNNNNNNNNNNNNNNNNNNNNNNNNNNNNNNNNNNNNNNNNNNNNNNNNNNNNNNNNNNNNNNNNNNNNNNNNNNNNNNNNNNNNNNNNNNNNNNNNNNNNNNNNNNNNNNNNNNNNNNNNNNNNNNNNNNNNNNNNNNNNNNNNNNNNNNNNNNNNNNNNNNNNNNNNNNNNNNNNNNNNNNNNNNNNNNNNNNNNNNNNNNNNNNNNNNNNNNNNNNNNNNNNNNNNNNNNNNNNNNNNNNNNNNNNNNNNNNNNNNNNNNNNNNNNNNNNNNNNNNNNNNNNNNNNNNNNNNNNNNNNNNNNNNNNNNNNNNNNNNNNNNNNNNNNNNNNNNNNNNNNNNNNNNNNNNNNNNNNNNNNNNNNNNNNNNNNNNNNNNNNNNNNNNNNNNNNNNNNNNNNNNNNNNNNNNNNNNNNNNNNNNNNNNNNNNNNNNNNNNNNNNNNNNNNNNNNNNNNNNNNNNNNNNNNNNNNNNNNNNNNNNNNNNNNNNNNNNNNNNNNNNNNNNNNNNNNNNNNNNNNNNNNNNNNNNNNNNNNNNNNNNNNNNNNNNNNNNNNNNNNNNNNNNNNNNNNNNNNNNNNNNNNNNNNNNNNNNNNNNNNNNNNNNNNNNNNNNNNNNNNNNNNNNNNNNNNNNNNNNNNNNNNNNNNNNNNNNNNNNNNNNNNNNNNNNNNNNNNNNNNNNNNNNNNNNNNNNNNNNNNNNNNNNNNNNNNNNNNNNNNNNNNNNNNNNNNNNNNNNNNNNNNNNNNNNNNNNNNNNNNNNNNNNNNNNNNNNNNNNNNNNNNNNNNNNNNNNNNNNNNNNNNNNNNNNNNNNNNNNNNNNNNNNNNNNNNNNNNNNNNNNNNNNNNNNNNNNNNNNNNNNNNNNNNNNNNNNNNNNNNNNNNNNNNNNNNNNNNNNNNNNNNNNNNNNNNNNNNNNNNNNNNNNNNNNNNNNNNNNNNNNNNNNNNNNNNNNNACUAAAUCUAAACCUAAAACAAAACUAAAACUAAACCUAAAACUAAAACUAAAACUAAAUCUAAACUAAAACUAAAAAGGAAAAAAACAGAAAAAAAAUAGAAAAAAGGAGGUUGGGGCUCACCUUCUGCAGCGCCGGUGGAGGAGGGGGCGGGGCGGUGGAGGAGCUGGCUGGGGCGCGGGGCGGCCUGGGGCGGCGCGGGGCCGGGCCCGAUGCGGUGGGGCGCGGGGCGGCGGUGCGUGCGGACCCUAUGGUUCGAGAACAAUGUAGACAUGACCGAGACACGUCUCCGGUCAAUAACCAAUAGCGGGACCUGGAUGCCCAUAUUGGCUCCUACAUAUUCUACGAAGAUCUUUAUCGGUCAGACCGCAUAAUAACAUACGUUGUUCCCUUUGUCAUCGGUAUGUUACUUGCCCGAGAUUCGAUUGUCGGUAUCCAAUACCUAGUUCAAUCUCGUUACUGGCAAGUCUCUUUACUCGUUCCAUAAUACAUCAUCUCACAACUAACAUCUUAGUUAUAAUGCUUGCAAGGCUUAUGUGAUGUGUCUUACCAAGAGGGCCCAGAGAUACCUCUCCGACAAUCGGAGUGACAAACCCUAAUCUCGAAAUACGCCAACCCAACAUCUACCAUUGGAGACACCUGUAGUACUCCUUUAUAAUCACCCAGUUACGUUGUGACGUUUGGUAGUACCCAAAGUGUUCCUCCGGCAAACGGGAGUUGCAUAAUCUCAUAGUCAUAGGAACAUGUAUAAGUCAUGAAGAAAGCAAUAGCAACAUACUAAACGAUCGGGGGCUAAGAUAAUGAAAUGGGUCAUGUCAAUCAGAUCAUUCAACUAAUGAUGUGACCUCGUAAAUCAAAUAACAACUCUUUGUUCAUGGUUAGGAAACAUAACCAUCUUUGAUUAACGAGCUAGUCAAGUAAAGGCAUACUAGUGACACUCUGUUUGUCUAUGUAUUCACACAUGUAUUAUGUUUCCGGUUAAUACAAUUCUAGCAUGAAUAAUAAACAUUUAUCAUGAUAUAAGGAAAUAAAUAAUAACUUUAUUAUUGCAUCUAGGGCAUAUUUCCUUCAGUCCAGUGUUCCAUGCCGGGAUUACUUUGGUACCUUCCUACCAAACUUACGGCAAGGUUUACAUCAGGUCUGGUACACAGCAUAGCAUACAAGAUAGACCCUAUGGCCGAGGCAUAGGGGACGACACUCAUAUUUUCUCUAUCUUCUACCGUGGUCGUGCAUUGAGCCGUGCUCAAUCUCGUACCUUGCAAUAUAGGCAAGAACCCCUUCUUUUACUGAUCCAUUUUGAACUUCUUCAAUAUCUUGUCAAGGUACGUACUCUGUGGAAGACCAAUGAGGCGUCUCGAUCUAUCUCUAUAGAUCUUGAUGCCUAAUAUAUAAGCAGCUUCUCCAAGAUCCUUCAUUGAAAAACACUUGUUCAAGUAGGCCUUUAUGCUUUCCCAGAAUUCUAUAUCAUUUCCCAUCAACAAUAUGUCAUCCACAUCCAAUAUGGGAAAUUCUACAAAGCUCCCACUCAGUUCUUGUAAAUGCAGGCUUCUCCAUAAGUCUGCGUAAACCCAAACGCUUUGAUCAUCUCAUCAAAAUGAAUGUUCCAACUCCGAGAUGCUUGCACCAGCCCAUAAAUCGAGCGUUGGAGCUUGUACACCUUGUCAGCAUUCUUAGGAUCGACAAAACCUUCUGGCUGCAUCAUAUACAAUUCUUCCUUAAGGAAACCAUCAAGGACUGUUGUUUUGACGUCCAUUUGCCAUAUCUCAUAAUCAUAGAAUGCGGCAAUUGCUAACAUGAUUCGGACGGACUUCAGCUUCGCUACGGGUGAGAAAGUCUCAUCAUAGUCAACCCCUUGUACUUGCCGAUAACCCUUAGCGACAAGCCGAGCUUUAUAGAUGGUCACAUUACCAUCCGCGUCUGUCUUCUUCUUAAAGAUCCAUUUAUUUUCUAUGGCUCGCCGACCAUCGGGCAAGUCAGUCAAAGUCCAUACUUUGUUUUCAUACAUGGAUCUUAUCUCGGAUUUCAUGGCUUCCAGCCAUUUCUCGGAAUCCGGGCCCGCCAUUGCUUCUUCAUAGUUCGAAGGUUCACCGUUGUCUAACAACAUGAUUUCCAAGACAGGGUUGCCGUACCACUCUGGUGCGGGACGUGUCCCCGUGGACCUACGAAGUUCAGUAGCAACUUGAUCUGAAGUUUCAUGAUCAUCAUCAUCAACUUCCUCUCUAGUCGGUGCAGGCACCUUAGGAACAUUUUCUUGAGCUGCGCCACUUACCGGUUCAAGAGGUAAUACUUCAUCAAGUUCUACUUUCCUCCCACUUAUUUCUUUCGAGAGAAACUCUUUCUCUAGAAAGGACCCAUUCUUGGCAACAAAGAUCUUGCCUUCGGAUCCGAGGUAGAAGGUAUACCCAAUAGUUUCUUUAGGGUAUCCUAUGAAGACGCAUUUUUCCGAUUUGGGUUCGAGCUUUUCAGGUUGAAGUUUCCUGACAUAAGCAUCGCAUCCCCAAAGUUUUAGAAAUGACAUCUUAGGUGUCUUCCCAAACCAUAAUUCAUACGGCGUCGUCUCAACGGAUUUCGACGUAGCCCUAUUUAAAGUGAAUGCGGCAGUCUCUAAAGCAUAGCCCCAAAAUGACAGCGGUAAAUCAGUAAGAGACAUCAUAGAUCAUACCAUAUCUAAUAGAGUGCGAUUAUGACGUUCGGACACACCAUUACGCUGAGGUGUUCCAGGCGGCGUGAGUUGUGAAACUAUUCCACAUUUUCUUAAGUGUGUGCCAAAUUCGUGACUCAAGUAUUCUCCCCCACGAUCUGAUCGCAAGAACUUGAUUUGCCUGUCAUGUUGAUUCUCAACCUCACUUUGAAAUUCCUUGAACUUUUCAAAGGUCUCAGACUUGUGUUUCAUUAAGUAGACAUACCCAUAUCUACUCAAGUCAUCAGUGAGGGUGAGAACAUAACGAUAGCCACCACGAGCCUCAACACUCAUUGGACCGCACACAUCAGUAUGUAUGAUUUCCAAUAAGUUGGUUGCUCGCUCCAUUGUUCUUGAGAAAGGAGUCUUGGUCAUUUUACCCAUGAGGCAUGGUUCGCACGUGUCAAAUGAUUCGUAAUCAAGAGACUUUAAAAGUCCAUCUGCAUGGAGCUUCUUCAUGCGUUUGACACCUAUGUGACCAAGGCGGCAAUGCCACAUGUGGGACUAUCAUUAUCAACCUUACAUCUUUUGCUAUUCACACUAUGAAUAUGUGUAACAUUAUGCUCGAGAUUCAUUAAGAAUAAACCAUUCACCAAUGGAGCAUGACCAUAAAACAUAUCUCUCAUAUAAAUAGAACAACCAUUAUUCUCGGAUUUAAAUGAGUAGCCAUCUCAAAUUAAACGAGAUCCUGAGACAAUGUUCAUGCUCAAAGCUGGCACUAAAUAACAAUUAUUGAGGUUUAAAACUAAUCCCGUAGGCAAAUGUAGAGGCAGCGUGCCGACGGCGAUCACAUCGACCUUGGAACCAUUCCCGACGCGAAUCGUCACCUCGUACUUCGCCAGUCUCCGUUUAUUCCGCAGCUCCCGCUUUGAGUUACAAAUGUGAGCAACUGCACCGGUAUCAAAUACCCAGGAGCUACUACGAGUACUGGUAAGGUACACAUCAAUUACAUGUAUAUCACAUAUACCUUUAGUGUUGCCGGCCUUCUUGUCCGCUAAGUAUUUGGGGCAGUUCUGCUUCCAGUGACCACUUCCCUUGCAAUAAAAACACUCAGUCUCGAGCUUGGGUCCAUUCUUUGGCUUCUUCCCGGCAACUUGCUUAGCGGGCGCGGCAACUCCCUUGCCGUCCUUCUUGAAUUCUUCUUACCCUUGCCUUUCUUGAACUUAGUGGUUUUAUUCACCAUCAACACUUGAUGUUCCUUUUUGAUUUCCACCUCUGCUGAUUUCAGCAUUGAAUAUACCUCAGGAAUGGUCUUUUCCGUCCCCUGCAUAUUGAAGUUGAUCACAAAGCUCUUGUAGCUUGGUGGAAGCGACUGAAUGAUUCUGUCAAUGACCGCGUCAUUCGGGAGAUUAACUCCCACCUGAGUCAAGCGGUUAUGCAACCCAGACAUUUUGAUUAUGUGCUCACUGACAGAUCUAUUUUCCUCCAUAUUACAGCUGAAGAACUUGUCGGAGACUUCAUAUCUCUCGACCCGGGCAUGAGCUUGAAAAACCAUUUUCAGCUCUUCGAACAACUCAUAUGCUCCGUGUCUCUCAAAAUGCUUUUGGAGCCCCGGUUCUAAGCUGUAAAGCAUGCCGCACUGAACGAGGGAGUAAUCAUCAGCACGUAACUGCCAAGCGUUCAUAAUGUCUUGGUUCUCUGGGACAGGUGUGUCACCUAACGGUGCUUCUAGGACAUAAUCUUUCUUGGCAGCUAUGAGGAUGAUCCUCAGGUUCUGGACCCAGUCCGUAUAGUUGCUGCCAUCGUCUUUCAGCUUGGUUUUCUCCAGGAACGCGUUGAAAUUGAGGACAACGUGGGCCAUUUGAUCUACAAGACAUAUUGUAAAGAUUUUAGACUAAGUUCAUGAUAAUUAAGUUCAUCUAAUCAAAUUAUACAAUGAACUCCCACUCAGAUAGACAUCCCUCCAGUCAUCUAAGUGAAACAUGAUCCGAGUUAACUAGGCUGUGUCGGAUCAUCACGUGAGACGGACUAGUCAACAUCGGUGAACAUCUUCAUGUUGAUCGUAUCUUCUAGACGACUCAUGCUCGACCUUUUAGUCUUCUAUGUUCCGAGGCCAUGUCUGUACAUGCUAGGCUCGUCAAGUAAACCUAAGUGUAUUGCGUGUGUAAGUCUGGCUUACACCCGUUGUAUUCGAACGUUAGAAUCUAUCACACUCGAUCAUCACGUGGUGCUUCGAAACAACGAACCUUCACAAUGGUGCACAGUUAGGGGGAACAGUUUCUUGAAAUUAUUUCGAGGGAUCAUCUUAUUGAAGCUACCGUCGUUCUAAGCAAAUAAGAUGUAAAACAUGAUAAACAUCACAUGCAAUCAAAUAGUGACAUGAUAUGGCCAAUAUCAUUUUCUCCUUUUGAUCUCCAUCUUCGGGGGUCCAUGAUCAUCAUUGUCACUGGCAUGACACCAUGAUCUCCAUCAUCAUGUCUUCUUGAAGUUGUCUCGUCAUCUAUUACUUCUACUACUAUGGCUAACGCUUUAGCAAUAAAGUAAAGUAAUUACAUGACGUUUAUGUUGACACGCAGGUCAUAAAAAAUAAAGACAACUCCUAUGGCUCCUGCCGGUUGUCAUACUCAUCGACAUGCAAGUCGUGAUUCCUAUUACAAGAACAUGAUCAAUCUCAUACAUCACAUAUAUCAUUCAUCACAUCCUUUUGGCCAUAUCACAUCACACGACACAUGCUGCAAAAACAAGUUAGACGUCCUCUAAUUGUUGUUGCAAGUUUAUACAUGGCUGCUAUAGGUUUCUAGCAAGAACGUCUCUUACCUAUGGCAAAACCACAACGUGAUAUGCCACUUUCUAUUUACCCUUCAUAAGGACCCUUUUCAUCGAAUCCGAUCUGACUAAAGUGGGAGAGACAGACACCCGCCAGCCACCUUAUGCAACUAGUGCAUGUCAAUCGGUGGAACCAGUCUCACAUAAGCGUACGUGUAAGGUCGGUCCGGGCCGCUUCAUCCCAUGAUGCCACCGAAUCAAGAUAAGACUAGUAACGGCAAGCAAAGUGACAAUAUCCACGCCCACAACUGCUUUGUGUUCUACUCGUGCAUAGAAACUACGCAUAGACCUAGCUCAUGAUGCCACUGUUGGGGAAUGUAGCAGAAUUUUAAAAUUUUCUAUGCAUCACCAAGAUCAAUCUAUGGAGUCAUCUAGCAAUGAGGGAGAGAGGAGUGCAUCUACAUACCCUUGUAGAUCGCGCGCGGAAGUGUUCAAGAGAACGGGGUUGAUGGAAUCGUACUCGUCGUGAUCCAAAUCACCGAUGACCAAGUGCCUAACGGACAGCACCUCCGCGUUCAACACACGUCCUUUUGGGAAGACGUCUCCUCCUUCUUGAUCCAGCAAGGGGGAAGGAGAGGUUGAUGAAGAUCCAGCAGCACCACGACGUGGUGGUGGAUGCAACAGGAUCCCGGCAGGGCUUCACCAAGCGGAAGCGGGGAGGAGAGGUGUUACGGAGGGAGAGAGAGGCGCCAAGAGCAAGGUUGCGGCUGCCCUCCCUCCCCCCCUCUUUAUAUAGGGGCCAUGGGGGGGCGCCGGCCCUAGGAGAUGGAUCUCCAAGGGGGGCGAAGGCCAAGGGGUGGCUCCCCCCCCCCCAAGCCAAGUGGGGGGCGCCCCCACCCCUAGGGUUUCCCAACCCUAGGCGCAGGGGAGGCCCAAGGGGGGCGGACCAGCCCACUAGCGGCUGGUUCCCCUCCCAAUUCAUCCCAUGGGGCCCUCCGGGAUGGGUGGCCCCACCCGGUGGACCCCCGGGACCCUUUCGGUGGUCCCGGUACAAUACUGGUGACCCCCGAAACCUUCCCGAUGGCCGAAACUGUACUUCCUAUAUAUAAAUCUUUACCUCCAGACCAUUCCGGAACUCCUCGUGACGCCCGGGAUCUCAUCCGGGACUCCGAACAACUUUCGGGUUACUAUAUACUAAUAUCUCUACAACCCUAGCGUCACUGAACCUUAAGUGUGUAGACCCUACGGGUUUCGGAGACAUGCAGACAUGACUGAGACGCCUCUCCAGUCAAUAACCAACAGCGGGAUCUGGAUACCCAUGUUGGCUCCCACAUGCUCCAUGAUGAUCUCAUCAGAUGAACCACGAUGUCGAGCAUUCAAUCAAUCUGUAUACAAUUCCCUUUGUCAAUCAGUACGUUACUUGCCCGAGACUCGAUCAUCGGUAUCCCAAUACCUUGUUCAAUCUUGUUACCGGCAAGUCACUUUACUCAUACCAUAAUGCAUGAUCCCGUCAUCAACCACUUGGUCACAUGAGCUCAUUAUGAUGAUGCAUUACCGAGUGGGCCCAGAGAUACCUCUCCAUCAUACGGAGUGACAAAUCCCAGUCUCGAUUCAUGCCAACCCAAUAGUCACUUUCAGAGAUACCUGUAAUGUAACUUUAUAGUCACCCAGUUACGUUGUGACGUUUGGCACACCCAAGGCACUCCUACGAUAUCUGGGAGUUUUGUUGGAAAUAUGCCCUAGAGGCAAUAAUAAAAGCAUUAUUAUUAUAUUUCCUUGUUCAUGAUAAUUGUCUUUAUUCAUGCUAUAAUUGUGUUAUCCGGAAAUCGUAAUACAUGUGUGAAUAACAGACACCAACAUGUCCCUAGUAAGCCUCUAGUUAACUAGCUCGUUGAUCAACAGAUAGUCAUGGUUUCCUGACUAUGGACAUUGGAUGUCAUUGAUAACGAGCUCACAUCAUUAGGAGAAUGAUGUGAUGGACAAGACCCAAUCAUAAACAUAGCAUAAAGAUCGUGUAGUUCGUUUGCUAGAGUUUUUCCAAUGUCAAGUAUACUUUCCUUAGACCAUGAGAUCGUGUAACUCCCGGAUACCGUAAGAGUGCUUUGGGUGUACCAAACAUCACAACGUAACUGGGUGACUAUAAAGGUAUACUACGGGUAUCUCCAAAAGUGUCUGUUGGGUUGACACGGAUCAAGACUGGGAUUUGUCACUCCGUAUGACGGAGAGGUAUCACUGGGCCCACUCAGUAAUGCAUCAUCAUAAUGAGCUCAAAGUGACCAAGUGUCUGGUCACGGGAUCAUGCAUUACGGUACGAGUAAAGUGACUUGCCGGUAACGAGAUUGAACGAGGUAUUGGGAUACCGACAAUCGAAUCUCGGGCAAGUAACAUACCGAUUGGCAAAGGGAAUUGUAUACGGGGUUGCCUGAAUCCUCGAUAUCGUGGUUCAUCCGAUGAGAUCAUCGUGGAGCAUGUGGGAGCCAACAUGGGUAUCCAGAUCCCGCUGUUGGUUAUUGACCGAAGAGUCGUCUCGGUCAUGUCUGUCUGUCUCCCGAACCCGUAGGGUCUACACACUUAAGGUUCGGUGAUGCUAGGGUUGUAGGAAUAUGUAUAUGCAGUAACCCGAAUGUUGUUCGGAGUCCCGGAUGAGAUCCCGGACGUCACGAGGAGUUCCGUAAUGGUCCGGAGGUAAAGAAUUAUAUAUGGGAAGUGCUAUUUCGGCCAUCGGGACAAGUUUUGGGGUCACCGGUAUUGUACCGGGACCACCGGAAGGGUCCCGGGGGUCCACCGGGUGGGGCCACCUAUCUCGGAGGGCCCCAUGGGCUGAAGUGGGAAGGGACCCAGCCCAAAGUGGGCUGGGGUGCCUCUCCCCUAGGGCCCAUGCGGCUAGGGUUUGGGGGAAACCCUAAAAGGGGGCGCCCCCUUGCUUGGGGGGCAAGCCCCCCACCCCUUGGCCGCCGCCCCCCCCUCCCCCUAGGAAAAUAGAUCUCCUAGGGCCGGCGCCCCCCCCCCUUGGCCCUCCUAUAUAUAGUGGGGGAGGGAGGGCUAUUCUCUCAUGCCUUUGGUUGCCUCCCUCUCCCUCUCCGACACCUCCUCCUCCUCCAUAGUGCUUGGCGAAGCCCUGACGGAGUUCUGCAGCUCCACCAUCACCACGCCGUCGGUCUGCUGCUGGAGCCAUCUUCCUCAACCUCUUCUUCCCUCUUGCUGGAUCAAGAAGAAGGAGACGUUACGCUAACCGUACGUGUGUUGAACGCGGAGGUGCCGUCCGUUCGGCGCUAGGAUCUCUGGUGAUUUGAAUCACGUCGUGUACGACUACUUCAUCCACGUUCUUUGAACGCUUCCGCUCGCGAUCUACAAAGGUAUGUAGAUGCAUCCGAUGACUCGUUGCUAGAUGAACUCAUAGAUAGAUCUUGGUGAAACCGUAGGAAAUUUUUUGUUUUCUGCAACGUUCCCCAACAGUGGUAUCAGAGCUAGGUCUAUGCGUAGUUCUUCUUGCGCGAGUAGAACACAAUUUGUUGUGGGCGUAGAUGUUGUCAACUUUCUUGCCGCUACUAGUCUUAUCUUGCUUCGACGGUAUUGUGGGAUGAAGCGGCCCGGACCAACCUUACACGUAUGCUCACGUGAGACAGGUUCCACCGACAAACAUGCACUAGUUGCAUAAGGUGGCUAGCGGGUGCCUGUCUCUCCUACUUUAGUUGGAGCGGAUUCGAUGAGAAGGGUCCUUAUGAAGGGUAAAUAGAAGUUGAAAAAUCACGUUGUGGCUUUCACGUAGGUUAGAAAACGUUCUUGCUAGAACCCUACUUCAGCCACGUAAAACUUGCAACAACAAUUAGAGGAUGUCUAACUUGUUUUUGCAGCAAGUGCUUUGUGAUAUGAUAUGGCCAAAGUUGUGAUGAAUAAUACAUAUGUGAUGUAUGAGAUGUUCGUGCUAUUGUAAUAGGAAUCACGACUUGCAUGUCGAUGAGUAUGACAACCGGCAGGAGCCAUAGGAGUUGUCUUUAUUCUUUUAUAUGACCUGCGUGUCAUUGAGAAACGCCAUGUAAAUUACUUUACUUUAUUGCUAAACACGUUAGCCUUAGUAGUAGAAGUAAUAGUUGGCGAGCAACUUCAUGGAGACACGAUGAUGGAGAUCAUGAUGAUGGAGAUCAUGGUGUCAUGCCGGUGACAAGAUGAUCAUGGAGCUCCAAGAUGGAGAUCAAAGGAGCUAUGUGAUAUUGGCCAUAUCAUGUCACUAUUAUUAUUUGAUUGCAUUUGAUGUUUAUCAUGUUUUGCAUCUUGUUUACUUAGAACGACGGUAGUGAAUAAGAUGAUCCCUCAUAAUAAUUUCAAGCAAGUGUUCCCCCUAACUGUGCACCGUUGCGACAGUUCAUUGCUUCAAUGCACCACGUGAUGAUCGGGUGUUUGAUUCAAACGUUCACAUACAACGGGUGUAAGACAGAUUUACACAUGCAAACACUUAGGUUGACUUGACGAGCCUAGCAUGUGUAUAGACAUGGCCUCGGAACACAGAAGACCAAAAGGUCGAGCAUGAGUCGUAUAGAAGAUACGAUCAACAUGAAGAUGUUCAUCGAUGUUGACUAGUCCGUCUCACGUGAUGAUCGGACACGGCCUAGUUGACUCGGAUCAUGUUAUACUUAGAUGACUAGAAGAGGGAUGUCUAUCUAAGUGGGAGUUCAUUCAAUAAUUUGAUUAGAUGAACUUAAUUAUCAUGAACUUAGUCUAAAAUCUUUGCAAUAUGUCUUGUAGAUCAAAUGGCCAACGUAGUCCUCAACUUCAACGCGUUCCUAGAGAAAACCAAACUGAAAGAUGAUGGCAGUAACUAUACGGAAUGGGUCUGGAACCUGAGGAUUAUCCUCAUAGCUGCCAAGAAAGAUUAUGUCCUACAAGCACCGCUAGGUGAAGCUCCCGUCCCAUGGAACCAAGAUGUUAUGAACGCUUGGCAGACACGUGCUGAUGACUACUCCCUCGUUCAGUGCGGCAUGCUUUACAGUUUAGAGCCGGGGCUCCAAAAGCGUUUUGAGAGACAUAGAGCAUAUGAGAUGUUCGAAGAGCUGAAAAUGGUGUUUCAAGCUCAUGCCCGGGUCGAGAGAUAUGAGGUCUCCGACAAAUUCUUCAGUUGUAAGAUGGAGGAAAAUAGUUCUGUCAGUGAGCACAUACUCACUAUGUCUGGGUUACAUAAUCGCUUGACUCAGCUGGGAGUUAAUCUCCUGGAUGAUGCGGUCAUUGACAGAAUCCUCCAGUCGCUUCCACCAAGCUACAAGAGCUUUGUGAUGAACUUCAAUAUGCAGGGGAUGGAAAAGACCAUUCCUGAGGUAUUUACAAUGCUGAAAUCAGCAGAGGUAGAAGUCAAGAAGGAACAUCAAGUGUUGAUGGUCAAUAAAACCACUAAGUUCAAGAAGGGCAAGGGUAAAAAGAACUUCAAGAAGGACGGCAAGGGAGUUGCCGCGCCCGGCAAGCAAGCUGCCGGGAAGAAGCCAAAGAAUGGUCCCAAGCCCGAGACUGAGUGCUUUUAUUAUAAGGGAAGCGGUCACUGGAAGCGGAACUGCCCCAAAUACUUAGCGGACAAGAAGGCCGGCAAAACAAAAGGUAUAUGUGAUAUACAUGUAAUUGAUGUGUACCUUACCAGUACCCGUAGUAGCUCCUGGGUAUUUGAUACUGGUGUAGUUGCUCACAUUUGUAACUCAAAGCAGGGGCUGCGGAAUAAGCGGAGACUGGCGAAGGACGAGGUGACGAUGCGCGUCGGGAAUGGUUCCAAGGUCAAUGUAAUCGCCGUCGGCACGUUACCUCUAUAUUUACCUUCGGGAUUAGUUGUAAACCUUAAUAAUUGUUAUUUAGUACCAGCUUUGAGCAUGAACAUUGUAUUGGGAUCUCGUUUAAUUCAAGAUGGCUACUCAUUUAAAUCCGAGAAUAAUGGUUGUUCUAUUUAUAUGAGAGAUAUGUUUUAUGGUCAUGCUCCUAUGGUGAAUGGUUUAUUCUUAAUGAAUCUCGAGCGUAAUGCUACACAUAUUCAUAGUGUGAGUACCAAAAGAUGUAAGGUUGAUAAUGAUAGUCCCACAUACUUGUGGCACUGCCGCCUUGGUCACAUAGGUGUCAAACGCAUGAAGAAGCUCCAUGCAGAUGGACUUUUAGAGUCUCUUGAUUAUGAAUCAUUUGACACGUGCGAACCAUGCCUCGUGGGUAAAAUGACCAAGACUCCGUUCUCAGGAACAAUGGAGCGAGCAACCAACUUAUUGGAAAUCAUACAUACUGAUGUGUGCGGUCCAAUGAGCGUUGAGGCUCGCGGUGGCUAUCGUUAUGUUCUCACCCUCACUGAUGACUUGAGUAGAUAUGGGUAUGUCUACUUAAUGAAACACAAGUCUGAAACCUUUGAAAAGUUCAAGGAAUUUCAGAGUGAGGUUGAGAAUCAACGUGACAGGAAAAUCAAGGUUCUACGAUCAGAUCAUGGAUGCGAAUACUUGAGUCACGAAUUUGGCACACACUUAAGAAAAUGUGGAAUAGUUUCACAACUCACGCCGCCUGGAACACCUCAGCGUAACGGUGUGUCCGAACGUCGUAAUCGCACUCUAUUAGAUAUGGUACGAUCUAUGAUGUCUCUUACCGAUUUACCACUAUCUUUUUGGGGCUAUGCUUUAGAGACUGCCGCAUUCACUUUAAAUAGGGCUCCGUCGAAAUCCGUUGAGACGACACCGUUUGAAUUAUGGUUUGGGAAGAAACCUAAGCUGUCGUUUCUAAAAGUUUGGGGAUGCGAUGCUUAUGUCAAGAAACUUCAACCUGAAAAGCUCGAACCCAAGUCGGAAAAAUGCGUCUUCAUAGGAUACCCUAAAGAAACUGUUGGGUAUACCUUCUACCUCAGAUCCGAAGGCAAGAUUUUUGUUGCCAGGAAUGGAUGCUUUCUAGAGAAGGAGUUUCUCUCGAAAGAAGUAAGUGGGAGGAAAGUAGAACUUGAUGAAGUGUUACCUCUUGAACCGGAAAAUGGCGCAACUCAAGAAAAUGUUCAUGAGGUGCCUGCACCGACUAGAGAGGAGGUUAAUGAUGAUGAUCAUGAAACUUCUGAUCAAGUUGCUACUGAACUUCGAAGGUCCAUAAGGACACGUUCCGCACCAGAGUGGUACGGCAACCCUGUCUUGGAAAUCAUGUUGUUAGGCAACGGUGAACCUUCGAACUAUGAAGAAGCGAUGGCGGGCCCGGAUUCCGACAAAUGGCUAGAAGCCAUGAAAUCCGAGAUAGGAUCCAUGUAUGAAAAUGAAGUAUGGACUUUGACUGACUUGCCCGUUGAACGGCGAGCCAUAGAAAAUAAAUGGAUCUUUAAGAAGAAGACAGACGCGGAUGGUAAUGUGACCAUCUAUAAAGCUCGGCUUGUCGCUAAGGGUUAUCGACAAGUUCAAGGGGUUGACUACGAUGAGACUUUCUCACCGGUAGCGAAGCUGAAGUCCGUCCGAAUCAUGUUAGCAUUUGCCGCAUUCUACGAUUAUGAGAUAUGGCAAAUGGAUGUCAAAACGGCAUUAAUUAAUGGUUUCCUUAAGGAAGAAUUGUAUAUGAUGCAGCCGGAAGGUUUUGUCGAUCCUAAGAAUGCUGACAAGGUGUGCAAGCUCCAACGCUCGAUUUAUGGGCUGGUGCAAGCAUCUCGGAGUUGGAACAUUCGCUUUGAUGAGAUGAUCAAAGUGUUUGGGUUUACUCAGACUUAUGGAGAGGCCUGCGUUUACAAGAAAGUGAGUGGGAGCUCUGUAGCAUUUCUCAUAUUAUAUGUAGAUGACAUACUUUUGAUGGGAAAUGAUAUAGAACUCUUGGACAGCAUCAAGGCCUACUUGAAUAAGAGUUUUUCAAUGAAGGACCUUGGAGAAGCUGCUUAUAUAUUAGGCAUCCAGAUCUAUAGAGAUAGAUCAAGAUGCCUCAUAGGUCUUUCACAAAGCACAUACCUUGAUAAGAUAUUGAAGAAGUUCAAUAUGGAUCAAUCUAAGAAGGGGUUCUUGCCUGUGUUACAAGGUAUGAAAUUGAGCUCAGCUCAAUGUCCGACCAUGGCAGAAGAUAUAGAAGAGAUGAGUGUCAUCCCCUAUGCCUCAGCCAUAGGUUCUAUUAUGUAUGCCAUGCUGUAUACCAGACCUGAUGUAAACCUUGCCGUAAGUUUGGUAGGAAGGUACCAAAGUAAUCCCGGCAAGGAACACUGGACAGCGGUCAAGAAUAUCCUGAAGUACCUAAAAAGGACUAAGGAAAUGUUUCUCGUUUAUGGAGGUGACGAAGAGCUCGUCGUAAAGGGUUACGUCAACGCUAGCUUCGACACAGAUCUGGAUGACUCUAAGUCACAAACCGGAUACGUGUAUAUUUUGAAUGGUGGGGCAGUAAGCUGGUGCAGUUGCAAGCAGAGCGUCGUGGCGGGAUCUACAUGUGAAGCGGAGUACAUGGCAGCCUCGGAGGCAGCACAUGAAGCAAUUUGGGUGAAGGAGUUCAUCACCGACCUAGGAGUCAUACCCAAUGCGUCGGGGCUGAUCAAGCUCUUCUUUGACAACACUGGAGCUAUUGCACUUGCCAAGGAGCCCAGGUUUCACAAGAAGACAAGGCACAUCAAGCGUCGCUUCAACUCCAUUCGUGAAAAUGUUCAAGAUGGAGACAUAGAUAUUUGUGAAGUACAUACGGACCUGAAUGUAGCAGAUCCGUUGACUAAACCUCUCCCUAGAGCAAAACAUGAUCAACACCAGAAUUCCAUGGGUGUUCGAUUCAUCACAAUGUAACUAGAUUAUUGACUCUAGUGCAAGUGGGAGACUGUUGGAAAUAUGCCCUAGAGGCAAUAAUAAAAGCAUUGUUAUUAUAUUUCCUUGUUCAUGAUAAUUGUCUUUAUUCAUGCUAUAAUUGUGUUAUCCGGAAAUCGUAAUACAUGUGUGAAUAACAGACACCAACAUGUCCCUAGUAAGCCUCUAGUUAACUAGUUCGUUGAUCAACAGAUAGUCAUGGUUUCUUGACUAUGGACAUUGGAUGUCAUUGAUAACGAGAUCACAUCAUUAGGAGAAUGAUGUGAUGGACAAGACCCAAUCAUAAACAUAGCAUAAAGAUCGUGUAGUUCGUUUGCUAGAGUUUUUCCAAUGUCAAGUAUCCUUUCCUUAGACCAUGAGAUCGUGUAACUCCCGGAUACCGUAAGAGUGCUUUGGGUGUACCAAACGUCACAACGUAACUGGGUGACUAUAAAGGUAUACUACGGGUAUCUCCGAAAGUGUCUGUUGGGUUGACACGGAUCUAGACUGGGAUUUGUCACUCCGUAUGACGGAGAGGUAUCACUGGGCCCACUCGGUAAUGCAUCAUCAUAAUGAGCUCAAAGUGACCAAGUGUCUGGUCACGGGAUCAUGCAUUACGGUACGAGUAAAGUGACUUGCCGGUAACGAGAUUGAAUGAGGUAUUGGGAUAACGACGAUCGAAUCUCGGGCAAGUAACAUAUCGAUUGGCAAAGGGAAUUGUAUACGGGGUUGCUUGAAUCCUCGACAUCGUGGUUCAUCCAAUGAGAUCAUCGUGGAGCAUGUGGGAGCCAACAUGGGUAUCCAGAUCCCGUUGUUGGUUAUUGACCGGAGAGUCGUCUCGGUUAUGUCUGCCUGUCUCCCGAACCCGUAGGGUCUACACACUUAAGGUUCAGUGACGCUAGGGUUGUAGGAAUAUGUAUAUGCAGUAACCCGAAUGUUGUUCGGAGUCCCGGAUGAGAUCCCGGACGUCACGAGGAGUUCCGGAAUGGUCCGGAGGUAAAGAAUUAUAUAUGGGAAGUGGUAUUUCGGCCAUCGGGACAAGUUUCGGGGUCACCGGUAUUGUACCGGGACCACCGGAAGGGUCCCGGGGGUCCACCGGGUGGGGCCACCUAUCCCGGAGGGCCCCUUGGGCUGAAGUGGGAAGGGACCCAGCCCAAAGUGGGCUGGGGCGCCUCUCCCCUAGGGCCCAUGCGGCUAGGGUUUGGGGGAAACCCUAAAAGGGGGCGCCCCCUUGCUUGGGGGGCAAGCCCCCCACCCCUUGGCCGCCGCCGCCCCCCCCCCCUAGGAGAAUAGAUCUCCUAGGGCCGGCGCCCCCCCCCUUGGCCCUCCUAUAUAUAGUGGGGGAGGGAGGGCUAUUCUCUCACGCCUUUGGUUGCCUCCCUCUCCCUCUCCAACACCUCCUCCUCCUCCAUAGUGCUUGGCGAAGCCCUGACGGAGUUCUGCAGCUCCACCAUCACCACGCCGUCGUGCUGCUGCUGGAGCCAUCUUCCUCAACCUCUUCUUCCCUCUUGCUGGAUCAAGAAGAAGGAGACGUUACGCUAACCGUACGUGUGUUGAACGCGGAGGUGCCGUCCGUUCGGCGCUAGGAUCUCCGGUGAUUUGAAUCACGUCGUGUACGACUACUUCAUCCACGUUCUUUGAACACUUCCGCUCGCGAUCUACAAAGGUAUGUAGAUGCAUCCGAUGACUCGUUGCUAGAUGAACUCAUAGAUAGAUCUUGGGGAAACUGUAGGAAAAUUUUCUGCAACGUUCCCCAACAAGUUUCACAAUCUCAUGGUCUAAGGAAAUGAUACUUGACAUUCGGAAAAGCUACAGCAGAUGAACUACACGACCUUUGAGCUAUGCUUAGGAUUGGGUCUUGUCCAUCACAUCAUUCUCCUAAUGAUGUGAUACCGUUAUGAAUGACAUCCAAUGUCCAUAGUCAGGAAACCAUGACUAUCUUUUGAUCAACAAGCUAGUCAACUAGAGGCUCACUAGGGACGUGUUGUGGUCUAUGUAUUCACACAUGUAUUACGAUUUCCGGAUAACACAAUUAUAGCAUGAACAAUAGACAAUUAUCAUGAACAAAGAAAUAUAAUAAUAACCAUUUUAUUAUUGCCUCUAGGGCAUAUUUCCAACACCUACGUACCCCCAAACGAUCAUAUACGGAGCCAAAACCCUAAUUCCACCGCCGCAACUUUCUGUAUCCACGAGAUCCCAUCUUGGGGCCUGUUCCGGAGCUCCGCCAGAGGGGGCAUCGAUCACGGAGGGCUUCUACAUCAACACCAUAGCCUCUCCGAUGAAGUGUGAGUAGUUCACCUCAGACCUACGGUUCCAUAGUUAUUAGCUAGAUGGCUUCUUCUCUCUUUUUGGAUCUCAAUACAAUGUUCUCCCCCUCUCUUGUGGAGAACUAUUCGAUGUAAUCUUCUUUUUGCGGUGUGUUUGUUGAGACCGAUGAAUUGUGGGUUUAUGAUCAAGUCUAUCUAUGAAUAAUAUUUGAAUCUUCUCUGAAUUCUUUUAUGUAUGAUAGGUUAUCUUUGAAAGUCUUUUCGAAUUAUCAGUUUGGUUUGGCCUACUAGAUUGAUCUUUCUUGCAAUGGGAGAAGUGCUUAGCUUUGGGUUCAAUCUUGCGGUGUCCUUUCCCAGUGACAGUAGGGGCAGCAUGGCACGUAUUAUAUUGUUGCCAUCGAGGACAACAAGAUGGAGUUUUCAUCAUAUUGCAUGAGUCUAUCCCUCUACAUCAUGUCAUCUUGCUUAAGGCCUUAAUCUGUUUUUAACUUAAUACUCUAGAUGCUUGCUGGAUAGCGGUCGAUUAGUGGAGUAAUAGUAGUAGAUGCAGGCAGGAGUCGGUCUACUUGUCUCGGACAUGAUGCCUAUAUAUAUGAUCAUACCUAGAUAUUCUCAAAACUAUGCUCAAUUCUGUCAAUUGCUCAACAAUAAUUUGUUCACCCACCGUAGAAUACUUAUGCUCUCGAGAGAAGCCACUAGUGAAACCUAUGGCCCCCGGGUCUAUCUUUAUCAUAUUAAUCUCCUACUACUUAGUUAUUUCCUUUGCUUUUUACUUUGCCUUUAUUUUACUUCGCAUCUUUAUCACAAAAAUACGAAAAAAAUUAUCUUUAUCAUAUCUAUCAAAUCUCACCCUCGUAAGUGGCCGUUUAGGGAUUGACAACCCCUAUUCGCGUCGGUUGUGAGGAUUUAUUUGUUUUGUGCAGGUACAAGGGACUCGCGCGUAGCCUCCUACUGGAUUGAUACCUUGGUUCUCAAAACCUAUUUGAUUGCCGUAGCACGAUCGCGCUUCCUCGGGCGCUAUUGUCUCAAAAAUACCGUCGUCCAUCUCCGUGACCUCCAGUCUACUACUCAUGAGCUGGUUUGGGCGCCGUGGCCUCUUUGCUUUCGGUUCUAGACCAGCUCCGCUAGUCUCGGCGCCUGUCUCAGUCUCAUCGCCGAUCUGCAUGUCGGUAUCAGUCCCCGAUGCGACAUCACAGUUGCUGCAACAUGGGAAAGGGAGACCACGUCAGUGCUGGGGGGUCUGAAAAUCGGAACACACUUUCGCGCGUUGCGGGCCGCCUCUCAGACAGCUACUGGGGAGGCGGCGGAGUACCUGGGUGCGCGGCGAAUCCCCGGGAACUCGGUGACCAACUUCCUUCCCGUGUGGCGCAUGGAGACGACGGCGACCCCGGCGAAGAGCAGCUUAGCCGCGAGCUGCACAGCCUCGUCCACCUCCUAAGUUGGGACCUCCGUGCGAGCGUUGCGGGGCCGCCACUCGGAUGGCUUCUGGAAGGCGGUUGUACAUGGGCACAUGGUGAAUCCCGGCGAGAGCUUGCCAUUGGCGCGCUCAAGUAGACGACGACGUCCUCGACGAAGAGCAGCCCGGCCAGCUCGCCUCACUAUCGUUUGAUUAGAAAUGAAAGAUUGGGAAGAAGCAGACUUGAGCCUGCAGGGAAAGGAUAAGGUGACGAUGCAGUCUCCACUCGUUCGGGGCGACACUCGUACUGAAUGUAUGAGAAAUCUGACGUGGCAGAGACCCCAAGAUACUCCCUCCAUUUAUUUUUAGUCUGCAUAUAAAGUUUGGUCAAAGUCAAGAUUUGUAAAUUUUAACUAACUUUAUAAUAAAAAAAUAUCAACAUUCACAAUAUGAAAUCAAUAUUACCAGAUGCGUCAUGAAAUGUAUUUCCAUACUAUAUAGUUUUGGUAUUGUAGAUGUUCAUAUUUUUUUAUAUAUAUGGGAAGUAGAGGCACUCUUCUAUACUAUAUUCAGAUGUAUGAUAUCUGUUAUUUAAGCGCUUGAAUUUUACAUACGAAUAUUUAUUAUUAAAUAUGUACCCCUACAAUAGCUAGGCCGUGCAGUUGCACGGGUAGAUGACUAGUGAUUACAAUCUUGUUUGUGUGCAAGUCAAGCUUAUCUAGUUUACACGUAACAACUUGUAGAACAUUACAAAAUUUAUGCUUGCUAAUAACUUUUAGAACACUACAACACUUGACAUGUAAAAGGAAUUUGACUGAGUCAUGGCCUACUAAAGCAAGUUACAUUACUAGUCUUAUCUAUCUUAACAGACCACACAAGAUUACAAACUAAGUACCGUGACAGCCAUGCUUAUCUAGUUUAUGCGUAACAAUUUGCAGAAAAUUACAAACUUAGUUUCAGAAAGAUAGGCAAUCUAGAUUAGUGUUUGAGCUGUAAAGUGAAUAAGAUGAGUCAUGCAUGUUAUCACACCUUUUUGGUGGUCGAAUGAUAGUGCAACAACAAGGAACUUUAAUGACCAGUCCAAGAAUACACUUGUAAGUAGUGCCACCAAACAGAACAUACCAAAUGAUCAUUCCAUGGCAGCUAUAAAUAGCCCCAUAGCAUGACGAUCAUCCUUCCUCAUCCAUCAUUCUCAUAAGUAGAGCACAUCAUUUAAGCCAAGCAAGUUGUGGUCAAUACAAAUCCACCAUGAAGACCUUUCUCAUCCUUGCCCUCCUUGCUAUCGUGGCGACCACCGCCACAACCGCAGUUAGAGUUCCAGUGCCACAAUUGCAGCCACAAAAUCCAUCUCAGCAACAGCCACAAGAGCAAGUUCCAUUGGUACAACAACAACAAUUUCUAGGGCAGCAACAAACAUUUCCACCACAACAACCAUAUCCACAGCUGCAACCAUUUCCAUCACAACAACCAUAUCUACAGCUGCAACCAUUUCCGCAGCCGCAACUACCAUAUUCGCAGCCACAACCAUUUCGACCACAACAACCAUAUCCACAACCGCAACCACAGUAUUCGCAACCACAACAACCAAUUUCACAGCAUCAACAGCAGCAGCAGCAACAACAACAACAACAACAACAACAACAAAUCCUUCAACAAAUUUUGCAACAACAACUGAUUCCAUGCAUGGAUGUUGUAUUGCAGCAACACAACAUAGCGCAAGGAAGAUCACAAGUUUUGCAACAAAGUACUUACCAGCUGUUGCAAGAAUUGUGUUGUCAGCACCUAUGGCAGAUCCCUGAGCAGUCGCAGUGCCAGGCCAUCCACAAUGUUGUUCAUGCUAUUAUUCUGCAUCAACAACAACAAAAACAACAACAACAACAACAACAACAACCAUCGAGCCAGGUCUCCUUCCAACAGCCUCAGCAACAAUAUCCAUUAGGCUAGGGCUCCUUCCGGCCAUCUCAGCAAAACCCACAGGCCCAGGGCUCUGUCCAGCCUCAACAACUGCCCCAGUUCGAGGAAAUAAGGAACCUAGCGCUACAGACACUACCUGCAAUUUGCAAUGUCUACAUCCCUCCAUAUUGCACCAUCGCGCCAUUUGGCAUCUUCGGUACUAACUGAGAAGAAAAUAACUCUAGUACUAGAUAUAUGAAACACCGUUUUCUCAGUC